GAGUAUUUGCUAGGACCAAACACAUACCAGUGAGAAGAGUAUUGCGUAGUGUUUUCUAUUGCUCUCUGUGAACUUAGGCGAUGGCAAAUAAUAGCAUCCUCCAGGUCUUCGUUGUUUUUCUCAUUGCACAAGUAUGCUUACUGAUGAUGAUGGCAGCACCAGUAGCGCAGGCAGCUGGCAGGCUUAUGGGAUACAAUCCCGUUUGCUGCCCUAGGGACAUCUACUGUUGUGGGUUUGGUGGUGUGAUGGCCAAUGGAACUGCAUCCUCCACCAAUCCUUGAUAUGUCGUCUCACUCUCCUCCGAGCUAUAAGCUAGGGCAUAUAAAAUGUGCUUCAAGUUGGUCGUUUCGUUUCUUAUAUGCAAUUUGUGCUACUAGUUUCAAGAAAUAUUAUGUGUAAGCUAUUUUGCUAAUAAAAGUGGGAGGAGAUUGUUAUCUAUGUUGUUUGCAAUGUGCCGCAAAGAGAUUUAAAAUUAUGUUUACUGUGUUUUUUGAGGAUCAUAUCACCCUAUAUUUUCAUGGUUAAACACAUGUUAUGAUAAUAAAGGUACCAUCCUUAGUUGAUUCCAGUUUAUUACUAAUCAUACCAGUUAACCCAUCACAUAGAGUGUCAAUUUUCUGCAGACAUCAAGCAACUUAACCCUCGCCAAAUCUUACUGAAUCAAGCUUCUAAAAACUUCUAAAACCCCCCGCAAAAAAAGCUUCUAAAAACUAGACGAGAACUAAUUUGUUUCCUUUUUCUAGCCCUUUUUUGCUUCAUCUUUUUUUCAGCGUUCUUCCCAAUGCCUAAAACCCCGACCAUGCAUGUGUACCAACCCAAUUUAGGUGAGGCACAGUGGCCAAGGCGUCAUGCCUGCUGAUGUAUUUGAACGCUCCGUCCGGCCGAUUGUUUCCUGGCACUCAGGAGGAGGACCUUCUUGGGCGCGACAGUUCUAUCACUCUAUCAGGAUGUCCUCGUGACAUGUGACACCUUGGGGUGUUGAGAAUGAGCAGAUCGAGCAUGCACAUCAGACGUUCGAGAAAUUGCUCGGCAUCUUGGGCGCUCUUGUCGUCUGCCAAACCGUGGACAGGGGCGUGUCCUCGUGGUGUGCUCAUCGAGGUUCCUGGUCGUGGUCGAGCUCUGGUUUAAUUUCCUCGUGUAUGGUCCCCAGUGUUAGUUCGACCUGGCGUGGUGUGGUACGGUGUACAUGAAGGUCUGGAUGUGCCUCGGUUAAGAUUAACGAUGUCAACGGUGGACCCUUCAAAUCGACACAAUAUUUGUCUGCGGACGAUCCAGACUUGUCAUGGAUCCGCAUAUAGGAACCGGCCAUCCAACUCUUUUCCCAAAACGUCCUCUUCUAUUAUUACUUUUAUAUAUAUAAAAAAUACUAGUAACCUUACACCAAAUAGCUAAAUUUCAACCUUCCACCAAAAGGCAUACCGCACAAAAGCAAAUUGAUGUGUGUUGCCAAUGACCUCCCACCAAACAAUGGGCCAGGAGUACAUGUGAGCAUCUACAUUCCGGUGUCUCAAACCCCCUCAUAUGCCCGGGCGAACAGCCGGUUAGUGACCGGUCAAAAAAACCCGACCUAGACGGACGCCUCAAACGGCCUCAAACGCCUGGGCUGAUCAACACCCCUCAUAUAUCCAACCUAAAUAUGGGGCGGAUAUGGGGAGGCCCGGGCAUGACCGUGCACGUCCGCCACGUAGGACCAGGCCCACACUAGCCAACUCGAGCCCACAUAAAUUCGUCCACAUCCCCUCCUCGAACCAAACCCUAUCCACUCCACCCCGUCACCCAAGCUCCCCUCCGGCGUUCUCCAGCCUUUUCCGGCAAGGCGGGUUGUGGAUCCGAGUCCUACACCUCCAAAUCGGUCGUCCUUGAGCUAAUCCCACAUGGCUCCGAGGAGGAGAUGACCAUCCGGCUUGCGCUCCGAAGCACAGUAAUAAUAUCGAGUAGCAUUCAGAGCUCGCUGGUAAUCCGCAUCUACCACCAACCAUCAACAAUGUAGCUUCAGAAGCCACUCCCGAAGGCCGUCCAACGGCAGCGCUCCAACUCCUUCCAUCGGGAAUCCACCGUGCCAUCCCAAACGGCGGCAUGGAUCUGCCGCUAGGUGUGUCAUCGCUACCUGACUAGAGGCGGUGCAGUCCAUCUGGCAUCCGAACGCGGUGACGGACGCGCAAUCGCUCCGCUGGAGCGCCAAGGUGGAGGACGCACCAUGGGCGUCAUCCCAUGCAAACAUGGCGCGUUGUGCACGCCAUGCGAGGCAGUGAGCACGGCAGGCGGCGGCAGCCCUCGCCGGCAGUGGACGUUGGCGAGGUGGAGUUGCAUUCUCUGGCGCGUUGGAUGUUGCACCAGUCCGGGCGCCACAACCGUGUCGUGGUGGAUGCCGCCGGCUCGUCCAGGACGGACCCAUUAUCGAUCUGACAUCCACCGCCACCGUCUGGGUUCCAAGCUCCGAUGAGGAAGAGCAGGACAUGGGAGAUGACGACGCCUUACGUCCCGUGAUCCAUCCCAUAAUUAUUUUUACAACUUCUAUCAGAGGUUUUGUAAAGAUUCUAGAAGCAUGUGAUCGUCUUUGUCAAGUUUAUGGUCAUUUUUUUCAUUUGGGCUUCGAUGUGUUUCUACUAUAGUUUUCUUUGCUUUUCUUAUUUUGUAUUUUUCUUUCAUUUUUUCCUUGUGUCAUUUAAAGUAAAUUCAAACAUCGCGCACUUUUCAAAAAAUUGCAUGCAUGUUUUUCAAAUUCAACAGUUUUUUUAAUUCUAUGAACAUUCUUCUCAAAUAUGUCAUCUAUUUUCCAACCUGUGAACUUUUUCAAUUUCAUGAAUUUGUUCAAAUCUGUGAAUAUAUUAUUCAGAAUCAUCACCAUUUUUCAGAACCACGAACAUUUUUAGAAAUCUGUAGAAAAACUCAAAUGUACAACCAUUUAUUUCUAGUUUGUGAUCCUUUUUUCCAAAUUUAUGAACUUUAAAGAAAAUCAUGGACAUUUUUGGAACGUGUGGUUAUUCUUUUAAUGUGCAAAUUUGUUUAGCUAUAAAAAUGAAAAUCAUUUUUCUCUUUCUAAAUCAACUAGGUAUGUGCCCGUGCGUUGUCACGGGAGCCAAAUCUUAUAAUGCACAAUAAGAGCAUAAUAUACGGUGACAAAUCCUGUUGUUUUUGAAGAUGGUUUUUAUAAUAAAAAUCGACGAGGAGGCUCGUUGUUUACGGAAAAAUACUGCCAAAUUCUUCAAUUGGUAGUAAUUUGGAAUGCUACAUCAAUAGAACUAAAUUUUAUUAGUUGGGGAAAUAAAUAAUGACCUAGUACACAUUAUCAGUCUAAUGAGAUGCAUACAGAUUAUGCAAAAUUGGAUUCUAAAAAAAUAGCACACUCCAACGUCAAUAGAUAGGAACUGCUAAAAUUCGGGUCACAUUGUACAUUCACUGUACCAUGUGACUUGCUAUACCUUUGUGUUUACCUACUGAUCUGAUGUACAAUCCUCGAUGCAAAUGAAUCAUAAAGAUUAACUUCCUUCUUAAAUUAAACAUGACCCAGUUUCGUCCUCUCUGCUGAUUGUGCAGAUGGUAAGUUCCGUCAUGCCAUAGCGUUUGAUAUGGUGAUUGUUCUUUCUGGUGAACUUAGUGGAUGAUAAUGCUUUGACAGUAGAUAGGAUGCAAGAGGAUCAGCAUGUAUAACUGAUUAGAAUUUUUGUAGAGAGAAAACAUAUUAGAAUUGGCUAAGUUGGUGCAACUAAAUAGCAAUUCACAUCCCAAUGCCCACGGGGCAAUGACUGCCACGUAGCAGUACUGCCUUGAAGAGUGACAUCGGUUGGUACAUCGGCUUCUUAGCGAAGCUAGGACCUGUCCAUCCUUCGUGUUCUUGAUCUUGGCGCAGAGUACGUUGGGGAUGUGGCUGAACAGAUAGACCGCACAGAUGCUGCGGAGAACAAGCAACGACCUCACCAAGGUUAGCCAGCAGCACGUUGACGAUGACCCAGUUUGGAAGCAAAGAUUGAGCGAAUCCAUUUACGUCAUGACAUGCAUACACGGGGAGAGAAGAUCAAUCAAGCGAGCUACAUGAAGGAGCGGUGAAAAAUCCGAUCAAAUGAAGGAAACAACACUUGCAAAGAUUCGCCAUGCCGUCCAGGUGUGCGGUCGAGGCGUGUGGAGGCGACAACGGCUACUCCCUCCGUCCAAAAAUACUUGUCAUUUAAAUUGAUGUAUCUAGACGUAUUUUAGUUCUAGAUACAUCCAUUUUUCAUCCAUUUUGAUGACAAGUAUUUCCGGACGGAGGGAGUACAUCGGUGGCAGCAUCCAGGUCGUGCUAUUCCGGCGCGUAAGGCUUCAUUUCCGUAGCAUCGGAUGUAGCAGAUAAAUGGCGACGGUUUGCGACGUGGUUUUCGGGCAGGUGAUUUCUGAUGCGAUUUUAAGGGAAGGUGUGACGCCCAUUGACACAUGUAAUUAUGGUGAUUGCGAUUCUUUAAGGGAAGAUAUGACUCCCAUUGGCGCAUAUAAUUAUGGUGAUUGUGAUUUUUAAGGGAAGGUGUGACGCCCGUGCUUCAUUGGGUCAUGUAAUUAUGAUGAUUGAAUCGAAUCGUCACUUGCCAAUCGAGAAAAAAGGUAGAGUGGAUGGACGAAGGUGGGCAGAACGCGGUAUGUCUGGCAGGAAAACGAACCUUAGGUUCUUUUUAGAUAGUAGAGAGUGCCAUCGGUAGGUACAUCGGCUGCUUAGCAAAGCUAGGACCUGUCCAUCCUUCAUGUUCCUAUCUUGGCGCAGAGUACGUUGAUGAUGUGGCCGAACAGAUGGACUGCACGGAUGCUGUGAAGAACGAGCAACGACCUCACCAAGGCUAGCCAGCAGCAUGUUGACACAUGACCUAGUCUAGAAGGAAAGAUCGAGCAGAUGCAUUUACGUCAUGGCAUGCAUAAACAGGGAGGGAAGAUCAAUCAAGUGAGCUACAUGAAGCAACAAUGAAAAAUCCGAUCAAAUAAAGGAAACAACACUUCUAGAGAUUCGCCAUGCCGUCCAAGUGUGCAGUCGAGGCGUGAGGCGGCGACAACGGCUACAUCGGUGGCAGCAUCCAGGCCGUGUCGUUCUGGCGCGUAAGGCUUCGUUUCUGCAGCAUCGGAGGUGGCGGAUCAAUUGCGACGUGAUUUUCGGACAUGUGAUUUCUGAUGAGAUUUUAAGGGAAGGUUUGGGGCCCAUUGACGCAUGUAAUUAUGGAGAUUGCGAUUCUUUAAGGGAAGGUGUGACUCCCAUUGGCGCAUGUAAUUAUAGUGAUUGCGAUUUUUAAGGGAAGGUAUGACGCCCGUGCUCCAUUGGGUCAUGUAAUUAUGAUGAUUGAAUCAAAUCGUCAUUUGCCAAUCAGGAAAAAAAGGUGGAGUGGAUGGACGAAGAUGGACAGUCAGAACGCGGUCCGUCUGGCAGGAAAUGGAACGUUACGUUCUUUUUAGAUAGCAGAGAUGGAAGCAGUGGCGGAGCUUCAUUGGGGCUAAUGGGGGACCCUCAAGUCUGAUUAGCCCCCUAAACAAUCUUUAUCAAGCUCUGGCAGUGGGUGGAGGCCCCAAGAGGCCAAACAAACGAGGCAACCACCUAGCAAUUACCGGAGUGAGGCGGGAGACCGUCCGACCGCGGCGACAGAGUCGAAUGCUACUGGGUUGUGACCAACCUAGCGCGGCAUGAGUGAAAGCCAUCGUGACCGCCUGAAGGAGAGCUCCUGUUCGGCGCCUUAUGCGCCCAAACAGCUCCCUAGCGCCUGAAGGAGAUGUCUACUGGGCCGGCCCAGAAACCUUCGCUUGAUAAAAGUUCAUUGAUUUUUUAAGUUCAUCAAAAUUGAAAAAAGCUCAUCGAACCUGAAAAAAAGGUUCAUCGAAUUUUAGCAAAGUUCAUCAUAAUUGAAAAAAGUUCAUCAAAAUAUAAUAAAAGUUCAUCGAAUUUGAGAAAUGUGCAUCAUAAUUCGAAAAAGUUCACCGAAUCUGGAAAAUAGUUCAUCGAUUUGUUGAAAAAAGUUCAUCGAUUUCUAAAAAAAGCUAAUCGAAUUAAAAAAAAUCAUCGAAUUUAGAAAAAGUUCAUUGACUUAAAAUGAGUUCAUCGAAUUUGGAAAAACUUCAUUGCGUUUGCAAAAAAGUUCACCGAAUUAGAAAAAAGUUCAUCCAAUUUGAAGAAAAGUUCACUACAUUUGAAAAAAGUUCAUCGAACUUGAUAAAUAGUUCAUCAAAUUUUGGAAAAAAGUUCAUCGAAGUUAAAAAAAAGUUCAUUAAAUCCGGUGAACAUUACGAAUUAGAAAAAAGGAAAAAAUAAAAAUAAAAAAUAAAAAGAAAAUAAGCAAGAAAAAGAAAAGAAAGAACAAAAAAGUUAAGAAAAUGUACUUGAUCAUAAAUCGUUGAGUGGCAGGGUGGUUAUCACGUGGCACGCUGAACCGCUACGGCGCGGGUUCGAGUCCUCCCAGUAUGUGUUUUUUGCAUCAGUUUAGAAAGAAAGAAGGGAAUUUGGGCCGGCCGGCGUCGCGAGCGGGGGUAUGCGCCCUGUACGAUUAACAUUGUAUUCGGCGCUGAGGCCGCCAAAUAGUAUUUGGGCGCCUGAAGCGCUGAACAGGCGCUCCCCAUUUCAAACAAGAACGAUAAGGGCUCCUCGUCAACGCCUUCAUGGGCCGGCCGAAAACAGCGCGUAGUUUGGUAGUCAAAAGUCGCGGUUGACCAGUCUGCCCAUUGAUUUUUAAAAUACGCAAAAAAAAUCCAAAAAUUCCAUGAAUUGAAAUUUUUCAUGGUUUAAGAUACUCAAAUUCAAAAAUAGUUAGAAAAACAAGGUUUUGAAAAGAAGUUCAAUGAUUUGAGAACAAGAUCAUUGAUAUUUUAAAAAGUUCACGAAUUUUGCAAAUUUGGAAAAAGUUCAUCAAUUUUUCUAAAGUGAUGGAUCUAAAAAAAGUCUAUUGGUUUUGGAAAAGAAGUUCACGAAUUAUGAGAAAAUCAUAUGCAUGGAUUUGAAAAUAUAAGAUUGAUUUCAUUAAAAAGUGCAUGCUGUUUGAGAAAAAAGUUUGUAGAUUUCGAAAAAAUUCAUCGAUUUUGAAAAAGUCCACAAACUUAAAAAAGUCUCAUCAAACAUAAAUUUUUUAAAAAGUUCAUCAACUUUGAAAAAAAUUAGGAAUUUGGAAAAUACUUUAUGGAUUUAUGUUCGUCAAUAAUGAAGAAAAUUUCACGAAUUAAAACUUUCUUCGAUUUUAAACAUAAGUUCACGAAUUUGGAAAAUGUUUGCGCAUUUAUGAAUACAAAAUAUACAAAUAAAAAAUAAAAAUAAAUUAAAAGGAACAAGAAAAAUGAAAAAAAGAAGGACCGAAUAAGGGUGGUUCGAAAACUGACCACUGAACCUAAAAAACGGUUUGCGAAGCUUAUGGAAGCUUGGCAAACUGAGGGCUUGUGCGAACUCAAGAAUGAAGAAAAGAAAAGGAAAGUAAAUAGGCAUAAGUGUUACUAUAUCCUAGCCUCCUAGGUCUCAAAAUCAAAUCCCGUCGCCUGCACCCUUAUUUUGAAGUUGAACAGAAAAUAGAAAGGUAAAUGGGUAGGCCCAGCGAGGAGGGGGGGGGGGUGCGCCGGUUGGCGAAAUAACCUUUAACUGAAGCUGCAAUCACCAAAUAGGGUUUGCAAUGAAUGAUAUGUAUUGCUAAUUUUGCGGUAUGUAUCAUCGACAAUGCUCCGUAGUGAGACACAUGGUUUUGCACCAGUUUUGGAGGCAUCUAUCCGGUUUUUGGAAUCCUCCAGCAUUUUUUCCUAUUUCCUUGUUGCUUUUAUGGUUUAUUUUUUAAUUUAGUUUUUCUAUUAUUCUCGUUUUUUACUUUCACUUUUUCUGUUCUUUCUCACUUUUCUGAAUUUUUAAAUAUCCAUUCAAAUUCGCGAACAUUUUUCAAAUUGGCCAAAAUUUUUGAGUUUACGAUAAUUUGCCGAAUUCCUGAAUAAUUGUUAACAUUUCGAAAUUUUUAUUGUAUUAGCGAAGAUUGUCAAAUUCAUAAACCAUUUUAAUCCAUUUUAUAAAAUUUAUUGAUAUUACUGAAAAUAAUGAGAAUUUUUUAUUUUAUGAACUUUGUUGAAAUUUGUGAUCAUUUUUCCAAUUUGGGAACAUAUUUUAAAUUGAUAAACAAUUUUUCAAUCUUUCAACAUUUUCUGAGUUUGUGAUUCUAUUUUGAAUGAUGAACAAAUUUUCAAUCUGUGAAUAUUUUCUGAAUUUGUGAAUCUAUUUUCAAUGACAAACAAUUUUUCAAUCUGUGAACGUUUCAUGAAUUUGUAAAAAAAAUGCAAUUACAGACAUUAUUGCAAAUUCAAAGAGACAUUUCAAAAUUGUGAAGUUUCUUCAAACUGAAGAAGAUUUUUUUCAAUGUCAUGAAUAGUUUUUUAGUUCACUAACUUCUUUUUAUUGACAAAAAAGUUCUAACUGGGACAUUUUUUGAAUGUGUGAAUUGUUUUAAUUUAUGAACAUAUUUCCAGUCAAUGAGAUAAUUUAUUUCUUUAAAACCCUUUUGAAUUCUUUCUUUUUCAAUUUUGUGAACAUUUAUGGAAACUCAUUAAUAUUUUUGAGUCCGUGAGAAUUUUUUGUAGCCACGAAUAUUUUCAAAUUCGUAGACACUUUCUAACUUCAUUGACAUUUUUUUAAUUCACAAACAUCAUUUAAAAAGUCAAUGAUUUUUGAACUCAAGUAAAUGUUUUAAAGUCGUGAACAUAUUUCAAAUUGGGAUUUUUUUUGGAAUUUGGAAGAUUUUUUAAUUCACAAAAAAAUGAUUUAAGAACAUAUUUUUUGGAAUCACAAAAAAAUAUUGUCCUGAACAUUUUUGUAUUCCAAAAUUUUUUGUCACCCUAUAAAUUUCUUUAAAAUACGUGAACAUUUUCUUGAAAUUAGAACAAAAUCUCAUUUUUAUCAUUUUGAAUUCACUGAUAAUUUUCGAAUUAGCUAUUUUUAUUCUCAUUUUUUAUAAAAUCUCAAAUUUUUGAAAUUGAUUAAAGCAUUAAAUUUAUGAACAUGUUUUUAAAUAAAAUAAAAAUGAAGUGAAUAAAAUUAAAAAUUAAGAAUUAGUGAAUUAAAAUUAUAUUUUGGGAAAAAAAGAAAAGAGCAACAAAUUGCAUUUAGGCUCUAGUAGCUAGCUUCCUACCUAGUUGUGCACUGAUGGGCUGCUGCAUCGAGUACUGUUGAUCUAUAAGAUCAGUCUAGAGCCUUCUAUACUACAUAGCCAUGUGAUGCCUAUUUCAAACACAUGAGCUCGUGGGCCUUCCCAAGACCUGGGCCCUAGGCGGUGGUCCCUUCCCGCCUAGACCUAGAACCGGCUCUAUGCCGAUGAUGGCGUGCCGGUAUCGACAUGGUCCCCUCGUGCAUGGCUACGCUUUAGUUCUCGGCCAAGUGUGGUCCGGGUGUUGUGCCCGACCAUUUGGAUGGCAAAGUGUGCAUCGACAAUGACUCAUCGAUGUAUUGUCUGUGCUGGGUUGAGUAGGCAGGGUCAACACAACACAUGGUGGCGAGCGAGGUCAGAAGUGGCUACGUACGGGUCACAAUGAUCGCGUUAUUAUAGGAAAGCUCCUAAUAGUUGGGGUGAAGACCUUAGGUAUGAAUCGAGAUGGUUUUACCUAGCAAUGAUGGUUUUACCUUAUUGAAGACAUUGCUCGAAUAUGCACAGACUUGUUCUUUAGCGUGAAAACUUAGAACCUAGCAUUUGGUAAUUGGACCUGGUGAUAGCAACCGUUUAAGCGUCGUUUUCUUUCUGAAGGUGUUGUUUCUGAAGAGCAUUUCUCAUUGUCCUUGUGGUGUCAAGAACUCAAGAUAUGGUUGGUUUGGAUUUGGUCGUUGUUUGUCGAUAGAUGUUUUGGCUGCUUCGUUUUUCUUUCUUUUCCUGCUUAGGUUUAGCGUUGUUGAUCUUAUAUGACUUUGCUAUUUGUUGGUGUCUUUAUUUAUGUAUGUGCAUUGAUAUUGACUUGUGCAUCCUAUAACUAUACAGAGGUCUAGUAUGUGUGCUCCUUAUGCUUGUAUCCCUUAUACUUCAUUUUGAGUCAUAGAAAUCCACUCUUUAUCGAACAAUGGUAAUCUCCCAAUGUGCAUAGAUAUGUCUAGCUUACGAUUUAUCCUCUGAGCGCAGAAUGUCAAGGAGGGUUGCUUAGUGGCAUCCACUCACCUCGAACUGAAUAGGAGAAGGGGGUGGCGGAGAUGAGAUGAGAGAAAUACUCCAUCCGUCCCAUAAUACAGGAGAGGAUCGCUAGUGUAAAAAAUGUUGUUAUAUUAUGGGACAUAGGGACUAGUAUUUGUUCCUUUUCCUGAUCAAUUGAUUGCCACUUCAAGUCAAAUGGUAUGGGAGAAAUGAGUGGAGACCCCUCACGCGAAAGAAUCGAAUUGCAGAUUUGGGGGGACUGGAGAAGAAACAAUCGAGGGUUUGCUUUCCGUACGAGAAACCUCGACUAUACGGUAGAUGCGAGUGCACCGGGUUGCUAGCCUAGAAAUUCUUUUUCCUGAGUAAAUUCAGAUUGUUUUUCGCUGAGUGAAUUCAGAAUGCCAGCCGGCAUUGUGUGGAACUGUUAAAAAUCACUAAUUAAGACAUACUCCUUGCAAAGCUCACUCCCACAUUUUCAGUUUGUGAUGUACGCCACUUGUCGUGCGUCCAAAUUUCGAAUCAUUUUCACUAUUAGAUUUCUUGCCUCGAGAUCUUCAAAACUAGAUCGCAUGUUGAUAAGUUUUGACGAACUUUUUUUCACGAAAAAAACCGGAUGAAAAAACCGAACCGGGAGCAUGGCUUUUUCCCCUUUCCCAAAGAGACAAGGCAGUGCCUUUCACGAAAUCACAACCGUGCCUCUCCGUAAGAAAAAAAAACAGAAAACACAUUCUCCUUUCCGUUUCCGAAAAGCACGGCCGUGCCUCUCGCGAAAGCACAAUCGUGCCUCUCGCGGAAGCAAAACCGUGUAUCUCGCGAAAGGAAAAAAAAUAGUAAACAUGUUUUUUUUCAUUUUCGAGAGGCACGGUCGUGCUUCUCGCGAAAGCAAAACUGUGUCCUCGCGGAAGCAAAACCAUGCCUCUGGCGGAAGAAAAAAAAACAGAAAACACGUAUUUUUUCAUUUCCGAGAGGCAUGGUUGUGCCUCUCACAAAAGCAAAAACCGUGCCUCUCGCAGAAGUAAAACCGUGACUCUCACGUAAGCAAAAAAACCGCAUAUUUUCGCACAAAUUUUUUUCGGCGUCCAAAAACUAAGGAAGACUUGUGAAAAACUAGUUUAAAAAGCCGAAAACACGUGCAAAAAAAAAAUAAAGAAUCUGAAAAGAGUGCCCAAAGCGCGACACGUGACGGUGGCUNNNNNNNNNNNNNNNNNNNNNNNNNNNNNNNNNNNNNNNNNNNNNNNNNNNNNNNNNNNNNNNNNNNNNNNNNNNNNNNNNNNNNNNNNNNNNNNNNNNNNNNNNNNNNNNNNNNNNNNNNNNNNNNNNNNNNNNNNNNNNNNNNNNNNNNNNNNNNNNNNNNNNNNNNNNNNNNNNNNNNNNNNNNNNNNNNNNNNNNNNNNNNNNNNNNNNNNNNNNNNNNNNNNNNNNNNNNNNNNNNNNNNNNNNNNNNNNNNNNNNNNNNNNNNNNNNNNNNNNNNNNNNNNNNNNNNNNNNNNNNNNNNNNNNNNNNNNNNNNNNNNNNNNNNNNNNNNNNNNNNNNNNNNNNNNNNNNNNNNNNNNNNNNNNNNNNNNNNNNNNNCAAUGGUUAAUCCCUAAAUAGGAGAGGAUUUCCUGCCAAGAAAAGGAGAGGAUUUGCCUUGUUGAUUCUUCCCAUUAAUUAUCAUAUUUGUAGACUUGUUUUUAUGUCACUAGAUGCAGUGAACGCGUCUAGGUUCAUCCUCCUGAUACAAUUUCAUAUAUUUUUAAGAGGCAUUUAUUAUUUAAAUAAUAUAUUAUCUUUCCUAUUCUUUUUUACCACAAGUGCUAUCCUCAAUACUCAGCUAUUUUGUUUUAAUGGAAUUUAUUAGGAUAAGCACGGGCUUCAUGCCAUGUAUCCAUAUAAAUUGACUAUUUGCUAGGAUCAAACACAAACAGACAAGUGAAAAGAGUAUUGCAUAGUGUUUUCUACUGCUCUAUGUGAACUUAGGCGAUGGCAAAUAAUAGCAUCCUCCAAGUCUUCAUUGUUUUUCUCAUUGCGCAAGUUUGCUUACUCAUGAUGAUUGAAGCACCGGUAGCGCGGGCAGCUGGCAGGCUUAAGCGACUCAAUCCAGUUUGCUGCCCUAAGGAAAUCUUUUGUUGUGCGUUCGGUGGCAUGAUGUCCAAUGGAACUGCGUCCUCCACCAAUCCUUGAUAUUUUUUUUCAUUCUCCUCCGAGCUAUAAGCUAGGGCCUAUAAAAUAUGCUUCAACGUGGUCGUGUUGUUUCUUAUAUAUAAUUUUUGUUAUUAGUUUCAAGAAAUAUUAUGUGUAAGCUAUUUUGCUAAUAAAAGUGGAGGAGAUUGUUAUCUAUGCUAUUUGCAAUGUGCCGCAAAGAGAUUUGAAAUUAUGUUUAAUUUAGUGUUUUUAGAGGAUCAUAUCAUCCUAUAUUUUCAUGGUUAAACACAUGUUACGAUAAUAAAGGUACCAUCCGUAGUUGAUUUCAGUUUACUACUUAUCAUAGCAGUUGACCCAUCACAUGAACUCACAGUUUCACUUUUUCUUAAGGUGCCUUUGUUCUGUUGGUAAUUUUCAAAUUUUACAUUUUCAUUGGUGUUUCUUUUUUCUAGCCCAUUUUUGCUUCAUCUCUUUUUUAGCAUUCCUCCCAACGCCUUGACACCCCAACCAUGCAUGUGUACUGACCCAAUUUAGGUGAGGCACGGUGGCCAAGGCAUCAUGCCUGCUCAUGUAUUUGAACACUCAGUUGUUUCGUGGUACAGAGGAGGACCUUCUUGCUCAUGUGCCACCAUUUGAAGGAUCUCGGUGCGGCAGUUCCACCAGGAUGUCCUCCUGAGAACAUAGUCGGACUCCUCAAAUUGAUCGGGUAGGUGCGGGGACAACUGAGCAGAUAUGAGAGAGAAACAAAAAGUAGCAAAAGGUUGACCCAACCGGAUCCCUCAUAUCAUCCAUAUACGCCCGGGCUGUCCAUGAACUCUCAUAUCCAUCUCAAAUAUGGGGAGGAUAUGAGGCCUCGCGGACGCGCCCGGGCGUGCUCGGUCAGUCCGCCACAUAGGACGAGUCCCCACCCCGGACCACAUUUUCUCUUUCUUUAUUCAUUCUUUUCUUUCUCUUUCUUCAUCUUCACCAAUCACAUGCACGUGACCGAACAUAUGGGGAAGAAUAGCAUACCCCAUAAAAGCCACAUAAACCCAAUUUAGUUUGAUUUAUGCCAAAUUAGUGUUUGUUUCCUAUGACCUCCCGCCAAGCAAUGGGCUAGGAGUACAUGAUUUCUGUCAAAUAUGUCAUGUUGGUUGGUUGUUUCCCUUCCUUCAAAUAGCACCAGCCUUCUGCCAUCCUACACGGAUGAGGGUACAUGAGGACUUCUGAUUGGCCAGGCGGAUGUCCGGACAGCCGCAAAGUUCCCGCAACUUCUUGUCCUAUUUGUGGGAUUCUAGACAGUCACACGAGUCCACGGACAUACGCAAGAUGGGUUGGACGGCAAACUGCGUCCAGACAGUUCGGUCCUGGUGUUUGCGAGGCAUUUGAGGGUCGUCUUUGGAGUUGCCCACAAGGGCCUCUUCGAUUCGUAGGAAUUUCCAAAUGCAAGAACAAGAAAAAUACAUGAUUGAAGUGGACAAUCCUAUAAGAUACAAAAGGGAGCGUUUGAUGCCAAAGAAAAAAAAUUAGUAAAAGAGGUUGGAGUGUAUGAACUGUAGUACAUAUAAUUUCUUAAGAAAAAUCCCUAUAGGAUAUAAUCCUACAAAUCAAACAACCAACCUAGAAAUACUUCAUAAGGAAUCUACUCCUCCAAAUCCUAUGAAAUUUGUUCUUUUUGUGUGUGGGGAAAACCUCUAAUCAAUUCGUGAAACAUCAUGGCAGUACAAAGAACACCCAAAGUAAAAGAAAUCACAUCCAUGUCCGUAGAGCACCUAGCCAUGACUACAAGCACUGGAGCGAGCCGAAGGCGCGUCGCUGUCAUCGCUCCUCCCUCGUCGAAGCCAGGUAAACCAUGUUGAAGUAGAGAGUCAGGAAAUUGACGAGCUAAGGCCUCAAUGGUCCAGCGCCAGAAAGGAAAACUGCCGCCGAUGAAUAGAAGCGUAGAUCAAAAGCGUUCAACCUGUAGACACAAGAAUGCAAAUGAAUAAAAACCUGAUCCAAGCUGAUUCACCAAAGACAAACAUCGACUGAAUCAUGCAACAUCCACCACUGAUAGACUUCCACACACCCUCUGACAAUGUUACAUGCACAACCGAGACAUGGGUUAGGGGGAGAACCUUAUAACAUAUUCAGGGAGCCGCCACCGUCGCCUUGUCUUCCUGAACCCUAAAUCUUAAUCUCCAAGUGCACACAUGGGGGGCUGCUGAGUGGCCUCGGCUCUCCUCGAAUCCAUUCAUAGAAAGGGGGAAGGAUAUGGGAUGGUUUGAGUACAAAAAAUCAUCACAAUUGGGGCUAGAUCUCAUAUACCACUAGACUUACUAACAAUCACAAUAAAACAAUCAAAAUUGAGACAAGGUUGUAAUAUAUAGCACUACUCUGUAGCUAAACGUGUUCUAACAUCGAAUCUGACCAAUGGGACGACCCACUUAUCAUGAUGACAUGGCAUGUACACGUGGAUAGUUUAUUUGGUUGGAGGUCUCACUAGUCAUCUUGCCGUCUUAUUUCCCUCUCUCCCCCUUCUUUGUCCAUGAGAAGCCAAACACCGACGAAAGGGCAGGCGAACAUUGGGAGGUAGGGGUGAUUGGCGAACCCAAUGCUUACUCUCCCCUUCCUCCCCACCGCUUCGUCCUGGAGGUUGAAGCACCGCUAGAGAUGGGAGCAGCGGUAUUAGGAUUUGGGAGAGAAAGAGAGGAAAAGAAGAUGGAAGGAUGACAAGUGGGACCCUCGGCCAAAUCAUCAAAUUAUCUACGUUUAACAAUUUUCAAAUGCAUGAUUAACAUUUUUAAUAUAUUUGUUUUUUACGCCUACUUGUUUCCACAGACCUUGUACAUUUGGUUAUACAUCAUAAACAUGUUAUGUAUAUAUUUUAACAAAAAUCAAUACAUGAUUAAUAUUUUUGCAAACAUAUAUUUUAAUAUCCACUUUUUUUCAUGCACGUUGUACAUUUUCCGUAUACAUUAGAAUGUUUUUGUAUAUAUGUUUAACAUGUUUCAAAUGCAUGACUAACAUUUUUAAUUUUUGACAUAAAGUGAUAUUUCUAUCAUAUAUAUUUAGAAUAUUUCCAAAUAUAACUAAAAGCAAAAAAAGAAAUUAGAAAACAAAAGCAAAAUGCGAAAAACUGAAAGAAAACGAGUGCUUAAUGCCGCACAUGCAGGGUCGGCCCUGUAACGCAGGUUAGAGAGGUUCCCGCGCCCACACGACUGCACAUAUGGACCGGGCCAUCGCGUGUGACACGAGCGCUCAACAGCGGGAAGCUCGUUCGGUUUGGGUCUGGUCGAAAACAAAAAUGCUCGGUGGCUUUGGGUCUGGUCAACCGUUUUGAACUAAAAAAAUAUGUAUCAGAAAAACCAAACAAAUAGCCAAAUGCGGAAAAGAUUUGAAUUCAAAUAAUUCCAUGCAUUUUGAAAAAAUGCAAAAAAACUCAUGAUUUUGAAAAGGCACUAAAUUUUAAAAAGUUCAAGAUUUUGCUAAAAAAAGUCAUUGAUUUUGAAAAAAAGUAAAUUGAUUUUACAAAUAAUCAUAAACUUUGAAAAAACCCCAUGAAUUUUAAAAAAGUUCAUCAAUUUUUAUAAAAGAUAGCAAAAUUAAAACAAUCAGUGGAUUUUAGAAAAUCAUCAAUUUCAGAAAACAAUUCACUAGUUUUAAAAAAGUCCACCGGAUUUUAAAAAAAGGUUCAUGUAUUUGAAAAUAAUUCAUCAAUUUUGAGAAAAAAAGUUCAUGAAUUGAAAAGGUUCAUCAAUUUGAAAAAAAACAUGAAAUUGAAAAGGGUUCACCGAUUUUCAGAAACAAUCAUAAAAAUGAAAAGGUUUAUGAAUUUGAAGAAAGUUUGCGAAUUAAGUGAAAUAAAGCAAAAAAGAAAGGAAAACGAGAAAACAUAGAAAAAAGGCCAAAAAUAGCAAAACACGAGAAAGAAAAACCAUGGGGCGUGAUGUUUUUUUUACUUUACAUUUACCUCAAGAUGAAAGAAAGAGGUACAUGGGAACAACAACCAUGUUGGUGCAAUGGUUAACACCACCGUGUCGGAGCAAGGAGUGCUGAGUUUGAAUCCUCUCCAUCUCACACUUUUUUGAACCUUAGAAAGAAAGGAAAAUGGGGAAAUGAACUGAACCCAGGGCGGUGGGGGUGUGUGCGCCAACUAUCACAAAGCACUAUAGUGGAUGCUGAAGGCACCAUAUUGGAAUUGUUGAGUGCUCCUGCCGUCUCGCGUGAACCACUUCUAUGUAUCGUUGUAAGCAACUGUGUGAGCUUGCUCACCUACGAUGACCCCUUCGUGGGCCUGCCCGGUGAGGAGAGCGACACCCUCCCAGUCCCGAGCCACGUGUGGGGCAUGUGACAUGUACAUCUCGCACUUUUUUGAACCUUAGAAAGAAGGGAAAAAGGGAAAAUGUGUCGAGCCUAGGACGACAGGGGUGUGUGCGCAAGUAGUAAAAAGCACUAUGACGGGAAGCUGAAGACGCCGUAUAGGAAUUGUCGAGUGCUCCUGCCGUCUCGCGUGAACCACUACUAUCUAUCGUUAUAAGUGACUAUGUGAGCUCGCUCGCGUACAGCGACCCCUUCGUGGACAUCUCGCUACUUGAACCUUAGAAGAAGGAAAAACAAGGGAAAAUGGGUCGAGCCCAGGACGGAUUGGGGUUUGUGCGCCAAGUAGCAAAAAGCACUAUGAUGGGCGCUGAAGGCGCCAUACAAAAAUUACCGAGUGCUCAUGUCGUCUCGCGUGAACCACUACUAUGUACCAUUAUAAGCAACUACGUGAGCUCGCUCGCCUAUAGUGACCCCUUCAUGAGCCUGCCCAGUGAGGAGGGCGACACCCUCCCAGUCCCGACGAGCCACGUGCAGGGCAUGUGACAUGGAUGUCUUUUUAUUUCUUUCUUUUCACAAAUUAAUUUUCGUUUUUUCUUCCAUGACCGGUCUAAAAAAUAAAAUAAAAUGUGUUUAUACUUCUAGUUAUUGAUAAAGUUCGUGAAAAUUAAAAAAACUGUUUCCGGGAAUAAAAUUAUCCCUGUAAUUUAAAUUUGUUCAUAAAUCUACAAAAAUGUGUUUGAUUCCUAAAACUGUUCAUGAAUACGGAAUGUCCAUGAAGUAGAAAAUAUAUUCAUGAUUUGACAAUUUUUUCACUAAUUCAUUAAUUUUUCAUGAAUAUAAAAAAUGGUUGUGAUUCAAAGAAAAUGUUCGUGAAUUCAAAAACUGUCCACGAAUUGAAAAACGGUCCACUGAUUCGAACAAAUGCCCGCGAAUUCAUUAAGAUGUUCAUGGUUUUUAAAAAUAUUCACAGAUUUUCAAAAGAUAAUCGAAUUUGAUUUUUUAGAAAUUAUCACUAAUUAGUAAGAAAGAAAACGGAAACAAAAAAAAAAUAGAAAGAAAACUGAAAUUUUUUCAUGAGAAAAUAGAAUAAGGGAAAAGAGAAGAACCUUCCGGAACCUUCCCAAAACCGAACGGAAGGUUCGCAAAAGCGUUCCUGUUUCUGGAUGUGAACAGUUCACAUCGGAGCGUGAGUUGGCGAGUUCUUGCUUAGUGCUCACUAAGGCGAUAGAUAUCAUUUCUGACAUAAUAUGAACAGCCUAUAUGGACGUCCUAUCAAUAGGCCCGUGACGCCUAUUUUAAGAACACGAUCUCGUCGGUCGUCAUGAGGUGGUGCAUGGCUGCUCUUUAGUGCUCCACCUCCACGCCGUGUAGGGCCCUGUCGGGAGGUCCUAUUCGGCGUUGUAGGUGUCUGAACCUGAAAAUGGCGCACCUCGUGAAGCAGAGCUCGGGUGCAAGAACCUCAACGUUCAACGACGAGGUUACGAGGGGCUGCUUGUCACCUCGCCUCGCUACACCUCACACCAGUAAGUCCCGUCUUUCAUCAAUGAUGGUUCAUUCGAGGAAAUUAACAAUAAUAACAGUUUGAUUGUCGACAUGUUCCCACUCCCAGGUUGAACUCUACUGUCCAUGCCAAGAUCGGAGACGUCAGACUGCACAUUGUUGGCAAGGAUGAAUACGAUGAUGAGCUUCCUGUCAAGGAGCCGAGGUUUUUGCAGAUUGAACAACCUAACCAUACACUUCCUAGACGAGUACAGGAGGAUUUGCCGUCCAAACUAGGCUUGGACAUCCGGGUGCUGCUACCCACCACAAAGGAAAAGAACCCUGCAACCUUCUCAAGAGAUAUAUCAUCGUUCAGCUCUGAGUCUUGAGGUGGCAGUGAAAUUGACCUCCCUUUGUAAGUAUGAAAAAACAGAAGUAUAAACAAGUAAAGGGUUCUGGAAAGUAACUUAUGUUCCAGGACAAGUUCUCUUAAGUUUAUAUAGCAUGGUGAUUAGAAAGAAAUUAGAACUUGAGCAUUGGCGGUGAAUUAUAUAUCUCAAAAGAGUGAUCAAACAGAGAUGAGAGAGAGAGAAGAUAAGGAGUAUACCCUGACUUGAUUAAUUGCCGUAGCAGGUUCGCAUUCCCUGGCCUCCUCUUUAUGUAUCUUAAACUCUCUCGCACCUUCUUCCCGGACACACACACACACACACACACACACACACACACAAGGGCACAAGGUCCUUCCUUGUGAACCUCAACACGAGGAGGUCCUUUUGUCGUCCCGCCUUCAUGUCUGUCUAAUGUUUAAGGAAUUCUAGUUCGUUCGUUACAGAAACUGUAGUACCGAAUACAUCAACUAGGUGUGCGCCAACGUUACUGCUACCAUGUUGUUUUGUCAUUGUCUAACUUCCCUCCUCGCAAGGCCGAGCAAAUAAUAAUACUAACUAACAAAAAGGCCCGUCCGUUGCAACGGGAGAGAAAAUACCACACACUCUUAAUUUAUAAAAAAUGUUCUAUAAUCUGAGAAUUUGUAGUUAUUUCUUAAAUACAUGAAGAGUUAAAAAGGUUGUUAAAAAGAUACAAGAUUUUUUAAUCAUAAAAAAGAUUUUUUUUGUCUGGAAAAGAACAUUUUUUAUGGUCUCAUGUUAACGCAGGUACUUGCGCCCCUAUUUUAUCACUAUUUUUUGCCAUACAUGUUGUAGGUAUUGGUCCCUGUUUCACCAUAUUUAUUUCUUAUUAAACUUGUCUUUUAUUUUAUUUUUUGUCAUGCAUGCCUCCUUUUUACUUUUUUCAUGCAUGUCCUCUUUUCCUUCUUCUUAUAUAUAGGAGAAUAGCGCAACAUCUCAUCUUUAUCGGAUCUCCUCUGCAAUUUCUCUUUUAUUUUUUUAUAGCGGACAUCCCAUCUUUGUUUGGUCCUUUUAUUUCUUGUAAUGCAUGUCCUUAUUUAUUGGUGUCUCUAACAAAUUUAUCUUUAAUUUGAUGUCCAAUCCUGAUUUUGCUGAGGUGUUCAUCCCCAGUCUGAAUCAGUACCCUAUGAAAAAAGACAGAUAAUGCAUUGUUGAUUAACAUUGCAGCCUAGAUAGUGUUUUUAAAAUUGUUAACAGGUAAAAUAACAUCACAUUUAGAUUCUACAUAUUUUUUAAUCAAAUUUCAUAUAUGAUAUGUUAAAUUUGGAGUUACGGUUUAAAAGAUAUGAGUAUUUUAAAAAACAUUUGAUAUGUACUGCGGAUAUAAUGUCAGAAACAUCAGGGGUUUUUCUACAAAAUAGCAUGAUGGACUAAGAAAAUCUAUUUCUUUUAUUAGUAGGUAUAGAUAUGAUUGUUGACAUGUUCCCAGGUCGGUCUUUAUUAUACAUGCCAUGAUCAAAGGCGUUGUAUAUUGUUGGGGAGGAUUGAUAUGAUGAUGAGCUUCCCGGUGAGGAGCUAAUGUUUUUGCCGGUUUAAGUACAUGAAGAUCUGCUCGUGCCUUGAUGAGGUCAUUCAACCAGAAAACCAGCAAAACGACGGUGAUCAUCGUCCAACUCCAAACCAGGCUUGAGCUUCCAAGUGUUGUUGUCUGCGAAAAAGCAAAAGGUGCCAUGUAAACAUGGGUACAUAAUCAAAUCCGAGAACUAGUAUAUAUAUGUGCAAUUGAGAAAGAUUUCACAUGUAUCUACGUAGGUAGUCGACCAGGGUAGGGUGCUUGAGCUUUGUAAAAAUAUCAGAUUAGAGAACUAACAUGACUUUUUGGAGAAGAGUCGCGUGUGUGUCAACAAAAUCUUAAUUCUUUAAAAAAGUUAUUAGAAAUCCAACAUUUUGAUCAGUCCACUUGGCUUCAGUGUCAACAUGAAAAAGAAAUCAUGAAAUAUUCUAUGUAAGAUUUUGGCUCUAGCCUUUCCAAGCGUGUGAUCACAUAGGAAACAUGAGAAACUCUAGCACACACAAAGUCAUCUCUCACAAAAUGUGCUUUAUGGGCCGAAAGAGAGGGACUAGAUGUAUGAUGUCUCCCAUAUGGUAGAUUUGUGUCCAUAUUCAUCUUUCUAUCAAUCAUAGAUUGAAUUUGAGUAUAUAUGUUCCACUCUACGAAUAAAUAAAUAAAUGAAUUUGAGUAUGUGUAUCAAGGCAGUAAGGAUAUACUCCCUCCGUCCGAAAAUACUUGUCAUCAAAAUGGAUAAAAAGAGAUGUAUCUAGAACUAAAAUACAUCUAAAUACAUCCUCUUUUAUCCAUUUUGAUGACAAGUAUUUCCGGAUGGAGGGAGUAUUAGUUAAAAAAAAACUAGUCUUAGACAGACCAAUGUUGUGACUAUGUGUGCAACAUCUUUUCUCGUUACCACGAAUGUUAAGAAUAUUGUCAUAUAUUACUACAUUUAUGAAAACAAAAAUUGCAAUCUCGAAUUGCUAAUGCGAAUAUAAAGUUCACAGUUUGUAAUAGACGUGCAUAGUGUGAUUUUAUAUAUGCAACCAAGUUGGAUAAUAUUUUGAUUUGAUUAUUAAACAAAACACUCACAUCUGACAAAACAAAUCGUCAACUUGUAUUAUGCAUGGGACAUGUCGACGCUAGCUUCAAAUUCCAAAUUAAGUUACAAGAUAGCACCAACUCGGCUAACUUUUAUCAGAGUAUACAAUGCAUAAUAGUGUACUUUGAACCGGGAAAUAGUGUGAGGAAUUGUGUGGUGAUGCAUAAGAGGAUCAGACCCCCUAUAUUGUGUACCGCACCUGAAUACAAUAUAUGUAUCUUUACUUAUUUUUAUGUAUUAAUUGUAGACCUCAAUGCAAAUCUCUCUAUACUGCCAAGGUCCAAAAGUUGAAGUGAACUGAGUGAGGCUUAGAUGGUUAGGUUUCAUGUAGUGGAACUAGCCCACCAAAGUUCAAGUCCUAAAUUUGGCACUGCUGAUCAUAUUUUUUGGAUUUAUUUCAUGCUUUCUCGCGAUGUACAUUCUGUGGGAGGAGAUGUUCCUGUUGAUUAUGAUUUACGAGACGCCUAUAAUGACUUCACCAAUCUCAAGAUGCCAUGCCGCCUUAGUAUCUCGGAGGUGCUCAUAGUGAUAGUAUGUGUGCACGCGCGCGUUCAUAGGGAUGAGUGUAUAUACGUGUAUGUGGGCAUAUGCGAUUGUACUGUGUUCAUUUUUUUUUACAAAAGUUGGCAUCCUUAGAUAUCGUGUCAUAUAUCUACAAGAUACGAUCGCUAAUGAUGAAUUUAUCUUCUACACUUUUUAUUCAUAAGUAAUCCCUGAAUUAAUACAAGAGGAUUUGCAUGGUUAAUUCUUCCAGUAAUUAUCAAAUAAUGUAGAUUCGUUUUUAUAUCCAAUUCGAUGGGCACUAGAAGUAGUGAACGUGUCUAGAUUCAUCCUCCCAUUAAAUUUCAUAUAUUUUUAGUAGGCAUUGAUUAUUAUUACUACUAUUCAAGAAAUAUAUUAUCUUCUCUAUUCUCUUUACUACCAAUGAUAUCCUAAAUAUCCAGAUAUUCUGUUUUAAUGGAAUAUUUUAGGAUAAGCACAAGCUUGAUGCCAUUGUAUCUAUAUAAAUCGAGUAUUUUCUAGGAUAAACCAUAGACAUACCAGCGAAAGGAGUAUUACAUAGUGUUCUCUACCACUCUCUGUGAACUUAGGCAAUGGCAAAUACUAGCAUCCUCCAAGUCUUCAUUGUUUUUAUCAUUGCGCAAGUCUGCUUACUCAUGAUGAUGGCAACACCGAUAGCGCAGGCAGCCGGCAGGCUUAUGGGAUACAAUCCAGUUUGCUGCCCUAGGGACAUCUACUGUUGUGGGUUUGGCGGUGUGAUGGCCAAUGGAACUGCAUCCUCCACCAAGCCUUGAUAGGUGGUUUCAUUCUCCUCCGAGCUAUAAGUUGUGUUGUUUUUCAUAUAUGUAAUUGUGUUACUAUUUUCAAGAAAUAUUAUGUACAAGCUAUUGUGUUACUAUUUUCAAGAAAUAUUAUGUACAAGCUAUUUUUCUAAUAAAAGUGGGAGGAGAUUUUUAUAUAUUACCUGUCUCAAUGCACAUCUCUCUGUCUUGACAAGAUCCAAAAGUUGGCAUCCCUUAGAUAUUGUGUCCUAUAUCUACAAGAUAUAGUGACUAAUGGUGAAUUAUCUUGUACAUUUAUUAUUUUCUAUCCAACAUACCCUAAAUACAAGAGGAUUUUGCUUGGUUAAUUCCCCCCAUUAAUUAUCAUAUCUUGUGGAUUUGUUUUUAUAUCGAAUUCGGUGGUCACGAGAUGCAGCGAAUGUGUCUAGGUUCAUCCUCCCAAUAAAUUUCAUAUAUUUUUAGGAGGCAUUAUUAUUAUUAUAAAGAAAUAUAUUAUAUUUCCUAUUCUCUUUACUAUUAAGUGAUAUCCUCAAUAUUCAGAUAUUCUGUUUCAGUGGAAUUUAUUAGGAGAAGCAUAAGCUUCAUGCCAUUGUAUCUAUAUAUAUCGAGCAUUUUCUUGGACCAAACACGGAGAUACCAGUGAAAGGAGAAUUGCAUAGUGUUCUGUACCGCUCUUUGUGAGCUUAGACAAUGGCAAAUAACAACAUCCUCCAAGUCUUCAUUGUUUUUCUCAUCGCACAAGUCUGCUUAGUCAUGAUGAUGGCCAUGCCGAUAGUGCAGGCAGCCGGCAGGCUUAUGGGACAUGAUCCACCCUGUUGCCCUAGGGACCCCUGGUGUUGUGGGUUCGGCCGCGUGAUGGCCAAUGGAACUGAAUCCUCCACCAAGCCUUGAUAUGUGGUUUAAUUCUCCUCCAAGCUAUAAGCUAUGUCCUACAAAAUGUGCUUCAACGGUGGUUGUGUUUUCUUAUAUGUAAUUUGUGUUGCUAGUUUCAAGAAAUGAUAUGUAUAAGCUAUGUUGCUAAUAAAAGUGGGAGGAGAUUGCUAUCUAUCUUGCUUACAAUGUGCCACAAAGAGAUUCAAAAGUGUUUGCCGUAGUAUUUUUAGAGGAUCAUAUCAUCCUCUAUUUUAAUGGUUAAGGACAUGCUACGGUCAUAAAGGAACCAUCGGUAGUUGAUUUCAAUUUAUUACUAAACAUAAAAGUUUAGCCAUCACAUAGAGUAGCAAUUUGUUGCAGACAUGGACCAAAUACCAUAUUAAUUCAUUUAUGCCAUUGCAUCUCAGCAUAACUGAUGCAGAACCACGGAGCUAGUGUUAUUCGCACAAGGUUUCUUUUGGCAGUCCGACGCUGAUGUAUUUGCUGGACCGUGUCAAAAAAUCGUUCAAGAGUCGACAUAUAGAUUAUGCCCCCUGCAUCAUACCUUCGUUUGAUGCCCCUGAUUAAAUCAUACACUAAUUAUACACGCAAAUGUGUACGAUUAAGAUCAGAGACUCACGGGAAGAUAUCACAACACAACACUAGACACAAAUUUAAAAUAAUACAAGUUUUAUAUUACAAGCCAGGGGCCUCGAGGGCUCGAAUACAAGCUCGAUACACGAGCAACUUAACCCCAUGCAUGUCCCUCGGCCCCCGCCAAAGAAAUCUUACUCAACCGAGCUUGUAAAACUACAAAGAGAGUCGAGCAACUUGCUAAUCUAUGGGAACACGCCGUCUGGCCGAUUGUUUCAUGGCAAUGAGAGGGGGGUGGAACUUCACUCAUGUGUCACCAUUCAAAGGAUCUCAUCAGCGCCAGUUCCAUCAGGCCGUCCUCCUGACACGAGUGAGACACCUUGGGGUGAUGAGAACGAGUAGAGCAUGCAAAUCAGACGUUGGAGAAAAUGCUCAGGUCAGGCACGUUCGUCGUGUGCCAAACCUUGGACAGGGGCGUGUCCUGGUGGUGUGCUUGUUGAAGUUCCUGGUCGAGCUCUGGUUUACUUUCUCGUUCAUGGUCUUCGGUGUUGUUUGAGCUUAGGUGCGGUGUGGUACGUAGGAGGUUCCGGGUGUGCCUCGAUUCACUAUUUUGGGCAGUAUGACGUACCGUAAAAAUCUCCUGAGAUUAGGCUUCCAUUGCCAGAGGAUCAGCUCAGCAGCAUGCUCAUACCAUCUCGCCUGUGCUAGAAUCAAUCUCCCUGCAUGGUCAUGGACAGGGAGCCCUCCUUGUCCAGCCUGCUCCGUAAGCUCCUAUCCACCGUUGAUUUUGAGCACACCCACAUCUAAUAGGCCAGGAACUCGAAUGUAGGGCUGGAACUUUAGUCGUUGUUCAGUCUUUAGCUACUCCCAAAACAACUUUGCCCAGGUGCACUCGAAGAAGGCAUAUAUGUGCCAUAGCUUCCUCUACUCCUCAUGGUUCGUAGAACGCAGGCCGCUCGAUGUGUCUAUCUCGUAGGAUCGCCCGGCAUGGAACAAAUUUGUGGAUCACCCUCAACGAGAAGUUACAUACUUUCGGUGGCACCGCUAGCUUGCAGAGCCUUCUCUCCAGCACUUGUUCACCCUCUCCCCUGAAGCUCGAGGCCCUACCAUUAUCCACACUUCUUGGCACCAAUGCUCUGUAAGCAGAUCGUACGGUGCAUUUUCCAAAAUUUCUUGAGAUUCGAAGCCCAACUGUCCUCGGCAAAAUUCUCGACUGGCAUCUGAUCUGCAUAUAGCCUCCACGUCAGGUGCAACAAAAUUCGCCUCAAUCACCUCCAUGUUCAAGUGCUCCGAGUCAUGAUCAAUAAGUUCGUGCACAGCUUAAAAUCCUCCCAAACUCUGAUUGAAGCUCCAUCGCCCACGUAUGCGACGAGCUCGUUUCUUGGUGGUUUGUCUGUAGUAUGUGGAGGUGGCAAGCCAUGUCCUGGAGACCGUAGACCACAUCCGGACGACGACGUCUUGAUUGACGUCUUGCGACGCAAAGCUGUGCCAGUCUGGUCGCGACCAAAUCAUGGACACCGAGGCCUGUGGCAAUCCCCGCGACACGGAGACCCACAUAGGCGGCAGCCACAUCCUCAAGGUGGAGAGAGACCUAUCACCUAUGAUGAUUCGGAGGAAACCUCUCACCAUGCUAUGCCACCCACGACAACCACAUCCCUAAUUCGAUGUGUUAAUAGUUCAUGUUGGAUGGCCUCUCUGAAUCGGGCUUGUCGAUGGCAAUUCUUCUUCUUUGGUGUGCAGGUGCCCAGAGUGUAGCUUUUGAAUGUGAAUCUAAUGGCAUUGGUGAAUAAACACUGUAAGCUGGUGGUGAAUAAAAAUUUCAGAAGGACAUGAGUUUAGUUUUUGCGUUGUUGUCUAAUAUAUUUGGUCAGACUGUUAUGAUUUCUAAUUUGAGGUGUUGCUUGGCUGAUAGAUGCUGUAAUUUUGUUUCAGAAGCAAAAUAUAACUGAUCGGGUAAAGGGGGAAGACCAUCACAAAUCAGCAUAAUUUCAGAGAAAAAAAAAGAAUCCACUUUCCUUGUUUGUUUUAUCACAUCUGGCACUCCCUCUGUUCACAAAUAUGUUCUGUGUAUUUCAAUAUGAACUACAAUAAUACAAUGAACUUCACUGCACAUAAAGGAUAGCACCAUAUAAUGAGAACAGAUUCGGAUUACAAUACCCAGAUAACAUGUCACUUCUUUAGUGAUCUAAACGAUCAGCGGGAGUAGUAGUUUUACACUCUACAUUGGGGUGAAUUUCUUUAAGAGAACACCUUUUAUUGGCCAAAGGUCUAGAAACUGAAUUUUCUUUAAGAGAAAUGCACCCUGUUGAAACAAGUCAGGCUACAAGAAGUGCAGUUCCUUCACAUUCAGCCAAUAAAAAGUGUACCGAUAAGAAUUUUACUCUGAUAACACACACUAUAUAGGCUUCAAACAUUGUGCUAGAUAAGAUAACUAGCUACUAACUCCAAGGAUAUCAGCAAACAUCUCUUUCCAUCCAUCCCAAUCCAGAUACAUCCAAGUGGCAAGCAUUGUAGGCAGUCCAUAUACCAGGCAAUUAUUGAAUCUUUCUCUUGCACGACAGAAGCGCCUAAAGAGGAGAUUACCAAAAAUAUUAUACAUCAAUUUAGAUAAAUUAGGGAGAGCAGAUAAAUCUGCAUAUGUAAUUUUGUGGAUCAUACCAGAGGGCAUCACUGGGAUUGGGCUCAAUGUGUCCGAAGAGAUGGUGGAUAAGCUCCCUGUUCUCUCGGAAGUACUUGUUACGCGAGGGGAAUCUGCUAUCAAGCUCAGCGAGCUGGUAGAAGAGGUCGCGCUUCUUGGUCUCGACUUCAAUUAUCUGACGACGGCCCCAUGCUCUCUUGGCGUCGAGGUCUAGCGCAGGUUUUGCAUUUGGUUGCUGUCAACGGAAGAUGAAGGUUAUAGACAUCGAUUGAGCUAUACUACUCCCUCCGACUUCAGAAAGAAGGCAUGCCAUUUUGUCUGAAGCAAACAGUGCACAGUUUGACCAGAUUUGCAGGAAAAUUUGUCAACAACUACAAUACUAAAUAAAGAUAAUAUGAAAAAAAAAUCAUUGUGUCUGCCAAUUUUUUUGGUUAAUCUGUUAUGUUUGGGGCCAAUCACUGGGAGAUUUGACCAAUUAGCAAGGCAGUAAGCAAGGGUUGUUACAUCCAGCAUGGAGUGGGUAAUUUGCAGAGUCACUAGAACAAUAAAUCAACCACCAGUCUAGUUAAUUAAUUAGAACUCGACGGGGGAGAUUUGACCAAUUAGCAAGGCAGUAAGCAAGGGUUGUUAGAUCCAGGAUGGAGUGGGUAAUUUGCACAGUUACUAGAACAACAAGUCAACCACUAAUCUAGUUAAUUAGAACUCGACGGGGAGAAAAUAUUGGGUUGUAUCGACCAUACAUGCAGGGUGCUGUUGCCAACAUCAGCGCCGCCGGCGGAGGCAGACAAAGGCCGGAAACGAAAAGGGAUAGGCUGACGGCCACCGUAGAUGAGCCUUGGCAUCAGCCGGCGACACUCAACCUCGACCAGCGGCGAGACGGCGGGCUUGUAAACCGCCUUGCCGCCGCUGAGCCUUCUGGCCGCGUGUCGAAUCGCCGCCGCCAUCGCCUUGUCUGCUGCCUGCGUUUCUUGCCGAUCUAGGGUUCGGUUCCUUUUUUUUUGUUUUGAGAUAAGUUGGAUUCCUCCUCUGCUUUUUUUUUUUGAGACAAGGGUUCCUCCUCUGCUUUUUUGAGGGUUCCGGACCGAACUGCCAGUACUCCCAACCCCACAGCCCAUUCUGUUGGUUGGUAAGUACGGCCCUGCUGGAGAUUUUUUUUUUGCUUCAACCAAAAAACGAGGUUUCAUUUAGCAACCCACGGCGAAUCUAUUCCCCCGCACAAGACAUCUACAUCUGGACUUAGCAAAUCCGGCCCUCUAAAUAUUCACGGAAGUGCCAGUUUGGACUUGUCUGUUUUAAGCCCCUAUUUGUCUGUCCAUGUAGCUAUACCUAUACACCUCUUUUUUUUUCUUAUAUAUGUCCGGUCACUCAUGUGAUUGAUGGAGAUGAAGAGGAGAGAAAAAAAAGUAAGAACAAAGAAAGAGAAAAGGUAGUCUAGGAUGGGUUAUGUCCUACGUAGCGGACUGACAUAGCGCUUAGUGGGCCCUCAUAUUCUCCUCGGAUUUGGUAUCAAUAUGGGGUUUCCGGAUAGUCCAGACGUAUACAGAUGAUGUGAGAAGCCUAAUUAAGUAAAAAAAAAAUCCAUCUCUCUCAUAUCUGGCCACUACCGAGCGCGUCUGCGGAUGUUUGAGGAGGCCGGCUGUAGAUGCUCGUGGCCACUAGUUUUAGGAAGGUUCUAAACCUUCCUUGAAUUUGGUUUUUCUUUUAUUUAUUCCAUUCAUCUUCUUUUUCCAUUUUUUAUUUUGUGAAUUUUUUGUAAUUCAGAUUUUUUUAAAAUGUGCCAACAAUUCUCAAAUUUGUGAAUAUUAAUUUCAUUUUGGAAUAUUUUUUGAAAUCAGAGAAGUUUCCCAAAUUCAUGAAUAUUUUUUGAAACUUGGGAACAUAUUCAGAUUUUUUGAAAUAUUUUCAAAAUCUGUGACCAUUUUUCAAUUCAUAUUUUUUGUGAAUCUGUAACUUUUUUAAAAUACGGGAACAUUUUUCAACUUGGGAACAAUUUUUGAAAUGUGGGCCCUCCUAUUCUCCUCGGAUUUGAUAUCAAUAUGGGGUUUCCGGACAGCCCAGACGUAUAUAGAUGAUAUGAGGAGUCUAAUUAAGUAAAAAAAUUCUAUCUCUCUCAUAUCUGGCCACUACCGAGCGCAUCUACGGAUGUUUGAGGAGGCCGGCUGUAGAUGCUCGUGGCCACUGGUUUUAGGAAGGUUCUGAACCUUCCUUGAAUUUGGUUUUUCUUUUAUUUAUUCCAUUCAUCUUCUUUUUCCAUUUUUUAUUUUGUGAAUUUUUUGUAAUUCAGACUUUUUUUAAAAUGUGCCAACAAUUCUCAAAUUUGUGAAUAUUAAUUUCAUUUUGGAAUAUUUUUUGAAAUCAGAGAAGUUUUCCAAAUUCAUGAAUAUUUUUUGAAACUUGGGAACAUAUUCAGAUUUUUUGAAAUAUUUUCAAAAUCUGUGACCAUUUUUCAAUUCAUAUUUUUUGUGAAUCUGUAACUUUUUUAAAACACGGGAACAUUUUUCAACUUGGGAACAAUUUUUGAAAUGUGGGCCCUCCUAUUCUCCUCGGAUUUGAUAUCAAUAUGGGGUUUCCGGACAGCCCAGACGUAUAUAGAUGAUAUGAGGAGUCUAAUUAAGUAAAAAAAUUCUAUCUCUCUCAUAUCUGGCCACUACCGAGCGCGUCUGCGGAUGUUUGAGGAGGCCAGCUGUAGAUGCUCGUGGCCACCGGUUUUAGGAAGGUUCUGUACCUUCCUUGAAUUUGUUUUUUCGUUUAUUUAUUCCAGUCAUCUUCUUUUUCCAUUUUUUAUUUUGUGAUUUUUUUGUAAUUCAGACUUUUUUUAAAUGUGCCAACAAUUCUCAAAUUUGUGAAUAUUAAUUUCAUUUUGGAAUAUUUUUUAAAAUCAGAGAAUGUUUUCAAAUUCAUGAUAUUUUUUGAAAAUUGGGAACAUAUUCAGAUUUUUCAACAUUUUCAAAAUCUGUGAACAUUUUUCAAUUCAUAUUUUUUGUGAAUAUGUAACAUUUUUUAAAAUACGGGAACAAUUUUCAAAAUCAUGAGUUUUUUAGACCAGGAACAAUCUUCAAAUUCCUAUUUUUGGAAAAUCCAAUUACAUUUUUCAAAUUCAUGAUUUUCUUAAUUCAAGACAUCUUCUGAAAUCCCAAUGAUUAGACCAAAGCCAACUCUAGUAGUAACUAAUGUAAAAAAUAAAAAAAUGCCAAUUUAAAUAUGGAUGCAACUAAACUCAAAGAUAUAUAAAACUAACACAUACGUCAAUUCACUUCCGAGUUACCUCCGAGGUAGCACUUUCUUUAUCGCCAUGUAGCUAGGCUUCGAUGCUCCAUUAAUUCGUCCACCCAUAUAUGAUAUAUCCCAAGAGAUAUCGACCCAAAGUGUAGUUCUUACUGCUGGUCGAGGUUCAGAGCACCUCAUAGCAAAGUUUAGUCAGAGACGUACUCGCUUCCGGUGCAUCCACAUCAUAUAAGUAAAUAGGUUCUUGCUCUCAAGCGAGAAAUGAUGCAUCAAGAACUUCAGGAGAAGGUCGCGUCCUUGAGUGUGCGUAACUUGCCAGUGCUGGUGGGUGGCGAUUUCAACUUAAUCCGAUCGGGAGCGGGUAAGAACAAUGGAAUCAUUAUCUGAACAAGGGUGUCCUUGUUUAAUAAUGCGAUAGCAUCUAUGGCCCUUAGGGAAGUGGCUCGCGUGGGCGCAUGCUACACCUGGACCAACAACAACAAGCAGCUAACGCCGGUGCGGUCUGUGCUAGAUCGGGUUUUCAUGUUCGCGGAGUGGGAAAUGUUAUUCCCCAUGUGCUCCCUCCACGCUGAAACAAGGAUUGGUUCGGAUCACAUCCCCUUAAUCCUGUCCUCAGGGGAGGAUAGGUUAAAGAGUAGUCCUCGUUUUUACUUUGAAACUACGUGGUUCGAGGUCCCGGAUUUUGAGCAAAUCUUCCUCUCCAAAUGGGAGACAUGCGUGGCCCGGAUCAGGCAAACGCGCGGGCCAAUGGAGUUUUGGAUUGCCGCAGGGGCGGGAAUGCGUGCGGCUCCCAAAGGUUGGGGGGCCAACCAGGGCCGCGAGGAUAAGCUGCUCCGAAUGCGUCUGACCGCAGACCUCGCCCGUAUGGACGUGGUUGCGGAUGCGCAGGGUUUCUCGGAACAAGACUGGGCCCAGCGCUAUGCGGUUGAAGCCCAAGUUGAGUCCCUCCUUAGGGCAGAGGAGGAGUACUGGCGUAGAUGUGGUGGCAUCAAGUGGGCGCUCAAGGGAGAAGCGAACACUAAGUAUUUCCAUGUGCACGCUAAUGGUAGACGCCGUAAGUGCGCCAUCCUGCGUCUGCAAUCCGAGCAGGGGCUCCUUUUGCGCCAACAGGAUAUCGUCCAUCACAUUUAUGAUUUCUACAUCCAACUGAUGGGCUCCAGGGAGGAGUCCCGUGCUUGGCUGCGGGCGGAUGUUUGGCAUCCUGCGUUGCGGGUCACGGACGAGGAGAAUGAGGGCUUGGGGCCGGCCUUCCUCCCCCACGAGAUUGAUGUGGCGGCUCUUGGGAUAAAAUCGGACACCGCACCGGGUCCGAAUGGGUGGCCGGUGGCGAUGUUUAAACGAUUUUGGCAAGUGCUUAAAGGGCCAAUUUUGACGUUCUUAAUGGGUUCAUGCGUGGUAGUGUAGAUAUCUCUCGCUUGAACUUUGGGGUUCUAUCUCUGAUCCCCAAAGUACAGGGAGCGGACUGUAUUAGACUUUUUCGACCGACAACACUCAUUAACGUCCCGUUUAAAAUCUGCUCUAAGGCUUGUUCCACGCGCUUGUCUCUAAUAGCUCACCGUAUUAUUAGUAGGAACCAAUCAGCUUUUAUUCGUGGUCGCAACAUUUUGGAGGGGCCGUUGGCCCUUCAAGAGAUCAUUCACUCGCUCAAACGCACUCGACAGCCUGCCAUUCUUUUGAAAUUGGAUUUUGAGAAGGCGUACGACCGAGUGAACUGGGAGUUUCUUCGACAAGUCCUCCUGGACAGAGCAUUUUUGUCGGUUUGGGUUCACCACAUGAUGCAAUUGGUCUCGGGCUAAACGGAGAUUGCGGUGAAUGGAGAAGUAGGGAACUUCUUCUGCAACAAGCGUGGGCUGCGUCAAGGGGACCCGGCCUCGCCGUUGCUCUUUAACUUUGUGGCAGACGCCCUGGGCGCCAUGCUAGACAAAGCUCGUAUUGCGGGCCACAUCAGGGGAGUGGUCGGCAAUUUGAUCCCAGCUAGGCAUGUCACACCUUCAGUACGCUGAUGACACUCUUCUCCUUUUCGAGCCGGACCUACACAGUAUCGCAACGGUCAAGGCCAUUCUUCUUUGCUUUGAGCUUAUGGCUGGGCUAAAAAUAAACUUUCACAAAUGUGAAGUGGUGUCCAUAGGGAUGGAUGCGGCUGAAAGCCUGCGGGUAGCCAAUUUGCUUAAUUGCAAACUGGGAAAACUACCUUUCACCUACCUCGGCCUCCCGAUCGCAGAGAAAAAAUGCUCGAUUGCCGAUUGGGAACCUCUUAGCACUAAGGUGGCACACAGGGUUUGCCCGUGGAGAGGUCAUUUUAUGUCUUCGGGGGCUAGACUUAUCUUAACUAAUUCCAGCCUCUCGUCCCUGCCUAUGUUUGCCAUGGGUCUGUUCUUGCUGGCUGACGGGGUCCACACCAAAAUGGACACUCCGCGGGCCUAUUUCUUUUGGGAAGGAGCGGGACCGAAGCGUAAAUAUCAUAUGGUUAAAUGGCAGGCCGUUUGUAGACCUAAAGCCCGGGGGGCCUCAGGAUCAUCAACUCUAAGUUGAUGAAUAUUGCACUCAUGUGCAAGUGGAUCUGGAAGCUGUCUCAGGGAGAGACCGGCCUCUGGAUGGACCUCCUACGUGCCAAAUACUUCCGUGAGGGGAAUUUCUUUGAGGCAGCAUCCCAUGGAUCUCCUUUCUGGAACUCCAUCCAAUCCCUAAAACCGUUCUUCGCCAGGGGCGCGAGGUUUUAGGUUAAUAAUGGACGCUCCACGCGUUUCUGGCACGACACUUGGAUAGGCCAACAACCUCUUUGGUCGGAGUUCCGCCAACUAUACUCCAUCACUGUCCAGCCCAACCAAUUGGUUGCUUCGGCUCUAAGCUCCUGCCCGCCCCCUAUCCACUUUAGAAGGGAGCUCUCGGGGCCUGAGAGGGAGGAUUGGGAUCGCCUUCGGGCUAAGAUAGCGGACGUGCGCUUAUCAAACAACACGGAUACGGUGUCCUGGAGGCUUUCGGGCUCUGGCAAAUUUACUGUCAAUUCCCUAUAUAGAGAGCUGUCCCGAGGCCACGUCCCUAUGGCUGCCUCGGGGCUUUGGAAGGCUCGAAUUCCUCUCAAUAUCAAGGUUUUCCUCUGGCAACUUUGUCAAGACCGCCUCCCUACUUCAAUAAAUAUAGCCAAACGCAAUGGCCCGGCCUCCGGGCCUUGUGCUUUGUGUGGUGUCCUGGAAGAUGCUGACCACGUGUUCUUCUGGUGCUCUUUGGCGCGCUUUGCCUGGAGCGCGGUCCGCAAGGCCGUGGGUGUGGAUUGGGAUCCACGCUCCCGCCCCAAGCUCGUGUCGUCUUUGUCCUUGGUCCAGGGUUCUUCGCGCCGUGUUAUGUGGACAAGUGCGGCGGCCAUGUUGUGGGCUUUGUGGCAUAUUCGUAACAAGUUUACAUUGAGGGUGUGUUCCCCUCUCACCCCGCUGACGUAAUCUACAAAUGCAUCUUGUUCUUGCAGCAAUGGGCCCCGCUGGGAAGACAACAAGACUCUGAUCUGCAUCUCCUUGCUCUUGCAUGCCUUCGCUCUGUCUACUCCGCGCCGCGAGCCCCGUCGCCUCCUUCCGCUGCCUCAUAGGGAUGGGUAGCCCCUUUUGGAAGUGUUUCCUCCGAGCCUGUGUGCUCCUAUGUUGGCUGGACACGCCAUGUAAUGCACUUUAUUCCUUCGCCGUUUCCUCUUGUGGUGUGUCUGAGACCCCGGAAGACUAGUUUGUUUGUGUUUGUUGGUCGUUUGGUUGUGCACGCCGCCUAUGUUGAGGGCUUUAUUAAUUUAAAACCGGACGUCCCUGACGUCUAUGUUUUAAAAAAACGAUGCACCAAGCAUCGUGGGCAUGUCUCCUCAUAUAUCUGCGACAAAAGGGUUAGAGAAAUGUGGCACAAGCCAAGAAAAAGAAAACCAAGCGAGUCAAGCGCAAAGCUGGAGAAAGUAUUGAUCAGCCGUCAGCGAGGAAGAUCUCUGCAUCAGAGAAUCUAUGUCGUGAUAUGAUUGUAGUUGGCACGAAGGAUGACCCUCUGGACUGGAGAAGUGUGCCCCUUAAACAAAUGUAGAGCAGAAGGCUCCUGAAGAAGUUGCUCAACCGGAGCAGUGUGCUCCAAAUGAGGAAGCUGUCGCUAGUGAUUCCCAGAAGAAAAAGCUCCUAAUAAGAAAGAUGCCUCGGCAAAACCUCGUUCUCCAUAAGAAAUCCCUGUGGAUGAAGCACUUGAGAAUGCAGGAGCACUUGAUUCUCCCUCUAGACAUGCUUUCAUUCCCUCUGUCAGUCCCUUUGUGGAUGUUGAAGAAGAAGAAGUGGAGCCUCAUACUCCGAAAGAGAAACAAGAUGAUGUUGUUCCAUCUCAGCCAAGUGCAUAGCCCAGAUAGUUGCAUAAAAGGCCCUAGUGCUUUCCCCCGAAGAUGAUGCUCAAACGAUUGCUACCGAAAAAUCCUCUAAGUCCGCAGUGGCUGCCUCGUUUGUAGUCAAUUCUCGAGGAGGAAGAAGCAGAAAUUGCUGCUAGCACUGAAGAGGAAGUUCUCCCACGCUAUCCCAAGCAGAAACUGCCGAAGUUUGAUUCUUGGAGAUCUCCUUGUACUUUAAUUCAACAUGCUGCAACACAAGGCAAAACUUACUUACUUCAGAGAAAGCCCAUAUGAUGGUUAUCGCACAUCUCAAUCUGCUUGGUUCUGGAGCAAUGACAUCUCUUGAUGGAUCCUGCUAUUGCUGGAGAUAUUGCCAAGCCAAUGCGAAAGUGAAUGACCUGGCGUAUAUCAACACAACUUUCUAUCCGAUAAUGAGCAAAACUCUCUAUCCCAAGACGGGAACUCACUCUGAGGACUUAAUCAAAGGGAUAGUUGAAGCUCUCUUUUCUGGUCCUUUAUUGAGUUUGACAACAUAUGUGCGUCUCUCCGCUGCUUGAAAGCACAUAGUGUUGGCGGCCCGGCGUUCAGGAAAUCCCUCUCAUAGCAUGGGAUGAUCUGGCGGCAAAAAAAUAUAAAAAGGGAUGAAACAACACAUGGAUGAGGACUAAAAAAACAUGGAACUAAAUGGGGAAAAUGAGAAUUCCCAUAGAUUGGAUGUUUUGAAUCCCUACACUAGAAAAUCACCAAAUGAUGUGCUGGUUGCAUCCUUGUUUGCGCAUGAGGUUUUGCAAACUGUGCGUGCCAUCUAUGCACUUUUUUUUAAAGUUAUAUAGUUCUUUUUUUUUAGAAAAGGAGGAAGACCACGCCUCUGCAUCUGGACGAUGCAUACAGCCAUUUUAUUAAUUAUUAACACACGUUACAAAGUCAUACAACAGUAAGACUAAAGCCACAGUCUAAUCAACAUUUGUCGCUACUCCUAUCCAGUUGAUGAAGGGGCGCUCAUAGUCUGGGCCUAAUAACAAACAGACCUUGCAGACAAAGCUAACAUCUAAGACCAGAGGUCCCAACCAGGACGCCUGCCGGGUUUGGGCACCCACCAGUCCGGCGUGCUCCUCAACCAGGACGCAUGUCGGGUAUGAGGCCGCUGCAACCACCCGCCACCAAUCCAUCUCCAGAGCUAUACUGCUGCAUCUACCUUGCCCGGUUUAGCUGCCACCACGAGCCAGACAACGUCACCCUCCUGCUCGAGUCCAUCUCCGCGCAUCGUGCGUCGAGUCUCCAUGCGCCAAGCCGCGGAGAUCCGCCGUCAUCAAUUGGCAAGAUAAAUCAUCGCUCCUCCUCUUGUCCCCUCCAACCAGCACUUGCUCCAAAACGAUGCCCCCAAGAGGGAGAACGACAUCGAAGGCGCCGUCAUCGUCCGAUCCGGUAGACCCAGAUCUAGGGUUUUCCCUGGAACUACCCGAUCAGGUGGACGUGACCUGCAACGACGAUGCCUCAAGAAGGCAACGACGUCCGAGACGCCGCCAUCGUCCGCAAAGACCGCAUUUAGGUGCGAUUUUCAUCGGAAGCCACGUCGUCCCAAUCUCGUGGCUGGCUGGAACCUAGCGGAACAUCGCCAUGAAGACAUAUGGUGCCAUCGGAAAGCCGGUUGAGGACCUCCGACUGCCCCACCCCGGCCCCAUCACGCGCCGCCGGCCGGCCAUAGCCGAACCACGACGGCUGGCCGGGACGCUAGAUCCAUGGCCACUGCCGCUGCCCCUCGCAUAGCGGAGAAUCCCAGCGGAGGACCUCGCCAGCCCUGGGUUCGCCGGCUGUCGCCGCACAGCCAGGACGCCGCCGUGGCUGCCGCGCAAAGACCCUGCACGAGGCGCCCCGGCCGCCUGAUAGGAGAUCCGUCGCUUCCCUCAUGCCCUAGCCCUUUAGGCGUCGGGCGCCGCCACCACCUCGGCCAGUGCCGGCGGCAGCGGCGGCAGAGAUCUACCUCUCGGGAAGGCUGCCGGCGCGAGGACUUAGGUCCCCCUGGCGUCGCCCUGGGUGGCGGCGCGAGGGGGUCGCGAGGAUAUGCCAAUUACAUUUAAAUGACUAAUAAUAACAGUUAAAACACACAUACACACACACAAAUUGAGAAUGUUUAUGAAAAUAAAGGAGUGAAGUUAAAGUCUAAGUGGUAAACGAUAAAAAGCAAAAAUAUCCAAGGCCAAAAAUGAUCAUUUGUUGUAAUAUCAGGUCUAAUACAGUGGUUCAAUUCAUAUUUAAUCGGAAAAUGUAUGUAUCAUAAAAAAUGCAAAGAGAAGGGCAGCACCGAAGGGUUUGAAGAAAUCGAAUGAAGAUAACCUGAUAUUGUUUCGUCUAGAAUGAAAAAUGCUGCAAUAUACAAGAAUCUGGAGCUCUCUUCACCAAGUUUGCACCAAUUAUUUUUUGCUCUCCAAUUCCACAUCAUAGAUUGCCAUUUGAUUAAGGUCUCGAGCUUCUGUAAAAGAGUGUUGUCAACAGGCAUUUUCUUUCCUCAAUGGCAUCCAGGUAAAAAAAGUACUACCUCCAUCCAAAAAUAAGUGCCCCAAACUUAAUACAAAUUUGUGCUAAACUUAGUAUAAAGUUGAGACACUUAUUUUGGGACGAAGGGAGUAAGAUACUGAAAACUAGCUGGAGAGAAAAAAGAAGUCAAAACAAGAGUGAGAUACAGAAGGAGAGAAUUAAAAAACCUAAGGAAAAGAACAUAGUUUAGCUAUCUAGCAGUCACCAGACCUACAUUUUUUUUGCGCAUAAGUCAGCAGACCUACAUUUACAUUUUUUAAACUAAUUACUGAAAAAGGUGAUUGCCAAACAGAGAAACAAAGAACUGAACAUUAAACUAACAAACAGAGAAAAUUGAUCUUGUCUCGAUGGUCAAUGAAUAAUGAAGAAGAACGGUUGAAAAACUGAGGAUGAUCAAAAAAUGGCUUAAAGGGGAGACUGAAGACUAUAGAUAAAUAACUAUGGAUGCUACCUGAGAAAUGAACUAAGGAAGAAGGACUGAUGAAUGACAUUGCAUUAGUAGAAAACAGGGCUUUGGUUGAGGCCUGGGUAAGGGCAUUAAUCCCGGUUCGCUCACGAACCAUUGGUCCCGGUUCGUUCGACCCCUUUGGUCCCGGUUCCAGACACGAACCGGGACCAAUGGGCCUCGCUCCUGGACCAACACCUUUAGUCCCGGUUGGUGGCUGGAACCGAGACCAAAGGUCAGUCUUUUGUCCCGGUUCUAGCCACAAACCGGGACUAAAGAGAAGCCCAUAUAUACCCCCGCAAACAAAGCCACUGCUCUGUUUUUCUGACCGGCCGUGGGAGAGGCGUGUGGUGCUCUAUCUCACCUCCUAUGCACAUGAGGUGUUCGAUGAAAUGCCCGAGCCACACUUAAGCUUUCUCCUCUCGAAGCUCCUUGUCCAAACUCCAUUUUCCUCAAGAUUUGUCUAGGUUUGGCGGUCCGUCCUGUCCCGUCCCCGUCCACAUCACCGUCGAGCGUCCGCGCCGAUCUCGUCAUCGGCACCACCCUGGUGAGCUUCUUGUUCUUAUCUUCUUUCUAAAAGAAAAUAAAUUCUUAUUUGUAUGAUUUAGACAGAUACUUUUAUAAUUCUCUUACUUUUAUUAUUUUUUGUUAUUAUAUAGUGCGAUGGUUUUGGUAUCCGCCCCCGUCGGCCCUCGUCCUGUCUAUGAUUCAUAUGUGGUUUAUAUUAUCUUUUAUAACUAUUUGUUUCAUUUAGUGUUUAUGACAAUUAUGCCGAGUAACGAGACAUAGAUGUUUUUAUCUAGGAGGUAUGUGAACCGGAAAUUCCAACCGACCCUCUUGUCAAGAGGAUAAAUUUAGUUGAAAACGAAAAAAAUUACUUGAAGAAAAAAAUUGAAAAGAAUUGGGGAGGAGAAGAUGAAAUUGGAGUUGCAUGUUGCGGAUGUCGUCGAUGAUUGAUACGUCUCCAAUGUAUCUAUAAUUUAUGAAGCAUUCAUGCUAUUUUAUUAUCUGUUUUGAAUGUUUACGGGCUUUAUUAUACACUUUUAUAUUACUUUUGGGACUAACCUAUUAACCGGAGGCCCAGCCCAUAUAGCUGUUUUAUUGCCUAUUUCAGUGUUUCGAAGAAAAAGAAUAUCAAACGGAAUGAAACCUUCGGGAGCGUUAUUUUUGGAACAGAAGCGAUCCAGGAGACUUGGAGUUGAAGUAAAGGAAGCUUCGAGGUGGCCACGAGGGUGGGGGGUGCGCCCCCCUACUGGGCGCGCCCCCUAUCUCGUGGCCCCCUCGAGGCUCCGCCGACCGCUUAUUUUGCCUAUAUAUUCCCAUAUACCCUAAAAACAUCGAAGGACAAGAUAGAUCGGGAGUUCCGCCGCCGCAAGCCUCUGUAGCCACCAAAAACCUCUCGGGAGCCCGUUCCGGCACCCUGCCGGAGGGGGGAUCCCUCACCGGUGGCCAUCUUCAUCAUCCCGGCGCUCUCCAUGAUGAGGGAGUAGUUCACCCUCAGGGCUGAGGGUAUGUACCAGUAGCUUUGUGUUUGAUCUCUCUCUCUCUCUCUCUCUCUCGUGUUCUUGAGGUGAUACGAUCUUGACGUAUCGCGAGCUUUGCUAUUAUAGUUGGAUCUUAUGAUGUUUCUCCCCCUCUACUCUCUUGUAAUGGAUUGAGUUUUCCCUUUGAAGUUAUCUUAUCGGAUUGAGUCUUUAAGGAUUUGAGAACACUUGAUGUAUGUCUUGCCGUGCUUAUCUGUGGUGACAAUGGAAUAUCACGUUAUCCACUUGAUGUAUAUUUUGGUGAUCAACUUGCGGGUUCCGCACACGUUUCCUAUUGACUCUCCGGUAGAAACUUUGGGGCACUCUUUGAAGUACUUUGUGUUGGUUGAAUAGAUGAAUCUGAGAUUGUGUGAUGCAUAUCAUAUAAUCAUGCCCACGGAUACUUGAGGUGACAUUGGAGUAUCUAGGUGACAUUAGGGUUUUGGUUGAUUUGUGUCUUAAGGUGUUAUUCUAGUAUGAACUCUAUGAUAGAUUGAACGGAAAGAAUAGCUUCACGUUAUUUUACUACGGACUCUUGAAUAGAUAGAAUAGAAAGGAUAACUUUGAGGUGGUUUCAUACCCAACAAUAAUCUCUUCAUUUGUUCUCCGCUAUUAGUAGCUUUGGAGUGACUCUUUGUUGCAUGUUGAGGGAUAGUUAUAUGAUCCAAUUAUGUUAUUAUUGUUGAGAGAACUUGCACUAGUGAAAGUAUGAACCCUAGGCCUUAUUUCCUAGAAUUGUAAUACCGUUUACGCUCACUUUUAUCAUUAGUUACCUUGCUGUUUUUAUAAUUUCAGAUUACAAAAACCUAUAUCUACCAUCCAUAUUGAACUUGUAUCACCAUCUCUUUGCCAAACUAGUGCACCUAUACAAUUUACCAUUGUAUUGGGUGUGUUGGGGACACAAGACACUCUUUGUUAUUUUGUUGCAGGGUUGCUUGAGAGAGAGCAUCUUCAUCCUACGCCUCCCACGGAAUGAUAAAACUUAGGUCAUCCACUUGAAGGAAAUUUGCUACUGUCCUACAAACCUCUGCACUUGGAGGCCCAACAACGUCUACAAGAAGAAGGUUGUGUAGUAGACAUCAAUGAUCACAAGAUCAAGAUGGAUGCGAUGUGCUUGAAGAUUAGAAAGAUUAGAAAAUAUGCCAUUCUUACUGAGGCUUGGUAUCAUUAUGCCGUUGGAUCAAUUGUUACCUUAGUUUCGAUUAUGAUCGCUUUUGUUGUUGCAUUAAAUAUUUUACAUAGUUUCAAUAUAUGUUUUAAUUAGAUGCUCUAGAGAGUUAUAUGUUGUUCAAUGAGAACUACUCCCUCCGUCCCAAAAUUCUUGUCUCAGAUUUGUCUAAAUACGAAUAUAUCAAAUCACGUUUUAGUAUUAGAUACAUCAGUAUCUAGAAUAAUCUAAGACAAGAAUUUUGGGAUGGAGGGAGUAUGUAUGAACUUAAUGUGAUGAUGAACUUCUACUAAUUUGGUCACUUCUCUAUUCAUGAUGUUCUGUAAUGGAUUUUGACACACUUAUUUAUAUAUAAUGCAUGCAGAUGUACCGACAAUGGAUGUACGGUGACAGACGCACCUCCGAGUACAUUAUGGGCGUGCAUAAUUUUCUCGAAGUGGCUGAGGCAAAGAAGCAAAAUGGUUUUAUGUGUUGUCCAUGCCCUAGAUAUGAGAAUACAAAGUCCUACCCUGACUCGAAAACAUUUACAUCCACCUGCUUGAGAAGGGUUUCAUGCCACACUAUAGUAUUUGGACCAAGCACAGAGAAAGAGGGGUUAUGAUGGAAGACAAUGAAGAAGAAAAGGAUGAUGACGACUAUCCGCCCUCUGAAUACGGUGAUGCUGCAACGGGGGAAGCUAAAAAUCAAGAGGAACCAGACGAUGUGCCCGAUGAUGAUCUUCGCCGGGUCAUUGUUGAUGCAAAGAGACAAUGCCAAAGUGAAAGGGAGAAGUUGAAGUUCGAUCGCAUGUUAGAGGGUCACAAAAAAGGGUUGUACCCAAAUUGCGAAGAUGGCAACACAAAGCUCGGUACCACACUGGAAUUGCUGGAAUGGCAGGCAGACAAUGGUGUAUCUGACAACGGGUUUGAGAAGCUACUGAAAAUAUUGAAGAAGGAGCUUCCAAAGGAUAACGAAUUGCUCGAUAGUACGUACGGAGAAAAGAAGGUUCUAUUCCUUCUACGAUUGGUGGUGCAGAAGAUACAUACAUGUCCUAAUGACUGCAUCCUCUACCGCGGUGCAUACGAGGAUUUGAACACAUGCCCGGUAUGCAGUGCAUUGUGGUAUAAAAUCGGAUGAGAUGACCCUAGUGAUGUUGACGGUAAGCGCCCCAGGAAGAGGGUUCCUGCCAAGGUGACGUGGUAUGCUCCUAUAAUACCAAGGUUGAAACGUCUGUUCAGAAACAAAGAGCAUGCCAAGUUGAUGCGAUGGCACAAAGAGGACCGUAAGAAAGACGGGAAGUUAAGAGCACCCGUUGAUGGGUCACAGUGGAGAAAAAUUGAGAGAACGUGGGGGGACUUUGUAGGUGACCCAAGGAACAUAUGGUUUGGUUUAAGCGCGGAUGGCAUUAAUCCUUUUGGGGAGCAGAGUAGCAAUCAUAGCACCUGGCCCAUGACCCUAUGUAUCUAUAACCUUCCUCCUUGGUUGUGCAUGAAGUGGAAGCUCAUUAUGAUGCCAGUGCUCAUCCAAGGCCCUAAGCAACCCGGUAACGAUAGUGAUGUCUACCUAAGGCCAUUAGUUGAAGAACUUUUAUAGCUAUGAAAUGGAAAAGGUGUACCUUUGUGGGAGGAACACGACCAGUAGGAAUUUGACCUACAUGCGUUGCUGUUUGUAACUAUCAAUGAUUGGCCUACUCCUAGUAACCUUUUAGGAUAGACAAAUAAGGGAUACCACACAUGCACAUACUAUUUAGAUGACACCGAAAGUAUAUAUUUGGACAAAUGCGGGAAGAAUGUGUACCUGGGACAUCGUUGAUUUCUUCCGACCAACCAUCAAUGUCGAAAGAACGGCAAGCAUUUCAAAGGUGAGACAGAUCACCGGAAGAAGACCGCCAUCCGUACUGGUGAUCACAUAGUUGAUAUGGUUAAUGAUUUACAUGUAAUCUUUGGAAAGGGUCCCGGUGGACUAUCUGUUCCGAAUGAUGCCGAGGGACGCGCACCCAUGUGUGAGAAGAAAUCUAUAUUUUGGGACCUACCCUAUUGAGGGAGUCCUGGACUGAGGGGUCUUCGGACAGCCAGACUAUAUACUUUGGCUAGACUAUUGGACUAUGAAGAUACAAGAUAGAAGACUUCGUCCCGUGUCCGGAUGGGACUCUCCUUUGUGUGGAAGGCAAGCUUGGCAAUUCGGAUAUGUAGAUUCCUUUCUCUGUAACUGACUUUGUAUAACCCUAGCCCCCCGGUGUCUAUAUAAACCGGAGGGUUUAAACUUCUAGGGUUCAGCCACAACAAUCAUAACCUCAUAGGCUAGACUUCUAGGGUUUAGCCAUUACGAUCUCGUGGUAGAUCAACUCUUGUAAUACUCAUAUUCAUCAAGAUCAAUCAAGCAGAAAGUAGGGUAUUACCUCCAUAGAGAGGGCCCGAACCUGGGUAAACAUUGUGUCCCCCGCCUCCUGUUACCAUUAGCCUUAGACGCACAGUUCAGGACCCCCUACCCGAGAUCCGCCGGUUUUGACACCGACAUUGGUGCUUUCAUUGAGAGUUUCGCUGCGUCGUCACCAGAAGGCUUGAUGGCUCCAUCAAUCAUCUACAACAACGCAAUCCAGGGGGAGAUCUUCCUCCCUGGAUAGACCUUCGUAUUCGGAGGCUUCGCAUUGCGGGCCAACUCGUUUGGCCAUCUAGAGCAGAUCGACAGCUACGACCCUGGCCAUCGGGUCAAAUUUGGAAGCCUGAAUUUCAUGGCCGAUAUCCACGGAGACUUGAUCUUCGAUGUAUUCAAGCCCAUGACGGCUGUCCCCGGCCACCACGAUGAACAUGACCUAUAUUUGUCAUCUGGCCGCACACAGGAGAUAGGGCCCGUGACCGCCCCUAGCCCUAGAGCCGGAGCGGACUGCAUCGUCCGAGGACGGGAAGCUUAACCCCGCCGCGGAGGCCGCAGACUCAACGAUGCUCGAGCAACACACAUACCCAACAUCAGGCUGGGCUUGUAUCAUCGAAACCACGAACUUGUCUCCGUCCAUGGUUUCCGGACCGCGUGCAUCCGCGUCCAUCGGUCCCGAUUGGGCGCCGGUCUUGGAGUUCAGCUCCGCAGACAUCUUUUAGCACUCACCUUUUGGCGACGUGUUAAACUCAUUGAAGUCCCUCUCCUUGUCAGGGAAUUCUCGGCCAAACUAUGUCCAGCUCGAAUGGGAAGCGGACGACGAAGAACUUCGUUUCCCACCCACCACCCACUUCAUUGCCACAGUUAAGGACUUAGCCGACACACUCGAUUACGGCUCCGAGGACAUCGAUGGUAUGGAUGACGAUGCCGGAGAGGAGCAGGCACAAAAACCACCACCUUUAGGGCAGUGGAUAGCUACAUCGUCAUACGAUAUAUACAUGGUGGACACACCAAAGGAGAAUGAGGCCGACGGCGAUAACAACAUGCCUGUCAAUGAACCUCCCAAGCGUCGGCGUCCCAAUCACCGACCUCGAUCUGGCAAAAAGAAAAACAACAACAUUGUCACGGACGCUGAUGAUAAUCCGAACCAAGCCAAGGACCCCGCAGACAUAGUGUUAGAUCAAGGCGUGCGAGAGGACGGCGAACACAGUCCGGAGAUGUUGUCCGAGCAUAGCGAUGCCGAAGAUAGCAAUUACCAACCUGUCUCUAAAGAGGACAUCAGCCUGGGCGACGACGAGUUCGUCAUCCCAGAAGAACCAUUAGAACAAGAACGCCUCCACCAAAGGCUUAUGGCCACUUCAAGGAGCCUAAAGAAGCAGAAGCAGCGGCUUAAAGCCGCACAUGAUACGCUCAAUGACAAAUGGAACGAAGUGCUAGACGCCGAGGAAAAAUACAGUGGUAAUCGCUAGACAAAUAGCUAUCCUAAACGUAGGCUGCUGCCCAAAUUCGAUGACGAGGCUAUUGCGCUCAUAUACCGCUGAAAAACAAUACGACCGAUAGGCCGGACCGACCACCUCGUGGUCGAGACAGAGCAGAUAGUAAUGCCGUACACAAGCCCGCACCCCCUUCCCGCAAAGGAAGGAAGGUCGUGGCCCAGGACCAGAAACAUGAUUUACGUGAGGACCUGGACAAAAUGGCUGGCAAAACCAGGUCCAUCUACGGAUCUAGGGAACGUGAUCCUACACGGGACCACAAUUAUCAAACAAAAUAUGCUAGCCAUUUACUAGCUUGGAACCAAUAAGGAACACUAUAACCGUCGGAUCCAAUCCAUGACAUAGCCAGAUACAGGGGUGCCGCACACCCCCUGUGCUUCACCGAUGAGGUGCUGGAACAUGAUUUUCCAGAAGGGUUCAAACCCAUAAAUAUCGAGGCGUAUGAUGGAACGACAGACUCUAUGGGUUGGAUAGAAGACUUUAUUCUUCACAUCCACAUGGCUCGCGGAGAUGAUCUCCACGCCACCAAAUAUUUACCCCUCAAGCUAAAAGGGCCAACUCGACACUGGUUAAAAAGCCUCCCUGAAAACUCCAUAGGAAGCUAGGAGGAACUUGAGGAUGCUUUUCGGGCCAAUUUCCAAGGGACCUAUGUCCGGCCCCCAGAUGCAGACGAUCUAAGUCACACAAUCAAACAACCCGAAGAAUCAACCCGUAAGCUUUGGAGCCUAUUUCUCACUAAGAAGAACCAAAUCGUCGACUGUCCGGACGCCGAAGCCUUAGCGGCCUUCAAACACAGUGUCCGGGACGAAUGGCUAGCCAGACACCUCGGCCAGGAAAAGCCAAGGACAAUGGCUGCCUUAACAACACUAAUGACCUGCUUUUGCGCAGGCGAAGACAACUGGUUAGCCCGUCGCAGCACCAGCGACCCCGGCACAUCCGAAGUCAGGGAUAGCAAUGGAAAACCACGACGCAACAAGAACAAAUGUCGGAACAAUGAAGAAAGCCCAGAAAACACAUCGGUUAAUGCCGGAUUCAAGGGCUCCAGACCCGAUCAACGGAAGAAGCCAUUUAAAGGCAACAAAGACAGUCCAUCGAACCAGGGUAAAAUCCUAGACAGGCCCUGCCAGAUCCACGGCACUCCCGACAAACCAGCCAAUCAUACCAACAGAGAAUGUUGGGUCUUCAAGCAGGCCGACAAACUCAAAGCCAAAAACAAAGGGAAGGGACCUCAGAGCAAAGACGAGGACAAACCUCGCUAGCCAAACACGGUGAACAGAAGAAAUUUCCACCGGAGAUCAAAACAGUUAACAUGAUCUAUGUCCCUCAUAUCCCAAAGCAGGAGCGCAAGCCCGCACUCCGAGAGGUCUAGACCGUUGAGCCCGUCUCCCCCAAGUUCAACCCAUGGUCGGCCUGUCCGAUCACCUUUGAUUGCAGGUAUCAUCCGACUAGUAUCCGUCACGGGGGUUCGGCUGCCCUAGUGCUCGACCCCGUAAUCGACGGAUACCACCUCACUCGAGUCCUCAUGGAUGGCGGCAGUAGUCUCAAUAUGAUAUAUCAGGACACUGUCCGCAAGAUGGGGAUAGACCCGUCAAGAAUCAAGCCAAGCAACACUACCUUUAAAGGAGUUAUACCGGGGGUGGAAGCCUGCUGCAUGGGCUCUAUAACAUUGGAUGUUGUAUCUCCUGACAACUUUCGAAGUGAAGAACUAAUCUUCGACAUAGCUCCGUUCCGAAGUGGCUAUCAUGCACUACUCGGAAGAACGGCCUUCGCCCGUUUUAACGCAGUCCCGCAUUAUGCUUAUAAAAACUCAAAAUGCCUGGACCACGUGGCGUCAUUACGGCCAGUGGAAAUACGGAGCACUCUCUUCGCAUAGAGGAAUACACGGCGGCUCUAGCAGUCGAAGCAAAAAAUGGCCUAUUCAAGCCGAACAGCUCAUCGGUCGUUAAAACCGCAGACACAGCUAAACAUGUCCGGCGCACACCUCAGUGUGGCAGCUCAGAUAAACCUGAGCUCGAUUAGCAGCUAUGCCCCCAUCAACCGCCCCAUAAGGAGAUAUACUCAAAAUUCCUUGGGCGGCUUCAGGGGCACUCUGCAUACAAAAGGUCCAUAGUUCGGCUUGACCCUAUUUGGACUCUAGAAGCUAUCCUUCACGGUUCAUUAAAACGAACCAGCUUUCCUUACGGCGACACCAGAUUCUUUUACCUGGUUUUUUCCUUUUUUCUUAUAGAUGGCCAUCAUAUUAUACCCUUCAAGUACACUUCACAACGGAGACAAAGGCACAGACGUGCAGCAGGGCCCCGCAUUAAGGUUUCUUUUUUAGAUUAAGACCCUGUGUAAAUAUUUUUUAUCUCUUGUUGUUUUAUACUUUCCUGGCAUGUAAAAUGUCCAAGAAAGGUACCAACAUUAUCUAUAAACACACGGCUCGCCAUACUAAAGGGGAUGUUAUAGAAGCAGCUUGGUUCGUAUUGUGUUUUGAGAUUUAUGUUCUCACCACCUACGCUCUUUCCCCACGUUGGAUUGCCAUAUGUGCCUUGACACCAGGGGUCUAUCACUAGGGGCUAUAUUCAGCCCGGUGUAUAUUGUAAAGUCCAAACACCUAUAGGGAGUGUUUGGCGUCGCGAGUUUGGCCUUAUAUGCAUCAGCUCCGAAUCAUGUCUUUGGUCAAUAGUUGGGUUGCCCGGAUCCUGUGCUUACUACCUUAUGUUCCGCUAUAUCUUCUAGGAUAGUAAAGGGAGAACUACUGCGAUUGUGUCCCGGCUAGCCCGGAUGAGCACCUCAAUAGAGAAAGCCGAAAACUGACUAUCAUGAUGCGACGAGAGCUGGUCAACCACUCGAUGACUUAUCGGAAUCUUCGCGAUUUCCUCCGUAUUAAACGAAGGACCGUCACUCUGGUCACGUAUGUAAACGCACCGUAUUCGGAUAACCGCGGACAUACCAGGGGCUAUAUAGUAGCCCCACCGUCAAACUCCUCUGGCUAAGUGAAAGUGUUAAAGCUCUAUAGUACGAUUUCCUAGUUCUCCGCACUAACACCUCCUUAAAGGACCAAGACGUUGGGUCAAGUGUGAUCAAGUGCUUUUCCGAACACCCCCGUGUAAAACGUGAGGGGGCUGAAGCCGACAACUGCAAACUUUUAGAUUGUAUAUAAAAAAGAUGGCCGCAUAGGAGGCACCAAAAAUUUUCAGGCAAAAAGUAUAAAACCACAGCCUUAAAUAUAUCAUAAUGUUGUUAUUACAAUUUUGAUACACUUUACUCGAACAUAAUAUUUUUUGAGCACUGACCCUCUAUUAAGCGGGCACCCUCUAGGACAUCUUCAAAGUAAUGUUCUAGCAUGUUAAGGUCCUUGCCUUCGGGUGGACUCUGCGCUGCAAUAUCGGUGGCCGUCAUCUUUGCCUAGUAUAUCUUGACACAGGCAAGGGCCAUCCGUGCACCUUCUAUGCAUGUUGAGCACUUCACGGCAUCGAUACGCGGCACCGCAUUGACAAGCUGCCGCAUCAAACCGAAAUAACUAUCCGGAAUGGGUUUAGUUGGCCACAGCCGGGCUAUGACGUCCUUCAUGGCAGUGCCGGACAUCUUGUGGAGCUCGGCCCAUCGGGCCAUCUGUUUGUUCAACAGUGGACGCUUCGGCGUAUCAAAUUGCGACCAAAACAAUUUUUCCGUUGCAUGUCCUUCUUGCGCGUGAAAAAACUGAUUCACAUCUGCGACACUCUUCGGCAAGUCCAUAAAGGGGUCCGGAGAACUCCACCGUUGAAUAAGCGGCGCAUACUUCGGAUCGCCAAACUUAGUUUGCAAUAAAAAAGGGCUUACCAGCCGCGAUCUCCCCAGCUUGUUGGAUCUCCUCCCGAGCUGCUCUAGACUCAGACUGGGCUUCCUUCACCUCUUGUAAGGCCUUAUCCAGAUCGGCCGCUUUUGCUUUGUUAUCUUUCUCAAGAUCUUGGCAUCGGCUAGUGGCAUUCUUCAACUCAAGUGCCACGGUAGAUAUCCUCUCCUCGCACUGACGCCGACCAGUCUGCUCGACUUUUAAUUCGGCGGCUACCUUUUCGGCAGCCGCAUUACUAAUCUUGGCUUGCUCCUUGGCCCGGGCAAGUCCCGCCCAAAGGGUCUCAACUGCGGCGGCACUAUCUGCAGUUAUGCAUAUACAAAUUUUCAGUAUCAUGCUCAUUUCACAAUACUAGCAUGUACUGAGUGCCCCAGAGACAUACCUUGCACCUCGUCGAGUCGCCUGUUCAUAAGCGUGUUGUCAUCAUCUGCCACAUCAACUUUCUGCUUCAAAUGUGCUACCUCGAUAGCUUGGGUAGUCCCCACGAAUAUAACAACCUAUGUUUCAAUUAGUCAUAUCAUUUCCUGGGCAUAUAUCGAUGAUCCUCUGAUCGCAUUCCUUUGGAUGUCAACCAGAGUCUCGGGGGCUACUAUCUAUACACAGGUGCAAUUUAUAUAAUUAAAAUUACACUACGUACCUCAAAGCCUCUUAGUAGGCUAGAAAAGGCUUCAUUCAAUCUGCUUUCUGCGGACCGAACUCUUUCCAACACCGUACCCAUCAAGGUACGAUGUUCCUCUGAGACGGAGGCAUGUUGCAAAAUGUCCAUCAAUGCAUCCUGCGUCCCUUGGACAUUUGAUAGUCCGGGACUUUUGUUGUUUCCUGUAGGGGCCGCACACCCCGGACCCUGGGCGGCCGAAGUAUUACCUUCGGCCCCGGUCCUCACUGUCCCUUGCGCCACUUGCAGAUCGGGAAGGAUCCUCCGGGACGACACCUCAGCAUCGCCUGCCUUAUCAGGCAGGGAGGUCUGUGGAGGCGUCUCGCUCUCCAUCAUCUCCAGAAGUAGAUCCCCAGAAGAGGAGGACUGUUGAGGAGGGCUGCGUGCUGGACUGCAAACAUGAGUUUAAAAUAUCACCCUUAUAGCCAGGAAAGAAAGGGACAUGUUUAAAAUACCCGGAUUCACUUACGAUGCGCCUGAGGGCCUAUUUUGCAGGGUGACUGCAUGUCAACAUCACCCCCUGACUGGGAUACCUUCCCCCUCUUACAAGCUUCUCUUUUCAAGUCUUCGGAGACGGCCCUUUUCUUCCCAUGGGGAGAAGAGGCGUCAGUUCGCCCUUCCCUUCCACCUUUGGAAGCGGGAGUUCUAAUCUCCCCGAAUGAAUUGCCUAGUGAGCCUCCAGAGUGGAAGCUGCCUUGGGCCUCUUCGUCCUCCUCUUUAUCUUCCCCCGCCGGCACUUGAUACGGCACCGGAGCAAACAUCCUUGUUAAUAACGGAUCAACAGUGUCUUGGGGAAGUGGAGCCGAACACCUGAUUCUCUCUGCCUUCUUUAGCUAGCCCUGGCCGGAUAGAGUUUUAUCAGUACAUUGUCAUGAAUAAUUUGACUAAAUCAUGUUUGGGGGUCGAGUACUUACCGGAGUAUUUAGAUGGUUGCAGUCAAGACCGAUGUCUUCUGUAGUAUCCGGCCACUGUUUUCGUGCGCCGAAGAACAAUUUCCACAUCUCUCUGAGCAUCAUGCCAGAAAGGUGCUGACGGGUCCGUGGACCUUCCGGAUUAAACUCCCACAUGCGGAGAGGGCGUCGCUGGCAGGGUAGGAUCCAGCGGACUAACAUUACUUGGAUUACAUCAAUGAGACCGGUGUCCUUCUCAAUGAGGCUCCGGAUGCGGCUUUGUAGUGUCCACACUUCAUCUGUAGAUCCCCAGUCCAGCCCCUUGUUAAUCCACGAUGCGAGCUGUGGCGGAGGGCCGGACCGAAACGCAGGUGUGGCUGCCCACUUUUUACCGCAGGGUUCGGUGAUGUAAAACCACUCCCGUUGCCAUAAGUCAGAAGAUUAUGCAAAGGGGACCUUUGGCCAAGUGGAGUUGAUAAGCUUGCUUAUUGAAGCGCCUCCGCACUCCGCUUGUUUCCGGUCGAUUACCUUCGGUUUCACGUUAAAGGUCUUAAGCCAUAAGCCGAAGUGUGGGGAAAUACGGAGGAAGGCCUCGCAUGUGGUGAUGAACACUGAAUGUGGAGGAAGGAGUCUGGGGCUAGAUCGUGGAAAUCUAGCCCGAAAUAAAACAUGAACCCUAGAAAUGAAGGGAUGGAGAGCAAACACAAGCCCUCGAAGGAAGUGAGAGAUAAACACGACCCUCUCAUUGGAUCUGGGAGUAGGAAUAACCUGCCCUUGAGCAGGAAGCCCGUGGUAGAUUUCCGUAGUCAAGUAUCUGGCCUCCCUAAGCUUCAAGAUGUCUUCCUCUGUGACAGAAGAGGCCAUCCACCAGCCCUGAAGGCCGGGUCCGGACAUGGCUGGAAGCUCGAAGCGACUAGAUUGACCCUUGGGUGUUGGAACUUGAGGUGGGGGGUGGAGGAAAGAACUAGCAUUGAAGAAAACGGACAAGGCUUAAACCCAUUUAUAAAGGCGACGAAUAUCAAGCGUCCCCUCCAUGGCCUUAAAACAUGCCUAUUCCCGAGGAAUUAUGCCAACAAAACGGUUGGGUUACCCACGCCCAUGUUGAUGAAAAUCCCAUAAUAAGGGGACACGAUCUCUGCUUUGACAAGACGUGCCAAUAAAAACCGCCAACCGAAGCGUGGGGUAGCAGGCUAGAAAACGAUUCAAAAUAAUGGCCGAGUAAUGACGCAAUGUCGUACUACCAAAUUUGUCAGCGAAUUGGAAUUGUAAAUAUUAUACUCUCUACGGUGGUUUGUAGAACUUGUUUUGCAGAGCCGGACAUGAUUCUUGUGUUCGAGAUCUACUUUGAAGUAUUCAGAGAAGGAACCCGCCUUGCAAUGCCGAAGACAAUCUACGCGCAGGACUCAUCGUCAUUGAAGCCUGGUUCAGGGGCUACUGAGGGAGUCCUGGACUAAGGGUUCCUCGGACAGCCGGACUAUAUACUUUGGCUGGACUAUUGGACUAUGAAGAUACAAGAUAGAAGACUUCGUCCCGUGUCCGGAUGGGACUCUCCUUUGCGUGGAAGGCAAGCUUGGCGAUUCGGAUAUGUAGAUUCCUUUCUCUGUAACCGACUUUGUAUAACCCUAGCCCCCCCGGUGUCUAUAUAAAUCGGAGGGUUUAGACUUCUAUGGUUCAAUCACAAGAAUCAUAACCUCAUAGGCUAGACUUCUAGGGUUUAGCCAUUACGAUCUCGUGGUAGAUCAACUCUUGUAAUACUCAUAUUCAUCAAGAUCAAUCAAGCAGGAAGUAGGGUAUUACCUCCAUAGAGAGGGCCCGAACCUGGGUAAACAUUGUGUCCCCCGCCUCCUGUUACCAUUAGCCUUAGACGCACAGUUCGGGACCCCCUACCCGAGAUCCGCCGGUUUUGACACUGACACCUAUUGGAAAGACCUAGAGGUCCGCUCUGCAAUCGACGUGUUGCACGCGAUGAAGAAUCUUUGCGUGAACCUGCUAGGCUUCUUGGGCAUGUAUGGGAGGACAAAAGAUACACCGGAGGCAUGGGAGGACCAGCAAUGUGUGCACGAAAAAGAUGGCAUGCAUCCAAAGCAGUAUGAAGGGCCUGCCAGCUACGCUCUUACCAAAAAAGAGAAGGAAAUCUUCUUUGAAUGUCUACUUAGUAUGAAGGUCCCGUCUGGCUUCUCGUCACAUAUAAAGGGAAUAAUAAAUAUGGUAGAGAAAAAGUUCCAGAACCUAAAAUCUCAUGACUGCCACGCGAUUAUGACGCAACUGCUUCCGGUUGCAUUGAGGGGGCUUCUACUGAAAAAUGUUCGAUUAGCCAUUGUGAAGCUAUGUGCAUUCCUCAAUCCAAUCUCUCAGAAGGUAAUCGAUCCAGAAAUCCUACCAAGGUUAAUGAGUGAUUUGGUGCAAUGUCUUGCCAGUUUCGAGCUGGUGUUCCCACCAUCCUUCUUCAAUAUCAUGACGCACGUUCUAGUUCAUCUAGUCGACGAGAUUGCCAUUCUGGGCCCUAUAUUUCUACACAAUGUGUUCCCCUUUGAGAGAUUCAUGGGAGUCUUAAAGAGAUAUGUUCAUAACCGUGCUAGGCCAGAAGGAAGCAUCUCCAUGGGCCAUCAAAUAGAGGAGGUCAUUGGGUUUUGUGUUGACUUCAUCCCUGACCUUAAGCCGACUGGUCUCCCUCAAUCGCAGUAUCUGGGGAGACAGACUGGAAAAGGCACGCUAGGAGCAGACUCAAUAAUAUGUAGGGACGGGCAUUCUUGGUCUCAAGCACACUACACAGUUCUACAAAAUUCUACCUUGGUGACCCGUAUGUCAAUGAACACAAGAAUAUUCUGCACUCCAAUCACCCGGAGCAGUGUGACAACUGGAUUACAUGUAAACACACAAGACUUUCAGCAGUUGGUUGCAAACACAUCUCAUGGGUGACAACACUGUUGCAGAUGAGCUAUACUCAUUGGCCAGGGGACCAUCUUCGACUGUAUUGACUUACAAAGGGUACGAGAUAAAUGGGAAUACAUUUUACACGAUCGCCCAAGAUCAAAAGAGCACCAACCAAAACAGUGAUGUCCGCUUUGAUGUCCUUUCCCCCGUUCAUCCUAGCCAAUGAUGUGGCACGGGUUAUCUAUGUGAAGGACAUGUCUACCAAACCGAGAAAAAGAAAAAAUAAGGAAGCAAAUACAUCAUACGAUGAGCCAGAGCGCCACAUAGUUCUUUCAGGAAAAAGAGACAUCGUGGGAGUGAAGGGCAAGACAGACAUGUCCGAAGAUUAUGAAAAGUUUCAUGAAAUUCCUCCCUUCAAAGUCAAGGCUAACCCAAGCACCGUGUUAAACAAUGAAGAUUAUACACGAUUACGGUGCAAUAAGCAAGGGACACGUGCGAAGAAAAAGUGAAGGUGCUAUGUGGGUGAAAUGAUGAUACCAUGCCAACUUUCAACCUUCUCAGAGUUCAUUUGUAGUUGAAAGUGCUAGUUAUCGACUAGAGGGGGGGGGGGGUGAAUAGGCGAUUUUGAUGGAAGUCUUCAAAACACGGUUGCUUUGAAGACAAGAGGUAAACUAAGCCUAUAUAGUAAGCAGCGGAAUGAAAGCUAUACUAGGCAAACAUAAGUCUAACAUACAACAUAAUGAAAGCACGGAGACUAAUUGCAACUAGGUAGUCAGGAUUAGAAAGAUAGAUAGUACGGAGCUAAAAAGAUAAUAGUCUUCACAGUGUGAAGUAAAACAGAUUAGACAAGUAGGCAAUGACUUCACAAAGACAACUGUAAAGUAAGGAGAGUAGAGGAUAGAACUAGUAGCUUCACGAAGACAAGGAUUUGGUAGACCAGUUCCAGUUGCUAUGACAACUGUACGUCUGGUUACAGAGGCUGAGAUUUAACUCAGAAGACCGUGUCUUCACCUUAUUCCCCUUGAGAUAAGGACACCCAGUCCUCGCCCAAAUACUCUGGUAAGUCUUUGAGGUAGACUUCCAAACCUUCACAGACUUUGUUCACUGGCAAUCCACAAUGACUCUUGGAUGCUCAGAACGCGAUGCCUAACCGGCUGGAGGAUUCACAGUCCUCAAGUGUAACAAGUCUUCAGAUCACGCGGACAGAAAUACUUCUGUGAUGCCUAACACUGUAGCGACCAGACCUCAAACAGUCUGAUCUCUGUGCAUCAGUGUCAUCCCUGGAUCAGUAAUGCUGACACGCACAGUACUCGAAGGAUUUAUAACAGAGUAGCAAUCACACACUUAUUACAUCGAAUGUCUCCAAAAGAGAACUUAUUACAAUAAAUAUGGCUUAAGGCCAUCUAAUAACGAUAACAGCGGAAGGCUUGGAAGAUAAGUGAGUCCAUCAACUCCAACGGCAUCACUGAGUAUAGAACCACGACCUAAGGCACCUUACUCGUCGUCUGAAAAGUCUGCAACAUGAACGUUGCAGCCCGAAAAUGGGUCAGCACAUGGAAUAUGCUGGCAAUGUAACACAUAGAGAGUAAUAUGAAAGAGUAAGGCUAUACUACAUGCAUAUAUGGCUGGUGGAAAGCUCUAUGGUUACAGUUUUGCAUAAAGCCAAUUUUUCCCUACUGCAAAGGAAUAAAUUUUAUUUAACUAUCAUGGUGGUUGUUAAACAUUGAGAAUGGUUGACAGCUUUCUCAAUCCCAAUUAAGCAUCAUCAUUAAAACCCAACAAUAUUAAUUAAAGUAACAUGAUGAGAUUCACAUGAUAAUCCAAGUACUAGAUACUCAAGAUGUCCAUAACCGGGGACACAGCUAACCAUGAUUAGUUUGAUACAUUCUGCAGAGGUUUGCGCACUUUUCCCCACAAGACUCGAUCUCCUCCGUUGGGAUUCUCGCACUACACGGUGUUUGAGAAAUGGAUGAUCGGGACAUAGUAUUUCAGAAGCGCUAGCACCUUACAAAGGGGUAGACCGUACCAACAUACAUCCCCUACAUCGUCAGCUAGUCUAGCACUGUAAGAGUUCGCACGACCUAGUCAACUAUGCCAGAGCCCAUAGUAGCUUAUGGCUGCACACGGAAGUUUCUAGCAUGAAUAAUCUCAUGAUCCCUUUGAGCCUGGGUGGCGGUCCAAAAAGAAACAGGCAAUCCUGGAAUACCCAGGUACCUCAAUCCACCGAGAUGUGUGUUUAAGUUUCCACCUUAAAUAAACCAUUAAUUAAGAAUCUCACAUCUGUCAUGGAUACACUCACCCAAUCCACGUCUACUAGCAUAGCAUGGCAUAAUAAGCAAACGUAGAAGUAACUCCCAAGGGUUUGAUAAUAAAUCAGGUAAUAGGUACUACCUCAACUACUUUCCCAAAACCCACAAUUUAAUUAGAUCCUAAUCAUGCAAUGUUUGAGGAUUGAUCUAAUGCAUAAAAACUGGGUAUGAAAAGAAUAUGAUCAAAGUGUUACUUGCCUUGCUGAUGAUCCGUGAAACCUAGAGAUUCAAAGUAGCAAGCGGCGCACUCCGGGUACUCUAUCGCAAACAAACAAGCACACAAUAAGUACUCAACUAAUGCACAGGUAAAACUCAAAUAAAAGAUCUAACCAGAAAGUUCAACUUAAGAACUCCGGUUUGCAAAAAGAAACAACUCGAACGAAACAACAAAAAACAAACGGCGAAAGAAACAGGCUUCAUCUUACUAAUCUGGACCUAAGUCAAAUUUUAUAGAAGCAAAAACUUGUUUGAGUUGAUUAUUCGGAAAGAGGGUUUCGAGACCAAAACUCCAGGCGCUUGAAUCGCCUAAUUCCGAUAAACGAGCAAAAAUUUAUACUAGAUCGAAAAUCGGAUCAGAAAUCGCGAUCAGAAAAAUCGCGGAAUAAAUCCGAGAAAAAGAAAAACGAUGAAUAACUGGAUCUAAACGAUGAACGCGUUCAUUAAAACGAACAAACGAGCGAACGCUCGCUAUUUAACCUAAACCGAAAAAAACCGAUCUAAUAAAAAAAUGGAACUAAAAAACCGACUGAAAAACUGAACGGUUUUUCUAAAAAAAUGGCAGCGACGAGGUCAACCUCGGGGUGCGGGUCCGGCGAGGCGGCGGCUCCAGCGAGGGCGGCGGUGGUCGGCGGCGAUGGCGGCGUAGUCCAGCGAGGUCGGCGGCGGUCGGCAGGUUUGGCGGCGGAUCGGGNNNNNNNNNNNNNNNNNNNNNNNNNNNNNNNNNNNNNNNNNNNNNNNNNNNNNNNNNNNNNNNNNNNNNNNNNNNNNNNNNNNNNNNNNNNNNNNNNNNNNNNNNNNNNNNNNNNNNNNNNNNNNNNNNNNNNNNNNNNNNNNNNNNNNNNNNNNNNNNNNNNNNNNNNNNNNNNNNNNNNNNNNNNNNNNNNNNNNNNNNNNNNNNNNNNNNNNNNNNNNNNNNNNNNNNNNNNNNNNNNNNNNNNNNNNNNNNNNNNNNNNNNNNNNNNNNNNNNNNNNNNNNNNNNNNNNNNNNNNNNNNNNNNNNNNNNNNNNNNNNNNNNNNNNNNNNNNNNNNNNNNNNNNNNNNNNNNNNNNNNNNNNNNNNNNNNNNNNNNNNNNNNNNNNNNNNNNNNNNNNNNNNNNNNNNNNNNNNNNNNNNNNNNNNNNNNNNNNNGGUGCCGGCGGCGGAUCGGGCGGCGGGGCGCGGGCUAGGGUUAGGGUUAGGUGGGGCGCGGCGGCGGCUGGGCUGGCGGCGGCGGUUUGGGAUGGGGUCGGCCCGGGCGCGCGUUAUAAAGACCCCCGGCCCAAAGGCGGUUCGCGUUUUUUUAAAUAAUUCCGCGCAGAAAAACUAACGAAAGAAAUACUAAAUGGACUCCAAAAAUCCCGAAAUAAAUUUUCCCCGGCUUCGAAAAUAAAGCCGAACAAUAUGAACAUUUAUUUGGGGCCUAAAUGCAAUUUUAAAAAAUGCACAUUUUCCUAAAUUCAAAUAAAAUGGCGAAAAACUCCAAAUAAAAAUCUUAUUUGAUUUUUUAUUAAAUCUUCAAUAUUUCUUUGUUUUGGGAAAGUCAUUUUAUUUCCUCUCUCAUAUUUUGACAGUAGAAACAAUUGAAGCUAAAAUAAAUAUAAUCAAAUGAUCCUAUUUUCAAAAUUUGAGAAAACUCAAAUAUGAAAAUAACGAAAUUUCCAACUCUCUCCGUGGGUCCUUGAGUUGCGUGAAAUUUCUAGGAUUGAGCCAACAUGCAAUAAAAUAUGAUAUGCAAGUGAUGCUCUAUGUAUAACAUUCCAAAUUGAAAAUUUGGGAUGUUACAAACCUACCCCCCUUAAGAUGAAUCUCGCCCUCGAGAUUCGGGUUGGCUAGAAAAUAGGUGAGGGUGGGCCUUAAGCAGAUCUUCCUCUCGCUCCCAGGUGGCUUCAUCCUCGGUGUGGUGGCUCCACUGAACUUUGAAAAACUUAAUAACCUUGUUGCGGAUGACUCGGUUGGCAUACUGGAGAAUUUUGACUGGUUUUUCCUCGUAGGUCGAAUCAUUACCCAACUGAAUCGCUUCAAGCGGCACAAUAUCUUUCAGUGGUAUAUCAGCCAUCUCUGCGUGGCACUUCUUCAACUGAGAAACGUGGAACACGUCGUGAACUCCUGACAAUCCCUCGGGCAAUUCCAACUUAUACGCAACUUCUCCCAUGCGCUCCAGAACUUUGUACGGUCCCACAAAACGUGGCGCUAACUUUCCUUUAACUCCAAAGCGCUUAACUCCUCGAAGCGGGGAUACUCGAAGAUAAACUCUGUCUCUGACUUUGUAUACCGUCUCCUUGCGUUUUGAAUCCGCACAGCUCUUCUGCCUAGACUGCGCUACCUUGAGCCUAUCGCGAAUCAACUUCACUUUCCAUUCAGACUCCUUAAUCAAAUCUGGUCCAAACAACUGGAGGUCUCCAACUUCAUCCCACAACAGCAGGGUUCUGCACCUCCUUCCGUACAAGGCUUCGAAAGGGGCCAUCUUCAAACUGGUUUGAUAGCUGUUGUUAUAAGAAAACUCCGCAUAUGGCAAGUUGUCAUCCCAACUUGAUCCAUAAUCCAAUGCACAUGCUCUCAUCAUAUCCUCCAAAAUCUGGUUGACUCUCUUGGUUUUUCCAUCUGUCUGUGGAUGAAAAGCUGUACUAAACUCUAGUCUAGUUCCCAAAGUUUCGUGCAACUGAUUCCAACACUUUGAGGUGAAUUGGGUUGCUCUAUCUGAUACGAUACUCCUCGGAACUCCAUGCAGACAUACGAUUCUGGUCAUGUAUAUCUUAGCCAAUUUGGCACUGCUGUAGGUAGUCUUCACUGGAAUGAGAUGAGCUACCUUCGUCAAAUGAUCGACUACAACCUAAAUCGAGUCAUAGCCUGAACGAGUGCUGGGCAAUCCCGUAAUGAAAUCCAUGCCUAACUUUUCCCACUUCCAUUCGGGUAUUGGCAAAGGUUGUAACAAUCCUGCUGGCUUCUGAUGUUCUGCCUUCACUCUCUGACAUACAUCACAAACUGCUACAUACUCCACAAUAUCCUUCUUCAUUCCGGUCCACCAGAAAGUAUCCUUCAAAUCCAAAUACAUCUUGGUAUUCCUGGGUGAAUCGAAUACGGCGAAUCAUGGGCCUCUUGUAGAAUCAACUUCCUGAUCUCCGGAUCACUAGGCACAUAAACGCGGUCCUCAAACCAUAAGGUAUCGUGCUCAUCCUCAUGAAAUCCCUUAGAUUUUCCCUUGCUCAUUUUCUCCUUGAUAGAGGCAAUCUCCUUAUCCGUCUUCUGAGCUUCUCUGAUCUUAUCCAUCAAGGUAGAUUGUAUCUCUAAUGCUGAUACAUAGCCUCUCGGAACUAUCUCCAAACAUAGCUCUCAAAAUUCCUUGGCUAAUUCUUUUGGUAAACCUCCGGUCAUUAGAGUGUUGACAUGGCUCUUACGGCUCAACGCAUCUGCUACUACGUUAGCCUUUCCGGGAUGAUAAUGCAAUCUCAUAUCGUAAUCCUUAAUGAGCUCCAACCAUCUCCUCUGCCUGAGAUUUAACUCCUUCUGCAUGAAGAUGUACUUCAAACUCUUGUGAUCCGUGUACACCUCAUAGUGGUUUCCAAUAAGAAAAUGUCUCCAAGUCUUCGGUGCAUGCACUACGGCUGCUAGCUCCAAAUCAUGCGUAGCAUAAUUUAACUCAUGAGGCUUAAGCUGUCGUGAAGCAUACGAAACAACUCUUCCCUCCUGCAUAAGCACUGCUCCAAUUCCUCGACGUGAAGCAUCACAAUACACCUCGUAAUCCUUGCUUUGAUCUGGCAGUAUUAACACUGAUGAGGUAACCAAACGUUUCUUGAACUCUUGGAAACUAGCCUCACAUUCCUCAGUCCAAUUGAACUUAGUGUCCUUCUUCAACAACUCCGCCAUAGGCUUCGCAAUCUUCGAGAAAUUCUCAAUGAAUAUCCGGUAGUAUCCUGCCAGUCCAAGAAAACUCCGGAUCUCUCCAACUAUCGUUGGUGCUUCCCAGUUUGUCAUAGUGGCAACUUUAGUGGGGUCCACUGCUAUACCUUCUCCGAAUAUAACAUGUCCGAGAAAUCCAACUUCCUUCAACCAAAACUCACAUUUGCUGAACUUGGCAUAGAACUGAUGUUCUCUGAGCUUCUCGAGUACCAAACACAAAUGCUCCUCAUGUUCUUCUUCAUUCUUUGAGUAGACCAAAAUAUCAUCCAUGAACACCACGACAAACUUAUCCAAAAAUUCCAUAAACACCUUGUUCAUCAUGUUCAUGAAAUAGGCAGGUGCGUUAGUCAAACCAAGUGACAUAAUAGUAUACUCAUACAACCUGUACCUGGUUAUAAAAGCCGUCUUAGGUAUAUCCUGCUCUCGAAUCUUCAACUGAUGGUAUCCCGAUCGCAAAUCGAUCUUGGAAAAUACCUUAGCUCCUUGCAAUUGGUCGAACAAGUCGUUGAUCAUCGGCAACAGGUACUUAUUCUUAAUGGUCACUUCAUUCAAUCCACGAUAAUCAACAACCAUUCUCAAUGAUCCAUCCUUCUUCUCCACUAGAAGUACUGGCAAUCCCCAAGGCGAAGAACUUGGGCGAAUAAAACCUUUAUCCAGUAACUCCUUAAUCUGCUUCUUAAUUUCUUCCAAAUCUUGUGCGGGCAUCCUAUACGCUCUCUUAAAUAUCGCCCCGGUGCCUGACAAUAGUUCAAUCAAGAACUCAAUGUCUCUAUCCAGUGGCAUGCCUGGCAACUCUUCUGGAAACACGUCCGGGUAAUCCUUCACCACUGGUACUUCCUCCUGCACAACUCCUGAUAAGGAAUUUACAUGUGCCCUCCUCGGCUCAUGCCGUGAUACAUACUUGAUUCUUCUUCCUUCUGGGGUGGUAAGCAAAAUCGACUUACUGGCGCAAUCAAUGUUCCCUCCGUACUUUGAUAACCAAUCCAUGCCUAAUAUCACAUCCAAUCCUUGAGAUUCCAAAACUAUUAGGUCCGAGGGGAAUACAUAGUUUCCAAUCCUUAAUGGUAGUCGAUCACACCAUCUACUAGCCAUAUAUUCUGCUCCGGGUGAGGUUACUAGCAUGGGUGACCUAAGGGCUUGGGUUGGCAAUUUAUACUUAUCCACAAAUCCCCUUGAUAUGUAUGAAUGCGAUGCACCAGUAUCAAAAAGGACAACUGCAGUAAAUGUCUUAACCAAAAACUUACCUAUUACUGCAUCUGGCCGAGCUUCAACAUCCUCCACGGUAACGUGGUUCACCUGUCCCCUGUUGAAAGGGUUCGGCUUGUUCCCUGAGCUUCCAUUGCCAUUACCAUUUUGGGCUUCAGGACAUUCAUUUGCAUAAUGCACAGUCUUCUGACAUUUAAAACAAGUGACUUGGCUCAGGUCUCUCUUGGCUGGGGUUGACGGGUUGGUGCGGUUUUGUCCAUUGCUUCCUCCAUUCCCGUUUCCAUUCUUGGUGCCAUUAUGAUUGUGCGAGUUACCUCCUCCAUGGGUAUGCUAAAAUUUUCCUCCCGGCUUUGGGGUAAAGCGUAGCUUCUGCUGAGCUCCAGAAUUGUACUUCCCCUGUCCAUACUUCCUCUUGCGAUUGUCAAUCUGCUGCUGCUUCCCUUCAAUCAUAAGAGCAUGAUCUACCAACUCCUGGUAGUUAUUGAAAGUGGCCACCAUCAACUGCAUGCUUAGUUCAUCAUUCAGUCCUUCCAGAAACUUCUCCUGUUUAGCAGCAUCUGUAGCAACGUCAUCUGGGGCAUAACGAGCUAACUUACUGAAAUCCUCUACAUACUGGCCUAUAGUGCGCCCUCCUUGGCGUAAGUUGCAAAACUCACGCUUCUUCAUGGCCAUAACUCCUGUUGAAACGUGGGCAGUACGGAAAGCUUACUGAAACUGAUCCCAUGUGACUGUGUCAAUAGGGUGUGUGGCUGUGUAAUUUUCCCACCAUGAUGCUGUGGGUCCAUCAAGCUGAUGUGCGGCAAAACGCACUCUUUCCGCAUCAGUGCAUCCUGCAGCGGUCAGCUCCCUUCCAACCUUGCGGAGCCAAUCAUUUGCAGCAAUUGGCUCGGUGCUACUAGAAAACACCGGAGUAUUUAGCCUCAAGAAACAAGUCAAAUGGUCAACAGGUGGUGGUGGUGGGUUGUUGUUGUUGUUGUUGUUGUUGUUGUUGUUGUUGCCUUGGUUCCGUACCAGUGUUUGAAUCAAGGCAUUCUGCUACUGAAUCAACUGAGUGAUCUCCGGUGGGAAAACAAAUCUGGUGUCGCGUCUCGGAGGCAUCUGAGGGUUUAGAAAAGAAGAGAAAAAUAGAAUAGAAUGAGGUCUAGUGAGAAAACACUACCCAUAUGCACAUGAGACAAAAGCAAACAAUAUCACUCCAAUCAAUUCAAACAAGGGCAUACAACGGUCUAACUAUCGUUACAAACGUGCUUGGACUAAACUAAUUACAAUGGGGGAAAUUCUACUACUGUUAUGGUGGUCAGCUAGAAAAACUGCUUUGAUGAAGACUCCAUGAUAUCGGAUCCAGCUUCAUCAACAUAGUCAUCAUCACUAUCGUCGGGGUCCGAGUCGGUGUCGUCGAUGAUGAUAUAGUUAUUCGGGCAAAUGGAAUCGUCAUCAUUUCCUCCUGGCGCGGGGUCUCCCAUGAAAACUCCGAGCUUCCUGGUUAAGUGGUCAUUCUUCUCUACUAGCACUUCAAUUUCUUCCAUGUAAUCUUCACGUGUAGCCUUGAGUUCUUCCUGUAGCUCCUUGAUCUUGGUCAUAGCCUUCUGCAGAUCCUCCAUGCCUGCACACAUCUGGUUCUCCUGACGUUGGAUGUGCUGGUUUAACUCCUGGAUAAAAGCUGCGAUUGAUCUAUCCCUCUUGGUGCUGAUCAUCUCCCAUUGCUCAUCUCGACGCCCACAAAUCUGGUAGAUAGGAUUCUUGAGAUCAUUGUGGUAAACUUCUCCAAUACGUCCCAUGGCGAUGUGGGCUGCCAUGCUCUUUCCUAGACUCCAGGUUGGUGCAUCAAAGGAAAACUCUAUGGGCUCCGUGACUGGUGCAAAUGUCCUUCCUGGAACUUGAACUUGAAUCAUCCAGGGCUCCUCUUCGGGUAAAGUGGCAUUGUAGGUCCCGGUGAAGCUUGGUACUCCGAUGUUCAGGUAUCUAGUGACUUCCUUCAAGUGACAUCCAAAGGGUGUAUCUUCAUCCGGUUGUGUGAAUUUGUUCCUUGCAUCCGCCAUCCUAAAAGAAUAGAAAAGAUGAGGAGUCAGAAAUGAGAAGAAAGAGUAGUGAUCUAGGGCUUUAGCUUAGUGGCCGUGUCCUACAGUCAGCCUGUGCUCUGAUACCAUCUUGUUGCGACCAGACCUCAAAUAGUCUGAUCUCUGUGCAUCAGUGUCAUCCCUGGAUCAGUAAUGCUGACACGCACAGUACUCGAAGGAUUUAUAACAGAGUAGCAAUCACAAACUUAUUACAUUGAAUGUCUCCAAAAGAGAACUUAUUACAAUAAAUAUGGCUUAAGGCCAUCUAAUAACGAUAACAGCGGAAGGCUUGGAAGAUAAGCGAGUCCAUCAACUCCAACGACAUCACUGAGUAUAGAACCACGACCUAAGGCACCUUACUCGUCGUCUGAAAAGUCUGCAACAUGAACGUUGCAGCCCAAAAACGGGUCAGCACAUGGAAUAUGCUGGCAAUGUAACACAUAGAGAGUAAUAUGAAAGAGUAAGGCUAUACUACAUGCAUAUAUGGAUGGUGGAAAGCUCUAUGGUUACAGUUUGCAUAAAGCCAAUUUUUCCCUACUGCAAAGGAAUAAAUUUUAUUUAACUAUCAUGGUGGUUGUUAAACAUUGAGAAUGGUGGACAACAUUCUCAAUCCCAAUUAAGCAUCAUCAUUAAAACCCAACAAUAUUAAUUAAAGUAAGAUGAUGAGAUUCACAUGAUAAUCCAAGUACUAGAUACUCAAGAUGUCCAUAACCGGGGACACAGCUAACCAUGAUUAGUUUGAUACACUCUGUAGAGGUUUGCACACUUUUCCCCACAAGACUCGAUCUCCUCCGUUGGGAUUCUCGCACUACACGGUGUUUGAGAAACGGAUGAUCGAGACAUAGUAUUUCAGAAGCGCUAGCACCUUACGAACGGGUAGACCGUACCAACCUACAUCCCCUACAUCAGCUAGUCUACCACUGUAAGAGUUCGCACGACUUACUCAACUAUGCUAGAGCCCAUAGUAGCUUGUGGCUGCACACAGAAGUUUCUAGCAUGAAUAAUCUAAUGAUCCCUUUGAGCCUGGGUGGCGGUCCAAAAAGAGUAAGGCUAUACUACAUAGGUACCUCAAUCCACCCAGAUGUGUGUUUAAGUUGCCACCUUAAAUAAACCAUUAAUUAACAAUCUCACAUAUGUCAUGGAUACACUCACCCAAUCCACGUCUACUAGCAUAGCAUGGCAUAAUAAGCAAACAUAGAAGUAACUCCCAAGGGUUUGAUAAUAAAACAGGUAAUAGGUACUACCUCAACUACUUUCCCAAAACCCACAAUUUAAUUAGAUCCUAGUCAUGCAAUGUUUGAGGAUUGAUCUAAUGCAUAAAAACUGGGUAUGAAAAGAAUAUGAUCAAAGUGUUACUUGCCUUGCUGAUGAUCCGUGAAACCUAGAGAUUCAAAGUAGCAAGCGGCGCACUCCGGGUACUCUAUCGCAAACAAACAAGCACACAAUAAGUACUCAACUAAUGCACAGGUAAAACUCAAAUAAAAGAUCUAAUCAGAAAGUUCAACUUAAGAACUCCGGUUUGCAAAAAGAAACAACUCGAACGAAACAACGAAAAAUAAACGGCGAAAGAAACAGGCUUCGUUUUACUAAUCUGAACCUAAGUCAAAUUUUACAGAAGCAAAAACUUGUUUGAGUUGAUUUAUUCUGAAAGAGGGUGUCGAGACGAAACUCCAGACGCUUGAAUCGCCUGAUUCCGAUAAACGAGCAAAAAGUUAUACCAGAUCGAAAAUCGGAUCAAAAAUCGCGAUCAGAAAAAUCGCGGAAUAAAUCCGAGAAAAAGAAAAAUGACGAAUAGGUUAACGAACGAACGUUCGUGAACUAGAUCUAAAUGAUGUACAUGUUCUUUAAAACGAACGAACGAGCGAACGCUCACUAUGUAACCUAAACCGGAAAAAAACCAAUCUAAUAAAAAACGGAACUAUAAAAAACGGACGAAAAAACCGAACGGUUUUUCUAAANNNNNNNNNNNNNNNNNNNNNNNNNNNNNNNNNNNNNNNNNNNNNNNNNNNNNNNNNNNNNNNNNNNNNNNNNNNNNNNNNNNNNNNNNNNNNNNNNNNNNNNNNNNNNNNNNNNNNNNNNNNNNNNNNNNNNNNNNNNNNNNNNNNNNNNNNNNNNNNNNNNNNNNNNNNNNNNNNNNNNNNNNNNNNNNNNNNNNNNNNNNNNNNNNNNNNNNNNNNNNNNNNNNNNNNNNNNNNNNNNNNNNNNNNNNNNNNNNNNNNNNNNNNNNNNNNNNNNNNNNNNNNNNNNNNNNNNNAGCGCGGCGCGCGAGGCGGCGGCGGCGGAACGGGCGGUGGUGCGCGGGCUAGGGUUAGGGUCAGGUGGGGCGCGGCGGCGGCUGGGCUGGUGGCGGCGGUUUGGGCUGGGGUCGGCCCGGGCACGCGUUAUAAAGACCCCCGGCCAGGCGGAGUCCUGGCCGGUUACGGCCCAAAGGCGGUUCGCGUUUUUUUUAAAUAAUUCCACGCAGAAAAACUAACGAAGGAAAUACUAAACGGACUCCAAAAAUCCCGAAAUAAAUUUUCUCUGGCUUCUAAAAUCAAGCCGGAGAAGAUGAACAUUUAUUUGAGGCCUAAAUGCAAUUUUGAAAAAUGCACAUUUUUCCUAAAUUCAAAUAAAAUGGCGAAAAACUCCAAAUAAAAAUCUUAUUUGAUUUUUUAUUAAAUCUUCAAUAUUUCUUUAUUUUGGGAAAGUCAUUUUAUUCCCUCUCUCAUAUUUUGAUAGUAGAAAUAAUUGAAGAUAAAAUAAAUAAAAUCAAAUGAUUCUAUUUUCAAAAUUUGAGAAAACUCAAAUAUGAAAAUAACGAAAUUUCCAACUCUCUCCGUGGGUCCUUGAGUUUCGUGAAAUUUCUAGGAUCGAGCCAACAUGCAAGAAAAUAUGAUAUGCAAGUGAUGCUCUAUGUAUAACAUUCCAAAUUGAAAAUUUGGGAUGUUACAAACACUCUUUGGCUCUGGGUGUUUUGGGCUUUGUCCUCGCAAGGAUUUCUCUCUCAAAUGCUUCAGAGGUGUGUUGCUCUCAACCGACAAAAGCCGUGCACUAACUCUAAGAAGCCACCAAUUUAUGGUGUAGGGGGUGGGCUAUUUAUAGCGAGGAGGCAAUCCGACCUAAUUUGUCCAAAAUGCCCCUGGGUCACUAAGGAACUGACACGUGUCCAACGGUCAGAUUUCAAACACAUGCGGCAACUUGGUUUUGGCUACUAGCAAAGCUGACUCAUCUAGCUCUGGAUAAGAUUUGCUCUCAGUGUCUUCACUCGAAGACAUAGGAUUUGGUUGAGCAUCACUUCAGUCACUCCGACUUUGUUCACUUGGACCCCACUUAACAAUACGGUGGUUCCUAUGACUAAUAAGAAGAAGAGGAAACUACGAAACAACUAUGUCUUCGCACUCCAUAGUCUUCAAGUGAAUAGCUUCACGCGUCAUAAUCUUCGUUGUGAAUGUCUUCACGAACCACCAUUGUCGUCAAUGUCUUCACACAUUUUUAGGGGUCAUCUCUGGUAGGUAAACCGAGUCAAUGAGGGACACUACCUGUGUUAUCCUGCAAUUCUCACAAACACAUUAGUCCCUUAACCAUAUUUGUCGUCAAUACUCCAAAACCAACUAGGGGUGGCACUAGAUGCACUUACAAUCUCCCCCUUUUUUGUGAUUGAUGACAAACUGGUUGAAGUUUUCAAUGGGGAUAAAAGUAUGUGAAAGUUCAGUGUUGUGAGUAUUGUCUUCAUACAUAUGACGAGGCUUCCCCUGAAGAUGUGCAUAUAAAUAGUUUGCUUUUGAAUGCAAAUGCACGUGGCAGGUUUUUCUUUGUGGAGGCCAUCUUCAAAGUGUGAAGACAAUGCAUCAUGCAUAUAAAAGGAUAAUGAAGAUAAUGAUAUGCAUAAUGGAAAAUGGACGUCUGCAGAAUGACUUCAUGCAGAAUUUAUCAUUGCAUCACAAAGUGGCAGCAAAAAGUAGCAGACGACCAUCAAGUUUAAGUGUUACAACUGAAAAGCAAAAAGUUUCAGAAUGAGAGUUGUAAGAACUUAGCAAAAAUUUAGCAACCACCCAUAUGGACCCGCUUGAAGACUAUCAACUCAUAUGCUUCUCCCCCUUUUGUUAGUAAUGACCAAAAAGGUUUGAAGACAUAGAGAUCUACUCAUUCCUAGUUGGAGACGAAAGUGGAGCAGCAGGGUCGACGUUGGAGUUUGGUGGAGCAGACAGGCCUUGUGCAUCAUCAUCAUGCUGAGCAGUGAGAGCAGGCGAAGUGGCGUCAUCUUCUUCAUCGACGAAUCUCGCAACAACAGUUUCAACCGAGGAUGAAUACUCAGAAUAUUCAAUGGAGGGUGUGAGACACUAGUAGAAAAAGGGUCAAAUGUGAGACACAUUAGUCCCGGUUUGUAACAGAACCGGCACUAAUGUGUCCAUUAGUGCCGGUUCCAACGGCUAGCCGGGAGGAGCUCUUUAGUACCGGUUUGUGGCAAACCUUUAGCACCGGUUCGUGCCACGAACCGGUACUAAUGAGAGUGGUGGCAGGAUGUUGUCAGAGUGGGGCCCUUUCAGCACCUUUAGUACCGGUUCGUGUCACGAAUCGGUACUAAUGUUGUCAGAGUGGGGCCCUUCCAGCAUCUUUAGUACCGGUUCGUGGCACGAACCGGUACUAAAGGUCGUCCUAUAUAAAUCCUUCGUCCACCCGCACUCUGUUCUUCCCCCUUUCCCCUCUCCCUCUCCUCUGUUCUUCCCUUCUUCCUCUCGAGUUCAUCACAAAACUUGCCCCAAAUUUGUCAAGAUUUGCCGGCCCUCAUCCAUUCAAAUGAUCACCAAGGUUAGCAACUUCGUCCUUUCAUCUCUCAUUGCUAGAUUAGCUCUUGCAUUGGUUUAUAUAGUGAUUAAUUGUGGGUUUUAGUAAUUUGGGAGGAAUUAUAUGUGGUAGUAUUUGAUUUAUAUGCAAUUUGAGGUCAAAAUAACACUUAGUUUGCAUAUGUAGGUGUGGUUUACUUAGUGCCUUCUAAAUCUCCGUCGUAACCACCGUCGAUCGCCUGCACCGUCCCGUCGCCGGCACCACCUUGUGGUGAGACUCUUGUUCAUGAAAUUUUAUAUAAAAAAUUGAUGUUUGCGUGAUUUGGAUAUAUAGUUACUCGUAUAAUAAUUAUCUUACCCAUACGUUGUUUGUUAUACAUAGUGCCAUGGUUUUGAUAUCCGUCCCCGUCGGCUCUCGUCCUUGUUAUGAUUCGGAUGUGGUAUAUUCUCUUUUAAAACUAUUUGUUGCAUUUCGUGUUUAUGACAAAUUAUGCCCAUCAAGUUGACAUAGAUAUUUUUAUCUAGGAGGUAUGUGAACCGGAAAUUCCAACCGACCCUAUUGUCGAGAGGUUAAAUUUAGUUGAAAGAGAAAAUGAGUACUUGAAAGAAAAAUUGAAAAGAAUUGAGGAGGAGAAGAUGGAAUUGGAGUUGCAUGUUGCCGAUGUCAUCGAUGAUCACAAGAUCAAGAUGGAGAAAAUGCGCUUGAAGAUUAGAAAGAUUAGAAAAUAUGCCAUCGAUAGUGAGGCUUGGUAUCAUUAUGCUGUUGGAUCAAUUGUUACCUUAGUUGCGAUCUUGAUCGCAUUUGUUGUUGCAUUUAAAUGCUUUAGCUAGAGAGUUAUUUGUUUGUUGCAUUUAAGUGUUGUAUGAACUUUAUGUAUGAACUUGUAUUAAUUUGGUCUAUUCGGUGUUGUGUAAUGAAGAUGAGCCGGCAAUGGAUGUACGAUGACCGAUGCUCUCCCCAGUUUGUUGAGGGCGUGCAUACUUUUCUGCUUGCGGCUGAGGCAAACAAGCGGGCGGAUGGUUUUAUGCCUUGUCCAUGUGCUGGCUGUAAGAAUGGUCGCAAUUACUCUACGUCAAGAACCAUUCACGUCCACCUGUUUGAGUCCGGUUUCAUGCCCCACUAUAAUGUUUGGACCAAGCACGGAGAAAGAGGGGUUAUGAUGGAAGACAAUGAAGAAGAAGAGGACAACGACAACUAUCCUGGCCAUGGGUUCCCUAAAUACGAUGAUACAACAAUGGGGGAAGAAGCUGAGCCGGUAAUGCGGGAAGAAGCUGAGCCGGCAAUGCGGGAAGAAGCUGAAGAAGAGGCAUCAGAUGAGCCCGUUGAUGAUCUAGGUCAGGCCAUUGCCGAUGCAAAGAGAAACUGCGCAAGUGAUUUGGAGAAGAAGAAGUUGCAGCACUUGUUAGAGGAUCAUAAAAAAUUGUUGUACCCAAAUUGCGUAGGUGACAAGAAAAAGCUGGGCACCACACUGGAAUUGCUGCAAUGGAAGGCAGAGAAUGGUGUAUCUGACAAGGGAUUUGGAAAGUUGCUGGUAAUGAUAAAGGAUAUGCUUCCGAAGGACAACGAAUUGCCCGAGAGUACGUACGAAGCAAAGAAGGUUGUCUUCCCUCUAGGGUUAGAGGUGCAGAAGAUACAUGCAUGCCCUAAUGAUUGCAUCCUCUACCGCGGUGAGUACGAGGAUUGUGAAGCUAUGUGCAUUUCUCAAUGCAAUCUCUCAGAAGGUAAUCGAUCCAGAAAUCAUACCAAGGUUACAGAAUGAUUUGGUGCAAUGUCUUGUCAGUUUCGAGUUGGUGUUCCCACCAUCCUUCUUCAACAUCAUGACGCACGUCCUAGUUCACCUAUGCAAGGAGAUUAACGUUUUGGGUCCUGUAUUUCUACACAAUAUGUUCCCCUUUGAGAGGUUCAUGGGAGUCUUAAAGAAAUAUGUUCAUAACCGUGCUAGGCCAGAAGGAAGCAUCUCCAAGGGCCAUCAAAAUGAGGAGGUCAUUGAGUUUUGUAUUGACUUUAUUCCUGACCUUAAGCCGAUUGGUUCCUGAAUCGCGGCAUAAGGGCAGACUGGAUGGAAAAGGCACGCUAGGAGGGGAACAAAUAAUAUGUAUGGACAGACAUUCUCUCACUGAAGCACACUACACAGUUCUAUAGAAUUCCGCCUUGGUGGCUCCGUAUAUGGAUGAACACAAGAAUUUGCUACGCUCCAAACACCCGGAGCGGUCUGAUGACUGGAUUACACGUGAACAAACCAGGAGUUUCGCCAGCUGGUUGCAGACACGUACCAUGCAUGACACCUCUAUUGAAGAUGACCUGUACUUGCUGUCCCAGUUACCAUCUUCGAAUAUAAUGACUUUCAAAGGGUACGAGAUAAAUGGUAAUACAUUUUACACGAUCGUAAGAUAAGAAGAGCACCAACCAAAACAGUGGUGUCUGCUUUGAUGAAGAAACCAAGACGGGAAAGGAAACAUAUUAUGGUUAUAUACAGGACAUAUGGGAACUUGACUAUCGACGUGGUUUAAAGGUCCCUUUGUUUCGGUGCAAAUGGGUCAAUAUGACAUGAGGCGGGGUAACGGAAGACCCGCAGUACAGAAUGACAAUAGUGGAUCUCAACAAUCUUGCGUAUGCAGACGAACCAUUCGUCCUAGCCAAUGAUGUGGCACAGGUUUUCUAUGUGAAGGACAUGUCUACCAAGCCAAGAAAAAGAAAAGAUAAGGAAGCGAAUGCAUCGUACGAUGAGCCAAAGCGGCACAUAGUUCUUUCUGGGAAGAGAAACAUCAUGGGAGUGGAUGACAAGACAGACAAGUCAGAAGAUUAUGAAAAGUUUGAUGAAAUUGCUCCAUUCAGAGUGAAUAUUGACCCGAGUAUCCCGUUAAAUGAUGAAGAUUUUCCAUGGUUACGGCGCAAAGGGACACACGCGAAGAAAAAGUUUCACACCCAAAGAUCUGGGAUGUGAUCGGCUUCACUAGCUAUCAUCACUUUCUUCUGUGUUUCUCACCAAGAGGGGAAUCUCUGUAAUAGUUAGGGUAGUUAUGUGUUUUGGCAUUUGAAAUGCGAAGAAAUUUUAUGUGCAAACAAAUUCACACUAAUUUCAAAUAAUUCAAAAUUUAAACUAUUCAAAUUUGAAAACUAUGGGCACUAACAGAAAGUUUGUAAUUUUUUGUACCUAAAGAGGUUGUGUAAGCCUCCGGUCAGGCUAUGGCCCCACCAUCACCAUUUAGUGCCGGUUCAUGUUUUGGCAUUUGAAAUGCGAACAAAUUUUAUGUGCAAACAAAUUCACACUAAUUUCAAAUAAUUCAAAAUUUAAACUAUUCAAAUUUGAAAACUACGGGCACUAACAGAAAGUUUGUAAUUUUUUGUACCUAAAGAGGUUGUGUAAGCCUCCGGUCAGGCUAUGGCCCCACCAUCACCAUUUAGUGCCGGUUCGUACCACGAACCGGUACUAAUGAGGUUGUGUCAGGUAAGUCUGGGGCCCCACGAGCACCUUUAGUACCGGUUCAUGGAUGAACCAGACGUAAGCUGUUUUUUAGUCCCACCUCGCGAAGUGAGAGGGACUAGGAGCGGUUUAUAAGCCCUGAGUGCAGAGACGAUGAACAAGAGGAUCAAUGCUCACGUUGCUUAGCUUCAAGCCUUCAGGAAUACGGUAGACUGCACGGAGCUAUGCGCAGUGCAGUUUACACUAUUCCGAAAGGCUUGAAGCAAAUUAACGAGCAUUGCACCUCUUUUUUAUUUUUAACAACUUAUUAAAACUCCGGACUUCUUCUGUUAUGGCAAAAACUAAUUGCACGUCGACAUUUCUUUUUUUUAAGUUAUAACUCCAGACUUUGACCAUCAUGUUUUGCAGAAAAGAAAAAAUAGCAAAAAAGAAAGAAAAACUAUAGCUGAAAAGAAAAAAAACUAUAUAAAAAAACUACUCAAAAAUAAAUAGAAGAAAAUAAAUAUAGCAGAAAAGAAAAAACUAUUCAGAAAUAAAUAGAAGAAAAAAUAAAGCAGAAAAGAAAAAAAAUUAUAUUUGCUAUUUUUCAAUCGUUUACAAAAUGACCGUGAAAUUGAAAAUCACUACAAAAUGAACUCUGAAAAUGUUGAAUUUUGGCAAACUAGAUGAAAAACUACUCACAAAUAAAUAGAAGAAAAGAAAUAUAACAGAAAAGAAAAAACUAUACAAAAAACUAUGCAAAAUAAAUAGAAGAAAAUAAAGCAGAAAAGAAAAAAACUAUAAAAAAAAUUGGGGCGCUGCCCUGUGGGUCUGAUAGGCCAUAGGUGUGUAAUUACAGGCCUUAAAGGCCCAGCAGACUCAUAGGGCAGCGCACAGAGUUUAGGCCCACAAGACUGCUAUACAGAGGAGUUCGAAGUGGUAGCCGCGACUGGGUUUAUAAACCAGUGCGGCUGCCCUUCGCCCGGCGAGGUGGGACUAAACUUUGGGGUGGCAGCGCGAGGCCUUUAGUACCGGUUGGAGCCACCAACCGGUACUAAAGGGGGGGCCUUUAGUACCGGUUUGUGCCACCACCCGGUACUAAAGGGGGUCGCUUCCUGCCGCUUGGGCUGGCCAAAACUGGCCUUUAGUACCGGUUGGUGGCACAAACCGGUACUAAAGGCCCCUCCUAUAUAAACAACACUUGCGAGAAUUUCAUUCUCCCUCUGUUUCUUCCUCUGUUUCUGUCGUCUCCGUCGCCGUCGCCGCCCCUGUCCCCGUCGCCGCCCUCGUCUCCGUCGNNNNNNNNNNNNNNNNNNNNNNNNNNNNNNNNNNNNNNNNNNNNNNNNNNNNNNNNNNNNNNNNNNNNNNNNNNNNNNNNNNNNNNNNNNNNNNNNNNNNNNNNNNNNNNNNNNNNNNNNNNNNNNNNNNNNNNNNNNNNNNNNNNNNNNNNNNNNNNNNNNNNNNNNNNNNNNNNNNNNNNNNNNNNNNNNNNNNNNNNNNNNNNNNNNNNNNNNNNNNNNNNNNNNNNNNNNNNNNNNNNNNNNNNNUAACCCCUCUCCCUCGCCCCCGGCGGCCACCAUGGGCGCCGCCCCUCCCCGAGCCCAUACACACACACACAAGCAUGAUGAACACACACACACACACACAUAUGUAUGAAUUAAUGCAUGUAUAUAUUAGUAUAUACGUAUUUUGUAUGUUUAAUUAGUUUAGAUUAUUAUUUUUUCACUAUUAUAUAUGUAUGAAUGCAUGUUAGAUGGAUAUAAUUAGUGUUUAAUUAGUAUGGACAUUUUUUAUAUAAUGUUGUUUUUUAGUUUUUUAAUGGAUGUAUAGAAGUUGUGUUUUCUGUUUUUAGUGUUAGAUGCUUAAUUAGUAUGAAAUAGUAUAUAGAUUUUUGAAAUAGUAGAAAUGUUAGAAAUUUUAGUUAUCAAAAUCCAAUCAUUAAAAAAAUGUUACUUUUUGCGGGCAUAUAGCUAGUAUUUGUUCUCGACGAUGCCCGGCCCGCAUCCUCGCCGGCGACCCGUCCGCGACAACGUCCAGCCGACCCAUGUCCGGGACUGGGCUCCGCCGGGCUGGCACUGGGAGGUGCUGCCUGGAGGGGCGCGCCGCUUGAUGAGGAACCCGGCCCCGGGUCCCGUCGUCGACCCUGAUCUCGUUUGAUGGCGUUCGCGUGGGCCAGUUUCGGUGCGGAGGGACCCGGCCCCGCCGGAGGUGGUACAUCGCCGUGUCAGGGAGGAGGACGAGCACGUCCAUCGCUACAUGGUUGCGUUACAGGGCGGCAGGUUCUCCAAUACCUGGCAGUAUCUUCGGGGAUCUCACUUCAGCUAUGAUCCUGUGAGGGUUGCUUCUCUUUGGGUGUCCACCGCCCGCGCCGCAGGAACCGCGAGUGUCCUAGAUUCUUUUGUAGUAUUCGAUCUUUAAUUAGCUAGCCAGUGAUGUACUAUUCAAUAUUAUAUAUUAUUCGAGACGAUGUAUUCGAGAUUAUAUCUAUUAUUCUAGACGAAGUAUUCGAGAUUAUAUCUAUUAUUCAAGACGAUGUAAUUUGAAUACUAAAUUGUUUUAUAUUUCUUUUGAAUUAGUUAAAUAAAAGCUAUGGCAGACAAUACCGACAGAGAGGGAGAACAGACCAUGUUCGAUAUGAUACACGGGCCAGAUGAUGAUCAGAAUGAAGAAGAUUAUGACGGCUCCGAAUUUCUAAACAACAUCGGAGAGGGUGAUAUGAUAUUCGAUCGCGACGCCCGAAUUGAUGAAGUCAUGAACUACGAUUAUGACGAUGACGAAGAACAUGUUGAUCCUGAAACAACAAAGACCGGCGAGGUAUAUAUAUUUAUAUAAGCAGGUAUCUGGUGAUCAUCACAUGUUUUAAAUGACUUGAAGAUAUAUUAACGAAUCGAUCUUUGUUCUUUCAGCCAUCCGGAUCGAGCAAAUCUUCAGGCAAAAGGACAAAACGAGGCCCGAACAAAAAGUUGAAGGAGGGCGUAAAGUACAAUAUCGAGGCAGUCAGACCUAAUGGCGAACCAUUAGCGCCUAAGAAGAUUGCGGACAAGUUCGUUCGUCAGUGCAGAGUUCUUGUGAAGGACCAACUCCCGAUCUCCCUUCAAGAAUGGAGAGAGCCAGCAAAAGACAAAAGACAAAAAGGCAAAGAGGACACUGCUCCACGUCCAGAUGUUACUUUUGUUGACAAGAAUCAAAAAGAUCUGCUUUGGGAUACUCUCAUGGAACAUUUCACCCUACCAGAUCAUUUCACAGAAGCAGAUGUGCAGAAAGUCAAGGACGCUGCUCUUAGGAAGAUGGCGGUUGCAUUCAAGAACCACAAGAAUCGUGAAUGGGACAAGUACAUCAAGGGAGGAAGGAAGACUCCAGUAUUCUAGGGAACACUAGAGAACCAACAUGCUCAUUGGACGAUUUCGUGAAAUUCAAGGAUUCGGAAUUAGCUAAGGAACGGUCGAGAAUAAACAAGAAGAAUGCCGAAAAAAAAGGAUAAGUUCCAUAAGCUGGGGCCAGGUGGCUAUGCGGUGGCAAUGCCUAAGUGGGAUAAGUCUGAGAAUGAGAUGGAGGAUGCAGGUGUCACUCCAGUUACUAAGAGCUACCCCCCAGGGUCAGGACUUGGUUCUAUGCGCAUGGGGGGGAGUUGGACCCGAAGACAGGCAAUGUUUCGACGAGGGCAAGUCUGAAGGGAGCCGACGAUGCGAUACUUGUUGCAAUAGAAGAGGCAUGAUCGGGGGUGUUCCAGCCCAACAGAGAGAAUGACGAGGAACACCGACUACAGAACCCGUGCGAGAAAGAAGAUUGCGGAGGAGAAGAAGAGGAAGAUGGAGGAGGAGCAGAGGAAGCGGGACUAUGAACGCCUUCAAGGCCUAGAAGCAAGUCAAGCGGAAUUGGUAGUCAAAUUCCAGCGGCAGCAGGAGCAGAUCGACUCACUUACCCAGCAAAGGGGGUCUCAGCAGCUGCAGCAGCUAGCGAAUGAUCCAGCAUUGGAUAGCACCGCCCCAUCCAUGCCGAGAAGCAGCGUGGGUUCCACCCCGGACGACGCAAUGCUGGGUAGAUACCCCGUGGAUGACAUCACGGAGAACACAAGCUGCGAGCUACACGUCAAAAUGAAGAACAUAUCCAUGAAGGUGGCGGACGCCGUUGCUUUUACAAAUCCGCCCAAGGCAACCUUCCAUUGCAACCCGAUUCCAGCGGGCUAUGCUCGUGUCUUGGUUGAUGAGGUGGUGGACCCAUAUUCAGAGCUAGAGCUUGACAUUCCUUGAGGUGACGACGAGCGCUUUCUCGGAGAGGCCAACCAUCAUAUCAUCCUAUGGAAAAAGGAUUGCAUCAUCUUUCGAAGGCCACCGACACCGCGUCAGCCGACUCCUCGUCGAAGUCCGCCACCGAGUCAGCAGUCUCCCGCUCCUGCAAGUCCACCAAGUCCGGCAAAGUGUCAGGCCACUCCUCCUCCAAGUCCGGCAAAGUGUCAGGCCACUCCUCCUCCUCCAAGUCCGCCACAGCGUCAGACGUCCACUCCUCCUUCAAGUCCGACACAACCUCAGGCCACUCCUCCUCCAAGUCCGGCACAGCUUCAGGCGGCCACUCCUCCUCGUCCAACUCAGCCCCGUCAGCCGUCUCCGCUGCCUCAGCAAUUGCAGAAGAGACACCCCGCAGCUAUGGUGCGUAGCGGUACGAGUAGAGGUAGUAUAGGAAGUACAGGCGGAGGCAAGCGAUAUAAAUAUGGUCCAAGCCUCACGCCUCUUCCGUAGAGGGCUUAUGACAGGUCCGAGGAGGAAAUCGCAGCCAUAUCGAAGUCCGAGGUGGAAGCCCAUUUUGCACCGAAACCGCCACCGCCGCCAAGGGAGAAAGUGCCUGAGGAAACGAUUGACCACUUCAUUCGUAUGGCUCAACCACCAGCUCCCAAGCCUGUUGACAUAGACUAUGAGCGCCACAUCAGGAAGUUAAAUCGAGCACGUCUACGUAAGGAGGUGAGCUCGGGAUCGAGCAAACAAGAAGCAACUGUCAAAAAAUGCGGGAAAACCAUUCCCCAGCUGGGAGAACAGGCGGCGCAAUCGAUCCCCUCGCUUGUUGUGCCAACAACACGUGAUAGUAUGCGCGCCCAAUAUUAUUGUGGGCAAACAAUUUACGUUCCUGAGGUGGGCAAUGUGGUAAUAACGGAGGACCUAUAAUGCAGGCUGAAGUUCUCAAAAUCAUUGUUGGACAACUCCUCGAGAUCGAGCCCAUGCCUGUGCUUAGAGAGGAUGAAUUAAAAUGAAAAUAUGUCCGGGGCCAACCUUUGGUCGAGCCAGACAAGGUCAAGAACCUCCCAACGAGAAUGUAUGAAUUGCAUCAAUGGUACAUGAACAUUACCAAGAUUUCAGAUCGAUUGUCCCUCAUGGUGAAUGUCAAGGAGGAUGAUUACUUCCAUGAUAAAGCUCUGUCCGUUGAGUAUUUUGAACUGUUUCAGUUAUACAAUCAAGACGCAUUCGACAAAUCUAUCGUCAGUUGCUAUUGUCUGUAAGUGAUUUCUUUCUGUAAUUUAAGUCUCAAGCUAGCUGUAGUGAUCCUUUUGAUCGUCAAUCAUUACCUGUAAUUAUCCUCACUAUAUUCUUUUCUGUGGUAUUAUGCAGGAUGAAGAUGUAUGAAAUGAGAAAAGCUGGACGCUAUGGCAUUGGGUUCAUUGACCCAAACACCGUUAAUGAAUACACAUGGCGGAUAAAUCGACAUCAUCAAAAGGACAUAGAGGACAACAUGCUAGAGUUCUUGAAGCGCCUCAAAUACAAUGAAGAUAUACUACUUCCUUACAACUUCUAGUGAGUCACACUGUCUUGUACUACAAAUUCUCUGUUUUUGCCUACUAGCUAGCUACAUGUUUUUGCUUACAUAUGCCCGCUUAAUUAAGACAUGCAAACGUGUUUGCAUGCAGAUUUCACUGGGUCUUGUGUAUCAUUAAAGUUGACGACGGAACAGUUGAAAUACUGGACUCACUACUCAAAGUUAAAACUGACUAUAACAUCUUGUUUGGGAUAGUCAACAGGUAAUUUCAAUCAUUAUUAACUAUAUAUCUCGGCCUAUUUAGUUCGUCAUUUCAUGAUAUGAACUAUUUAAUAACCCCUUUAUUCAUUUUCUUUGUCGGCGGGCAGGGCUUGGGAAAGGUUCAUCAGCGUCACGGAAGGCGAAUGGGAAAAAAAGCUUAAAUGGGGAAGACCCAAGGUAAGUAAUUAAGUAGUACUAGCUAGCUAGAUAGCUGCCAUCUCUUUAAUUAUCAUGCUUGAUUAAUUAUUAUCUGAUCAAAUUCCAUUCUCGUAAAGGCCCUGAAGCAGGCGCAGGGGACUGAUCUGUGUGCAUUCUGCGUUUGCGAGAACAUUCGCAUGAUGGCGUCCGAAAGGAGCAGAUCUCAAAGAUAGGAAUGGGUACGCUUGUCAGAACACUAUUCACAAUUUUUAUACCAUUAUCGAAAUCUAGUCACACAACUAAUACACAUGCAUAUUGAUCUCCUUCUUAACAGUUCAGAGAGGUGCGGGAGAAGCUCCUAGAAACGGAGCGCGUAGAAGCACUUCAAGAGGAAAUAGCGGGAUUUUUGCUCGACCAGGUCAUAAAUCCGAAGGGAGAAUACUAUUACCCGCUACCGCCCCCAUGAAAACCACUUCCAAUUGUCAUCGUGCUCCGAAGGCACCAAUUAGGCUAAUGCCACUGGCUCCGAAGGCAACAUGCAUAUGUAGGAGAAAUUGUAUAUAGCUAGCUAUACAUUUGUGUAUGUGUGAAUUAAUUAAUAUGGUGGUUUGUGAGACAUUGAUGAUAUAUAUAUGCAUGAUUGGUUCUACUAGAAAUUCUAUAUAUAUAUAUAUAUGCAUAACGUGUACAAUGUGUAGUAUCGUAAAAUACUAGCAAACGAAAAAGAAUUAAAAUGGAAACACAAAAUUAAAUGAAAAAGAAAUCAUAAAACUAAAAAAACCCCAAACCUUAUAGUAUCGGUUGGUAUUACCAACCGGUACUAAAGGGCUCCAGCCCCCCGGAGCUGGCUCGUGCCACGUGGUUGCCCUUUACCACCGGUUCAUGCUGAACCGGUACUAAAGGGGGGCGGGGGCUUUAGUGCCCACACUUUAGUGCCGGUUAUGGAACCGGCACUAAAGGGCCUUACGAACCGGUGCUAUUGCCCGGUUCUGCACUAGUGAGAAGCCAACUUGCAUUUUGAGGAGGCCUGGAGUCAAACUUGAAAUUUUCAAUGAAGCCAUCCGCGCGAAGUUCAUCUUCAGCAUAGAGAAAGGUGAGACUCUUCCAGGAACGGCGCCAAGCUUCAUGUGCUACAAACGAGUUCUUGGUGGCUAAGUUGCGACUACGAUUGACAUCCACCAAGAUACUCUUCAUCUGACGCUUUAGCCAGUCAUGAUGUGUAACGCCCCGGAUUUGAUGCGCCAGGUGUCUCCCAGUUAUUCGCCGUAGUUGCCAUGUCAUUUGCUUGCGUGUUGCAUUUUGCCAUGUCAUCAACUGCAUUUCAUCUGCAUCUUUUUCAAAACUUGCAUCCGUUCGGGUUUCCCCGGUUCUCUCCGUUGCCCGUUCCGAGUCCAGCCACACUCGCAUGCGCCGUCGCCUCUCUCAGACCUUGUUUCGUGAGCGGGAGAAAAACGUUCUCGGAAUGGGCCGAGAUUUGCCGAGUGGCCUUCGUAUAGCACUGGUAGACCGCCCGUCAAAUUUCGUUCCAUUUGGAGGUCGUUUGAUGCUACAUCGGUUAACCGCAUAGCCCGAAAGCCCUCUCUGUUUGUAGUCAAGCCCCUCUUCACCACAACCCAUGAGCCCAUCCAAACCCCCUCCAUGCUCUCGGUCGUUCAAUCACGAUUGUGUGGGGAAAACCGCACCUCAUUUGGAGUCUCCUAGCUCCCUCUACAUAUAAAUAUGUGCCUCCCCCCGAAAUUUCACAGUCCAAACCCUAGCCCCGCUCCCCUCCCGCCAUCAGACAUUUCAUCCCCGCUGCCGGACAUGUCCACCGCCGCCAGCCACCUCACUCCGGCCAAUCCCGGACCGCCACCUCAGCACCGCCGCCUCCCUCAGCCAACCCCGCGCCGCCAAGUGGCGUGCCGGCCUCCUCUCUCCUCCCCGCACCUGCCGCGGCCCGGAUCAGGCCCUCCCAGCCCGCGCGCCCGAGCCGCCCCNNNNNNNNNNNNNNNNNNNNNNNNNNNNNNNNNNNNNNNNNNNNNNNNNNNNNNNNNNNNNNNNNNNNNNNNNNNNNNNNNNNNNNNNNNNNNNNNNNNNNNNNNNNNNNNNNNNNNNNNNNNNNNNNNNNNNNNNNNNNNNNNNNNNNNNNNNNNNNNNNNNNNNNNNNNNNNNNNNNNNNNNNNNNNNNNNNNNNNNNNNNNNNNNNNNNNNNNNNNNNNNNNNNNNNCAUGGAGCCUCACCGCCCUGUCGCCCGCGCCUCCUCGCGAGCCGCCGCCUCCGCCCGCGGCCCCGUCGCCUCGGCCCCAUCGUUCGCCGUCGUCUCGCCGCCCCAGAUCUGGCCGGCCCUGACUCCGGUGACCCCUCCCUAGUCCUCUCCGGCGCCAUCUCCGGCGAGCUCCGGCCCUUCCUCGAUCCACGUGCAAACCCUAGAUCUGGAGGUUGACCCAAAAUUUCCUCCAAGUCCUUUUUUUCUGACACAUUAUGUUGCACUGUUCAUCACAUCAUAUCUUCUUUCAUACUGCUCCGUUUUGCGUGCAUAAUAUAUACAAAUGUUCAUCAUGAGAUGCUCUUCAUUUCAUUACAUUGUGCCAUGCUUGUUUGAGUUCAUCUUGACGCUCUAAUCAUCAUUGCAAGAGUGCUAUAUGAUGUUAACUGCUGUCUGUUAUCAGAACUUGCUGUUUUGUCUUUUUCAUUGCAUUUUGUGUGUGCAUCCUAUGUGCUUGAUGUCUACAUGAGUUUUGAGCUACAUCAUUUCAUAUUUACAGUGGUGCAAUCCAUGUAUUUUUGUGAGUAUUGUAGUGAAUACAUCAAGCUUGUGAAGUAGGGUACUUGCUGUUACUGUUUUGCUAGGUUGAAACUGCUAUAUCAUGAUGCUAUGUAAACCUGCUGCUACAAGUCAUUCUAUACAUAAUCUGGAGAUGUUCAAUAAGGAUGUUUUGUUCUACAUGUCAUUUUCUAUCCAUCCAUGCCCCUGGUUGAAUUUAUAGCCUGCUGUAGCUUUUUGUAAUCUUGCUCUCAAAUUGCUAAAUAAUGUUGCUGUCAGCCUGUUAACGUUAAGUUCAGUUUUUUCCAUGAGCUUUACUAGUGAUCCAUGCACCCUAUGAACUUUCGGUUGCCAUGCUUAGCUUCAUAAGUAUGUCUUAUUACUGUUGGUCACCUUGUCAUGCCAUGUAUUGCUCUGUGGUGAGUGGUACAAGCUCACCAAUAUGCCUACUUAUCGUUGUUCCUGCCAUGUCUGAAUCUGUCAUAUCACUUGCCAUGUUUGCAUGGAUGCGACCAUCUUUUCUGUUGAUCUUUGGAAUUAGUUCAGUAAGGGUGUUUUGUUCUUUGUCUUUACUAUUAGCAUGCCAUGACUUUUUUUCCUUGUUAAGUUCUUGUAGCUUGUUGUUUGAUAGCUCUAAACAUUGCAACCUGAUGUUAUUUCUGCUAAGUCUAAAACUGUUAUUAUUUGCAAUCUUGCCAUGUCCUUUUGAGCAUGUGUAGUGAUUUCUGGAGAGAGCUCAUUGUUCAUGUUUUGUCAUGCUUUACCUGUACAUCACGUCCAUGCCUUUUGUUAUCAUGUUGGGGUGCUGUAGCAUGUCAUUUAGAUGUUUGCAAGAUGCCUAGUUGCUGUUUUGGACAGAUUGUUGUCAUAUCUUGUUUGGAGUGUAUGUGUUGAACCGUUGCUCCGUUUUGAGUGUACUCUAUAUGAAAUGAAACUUGCUUGAUUUGCAUGAAGUUUCAUAUUAUCAUGUUGCAUCCAUGUUUUGGGAGUGUUUGCUUGAUGUUUGUAUGCAUUUUGCAUCAAUGCCAUGUUUAACUUGUUUUGAUCAUAUCUUCUAGGCCGUAGCUCCUAAUUAAAUGAACUUUGUAUGUAACUUGACUAGAAUCUCGUGUAGAUCAUCUUGGUGCAUCUUAACUUGCUGUUUAACAACUUGAACAUAAGGUUUAUUCAGUUCUGGACCAAUUCUAAAUUUGCAUAUGAGGACUUACCAGAAUUGUUAUAUGUUGUUUCCGAUCUCAUUUAACCUUGCUUUGAUGUGUUGUUCUUGUAUGCAUCAUCUCUUGCCAUGAGUAGCUUCAUGUAGUCUUGUCUUGCAUCAUACUUGGUUGGGCAUCAUGUCAUGUAUAUGUGUGGUGUGUUUAGCAUGUUGUGUGCUUCUUCUCUAUAGUUCCCGUUUCUUUGCGAUCGUGAGGAUUCGUUCGUCUACGCUUGGUUUGUCUUCGUGGCUUCAUAUUCUUCAUAGACUCAUUCUUCUUCCUAGCGGGAUUUCAGGCAAGAUGAACGUCACCUUGGAUAUCAUUACUAUCAUUGGUAUGCUAGUUGCUUCGUCUAUCGCUAUGCCAUGUUACCUACCACUUGAUUAUCAAGCCUCCCAAAUUGCCAUGAACCUCUAACCUUUGUCACCCUUCCUAGCAAACCGUUGUUUGGUUAUGUUACCACUUAUGCUCAGCCCCUCUUAUAGCAUUGUUAGUUGCAGGUGAAGUUGAAGAUUGCUCCAUGGUGGACAUGAUUAUGGUUGGGAUAUCACAAUAUCUCUUAUUUAAUUAAUGCAUCUAUAUACUUGGUAAAGGGUGGAAGACUUGGCCUUAUGCCUGGUCUUUUGUUCCACUCUUGCCGCCCUAGUUUCCGUCAUACCGGUGUUAUGUUCAUUGAUUUUGCGUUCCUUACGCAGUUGGGUGAUUUAUGGGACCCCCUUGACAGUUUGCUUUGAAUAAAACUCCUCCAGCAAGGCCCAACCUUGGUUUUACCAUUUGCCUCACCACCACCUAUACCUUUCCUUUGGGUCGGCCAACCAGAGGGUCAUCUUUAUUUUAGCCCCCCCGAGCCAGUGCUUCUCUAAGUGCUGGUCCGAACCGAACUGUCUGCGGGGCCACCUCGGGGAAACUUGAGGGCUGGUUUUACUCGUAGCUAGUCUCAUUCGGUGUUGCCCUGAGAACGAGAUAUGUGCAGCUCCUAUCGGGAUUGUCGGCACAUCGGGCGGCUUUGCUGGUUUUGUUUUACCAUUGUCGAAAUGUCUUGUAAACUGGGAUUCCGAGACUGAUCGGGUCUUCCUGGGAGAAGGAAUAUCCUUCGUUGACCGUGAGAGCUUGUGAUGGGCUAAGUUGGGACACCCCUGCAGGGUAUAAACUUUCGAGAGCCGUGCCCGCGGUUAUGUGGCAGAUGGGAAUUUAUUAAUGUCCAGUUGUAGAUAACUUGACACCAGAUUCGAAUUAAAACGCAUCAACCGUGUGUGUAGCCGUGAUGGUCUCUUUUUGGCGGAGUCCGCGAAGUGAACACGGUUUUGGGUUAUGUUUGACGUAAGUAGGAGUUCAGGAUCACCUCUUGAUCAUUGCUAGCUUCGCGACCGUUCUGUUUGCUCUCUUCUCGCUCUUAUUUGCGUAUGUUAGCCACCAUAUAUGCUUAGUCGCUGCUGCAACCUCACCACAUAUCCUUUCCAUACCCAUUAAUCUUUGCUAGUCUUGAUACCCAUGGUAAUGGGAUUGCUAAGUCCUCAUGGCUCACAGAUUACUAAAACAACAGUUGAAGGUACAGGUUAUGCGGUGAUAUUAACACAAGAGCAAUGUUUGCUUGUUUUGGAGUUCUUCUUCUACUUCUUCUUUGAUCAGGGGAUAGGUUCCAGGUCGGCAGCCUGGGCUAGCAGGGUGGAUGUCGUUUGAGUUUCUGUUUGUGUUUCAUCCGUAGUCGGAUGGUGCUCUUAUGUAAGAUGAUGUUGUAUUCAUGUGGCAUUGUAUGCCUUUUGUAUGUAUCCCCAUCUAUUAUGUAAUGUUGAUUUAAUGAUAUCCACCUUUCAAAAGCGUAUCAAUAUGCGGUUCUAUCCUUGGUGGGACCUUCGAGUCUCUUUAGGAUAGUAUCGCAUAUUGGGCGUGACAUGAUGUUUGUCCUGCUUUUGAUGUAAAGCCACCGGAAGCUCGCGGUCAUUAAGAACACGAGGACACUUUUGAGGCCUUUGUGUAAUGGUGCUUGCAGUGGCUUCACUAUUUGCACGGUGCGGUAGGCGUAGGUUGCUAGUCAAAGGAUAGGCAGGAGUUGCAGCAUUGGGCACAUGAACACCAUCAAUGGGCUAUGUGAAGCGCUCUGGAACUCAGCAUUUUGAAGGUGGAGGGGCUUCUUUGCAGGCUCAGGGUAGAUGGCUUCAACAAACAUAUCAACAUCAAGCAAGAAGACAACGUGAUUGUGAGCUGAUGGCCGAUAGUCAACAGUUGAAUGAAGCUUAAUCAAGUGCAUCACCCAUGGAGCAUAGAACUUCAGACCAAACAGAUCAAUCCCGGAAGUAGCAAGUUGUCUGAUGAAGAAAUCCUGGGUGUUGAAUCUGAUGCCAUUGACAAUAUAGAACACCAAAGUCUUCAUGGAGCCUUCAAGUUUGGCUUCAGAUGAAUGGCCUUUGAUGGGCUAGAGAGUAUGCCUCAGAAUGUGAUAUAGUGUGUGUGGCAGAUACUCGAGGUCCUUAACAAAGAAUUCCUUUGGAUAUUCAACGUCUUGGAGCAAAGGCUUCAUCAUGCUAAGCAUUCGGCUCAUGUUGGGCUCUGGCCUCUGAAAUAUGCUCUGCAUUUCAUUCUAAUAAAGCGAACAACCAGGUUCGUAUAACUCACCUAGAGUGGUGAUGUAGACCAAACCUCGAUGGCGAGAUCUGAUCUGUUGUUGCGGCCCGACCUUUCACGACACACCACCACCAGCAGCAGUAACCUCUCGCCCGCGCACGCGAUGUACACGAAAUAGAUGGUUUGAACCUUGCGUCUCAGCACGAGAAAACCAAUCUUGAUGACGGUACUCACGCGCAAAACAAUUUCCUCACAGAGAAAUCGCAACACAGAAGUUUUCUAAAGCUUCCUCCAAAACUUAGGGAUUUUUAGACAGCUUCCCCCAAAACUCGAUACGGGUAUUACCCUAAAAACACAUCAUGUUUAUUAUCAAAAUAUAACCUCCUUACAUGUGACGCACCUUGGCUUUAUAUAUCAGCCGACACCUAACAAAGUUGGAAACCAAAUAUAUUUCUAUCCUAGACUUGCACGGCAAGACAAAAAAUUAAAUAAACUUUAAACUGACUAGGACUCUACCGUCCGGAUGACUUGCAUGCAAGCAUGCAAUCUUUUACAAGCCAAUUUAAACAACAUAACAUGAACUAAUAUGGACUGAUGCGCCAUACAUCAUCAAGUGCAUCUCUAUCCGCAGGUGGGCCCCAUCCGACUUCUUUUAAGGUAAGCUGAUCACGUAUUAACAAUCCAUUCCAUACACGCUCUUUCCAUGGUAAGAAGAGGAAUAUAAAAUAAUAUAUAUAUUUGAUCCUCACGUUCCAACUGAUCUUGGUUAGCAAACACACAAGAUCCAUCAUGGACUCCUUGAUGCCUCCUUGUAAAAGUGGCUCACCAAAAUAGUUGGAAUAUUCUUUUCCUUGUUUUUCUUCUAACGCAUGAAAGUCUAACGCACAAGAAAUUAUCAUCUCAACCUGAACACGCUUCUCAUCUCUCCAAAUGCACAUGGCCUGUAACGAUUCAGUGUGCAUGCAUGUAUCUUUUAUGAGCGGUUUCUCGUCUUCGUAACUUAGCAGCGAGCACUUUGACAUAUAUGCAGUGUACUUUUGGACACAACCGGCUUCUGGCAAAACAUCGACGACCUUAGUGUCUAUACUACAACAGGUCGCAUCAAGUGGGCAGGGAAGUUAGCUCGAUGAUAUUCUGAGCUUUGGCUUCAUGAUGCAAAUCACAUGUCAUCCGCUCAAGGAUCCAAGUCUUUGGAUCCCUGUUGUAGCCUCGAAUGUGCAAGGUGGCAUAGAACUGCAGGAGGAGCUCUUCAUUCCAGUGCUCUUUAUCAGUGACAAAUGCCAGAAGAUCAACAUCCCUAAAGCAGUCAAGGCUUCUUCCAAACAUGGCAGCCCAACCAUAGCAUCACAAUCCAGACGGCUAUGCGAAAAAAUCAUGUCUUGAUUGUACAUAAUGCAAGAGUAAUAGCUUCGCUGUUGGUGGCUCCAAAAUCUUUCCAAUGAGAUCCUUGGCUUCUUGUAAGGGUUCUUGGCACUUUCAACGAAUGUAUUGUCUUCUCUGAAACUGAGCAUGCUGAAUGAUCCUUGUGUAGUUACAACACUUGGAAGCCUUGGCAGACGCGACUUUGGCUUCUGGACUUGAGGCCUUCGCUCCAUAUGAUAGUCAUAUUGUGGUCCUGGAGCGGUAGGAGGAAUCAUAAUUGGCCAGCAAACAGUGACAAGCUGAUCAUCACGAUCAAAAGCCAAUUCCAUGGUGUGAGGCCGUGGUGGAGGAACAGCGCCAUCGGUGAUGACCGGCGUCACAGUAGCUUCAGUAUUCACAUUGGCUUCAGGCUCCACAUUGUCUUCAGCCAUGACAGGGUCAUUGCCUUCAGUAGCAGUGUUGGUGGCAGCCUCAUUGUUUUCAACCUCCAUUUGGUCAAUGACUGGAGGUUCAGGCACGAUCACAUUCUCUACAAGAAUGACUUGAUCAACAACAGGGGGUGUGGCUUCUCUUUCUUCUUCUCUUCUUUCUUCAUCGGCCGAUGCAACCGGAAUGUCUUCAGCAGCAUUAGCUUCAGACGCAUGAACAGUCACAAAAGGAUUCUCUUCAGGGAACACUUGACGUGCCACUGAGCUGUUCAUUACAGACCAGUUUGGCCGUUAAUGGGCCAAGAGUUACAAAGUGCCUCAUAUGGGCUGAAAGACGUCAUGGGCCAUACAUGGGCCAGAAGUUAAAACGGGCUGGAAUCAUAUUGGAUGGCCCAGAUGACACUACUGGGCCUAAUUCGGAUAGGUCGUAACGGGCCGUGGGUUAGUGGGCUGUAAAUGGGCUAUAUGCGAACAGGCCGUUAACAGGCUUUCCGUGGGUCGGGCCGCCACCUUUUGACCAAGUCAAACGGGCUGACCUUUUUACAGGAAUGGGCCUCUGUUAGGCCGUGCCAUGUGUCGACGUAUCAUAGGCACCUUCGGUCCAAUGAGUGGAUGACAUCUGUCCCAACGGUGAGCCGAGAUGUGUUUCCUCCAGCCAAUGAUGAUUUUACAUGUGGAAAAUCCCCAUUGGCCGGGGAUGUUAACGAGUUAUCGGAUCCAAAACCGGAUCCGAUAGCUUAACGGCGUUCCGUUACGGUGGAUGCCAUGUGUCGGUCACCCUUGACGAAAGCACUUCUAUGUCGCGUGAUUUAUCGUCAUGGAAGUGGACACUUCCGUGAUGAUAAUUUUGGUAAUGUCAUGGAACACUUCUACGACAACACAGGUAUGACUAUCUUGAUUUUGUCAUAAAAUCGUCAUGGAUGUACAUGCAUGACAGAAAACGUGACCUACUGUGACAAACACGUAUCAUCACUGAAGUGUAUUUUUUUGUAGUGGAUCCACUUCCGAACAACCCUUGGGUGGUCAGUGAUGGUGGCAACUAUGCUCAACGAGCCUUCGACGAGGACAUGUUGGACGCAAAAAACCUGCAUCUCGAUCUCUUUCGCCAUUAGGAACCACUGGAUCGGAGGGCUAUGGUUUGGAGAAUUAGGAUUAGACGGCUAGUCUAACUGAAGAAGAUGAUUAUUUAAAGGGGCUUUGGAAUUACUCCAGGAGUAUGUGAAGAGGUUAAAACAAUGUGAAUGCAGUGUGGUUUGGAUGCAAAUGAAGUUGAAGGAGAGGUGAAGAAGCCGAGGAAAAUAGGUUCCCAAUGGAGAAGUAAAUGGGAGAAGUGGCCUGCAAGCAGUUGAUUAGAUGGCUAGGUAGACUAAAUGAAAAGGCUAUUGAUAGCCCACAAGUAUAGGGGAUCGCAACAGUUUUCGAGGGUAGAGUAUUCAACCCAAAUUUAUUGAUUCGACACAAUGGGAGCCAAAGAAUAUUCACAAGUAUUAGCAGCUGAGUUGUCAAUUCAACCACACCAAAAAGACUUAAUAUCUGCAGCAAAGUAUUUAGUAGCAAAGUAGUAUGGACGUAACGGUAACGGUGGCAAAAUUAAUAGUAGCAGUUUUGUAGCAAUCGUAACAAUGGCAACAGAGAAGUAACUAAGCAAAGAUCAAUAUGUAAAAAUCUCAUAGGCAAUGGAUCAAUGAUGGAUAAUUAUGUUGGAUGCAAUUCAUCAUGUAACAGUUAUAACAUAGGGUGACACAAAACUAGCUCCAGUUCAUCAAUGUAAUGUAGGCAUGUAUUCCGAAUAUAGUCAUACGUGCUUAUGGAAAAGAACUUGCAUGACAUCUUUUGUCCUACCCUCUUGUGGCACCGGGGUCCUAAUGGAAACUAAGGGAUAUUAAGGCCUCCUUUUAAUAGAGUACCUAGCACUUAGUGAAUACAUGAGCUCCUCAAACUACGAUCAUCACCGGGAAGUGUCUCGACUAUUGUCACUCCGGGGUUUGCCAGAUCAUAACACGUAGUAGGUGACUAUAACUUGCAAGAUAGGAUUAAGAACUCACAUAUAUUCAUGAAAACAUAAUAGGUUCAGAUCUGAAAUCAUGGCACUCGGUCCCUAGUGACAAGUAUUAAGCAUGGCAAAGUCAUAGCAACAUCAAUCAUAGAACAUAAUGGAUACUAGGGAUCAAACCCUAAUAAAACUAACUCGAUUACAUGGUAAAUCUCAUCCAACCCAUCACUAUCUAGCAAGCCUAUGAUGUGAUUACUCACGCACGGCGGUGAGAAUCAUGAAAUUGGUGAUGGAGGAUGGUUAAUGAUGACGAUGGCGACGGAUUCCCCUCUCUGGAGCCCCGAACGGACUCCAGAUCCGCCCUCCCGAGGAAGAACAGGGCUUGGCGGUGGCUCUGUAUCGUAAAACACAAUGAAUCCUUCUCUCUGAUUUUUUCUCGUCGAACGUGAAUACAUAGAGUUGGAGUUGAGGUCGGUGGAGGUCCAGGGGGCCCACAAGGCAGGGGGGCACGCCCCAGGGGGUGGGCCCCCUACACCCUGAUGGACAGGGUGUGGGUCCCCCUCUGUUUAUUCUUUCGCCAAUAUUUUUUAUUAAUUCCAAAACGUGACUCCUUGCAGUUUUAGGACAUUCCAAGAACUUUUAUUCCUGCACAAAAAUAACACCAUGGCAAUUCUGCUGAAAACAACGUCAGUCCGGGUUAGUUCCAUUCAAAUCAUGCUAGUUAGAGUCCAAAGCAAGGGAAAAAGUAUUUGGAAAAGUAGAUACAUUGGAGACGUAUCAACUUCCCCAAGCUUAAACCUUUGCUUGUCCUCAAGCAAUUCAGUUGAAAAACUGAAAGUGAUAAAGAAAAAACUUUUACAAACUCUGUUUGAUCUUGUUGUUGCAAAUAUGUAAAGCCAACAUUCAAGUUUUCAGCAAAGAUUAUGAACUAACCACAUUCACAAUAAGAUUUCGGUCUCAUGUUUACUCAUAUCAAUGGCAUAAUCAACUAGCGAGCAAUAAUAAUAAAUCUCGGAUGAUACCACUUUCUCAAAACAAUCAUAAUAUGAUAUAACAAGAUGGUAUAUCGCUAGCCCUUUCUGAGACCGCAAAACAUAAAUGCAGAGCACCCCUGAAGAUCAAGGACUGACUAGACAUUUUAAUUCAUGGCAAAAGAGAUCCAGUCACAAUCAUACUCAAUGUAAAUUAAUAGCAAUGCAUACAAAUGACAACGGUGCUCUCCAACUGGUGCUUUCUAAUAAGAGGAUGAUGACUCAACAUAAAAGUAAAUAGAAAGGCCCUUCGCAGAGGGAAGUAGGGAUUUGUAGAGGUGCAAGAGCUCGAGUUUUGAAAAAGAGAUAAAUAAUAUUUUGAUCGGCAUACUUUCAUUGUCAACACAACAACCAAGAGAUCUCGAUAUCUUCCAUGCUACACACAUUAUAGGCGGUUCCCAAAUAAAAUUGUAAACUUUAUACUUCCCCACCACCAACGAGCACAUUCCACGGCCGACCAAAACAGCGGGUACCGUCCAACUAACAACAAUCCCAGGGGAGGUUUGUUUGCAAUUAUUUUGAUUUGAUUUGAGCAUGGGACUGGACAUCCUGGUUACUGGCCAUUUUCUUGUGAACGAUGAGCGGAGUCCGCUCAUCGUGAGAAUAACCCACCUAGCAUGGAAGAUACAAACAGCCCUAGUUGAUACAUGAGCUAUUCGAGCAUACAAAACAUAAUUUCAUUUGAAGGUUUAGAGUUUGGCACAUACUAAUUUACUUGGAAUGGCAGGUAAAUACAACAUAUAGGAAGGUAUGGUGGACUCAUAUGGAAUAACUUUGGGGUUUAUGGAAGUGGAUGCACAAGCAGUAUUCCCGCUUAGUACAAGUAAAGGCUAGAAAGAGACUGGGAAGUGACCAACUAGAGAGCGACAAUAGUCAUGAACAUGCAUUAAGAUUAACCAACAAUGAGUGCAAGCAUGAGUAGGAUAUAAAUCACCAUGAACAUAAAUAUCGUGAAGGCUAUGUUGAUUUUGUUUCAACUGCAUGCAUGAACAUGUGCCAAGUCAAGCCACGUGAAUCAUUCAAAGGAGGAUACCACCCUAUCAUACCACAUCACAACCAUUUUAAUAGCAUGUUGGCACGCAAGGUAAACCAUUAUCAACUCCUAGAUAAUUAAGCAUGGCAUGAAUAACUAUAAUCUCUAAUUGUCAUUGCAAAAAAUGUUUCAUUCAUAAUAGGCCGAAUCAGGAACGAUGAACUAAUCAUAUUUACAAAAACAAGAUAGGUCGAGUUCAUACCAGCUUUUCCUCAUCUCAAUCAUUUCAUCAUAUAUCAUCAUUAUUGCCUUUCACUUGCACGACCGAACGGUGUGGAUAAUAAUAAUAGUGCAUGUGCAUUGGACUAAGCUGGAAUCUGCAAACAUUUAAUUGAAAGGAGAAGACAAGGUAAUAUGGGCUCUUGAUUAGAUCAACAAUAAUGCAUAUGAGAGCCACUCAUCAUUUUCAUCAUGGUCUUCUCCUCUCAACCCCCAAAGAAAAGAAAAGAAAUCCAAAGAAAAAGAAAACUAUUUACACGGGAAAGCUCCCAACAAGAAAAAGAAGAACGAGAAAUCUUUUGGGUUAUAUUUUUUAGUUACUACUACCACAAGCAUGGAAAGUAAACUAGCUAAAAGCUACAACUAACUUUUUUGUUUUUUCUCAAGGUUUAUCAAACACACAAGAAGAAAGCAAGAAAGGAAAAUGAACUAGCAUGGAUAGUAAAAUGAAAAAGUAUGAACACCGACAACUAGAAUGAGUGUGUGAACAUGAAUGUAAUGUUGGUGAGAAAUACAUACUCCCCCAAGCUUAGGCUUUUGUCCUAAGUUGGUCUAUGGCCACGGCUGGCCUGGCAGAUAUCCAAAGUUAUAGUCGGGGUUGUACUGAGAUGCGGCAGCUACUGCUUGGAGAGCUGCAGCCUGGAGGCGAGCCACCUCCGUCCUUGAUACGUCUCCAACGUAUCUAUAAUUUUUGAUUGUUCCAUGCUAUUAUAUUAUCCAUCUAGGAUGUUUUAUAUGCAUUUAUAUGUUAUUUUAUAUGAUUUUUGGGACUAACCUAUUAACCUAGAGCUCAGUGCCAGUUUCUGUUUCUUCCUUGUUUUUGAGUUUUACAGAAAAGGAAUACCAAACAGAGUCCAAUUGACGUGCCACUUUUUGAUGAUUUUUUAUGGAACAAAAGAAGCCCUCGGAGUAAAAGAGUUGGGCUAGAAGAGUCCCGAUCCAUCCACUAGGAUGAAGGGCGAGCCCUACCUCCCUGGGCGCACCCCCUGCCUCGUGAAUGACUCCGAGACCCCCUUGACGUGAGACCAACGCCAAAAAUUCCAAUAAAUACCCAAACCUCCAGAAAAUAACCUAGAUCGGGAGUUCCGCUGCCCCAAGCCUCUGUAGCCACCAAAAACCUCUCGGGAGCCCGUUCCGGCACCCUGCCGGAGGGGGGAUCCCUCACUGGUGGCCAUCUUCAUCAUCCCGACGCUCUCCAUGAUGAGGAGGGAGUAGUUCACCCUCGGGGCUGAGGGUAUGUACCAGUAGCUAUGUGUUUGAUCUCUCUCUCUCUCUCUUGUGUUCUCGAGGUGAUACAAUCUUGAUGUAUCACAAGCUUUGUUAUUAUAGUUGGAUCUUAUGAUGUUUCUCCCCCUCUACUCUCUUGUGAUGAAUUGGGUUUUCCCCUUGAAGUUGUCUUGUCGGAUUGAGUCUUUAAGGAUUUGAGAACACUUGAUGUAUGUCUUGCCGUGCUUAUCUGUGGUGACAAUGGGAUAUUCACGUGAUCUACUUGAUGUAUGUUUUGGUGGUCAACUUGUGGGUUCAAUGAACUUAUGUAUAGGGGUUGGCACACGUUUUUGUCUUGACUCUCCGGUAGAAACUUUGGGGCACUCUUUGAAGUACUUUGUGUUGGUUGAAUAGAUGAAUCUGAGAUUGUGUGAUGCAUAUCGUAUAAUCAUGCCCACGGAUACUUGAGGUGACAUUGGAGUAUCUAGGUGACAUUAGGGUUUUGGUUGAUUUAUGUCUUAAGGUGUUAUUCCAGUGUGAACUAUAUGUUAGAUCGACCGAAAAGAAUAGCUUCGUGUUAUUUUAAUACGGACUCUUGAAUAGAUCGAUCAGAAAGUGUUGGGGAUAUAACUAUUUGUGUAAGCCGCCCAGGAUGGGACGGGUUACGCAAAGAAGACUCACCAGAGAGAAGCCCAAGACCAAAGUAUGAAGAUGGCGGUUCAUAGAGAGCUUAAGGCCCGCAGGCGACUUAAGGCCCAUUGUAGUAAACCGCUGUCGGUGUCAAAACCGGCGGAUCUCGGGUAGGGGGUCCCGAACUGUGCGUCUAGGCGGAUGGUAACAGGAGACGAGGGACACAAUGUUUUUACCCAGGUUCGGGCCCUCUUGAUGGAGGUUAAACCCUAUAUCCUGCUUGAUUAAUAUUGAUGACGUGGGUUACAAGAGUAGAUCUACCACGAGAUCAAGGAGGCUAAACCCUAGAAGCUAGCCUAUGGUAUGAUUGUUGUUCGUCCUAUGGACUAAAGCCAUCCGGUUUAUAUAGACACCGGAGUGGUCUAGGGUUACACAGAGUCAGUUACAAUGGUAGGAGAUCUACAUAUCCGUAUCGCCAAGCUUGCCUUCCACGCCAAGGGAAAGUCCCAUCCGGACACGGGACGAAGUCUUCAAUCUUGUAUCUUCAUAGUCUUGGAGUCCGGCCGAUGAUGGUAGUUCGGCUAUCCGGACACCCCCUAGUCCGGGACUCCCUCAGUAGCACCUGAAACAGGCUUCAAUGACGACGAGUCCGGCGCGCAUAUUGUCUUCGGCAUUGCAAGACGGGUUCCUCCUCCGAAUAAUUUAUAGAAGAUUGCGAACACUAGGAUAGUGUCCGGCUCUGCAAAAUAAAUUCCACAUUCCACCAUAGAGAGAAUAAUAUGUACACAAGUUCAAUCUGCUGACGUAUUUUGCGGUAUGACAUCACACCAAGCCUUUACUUGAAUCAUUUUUUAUUAUACCACCUCAGCACGUUUAGCGAAGCGGUGUCCUUGGCACAUCUUGUCGAAGCAGAGAUCGUGUUCCCCUUAUUCCGGGAUCCUCAUCAAUACGGACGUGAGUAACCCAACCGUGCCAUUGAUGGUGGCGCUUGGGGGAUAAGCGAGUUUUACCAGGCCGAUGGGGACGCAUGUUUCUGUCCGCCCAUAUAAGGGGAUAAAGAUCCAACCUUUUUACCUGCGCCUUCUUCCUUCUUGGCUUAUCCAUCUCUGCGAACUCGAGCUCUAGCGCCCAAGCCCGCACAUCCCACCUCAACCUUCUCCAAAUAUGUCCGGAGCGGGAGGCAAGUGGAUGGCCUCCUCCGUCACGGAGGGGCAUAUCCAGAAGCUGCGCAGUGCCGGAUACUUGUCCAGCGACAUCGCACAUCGGCUCCCCAACGAGGGAGAGCUCAUCCCCACCCCUAGGCCCCAUGAGAGGGUAGUAUUCCUUCCCCAUUUCCUCCGUGGACUGGGCUUCCCACUUCAUCCCUUCGUCCGGGGGCUCAUGUUCUCCUACAGCCUAGAUUUCCAUGAUCUGGCCCCGAAUUUUAUUCUCAACAUCUCGGCAUUUAUCGUCGUGUGCGAGGCCUUCCUUCAGUGUCAAGCCGAAGGUUGUGAAGGGCAGGCAAGCGGAGUGCAGAGGCGCCAUGGUGGGCAGGAUGUCCCACGUUACGUGGCUGGAGGGCACCUUUGUGGAAACCAUCAAGGGGUGGCAAUCGGGGUGGUUCUACAUCACCGAGCCGCGUGAUCCCGAAUGGGCAGCGGCCCCCGAAUUCAGAUCCGGCAUCCCCACACGGCUCACCUCCUGGAAAGAGAGCGGCCGGAUUUGGGGCGAUUCGGAGGAGCUGACCGGACUCCAAGCCUGCGUCCAAAAGCUAGUGGACAAGAAGCUCAAGCUUGUCAACGUAGUCCAGGUCAUGCUCAUCCGCCAGAUUCUCCCGUGCCAACGACGGGGCUUCAAUAUGUGAGAGUUCGAUCCGGCGCAGCACCAGACUUUGAAUGGGCUCUUCGACACUACGUACGAAGAGGUCUGGAAGGUGCUGUUCAAGGGCGCCGAGGCUCCCGCAUCCGCUACCGAAGAUCGCGGAUUCAGCUCGUAGCGUCCAGCUGACGAGGUAAGUGAUAUUGUCCUUUACGGGAUGCUUGUUAUUCAUAUUUUGACUCUAUGCGGGAUCUAAACCGCCUUUCCUCUGACAAGACUGGCUGAAGAAGGCCACACAGGCUAUCUGUCCGGCCCCAUUGCCAGAGGACCCAGCUGACGCCCGCCUAACGGGGCUGCUGGCUCCGGCAUCCCACGUGGUGCCGGAGAAGAAGGCCAAGAAGAAGGCCACGGGGACUCGGAAGAGUUCCCGUUUUCAGGUGCUAUCGGACGAUGAAUCCGAGGCCGACUCCUCCCACCAAGGCGAGGAGGAGAAGAAGAAAGCCUCUCCCCCAGCGGGGGGAGGGUAGAAAAGGAAGGCCUCCCCAACAAGGGAGGCCGAAGGGUUCAACAGGGGAAAAACUCUUCCCCCGGACUAUUCCGCCAACGCCAGUGACGACGACAAGGACUGGCCUCCAAGGGCCAAGCCUCUGGCGAUAUCGUAAGUAUCCGGACUCCCAAAUAACUUCAAGGUUUUCGUUUUCCGCCACAUUAUGUCUUUGUAAUGCCGCAUACAACCCUGCAGUCCGCCUAAGGAUGAUCUCCCCACUUCGUCGAGCGGGUCCUUAGGGGCGUCGGAUAUGGAUCCUCUUCUGACUGCCUCCCCGCCCCCCCGCCCGUGAUGCAGACGAUGCCGAGGUGGGAUCCCAGGAAGGGACCCACCAGGAGGAGAGGGCCCCGGAGGUGUCGCAGGACAACCUCCCGGACUUUGCACCGGACUCAGCCCCGGAACCCAUAGUGGCUCCAGAGUCCGGCGAGCGACCCCUUCGUAAGAAGGGCAAGACCGCGACGCCGGCUGCCUCCGUCCAACCAGAGGUGCCGGAUAAUUUGCUGGAGGUGCUCAACGGCGCCUCCAUCAAAGAGGAACACCGCACUAUUAUGAGUGCGGUGAUUCAGAAGGUUCAGCUCACCAAGAGCGGGCUGACCGAAGCCUGCAGCAGCCUUCUAACAGGCUUUGAGGUAAGAAUUUCAAUAUAUGUAAAAUGGUACCGCAUAGACAGUAGCCCCUGAUGCUCGGUUCGGUGUUUGGAAAGAAAAGCCGGACUGAGGAUCUUUAGAAAGAUAAACGCAGGAGUCAUGAAAAUAUGUCAAUAUGGGAUUGCAGGCUGUGCUGCUGACCACUGCCGCACUGACUGCGGAGGUCAAUACUUUGAAGGAAAACCUCAAGCGGUCCGAGAACGAGCUCGGCCAUGCCAAGAAGCAGCUCGAGGAAAAAGAAGGUAAGUAAUACCUUAUGAAAAUUGUACCUUACAGAAAAUGAUUUGGUUGCAAGAAAAAUGACAAGGAUAACUGGGGUAUUGCAGGGGCCACUAACAAGGUGGCGACCCUGAAGGAGGCGGUGGCCGCAGCCGAACGCAAUGCGGCCGCGGAGCGCACCGAGCGAGAGAAACAGGAGGCGCGGGUGGCGGAGGUACAACAAGAGCUCCAGGAUCUCGUGAAAAAACACGAGAGCCUGGAGCGUGACUCGAAGACUCGAGAGUCUGAGCUUGCAACGGCUCUUGAGAGUGCCAAAGCCGCUAAGGCCAAAGCCUACAAGGCCCUCCAGGAGAUAAUGGCGGUAAAGAAAAUAGCAGCGGGUAAGGCAUUUUUCAUGCAAAGUAAGCAUGUGAGUGUUAAUUACCUGUCGCUUACCCGAAUUCGGAGCUCUCCAGGAGCGUUCGCAGAUCUUCCUCGCAGCGUGUCCGAUGCUGCCGCAUUCUACCAGGCCGAGGAGGGGAGCUCGACGGAGAAGGUCUUCUGGUCUCAGUAUGCUGAGGCCGAACAUCCAGUGCCCCUUAGCGACCAACUGAAGAAGCUGGUCGAGCUCCACAAGAUGGCCGAACAGGCCAUGAAGGGCCUCAUAGUUCGGCUGUGGCCUAAGGAGGCUAUACAUAGGAGCUACUUCGGCCUGGUGUGGCGGCUGGUGGACGCGUGCCCGUGGGUUGAAGUUAUCAAGCACUCCGCCUGUAUCGAGGGUGCGCGUCGGGCCCUUGCCCACGCAAAGGUGCACUAGGGCAAGAUGGAUGCCCAGAAGCUUGUGACGGACCCCCCACCAGAGGGCAAGGAGCAUCGCACACCCGAGAUGUAUUGUAGGAGUGUGCUGAAGGGCGCCCGCAUUAUUGCGGGUGAGUGCUCCAAAGAAGAAGUUUUUGAGUAGACUCGCGUUUUGUUAUCCUGUGCGCUGAAAACUAAGUUCAUAUGCGUGAAGCAACACUUGUUAAUUUAAAGUAUUACCUUUUGUGCGGCUGUUUAUCAAAUCUGAGAGAUGGCAAGUCGUCGGCUUCAGCCCCCAUGCCACGAGUGCUGGGGUGUUCGGGAUAAAUUUGGGCACUCUUGUUCCCAUAUUUGGUCCAUCGAGGGAGGCACUCAACACAACGAACAAGGCAACCGGACUUAUAAUGCUUGAACACUCUCACUUAGCCAUAGAGUUCUAUAAUUUUAAAUUUCGGCGAAGCCCCUAGUUUUCGGAAGGCCGAAUUUGGGGCGCUAUCCACGCCUUGGCCGGACAGAAUCCGGCUCCUCGCUCGAAGCGGCAUAAGUCUUUAGGGACUUGUAAAGAACCUCUCGAAUAGCGACCAGCUGUCGCCUCAUCAUGAUGGUCAGUUUUAGCUUUCUCCAUUGAGGCGUUAACCCAGCUCAACUGGGGCGCAAUCGCAGUGGUUCUCCCAGUGCUACCUUAGCCGAUAAAACGGAACGUAAGGUACCAAAACAUGGGAGCCGGGCAAACCCAACUAUUGACCCAAGAACAUGAUUCAGAGCUGAUGCAUAUAAUUCUAUAAGUUCGGGGUGCCGCACUUGUGAAAGUGUUCGGACUUAUCACACCAUAACGCGGGAAACAUAAGCCCCUGGUGUAUUUAGCCGUACCAAAACGUACAGAUGCAACAUGUCAUAGAUGAACAUAUGUGUAAGAAAGAAAUGCAAUUGGAAGCAAAAAUGUGCUGCAUUGCUUUAUUUAAUAAAAACUGCUGUAAGUGCAGGACGAUGCAAGUGGUGCAGUAAGCAAGGGAUGGGACUGUUUAACAUGUCCCCCUCCAGGGGUAGGCUACGGAAUAAUGCAUAAAACAGAUUUAAUGCUCAUGAUGGAGACCACCUGGAUUUUCGUUGUAGCCUUUCUCCUUCCCUGGCUGUUGCAUCAUGGGUUCGGCAUGUCUGCUGCCGGACAGGGCCUCUGACGAACGGAGUCCUGUAGGUAAAAAAUAAAAGGAAAAGAAAAAGAAACGACACACUUAAGAGCCCCUGGUGCGGUUGAGCCGCAGUCUGGGCUUAUCGUGGUCGAGCCCCUUGCCCCAUGCCCAUGGUAUCUUCAGAGCGUAAUGGAGUACGCGAAGGGUCUGUCUUAAUGUUUUACAGGGGCUGGGGUUGGGGCCGCACUGCUACGCGUGCUCAGAACGUGCCAGGUGGUCGUGUUGUAGGUUACUCCGGGCACGCUUAGCUGUGUCCGGCCGCUUGGCAGCCAGACUCGAGAAUUGCCUUAAAAGGCUGCUUUGUACUUCUGCCGCGAGAGCCGCUGUAUGUUCCUCCGUUCGGAGGGAGCGUUCAGUGUUUCCGUUGACCGUGAUGAGUCCUCUAGGGCCUGGCAUCUUGAGCUUGAGGUAUGCGUAGUGCAGCACCACGUUGAACUUUGCGAACGCGGUACAUCUAAGCAAGGCAUGAUUGCCGCUGCGAAACGGGACUAUGUCGAAGAUUAACUCCUCGCUUCGGAAGUUAUCCGAGGAUCCGAAGACCACUUCCAGUGUAACUGAGCCUGUACAAUUGGCUUCUACACCUGGUAUGACGCCUUUAAAGGUCGUCUUGGUAGGUUUAAUCCUUGAGGGGUCUAUGCCCAUUUUGCGCACCGUGUCCUGAUAAAGCAGGUUUAGGCUGCUACCGCCGUCCAUCAGGACUCUGGUGAGAUGAAAUCCAUCGACGAUUGGGUCUAGAACCAAUGCGGCGAGCCCACCAUGGCGAAUGCUGGUGGGGUGGUCCCUUCGGUCAAAGGUGAUCGGGCAAGAGGACCAUGGAUUGAACUUCGGGGCAACUGGCUCCAUCGCGUAUACAUCCCUGAGUGCACGCUUCCGCUCCCUUUUGGGUAUGUGUGUGGCAUAUAUCAUGUUCACCGUCCAAAUCUGUGGGGGGAAACCCUUCUGUCCUCUAUUGUUCGGCGGUCGGGUCUCUUCCUCGUCGUCGCUAUGUAGCCCCUUGUCGCUGUUUUCGGCAAUUAACUUGCCUGCCUGCUUGAACACCCAACAGUCCCUAUUUGUGUGGUUAGCUGGCUUUUUAGGGGCGCCAUGUAUCUGGCACAAGCGGUCGAGAAUUCGGUCCAAAUUGGACGGACCCUGAGUUGUUCUUUUGAAUGGCUUUUUCCGUUGACUGGGUUUAGAGCCUCUGAAUCCGGCAUUAACUGCCGUAUCCUCACUGUUAUCGCUGUUAAUGUGGCGUUUGUUUUUGUUGUGACGCGACCUGCCACUACGGUCCUUGAUAUCCGGACUGCCAGAAUUUUUGUUGAGGUUGUUGCUGCGUGCUAGCCAGUUGUCCUCACCCGCACAGAAGCGGGCCAUGAGUGAUGUAAGGGCUGCCAUGGAUUUCGGCUUUUCCUGUCCCAGGUGCCGGGCAAGCCACUCGUCGCGGAUGUUAUGCUUGAAGGCCGCGAGGGCCUCGGCAUCCGGACAAUCAACGAUUUGGUUUUUCUUGGUUAAGAACCGUGUCCAGAAUUGUCUGGCCGAUUCGUCUGGCUGCUGAAUUAUGUGGCUUAGGUCAUCUGCAUCUGGUGGUCGCACGUACCUGCCUUGGAAGUUAUCAAGGAAUGCGGCUUCCAGGUCCUCCCAACUCCCGAUUGACUCUGCUGGCAAGCUGUUAAGCCAGUGCCGGGCUGGUCCUUUAAGUUUGAGUGGGAGAUAUUUGAUGGCGUGGAGAUCGUCUCCACGGGCCAUGUGGAUGUGUAGGAGAUAGUCCGCAAUCCAGACCGCGGGGUCUGUUGUGCCAUCAUAAGAUUCAAUAUCGACGGGUUUAAACCCUUUUGGGAUUUGAUGAUCCAUUACCUCAUCUGUGAAGCACAGUGGCUGUGCGGCGCCUCUGUACUGGGCGAUAUCACGACGGAGCUCAAAAGAGCUUUGUCUGUUGUGUUCGGCCCGGCCGGACUUAUUGUGUCCGGGGUGACGGUGAUCGUCACGUAUCGUGGGGCGCCCAUGUGAUCCAUAGAUCGAUCUUGAUUGUCUUGCCUUAUCCUCCAAUAUGUCUCGCAGGUCUGGAGUGUUCCCCUGUGGCCUUGUGCUUUUCGAGCGAUGCCGGGGUACAGGUCUAGUGAAGGGCCUUGAGGCCUCUCUGUCGCGACCACGGGGUGGUCGAUCAGCCGUAUUGUCUCCUAGUGAAGUGGGAUCAUAUGCCUCCACCUCUAAUCAGGGGAGCAGCUUACGUUUGGGGUAGCUUUUGGAGGGGCGUUCGAGUUCAUGCUCUUCGAUCGCGAGGACUUCGGUCCAUUUGUCGGCUAGCAGAUCUUGAUCAGCUCUAAGCUGCUGCUGCUUUUUCUUGAGGCUUUUUGGCGUGGCCAUAAGCCUGCGUUUGAAACGCUCCUGUUCGACGGGAUCCUCAGGCACGACGAAUUCGUCGUCGUCGAGGCUUGCCUCGUCUCCGGAGGGAGGCAUAUAGUCCUCUACCUCUUCUUCGGCCGCUCUCUGAUAAGGGCUGGAGUCCCCCUCCUCCUGUGCUGGAUCUUGCUGGAGUGGGUUGUCUUCGGCGCUAUCCGAUGUAUUAUUGUCUCCGAUGCCGGAAUCCUCAUUCUUGCUAUGGCGGGAUUUAGAGCGGCGCCGCUGACGCCGGCGCUUGGGCUGUUUCUUGGAGGGGUCAUCCUCCGCUAUUCCUUCGCCGUUCCCAUCCUUUGGGAUAUCCACCAUGUAUAUGUCGUAUGAAGAGGUGGCUUUCCAGUGCCCGGUGGGUGCUGGUUCUUGGUCGUCUCCAGCAUCAUCGUCCAUACCGUCGAUGUCCUCGGAGUCGUAGUCUAGCAUGUCGGUUAAAUCAUCGACAGCGGCUACCAAGUGGGUGGUGGGUGGGCUUUGAAUUUCUUCGUCGUCCGCAUCCCAACCGUCCUGACCGCAGUCCGGCCAGGGCUCUCCUGAUAACGAGAGAUAUUUUAGCAAACUCAAGAUGUCGCCGAAAGGUGAGUGUUGAAAGACGUCCGCUGCGGUGAACUCCAUGAUCGGCGCCAAAUCGGAUUCGAUCAGGGCGGGCGCGGGAGGUUCGGAGUCCGGCGAGGAGUCCGGCACCUCGGAGUCACGAGCUUUAUGAGGGACAAAGUCAGUGUUCGGCUCUAUCGCCGUAGAGGUUGCAGCCCCCGAGGCGGUGUCUAGGCAUCCGUCCUCGAUCUGCGCGGCCGUCUCCGAAUUGAGGAUCGGAGCGGGCUCGAGUGCGGCCUCCAGGGUACUGUCCGGCGGCAGAGCUAAAUCAUGCUCGACGUGACAGUGCGGCACGCUCUGCUGUGACUCAAAUCCGUCGAAGAUCAAGUCCCCGCGGAUGUCAGCCGUGAAGUUCAAACUUCCAAAUCUGACCUGACGGCCAGGGGCGUAGCUUUCGAUCUGCUCUAGAUGGCCAAGGGAAUUGGCCCGCAGUGCAAAGCCGCCGAAUACGAAGGUCUGUCCGGGGAGGAAGGUCUCACCCUGGACUGCACCGUUGAUGAUGAUCGAAGAAGCCAUCGAGCCUAUCGGUGACGACACAGAGGAACUCUCAAUGAAAGCACCAAUGUCGGUGUCAAAACCGGCGGAUCUCAGGUAGGGGGUCCCGAACUGUGCGUCUAGGCGGAUGGAAACAGGAGACGAGGGACACGAUGUUUUUACCCAGGUUCGGGCGCUCUUGAUGGAGGUAAAACCCUACGUCCUGCUUGAUUAAUAUUGAUGAUGUGGGUUACAAGAGUAGAUCUACCACGAGAUCAAGGAGGCUAAACCCUAGAAGCUAGCCUAUGGUAUGAUUGUUGUUCGUCCUAUGGACUAAAGCCAUCCGGUUUAUAUAGACACCGGAGAGGGCUAGGGUUACACAGAGUCGGUUACAAUGGUAGGAGAUCUACAUAUCCGUAUCGCCAAGCUUGCCUUCCACGCCAAGGAAAGUCCCAUCCGGACACGAGAUGAAGUCUUCAAUCUUGUAUCUUCAUAGUCUUGGAGUCCGGCCGAUGAUGGUAGUUCGGCUAUCCGGACACCCCCUAGUCCGGGACUCCCUCAACCGCCAUAAUAAUAUACUUGUAUCAUAAGGUAGACUUAACUAGUCACCGAGCCGGACAUUGUGUAUAAGCCGGCCGGGACUCUGUAAGCUGCAGGGCAUCAACCCGUGUAUAUAAGGGGAUGACUUGUGGGCGACUUAGGGCAAGAAACAACUCAUCGAGAGCCAGGCAUAGCGUAUCUCGCUCCCUGGUCAUCGAAACCUCAAUACCAACGCCCAACUAGAUGUAGGCCCUACCUUCACCGUAAGGGGCCAAACUAGUAUAAAACCUCUCGUGUCCUUUGUCCCGAUUAACCCCUUCAAGCUUACUAGUUGCGAUGGCUCCACAACUAAGUCCUUUCACGAGGACAUCUGACGUGACAAUUCCACGACAGUUGGCGCCCACCAUGGGGCCAGCGCACGGUGGAUUCGAGUUCUUGAAGGGCAACUUCGAAGGGCUUAAGGGAUACAUAGUUGUCUGGAUGACCAAAAGUCGUCGCGGCAAGAUCUACGUCGACGACGAAGGCUGGGGCCCCGAUGCCGGCUCAAUUGAGUAAGGAUACCGGGUCCCCUUUGGAGGGAUCCACGUCUUCAUCGGCCGGAUUGGUGAGCUGGGGCCUAAGCCGGACAACUACACCGACCUCGUCGAGACGGCUCAGCGUGCGAAACCCUCCCGAGUUAAAACCGGCAUGAAGCGUGUCUUUGUGGGCUGCGUCCACGGAGAAGAACUUUCUGAAGGUCCGGAAGAUGGUGGUGAGACGGCCGUCCACUCUGACGGUGACUCGUCCGCCGGUUCAACAGAUUCUUUGUAUCAAGUUCAAGACGGUGCGCUCGAGGGCUGUUCCGAUGGCCUUAGUAUUCCAGACCUCUGUGAGUCGCCAAAUUGGGCAGGAGUCUUUAUGGCUGGGACACAACCCGGACAAAACUCUACAGCCACGGCUACAAUUACUUCCGGGUUAGGAGCAGCCGGGGCAGGAGGCCCUAUGCGCCCGCCGACUCAAGUGCUGAUAGACCUCAUGGACAAGCUUACGACCCUGUUAACCGCCACGGUUAUCCCUGCAAACAAAGAUGAGCAUGACGCGGAGGUAGCACGGGUACAUGAGGAGAUAGCUCAGGCCAAGGAGGCCUUAGCAGCUGAGGAUACUAGACUAGCUACGGAGCAGGCGACUCUUGACGCCCGGGCACAGCGGUUGCAGUCAGAAGCUUACCAGCUCACGAUGAGUUUAAACGCGUCCAAUGAGGUAAUGAGGAGGAGACACCAGAAGACCCAAUCCCGGUUGCCUUCGAAUUAUGACCCUAGGGUUCUUUUUGCUACACCUGGAGCCGGCCCAAGUAACCCGCCCGAUGCUAAUCAGUUUAUGACAUCCGGAGCGGGAGGACCGGCUCAGCGUCGGGAGAUGCCACCUCCUCAUAUAAGCAUGGCGCCGCCGCGUUAUGUGCCGGUACCGGAGGGUCACUUUUCCAACCCCAUGGAGAAUAUAAUCACGGCGUCAGCGCGCCUGGCGGCUCUUCCAGUGGAUGGUGAUGAUCCAACAGCAGUGGAGACCCGGAGGAUCAGGGAACUUGUCCAGACGGCCCUGGCUCAGCAGGAGACCUAUUCUUACAGCCGGGAUAGGAUUCAUUCAACCCCUCCGCCUUGGUUAGCACCGCCUCGUCAGAACCGGAGCCCAAGUUACAGGAGGCACAUGGAGUCUGAAGCUUUAUCAGGCAACGCCAACACUGUAACCAGCAUGGUGGCUAUAACCCGGUGCAAGACCGAGUACGUCAGGAGAACGAGCGAGCGGCUCAACUGGCGGCUCAACUGGCGGCUCAACAGGCGGCUCAUCAGGAUAUCCCAGAGUAUCCAACGACUUCUAUUGUGAUGGGAGUAGCCACCAGAACCGGUGGAGUUCCUUGUUUGAUACCGGCUUUGCGCAACGUGCGCCUGCCUAAGGACUUCAAGGGACCUCGAAAGGUGCCGAAUUACACGGCCGACUUACAGCCCGGAGCAUGGAUUGAGAGUUAUGAGAUGGCCAUGGAACUGUUGGAGGUCAGUGACGCGGCAAUGGCUAAAUACUUCACCAUGAUGUUAGAUGGAACGGCCCGGUCUUGGCUAAAAGGUUUACCACCUAAUUCCAUUGGUUCGUGGGAGGAGUUAAAGGCCCGCUUCAUCCAGAACUUGAAGGAUACCUGUAAGAAAUCUAUGUCGAUCGUGGACUUGACGAGUUGUAAGCAGGGAGAGGGUGAAUCCACCACCCAUUGGGUACGCCGAGUCAAGGAGAUAAUUCACUCAUCUGAUAAGAUGGAUGCCGGCUCUGCAGUCCUCAUGUUGGAGAAGAAUUGCCACUUUGAACCACUUAGGCAUAAAUUGGGCCGCCUUAAGCGUGACUGCACCGAUAUGGGAACGCUGAUGGCGGCUUUAGUCAAAUAUGCCGAUUCUGAUAAUACCAAGGACCCCGCGUCUGACGAUGAGAAGACAGGGAAGGGUAAAAGGAACGGUAAUGGAAAGGGUCAACAGCACAACCCGGGGAAUCAAAGCGGCAAUAAGUGUAAGGCGGACGGCAACCCGGAGCUUGUGGCUAACGCUAGUACACAAGGUAACAAUCAGAGACGUAAGGGUAAGUGGCCUUGAACCGGCGGGUCAGGUCCAUCUCUUGAGCAGGUACUCAACGAGCCCUGUCCGAAACACGACACCCGAGAGCACCGCGCUACGCACCUGUGGAAAGAUUGUGCGAUCAUGAAGGCGUUUAAAAACUCCAAUAUCUUUGAUGGUGGUCAUGGAUCUGGUGGUGGUUCAGGGGCCGGCGGCUUUCAUGGCCCGGGUGGCGGUUCAAAUUCCGGUUUUCAGGGACAGCCGGGUGGAAAUAAUCAGCAGCAAUCUGGUCAGGGAGGACAGCAACAACAGUCGGGUUACCAGAGCCAACCAAAACAGUUGAGUGGUGGGCAGUACCAUGUGUUUACCACCAGCUUAUGCAAACAUGACCAGAAGGUUCAUAAGAGGGCUGUAAAUUCGGUUGAACCGGCAGUUCCUCGUUAUUUGAGAUGGUCAGAGCAACCCAUCAUUUGGAGCAGAGAGGAUCGCCCUCCACGUGUCGAUAAUCCGGGUCAGUUAGCCUUGGUGGUAGCACCCCAGGUUGGUGGAUAUAAAUUUACUAAGGUACUAAUGGACGGAGGCAGCAACAUCAACAUACUCUAUUACGAGACCUUCCAGCGUAUGGGGUUGACUGAGAAGAAUCUGAGGACAUCCAACACUGUUUUCCAUGGGGUGGUUCCAGGCAAGUCGGCUUACCUAGUUGGUAAGAUUGAAUUAGAGGUGGACUUUGGGGAUGAGUAUGAUUCCAGGGCUGAGAAGUUGACGUUUGAGGUGGUGAAUAUCAGGAGCCCAUAUCACGCUCUAUUUGGGCGACCGGCUUAUGCUAAGUUCAUGGCACAGCCAUGUUACGUUUACCUACAGCUCAAGAUGCCAGGUUACAAGAGCACCAUCACCGUGUAUGGGAGUCAAAAGGUGGCCUUGGAAUGUGAAGAAGGCGAUGUGGCUUACGCUGAGACGGCCUGUGCCGCGGAGGAGCUCAAAUUCUAUCAAGACAAUGUUGACCCGGUGGAUAUGACCUCCCUUAAGAAACCAACUACUAAGCAUGACCCGGCGUUGAAAUUUAAAUCGCCUGCUGAGACAAAACUAGUUGACUUCACCUCGGGAGACGCCUCUAAGCAGUUUAGUAUCAGCGCUAAUUUGGAUCCUAAAUAGGAAAGCGCGCUCAUCGAGUUCAUCUAUGAGAACCGAGACAUCUUUGCAUGGAAGCCUACUGACAUGCCGGGUGUACCGAGGGAACUCGCUGAGCACACUCUCAAUAUUGAUCCAAAGUAUAAGCCGGUCAGGCAGUUUCUUCGACGAUUCAACGAAGAGAGAUGGAAAGCUAUUGGGGAAGAGGUGGCCCGACUCUUAGCAGCCGGGUUUAUUAUUGAAGUUUUUCAUCCGGAAUGGUUGGCUAACCCGGUGCUGGUGCUCAAGAAGAACGGCACUUGGCGGAUGUGUGUGGAUUACACAGAAUUAAAUAAGGCUUGUCUGGCUGACCCCUUCGCUCUCCCCCGUAUUGAUCAAAUCAUUGAUGCUACAGCGGGUUGUGAACGUUUGAGCUUUUUGGAUGCUUACUCUGGCUAUCAUCAGAUCAAGAUGGCAGUUAAGGACCAGGAGAAGACAACUUUCAUCACUCCAUUUGGGGCCUUCUGUUAUGUAUCUAUGCCGUUUGGGAUCAAGAGUGCCCAGGCAACUUAUCAGCGAUGUGUGCAGAACUGUUUGCAUGAUCAAAUUGGGCGCAAUGUUCAUGCUUAUGUGGAUGACAUCGUGGUGAAGUCUAGAGAAAAAGAAACCUUAAUAUCCGACUUGCCAGAGACCUUUGACAAUCUCCGGGUUUACAAGAUGAUGCUUAACCCGGCCAAGUGUGUGUUUGGUGUACCUGCAGGCAAGCUUUUGGGUUUUCUGGUGUCGAAUAGAGGCAUUGAAGCUAAUCUGGAGAAGAUCAUGACGAUUACCUCUCUGGCUAAGCCGACAUGUAUCAAUGAUGUUCAGCGCCUGGCGGGACGUGUUGUCGCUUUAAGCCGGUUCAUAAGCCGGUUAGGGGAGAAGGCCUUACCACUAUAUCAGAUGAUGAAGAAAACAUACACUUUUGUCUAGAGCGAUGCUGCUAACACUGCCUUUGAAGAUUUAAAGAGACAGUUGUCUGAGCCACCGGUUCUUGCAGCUCCCAUUGAUGGAGAGCCGCUAUUGUUAUAUGUGGUUGCUAACUCACGGGCCAUCAGUGUAGCCAUCGUGGUGGAGCGUAAGGAGGCAGGCAAGGAGCAUUCGGUUCAACGGCCGGUUUACUACAUCAGCGAGGUGCUCAUUGAGUCUAAACAAAGGUAUCCACAUUGGCAGAAGCUUGUUUACGGUGUGUUCAUGGCAAAUCGGAAGCUGAAGCAGUACUUUCAAAGUCAUCCUAUAACGGUGGUAAGUUCAGCCCCUUUGGGAGAUAUCAUUCAGAACAGGGAAGCCACAUGACGAAUCGCCAAGUGGGCCAUUGAGCUUGGACCUUAUGGUCUGAAGUAUAUGCCCCGUACUGCCAUCAAGUCUCAGGCCUUGGUGGAUUUUAUCAAUGAUUGGACAGAGUUGCAGGCACCUGAGGAGAAGCCAGACAAUACGUAUUGGACUAUUCACUUUGAUGGGUCCAGGCAGUUAGAAGGAUCAGGGGCUGGAGUUGUCUUAACUCCCCCUCAAGGUGAUAAAUUUUGUUAUGUGCUCCGGCUCAUGUUUCCUUGUACUAACAAUGCAGCUGAAUAUGAGGCCUUGCUCCAUGGUCUCUGGAUGGCUAAGGAGAUGAAUUUAAGCCGGGUAAGGUGCUUGGGCGACUCAGACCUCGUGGCUCAACAGGUCUCAGGCACAUGGGAUUCUAAGGAUCCCCUUAUGGCGGCUUAUCACCGUGAAGUCGAUGCCGUAGCUGGAUACUUCAAAGGGUAUCAGGUGGAGCACAUUGACAGAAGGAAGAAAGAGGCGGCUGAUGCUUUAAGCCGGUUGGGCUCUCAGCGCAAGCCGGUGCCGCCUAACACCUUUCUUGACGUUCUACAUAAUCCUUCUGUCAAGGUACCUAAAGAGGAAGAGCUUGCAGUGCCAGACCCGGAGGCACAGUUGGUGGCUGCACUUCACGUCAUCCCGGAUUGGACAUUGCCAUAUUUGGCUUAUAUGACCCGGGGAGAGCUGCCUGAGGAUGAGACCUUGGCGAGACAAAUUGUCAGGCGGUCCAAAUCCAUGACAAUUGUUAACGGCGAGUUACAUCAUCUCAGUUUCACAGGGGCGUUCCAGCGUUGUGUGUCACCUGCAGAGGGUCAAGAGAUACUUCGAGAAAUCCAUGAAGGAGAUUGUGGUCAUCAUGCCGGUUCAAAAUCUCUGGUGGCCAAGGCUUUCCGUCAUGGUUUUUAUUGGCUGACGGCUCAUGCAGAUGCAGAAGAUCUUGUUAGAAAAUGUGACGGAUGUCAAAAAUUCUCACGAUGAGCUCAUGUGCCGGCUCAGGAAUUGAGGAUGAUUCCAAUUACUUGGCCAUUUGCAGUCUGGGGGCUUGACAUGGUGGGACCUUUUAAAAGGUCUAAGGAUAAAAAGACACACCUCCGGGUGGUAGUGGAUAAAUUUACAAAGUGGAUUGAGGCAGAGCCGGUCAGUCAGUGUGAUGCGGACACAACAGUUCAGUUCAUCAAAAAGGUGAUCUUUCGUUUUGGUUUUCCACAUAACAUCAUAACUGAUAAUGGCACUAAUCUCUCCAAGGGUGCCAUGGAAGAGUUCUGUCAAUGGGAACAUACCUGGCUUGAUGUUUCGGCUGUUGCUCAUCCCCAAUCCAAUGGUCAAGCAGAAAGAGCUAAUCAGGAGAUUUUAAGAGGUAUCAAACCACGGCUCUUGGUCCCCUUACAGCGGACUCCGGGUUGUUGGGUGGAAGAAUUGCCCUCUGUGCUGUGGAGCAUCAACACUACGCCUAAUAGAUCCAUGGGUUAUACACCUUUUUACAUGGUUUAUGGAGCGGAGGCAGUUCUACCAAGUGAUAUCCGACACGAUUCGCCCCAUGUGGCGGCUUACGUUGAGGCUGAUAAUGGAAAGUCUCGACAAGAGGCGCUUGACUUGCUAGAUGAGGAGCGAUACUUGGCAAUAGCCCGCUCGGCGAUUUACCAACAAGUCCUUCGUCGUUAUCAUAGCCGCCGGGUCAGGAGCAGAACAUUUCAGGAAGGCGAUUUAGUGCUCCGGCUCAUCCAGGAUCAGUUUGAUAUACACAAGCUAUCCCUGCUUGGGAAGGACCCUUUGUGGUUAGCAAGAAUCUGCACAAUGGGUCAUACUACCUCAUCGAUAUUUGAGAACACAAAGACUCAGGUAAAUCGGAGGAGGAGACCCACCGGCCAUGGAAUAUAGCCCAUCUUCGACCUUAUUAUACUUAAGCCACCGGCUCUUUAGAUGUAUAUAUUUUUUGACAAUGUAUAUAUUAUAUAAAGUAAUAAAUCAGGACCUCUGUCCUUUUUUCACCCUCAAAAAAGUGUAUAUGUCUUUUUGACAGGUGGUGGAAACAACCAACGGGGACCGGAUCAUAUUUGAAUCCGGCUUUACCUUUGGUCCGGCUUAUGAUCAUAUCUGAAUCUAGCCAUGAUCGCUUGGGGGCUUCCUGUUCAAACAUAGGUCGUAUCCGAACCAAAGAGAACAUAGCUGUCGAUACCCACUUGAUCGGCAUACUUGCCAAACCUACUUGGGGGAUUCUUGAUCAUAUUUGAAUCAUAGCUUAACCCCUUUAGGUCUGACGUGGAUCGUAUAUGAAUCAGCGUCAUUAAACAAAUCCUAUGGUCACUUGGGGGCUUCCUAUUCAAACAUAGGUCGUAUUCGAACCAAAGAGAACAUAGCUGUCGAUACCCACUUGGUCGGCAUCACCAAGCCACUGGGGGCUAUAUGAUCGUAUCUGAAUCUUAGCUUAACCCCUUUGGAACGGUUUACUGAUCGUAUCCGAAUCAGAAGCCUGUAAAGUAUUUUGAUAAUCCUGAGACCUUGUGGAAAGCAUUAUGCGAUGUUUUUGUCUUGCCGGUUGAAAAAUUCAUCACCCCAGGUUGUUGUGGGCCGGAUGAGCAUUGUAUGAGCCGGAAAGACUAUCAAAGGGUCCCAGGAUAAGGUAAGCAAAAUUUAAAACGCCAAGGAAGAAAUAUACAGCCAUGGCGGCUUAUGAAAAGUAUUAAGCAUGCACAAAGGCAUGACAGGCAUAGGGAAGUUCUUUCUACCCUAUUACAAGACUCCCCGAGUCUGAAAUUGAUGAAGCAUUGUUUUUUUGGCCAAACACCUGGCGAUUCACUCCUUCGGCAGGCUUGAGGGCUCCGGGUUAUCCUUCUCCGCUUCUCCGUCGGCUGUUUUGUCCAGGAAAGUUGAUGAGGCCCAAUCUAUGCCGCUCAAAGCUUCAAAUUCAACUUCAGCAUCUAUUAAACCGGCCGGGUCCACUUCAGGGGCAAAAGUAUGCUUACGAAUUGGAGGGAUCAGGCUGAUUUGAUCAUAUGGAGCGUUUGGGAUUUUUCGGUCAUUACUGUCAUAAGCCGACACAUACUUGCUGAGGUCAGUGUCGUUUCCGAUAAGGGUGGCCAUCGAACGUAUGGCUUUGACACAGGAGGUGAAGUCAUGAUCAUCAAAGGCAUUGCCGUCUUCCUUUAGACUCGGGUAUCCAAGAGCAAGGUCUGCCGGGUCUAGUUCUGGGAGCCAUGCUUUUGCUCGGCUCAAUGCGGCUACGGCCCCGGCUCUUGAGGAUGAACGCCUUAAGUCUUGGAUCCGCUGAGGUAGAAAGGCAAGGCUCUUCAAUACAUCUUGCAAAAGGCGGGUCUGUGGAGUUCGUAAGGCUACAACGGCCAAGGCACGUUGUGUCUCGGAGUAUAGCUAUUCCAUUAACGUGUAAACUGCUUUAAACAUGAUUAGCGUGUUCUGCUUCUGGUUGACACUCCUGGAGCCUGUAUGUGCACAAGCAUAACAGUCAGCCGGAAGUAAUUAUUACAAUCAUCAUUGUAAGGUUACAAUGUUUAAAGGCUGGUUUAUAAUAACUUACCAAAGAUGGCUGAGACCAUUUGCGAUAUCUGCUGUUUUAAGUCAGACAGCUCGGUUGUUGCUUCGGCAAGAGAUGCUUCGGCUGUCUCGGCCCGAGUCACCAGGGAAGCCUUCUCAUCAGCCCAAGUUUUCUUCUCUGAUUCAAAUUUCUUAUUUAGCUUCUCAUUUUGAGAGACACUAAAUUCAAAUUUGGAAUUAGCCUUCUGCGUCUCAAGUUCUUGAGUUUCCAAACGACUCUUCAAGGCAGCGAGCUCUGAUUCAAAUUGACUUAUGGCAGCCUGCAUUGACACCAGGUUAUGGUAAGGAUUAUAGUAAGGUAACAUUAAAGUCCCGAGCACUUUACAAGUAAAGAUACUUGGCACUUGGGGGCUAAUGUAUGCUGAAGAAUUUUUUAACUUUAUCAUGCCGAGUCACACAUAUCAAGUCUCAAGCACCUUACAAGUAAGGAUACUUGACACUUGGGGGCUAAUGUGUAUUGCAAAUUUAAAAACCGUAUGUUAUAACCGGGUUAAGUGACUUCUUUUUAAGCCGGAUAAGUUAACAGGUAAGGCAGAUUUCUAAAAGUCUACAUCAUAUUUGUUCAUAAGCAAUAGACUUGGAGGCUGGUACAAUAUGUAAGACUCAGGUAAAAAAUGUAAGUUAUACCUCAGAUUUGUGCUGUAUUUGUUUCACCAUGUCAAUUUCCAGGUCACGGCUAUUAAGAACCUGAUUCAGAUAGCCCGAGACUAUAUCACCAAUGCUUAGGUGAGUAUAAUCAGUGAUAUCCUGCUUGGCUUUUCGGCAUUGAGAAAAUUCUUCCUUGGCGGUAUAUUUGGCAAGGACGGUAGGCCGCCCUGGUUCAACAAACUGAGACUUCACAAUUUCAACUUUCGGUUCAUUUGUUUUGACCAGGCUAGGAGUCUCCGGGUCACUUGUGUGGAGAGUAUCUUCAGCAGGUGGAUGUCACAUCCUAGUUAGCCAUGCAUUAGAGUGUUGCAUCAUGUUUACCUUUUCAUCAGAAACCUGAAAUGGGGAUGAAAGAACCCCCAGUCCCCUCUGAAACCAAUUAGGGUUUACUAAAAACAUUUUCAAUGAACCUGAAAUGCCCUUCUAAAAUGCCCAUCAUUUUUGUCUUGGUUCAGAAACUCUGCCAAAAGUGGUGCACAUUUUCCUAGGCCAUCCUAGGGUUUUUUGAAUUAAAUCAUAAAUAUUUGAAUUUGGGCAUUUAAAAUUAUAUAAAAUAUUUAAAUGCUCAAAUAUCUCCAAACUAAAAUGUUUCAUGUUGGAAAUAAUCCAACUAUGGACCAGGAGUAGUUUGGUGAUUUUUGAAGUUGCCUAGGUAUUUUAUUUAAUUCAACUAAGUUGCAGAAGUAUUAAAAAUUAGAGAACAGAAAUAAAUAAAAGGGAGAACCUUACCUGGGCUCCUCUCUGUCCGGCCCAGCCAGCUGGCCGGCCCAGCCCACCACUGCAGCCCUCCGUCGUCUUCCUCCCCUCGCCCCGAAGCUGCUGCGUGCUCGCACGCGCACGGCCGCGCGGCCACCUCCUGCUUGCCGACGAGCUCCUGGCCGCGUGGACGACUUCCGCAGGCCGUCCCGAUCCCCCUGACCCCCCUCACUCUCCCGUGCACCUCUUCCCUCUCUCCCUGCUUCGCCUCCCUCGACCCCUCUCCCGAAGCAGAGCGCAGCCGCCGACGCCGUUCACCGUAGCUGCAGCCACCGCCCUUCCCUCGCUCCCCCGACUAGCCCAGAGGCUCCGCCUCGACCCCCUCUUCCUUCCCAUCGGUCCACGGGCCUCCGGAAGCCCUGCAUCGCCGCCCACGUCGCCGUUCCCCUCCUCGGCCACCGGAGAUCAUCGCCGUCGAUUCGAGAGCUACCGGACGUCCCCGAGCCCGCUAACCAUCCCUGCAGCUCCGCGGUGAGCCGCUGACCCGAUUCCCCCUUGCCCCGUCGUCCCUAGCAUCCUGUAGUUGCCGUCCCCUUGAGCUCCGAAGCUCGCCGCCGCCGUGCCUCGUCGCCGCCGUGGCUGGAGCCGUUGUAGCUCGAAGCCGAGCACACCAUCGUGCUCCACACCUCACCAGGAGCACGUAGCACGCACCAACGCCUCCCCUAGCGCCCUGCAUCGCCUAACCCGCCGUUGGCCGAACUCCGGCCGCCGCUCACGAGCUCGCCGUCGUCGGUACCGGCCACCUCAGGCACGGCCACCACCACCGUUCGACGCGCGGGAGCAAGGGCUCUCCAACGAGCCCAAGCACGGCCUCGCCCGUGCCCUAUAGCGCGUUUCCGCAUCGCGCCACCGUCUCGGGCCUCACCGGCAUCAUGUCGCCGGUGGGUUUGACCUGUUUGACCUGGGGUUUGACCCCCCCAGGGUCACUGAGGCGUGGGCCCCGUCGGCCAGGUGGUUAGAUUAGCACUAAUCACCGCUUAAUUAACCCCCCCUGACACUGACAGUGGGCCCCAGCGCCACUAAUUCCUAAUUAGGAUUAAAUUAACCCUGUUAAACCCCCCCUGUCACUGACGUGUGGACCCCACACGUCAGGUUUGACCCCAGCCAGCCGCAGUUGACCACUGACGUCAUGCUGACGUCAUGCUGGCGCAAUAUUUAUAUUUCUGGAUUUAAUUUAAAUCAGGAAAUUCCAGAAUAUUAUUUAAACUUCAAAAAUUCAUAACUUUUAUUCUGUAACUCCAAAUCAGACAAAUUAUAUAUGAAAAAUGAUCAGAAAAAUCCAAUCUAUCCAUCUGUACUAUUUUCAUGCAUGACUAAACAAGUUAACUUGAUGUUUAAUGCAGAACAAGGAAAAGCACUUUAAGAGGCCAUGUUUGAGUUUGAAAUUUGAAUCUUUGAUUCAAAUUUGUUCAAACCCUUCUGGUUUUAGUUGCAUUAGCCCAACACACUCAUAUUGCCAUGUUUCAUGCAUGCAUCAUAUUGUUGCACAUUGUUUGGUGAUGGUUGUGUAUCGGUGUCCUUUGCGACAGGUUCUGCCUCCAAGGAGUACCGUGAUUACCCUAACGAAGAACCGUAUCAGUGCAUCGAACCAACAGGCAAGCAAUCAACCAUUUGAUCAUAUCGAUACAAUCCCAUGUUCUCGCUUCUGCUCUCUUUUACUGCAUUAAGAGAACGCGUUUCAAACUGCUGUGUGCUACGGUAGUUGAACCCAUUUCCUCUGCAUGACCUGUCAUUGCCACAGUAACUAGAUCAAACCCACUAGCAUGUGUAGGAGUUGAUUGAGCCAUAUGUAUGUGUUGUUCCUACCUUGCUAUGCCUGCUAUGCUUAGAGUCGUGUCAGGUCUGGUUCAUCUGGGUGAUGGGCUAGAGUGAAAUGAUUAUGUCGGUAAUGAGAGUGGUGUGGUGAACAUGAUUUGGUAAAGGUAUCGAUGAGAGGCCAUGUAGGAGUACAUGGUGGGUUGUUUCAUUGAAGCCGACCUUAAGCACUGAGAUCUGUAUGUGUGAUUUAAGAUUCAGCUACUACCAUGCAUUGGGCCCGAAACCAAUGGACCCUCUCGACUUCUUAGUCACCCUAGUUCUCUGUCCAGGAGUUGCAAGUAGUUUCUGGUGUUUGUAGUAUACUGGAGGCCGUGGACAGCGCUGACCGUAGGGGUGGGCUGUGAUGCGGUAGGUACGUGGCAUGGUGUACCGAAUACCCGUUAGGUAUCUCGGGAACCCUGCUCACAUCGUUUGGGGCUGUGAGCGAUACCUCGGCCGGAUCUCCUCAUGGAUGGAACCCGAAUAGGCGAUAAACCUGGACUAGGGACUUAGGUGAUUAGGUAGGUCGUGGCCGACACCCACGUUGGGCUUCCGCUUGAAGGUUGCCGAGUACAUGUCAUGUAAACGACGGUAAGUGGUGAGAGCGUGUAUGAAGAAGUACACCCCUGCAGGGUUAUCAUAAUCUAUUCGAAUAGCCGCGUCCGCGGUAAAGGACUACUUGGUUGCCUAUACAGUUCAUAGACAAGUAAAUGGAACUGCUAAAAGCCUCAAGAUAAGUGUGAGUGCCGAGGAUGGCUCUUCCGUAGGAAGACGGAGGCGGAUCCUCGGUAGUGUAUUGAAGUGGUGGGUAGUGGACUCGUGUGCGCAAAACCAUUUCAAGUUGAAGUAUCGUAGGAUAGUCUAGCCAAGAGUCAAAGCUGGCUUGCUGCAAUAACUCCACCAACCCUUCUUGAUAAUAUGCAUGUAUGUAGGAUCUGAUGUAAGUCUUGCUGAGUACCUUUGUACUCAUGUUGCUAUAAUUUACAUUUUUACAGAAGACGCUGCAACCCCUUCUGAUGGGUUCUAUGUAGACGUUGACAUCAACGAGUAGGCUAAAGGCCCAGGUGGUGACCCUGAGCUUGUGAAGGACCACGUAGUAUAGCUAGGCUUUCCAAGCCUCUUUUAUUUUACUAGUUGUCUGUACUCAGACAAGUUACUUCCGCUGCUGGUUUGUAUGACUGUAUGACUUGAAUGUCGGGUCGUGAGACCCGUACCUGUGUGUAUGUUAUGUAUGGUUCUCUGAGCCUUAAAUAAAGUACUUGUGUCAUAGAGUCAUGUUGUGAUGCUUCGUUGUAUUUGCACAUAUCGAGCAUAUUGUGUGUAUGAUUGAAAUGCUUGGUAUGUGUGGGAUCUGAUUACCUAGUUGUUUAUCCUUAGUAGCCCCUCUUACCAGGAAAUGUCUCCUAGUGUUACCGCAGAGCCAUGGUAGCUUGCUACUGCUCUGGAACACUUAGGCUAGCCGGCAUGUGUCCUUCUUCGUUCCUGUGUCUGUCCCUUCGGGGAAAUGUCACGCUUUGAGUACCGGAGUCCUGUUAGCCCGCUACAGCCCGGUUUACCGGAGUCCUGCUAGCCCAGUGCUACAGCCCGGACCCACUUGCUGAUGACCGACACGUUCGAAGCUGGGUCAUGGAUGCCUGUCCCUGUAAGUCUGUGCCACUUUUGGUUUACGACUAGUCAUGUCAUCCCGGGCUCCUUAUCAUAUGGAUGCUAGCGACACUAUCAUAUCCGUGAGCCAAAAGGCGCAAACGGUCCCGAGCAAAGGUAAGGCGACACCCGUGGGGAUACCGUGCGUGAGGCCGCAAAGUGAUAUGAGGUGUUACCGGCUAGAUCAAUCUGACAUCGAGUCGGGGUCCUGACAGCGUUGGCAUCAGAGCCAGACUGCCUGUAGGUUCUCCAAGCCAAACUGGUCGAUGUUGAGUCUAGAAAUUCUUUAGUUAUAUGUAGGGGAAUUGUUUGUGGGUUGGAACAUAAGGCUCUUUUACUCCUUUAUCUUAUAACAUUCUGAUCUGAGUCAGUCUAUUCUUCCACCGGGGGUUAAGGAAUUAGGAUCUAUUCUCUCUAUCAGGAUCACGUGUAACUAAUCAGUAGUACCUUAUAGGUUUGAUGGAUACAAGCCUAGUUCAAUUCUACUACCACAUUAUGUUGUUAAAAUGGAUUCAGAACUUUGAUAUGAUGAGGUCGAGUAUGUAUGUAAUCCUUUGUCAAAUGUCUCAAAAUCCUUCUUGAGCAUUUACAGCUGUUAUGCUGCCGAAAUUUUGCUAGAAAUUCUAAUGCCUUUGCAUUAUGAUUGUGCUUUCAGAUGGCCACUCGCGACCUCAAUCAAGUGGUUCGCCUGACUCGAUUCCUAGAUGUACCCGGCCAUACUGCCAAGUUGGUCAGGGUAAUGACUGAGGCUGGAUACCGCUGGUAUCCUGAGUAUACGGUCGAAGAGCAAUUCCGAGACUUUAAUCAAAGCCAGUAUCUCUGCACUGUCAGGAUAUUUCCAUCUUAUCCUGGAUCCACCGAGCCCCUUCACUGCUCCUAUGGACUCGGGGUUACCAUUGAGAUGGCUGUGCAGGACGCCGCCUACUCUAUGAUGACCAUCAUGCGAGUCAGAUCUGGACUAUUUCGGGACUCUGAUUUCCGGUAUAUGCCAGGAUCACUUCCGGGAGCACAAGGGUAUCUCCAGGCUAUCUAUGCUGACCCCACUCAGGAGGAUUCACGGACUCGCACCACUGCUGAGAUGCUCGAGGAUAAGGACCGUGAAAAUCGGGCCUUGAGGUUAGAGCUCUUCAAUACCCGUGCUGACCACUGGGCCACAUUGACUCGGUUUGCACCGGCAGUGCAAGCUGGAUAUUCGGAUAUGCGCGAUCUCUAUCCUGUGAGAUCUGCUCUGCCAGACGUGAUGGGUUGGCGUGAUGUAGGAGGCAUCACCCCACCUCGCGGUCCCCGCAGGCCACCGUCUGUUGGUCCAAGACCUCAUCCUAGCCCCUAUGGUCCACAAGCUCCGCGAGAUCGUCUGUUUCCGGAUGAUCAUGUUGAGCUUCCAGGCUAUGGAGGUGACUUCUACGAGGACUACUACGGAUCGGUCUGAGUUAGUGGUAGUAUCACUAGUUCGCACUAGCUGUGUCAUCUAUCGUCCCGCGUGACUCGUGGGAUAUGACCUAGUUUGUACUCUUUCCGGAGGAGUAGAAAAAUAAUGUAUAGGAGCUUGGAAUGCCUCCGAUGAGAUGUAAUCCUCUUUUCACCGUAAUAGUACUUUGUUUGGUCUUGUACUAAACCCUGUAUGGUGUGUAUGACGAUGGAAUAAAGAAGCAGUUUCUGUAUUUACCAUGUCAUAUGGAUGAUCAUCUUGCAUUUCGAGUUAUCCCUUACAUUUUAUAUCCUAUGUCGGAAUUUUAUCAUCCUGACUAAAUCAUUGUCUUGUUUACCUAGGAUGGUCAACACGCGCACUAACCCUGCUCCUCAAGAGCAGGCCGAAGGCAGUGAAGUCAGGGAUGCAAAUCUGCCUCAUCCUCCUUCCCUAGCUGAGGUUAUGAUGGAAGCUGAGAGAAACAAGCGGGAGACCAACCGUUUGUUGGAGCGUAUUGAACAGAACACAGCACACCAUCAGAGGACUAACGUGGUGUCACUCAGUGAUUUUAUCAAAUUACAUCCACCCACGUACCACCACUCCGUCGAGCCUCUCGACGCUGAUGACUGGCUUCGCAGUAUCUCUCACAAACUGCGUUCCGCGCUGGUAGCGGAGGCUGACAAGGUCACCUUUGCUGCAUAUCAUCUUGAAGGCCCCGCCAGUCUAUGGUGGGAGAAUUAUGGAGCUAUGCGCCCAGCAGGCCAUGUCACUACUUGGGCUGAAUUCAGCGAGGCUUUCCGUGAACAUCACAUUCCGGAGGGUCUCAUGGACCGUAAACGUGAGGAAUUUUGCAGUUUCACCCAAGGCCGACUCUCUGUGGAUGCUUAUAGCAGGGAGUUUGGUAACCUCGCACGAUAUGCAACCGAGGAAGUUUCUACUGACGCCAAGAAGCAUGCAAGGUUCCGUAAGGGACUUAGUCCUGAGCUUCGCCGUGACCUCCGUCUGCAUGAGUGCACAACUUUUCAGAAACUUGUCAACAAAGCCAUCAGUGCUGAAACGGGUCAGACUGACUAUGACGCAACACGCAAGCAUGGCCGUGACAUGGGUUCCUCAUCCGGUGCUGGUCCUCAGAAGCGCCGCGUGUGGGUGCCCAACACCGCCCUGCCACCCAGGUUCACACCGAGGCCAUCUUUCCAGGCGCCUCGCCCUGUUCAACAGUCUGCACCGGCCAAGCCCUAUGGGGGUCCAGCCAAUAAUGCUCCUCCACGUACCAGUUCCGUGACUUGUUUCAAGUGUGGGGAAUCUGGCCACUAUAUGCGUGAGUGUCCCCAGACCAACCCCAACCAGUCUGCUAAAGCUGUUGGCCGUGGCAAGCCGACAGGGAAAGUGUUCCACGCCAAGCCGGUCACCGUCUCACGUGGCCAUGUCAACUGUAUCUCUGCCGAAGAAGCUCAAGAGGAUCCCAACGUCGUUCUCGGUACGCUUCUUGUUAAUUGCCACCCGGCAUCUGUUCUUUUCGAUACAGGAGCCUCUCAUUCCUUUAUAUCCGAAAAUUAUGCUCGUUUGCAUAACGUCGCAUUCGGUGAUAUGCCAACCUCUAUGGUAAUUCAAACUCCGGGAUCCAAAUGGCAAACUUCUAGAGUAAGCCAUGGAAAUGAAAUCCAAGUCGACAGACUUGUUUUCCUCGCGUCUUUGAUAGCCCUUAAAUCUUCAGAUAUUAAUAUCAUUCUGGGUAUGGACUGGAUGUCGGCUCAUCAUGCCCAAAUUGAUUGCUUCUCUAGGACUGUUCAACUCACUCACCCUUCGGGCAAGAUAGUCAAUGUCUUAACCCGAAUAGCCAAGCGACAAUUAUAUUCUCUUAACGCCAGCCCUUUGCCAGAUCUUGAGGACAUUCCGGUAGUCCGUGACUUCCCGGAUGUCUUCCCAGAGGAAUUGCCAGGUGUUCCACCUGACAGGGAUGUUGAGUUCGUAAUAGACCUCAUUCCAGGAACCGUUCGGAUUGCUAGAAGACCUUAUAAGAUGGCACCACUAGAACUAGCCGAGCUUAAGAAACAACUCGAUGAGUCCUUGAAAAAGGGUUUCAUCCGCCCUAGUUCAUCUCCAUGGGCUUGCCCCGUCCUAUUCGUCAAGAAGAAGGAUGGUACGGACCGGAUGGUUGUAGAUUACCGACCUGUCAAUUUGGUCACAAUCAAGAACAAAUAUCCGCUCCCCAGGAUCAACGACCUUUAUGAUCAGCUCGCUGGAUCCUCAGUCUUCUCCAAGAUGGAUUUGAGGUUGGGCUACCAUCAAAUCAAAAUAAAAAACGGGGACAUUCCUGAAACGGCCUUUGUUACUCGUUAUGGCCAAUACGAGUACACCGUCAUGUCCUUCGGAUUAACCAACGCUCCAGCCACUUUUUCUCGGUUAAUGAACUCAAUCUUCAUGGAGUAUUUGGAUAAAUUCGUCGUGGUUUACCUCGAUGAUAUACUCAUCUACUCCAAGAACGAGGAAGAACAUGCCGAACAUCUAAGGCUAGUGUUGAAGAAACUUCGAGAGCAUCGCCUUUAUGCCAAAUUUUCUAAAUGUGAAUUCUGGUUGUCAGAAGUGACCUAUCUGGGUCAUGUAAUAUCUGGUAAAGGUAUUGCUGUUAACCCUGAGCGAGUUCAAGCCGUCCUUAAUUGGACUCCACCUGAAUCAGUCAAGCAAGUUCGGAGUUUUCUGGGCUUAGCGAGCUAUUGUCGUCGCUUUGUCGAGAACUUCUCCAAGGUUGCUAAACCUCUAACCGAACUCCUCAAGAAAGAUAAGAAGUUCGAGUGGACUCCACAAUGUGAGCACAGCUUUCAGGAAUUGAAAAGACGCCUGACUUCUGCUCCCAUACUGGUACCGCCAGACUUCUCCAAGGACUUUGUUAUCUACUGCGACGCCUCGCGACAAGGACUAGGUUGCAUUCUCAUGCAAGAUCGACACGUAAUUGCCUACGCUUCACGGCAAUUGCACCCACAUGAGGAGAAUUAUCCUACUCAUGAUCUAGAGCUUGCAGCCGUAGUCUAUGCACUCAAGACCUGGCGACAUUACCUCCUCGGUAACCGUUGCGAAAUAUUCACUGAUCACCAAAGUCUGAAGUACAUCUUCACCCAACCGGAUCUGAAUCUCAGGCAAAGACGUUGGGUUGAGUUGAUCACAGACUUCGACUUAGGAAUAACCUACACCCCAGGGAAAGCCAACGUCAUGGCUGAUGCGCUAAGUCGUAAAUCUUAUUGUAAAAACCUGAUGUUACAACAAAGUCAACCGCUUCUCCAUAAGGAAUUUCGGAAGCUUAACCUUCACAUUGUUCCUCAAGGUUUUCUUUCCACCUUGGUGGCAAAACCUACCCUUACGGAUCAGAUUAUCAAAGCACAGAAGGUAGAUCCGGGAAUCUCCCGCAUCAAGAGAAACAUUCAGAAAGGAAUUGCGAAUUGCUUCUCCAUUAAUGAUCAAGGGGUCGUAUACUUCGGGGAUCGACUAGUGGUUCCCAAAGUGCGAAACCUGAGGCGAUUAAUCCUUAAGGAAGCUCAUGAAUCUCCUCUCACCAUUCAUCCCGGUAGUACUAAGAUGUAUCAGGACCUACACCAGAGGUUCUGGUGGACUAGGAUGAAGAGAGAAAUUGCUCAGUAUAUUGCUAAUUGCGACGUCUGUCGUCGUGUAAAAGCAGAGCAUCAACGGCCUGCUGGCACCCUUCAACCCUUAGCUAUUCCUGAAUGGAAAUGGGAUAAAAUUGGUAUGGAUUUCAUUACCGGUUUUCCCAGGACCAAGAGAGGGAAUAAUGCUAUCUUCGUCAUUGUCGAUCGUCUUUCCAAAGUAGCCCAUUUCCUACCUGUUCGUGAGAGUAUAACCGCUAGUCAGCUGGCCGACUUAUACAUCUCCCGUAUAGUGUCUCUCCAUGGUGUUCCUUUGGAAAUUAACUCGGAUCGAGGAAGUCUUUUCACCUCUCGAUUUUGGGAAAGCUUCCAAAAUGCUAUGGGGACCCGUCUCUCCUUUAGCACCGCUUUCCACCCUCAGUCGAGUGGUCAAGUGGAACGCGUCAACCAGAUUCUAGAAGACAUGCUUCGAGCCUCUGUUAUCUCAUUCGGAAUGGACUGGGAGAAGUGCCUUCCAUUUGCCGAAUUCGCUUACAACAAUAGCUAUCAAUCUAGCUUGGGUAAAGCCCCUUUUGAAGUUCUCUAUGGACGACGGUGUCGAACACCCCUUAACUGGUCAGAGACCGGGGAAAGACAAUUCUUUGGCCCGGACAUGAUUCAGGAAGCAGAAGAACAAGUUCGCAUCGUUCGUGAAAAGUUGAAAACAGCCCAAUCCCGUCAAAAGAGUCAAUAUGACCGAAAACAUAAGGCUAUGACUUUCGAGGUUGACGAGAAGGCUUAUCUUCGGGUCACCCCUCUGAAGGGAACCCAUCAUUUCGGUAUCAAAGGCAAAUUGGCUCCUCGAUACAUUGGACCUUUUCGCAUUCUCGCCAAACGAGGAGAAGUUGCCUACCAGUUGGAACUACCUCCGCACCUCUCCAGAGUCCACGAUGUCUUCCACGUUUCUCAACUCAGGCGUUGCUUCUCGGAUCCUAUCCGUGGAGUGGACCAUGAAACGCUUGAUCUCCAAGAUAAUCUUACAUAUCGAGAGUACCCCAUUCGUAUCCUCGAUCAGGCCGAACGUACCACCCGACGUCAUAAUAUCAAGUUUCUCAAAGUUCAAUGGUCGCACCAUUCUGAAGAUGAAGCAACUUGGGAAAGGGAGGAUCGUCUUCGACUCGAGUAUCCCGCCUUCUUUCCGGAGGAACCCAAAUCUCGGGACGAGAUUCUUUUGAGUGGGGGUGAGUUGUCACAUCCUAGUUAGCCAUGCAUUAGAGUGUUGCAUCAUGUUUACCUUUUCAUCAGAAACCUGAAAUGGGGAUGACAGAACCCCCAGUCCCCUCUGAAAUCAAUUAGGGUUUACUAAAAACAUUUUCAAUGAACCUGAAAUGCCCUUCUAAAAUGCCCAUCAUUUUUGUCUUGGUUCAGAACCUCUGCCAAAAGUGGUGCACAUUUUCCUAGGCCAUCCUAGGGUUUUUUGAAUUAAAUCAUAAAUAUUUGAAUUUGGGCAUUUAAAAUUAUAUAAAAUAUUUAAAUGCUCAAAUAUCUCCAAACUAAAAUGUUUCAUGUUGGAAAUAAUCCAACUAUGGACCAGGAGUAGUUUGGUGAUUUUUGAAGUUGCCUAGGUAUUUUAUUUAAUUCAACUAAGUUGCAGAAGUAUUAAAAAUUAGAGAACAGAAAUAAAUAAAAGGGAGAACCUUACCUGGGCUCCUCCCUGUCCGGCCCAGCCAGCUGGCCGGCCCAGCCAGCAGGAGGCCCAGCCCACCACUGCAGCCCUCUGUCGUCUUCCUCCCCUCGCCCCGAAGCUGCUGCGUGCUCGCACGCGCACGGCCGCGCGGCCACCUCCUGCUUGCCGACGAGCUCCUGGCCGCGUGGACGACUUCCGCAGGCCGUCCCGAUCCCCCUGACCCCCCUCACUCUCCCGUGCACCUCUUCCCUCUCUCCCUGCUUCGCCUCCCUCGACCCCUCUCCCGAAGCAGAGUGCAGCCGCCGACGCCGUUCACCGGAGCUGCAGCCACCGCCCUUCCCUCGCUCCCCCGACUAGCCCAGAGGCUCCGCCUCGACCCCCUCUUCCUUCCCAUCGGUCCACGGGCCUCCGGAAGCCCUGCAUCGCCGCCCACGUCGCCGUUGCCCUCCUCGGCCACCGGAGAUCGUCACCGUCGAUUAGAGAGCUACCGGACAUCCCCGAGCCCGCUAACCAUCCCUGCAGCUCCGUGGUGAGCCGCUGACCCGAUUCCCCCUUGCCCCGUCGUCCCUAGCAUCCUGUAGUUGCCGUCCCCUUGAGCACCGAAGCUCGCCGCCGCCGUGCCUCGUCGUCGCCGUGGCUGGAGCCGUUGUAGCUCGAAGCCGAGCACACCAUCGUGCUCCACACCUCACCAGGAGCACGUAGCACACACCAACGCCUCCCCUAGCGCCCUGCAUCGCCUAACCCGCCGUUGCCCGAACUCCGGCCGCCGCUCACGAGCUCGCCGUCGUCGGUACCGGCCACCUCAGGCACGGCCACCACCACCGUUCGACGCGCGGGAGCAAGGGCUCUCCAACGAGCCCAAGCACGGCCUCGCCCGUGCCCUGUAGCGCGUUUCCGCAUCGCGCCGCCGUCUCGGGCCUCACCGGCGUCAUGUCGCCGGUGGGUUUGACCUGUUUGACCUGGGGUUUGACCCCCCCAGGGUCACUGACACGUGGGCCCCGUCAGCCAGGUGGUUAGAUUAGCACUAAUCACCGCUUAAUUAACCCCCCCUGACACUGACAGUGGGCCCCAGCGCCACUAAUUCCUAAUUAGGAUUAAAUUAACCCUGUUAAACCCCCCCUGUCACUGACGUGUGGACCCCACACAUCAAGUUUGACCCCAGCCAGCCGCAGUUGACCACUGACGUCAUGCUGACGUCAUGCUGGCGCAAUAUUUAUAUUUCUGGAUUUAAUUUAAAUCAGGAAAUUCCAGAAUAUUAUUUAAACUUCAAAAAUUCAUAACUUUUAUUCUGUAACUCCAAAUCAGACAAAUUAUAUAUGAAAAAUGAUCAGAAAAAUCCAAUCUAUCCAUCUGUACUAUUUUCAUGCAUGACUAAACAAGUUAACUUGAUGUUUAAUGCAGAACAAGGAAAAGCACUUUAAGAGGCCAUGUUUGAGUUUGAAAUUUGAAUCUUUGAUUCAAAUUUGUUCAAACCCUUCUGGUUUUAGUUGCAUUAGCCCAACACACUCAUAUUGCCAUGUUUCAUGCAUGCAUCAUAUUGUUGCACAUUGUUUGGUGAUGGUUGUGUAUCGGUGUCCUUUGCGACAGGUUCUGCCUCCGAGGAGUACCGUGAUUACCCUAACGAAGAACCGUAUCAGUGCAUCGAACCAACAGGCAAGCAAUCAACCAUUUGAUCAUAUCGAUACAACCCCAUGUUCUCGCUUCUGCUCUCUUUUACUGCAUUAAGACAACGCAUUUCAAACUGUUGUGUGCUACGGUAGUUGAACCCAUUUCCUCUGCAUGACCUGUCAUUGCCACAGUAACUAGAUGAAACCCACUAGCAUGUGUAGGAGUUGAUUGAGCCAUAUGUAUGUGUUGUUCCUACCUUGCUAUGCCUGCUAUGCUUAGAGUCGUGUCAGGUCUGGUUCAUCUGGGUGAUGGGCUAGAGUGAAAUGAUUAUGUCGGUAAUGAGAGUGGUGUGGUGAACAUGAUUUGGUAAAGGUAUCGAUGAGAGGCCAUGUAGGAGUACAUGGUGGGUUGUUUCAUUAAAGCCGACCUUAAGCACUGAGAUCUGUAUGUGUGAUUUAAGAUUCAGCUACUACCAUGCAUUGGGCCCGAAACCAAUGGACCCUCUCGACUUCUUAGUCACCCUAGUUCUCUGUCCAGGAGUUGCAAGUAGUUUCUGGUGUUUGUAGUAUACUGGAGGCCGUGGACAGCGCUGACCGUAGGGGUGGGCUGUGAUGCGGUAGGUACGUGGCACGGUGUACCGAAUACCCGUAAGGUAUCUCGGGAACCCUGCUCACAUCGUUUGGGGCUGUGAGCGUUACUUUGGCCGGAUCUCCUCAUGGAUGGAACCCGAAUAGGCGAUAAACCUGGACUAGGGACUUAGGUGAUUAGGUAGGUCGUGGCCGACACCCACGUUGGGCUUCCACUUGAAGGUUGCCGAGUACAUGUCGUGUAAACGACGGUAAGUGGUGAGAGCGUGUAUGAAGAAGUACACCCCUGCAGGGUUAUCAUAAUCUAUUCAAAUAGCCGCGUCCGCGGUAAAGGACUACUUGGUUGCCUAUACAGUUCAUAGACAAGUAAAUGGAAACUGCUAAAAGCCUCAAGAUAAGUGUGAGUGCCGAGGAUGGCUCUUCCGUAGGAAGACGGAGGCGGAUCCUCGGUAGUGUAUUGAAGUGGUGGGUAGUGGACUCGUGUGCGCAAAACUAUUUCAAGUUGAAGUAUCGUAGGAUAGUCUAGCCAAGAGUCAAAGCUGGCUUGCUGCAAUAACUCCACCAACCCUUCUUGAUAAUAUGCAUGUAUGUAGGAUCUGAUGUAAGUCUUGCUGAGUACCUUUGUACUCAUGUUGCUAUAAUUUACAUUUUUACAGAAGACGCUGCAACCCCUUCUGAUGGGUUCUAUGUAGACGUUGACAUCAACGAGUAGGCUAAAGGCCCAGGUGGUGACCCUGAGCUUGUGAAGGACCACGUAGUAUAGCUAGGCUUUCCAAGCCUCUUUUAUUUUACUAGUUGUCUGUACUCAGACAAGUUACUUCCGCUGCUGGUUUGUAUGACUGUAUGACUUGAAUGUCGGGUCGUGAGACCCGUACCUGUGUGUAUGUUAUGUAUGGUUCUCUGAGCCUUAAAUAAAGUACUUGUGUCAUAGAGUCAUGUUGUGAUGCUUCGUUGUAUUUGCACAUAUCGAGCAUAUUGUGUGUAUGAUUGAAAUGCUUGGUAUGUGUGGGAUCUGACUACCUAGUUGUUUAUCCUUAGUAGCCCCUCUUACCGGGAAAUGUCUCCUAGUGUUACCGCUGAGCCAUGGUAGCUUGCUACUGCUCUGGAACACUUAGGCUGGCCGGCAUGUGUCCUUCUUCGUUCCUGUGUCUGUCCCUUCGGGGAAAUGUCAUGCUUUGAGUACCAGAGUCCUGUUAGCCCGCUACAGCCCGGUUUACCGGAGUCCUGCUAGCCCAGUGCUACAGCCCGGACCCACUUGCUGAUGACCGACACGUUCGAAGCUGGGUCAUGGAUGCCUGUCCCUGUAAGUCUGUGCCACUUUUGGUUUACGACUAGUCAUGUCAGCCCGGGCUCCUUAUCAUAUGGAUGCUAGCGACACUAUCAUAUCCGUGAGCCAAAAGGCGCAAACAGUCCCGGGCAAAGGUAAGGCGACACCCGUGGGGAUACCGUGCGUGAGGCCGCAAAGUGAUAUGAGGUGUUACCGGCUAGAUCAAUGUGACAUCGAGUCGGGGUCCUGACAGUGGAUCAGAGGUUGGCAUUGGAAUAUCAGAAGCUGGAUCAGGCGGCAGCUGAUGGGUAGAGUUGUCUGGAACAGACGCAUUAAUCACCGGUUCAGCCAUGACCGGUUCUUCAGACGGCUUAUUCUUCUUUGCCCGUUUACUGGGUUUCACUUGCAUGAUGUUAACAAAAGCAGAAGGAUGAAUACACAAGCAUGAAUAAAGCAAAAAGUGCAUAAGUUUACAUUACCCGGGAGCAGUUUUGAAAGUCGGCAUAUUUGACUGCAUGGAUUCACCGGAAGAAGGAAAGGUAUCCUGAUAGUUGGAGUCAGAUGAAUUGAGAGGUUGACGAAUUAAGCCUGCUAAAGGUAAGACAGAACGUAAAUCGGAGAUAACCUCAGUCCGACGCUUCCUGAUUAUAUCAGGUAAGCCGGAGGAAAGUUCUGCAUCCUUGUUGUUCCGGGUCUGCCUCCAGUUCUCAAAUUGUUGUUGCUUGAAAAGAAAUUGAGGAUCUUGAUAAGCAAGUGCAUGUGAAAAUCUGACUUUCCAGGUCACCCUUCGGGUCUUUCGCUUUGGCAAAGGCUCUGAGUUGGAGGAGAUUAUAGUUACCUCUUCAUUGGCUGCUCGACUGUUCCCCAUAUCCUCCUAAAGGGAUCGAAUGUCAGACAGGUGAUAACAAGGAAUUUAAGAAAAUUCAAAGAUUAACUCUUCAUCAUCUGAAGAGCUAUCCUCCAAUCUGAGUAAGUCGGAGGCACUGGGUUUCUUCUUCUUUGAGGUUCCUGCCUUGGCAGCUUUCCUUUCAGCCUUCUUGGUCGUCCUAGCCUGUUUGGCAGCCUCAUGGUCAUAUUUGGCUUUCCAGAAGUCAUCACCAGCCUGUGGAAAAAGUUAAAGAAUUAUGAGUAUCAAGAAAGGUAUAAUAUAUCCGUAAACAUUUGUUACAAUUGAUAACUUACUGCAGGGGCCGGGUUAUUCUUGCAAAAUGGAAGUAAGCCGAAGGCGUUGCUCGUCACAGUGCCCUCCUUCAGCAGUGACUGGGUUGUAGCAUCCACCACAUCAUCUGGUAAGUCGUCAGGGCUAUGGCUUAGCGUAUCAUUCUUUUCUCCAGUAUAAGUACACAUUAAGCUGGGACAGCGGCUUAAAUGAAGUAUACGCCAAGUGACUGAGACUCGGACCAGAUCGAUGCCAUUUAAACCGUUUCCUAAGAGAGCUUUAAUCUUCCUGAUGGUGGAAUUGAGAGGCACGCGUUCAAGGGUGGUCAGCUUGUCUGGUAGCUGAUGGUUAGACUCAAGGCGCAGGGCGCGAAAGCCGGGCAGAGGUUUUUCAUCAGCCAGAGAAGUGUCCUGGGAGUAGAACCACGUCUUGUUCCAAGAUUUUGGGUGGCUCGGCAACUCAGCAUAAGGGAAAAGACAGUCUCUUCGUCGCUGGAUUGAGAUGCCGCCAAGCUUAACACUGGGCCCGUUGGCACGUUCAUUUUGCCGGUUCAUGUAAAAAAGUUCGCUGAACAAAAGCAGACUAGGCUCUUCUCCCAGGUACACCUCGCAGAAGACAUGGAAAUUACAAAUAUUUGACACGGAAUUGGGUCCGAUGUCUUGAGGUCUAAGGUCAAAGAAAUUUAAAACCUCUCUGAAAUUUUUUGAGCCGGGAGGAGCAAAUCCACAGCUCAUAUGAUCUGUAAAAAUUAUUACUUCCCUUGCUUUGGGGUGAGGCUUUUCUUCAGACGAGUCAGGGGCACGGUAAGACAUGACAUCCUUUUUUGGUAGAUGCCCAGACUUUACAAACUCAGCUAGUUUGCUAUUGGUAACUAUGGAUGGAACCCAAUUGCAAGUUACAGGGGCCUUGGUAGCCUUAGGAGCCAUCACAGCAGUUAGCCUAUGGAAAAACAAGAUUAUCCGGUUCAAUUUUAACCUGGGAGAAAAAUCUUAAUUAUUUAAGGUGGUGGCUUAAUGAGGGGCCUAAUGGUGUAAGGAUGACUGUGCAACAAUACUUAAGCCACUACAAGUAUCAAGUGCAGUUCACAAUUUUUCUGGGUCAUGAGGAGCAAUUAAAGUUCCGUGUCAUUUAUUUAAGCCGGACAUCUCGACAGUUGUAUUUCAGGGCAUUUACCAGAAGAGGUUUUCCGUGUGAUAAAAACAAGUUUCACAGAUAACAGUUAUUACUCUGGAUCAAAAUAUUGCUCUGAAAGGAAGUUUUCUAGACCUAAACAGGGCAGAGAAGUUCAUGCACUCGAAGAGGGUUCCUGAACAAGGGAAAGGAGAUCUAUUUAUAUGCAAGAUCAACACAAAUAAGCACCACAACAGUUCUACGUAGUUUUUACGAUCUAAACAGGGCGUUGGAAGGAACUUGCGAGGGUUUGGUGUCGGGCAGUGAUGAACACCGACGAACUCAACAAGGCCCUAAUGCAGAUCUGAGGAAGGGAAUGAGAGGAACUCACGGAUGCGGACGAGCUGCAGAGGUUCGCCGUCGAUAUCUGGUCAGAGUCAGGUUGAUGCAGCGGCCUGAGUCGAUGAAGACGAGAGGUUCGACGGUGGCGGCGGCAGAGCUCGGGAAGAGGCAAGAGGAAGAAGACUACUGGGGGAAAGACCUAGGUCGCCCUAUUUAUAAAAUAAGACUGACCGAGAGGGCGUGAAAAAUGAGGAGAUAACAUUUAUUAUCCAGCGGCUCGGGCGCCUCGAUUCUCGGGAUAGUCAGUAAAGACAAAGAUCCAUUGAAGAUAUGGCGGAAUAAAAAUAAGUUUUAUUGAAGAUGACAUCACGGUGAUUUUACCCGGAUCUAGAUGAUGACGUCACAGUGGGUUAAAAUUCUUUGUGCAAGACAAAAGACUGCAGGACAGUUCAUAAGGUAUAUUAAGAUUGACAUGAACAGGUUCAAAUCAAUCUGGGGCCUAAUGUUGGGAAUAUAACUAUUUGUGUAAGCCGCCCAGGAGGGGCCGGGUUACGCAAAGAAGACUCACCAGAGAGAAGCCCAAGACCAAAGUAUGAAGAUGGCGGUUCAUAGAGAGCUUAAGGCCCGCAGGCGACUUAAGGCCCGUUGUAGUAAACCGCCAUAAUAAUAUAAUUGUAUCAUAAGGUAGACUUAACUAGUCACCGAGCCGGACAUUGUGUAUAAGCCGGCCGGGACUCUAUAAGCCGCAGGGCAUCAACCCGAGUAUAUAAGGGGACGACAUGCGGGCGACUUAGGGCAAGAAACAACUCAUCGAGAGCCAGGCAUAGCGUAUCUCGCUCCCUGGUCAUCGAAACAUCAAUACCAACCCAACUAGACGUAGGCCUUACCUUCACUGUAAGGGGCCGAACUAGUAUAAAACCUCUCGUGUCCUUUGUCCCGAUUAACCCCUUCAAGCUUCCUAGUUGCGAUGGCUCCACAACUAAGUCCUUUCACGAGGACAUCUGACGUGACAAUUCCACGACAGAAAGGAUAACUUUGAGGUGGUUUCGUACCCUACAAUAAUCUCUUUGUUUGUUCUCCGCUAUUAGUGACUUUGGAGUGACUCUUUGUUGCAUGUUGAGGGAUAGUUAUAUGAUCCAAUUAUGUUAUUAUUGUUGAGAGAACUUGCACUGGUGAAAGUAUGAACCCUAGGCCUUGUUUCCUACCAUUGCAAUACCGUUUACGCUCACUUUUAUCAUUAGUUACCUUGCUGUUUUUAUAAUUUCAGAUUAAAAAAAACCUAUAUCUAUCAUCCAUAUUGCACUUGUAUCACCAUCUCUUUGCCGAACUAGUGCACCUAUAUAAUUUAGCAUUGUAUUGGGUGUGUUGGGGACACAAGAGACUAUUUGUUAUUUGGUUGCAGGGUUUUUUGAGAGAGACCAUCUUCAUCCCACGCCUCCCACGGAUUGAUAAACCUUAGGUCAUCCACUUGAGGGAAAUUUGCUACUGUCCUACAAACCUCUGCACUCGGAGGCCCAACAACGUCUACAAGAAGAAGGUUGUGUAGUAGACAUCAGUCCUCCUCUCAUAUUCAUUUGCCUCCUCCCUGGUUAUAAAAUAUCUCAUGUUUUCCUGAAAGUUAAAGAAGGUAGGAGCAGGGAGAGUAAUAUGGAGAGCACGCCGUCUGUCAAAGAUUGGUCGGUACUGGAGGGACUGUUCGUUCCUCUCAAGAAACUGAUGGCGAACCAUAGCAUUAUAGUCUAGAAAAGCAGGUGGCAACUCAAUAUCAUUUUCAUUUAUGGGUACACCAAGAUAAUCAGCUAAAUGAGUUGCAUAAAUUCCACCAAAUAAAUCUACAUUUUUACCAUUAAGAUGUAACCUCCAUGCAACAAUGGCCCCCAAGUUAUAUCGUUUAUCAUCUAAUACCGCACUCUUGAGGACACUGAGAUCUGGGACGCACAUGUGACAAAGCUCAUCUUUACCGUUAAUACAUCUACCUAUAAAGAGAGCAAAGUAAUGUAUGGAAGGAAAAUGAAUGCUCCCUAUGGUAGCUUGUGUGAUAUCUCUGCUUUCUCCCAUAGUGAUAUUAGCAAAAAAAAUCAUUAUAUUCAGAUUUGCGAGGUUCACUAAAGAUGCCCCACUGUGGGAUUUUGCAAGCAGUGUUAAAAUCAUCUAGGUCCAUUGUAUAUGAUUUAUCAUAGAGGUCAAUGGUGUGAGUGUUGCGCUUAGAUGUAAAGUUAAACCUCUGGACAAAGGAAUCAGUGAGGUGAUAGUAUAGGAGGCACUUAUCUGAUACGAAGUUCUCAAGAUUAGCAUUACACACAUAUUCAUCAAAUUCAUCCUUGAAGACAGCUUGCAUCAUAAAUUCAUCCGGCGGCAAUUCACAGGGCCGCACUUGAGCUUCUCUUUGUGGUUCAUGGUCCGGCUCACGUAUCGAUGUCGUCGUUGCUUGCUUCCUUGAAGAACCACCUUCGCCAUUUUCCAAAACAUUUUUCUUCCUCUGAAAAAUUUCUAAAACUUUUAGUGAUUCAGGAUAAAAGUGAACCAAACUCAACAAGAUUGAUAGCAACUACUCCCACAAGUGCCUAGAAGCAAUAUCAUGCAUCAAAACUACUUUAGACCAUAUAAAUAUGACAUCCAAGCUCAAGAACAGGGUCAUCUCAGCAGCAAAAAUUUGCAAUAAAUAAAGCACUAGAACAAAAACUAAUUGGACCAUUGGAGGAGUCACAUACCAAAGAACAAUCCGCCAAAGCAGUUUUAUGAAUGGUGCUUUGAGCAAGGAGAUCGAAAACGGCAGCAAAACGAGCAAGAACACGAGUUUGAGCUACGAGAUGAGUUUUUCUGGAGGAAGAUGAAGUAUGUGGGUGCUGGAAUAAGUGGAGGGGGCCACGUGGGGCCCAUGAGGUAGGGGGCGCUCCAAGGGGGUAGGGAGCGCCCUCCACCCUCGUGACCAAAUGGUGGGUCCCCCUGGUGUGUUCUAAGUGCCAGAAAUUCUCAAAUAUUCUACAAAAAAUCACACUCAACUUUCAGGGCAUUUGGAGAACUUUUAUUUUCGGGGUAUUUUUUAUUACAAGGAUAAUUCAGGAAACAGACAGAAAAUACUAUUUUUGCUUUAUUUAACUAAAUAACAGAAAGUAAAAGGUUGGUACAGAGAGUUGUGCCUUCUAACUUCAUCCAUCUCAUGCUCAUCAAAAGGAAUCCACUAACAAGGUUGAUCAAGUCUUGUUAACAAACCUCUUUCAAAUAACAUGAAACUGGAGAAUUUUUUAAUUAUACUAAGUUACCUCAACGGGGAUAUGCAUGACCCCAACAAUAAGAAUAUCAUAUUUAUUUUUGAUAGUAGAAAGAGGGAAUUCAAAACCUCCAAUAGUAAUCAUUGAAAUUUUUGCAAUAGAAUUUAUUCUAUGAACUUGAGGUUGUUUCUUUGGAAGGUGUACCAUAUGCUCAUUACCAUUAACAUGAAAAGCGACAUUGCCUUUGUUGCAAUCGAUAACAGCCCAUGCAGUAUUUAGAAAAGGUCUACCAAGGAUGAUCGACAUACUGUUGUCCUCGGGAAUGUCAAGAAUAACAAAGUCCGUUAAGAUAGUAUAACAUUUGCAACCACAACAGGCACAUCCUCACAAAUACCGACGGGUAUAGCAGUUGAUUUCUUGGCCAUUUGCAAAGAGAUUUUGGUAGGUGUAAACUUAUUCAAAGCCAGUCUACAAUACAAAGAGAAAGGCAUAACACUAACACCGGCUCUAAGAUCACAUAAAGUAGUUUUAACAUAGUUUCUUUUAAUGGAGCAUGGUAAAGUUGGUACUCCUGGAUCUCCAAGUUACUUUGGUAUUCCACCCUUAAAAGUAUAAUUAGCAAGCAUGGUGGAUGUCGGUGUCAAAACCGGCGGAUCUCGGGUAGGGGGUCCCGAACUGUGCGUCUAGGCGGAUGGUAAUAGGAGACAAGGGACACGAUGUUUUACCCAGGUUCAGGCCCUCUUGAUGGAGGUAAAACCCUACGUCCUGCUUGAUUGAUAUUGAUGAUGUGGGUAUUACAAGAGUAGAUCUACCACGAGAUCAAGGAGGCUAAACCCUAGAAGCUAGCCUAUGGUAUGAUUGUUAUUCGUCCUAUGGACUAAAACCAUUCGGUUUAUAUAGACACCGGAGAGGGCUAGGGUUACACAGAGUCGGUUACAAUGGUAGGAGAUCUACAUAUCCAUAUCGCCAAGCUUGCCUUCCACGCCAAGGAAAGUCCCAUCCGGACACGGGACGAAGUCUUCAAUCUUGUAUCUUCAUAGUCUUGGAGUCCGGCCGAUGAUGAUAGUUCGGCUAUCCGGACACCCCCUAGUCCAGGACUCCCUUAGUGGAAAUUUCAGCUUUCAGUAUCUUUCUUUUAUUUGUAACAAUAUCUUUCAUAUAGUUGGCAUAGGGACUCAUUUUCAGCAUAUGAGUCAAACAUAUACAUAAAAACAUAGGUCUAAUCAUUUCAGCGAAGCGCUCAAAAUCCUCAUCAUGCUUUUUCUUGCAUGGAUUAGGAGGAAAAGGCAUGGGUUUCUGAACCCAUGGUUCUCUUUCUUUGUCGUGCUUCCUAGCAACAAAGUCUCUCUUAUCAUAACAUUGAUUCUUUAAUUGUGGUUUAUCAAGAUCAACAACAGGUACAAUCUCUACAUCAUUGUUAUUACUAGGUUGAGCAUCAACGUGAACAUCAUCAUUGACAUUAUCACUAGACAAACAAUCACUCAAGUAUUCAACCAUAUAAGCAUUAUGUUUCAAUUGUGUACAAACAUAAGCAUUGAAGUUCUGUUGUUUAACAAUGAAAUUAUCAAACUCAUCCAAGCAUUGACUAGCAAACUUAGUAGGUGGGAUUUCGCACUUACCAAAUCUAUAGAGAGAAUUUACCUUUACUACCUGUGUCGGGUUAUCAAGACCAUGUAUCUCUUCAAUAGGCGGUAAAUUCUUAACAUCUUUAGCUUUAAUACUUUUUUCUUUCAUAGAUUUCUUUGCUUCUUGCAUAUCUUCAGGACUGAAAAAAUAGAAUACCCCUUUUCUUCGGAGUUGGCUUAGGAGUUGGUUCAGGAAGUGUCCAAUCAUUAUCAUUACUCAAUAUAUUAUUCAAUAGCAAUUCAGGUUGCUCAACAGUUCUUUCCCUGAAAACACAACCAGCAUAACUAUCUAGGUGGUCUCUGGAAGCAUCGGUCAGUCCAUUAUAAAAGAUACCAAGUAUUUGUUUUUUCUUGAGAGGAUGAUCAGGCAAAGCAUUAAGUAAUCGGAGAAGCCUCCCCCAAGCUUGUGGGAGACUCUCUUCUUGAAUUUGCACAAAAUUAAAUAUUUCCCUUAAGGCAGCUUGUUUCUUAUGAGCGGGUAAAUAUUUUGCAGAGAAGUAAUAAAUCAUAUCCUAGGGACUACGCACACAACCAGGAGCAAGAGAAUUAAACCAUAUCUUACCAUCACCCUUUAAUGAGAAAGGAAAUAAUUUAAGGAUAUAAUAGUAGCGAAUUUUUUUGUUCAUGAGUGAAUAGCGUGGCUAUAUCAUUCAAUUUAGUAAGAUGAGUCAAAACAAUUUCAGAUUCAUAGCCAUAGAAAGGAUCAGAUUCAACCAAAGUAAUUAACUCAGGAUCGACAUAGAAUCAUAAUACUUAUUAGUGACACAGAUAGGCGAAGUAGCAAAAGCAGGGUCAUAUUGCAUUCUAGCAUUCAAAGACUUUUCUUUUAAGUUAGCUAACAGUUUCUUAAGAUCAUAUCUAUCAUUGCAAGCAAGAAAGUCUCUAGCAGUUUCUUCAUCCAUAACAUAACCCUCAGGUACAAUAGGUAAUUCAUAUCUAGGGGGAGAAUCUUCAUCAUCACUUUCAUUAAUAUCAUCAGUUUUAGUAAUUUCAUUCUCUCUAACCCUAGCAAGUUGUUCAUCCAGAAAUUCACCUAAUUGCAUAUUGUUAUCAAAUAGAGAAGUAGUAUCAGUAUAAGCAUCAUGCAUAGCAGAGGUGGCAUCAUCAAUAACAUGCGAAAUAUAAGAAUCAAUAGCAGGUGUAGGUGUCGCAAGUUUAGUCAAAAUAGAAGGUGAAUCAAGUGCAGAGCUAGAUGGCAGUUCCUUACCUCCACUCGUAGUUGUGAGAAAAAUCUUGGUUCUUUCAUCUUUCAAAUUCCCCAUAGUGAUCAACAGAUAUAAAUCCCAAGUUACUCAAAGAAUAGAGCUAUGCUCCCCGGCAACAGCGCCAGAAAAAGGUCUUGACAACAGUUUUCGAGGGUAGAGUAUUCAACCCAAAUUUAUUGAUUCGACACAAGGGGAGCAAAAGAACAUUCUCAAGUAUUAGCAGCUGAGUUGUCAAUUCAACCACACCUGAAAGACUUAAUAUCUAUAGCAAAUAAUUUAGUAGCAAAGUAGUAUGGACGUAACGGUAACGAUCGCAAAACUAACAGUAGCAGUUUUGUAGCAAUCGUAGCAAUGGCAACUGUCGUGGAUUUGUCACGACAGAUGUCCUUAGUGUUAGGACUUAGUCGUGAGGCCAACGCAUCUAUGUGGUAGCUUGAGAGGGGUUGAGUGGGACGAGAGACGCAGGGCGGAUCAACACGCACGACAAGGUUUUAGACAGCUUUGGGCCCCGGGAAACAUCAUCCGGUAAUAGCCCUACAUGCUGUUUGAGGCUAGGUCUCAUUAUGCUCAUGAGGGAGUCACCGCAUAAGCUGGCUCCCCCUUUAUGUCUAGCCCUAGAUAUUGUUUCUUGUUGCUGUUUCUGUCCCUCUUUGGGGAGCUCUGCCCCUCCUUAUAUAUGUUGAAGGGGCGGGUUACAUGACUAGUCCUAGUAGGAUUAGGAUUAACCUAUUACAAGUGGAGUCCUAGUCUUGCUUCCUUUAUAAGAGAAUAUUCCUUGUGCUUUCCUCAUAAACCGGCCCACCAUUAACAUGAGCGGGCCUUUUGGGCCUUGGGCCUGGUCAUCCAUCUGACCCGCCCGCCGGGUUACUAUGAACCGCCAAGUCCGCGCGGAUUACCCGUGAAUCGCCAAGCUCUGGGCGGGUCAUACUUCUGGCGGUUUACACCGUGGGGUAUAUCCCCGACAUUAGCCCCCAGUUUAAUUUGGAUUUUAUCCAUGUUAAACUGAUCUGCAACACUAACACAAGAACAAAUUUGAUAGGUUAUACUCCGGGUUAAAUGUUCUUGUAAGCCGGCACCUGAUCAUCCUUAAGUCCUUUACAUUUCUUCCUUGAUAUGUAUCCAUGAUCUCAUAGCAAAUCUCCUUAGCAGAUAUGUCCCAAUUUUACCAAUGCAAAAGAUCCAGAUACUUCCUUUGAGAAAUCCGGGUCAACAGGCCAGCUUCAGAGUCAAUUUGCUGACAUUGGUCUCUUGUUGAGAAAUAUUAUAAGAAAUAAUCCAUUUGAGUCGGUUUCCAAAGCUCCGGCUUAAUAAACAUAUUGGACUCAAGAUUCAUCUGGUGAUCCGCCAGUGUAAAGAUGUAGAGGCUGGCUAGUUAUAACUGCCAAAAUUGCCGGCUUGUAAACAUUAAUAGCACCAGGCCAUAACUGUUGUUGACACCGGGUCAUAAUUAUUGUGACACCGGAUCAUGAUUGUUGCAAACACUGGGUCAAUCUGACCUGCUCAAAACUAAGAAUUUGAAGAUUUUUUCCCCUUAUAUGUAUAUCACCUGUAGCCCCCAAGUAUCGAGUUGUCAUGCUUGCAGCAACCUGGGACUUGUAAUUGCCUUAUGCUCAUAAAACUUCAACCCGUGUAGCCCCCAAGGGCCGGCUUAGUGAGAUAUUAUUGAGCUGGGACUUUGUAUAUAAUUCAUUGAUAAUAACAUCAUAUGAUGUAGUCUCCACCAUGGGGCUUGAACCCACGUCCACAAGGUUAAGAGCUUUGUGCUUUACCAACUGAGCAAUGGAUCCUUCAAUAUAAUGGAUUAAGACUUGUGUACCUUGAACCGUUGACAGGAGCAAUUGGUAGCCCCCAAGGGCCGGCUCAUUACGAUGUGAUGAGUCGGGUCUUCAAUGAGGUGAGCAAAAAUGACUUUGCAUUAGCCCCCAAGUGUCAUGGUGCAUGCUUGUAUCGACAUGAGACUUGCACAUUUGAUGUAACCCCAAUUUGAAUAAUGUAGCCCCCAAGUGCCGGGUCGUAAGCCUACAGUGACUCAGGACUAUUCCUUCCAUUGUAGAAUAAAUCAUAUCCAUCAAUAAAAUAAUAGCCAUUGCGCCAAAGCGACUUCGAAUACCUCAUCUGUAGAUAAGUAAAUCCGGAAUUUAAAUACCCGGCGGCUCUUGGCCGAUGGCGAUUUUAUAUGCCUCCAUUGUAAGCCGGAAUUUGUAUAACCCGACGACUUAUAACCAGUGAGAAAAAUCCAGAACAGAUAAACAUUUUGAAGCAUCAACUUUGGUAAUGAGCUUGAACUUAAUCAUUUAUAUGUCAUAUUUCUGCAAAUCCUGCAAAGACUUUAAACAACAUAUGCCCUGGCGACUUAGCGCCAAAGCCAGGGUGGGUCGUAAUAUCUCAUAUAUAACCACUGUGAUAUUGAAUUUGUACUGUCGGUUCACAUGACUUGUGCAGUUAGGGUGAUAACCCAAUCCUUAGAAACCAAUGCUUCCACCUAGAUGAUGAUUGUCAUAAACUGGCGACUUAUAGUCAAAAGUCAAGCCGAGUUAAGCAUAAAACACUUAUAUACAUUUGAGAUAUAAUCCAAAAAAGGUCUCAAGUCAAACCCAAAAUUGUUAGCAAAAAAGACUUAAAUUUUUUUAAGGCUUCUGAUUCGUAUAUGAUCAAAAAACCGUUCCAAAGGGGUUGAGCUAAGAUUCGAAUACGAUCAUAUAGCCCCCACUGGCUUUGGCGUUGCCGAUCAAGAGGGUACCGAAAGCUAUGUUCUCUUUGGUUUGAAUACGACCUAUGUUUGAACAGGAAGCCCCCAAAUGACCUUGAGAGUUGUUUAACGACGCUGAUUCGAAUACGAUCCACGUCGGACCCAAAAGAGAUUAAGCUAUGAUUCAGAUACGAUCAAGAAGCCCCCUAUUGAGUUUGGCAGUGUGCCGAUCAAAAGGGUUUCGACAGUGAUGUUCUCUUUGGUUUGAAUACGACCUAUGUUUGAAUAGGAAGCCCCCAAGUGACCAUAUAUUAGCAUUGCACCGAUCAAGAGGGUACCGACAGCUAUGCUCGAUGAGCAGGAAGCCCCCAAGUGACCAUAAUAAGAUAAGCCAUAAGGCAUGAUACCUAUGUUUGAACCGCGCAUCAUGGCCGCAAGUUCUUUUUGGCAACCUUUAAUUUUUUGCAAGAGAUAAAUUCUUCUUGAACCGGGAUUUUGAACUGGAUAUUGAGAGUUUUCAAAGCCUUGUGGGAGACAGGUUUACCUUGAGCCGGAUUGUAAACCGGAAUUAUUCAUUUUGAGCCGAAAAUUUUCUGACGGCUUUUAAACAGGCAACAUUUACUGAGCCAUGUCAUCAUAGCCCCCGCGUCUCAAGGCGACUUUGAGGAGUUGGCUUGAGAUUCUCCAUAGUUGACUGUGAUAUAGACCGGUUCAAGUCCUACAUGGGAGAACUUGCAAGCCAAAGUAAUUGCUCUUUUAAAGAAAAUAAUAUGUAAUACAAAAUAUAUUGGACGGAUUUCACCUGAUAAGUUAGGCCAGUAAUUAUCCACCGCGGAGUUGAUAAUUACCAUGGUGAAGCUGAAAUCAAUCACAGCCGAGUCGGCCACGGGAGCAGGUAGAUGAGCCGGUCGCGGCGUUGUAAGCCGGUGCGGAUGGGGGAAUCAAUCGCAGCAGUGGUAAGCUGUGCGGUCGGCGAGUCAAUCGUGGGCAUGGUUUCAGCGAGAUGAUGUAGAUCGAGCUGCACGGACGGCGGCUUACGCACACAUUUGUUGAACAAUGCUGUAUGGUUGGAUGCUGGCGCUUAAUAAUAUUGACGCGAAUUUUAUAUCCAUGAUACGGCCAUCACUUUUGUAGUGAACAAUUGUCCCGCAUCGGAAAAUAUCGCAAAAUAGAGUAGCUGUUUGCAGACAGAUUAUUAUAUACAGAUGAAAUAAAUAGAAUAGGUAUCACCUGUAUUUUUCGGAUGAAGUGACUGCACGAUAACUUGACCAAAUGAUAACCACGCAUCCAUCCAAUUUUAAAUGAAUCAUGUCUGAGUGGCGCACUGAACUUGGCUGUCCUUAUCAACUUGUCCUGUGUAAACAAUACUCAUGGAGUACUACUCCGUAACUGAAUUUGCUUUGCACAACAGCGAGCAGUACCAACUCGAUUGACCCUUGUAUGACAAAGUGGAAAACAGUAGCACAAACAAACGCCUUGAUGAUUUGAACGUUUACUUGUAGCCUCAGGAUCUGAUCCUUGGCAACUUGCAACACUGUACAGAUGUGAGUAGCUUGGUACGGUACGGAGCGGGCGAUGCUCAAUGCAGGGGCAACGCCAACGGAGGCGCGAGGCGCUCGCCAGCACUCGUCACAAAACUGCGGUUUAAGGCCGGAGCGGCGACCCGGUGCGACAGCGACGCACGGCAGAGCCGGGCUGAAGCAGAGGUGAGCAUGACGGCAGCUCAACGAUGGCGGCUGACAAAGCACAAGGGCGGCGCUUGAGCUGACCUGAGGCCGCGGUGGUUUGACAGCGAGGCCACAGCGGUUCAACGAAGGCCAUCUCAUGGAGGUUUUGGAGGAAGCCAAACAGAGGGGCGGCUCACGGGCAGCGACUCACAACGGCAAGAUGAGGCCACAACCACGGUGGGUCAAAGGCAAAUGCCAGCGGGUUGAAGACGUAGGCAGCCGACUUGGAGCAAGGCCGGCAAGGCCAGCAAGGCGCACUUCCAGAGAGGAGGCCAUCGAGGCGACUCAAGGCAUGGCGGCUGAAGCGGCGGGCCAUAGCAGCUCAGUGAGGCACGACGGCUACGGCUCAGAGCUUGGUCGUAGAACCGAUGCUGGAGCGUGAAGGAGGCUGCAAUAGGGAGCGGAGUGACCGAGUUAUGGCAGAGGACGCAGCAGACGAGCCGGCGGGCGGACGGUCAAUGCCCAGCUGAGCUGGAGGUUGCAUUAGCGUGGUGAGUCGCAGAUACAAAGGCGCCGCAGCCGACGGGGUGGCGUUUGGUGGCGAUGUGGCUGGCUUGGCAGAAGGCGGAGCCAAACCAGUGGGGGCAGCUCUUGGCGAAAUUUGGGCCGACCGCGGUGGAUGAGCCGACGACUUGGUGGGGGCGACGCCCGAAGGCGAGGGCGACUCGGAAUGGACCUGCCGGGGAGGCCCUCGGGCGGAGGCAGAACGGCGAGGCGGCAGAGUCUGAAUCAAUUCCCCGUUCCCGUGUCUGUCUCGGUUGUUGUCGGUUUGAUUGCAAAGGGUCUGGUGACUCUGCAGAGGCGAACAGCAGCAGCUCCAGCCAGCGGCGGCUUGCAGCGGCGGAAGCGGCCGUCAGGGCGUGGCGACCCGGAGGCUGCAAGAGCAGAGUUGAGUAGAGGAAGCGAGGCGGCAGGGCACGCCAGAGCCGUCCGGAACGGCAACCGGGGUCGGGCGCGCAGCUCAGAGGCGACAGGGCCGGCCCGAGGUGGCGACUCGCAGGUGGGGGCUCGCCAACGGCGGCCCAGAAGCAAUGCCGACGAAGGAAAGCAGCGCGAUGAGACCGGGUCAAUACUGUCUCCACUUCCAGGUCGUGGGCUCGUGGCCUUUGAUUCACUUUAGCACCUUGAUCUGGACACCAAGACCGCCGAUCGGAUCAUGGGAUUUUCCUUUUAUACUAUUUCUGCCACCGAGGCCCAUUGAUCUUGUCUGCACUCUGCAACAAGGAAACGAUCGCACGCUAUUGCAGAGUUCGCCUCGGUACCGCUGUAGUCCUACGAAUGAACGAAUCGUGUCAAGUUGAUCUGGAUACGGACGACACCCAGUCAGUCUCGGCGAAUCAAGCAUGUCGUGGAAUUGUCACGGCAGAUGUCCUAAUGUGAGGACUUAGUAGUGAGGCCAACGCAUCUAUGUAGUAGCUUGAGAGGGGUUGAGCGGAAUCGAGAGACACAACACAAGACAAGGGUUUAGACAGCUUUGGGCCCCGGGAAACAUCAUCCGGUAAUAACCCUACAUGCUGUUUGUGGCUAGGUCUCAUUAUGAUCAUGAGGGAGUCACCGGUAAGCCGGCUCUUUGUGUGUAGCCCUAAAGAUUGUUUCCCGUCCCCCCCCCCUCUUUGCGGAGCCCUGCCCCUCCUUAUAUAAGUUGAAGGGGCCGGCUUACAUGUAGAGUCCUAGUAGGAUUAGAACUAGUCUCUAUUACAAUUGGAGUCCUAGUCUUGCUUCCUUUAUAAGAGAAUAUUAUUUGUGCUUUCCUCAUAAACCGUCCCACCAUUAACAUGAGCCGGCCUUCUGGGCCUUGGGCCUUGUCAUCCAUCUGACCCGCCUGCCGGGUUACUAUGAGCCGCCAAGUCCAGGCGGAUUACCCGUGAAUCGCCAAGCUCCAGGCGGGUCAUACUUCUGGCGGUUUACACCGCGGGGUAUAUCCACGAGAUUAGCCCCCAGUUUAAUUUGGAUUUUAUCCAUGUUAAACUGAUCUGCAACAUAAACACAAGAACAAAUUUGAUAGGUUAUACUCCGGGUUAAAUAUUCUUGUAAGCCGGCACCUGAUCAUCCUUAAGUCCUUGACAUUUCUUCCUUAAUAUAUAUCCAUGAUCUCAUAGCAAAUCUCCUUAGCAGAUAUGUCCCAAUUUUACCAAUGCAAAAGAUCUAGAUACUUCCUUUGAGAAAUUCGGGUCAACUGGCCAGCUUCAGAGUCAAUUUGCUGACAUUGAUCUCUUGUUGAGAAAUAUUAUAAGAAAUAAUCCAUUUGAGUCGGUUUCCAAAGCUUCGGCUUAAUAAACAUAUUGGACUCAAGAUUCAUCUGGUGAUCCGCCGGUUUAAAGAUGUAGAGGCUGGAUAGUUAUAACUGCCAAAAUUGCCGGCUUGUAAAUAUUGAUAGCACCGGGUAAUAACUGUUUCCGACGCCGGGUCAUUAUUAUUGGUGACACCGGAUCAUGAUUGUUGCAAACACCGGGUCAAUCUGACCUACUCAAAACUGAGAAUUUGAAGAUUUUUCCCCCUUAUGUAUAUCACCUGUAGCCCCCAAGUGCCGGGUUGUCAUGCUUGCAGCAACCUGGGACUUGUAAUUGCCUUAUGUUCAUAAAAACUUCAACCAGUGUAGCCCCCAAGGGCCAGGUCAUUAUGCAAUAAUUAGCAGGGACUUUGUAAAUAUUAUCAUGUAAACUGGAGUAGCAACAUGUACCCCCAAGGGCCGGCUCCGUAAGAUAUUAUUGAGCUGGGACUUUGUAUAUAAUUCAUUGAUAGUAACAUCAUAUGAUGUAAUCUCCACCAUGGGGCUUGAACCCACGUCCACAAGGUUAAGAGCUUUGUGCUUUACCAACUGAGCAAUGGAUCCUUCAAUAUAAUGGAUUAAGACUUGUGUACAUUGCACUGUUGAUAGGAACAAUUGGUAGCCCCCAAGGGCCGGCUCAUUACAAUGUGAUGAGUCGGGUCUUCAAUGAGGUGAACAAAAAUGACUUUGCAUUAGCCCCCAAGUGUCAUGGUGCAUGCUUGCAGUGACAUGAGACUUGCAUAUUUGAUGUAACCUCAAUUUGAAUAUGUAGCCCCCAACUGCCGGGUCGUAAGGGCAUCUCCAGCCGCGCCCUCAGGAAGGCCUCCCCAGGCGUUUUUUCGCGCCGGCGCCGAAAAAACGGCCCAGUCGCGCCCCCAGGAGCCCGAUUUUUGCCGGCUUGGGCCGAAAACAGCGCCGGCGGACCCAGCCCGAACCCGGCGCACUGGGGGCGCCCGGGGGCACCGGGCGAACUGUUUUGGCGCGAAAAAGCCGCGGGCCCGCCGUGUCAGUGACACGGCUCUCUUCUCGGCUCUUCGUCGUCCGCAUCGCCUCGUUUCCCGUGGCGAAUCAAUGCCAAAGCUGUCGCGCGCUGCCGUGCCGGUCAGCCUGCGCCAUUGAUGCCUCACGGGCGGUGCAGUGAAGACCGGACGACGCGCGUCCCUCGCCCUCUCUCGCCCGCCACGUGUACACAUGGUAGCACGCGCGUGGGCGGCGCCUCGGCCUAUAUAUGACGCGCCCCAGUGCACUCGUCGGCUCACACACUCUCCUGCCGUCGACGUUCCUCCCUCUCCUCUCCUCUCUUUCGCCGUCUCCAGUUCACACCCAUGGCCGAGCACUUCCUAGGCGACGGCGUGGCGGCGAACGGCUUCGGCCACCGCCAUCUUCAUGAAGACGAGGCUCGCCUCCUUUACGAGGCCGAGUACCCGGUCCCGCCGGACAUGCGGGUGCCGAGGGCGUGGAGGAUCAGCGCGGGCGGCGUGCCGGUGCCCCCGGUACCCACCGGCGCGGCGCGGCGUGCGGAGAUCGCACGCAUCCGCUCGAACCUGCCGCGUGCGGCGAGGGAGGGGCCACGGUACGUCCCUGACAGCCCGCUCUGGGAACCGUACUUCCGCCGCCGUCAUGCCCAGCAGCUCGAGGCCACCAACGGCGUCGUGCCCUCCGGUAGGCUCAACGCCGCCGCCAGCGUCGGUGGUGGGGCAUGCCCAGGCGCACGUUGGAGGCCGUCCUCGAGUACAUCGAGGGUGGCAACACGCCGCGCCUCGAGUACCCCGAUCCCCCUUCCUUCUCACGCCGCCGGGGAAGCUCCUGGACCCCGAGGCGCAUGGAGACCGGGGGGUCCUCCUCGUCCGGUGGCUCGCCCUACCUCCACCCCGUCAAGCCGGAGCCCCAGGGUACGCUGGUCAGCGUGCGCACCCACAGUUCCGGCGUCCGCAUCGGCGCCAACGCCCAGCCACCCACCGGCCGCUUCGUCCUCGUCGAGCCCAAGCCGGAGACGGGCCUCCCCGCGGAGUAUGAGGAGAUAGCCCGGCGCGGCAUCUCCGACGAGGACGCCAUGCGGUGGGCGCAGGAGGACUACCUCCGCGACGAGAUGGUCCGGCAGUGCCGGGCCCUAGAGGAGAUCGCCGCCUGCAAGCGUGGGCGCGAGGACGAGCACGGCAUCGUGGUCCUCGACAGCGACGACGACGACGACGCCGCCGCCCCCGGACAGUCCAACCCGCCGCGCCAACCGGGGGAGGGAUGCAGCAGGGACGGCGGAGGCGUAGGUGGGGGCGGCGACGACGACGACAACGAUGACGACGACGACGACGGCGGUGACUACACGCGGUUGUACAGCGUCCUUGGCAUGUAGAACCGCGUGGGCGUGCGGCGAGGUGGGCGGCGAGGGAGAUGGCGGGGGUAGCCCGUAGUAGUUUCUUUCUUUUUUGUAAAAUAUGUUUAAGUUUGAACGAACUCGCCGCUGUUUGCGUUAAAUUUGUGUCGUUUUUGAAUUUUUUGACUAAACCGUGGGCGCCGCGACUGGGGGCAACACGCCCCCAGUGAGCGGUUUAGCGCCGGUGCGCCCCCAGGGGGCGAUUUUUUGCCCCUCCUGGGGGGCCAACGGCUGGAGAUGCCCUAAGCCUGUAGCGACUCGAGACUAUUCCUUCCAUUGUAGAAUAAAUCAUAUCCAUUAAUAAAAUAAUAGCCAUUGCGCCAAAGCGACUUUGAAUACCUCAUCUGUUGAUAAGGCAAUCCAGAGUUUAAAUACCCGGCAGCUCUUGGCCGAUGGCGAUUUAAUACACCUCCAUUGUAAGCCGGAAUUUUUAUAACCCGGUGGCUUAUAGACUUCGAGAAAAAUCCAGAAGGGAUAAUCAUUUUGAAGCAUCAACUUUGGUAAUGAGCUUGAACUUGUUGGGGAACGUUGCAGAAAAUUAAAAAUUUUCCUACGGUUUCACCAAGAUCCAUCUAUGAGUUCAUCUAAGCAAUGAGUCAAGGGAGAUGCAUCUACAUACCACUUUGUAGAUCGCGAGCGGAAGCGUUCAAAAGAACGGGGUUGAAGUAGUCGUUCUCGUCGUGAUCCUAUCACCGGAGAUCCUAGCGCUGAACGGACGGCACCUCCGCGUUCAACACACGUACGGCGCGGAUGACGUCUCCUCCUUCUUGAUCCAGCAAGGGGGAAGGAGAGGUUGAUGAUGAUGGAUCCAGCAGCAGCACAACGACGUGGUGGUGGUGGAACAGCAGCACUCCGGCAGGGCUUCGCCAAGCACGUGACGGAGGAGGAAGAGGUGUAGCAGGGGGAGGGAGGUGCCAGAACUUCAGGGUGCGGCUUCCCCCCUCCCCCUCCCUUUAUAUAGGCCCCCAGGGGGGGCUCCGGCCCUGGGAGAUCCAAUCUCCCAAGGGGGCGGCGGCCAAGGGGGGUGGAGUACCCCCAAAGGCAAGUGGGGCGCCCCCCCACCCUAGGGUUUCAACCCUAGGCGCAGGGGGUGGGCCAAGGGGGGCGCACCAGCCCACUAUGGGCUGGUUCCCCUUCCCACUUCAGCCCUUGGGGACCUCCGGGAUGGGUGGCCCCACCCGGUGGACCCCUGGGACCCUUUCGGUGGUCCCGGUACAAUACCGGGUGACCCCGAAACUUUCCCGAUUGCCGAAAUAUCACUUCCUAUAUAUAAUUCUUCACCUCCGGACCAUUCCAGAACUCCUCGUGACGUCCGGGAUCUCAUCCGGGACUCCGAACAACAUUCGGUAUACUGCAUACUCAUAUUCAUACAACCCUAGCGUCACCGAACCUUAAGUGUGUAGACCCUACGGGUUCGGGAGACACGUAGACAUGACCAAGACGGCUCUCGGGCAAUAACCAACAGCGGGAUCUGGAUACCCAUGUUGGUUCCCACAUGCUCCUCGAUGAUCUCAUCGGUUGAACCACGAUGUCGAGGAUUCGAACAACCCCGUAUACAAUUCCCUUUGUCAAUCGGUACGUUACAUGCCCGAGACUCGAUCGUCGGUAUCCCAAUACCUCGUUCAGUCUCGUUACCGCCGUGACCAAACACUUGGUCACUUUGAGCUCAUUAUGAUGAUACAUUACCGAGUGGGCCCAGAGAUACCUCUCCGUCAUACGGAGUGACAAAUCCCAGUCUCGAUCCGUGUCAACCCAACAAACACUUUUGGAGAUACCUGUAGUGCACCUUUAUAGUCACCCAGUUACGUUGUGACGUUUGGUACACCCAAAGCACUCUUACGGUAUCCGGGAGUUACACGAUCUCAUUAUCUAAGGAAGAGAUACUUGACAUUGAAAAAGCUCUCUAUGCUUAGGAUUGGGUCUGGUCCAUCACAUCAUUCUCCUAAUGAUGUGAUCCCAUUGUUAAUGACAUCUAAUGUCCAUAGUCAGGAAACCAUGACUAUCUGUUGACCAACGAGCUAGUCAACUAGAGGCUCACUAGGGACAUGUUAUGGUCUAUGUAUUCACACGUGUAUUACGAUUUCCGGAUAAUACAGUUAUAGCAUGAAUAAAAGACAAUUAUCAUGAAUAAGGAAAUAUAAUAAUAACCCUUUUAUUAUUGCCUCUAGGGCAUAUUUCCAACAGUCUCCCACUUGCACUAGAGUCAAUAAUCUAGUUACAUUGUGAUGAAUCGAACACCCAUAGAGUUCUGGUGUUGAUCAUGUUUUGCUCGCGAGAGAGGUUUAGUCAACGGAUCUGCGACAUUCAGAUCCGUAUGUACUUUGCAAAUAUCUAUGUCUCCAUCUUGAACAUUUUCACGGAUGGAGUUGAAACGACGCUUGAUGUGCCUGGUCUUCUUGUGAAACCUGGGCUCCUUGGCAAGGGCAAUAGCUCCAGUGUUAUCACAGAAGAGUUUGAUCGGCCCCGAUGCAUUGGGUAUGACUCCUAGGUCGGUGAUGAACUCCUUCACCCAAAUUGCUUCAUGCGCUGCCUCCGAGGCUGCCAUGUACUCCGCUUCACAUGUAGAUCCCGCCACGACGCUCUGCUUGCAGCUGCAUUAGCUUACUGCUCCACCAUUCAACAUAUACACGUAUCUGGUUUGUGACUUAGAGUCAUCCAGAUCUGUGUCGAAGCUAGCGUCGACGUAACCCUUUACGACGAGCUCUUCGUCACCUCCAUAAACGAGAAACAUGUCCUUCGUCCUUUUCAGGUACUUUAGGAUAUCUUGACCACUGUCCAGUGUUCCUUACCGGGAUUACUUUGGUACCUUCCUACCAAACUUACGGCAAGGUUUACAUCAGGUCUGGUACACAGCAUGGCAUACAUAAUAGAUCCUAUGGUUGAAGCAUAGGGGAUGACACUCAUCUCUUCUUUAUCUUUUGUCGUGGUCGGGCAUUGAGCCGAGCUCAAUCUCACACCUUGCAAUACAGGCAAGAACCCCUUCUUGGACUGAUCCAUUUUGAACUUCUUCAAAAUCUUAUCAAGGUAUGUGCUUUGUGAAAGACCUAUGAGGCGUCUCGAUCUAUCUCUAUAGAUCUUGAUGCCUAAUAUAUAAGCAGCUUCUCCAAGGUGCUUCAUUGAAAAACACUUAUUCAAGUAGGCCUUAAUGUUGUCCAAAAGUUCUAUAUCAUUUCCCAUCAAAAGUAUGGCAUCUACAUAUAAUAUGAGAAAUGCUACAGAGCUCCCAGUCACUUUCUUGUAAACACAGGCUUCUCCAUAAGUCUGCAUAAACCCAAACGCGUUGAUCAUCUCAUCAAAGCAAAUGUUCCAACUCCGAGAUGCUUGCACCAGCCCAUAAAUGGAUCGCUGGAGCUUGCAUACUUUGUUAGCAUUCUUAGGAUCGACAAAACCCUCCGGCUGCAUCAUAUACAGUUCUUCCUUAAGAUGCCCGUUAAGGAAUGCCAUUUUGACGUCCAUCUGCCAUAUCUCAUAAUCAUAGUAUGCGGCAAUUGCUAACAUGAUUCGGACGGACUUAAGCUUCGCUAUGGGAGAGAAAGUCUCAUCGUAGUCAAUCCCUUGAACUUGCCGAUAACCCUUAGCGACAAGUCGAGCUUUAUAGAUGGUGACAUUUCCAUCCGCGUCCGUCUUCUUCUUAAAGAUCCAUUUGUUUUCUAUCGCUCACCGAUCAUCGGGCAAGUCAGUCAAAGUCCAUACUUUGUUUUCAUACAUGGAUUCUAUCUCGGAUUUCAUGGCUUCUAGCCAUUUGUUGGAAUCUGGGCCCGCCAUUGCUUCUUCAUAAUUCGAAGGUUCACCGUUGUCCAACAACAUGAUUUCCAGGACAGGGUUGCCGUACCACUCUGGUGCGGAACGUGUCCUUGUGGACCUACGAAGUUCAGUAGCAACUUGAUCCGAAGUACCUUGAUCGUCAUCAUUAUUUUCCUCUUCAGUUGGUGUAGGCAUCACAUGAACAUUUUCCUGAGCUGCACUACUAUCCCGUUCAAGAGGUAGUACUUCAUCGAGUUCUACUUUCCUCCUACUUACUUCUUUCGAGAGAAACUCUUUUUCCAGAAAGGAUCCGUUCUUGGCAACAAAGAUCUUGCCUUCGGAUCUUAUGUAGAAGGUAUACCCAAUGGUUUCUUUAGGGUAUCCUAUGAAGACACAUUUUUCCGACUUGGGUUCGAGCUUUUCAGGUUGAAGUUUCUUGACAUAAGCAUCGCAUCCCCAAACUUUUAGAAACAACAGCUUAGGUUUCUUCCCAAACCAUAAUUCAUACGGUUUCGUCUCAACGGAUUUAGACGGUGCCCUAUUUAAAGUGAAUGUAGCUGUCUCUAGAGCGUAUUCCCAAAAUGAUAGCGGUAAAUUGUAAGAGACAUCAUAGAUCGCACCAUAUCCAAUAGAGUGCGAUUACGACAUUCGGACACACCGUUACGCUGAGGUGUUCCAGGCGGCGUGAGUUGUGAAACGAUUCCACAUUUUCUUAAGUGUGUACCAAAUUCGUGACUUAAAUAUUCUCCUCCACGAUCUGAUCGUAAGAAUUUUAUCUUUCGAUCACGUUGAUUCUCUACUUCAUUCUGAAAUUCCUUGAACUUUUUCAAAGGUCUCAGACUUGUGUUUCAUCAAGUAGACAUACCCAUAUCUACUCAAGUCAUCAGUGAGAGUGAGAACAUAAUGAUAUCCUCAGCGAGCAUCAACGCUCAUUGGACCGCACACAUCGGUAUGUAUGAUUUCCAACAAGUUGGUUGCUCGCUCCAUUGUUCCGGAGAACAGGGUCUUGGUCAUUUUUCCCAUGAGGCAUGGUUCGCAUGUGUCAAAUCAUUCAUAAUCGAGAGAUUCUAAAAGUCCAUCAGCAUGGAGCUUCUUCAUGCUCUUGACACCAAUGUGACCAAGGCGGCAGUGCCACAAGUAUGUGGGACUAUCGUUAUCAACUUUACAUCUUUUGGUAUUCACGCUAUGAAUAUGUGUAACAUUACGUUCGAGAUUCAUUAAGAAUAAACCAUUGACCAUCGAGGCAUGACCAUAAAACAUAUCUCUCAUAUAAAUAGAACAACCAUUAUUCUCGGAUUUAAAUGAGUAGCCAUCUCGUAUUAAACGAGAUCCAGAUACAAUGUUCAUGCUCAAACUUGGCACUAAAUAACAAUUAUUGAGGUUUAAAACUAAUCCCGUAGGUAAAUGUAGAGGUAGCGUGCCGACGGCGAUCACAUCGACCUUGGAACCAUUCCCGACGCGCAUCAUCACCUCGUCCUUCGCCAGUCUCUGCUUAUUUCGCAGCUCCUGCUGUGAGUUACAAAUGUGAGCAACGGCACCGGUAUCAAAUACCCAGGAGUUACUACGAGUACUGGUAAGGUACACAUCAAUUACAUGUAUAUCAAAUAUACUUUUAGUGUUGCCGGCCUUCUUGUCUGCUAAGUAUUUGGGGCAGUUCUGCUUCCAGUGACCCUUCCCCUUGCAAUAAAAGCACUCAGUUUCAGGCUUGGGUCCAUUCUUUGACUUCUUCCCGGCAACUGGCUUACCGGGCGCGGCAACAUCUUUACCGUCCUUCUUGAAGUUCUUCUUACCCUUGCCCUUCUUGAACUUAGUGGUCUUAUUGACCAUCAACACUUGAUGUUCUUUCUUGAUUUCAACCUCUGCUGACUUCAGCAUUGAAAAUACUUCAGGAAUGGUCUUCACCAUCCCCUGCAUAUUGUAGUUCAUCACAAAGCUCUUGUAGCUUGGUGGGAGCGACUGAAGGAUUCUGUCAAUGACCGCCUCAUCCGGGAGGUUAAUGUCCAGCUGGGACAGGCGGUUGUGCAACCCAGACAUUUUGAGUAUAUGCUCACUGACAGAACUAUGUUCCUCCAUCUUACAACUAUAGAACUUGUCAGAGACUUCAUAUCUCUCGACCCGGGCAUGAGCUUGGAAAACUAGUUUCAGCUCCUCGAACAUCUCAUAUGCUCCGUGUUGCUCAAAACGCUUUUUGAGCCCCGGUUCUAAGCUGUAAAGCAUGCCGCACUGAACGAGGGAGUAAUCAUCAGUGCGAGACUGCCAAGCAUUCAUAAUGUCUUGGUUCUUUCGGACGGGUGCAUCACCUAGCGGUCCUUCUAGGACAUAAUGUUUCCUGGCAGCUAUGAGGAUGAUCCUCAGGUUUCGGACCCAGUCCGUAUAGUUGCUGCCAUCAUCUUUCAGCUUGGUUUUCUCUAGGAACGCGUUGAAGUUCAUGUUGACAUGAGCGGCGGCCAUUUGAUCUACAAGACAUAUUUGCAAAGGUUUUAGACUAAGUUCAUGAUAUUUAAGUUCAUUAUCAAAUUAUUAUAAUGAACUCCCACUCAGAUUAGACAUCCCUCUAGUCAUCUAAGUGUUACACGAUCCGAGUCGACUAGGCCGUGUCCGAUCAUCACAUGAGACGGACUAGUCAUCGUCGGUGAACAUCUCCAUGUUGAUCGUAUCUUCCAUACGACUCGUGUUCGACCUUUCGGUCUCUGUGUUCCGAGGCCAUGUCUGUACAUGCUAGGCUCAUCAAGUUAACCCUAAGUGUUCUGCAUGUGUAAAUCUGUCUUACACCCAUUGUAUGUGAACGUAAGGAUCUAUCACACCCGAUCAUCACGUGGUGCUUCGAAACGACGAACUUUAGCAACAGUGCACAGUUAGGGGGAACACUUUCUUGAAAUUAUUAUAAGGGAUCAUCUUAUUUACUACCGCCGUUCUAAGUAAACAAGAUGCAUAAAACAUAAUAAACAUCACAUGCAAUUAUAUAGUAGUGACAUGAUAUGGCCAAUAUCAUAUAGCUCCUUUGAUCUCCAUCUUCGGGGCUCCAUGAUCAUCUUCGUCACCGACAUGACACCAUGAUCUCCAUCAUCAUGAUCUCCAUCAUUGUGUCUUCAUGAAGUUGUCACGCCAAUGACUUCUAUGGCUAACGUGUUUAGCAAUAAAGUAAAGUAAUUUACAUGGCAUUCUUCAAUGACACGCAGGUCAUACAAAAAAUAAAGACAACUCCUAUGGCUCCUGCCGGUUGUCAUACUCAUCGACAUGCAAGUCGUGAUUCCUAUUACAAGAACAUGAUCUCAUACAUCACAAUAUAUCAUUCAUCAUUCAUCACAACUUCUGGCCAUAUCACAUCACAUGACAAUUGCUGCAAAAACAAGUUAGACGUCCUCUAAUUGUUGUUGCAUCUUUUACGUGGCUGCAAUUGGGUUCUAGAAAGAACGUUUUCUUACCUACGAAUAACCACAACGUGAUUUUGUCAACUUCUAUUUACCCUUCAUAAGGACCCUUUUCACCGAAUCCGCUCCAACUAAAGUGGGAGAGACAGACACCCGCCAGCCACCUUAUGCAACUAGUGCAUGUCAGUCGGUGGAACCGGUCUCACGUAAGCGUAUGUGUAAGGUUGGUCCGGGCCGCUUCAUCCCACAAUACCGCUGAAGCAAAAUAAGACUAGUAGAGGCAAGCAAGUUGACAAGAUCUACGCCCACAACAAAAUUGUGUUCUACUCGUGCAAUAGAGAACUACGCAUAGACCUAGCUCAUGAUGCCACUAUUGGGGAACGUUACAGAAAAUUAAAAUUUUUCCUACGGUUUCACCAAGAUCCAUCUAUGAGUUCAUCUAAGCAAUGAGUCAAGGGAGAUGCAUCUACAUACCACUUUGUAGAUCAUGAGCGGAAGCGUUCAAAAGAACGGGGUUGAAGUAGUCGUUCUCGUCGUGAUCCUAUCACCGGAGAUCCUAGCGCCGAACGGACGGCACCUCCGCAUUCAACACACGUACGGAGCGGAUGACGUCUCCUCCUUCUUGAUCCAGCAAGGGGGAAGGAGAGGUUGAUGAUGAUGGAUCCAGCAGCAGCACAACGGCGUGGUGGUGGUGGAACAACAUCACUUCGGCAGGGCUUCGCCAAGCACGUGACGGAGGAGGAAGAGGUGUAGCAGGGGGAGGGAGGCGCCAGAACUUCAGGGUGCGGCUGCCCCCCUCCCCCUCCCUUUAUAUAGGCCCCCAGGAGGGGGGGGGGGCGCCGACCCUGGGAGAUCCAAUCUCCCAAGGGGGCGGCGGCCAAGGGGGGUCGAGUACCCCCAAAGGCAAGUGGGGCGCCCCCCCACCCUAGGGUUUCAACCCUAGGCGCAGGGGGUGGGCCAAGGGGGGCGCACCAGCCCACUAUGGGCUGGUUCCCCUCCCCACUUCAGCCCUUGGGGCCCUCCGGGAUGGGUGGCCCCACCCGAUGGAUCCCGGGACGCUUUCGGUGGUCCUGGUACAAUACCGGGUGACCCCGAAACUUUCCCGAUGGCCGAAAUAUCACUUCCGAUAUAUCAUUCUUCACCUCCGGACCAUUACGGAACUCCUCGUGACGUCCGAGAUCUCAUCCGGGACUCCGAACAACAUUCGGUAUACUGCAUACUCAUAUUCAUACAACCCUAGCGUCACCGAACCUUAAGUGUGUAGACCCUACGGGUUCGGGAGACACGUAGACAUGACCGAGACGGCUCUCGGGCAAUAACCAACAGCGGGAUCUGGAUACCCAUGUUGGUUCCCACAUGCUCCUCGAUGAUCUCAUCGGAUGAACCACCAUGUCGAGGAUUCGAACAACCCCAUAUACAAUUCCCUUUGUCAAUCGAUACGUUACAUGCCCGAGACUCCAUCGUCGGUAUCCCAAUACCUCGUUCAGUCUCGUUACCGGCAAGUCACUUUACUCGUACCAUAAUGCAUGAUCCCGUGACCAAACACUUGGUCACUUUGAGCUCAUUAUGAUGAUGCAUUACCGAGUGGGCCCAGAGAUACCUCUCCGUCAUACGGAGUGACAAAUCCCAGUCUCGAUCCGUGUCAACCCAACAGACACUUUUGGAGAUACCUGUAGUGCACCUUUAUAGUCACCCAGUUACGUUGUGACGUUUGGUACACCCAAAGCAGUCUUACGGUAUCCGGGAGUUACACGAUCUCAUGGUCUAAGGAAGAGAUACUUGACAUUGAAUAAGCUCUAGAAAAACGAACUACACGAUCUUGUGCUAUGCUUAGGAUUGGGUCUUGUCCAUCACAUCAUUCUCCUAAUGAUGUGAUCCCGUUCUCAAUGACAUCUAAUGUCCAUAGUCAGGAAACCAUGACUAUCUGUUGACCAACGAGCUAGUCAACUAGAGGCUCACUAGGGACAUGUUAUGGUCUAUGUAUUCACACGUGUAUUAUGAUUUCCGGAUAAUACAGUUAUAGCAUGAAUAAAAGACAAUUAUCAUGAAUAAGGAAAUAUAAUAAUAACCCUUUUAUUAUUGCCUCUAGGGCAUAUUUCCAACAGAAGUUAGUCAUUUAUAUUUCCAACAGAAAUUAUUAUUGCCCUGGCGACUUAACGUCAAAAGCCAGGGCGGGUAACCACCCAAAUAUAGUCUUAUCCUGCACACAAGUAGAUCACAAGAUCCCUAUGAUCCUUUAAAUGAUACCGCCGGCUUAUGUGACCCGGACAGUGAAGUUGAUAAUUCAACUCUGAAAGAGCCGGCACAUAUGAUAUUUGUGACAACUCAAAUACUUGCGAUUGUACAAAAACAGAUAAAAUUUUUGGGGCUUCUGAUUCAAAUACGAUCAAUAAACUGUUCCAAAGGGGUUAAGCUAAGAUUCGAAUACGAUCAUAUAGCCCCCAGUGGCAUUGGCGUUGCCGAUCAAAGUGGGUAUCGACAACUAUGUUCUCUUUGGUUCGAAUACGACCUAUGUUUGAACAGGAAGCCCCCAAAUGACCUUAAAAGUUUUGGCAUUGCGCCGAUCAAGAGGGUACUGAUAGCUAUGCCCGAUGAGCAGGAAGCCCCCCAAGUGACCAUAAUAAAAUAAGCCAUAAGGCAGGAUACCCAUGGCAGCAAGUUCCCUUUGGUAACCAUUAAUUUGUUUGAGAUCUCGAACUUGCGAGAGAUUAAUUCUUUUGAACCGGAAAUUCUUAAACCGGAUAUUGAGAUCCUCAAAGCUUUGUAAGGGACAAAUUUACCUUGAUCCGGAUGUUGAACCGGUUUUGAGAGCUUCAAAGCUUUGCGGGAGAAAGAUGUCUCAUGAGCUGUAUUUUAAACCGGAAUCUUCAUUUUGAACCGGAAAUUUUUCUGACGGCCUUUAAAUAUUUGCCAAUAAAGCAGUAGACUCCAGGGCCUGGUUAUCUUCCCUUCAAUGACCCGGAGUUCUUGAAUUCAUUGAAACCGGCUAAUUUUGCGGAACCAUACCAUUGUAGCCCCCGAGUCUCAAGAUGACUCGAAGUGUUGGCUUGAGAUUCUCCAUAUUUGACCAUAGAAGAAGGUGUAUAUCAUUGGCAUUGAUAGCGCGAUGUGAAUCCACAGAAGGUUGAGGUGACUGCAGCGGGUUUAUAAAUGAUCCCGUAUGAGCCAUGUCAGCAACUCGGCCAAUGGUUCCUUCCAACUGGCUAUUUGAAGUUUAACCAAACUGUAGUGACGGUGACUUGUGCGCCUGCCAUUGAGCCAUCCAGUGCAGAUGGCGGCUGAUAAUACAUGAUAAUUCGCCUCUAAUUUGUUGGAAGAAAACCGGGCUUCCCAAACAGUGACUUGCUCAUACUCAAUAAACAGCUCAUGCAGACAGGUACGGCUCGGUAUGUUGAUGUAGACCAGGCCGCGAGAGACGGGCGACAAAGACGACCGCGGCUUUAGAGGCAGCACAGAUAGCUGAGUCGGUCGCGGUGUUAUAAGCCAGCGUGGACGGGCGAGUUAGCCACAUUAUGUUGAUGUAAACUGGUCUGACACGGCCAUAGUUUUUGCAGUGAACAAUUGUCCUGCAUAAACAAUAUUGCAGACCAAGACAAAAAUAAACUGGUCUUUGACAAAAUAAUAUAUGCUAAUAACAUAUAUUUUUAGAUGGAUAUCACCUGACGUGUUUAGGCCGGAAAUAAUCCGCCAUGAAGUUGAUGAUCACUAGGUGAAACUGAAAUCACUCACAUGUGAGUCGGCCGCGGCAUUGUAAGCCGGUGCGGACGAGCAAGUUGUCCUCCUCGCUGUAAGCCGGUGCAGACGAGCAUGUUAUCCUCCUCGUUGUAAGCCGGUGCGGACGAGCAAGUUGUCCUCCUCGUUGUAAGCCGGUGCGGACGCGCGAACCGCCACGGCAUUGUAAGCCGGUGCGGGAGUCUGUUGAGUAAGGACGACCACGUGUGCCGAAUGAUGCUGGCACGCCUCCAUCUCCAUGGCGUAAUACCACUUUGUAAUGGAUAAUUCUCCUGCAUAUAAAAUACAACAGGGCAAAGUAGUUUUGUUUGAUGAAAUAAUACGUGCUUAAAAUAAGAUAAAUAGCACCUGAUUCGUCCAGACGUUCGCGUAGACUGGUCAAAUGACUUAGACUAGCAGUCAGAGCACUAGUACCCCUUUUUUCUCAGCCCGCAUACCCAGGAAGGUGGGGGAAUAACAAAAAUCGGAGUGCCUUCUCCUGUAUUGCUACAGAAGAAACGUCGGGCAGUUGCAAUAAUUGGCUUAGAGCCGCUGUGUCCUUGUGCCCAGGUUCUCCUCCCUCACCUAUCUACAUGCACACAGGUGCUCUGUCCCAUCCAUCUCUCUGGAUGUGCAUGCGCAUGCCACAUUGGUGAUGUGAGUGCAUGCUUUCUCCUUACUGAUUUCCUGGUCCCCGCAUUUUUUAAUCAAGAUCGGCCCUUGUACAAAUUAGUUCCUGUCGCAGAUCAUUUUGCACGGCGGCUUAGAUGCGGCCACAACAGCAGAGUGCAGCAAUAUCUUCACUAUAGAACAGGGCGACAGCCAUUUAACUAUGGGCGAAUUGGCCUUGAAGCAGUAGCGAGCUCAGCGACCCAUCGGUAGGGGUGAUUCGCAGGCGCUGGAUGUGUGCGACGACUCAAGAGCCAGUAUGGAGGCGGAGGCAAAGCGAGCUGGCGGGACGAGCCGGAAGAGGCCAGAGCGGGGCGGCGACUUAACAUGAGCGUUGGCGGGUCACGACCUCUGCAGCUUCCAGCAAAGGAUGGCCCGGCGAUGCGAGAGGUCGGUGCUGACGGAGCCGCGCGAGCAUAGGGGCCGGGUCGGAGCGAUUGGAGCAGAGGCAAGGGCGACUCAGUGCGAUACGGAGGCGUCCGGGUCCGAGGUAUAAACCGGCCCGAUCAGCAACCUGGUUGGUGGCGACAGAGUCGACGGUUGAGAGGUGACCAUAGUAGAAGCGGGGUGGCUCAGCACGGCAUGGCUCGACAGAGCAAGGGCGGGUGGCGAUUUAACGCCGGGCGGCUCAGAAGGCCGAGUGCGGCCACAACGGCGGCAGAACCAACAGUGCAGAGCCGACAACUUGGUGGCCCGACGCAGCUGCUGGUAUGGAGGUGUAGCGAGGGCGGGCCAGCGCGGAGGCGGCUGACGGAGGUGAGGCCAGCGACUCGCGGCAGCAGCUGAGGCAGUAAGGCCAGCCAUGGGUCGUGCCAUUUUUUCGUGUGGUCGCAGACUCAGGUUGACCGUCCACCGCUAAAUCGUGGCCAGCUUUCCGGGUCGUAGGAUUUUUCCUCCCUUCAGGCACCCGGCCGCAGCAGUUUUGAGGAAACCGGCAAAGCACGCGGGCGGCUUGUGGCGACGACUCGAAAGCGAGGUGCGACCACAAUGGCGGAGCAGUGGAAUCGGUGGAAGCAGCCGCGAACGGGCGGAGACGAUGCCACCACGGUACAGGUAAACUUCAACAACCGAAGACCCCGAGAUACUAAUCAGGCCCGGCGACUUGCGGCGGCUGAGGCGACUCGGUGUGGAGCUGUAAGGGCGCCGGGGCGGAGGUUUCAGCAAGCCGGUGGUGGGUCUUAGCAACGGCGGAGGCGCUUUGAAGCCGCGGUGACAUCUCAGAGGCAAAAAAACUGAACGUGAGUCGAGCCGGCGGCGAUCCUCAAUAGCAGCUCAGAGCCACAUCGGGGACGAGUUGAAUUGGGGUCCGGUGGCGGGUCGCAGCAGUGAGGGCGGACAUGAACCGGGGCCAGGGCGCAGAGGCCACAAGAGACAGGACUGGAAGCGACUCGCCGCGGAAGAGGACGCGGGCGAACCCGGCAAGGCGGCUCGGGGCCAGCUCAAGAAGCGAGUCAGCAGCAGCCCGCGGCGGAGAUGACAGCUCGGAACAGGUGGCCUAGGCAGCAACUUGCCGCGGCAAAGCCAACUGGUCAUCUGGGGCAGCUCACCAGCAGCAAAACCAUCCAAGGCUUGGUUGGAGACGGAGGCGGAGAGACGUUGCGGUGGCGGUUUGAGGGAAAACCGUGGCGAUUCAUCCCGGCGAAUCCGGGUCACGGAUGUAGACUCCCGGUCGUAAUUGUCUUCAUUUCCGGGUCGUAGGUGUCUUUCUCCUUGACUUUUUCCUUUGUUGUUUGAUGGUUUAACAGUGACAGCGACCCCGACCAUGUGGUUUCGACGAUCUACCCACGGAAACUUGACACACUCAUGGUGUUUAGCGACUUGUGAUCUCUUUUCCUGGUGACUUACGGCAGCCAUCAAAAUCACAACCUUAAUUUUAAAUCUUUCAAACCACUAAUUUGGACCGAUGAACUUGAAGAUGACGCAGAUCCUUCCCCGCCGGCUCAUCUUCAUCCGGGAAUUGCAAACUUCUUGAUCCCUAUGGAAGAUCCCUCCAAGAACUCAACCCCAUCGUGCGCCAGCUCCAUGGUGGGCGCCAACUAUCGUGGAAUUGUCACGGCAGAUGUCCUAAUGUGAGGACUUAGUCGUGAGGCCAACGCAUCUAUGUAGUAGCUUGUGUGGGGUUGAGUGGAAUCAAGAGACGCAACACAAGACAAGGGUUUAGACAGCUUCGCCCCCCCGGAAACAUCAUCCCGUAAUAACCCUACGUGUUGUCUGUGGCUAGGUCUCAUUAUGAUCAUGAGGGAGUCGCCGGUAAGCCGUCUCUUUGUGUCUAGCCCUAAAGAUUGUUUCCUGUCCCCCCCCCCUCUUUGCGGAGCCCUGCCCCUCCUUAUAUAAGUUGAAGGGGCCGGCUUACAUGUAGAGUCCUAGUAGGAUUAGAACUAGUCUCUAUUACAAGUGGAGUCCUAGUCUUGUUUCCUUUAUAAGAGAAUAUUCCUUGUCCUUUCUUCAUAAACCGGCCCACCAUUAACAUGAGCCGGCCUUCUGGGCCUUGGGCCGUGUCAUCCAUCUGGCCCGCCCGCUGGGUUACUAUGAGCCGCCAAGUCCGGGCGGAUUACCCGUGAAUCGACAAGCUCCGGGCGGGUCAUACUUUUGGCGGUUUACACCGCGGUGUAUAUCCCCGACAAAUCACGCAUAUAACUUUUCUUCUUCUCAAGAGUAGCCGUAACCAUGAAGAUACGAAUCAGCGACUUGUCGGUUAAUCUGACAUGUCUUCUUCAGAAAUCCGUCCGCCUUAGCAACUUGAGAUCAGUCCAAACGGUCAUAAGACAGCGGCUAACCAAAGAUAUAAUCCUAAUCUUUUCUUGAUAUUAAAUCCCACUGAUUGUAAAUCCGGACAGAUGAACUUGAAAACCGACACUGAUCCUUCCGAGCUAGGUGUUUUCUCAUCUAACUAAUCACAAGCUUCUCAAUCCCUAAUAGGAGAUACCUUCAAGAACUCAACACCACCGCCCGAGGGCCGCCCACGGUGGGCGCCAACUGUCGUGGAUUUGUCACGACAGAUGUCCUUAGUGUCAGGACUUAGUCGCGAGGCCAACGCAUCUAUGUGGUAGCUUGAGAGGGGUUGAGUGGGAUGAGAGACGAAUGGCGGAUCAGAACGCAAGACAAGGUUUUAGACAACUUUGGGCCCCGGGAAACAUCAUCCAGUAAUAGCCCUACAUGUUGUUUGAGGCUAGGUCUCACUAUGCUCAUGAGGAAGUCACCGCAUAAGCCGGCUCCCCCUUUAUGUCUAGCCCUAGAUAUUGUUUCUUGUUGCUGUUUCUGUCCCUCUUUGGGGAGCUCUGUGUAACGCCCCGGAUCUGAUGCGCCAGGUGUCUGUCAGUUAUUCGCCGUCGUUGCCAUGUCAUUUGCUUGCGUGUUGCAUUUUGCCAUGUCAUCAUGUGCAUUUCAUUUUGCAUACGUGUUCGUCUCACGCAUCCGAGCCUUUUCCCCGUUGUCCGUUUUGCAAUCCGGCGCUCCUAUGCUCUCCGGCGUUCCCCUUUUCGUCUUCUGUUGUGAGUGGGUAUUAAACUUUCUCGGAAUGGCCCGAGGUUUGCCAAGCAGCCUUGGUAUAGCACCGGUAGACCGCCUGUCAAGUUUCGUGCCAUUUGGAGGUCGUUUGAUACUCCAACGGUUAACCGGGUAACCGCAAAGCCCUCUUUUGUUGCAGCCCAACACCCCUUCCAAACUGGCCCAAAACCCAUCUAACUCCCCUCCAUGCUCUCGGUUGUUCGAUCACCAUCGUGUGGGCGAAAACCGCACCUCAUUUGGACUCUCCUAGCUCCCUCUACCUAUAAAUUAGCCCCCUCCCCUGAAAUCUCGGGCAAACCCUAGAUCAAAUCCCCCCUCCGCGCGCCGGACAUGUCCACUCCGCCGCCGGACACGUCCAGCCGCCGCCCACGCCCACUCCCGCGCCGCCACGUGGCAGCCGCCGCCGCCCCGCGCCGCCGACCCUCNNNNNNNNNNNNNNNNNNNNNNNNNNNNNNNNNNNNNNNNNNNNNNNNNNNNNNNNNNNNNNNNNNNNNNNNNNNNNNNNNNNNNNNNNNNNNNNNNNNNNNNNNNNNNNNNNNNNNNNNNNNNNNNNNNNNNNNNNNNNNNNNNNNNNNNNNNNNNNNNNNNNNNNNNNNNNNNNNNNNNNNNNNNNNNNNNNNNNNNNNNNNNNNNNNNNNNNNNNNNNNNNNNNNNNNNNNNNNNNNNNNNNNNNNNNNNNNNNNNNNNNNNNNNNNNNNNNNNNNNNNNNNNNNNNNNNNNNNNNNNNNNNNNNNNNNNNNNNNNNNNNNNNNNNNNNNNNNNNNNNNNNNNNNNNNNNNNNNNNNNNNNNNNNNNNNNNNNNNNNNNNNNNNNNNNNNNNNNNNNNNNNNNNNNNNNNNNNNNNNNNNNNNNNNNNNNNNNNNNNNNNNNNNNNNNNNNNNNNNNNNNNNNNNNNNNNNNNNNNNNNNNNNNNNNNNNNNNNNNNNNNNNNNNNNNNNNNNNNNNNNNNNNNNNNNNNNNNNNNNNNNNNNNNNNNNNNNNNNNNNNNNNNNNNNNNNNNNNNNNNNNNNNNNNNNNNNNNNNNNNNNNNNNNNNNNNNNNNNNNNNNNNNNNNNNNNNNNNNNNNNNNNNNNNNNNNNNNNNNNNNNNNCGGCCGCGAGCUCGCCGGAGCCCGCGCCGCGCCGCCUCCUCUCUUCGGCCGGAUUCGGCGCCCCUCGUCCUCCCCGGUCCCGGAUCCGAUGACCCCGAGCUCCUCCGGCCAUCUCCCUCCUCUCCGGCAGCCUCUCCGACGAUCUUCUCCGGUGAGCCUCGGUAACCGUGCAUGGAGGUUGACUUUCCCCCACUCUGGAAAUCGCCCAAGUCCUAAAAUUAUUGCAUAAUCAUGCCAUGUUUGACCUGCCAUAUCUCUGCAUCCGUAGCUCCAUUUCGUGCGUGUAAUAUGUCAAAUUGUUCGCCUCGACGAGUAGAUCAUUUCAUUCCAUUGCAUCAUUUUCAUUUGAGCUCAUCUUGAUGCUCGAAAUUCUGUUGGAAGAGUGCCAAGUGAUGUUAAUCUGCUGAAACUGUUAUAACUUGCUCAUUUGUCAUUUUUGCCAUGAUUGAUGUGUACAUCCUAUGAGGUUGAUGUCUUCAUGUGUUUUGAUCUAUGCCAUGCCAUCUUUCCAGAGGUGCUAACCAUGUAUUUUUGUGAUUUGUGUGCUGAGUGCAUCGAGCUAGCUAAGUAGGGUACUUGCUGUUGCUGAUUUUAGUCCCUGUUCUGCUGUUAUUUUUAUGCCAGGUAAACUUGUUGCUACAGAGAGAUCCAUGCAUAUUUUGAGAUACUUCAGUAAGGAUGUUUUGAACAUAUGGUUAUUGUCUAUCCAUUCAUGCCCUUGGUUGCAAUUAUGGAGUAGUCUAGCAUGUCUUUUUGGUGCUCUACUUUUGCUUCAAAAUGUUUCCUGACAGAUUGUUUACUUGUUAUUCAAUUUAGCCAAGGUUGCUAUAGUUGAUCCUUGCAUUCUAUGGACUUGUUCUUGCCUUGGUUGGUUAUAUAAACAUGCCUUCUUGAUGAUGCUAUGCUUAUCUUGUCAUGACUUGUAUAGAGUGUGUGUGUUGCUCCGUUGCUCCGUUUUGAGUGAGCUCUAUAUGAAACUUGCCUAGUUUUGCAUGUAGCUUCAUAUUAUCAUGUUGCAUCCUUGUUUUGAGGUGUUUGCUUGAUGUUUGGGUGCAUUUUGCAUCAAUGCCAUGUUUAACUUGUUUUGCUCAUAUCUUCUAGGCCGUAGCUUCGAACUAAAUGAACUUUAUAUGUAACUUGACUAGAAUCUCGUGUAGAGCAUCGUGGUGCAUCUUAACUUGCUGUUUAACAACUUGAACAUAAUGUUUAUUCAGAUCUGGACCAAUUUCGAAAUUUGCAUAUGAGGACUUACCGGAAUUGUUAUAUGUUGUUUCCGGCCUCAUUUAAACUUGCUUUGAUGUGUUGUUCUUGUUUGCAUCAUCUCUUGCCAUGAGUAGCUUCAUGUAGCCUUGUCUUGCAUCAUGCUUGUUGUGCAUCAUGCCUUGUUCAUGUGUGGUGUGUUUACCUUGUUGUGUGCUUCUUCUUGUUAGUUCCUGUUUCGUUGCGAUCGUGAGGAUUCGUUCGUCUACGGUUGGUUCGGCUUCAUCCGUUCGUCUUCUUCAUGGACUCGUUCUUCUUCCUUGCGGGAUUUCAGGCAAGAUGACCGCUACCCUGGAUCUCACUACUAUCAUUGCUAUGCUAGUUGCUUCGUUCUAUCGCUAUGCUGCGUUACCUAUCUUUUGCUCAUCAAGCCUCCCAAAUUUGCAUGAACCUCUAACCUUUGACACCUUUCCUAUGCAAACCGUUGCUUGGAUAUGUUACCGCUUUUGCUGAGCCCCUCUUAUAGCGUUGCUAGUUGCAGGUGAAGUUGAAGAUUUCUCCAUGGUGGACAGGAUUUUGGUUGGGAUGUCACAAUAUCUCAUAUAUAUUAUUAAUGCAUCUAUAUACUUGGUAAAGGGUGGAAGGCUCGGCCUUUUGCCUGGUGUUUUGUUCCACUCUUGCCGCCCUAGUUUCUGUUAUACCGGUAUUAUGUUCCCGGAUUUUGCGUUCCUUACGUGGUCGGGUGAUUUAUGGGACCCCCUUGACAGUUUGCUUUGAAUAAAACUCCUCCAGCAAGGCCUAACAUUGACUUUUACCAUUUGCUCCACCACCACCUACUUUUCCCUUGGGAGUCGCUCUCUCGAGGGUCAUCUUUAUUUAGCCCCUCCGGGCCAGUGCUUGUCUAAGUGUUGGUCCGAACCAGAGCCACUUGCAGCACCACCUCAGGGAAACUUGAGGGUUGGUUUUAGUUGUAUGUAGUGUUCAUGCGGUGUUGCCCUGAGAACGAGAUAUGUGCAGCUCCUAUCGGGAUUGUCGGCACAUCGGGCGGUCUUGCUGGUCUUGUUUUACCAUUGUCGAAAUGUCUUGUAAACCGGGAUUCCGAGUCUGAUCGGGUCUUCCUGGGAGAAGGUCUAUUCCAUCGUUGAUCGUGAGAGCUUAUCAUGGGCUAAGUUGGGACACCCCUGCAGGGUAUAAUCUUUCGAAAGCCGUGCCUGCGGUUAUAGGCAGAUGGGAAUUUGUUAAUGUCCGGUUGUAGACAACUUGACACUAGAUCCGAAUUAAAACGCAUCAGCCGCGUGUGUAGCCGUGAUGGUCUCUUCUCGGCGGAGUCCGGGAAGUGAACACGGUUUCUGGGUUAUGUUUGACGUAAGUAGGUGUUCAGGAUCACCUUUUGAUCAUUAUUAGUUGACGACCGUGCCGCUUGUUCUCUUCUCGCUCUUAUUUGCGUAUGUUAGCCACCAUACAUGGCUUAGUCGCUGCUGCAACCUCACCACUUUACCCCUUCCUUUCCCAUUAAGCUUUGCUAGUCUUGAUACCCAUGGUAAUGGGAUUGCUGAGUCCUCGUGGCUCACAUAUUACUACAACAACAAUUGCAGGUUCAGGUUGCGAUGAUCAUGACGCGAGAGCGAUGCUUGCUUGCGUUGAGUUCUUCUUCUGCUUCUUCGAUCAGGGGAUAGGUUCCAGGUCGGCAGCCUGGGCUAGCAGGGUGGAUAUUGUUUGAUUUUAUGUUUAUGUUUCAUCCGUAGUCGGAUGGUGCUCUUAUGUAUUGUGAUGUUGUAUUCGUGUGGCAUUGUAUGCCUUAUGUAUGUAUCCCCAUCUAUUAUGUAAUGUUGAUGUAAUGAUAUCCACCUUGCAAAAGCGUUUCAAUAUGCGGUUCUAUCCUUAGUGGGACCUUCGAGUCUCUUUAGGAUAGUAUCACAUAUUGGGCGUGACAAGUUGGUAUCAGAGCCUCGACCGACCCUAGGAGCCCCCUUGAUUGAUCGUGUAGUUUGGCCGUUGUUGAGUCUAGAAUAAACUGUUUUCGGAGUCUAGUUAUAUCGGAGAGUAGGAAUUCUUUUUACUCCUCUGCCUCUUCGUCGCUCUGGUAAGGAAUCUUGACGUAGGUGUUUUGAACUAUUCUUAUUCCCCUUCAAAUUUUUCCUUAGGAUCAUGCAGUUGGUUUUCCGAUCAUUGUUUCUCAGCUCUUUUGAUCCAGUGCAUUUCUCGUCAAGUUGACUCGAACCUCUUCAUCUUUGCGUUCAAUCCUCGGUUGUUUUCUUUUCCCACCCGCCCACCCUUCUUCCUCUCGGAACCGGAGUUCGUAAUCGAGUAUCCAUCCUACUCGUGCGAAGUCCUUGCCUUCUUUCCUCAAUGAUUUCAACCGAUGUUUUCUCUUUAAGUUAUUCAUCGGUUUCCCCUUCCAAGUUGCNNNNNNNNNNNNNNNNNNNNNNNNNNNNNNNNNNNNNNNNNNNNNNNNNNNNNNNNNNNNNNNNNNNNNNNNNNNNNNNNNNNNNNNNNNNNNNNNNNNNNNNNNNNNNNNNNNNNNNNNNNNNNNNNNNNNNNNNNNNNNNNNNNNNNNNNNNNNNNNNNNNNNNNNNNNNNNNNNNNNNNNNNNNNNNNNNNNNNNNNNNNNNNNNNNNNNNNNNNNNNNNNNNNNNNNNNNNNNNNNNNNNNNNNNNNNNNNNNNNNNNNNNNNNNNNNNNNNNNNNNNNNNNNNNNNCGGAGUCUGAGUCUCUUUCGAGCAUCCAUUCCAUUCGUGUGGAACCUCUUCAGUCUUCCCUCAAUUAUUUCAACCGGUGAAUUCUCGUCCCGGUCGUCAUUCUUCAUCUCUUUGUCUUUUCCGGUGGAUUCAAUUCAAGUUUUUCUUUGUCGAUCGUAUUCUUUCCCUCGGAUCAAGUGUUCUCCUUGCUCGUUCGCCUCUCACCAGUUUAUCCUUCCCGAGUGUUCAAGACAUCUCUAGAGAUUUGGCUGUGUUCGAAUUAAUUCGAGGUUGUCACCUCAUUCAAAUAUUUCAAUUGUUCCGGUGCUUCAUCUAUCUGUUCAUCAUCCUUUUCAACGGUGUUAUCUCUUCAGUGGGCCCUAACCCACAGGUCUUUUCCCAGGAUCUUACCUGACUCUUCUAAUUCCCCCGGAGUUAUUCUCAAUUCUUUUCAAGGGUGACGUAAGAAUGAAUUUCAUCAGUCAAAUGCUUUUCCAAGAUCGAUUUCAAAUCAUUUUCCUUUGUUGCCUCAACCUCUUCGCUUUUAAUUCUCCCGGAGUAUCUCAGUAAUUUUGGUGCUGUUUCUCAUCAUCAUUCUCAGCUUUGAAGACCAAAGAAGAGUUUUUCCUCUAAAUUUUGGUCCAUUCUCUUGAAGAUUCAUGGUUCUAGCCUCAUGCUAUCCUCAUAAUCGUUUUGAUUGUGAGAUUUAUUUUCUUACCAUCUGGAGCAUUUCAUGAGUUGUUUUCCAUUUCUUUCCUCCGAAGGCCAUCAUGUCAUAAUUCUUCAUUCUCAGAGCGUAGCUAUCAUUCUCCAAAUCUUACCGGUGCAUCGUUCAAAUACCCGCUAAUCAGUUCAUGAUUUCUUUGUUCUCAUGUAUUUAAAUCCCCUCAAGUAUCUUCAUUUGUUUUCCAAUUCUUCCCGGUGAAUUGUGCCUUUGCUAUGUUCAUUUUUAAUUCUUACGGUGGUUCGUUCAAGAUUUCUCUUCCUUUGUUAUCAUAUCAAAUCAUUCGUUGUUUCCAAAUUCCACAGGUGGUUCCUUGAAGACCUUCACAAGUUUGCCCAUAUCUCUUUUAAUCCUUUCUAUGAGAAUAAGUAGUAUGCCAAAUCCGUUGCUUGUCAUCAAUUUAAAUUGGUGAAGGAUAGGCAUGACAUAACUCUUAUUCUUGUUUCAUCCAAGGGAUUAAUCCCUUCCUUCAGAGUUUGUUCUUAACGAAUAAAUUCUAGUUCCAGGUGUGUUCAUCUUUUCUUUUCCGGAGUUCAAAUUUACUUGGCCAUCUCGUCGGAACCUCCAUCUAAAUCAUCGCAAGGCUCAUCUUAUUCUUUCAUCCUUUAUUCUAUCUCAUCAUCCUUUUGUUACCGGAGUUCUUCAUGGUGGUUCUUCAUGAUUUAAUUCAUUCUUCAAGAGUCCAUCAAGUAUCAUUCCAUCCUCUCUAGUUCAUGUUCUAUUCUUUCCAUGUUCAGCCGGAGUGCUGUUUAAAUCCUUUCAGUCUUAUUCGUUUCUUUUCUCAUUCUAACCACUCCGGUUAGAACGAGUUGUUCCAUAGUCUAUCUAAUUCCGUGAGAUUUCAAUUCUCGUCAUUCUCGUCGUUCCAUUCUUCUUCUCGAGUGCUCUUGAUUCUUGGUUUCCUCUCUUGAGUUCUUGUUUCACCUCAUCCCUUUUCUCUUCUGUAUCGGUCCUAAGAUCUUGGGACGAGAUCUCUUGUUAGUGGAGGAGUGUUGUAACGCCCCGGAUCCGAUGCGCCAGGUCUCUGUCAGUUAUUCGCCAUUGUUGCCAUGUCAUUUGCUUGCGUGUUGCAUUUUGCCAUGUCAUCAUGUGCAUUUCAUUUUGCGUACGUGUUCGUCUCAUGCAUCCAAGCCUUUUCCCCGUUGUCCGUUUUGCAAUCCGGCGCUCCUAUGCUCUCCGGCAUUCCCCUUUUCGUCUUCUGUUGUGAGUGGGUAUUAAACUUUCUCGGAAUGGCCCGAGGUUUGCCAAGCGACCUUGGUAUAGCACCGGUAGACCGCCUGUUAAGUUUCGUGCCAUUUGGAGGUCGUUUGAUACUCCAACGGUUAACUGGGUAACCGCAAAGCCCUCUUUUGUUGCACCCCAACACCCCUUCCAAACUGGCCCAAAACCCAUCAAACUCCCCUCCAUGCUCUCGGUCGUUCGAUCACGAUCGUGUGGGCGAAAACCGCACCUUAUUUGGACUCUCCUAGCUCCCUCUACCUAUAAAUUAGCCCCCUCCCCCGAAAUCUCGGGCAAACCCUAGAUCAAACCCCCCCUCCGCGCGCCGGACAUGUCCACUCCGCCGCCGGACACGUCCAGCCGCCGCCCACGCCCACUCCCGCGCCGCCACAUGGCAGCCGCCGCCGCCCCGCGCCGCCGGCCCGCCCGGGCCCGUGGCUGGCCCGCACAGGCCCGCGACCCCGCCGCCGUUCGGCCCCGCGCCCGAGCAGGCAGCCGCCGCCGUNNNNNNNNNNNNNNNNNNNNNNNNNNNNNNNNNNNNNNNNNNNNNNNNNNNNNNNNNNNNNNNNNNNNNNNNNNNNNNNNNNNNNNNNNNNNNNNNNNNNNNNNNNNNNNNNNNNNNNNNNNNNNNNNNNNNNNNNNNNNNNNNNNNNNNNNNNNNNNNNNNNNNNNNNNNNNNNNNNNNNNNNNNNNNNNNNNNNNNNNNNNNNNNNNNNNNNNNNNNNNNNNNNNNNNNNNNNNNNNNNNNNNNNNNNNNNNNNNNNNNNNNNNNNNNNNNNNNNNNNNNNNNNNNNNNNNNNNNNNNNNNNNNNNNNNNNNNNNNNNNNNNNNNNNNNNNNNNNNNNNNNNNNNNNNNNNNNNNNNNNNNNNNNNNNNNNNNNNNNNNNNNNNNNNNNNNNNNNNNNNNNNNNNNNNNNNNNNNNNNNNNNNNNNNNNNNNNNNNNNNNNNNNNNNNNNNNNNNNNNNNNNNNNNNNNNNNNNNNNNNNNNNNNNNNNNNNNNNNNNNNNNNNNNNNNNNNNNNNNNNNNNNNNNNNNNNNNNNNNNNNNNNNNNNNNNNNNNNNNNNNNNNNNNNNNNNNNNNNNNNNNNNNNNNNNNNNNNNNNNNNNNNCGCCUCGCCCGUCGCCACCGCAGCUCCGGCCGCGAGCUCGCCGGAGCCCGCGCCGCGCCGCCUCCUCUAUCCGGCCGGAUCCGGCGCCCCUCGGCCUCCCCGACCCCGGAUCCGAUGACCCCGAGCUCCUCCGGCCAUCUCCCUCCUCUCCGGCAGCCUCUCCGAUGAUCUUCUCCGGCGAGCCUCGUUAACCGUGCACAGAGGUUGACUUUCCCCCACUCUGGAAAUCGCCUAAGUCCUAAAAUUAUUGCAUAAUCAUGCCAUGUUUGACCUGCCAUAUCUCUGCAUCCGUAGCUCCGUUUCGUGCGUGUAAUAUGUCAAAUUGUUCGUCUCGACGAGUAGAUCAUUUCAUUCCAUUGCAUCAUUUUCAUUUGAGCUCAUCUUGAUGGCCGAAAUGCUGUUGGAAGAGUUCCAAGUGAUGUUAAUCUGCUGAAACUGUUAUAACUUGCUCAUUUGUCAUUUUUGCCAUGAUUGAUGUGUGCAUCCUAUGAGGUUGAUGUCUUCAUGUGUUUUGAUUUAUGCCAUGCCAUCUUUCCAGAGGUGCUAUCCAUGUAUUUUUGUGAUUUGUGUGCUGAGUGCAUCGAGCUUGCUAAGUAGGGUACUUGCUGUUGCUGAUUUUAGUUCCUGUUCUGCUGUUAUUUUUAUGCCAUGUAAACUUGUUGCUACAGAGAGAUCCAUGCAUAUUUUGAGAUACUUCAGUAAGGAUGUUUUGAACAUAUGGUUAUUGUAUAUCCAUUCAUGCCCUUGGUUGCAAUUAUGGAGUAGUCUAGCAUGUCUUUUUGGUGCUCUACUUUUGCUUCAAAAUGUUUCCUGGCAGAUUGUUUACUUGUUAUUCAAUUUAGCCAAGGUUGCUAUAGUUGGUCCUUGCAUGCUAUGGACUUGUUCUUGCCUUGGUUGGUUACAUAAACAUGCCUUCUUGAUGAUGCUAUGCUUAUCUUGUCAUGCAAUGACUUGUGGUGAGUGAGUCGAGCUUGUUAAGUAGUGUACUAGCUGUUACUGUUUUGCUAGGCUGAAUCUGUUAUUUCGUGAUGCUAUAGAAACAUGUUGCUACUAAUCAUUCUAUGCAUAAUCUGGAGAUGAUCACUAAAUAUGUUUUGUUCUACCUGCCAUGCUAUAUCCAUCCAUGCCCUUGGUUGCAAUUAUAGGUUGCUGUAGCUUGUUCAUAUCUUGCUCCAAACUUGCUAAAUAAUGUUGCUGUCAGCCUGUUAACAUUAAGUUCACUUGUUCCCAUGUGUUUUGCUAGUGUUCCAUGCACCCUAUGAACUUGAUAUUGCCAUGCUUAGCUUCAUAAACAUGCCUUCUUAUUGUUGGGUGCCUUGCCAUACCAUGUUUUGCUCUGUAGUGAGUUGCACAAGCUCAUCUACAUGCCUACUUAUUGUUGUUCCUGCCAUGUAUGAAUCUGUCAUAUAACUUGCCAUGUUUACGUGGGUGCCAUCAUAUUUUCUGAUCCUUUUUAGCUCUUGGUUAGUAAGGGACUUUUGAGCUAUGCAAUUAGUAGAUUCAUGCCAUGCCUUUGUUUGCCAUGAUAAGUUCCUGUUAUAUGUUUUUUGAUAGCUGUAAACAUUGCAACCUGAUGUUAUUUCCUGAUAUGUCUGAAACUCUUAUUAUUUGCAAUCUUACCAUGUCUGUUUGAGCAUGUUCUAGUGAUUUCUGGAGAUAUCUCAGUGUUCAUGUUUUGUUAUGCUUUACCUGUACAUCAUGCCCAUGCCUUUUGUUAUUAUGUUGAGGUCCUGUAGCUUGUUGUUUUGAUGCUUGCAAUAUGCCUAGUUGCUGUUAGGGACAGAUUGUUGCUAUGACUUGUAUAGAGUGUGUGUGUUGCUCCGUUGCUCCGUUUUGAGUGAGCUCUAUAUGAAACUUGCCUAGUUUUGCAUGUAGCUUCAUAUUAUCAUGUUGCAUCCUUGUUUUGAGGUGUUUGCUUGAUGUUUGGGUGCAUUUUGCAUCAGUGCCAUGUUUAACUUGUUUUGCUCAUAUCUUCUAGGCCGUAGCUCCGAACUAAAUGAACUUUAUAUGUAACUUGACUAGAAUCUCGUGUAGAUCAUCGUGGUGCAUCUUAACUUGCUGUUUAACAACUUGAACAUAAUGUUUAUUCAGAUCUGGACCAAUUUCGAAAUUUGCAUAUGAGGACUUACCGGAAUUGUUAUAUGUUGUUUCCGGCCUCAUUUAAACUUGCUUUGAUGUGUUGUUCUUGUUUGCAUCAUCUCUUGCCAUGAGUAGCUUCAUGUAGCCUUGUCUUGCAUCAUGCUUGUUGUGCAUCAUGCCUUGUUCAUGUGUGGUGUGUUUACCUUGUUGUGUGCUUCUUCUUGUUAGUUCCUGUUUCGUUGCGAUCGUGAGGAUUCGUUCGUCUAUGGUUGGUUCGGCUUCAUCCGUUCGUCUUCUUCAUGGACUCGUUCUUCUUCCUUGCGGGAUUUCAGGCAAGAUGACCGCUACCCUGGAUCUCACUACUAUCAUUGCUAUGCUAGUUGCUUCGUUCUAUCGCUAUGCUGCGUUACCUAUCUUUUGCUCAUCAAGCCUCCCAAAUUUGCAUGAACCUCUAAACUUUGAAACCUUUCCUAUGCAAACCGUUGCUUGGCUAUGUUACCGCUUUUGCUCAGCCCCUCUUAUAGCGUUGCUAGUUGCAGGUGAAGUUGAAGAUUUCUCCAUGGUGGACAGGAUUUUGGUUGGGAUAUCACAAUAUCUCAUAUAUAUUAUUAACUAUAUACUUGGUAAAGGGUGGAAGGCUCGGCCUUUUGCCUGGUGUUUUGUUCCACUCUUGCCGCCCUAGUUUCCGUUAUACGGGUAUUAUGUUCCCGGAUUUUGCGUUCCUUACGCGGUCGGGUGAUUUAUGGGACCCCCUUGACAGUUUGCUUUGAAUAAAACUCCUCCAGCAAGGCCCAACAUUGACUUUUACCAUUUGCCUCACCACCACCUACUUUUCCCUUGGGAGUCGCUCUCUCGAGGGUCAUCUUUAUUUAGCCCCCCCGGGCCAGUGCUUGUCUAAGUGUUGGUCCGAACCAGAGCCACUUGCAGCGCCACCUCGGGGAAACUUGAGGGUUGGUUUUAGUUGUACGUAGUGUUCAUUCGGUGUUGCCCUGAGAACGAGAUAUGUGCAGCUCCUAUCGGGAUUGUCGGCACAUCGGGCGGUCUUGCUAGUCUUGUUUUACCAUUGUCAAAAUGUCUUGUAAACUGGGAUUCCGAGUCUGAUCGGGUCUUCCUGGGAGAAGGUCUAUUCCUUCGUUAAUCGCGAGAGCUUAUCAUGGGCUAAGUUGGGACACCCCUGCAGGGUAUAAUCUUUCGAAAGCCGUGCCUGCGGUUAUAGGCAGAUGGGAAUUUGUUAAUGUCCGGUUGUAGACAACUUGACACCAAAUCCGAAUUAAAAUGCAUCAACCGCAUGUGUAGCCAUGAUGGUCUCUUCUCGGCGGAGUCCGGGAAGUGAACACGGUUUCUGGGUUAUGUUUGACGUAAGUAGGUGUUCAGGAUCACCUUUUGAUCAUUAUUAGUUGACGACCGUGCCGCUUGUUCUCUUCUCGCUCUUAUUUGCGUAUGUUAGCCACCAUACAUGGCUUAGUCGCUGCUGCAACCUCACCACUUUACCCCUUCCUUUCCCAUUAAGCUUUGCUAGUCUUGAUACCCAUGGUAAUGGGAUUGCUGAGUCCUCGUGGCUCACAGAUUACUACAACAACAAUUGCAGGUUCAGGUUGCGAUGAUCAUGACACGAGAGCGAUGCUUUCUUGCGUUGAGUUCUUCUUCUGCUUCUUCGAUCAGGGGAUAGGUUCCAGGUCGGCAGCCUGGGCUAGCAGGGUGGAUAUUGUUUGAGUUUCUGUUUAUGUUUCAUCCGUAGUCGGAUGGUGCUCUUAUGUAUUGUGAUGUUGUAUUCGUGUGGCAUUGUAUGCCUUAUGUAUGUAUCCCCAUCUAUUAUGUAAUGUUGAUGUAAUGAUAUCCACCUUGCAAAAGCGUUUCAAUAUGCGGUUCUAUCUUUAGUGGGACCUUCGAGUCUAUUUAGGAUAGUAUCGCAUAUUGGGCGUGACACUUUGCCCCUCCUUAUAUAUGCUGAAGGGGCAGGUUACCUGACUAGUCCUAGUAGGAUUAGGAUUAACCUAUUACAAGUGGAGUCCUAGUCUUGCUUCCUUUAUAAGAGAAUAUUCCUUGUGCUUUCCUCUUAAACCGGCCCACCAUUAACAUGAGCCGGCCUUCUGGGCCUUGGGCCUUGUCAUCCAUCUAACCCGCCCGCCAGGUUACUAUGAACCGCCAAGUCCGGGCGGAUUACCUGUGAAUCGCCAAGCUCCGGGCGGGUCAUACUUCUGGCGGUUUACACCGCGGGGUAUAUCCCUGACAGCAACGGAGAAGUAACUAAGAAAAGAUCAAUAUGUAAAAAGCUCGUAGGCAAUGGAUCAAUGAUGGAUAAUUAUGUCGGAUGCAAUUUGUCAACAAUUAUAACAUAGGGUGACAAAGAACUAGCUCCAGUUCAUCAAUGUAAUGUAGGCAUGUAUUCCGAAUAUAGUCAUACAUGCUUAUGGAAAAGAACUUGCAUGACAUCUUUUGUCCUACCCUCCUAUGGCAGCGGGGUCCUAAUGGAAACUAAGGGAUAUUAAUGCCUCCUUUUAAUAGAGUACUGGACCAAAGCAUUAGCACUUAGUGAAUACAUGAACUCCUCAAACUACGGUCAUCACUGAGAAGUGUCCCGACUAUUGUCACUCCGGGGUUUGCCAGAUCAUAACACGUUAGGUGACUAUAACUUGCAAGAUAGGAUCAAGAACUCACAUAUAUUCAUGAAAAUAUAAUAGGUUCGGAUCUGAAAUCAUGGUACUUGGGACCUAGUGACAAGCAUUAAGCAUGGCAAAGUCAUAGCAACAUCAAUGUUAGAACAUAAUGGAUUCCAGGGAUCAAACCCUAACAAAACUAACUCGAUUACAUGGUAAAUCUUAUCCAACCCAUCACCGUCCAGCAAGCCUACGAUGGGAUUACUCAAGCAUGGCGGUGAGCAUCAUUAAAUUGGUGAUGGAGGAUGGUUGAUGAUGACGAUGGCGACGGAUUCCCCUCUCCGGAGCCCCGAACGGACUCCAGAUCAGCCCUCCCAAGGAAGAACAGGGCUUGGCGACGCCUCUGUAUCGUAAAACAUGAUGAAUCCUUCUCUUUGAUUUUUUCUCCCUGAACGUGAAUAUAUAGAGUUGGAGUUGAGGUCGAUGGAGGUCCAGGGGACCCACGAGGCAGGGGCCGCGCCCCAGGGGGUGGGCGCGCCCUCCACCUUCGUGGAAAAGGUGUGGGUCCCCCUUUGUUGAUUCUUUCGCCAAUAUUUUUAUUAAUUCCAAAACGUGACUCCAUGGAGUUUCAGGACAUUCCGAGAACUUUUAUUUCUGCACAAAAAUGACACCAUCGCAAUUCGGCUAAAAACAACGUCAGUCCGGGUUAGUUCCGUUCAAAUCAUGCAAGUUAGAGUCCAAAACAAGGGCAAAAGUGUUUGGAAAAGUAGAUACGUUGGAGACGUAUCAGCUAUGCGGGUAGAUUGAGGAGUGGUACAUGUCCUUGUACGUGCCCAUCCUUCUAGCGCUACAUGUGCCACUGGCUAGUUGACGUCACUCUUUCGAAUCACCGUGGCGAGACAUUUUAUGAUUCCUUUUUAUUUCUGCACCCCUCUUGACAGGUGGGACCUAUGCAAACGGAUAUAAAAAUGUGUCAUACCUGGUUCAUAUGGAUAUUGGCGUGUGCGUGGGAGACACGACAUUCUCUGGUUAAGGAAUAUGUGGUUAUCCUCAGAAAAGAAAAAGCCUUCGUCGCGCUUCUGCAUGCACGAGGAUUUAGUUCUGCUCGCAAUAUGGAUGAUAUAGAGGAUGAAGUGAACCCAGAGGUAUGCUAGCAUGGGAGACCUAUUUCCGCUACACGGUACUACUCAUGUUCCUACUACUGCUACUUGUAGUAGUACAACUGUGGUACACUUGAUGGUCAAAAUAUUAUUCAUCCGGUCCCCACAGUGAAGUGACAAGACCCUGUGUAACAUCCGAAAGUUUCAAUUUGGAAUGUUAUACACUAGAUCAUCAUUGCAUAUCAUAUUUUAUUUCUUUUGGUUUGAUCCUAGAAAUUCUAAGCAACUCAAGGACCCUCAGAGAGAGUUGGGGAUUUCGUUAUUUUCAAAUUUGAGUUUUCUCGAAUUUUGAAAAUAGGAUCAUUUGAUUUUAUUUAUUUUAUCUUCAAUUAUUUCAAUUAUAAAAAUAUGAGAGAGGGAAUAAAAUGACUUUCCCAAAAUAAAGAAAUAUUGAGGAUUUCAUAAAACAAUCAAAUAAGUUUUAUUUUGGAGUUUUUGCUAUUUUAUUUGAAUUUAGGAAAAUUGCACAUUUUAAAACUGCAUUUUAGGUUCAAGAAAAUGUUCAUCUUGUUCUAAAUAUUUUAUUUAGACGGUAAAAAUUUGUUUUGGAAUUUUUAGAUUUUUAUAUAUUUUUCUAUGAUUUUUCUUAGUUCGGCGGAAUUAUUUAAAAAAAAAUCCCGCGCCCGACUGGGCCAAAGGCCCAGCCAGGCUAGGCUGGCCCGCGCUGCCACCGCCUUCCCCGCACCGUGCCGUCGCCGGACAGGAGACCGAGCCGGACUCCUCUGCCCCGCCGCCUUGCCCCCUACCCCAAGCAGCCCCCCUCUUUAAAUACCCCGCCGCCGCCACCCCACCCCGCCACCAACCACCCCGCACCAGCAGUUGCCGCAGCCGCCGCCGGCGCUAGCGCCGCUGCCAGGAGCCACCGCCACCGCUGCCGCAACCCCUCCACCCGCGCCGUCCCGCCGGAGCCCCGCCGGAGGUAGCCGCCGCCGCCGCCGUGGUUCUGUUUUAAAAAAAAACCAAUCCGGUUUUUUUAGAAACCCUAGAUUCGUUUUUUUUAUAAAUCGGAUUUUCUAGUUUAUUUGUUUAGCGAGCGUUCGCCCGUUUGUUCGUUUUAAGGAACGAAUUCACCGUUUAGUUUCAGUUAACGAACGUUCGUUCGUUAAUCUGUUCGUCAGUUUUUCUUUUUCUCGGAUUUUCCUCAGUUAUUUCUGAUUGUGAUUUCUGAUCCGAUUUUCGUUUUAGUAUAACUUUUCGCUCGUUUAUUGAAAUCAGGCGAUUCAAGCGCUUAGAGUUUCGUCUCGAAACCCUCUUUCUGUUUAACCUACUCAAACAAGGUUUUGCUUCUGUAAAAUUUGACCUAGGUGCAGAUUAGUAAAAGAAGCUUGUUUCUUUCGCCGUUUGACUUUCGUUGCUUCGUUUGAUUUGAUUCUUUUAGCAAACUGGAGUUCUUAAGUUGAACUUUCUGGUUAGAUCUCUUAUUUGAGUUUUUACCUGUGCAUUCGAUGAGUACUUAUUGUAUGCUUGUUUGUUUGCGAUAGAGUACCCGGAGUGCGCUGCUUGCUACUUUGAAUAUCUAGGUUUCGCGGAUCAUCAGCAAGGCAAGUAACACAUUGAUCAUACCUCUUUACUACCCAGUUUUAUUGCAUUAGAUCAAUCCUCAAACAUUGCAUGAUUAGGAUCUAAUUAAAGUUUGGGUUUUGGGAAGUAGAUGAGGUAGUACCUAUUACCUGUUUUAUUAUCAAACCCUUGGGAGUUACUUCUACGUUUGCUUAUUAUGCCAUGCUAUGCUAGUAGACGUGGAUUGGGUGUGUGUAUCCAUGACAUAUGUGAGAUUGUUACUUAAUGGUUUAUUUAAGGUGGCAACUUAAACACACAUCUGGGUGGAUUGAGGCACCUGGGUAUUCCAGCGAUUGCCUGUUUUUCUUUAUGGACCGCCACCCAGGCUCGAAGGGAUCAUGAGAUUAUUCAUGCUAGAAACUUACGUGUGCAGCCACAAGCUACUAUGGGCUCUAGCAUAGUUGACUAAGUCAGGCGAACUCUUACAUUUGUAGACUAGAAGAUGUAGGUUGGUACUGUCUACCCGAUCGUAAGGUGCUAGCACUUCUGAAAGACUGUGUCUCGGUCAUCCGUUUCUCAAACAUCAUGAAGUGGGAGAAAUUCAACGGAGGAGAUCGAGUCUUGUUGGGAAAAGUGUGCAAACCUCUGCAGAGUGUAUAAACUAAUCAUGGUUAGCCGUGUCCCCAGUUAUGGACAUCUUGAGUAUCUAGUACUUGGAUUAUCAUGUGAAUCUCAUCAUGUUACUUUAAUUAAUAUUGUUGGGUUUUAAUGAUGAUGCUUAAUUGAGAUUGAGAAUGCUUUCAACCAUUCUCAAUGUUUAACAACCACCAUGAUAGUUAAAUAAAAUUUAUUCCUUUGCAGUAGGGAAAAAUUGGCUUUAUGCAAAACUGUAACCAUAGAGCUUUCCACCAGCCAUAUAUGCAUGUAGUAUAGCUUUAUACUUUCAUUACUCUCUAUGUGUUACAUUGCCAGCAUAUUGUAACACCCCGGAUGUAACUUUCCAUCUUUGUAACUCCAACUCUUGCCAUUUUCGGCUACGUGCUAUGAUAUUCCCUCCGUGGUUGGGUUUUGUUUUUCGUUUUGCAUUUUGUUCAUGUCAUGCAUCUCAUAUCAUGUCAUCAUGCGCAUUUCAUUUUGCAUACGUGUUCGUCUCAUGCAUCCGAGCAUUUUCCCCGUUGUCCGUUUCGCAAUCCGACACUCCCACAUGCACCGGCGCACCCCUCUUGUCUCUUUUCGUGUGCGGGUGUUAAACGUUCUCGGAAUGGGCCGAGCCUUGCCAAGUGGCCUUGAUACACCACCGGUAGACCACUUGUCAAGUUUCGGGUCAUUGGGAGCUCGUUUGGUACUCCAACGGUCAACCGCACUCUCGCAAAGGCCUCUUUUAAGUUGCAGCCCAACACCCCUCCAAAACAGCCCAAUAACCCAUCUAAGUCACUUCCAUGCUCUCCGUCGUCGGAUCACAAUCGUGUGGGCGAAAACCGCACCCCAUUUGGACACUCCUAGCUCCCUCUACCUCUAUAUAUAGAUCCCUCCCCCGAAAUUCACGGGCAAACACUAAAAAAUCCCUCUCCGCGCCGCCGGACACGUCCGGAUCGGACCGGACGCGUCCGCCGCUGCGUCCCCGGCGAAUCAGGCGCCGCCACGUGGCGGGCCCACGCCCACAUCGCCGCCGGCCGUGCCAGGCCCGCGAGGNNNNNNNNNNNNNNNNNNNNNNNNNNNNNNNNNNNNNNNNNNNNNNNNNNNNNNNNNNNNNNNNNNNNNNNNNNNNNNNNNNNNNNNNNNNNNNNNNNNNNNNNNNNNNNNNNNNNNNNNNNNNNNNNNNNNNNNNNNNNNNNNNNNNNNNNNNNNNNNNNNNNNNNNNNNNNNNNNNNNNNNNNNNNNNNNNNNNNNNNNNNNNNNNNNNNNNNNNNNNNNNNNNNNNNNNNNNNNNNNNNNNNNNNNNNNNNNNNNNNNNNNNNNNNNNNNNNNNNNNNNNNNNNNNNNNNNNNNNNNNNNNNNNNNNNNNNNNNNNNNNNNNNNNNNNNNNNNNNNNNNNNNNNNNNNNCCCGCCGCCCGAGGCGCCCGCCGUCCGCCUCCGCGCCCGAGCGCUCCGCCGUCCUCCAGCGAGGAUCCGGCCGGAGCAGCGCAGCCCCGCCCUCGUCCCCCUCCCCUCUGGCUUCCCCGACUCCGGCCGCUGUCGCCGCCUGCUCCGGCGUCGUCCUCGAUCGACGAGCCGCCCCGGAUCAGAUCUGCAGCGGUUGACUUUCUUCUCCCCCCCCCGAAAACGUCUAAGUUAUAUUUCUGUGAUUAUUUUGUUGCAUCUUCAUCGCAUCACAUCUUCUCAUCCGUAGCUCCGUUUCGUGCGCGUAAUAUGUCAAAUUGUCCGUCUCAAAGAGUACAUCAUUUCAUUCCAUUGCAUAAUUUACAUUUGAGCUCAUAUUGAUGCCCGAAAUGCUGUUGGAAGAGGGCUAUGUGAUGUUAGUUUCUGUUUCUUAACAGGACUUGCACUUUUGUCAUUUUUGCCAUGAUUAAUGUGUGUAUCUUAUGAACUUGAGCCCUACAUAUAUUUUGAUCUAUGUCAUGCCAGCUUUACAGGGGUGUAUGCCAUGUAUUUUUGUGAUCAAUGUGGUGACUAGCACAAGCAUGCAAACUAGGCUUCGUGGUAUUGCUGAUUUUAGUCCCUGUUCUGCUGUUAUUUUGAUGCCAUGUAAACAUGUUGCUACAGAGAGAUCCAUGCAUAUUUAGAGAUACUUCAGUAAGGGUGUUUUGAACAUGUGGUUAUGCUCUAUCCAUUCAUGUCCUUGUUGGAAAUUAUGGAGUAGUCUAGCAUGUCAUUUUCGUGCUCUACUUUUGCUACAAAAUGUUUCCUGGCAGUUUGUUUGCAUGAUAUUCAAUUUUUACGAGGUUGUUGUUGUUGAUCCGUGUAUGCUAUGAUGUUGUUCUUUCCAUGUAUAGCUUCUAUGCCAUGUCUUCUUGAUGGAUGUAUGCUUAGUUUAUCAUGAGGUGCUCUGUAGUGAGUGCAUCGAGCUCACGAAGGUGCCUUCGUAAAUCUGUCAAUGCCAUGCCCAGUUUGCUGAAUCUGUUAACGAAACUUGCUACGUUUACAUGCAUGCCAUCAUUUCUUCGGGUCCUUUUUGGCUUAUGGUCAGUAAGGGACUUUUGAUCUAUGCUUUGAGUAGAUUCAUGCCGUGUCUUGUUUUGCUACUAUAAGUUCCUGUAGCUUGUUGAUAACUUGCUAUGAACAUUGCUUCCUGAUGCUGUUUAUGCCAUGUCCAGCCUGAUAUUUUUUGCACUUUCACCAUGCUUGUUUGGACCUAUUAUGAUGUGAUUUAGCCGUAGCUCAGUGUUCCUCUUUUGUUAAGCAUCUCCUGUAGAUCACUGCCAUGUGCUUUGUUUUUAUGUUGGGGUGCUGUAGCAUAGUUUAUUGUUGCAUGCUAAGUAGCAUCGUGCUGUUAAUCGCAGAUUUGUGCCCUUAUUGUUUUGCUUGACAUUUGCAAAUCAUGCAUCCGAUUCCGGUGAUCUUUAUAUCGAUUUCAACCGAAAUCAUCUCAUCUUUCCAGCGGCAUACUUGGUUUGCCAAGUUGAUGCCUUGUUCAUCAUUUUGCUCCCGAAGCACGCAUAUGCAUUGCAUAUCACAUCUCGCAUAUCAUGGCAUGCAUUGCAUCUUGUUGCUUGUGCAUUGCACCGUGAUUUAUUGUGGUUCCUUUGCUUGUGUUCUUGCUUUGGGUAGAGCCGGGAGACGAGUACGUGAAUGAGGAACCUGUUGAGAACGCUUUCGAGGAUCAAGCCUUCGACAACUCUGAGAACUUUGCAGGCAAGAUGACCAUACCUUCGAUAUCACUUCUAUCUUUGCUUGCUAGUACUCGCUCUUUCGCUAUGUUAGCCUUACCUGCCAUUGUUUAUCAUGCCUCCCUAUUGCCAUGUCAACCCUCUAACCCGCCCUGUCCUAGCAAACCGUUGUUUGGCUAUGUCACCGCUUUUGCUCAGCCCCUCUUAUAGCGUUGCUAGUUGCAGGUGAAGAUGAAGUUUGUUCCUGGACGGAACAUGGAUAUUUUGGGAUAUCACAUUAUCUCCUGUUUAAUUAAUGCACCUUAUAUAUUUGGAAAAGGGUGGAAGGCUCGGCCUUAUGCCUGGUGACUUGUUCCACUCUUGCCGCCCUAGUUUCCGUCAUACCGGUGUUAUGUUCCUUGAUUUUGCGUUCCUUACGCGGUUGGGUGAUUUAUGGGACCCCCUUGACAGUUUGCUUUGAAUAAAACUCCUCCAGCAAGGCCCAACCUUGGUUUUACCAUUUGCCACCUAAGCCUUUUUCCCUUCGGUUUUCGCGAGCCCGAGGGUCAUCUUUAUUUACCCCCCCAGGCCAGUGCUCCUCUGAGUGUUGGUCCAAACUAGAGCACCGUGCGGGACCAUUCCUUGGCAACUUGGAUUACGUCGGUACCUGUACACUUAGCUUAUCCGGUGUGCCCUGAGAACGAGAUAUGUGCAGCUCCUAUCGGGAUUUGUCGGCAUAGUCGGGUGGUCUUGCUGGUCUUGUUUUACCAUUGUCGAAAUGUCUUGCGAACCGGGAUUCCGAGACUGAUCGGGUCUUCCCGGGAGAAGGUUUAUUCCUUCGUUGACCGUGAGAGCUUAUGAUGGGCUAAGUUGGGACACCCCUGCAGGGUAUAUAAUCUUUCGAAAGUCGUGCCCGCGGUUAUGAGGCAGAUGGGAAUUUGUUAAUGUCCGGUUGUAGAUAACUUGACACUUGACUUCAUUAAAAUGCAUCAACCACGUGUGUAGCCGUGAUGGUCUCUUCUCGGCGGGGUCUGGGAAGUGAACACUGUUUGAGUUAUGCUUGACGUAAGUAGUUUCAGGAUCACUUCUUGAUCGCUUCUAGCUUCUCGACCGAUGCGUUGCUUCUCUUCUCGCUCUCACUUGCGUAUGUUAGCCACCAUAUAUGCUUAGUGCUUUCCGCAGCUCCACCAUAUUACCCCUUUCCUACCUAUGAGCUUAAAUAGUCUUGAUCUGCGGGUGUGAGAUUGCUGAGUCCCAAUGGCUCACAGAUUCUACCAAAACAGAUGCAGGUGCCGAGGAUACCAGCGCAGAUGGCGCAACUGAGCUGAAGUGGGAAUUUGAUGAGGCCCUUGGUCGUUACUAUGUAUCGUUUCCAGAUGAUUAGUAGUGGUGCCCAGUCGGGACGAUCGGGGAUAUGUGUAGCAUUUGGGGUAGUCUUCUUUUAUUUUGGUUCUGUAGUCGGACCUUGAGUGUAAUCUGGAUGAUGGAUGUUUAUUUAUGUAUUGUGUGAAGUGGCGACUGUAAGCCAACUAUGUAUCUCUUUCCCUUAUGUAUUACAUGGGUUGUGCGAAGAUUACCUCACUUGCGACAUUGCUUUCAAUGCGGUUAUGCCUCUAAGUCGUUCUUCGACACGUGGGAGAUAUAGCCGCAUCGAGGGCGUUACACAUAUUCCAUGUGCUGACCCAUUUUAGGGCUGCAACGUUCAUGUUGCAUACUUUUCAGACGACGAGUAAGGUGCCUAUUAGGUCGUGGUUCUAUACUUAGUGAUGUCGUUGGAGUUGAUGGACUCACUUAUCUUCCAAGCCUUCCGCGGUUAUCGUUAUUAGAUGGCCUUAAGCCAUAUUUAUUGUAAUAAGUUCUCUUUUUGAGACAUUCGAUGUAAUAAGUGUGUGAUUGCUACUCUGUUAUAAAUCCUUCAAGUACUGUGUGUGUCAGCAUUACUGAUCCAGGGAUGACACUAAAGCACAUAGAUCAGACUGUUUGAGGUCUAGUCGCUACAAGAUGGUAUCAGAGCACACGCUGACUGUAGGACACGACCACUAAGCUAAAGCCCUAGAUCACUACUCACUCUUCUCAUUUCUGACUCCUCAUCUUUUCUAUUCUUUUAGGAUGGCGGAUGCAAGGAACAAGUUCACGCAACUGGAUGAAGAUACACCCUUUGGACACCACUUGAAGGAAGUCACUAGAUACCUGAACAACGGAGUGCCAAGCUUCACCGGGACCUACAACACCACUUUACCUGAAGAGGAGUGCUGGAUGAUUCUAGUUAAAGUUCUAGGAAGGACGUUCAUGCCCGUCACUGAGCCCAUAGAGUUUUCCUUUGUUGCACCAACCUGGAGUCUAGGAAUGAGCAUGGCAGCUCACAUCACCAUGGGACACAUUGGAGAAGUUUACCACAAGGAUACCAAGGAUACAAUCUACCAGAUUUGUGGGCGCCGAGAUGAGCAAUGGGAGAUGAUCAGCACCAGGAAGGAUAUAUCAAUUGCAGCUUUCAUCCAGGAGUUAAACCAGCACAUUCGCCGCCAGGAGAACCAGAUGUGCAUAGGCAUGAUAGACCUGAAGAAAGCCAUGACCAAGAUCACUGAGCUGGAGGAAGAACUUAAGUCUACACACGAUGGAUAUGAGGAGUAAAUAGCAGCACUAGUAGAGAAGAACAAUGAUCUGAAGAAGAAGCUAAAAGUAUUCAUGGGAUUUCCCGCGACUGGAGGAGAAGACGAAGAUUGCACCUGUCUAGAGAACUACAUCAUCAUCGACGACACCGACUCGGCCCAGAUGAUAGCGAUGAUGACUAUGUUGAUGAAGCUGGAGUAGAUAUCAUGGAGUAUUCAUCGGAGCAGUUUUUCUAGUCGACCUCCAUAACAAAAGUAGUAUUCCCCAUGUAUCUAGUAUAGUCCGAGCACUUUUGUAACGAUAGUUAGACGGUUGUAUGCCCUUGUUUGAUUGAAUGAAGUUAUUUUGUUUGAAUUUGUCUCAUGUGCAUAUGGGUAGAGUUUUCUCUCUAGACCUCAUUCUAUUAUGUAUUCUCAUCUCCUCUAAACCUCAGAUGCCUCUGAGACGUGACAAUGGAUUUGCUUUCCCACCGGAGCUCACUCAGUUGAUCCAGCAGUAGAAUGCCUUGAUGCAGUUGCUAGUCUAGAAUCAGAAUCAAGGGAACAACAACAACAACCCACCACCACCACCACCUGUUGAUCACUUAACCCGUUUUCUUAGGCUGAAUCCGCCGGUGUUCUCUAGUAGCAUCGAGCCAAUAGUUGCAGAUGAUUGGCUCCGCAAGACAGCAAGGGAGUUCACCACCGCGGGAUGCAGAGAUGCGGAGAGGGUGCGUUUUGCCGCACAUCAGCUUGAAGGACCCACAGCAUCAUGGUGGGAGAAUUUCACAGCUACUUAUCCUAUCGACACUGUCACAUGGGAUCAGUUUUAGUAGGAUUUCCGUGCUGCCCAUGUUACAUCAGGAGCUAUGGCCAUGAAGAAGUCUGAGUUUCACAACUUGCGCCAAGGAGGACGGAUAGUUGGCCAGUAUGUGGAUGACUUUAGUAAGCUAGCAUGUUAUGCCCCAGAUGACGUUGCUACGGAUGCAGCUAAGCAGGAGAAGUUUCUGGAAGGACUGAAUGAUGAGCUGAGCAUGCAGUUGAUGGUAGGAACUUUCAACAACUACCAGGAGUUGCUAGAUCGUGCUCUUAUGAUUGAAGGGAAGCAGCAGCAGAUUGAGAACCGCAAGAGGAAGUAUGGACAAGGGAAGUACAAUUCUGGAGCUCAUCAGAAGCCACGUUUUACCCCAAAAUCGGGAGGACAUUUCUAGCAUACCCAUGGAGGAGGUAGCACGCAUAAUCAUAAUGGACCCAAGAAUGGUAACGGGAAUGGAGGAAGCAACGGCCAGAACCGUACCCACCCGUCAACACCAGCCAAGAAAGAUCUGAGCCAAGUCAUUUGCUAUAAGUGUCAGAAGAAUGGAUAUUAUGGCAAUGAAUGUCCUGAAGCCCAGAAUGGAAAUGGCAAUGGAAGCUCAAGGAAGAAGCCGAUCCCUUUCAAUAGGGGACAGGUGAACCACGUUAACGUGGAGGAGGUUGAAGCUCAGCCAGAUGCAGUAAUAGGUAAGUUUUUGGUUAAGUCAUUUACUGCACUCGUUAUUUUUGAUACUGGUGCAUCACAUUCAUAUAUCUCAAGGGGAUUUGUGGAUAAGUAUAAACUACCAACCCAAGCCAUUAGGUCACCCAUGUUAGUAACCUCACCUGGAGCAGAGUAUAUGGCUAGUCUAUGGUGUGAUGGGUUACCAUUAAGGAUUGGUAGCUAUGUGUUUCCCUCGGACUUAAUAGUAUUGGAAUCGCAAGGAUUGGAUGUGAUAUUAGGAAUGGCUUGGUUAUCGAAGUAUGGAGGGAACAUUGAAUGCGCUAGUAAGAAUAUUUUUCUUACAACGCCAGAAGGAAGAAGGAUCAAGUAUGUAUCCCGGCAUGAGUCGGAGAGGACACAAGUAAAUUCCUUAUCAGGAGUUGUGCAGGAAGAAGUACCAGUGGCGAAGGAUUUUCCUGACGUAUUUCCAGAGGAGUUGCCAGGCAUGCCACCGGACAGAGACAUUGAGUUUUUGGUUGAGCUUUUGCCAGGCACAGGGCCAAUAUAUAAGAGACCAUACAGGAUGCCUGCAAAAGAUUUGGAAGAGAUUAAGAAGCAGAUUAAGGAGUUACUGGAUAAAGGAUAUUUUUGCCCAAGUUCUUCGCCUUGGGGAUCACCAGUACUUCUAGUGGAGAAGAAGGACGAAUCAUUGAUGAUGGUUGUUGAUUAUCGAGGAUUGAAUGCAGUAACAAUCAAGAACAAGUACCCACUGCCGAUGAUCAAUGAUCUGUUUGACCGAUUAAAAGAGCUAAGGUAUUUUCCAAGAUCGAUUUGCGAUCAGGGUACCAUCAGUUAAAGAUCCAAGAGCAGGAUAUACCUAAGACAACUUUUGCCACCAGGUACGGGCUAUAUGAGUAUACCGUUAUGUCAUUUGGUCUGACCAACACCCCUGCAUAUUUCAUGAACAUGAUGAACAAGGUGUUUAUGGAGUUUCUGGAUAAGUUCGUCAUAGUGUUCAUUGAUGAUAUUUUGGUCUACUCGAAGAACGAAGAGGAGCAUAAGGAGCAUUUGCGUUUGGUACUUGAGAAGCUCAGAGAACAUCAGUUAUACACCAAGUUCAGCAAAUGUGAGUUUUGGUUGAAGGAAGUUGGAUUCCUCGGACAUGUUAUAUCCGGAGAAGGAAUAGCAGUAGAUCCCACCAAGGUUGUCACUAUGACAAAUUGGGUAGCACCAACGACAGUUGGAGAGAUCCGGAGUUUUCUUGGACUGGCAGGAUACUACCGGAGAUUCAUUGAGAAUUUAUCGAAGAUUGCGAAGCCCAUGACGAAGUUAAUAAAGAAGGAUACCAAGUUCAAUUGGACUGAGGAAUGUGAGGCCAGUUCCAGGAGUUGAAGAAACGUUUGGUUACAUCGCCAGUGUUGAUUCUGCCAGACCAGAGCAAGGAUUAUGAGGUGUAUUGCGACGCUUCAUGUCGAGGACUUGGAGCAGUGCUUAUGGAGGAGGGAUGAGUGGUUUUGUAUGCUUCACGACAGCUGAAACCUCAUGAGUUGAAUUAUGCCACACAUGAUUUGGAGUUAGCAUCCGUAGUGCAUGCAUUGAAUACUUGGAGACAUUUUCUCAUCGGAAACCAUUGUGAAGUGUACAUAGAUCACAAGAGUUUGAAGUACAUUUUCACGCAGAAGGAGUUGAAUCUCAGGCAAAGGAGAUGAUUGGAGCUCAUCAAGGAUUAUGAUCUGAGAUUACAUUAUCAUCCCGGAAAGGCUAACGUAGUAGCUGAUGCAUUGAGCCAUAAGAGCCAUGUCAGCACACUAAUGACCGAAGAGUUUGUUGGGGAACGUAGUAAUUUCAAAAAAUUUCCUACGCACACGCAAGAUCAUGGUGAUGGCAUAGCAACGAGAGGGGAGAGUAUUGUCUAUGUACCCUCGUAGACCAUUAAGCGGAAGCGUUAUGACAACGCGGUUGAUGUAGUCGUACGUCUUCACGAAUCGACCGAUCCAAGCACCGAACGUACGGCACCUCCGUGUUCAGCACACGUUCAGCUCGAUGACGUUCCCCGGGCUCCAAUCUAGCUAAGCGUUGGGGAUGAGUUCCGUCAGCACGAUGGCGUGGUGACGAUGAUGAUGUUCUACCAGCGCAGGGCUUCGCCUAAACUCCGCGACGAUAUGACCGAGGUGGAAUAUGGUGGAGGGGGGCACCGCACACGGCUAAGGAACAAUCCGUAGAUCAACUUGUGUCUCUAUGGGGUGCCCCCCUCCCCCGUAUAUAAAGGGGGAGAGGAGGAGGAGGCCGGCCUAAGGGGAGGCGCACCCUAGGAGGGGGAAACCUACUCCAAGUAGGUUUGCCCCCUCCCUUUCCUAUUCCAAGAAGGAGGGGGAAGGAAGGAGUGGGAGAGGGGGAAGGCAAGGGGGGCGCCCCCCCCCCCUUCCUUGUCCUAUUCGGACUCAAGGGGAGGGGGCGCGCCUCUUGCCCUGGCCGGCCCCUCUCUCUCUCCACUAGGGCCCAUCAAGGCCCAUUACUUCCCGGGGGGGUUCCGGUAACCCUCCGGUACUCUGGUUUUCUCCGAAAACACCCAGAACACUUCCGGUGUCCGAAUAUAGUCAUCCAGUAUAUCAAUCUUUAUGUCUCGACCAUUUCAAGACUCCUCGUCAUGUCCGUGAUCACAUCCGGGACUCCGAACAACCUUCGGUACAUCAAAACUUAUAAACUCAUAAUAAAACUGUCAUCGUAACGUUAAGCGUGCGGACCCUACGGGUUCGAGAACUAUGUAGACAUGACCUGGAACUAUUCUCGGUCAAUAACCAAUAGCGGAACCUGGAUGUUCAUAUUGGUUCCCACCUAUUCUACGAAGAUCUUUAUCGUUCAAACCGCAUAACAACAUACGUUGUUCCCUUUGUCAUCGGUAUGUUACUUGCCCGAGAUUCGAUCGUCGGUAUCCAAUACCUAGUUCAAUCUCGUUACCGGCAAGUCUCUUUACUCGUUCUGUAAUACAUCAUCUCAUAACUAACUCAUUAGUUACAAUGCUUGCAAGGCUUAGGUGAUGAUUAUUACCAAGAGGGCCCAGAGAUACCUCUCCGACAAUCGGAGUGACAAAACCUAAUCUUGAAUUACGCCAACCCAACACGUACCUUCGGAGACACCUGUAGAGCACCUUUAUAAUCACCCAGUUACGUUGUGACGUUUGGUAGCACACAAAAUGUUCCUCCGGUAAACGGGAGUUGCAUAAUCUCAUAGUCAUAGGAACAUGUAUAAGUCAUGAAGAAAGCAAUAGCAACAUACUAAACGAUCAAGUGCUAAGCUAACGGAAUGGGUCAAGUCAAUCACAUCAUUCUCCUAAUGAUGUGAUCCCAUUUAUCAAAUGACAACACAUGUCUAUGGUUAGGAAACAUAACCAUCUUUGAUCAAUGAGCUAGUUCAAGUAGAGGCAUACUAGUGACACUAUGUUUGUCUAUGUAUUCACACAUGUAUCAUGUUUCCGGUUAAUACAAUUCUAGCAUGAAUAAUAAACAUUUAUCAUGAUAUGAGGAAAUAAAUAAUAACUUUAUUAUUGCCUCUAGGGCAUAUUUCCUUCAGUCUCCCACUUGCACUAGAGUCAAUAAUCUAGUUCACAUCGCCAUGUGAUGUAACACCAAUAAUCAUAUUUGUAUAUGAUUAACACCCAUAGUUCACAUCGUCAUGUGACCAACACCCAAAGGGUUUACUAGAGUCAAUAAUUUAGUUCACAUUGCUAUGUGAUUAACACCCAAAGAGUACUAAGGUAUGAUCAUGUUUUGCUUGUGAGAGAACUUUAGUCAACGGGUCUGUCAUAUUCAGAGCCGUAUGUAUUUUGCAAAUAUUCUAUGUCUACAAUGCUCUGCAUGGAGCUACUCUAGCUAAUUGCUCCCACUUUCAAUAUGUAUCCAGAUUGAGACUUAGAGUCAUCUGGAUCGGUGUAAAAACUUGCACCGAUGUAACUCUUUACGACGGGCUCUUUUAUCACCUCCAUAAUUGAGAAGUAUUUCCUUAGUCCUCACUAAGGAUAUUCUUGACCGCUGUCCAGUGAUCUACUAUUAGAUCAAAAUUGUAUUCCUUUGCCAAAUACAGAGCAAGGUAUACAAUAGGUCUGGUUCACAGCAUAGCAUACUUUAUAGAACCUAUGACUAAGGCACAGGGAAUGACUUUUCAUUCUCUUUCUAUUUUCUGCCAUGGUCGGGUCUUGAGUCUUACUCAACUUCACACCUUGCAACACAGGCAAUAACUCCUUCUUUGACUGUUCCAUUUUGAACUAUUUCAAAAAUUUAUCAAGGUAUGUACUCAUUGAAAAAUCUUAUCAAGCGUCUUGAUCUAUCUAUAUAGAUCUUCAUGCUCAAUGUGUAAGCAGCUUCACCGAGGUCUUGCUUUGAAAAACUCUUAUUCAAGUAUCCUUUCAUGCUAUCCAAAAUUUCCAUAUCAUUUCCAAUUAACAAUAUGUCAUCCACAUAUAAUAUUAGAAAUGCUACAGAGCUCCCACUCACUUUCUUGUAAAUGCAGGCUUCUUUAAAAGUCUGUAUAAAACCAUAUGCUUUGAUCAACUCAUCAAAGCGUAUAUUCCAACUCCGAGAUGCUUGCACCAGUCCAUUGAUGGAUCGCUGGAGCUUGCACAUUUUGUUAGCACCUUUAGGAUUAGUAAAACCUUCUGGUUGCAUCAUAUACAACUCUUGUUUAAAAAUCCAUUAAGGAAUGCAGUUUUGACAUCCAUUUGCCAGAUUUCAUAAAAUGUGGCAAUUGCUAACAUGAUUCAGACAGACUUAAGCUUCGAUACGAGUGAGAAAAUCUCAUCGUAUUCAACACCUUGAACUUGUUGAAAACCUUUUGCAACAAGUCGAGCUUAGUAGAUAGUAACACUACUAUCAGUGUCCGUCUUCCUCUUGAAGAUCCAUUUAUUUAACAUGGCUUGCUGAUCAUCGAGCAAGUCAAUCAAAGUCCACACUUUGUUCUCAUAUAUGGAUCCCAUCUCAGAUUUCAUGGCCUCAAGCCAUUUUGCGGAAUAUGGGCUCACCAUCGCUUCUUCAUAGUUCGUAGGUUCGUCAUGGUCUAGUAACAUAACUUCCAGAACAGGGUUACCGUACCACUCUGGUGCGGAUCUUACUCUGGAAGACCUACGAGGUUCUGUAGUAACUUAAUCUGAAGUUUCAUGAUCAUCAUCAUUAACUUCCUCACUAAUUGGUGUAGUAGUCACAGGAACAGAUUUCCGUGAUGAACUACUUUCAAAUGAGGGAGCAGGUACAGUUACCUCAUCAAGUUCUACUUUCCUCCCACUCACUUCUUUCGAGAGAAACUCCUUCUCUAGAAAGGAUCCAUUCUUAGCAACGAAUGUUUUGCCUUUGGAUUUGUGAUAGAAGGAGUACCCAACAGUUUCCUUUGGGUAUUCUAUGAAGACGCACUUCUCCGAUUUUGGUUCGAGCUUAUCAGGUUGAAAACCUUUUUCAUAUAAUCAUCACAACUCCAAACUUUUAAGAAACGACAGCUUAGGUUUACUUCUAAACCAUAGUUCAUACGAUGUUGUCUCAACGGAUUUAGAUGGUGCCCUUUUAACGUGAAUGCAGCUGUCUCUAAUGCAUAACCCCAAAACGAUAAUGGUAAUCAGUAAGAGACAUCAUAGAUCGCACCAUAUCCAAUAAAGUGUGGUUACGACGUUCGGACACACCAUAACGUUAUGGUGUUCCAGGUGGCGUGAGCUGUGAAACUAUUCCACAUUGUUUUAAUUGAAGACCAAACUCGUAACUCAAAUAUUCGUCUCCGCGAUCAGAUCGCAGAAACUUUAUUUUCUUGUUACGAUGAUUUUUUCACUUCACUCUGAAAUUCUUUGAACCUUUCAACUAUUUCAGACUUAUGUUUCAUCAAGUAGAUAUACCCAUAUCUGCACAAAUCAUCUGUGAAGGUCAGAAAAUAACGAUACUUGCCACGAGCAUCAACACUCAUUGGAUCGCAUACAUCGGUAUGUAUUAUUUCCAAUAAGUCAGUAGCUCGUUCCAUUGUUCCGGAGAAUGGAGUUUUAGUCAUCUUGCCCAAUAGGCACGGUUCGCAAGCAUCAAAUGAUUCAUAACAAAGUGAUUCCGAAAAUCCAUCUUUAUGGAGUUUCUUCAUGCGCUUUACACCGAUAUGACCCAAACGGCAGUGCCACAAAUAAGUUGCACUAUCAUUAUUAACUUUGCAUCUUUUGGCUUCGACAUUAUGAAUAUGUGUAUCACUACGAUCGAGAUCCAACAAACUAUUUUCAUUGGGUGUAUGACCAUUGAAGGUUUUAUUCAUGUAAACAGAACAACAAUUAUUCUCUGACUUUAAAUGAAUAACCGUAUUGCUAUAAACAUGAUCAAAUCACAUUCAUGCUCAACGCAAACACCAAAUAACACUUAUUUAGGUUCAACACUAAUCCCGAAAGUAUAGGGAGUGUGCGAUGAUGAUCAUAUCAAUCUUGGAACUACUUCCAACACACAUCGUCACCUCACCCUCAACUAGUUUCUGUUUAUUCUGCAACUCUUGUUUUGAGUUACUACUCUUAGCAACUGAACCAGUAUCAAAUACCAAGGGGUUGCUAUAAACACUAGUAAAGUACACAUCAAUAACAUGUAUAUCAAAUAUACCAUUGUUCACUUUGCCAUCCUUCUUAUCCACCAAAUAUUCAAGGCAUUUCCGCUUCUAGUGACCAUUUCCUUUGCGGUAUAAUCACUCAGUUUCAGGUUUUGGUCCAGCUUUGGGCUUCUUCGCGGGAGUGACAACUUGCUUGCCAUUCUGCUUGAAGUUCCCUUUCUUUCCCUUUGCCCUUUUCUUGAAACUAGUGGUCUUGUCAAUCAUCAACACUUGAUGCUCUUUCUUGAUUUCUACCUUCAUCGAUUUCAGCAUCACGAAGAGCUCGGGAAUCGUUUUCGUCAUCCCUUGCAUUAUAGUUCAUCACAAAGUUCUACUAACUUGGUGGUGGUGACUAGAGAAUUCUGUCAAUCACUAUCUUAUCUGGAAGAUUAACUCCCACUUGAUUCAAGCGAUUGUAGUACCCAGACAAUCUGAGCACAUGCUCACUAGUUGAGCGAUUCUCUUCCAUCUUUUAGCUAUAGAAAUUGUUGGAGACUUCAUAUCUCUCAACUCGGGUAUUUUCUUGAAAUAUUAACUUCAACUCCUGGAACAUCUCACAUGAUCCAUGACGUUCAAAAACGUCUUUGAAGUCCUGAUUAUAAGCUGUUAAGCAUGGUGCACUAAACUAUCAAGUAGUCAUCAUAUUGAGCUAGCCAAACGUUCAUAAUGUCUGCAUCUGCUCCUGCAAUAGGUCCGUCACCUAGCGGUGCAUUAAGGACAUAAUUCUUCUUUGCAGCAACGAGGAUAAACCUCAGAUCACGGAUUCAAUCCGCAUCAUUGCUACUAAUAUCUUUCAACACAGUUUUCUCUAGGAACAUAUCAAAAUAAACAUAUGAAAGCAACAACGCGAGAUAUUGAUCUAUAACAUAAUUUGCAAAAUACUACCAGGACUAAGUUCAUGAUAAAUUUAAGUUCAAUUAAUCAUAUUACUUAAGAACUCCCACUUAGACAGACAUCCCUCUAAUCCUCUAAGUGAUUACGUGAUCCAUAUCAACUACACCAUGUUCGAUCAUCACGUGAGAUGGAGUAGUUUCAACGGUGAACAUCACUAUGUUGAUCAUAUCUACUAUAUGAUUCACGCUCGACCUUUUGGUCUCCGUGUUCCGAGGCCAUAUCUGUAUAUGCUAGGCUCGUCAAGUAUGACCUGAGUAUUCCGCGCGUGCAACUGUUUUGCACCCGUUGUAUUUGAACGUAGAGCCUAUCACACCCGAUCAUCACGUGGUGUCUCGGCACGAAGAACUUUCGUAACGGUGCAUACUCAGGGAGAACACUUCUUGAUUAUUAAGUGAGAGAUCAUCUUAAAAUGCUACCGUCAAUCAAAGCAAGAUAAGAUGCAUAAAGGAUAAACAUCACAUGCAAUCAAUAUAAGUGAUAUGAUAUGGGCAUCAUCAUCUUGUGCUUGUGAUCUCCAUCUCUGAAGCACCAUCGUGAUCACCAUCGUCAUCGGCACGACACCUUGAUCUCCAUCGUAGUAUCGUUGUCGUUUACGCCAUCUAUUGCUUCUACGACUAUCGCUACCGCUUAGUGAUAAAGUAAAGCAAUUACAGGGUGUUUGCAUUUCAUACAAUAAAGCGACAACCAUAUGGCUCCUGCCAGUUGCCGAUAACUUCGGUUACAAAACAUGAUCAUCUCAUACAAUAAAAUAUAGCAUCACGUCUUGUCCAUAUCACAUCACAACAUGCCCUGCAAAAACAAGUUAGACGUCCUCUACUUUGUUGUUGCAAAUUUUACGUGGCUGCUACGGGCUUAGCAAGAACCGUUCUUACCUACGCAUCAAAACCACAACGAUAGUUCAUCAAGUUAGUGCUGUUUUAACCUUCGCAAGGACCGGGCGUAGCCACACUCGAUUCAGCUAAAGUGAGAGAGACAGACACCCGCCAGCCACCUUUAAGCACAAGUGCUCGUAACGGUGAAACCAGUCUCGCGUAAGCGUACGCGUAAUGUCGGUCCGGGCUGCUUCAUCUCACAAUACCGCCGAACCAAAGUAUGACAUGCUGGUAAGCAGUAUGACUUGUAUCGCCCACAACUCACUUGUGUUCUACUCGUGCAUAUAACAUCAACGCAUAAAACCUGGCUCGGAUGCCACUGUUGGGAACGUAGUAAUUUCAAAAAAAUUCCUACGCACACGCAACAUCAUGGUGAUGGCAUAGCAACGAGAGGGGAGAGUAUUGUCUACGUACCCUCGUAGACCGUUAAGCGGAAGCGUUAUGACAACGCGGUUGAUGUAGUCGUACGUCUUCACGAAUCGACCGAUCCAAGCACCGAACGUACGACACCUCCGUGUUCAGCACACGUUCAGCUCGAUGACGUUCCUCGGGCUCCAAUCUAGCUAAGCGUCGGGGAUGAGUUCCGUCAGCACGGCGGUGUGGUGACGAUGAUGAUGUUCUACCAGCGCAGGGCUUCGCCUAAACUCCGCAACGAUAUGACCGAGGUGGAAUAUGGUGGAGGGGGGCACCGCACAUGGCUAAGGAACGAUCCGUAGAUCAACUUGUGUCUCUAUGGGGUGCCCCCCUCCCCCGUAUAUAAAGGGGGAGAGGAGGAGGAGGCCGGCCUAAGGGGACGCGCGCCCUAGGAGGGGGAAACCUACUCCAAGUAGGUUUGCCCCCUCCCUUUCCUAUUCCAAGAAGGAGGGGGAAGGAAGGAGUGGGAGAGGGGGAAGGCAAGGGGGGUGCCCCCCCCUUCCUGGUCCUAUUCGGACUCAAGGGGAGGGGGCGCGCCUCUUGCCCUGGCCGGCCCCUCUCUCUCUCUCCACUAGGGCCCAUCAAGGCCCAUUACUUCCCGGGGGGUUCUGGUAACCCUCCGGUACUCUGAUUUUCUCCGAAAACACCCGGAACACUUCCGGUGUCCGAAUAUAGUCAUCCAAUAUAUCAAUCUUUAUGUCUCGACCAUUUCAAGACUCCUCGUCAUGUCCGUGAUCACAUCCGGGACUCCGAACAACCUUCGGUACAUCAAAACUUAUAAACUCAUAAUAAAACUGUCAUCGUAACGUUAAGCGUGCGGACCCUACAGGUUCGAGAACUAUGUAGACAUGACCUAGAACUAUUCUCGGUCAAUAACCAAUAGCGGAACCUGGAUGUUCAUAUUGGUUCCCACAUAUUCUACGAAGAUCUUUAUCGGUCAAACCGCAUAACAACAUACGUUGUUCCCUUUGUCAUCGGUAUGUUACUUGCCCGAGAUUCGAUCGUCGGUAUCCAAUACCUAGUUCAAUCUCCUUACCGGCAAGUCUCUUUACUCGUUCCGUAAUACAUCAUCUCAUAACUAACUCAUUAGUUACAAUGCUUGCAAGGCUUAGGUGAUGAUUAUUACCGAGAGGGCCCAGAGAUACCUCUCCGACAAUCGGAGUGACAAAACCUAAUCUUGAAUUACGCCAACCCAACAUGUACCUUCGGAGACAUUUGUAGAGCACCUUUAUAAUCACCCAGUUACGUUGUGACGUUUGGUAGCACACAAAAUGUUCCUCCGGUAAACGGGAGUUGCAUAAUCUCAUAGUCAUAGGAACAUGUAUAAGUCAUGAAGAAAGCAAUAGCAACAUACUAAACGAUCAAGUGCUACGCUAACGGAUUGGGUCAAGUCAAUCACAUCAUUAUCCUAAUGAUGUGAUCCCAUUAAUCAAAUGACAACACAUGUCUAUGGUUAGGAAACAUAACCAUCUUUGAUCAAUGAGCUAGUUCAAGUAGAGGCCUACUAGUGACACUAUGUUUGUCUAUGUAUUCACACAUGUAUCAUGUUUCCGAUUAAUACAAUUUUAGCAUGAAUAAUAAACAUUUAUCAUGAUAUGAGGAAAUAAAUAAUAACUUUAUUAUUGCCUCUAGGGCAUAUUUCCUUCAGAGUUACCAAAGGAGUUAGCCGAGGAUCUUCGUGAGCUAUGUUUGGAGAUAGUUCCGAGAGGUUAUGUAGCAGCAUUGGAGAUUCAGUCUACUUUGAUGGAUAAGAUCAGGGAAGCUCAGAAGACUGACAAGGGGAUUGCCUCUAUAAAGGAGAAGAUGAGCAAAGGAAAAGAUAAAGGAUUUCGUGAGGAUGAGCACGAUACCUUAUGGUUUGAAGACCAUGUUUACAUGCCUAAUGACCUGGAGAUCAGGAAGUUGAUUUUGCAAGAGGCCCAUGAUUCACCAUAUUUGAUUCACCUGGGAAAUACGAAGAUGUAUUUGGAUUUGAAGGAUACUUUCCGGUGGACCGGAAUGAAGAAGGAUAUUGCGGAUUAUGCAGCAGUUUGUGAUGUAUGUCAGAGAGUAAAGGCAGAGCAUCAGAAGCCAGCAGGAUUGUUACAGCCAUUGCCAAUACCCGAAUGGAAGUGGGAUAAGCUAGGCAUGAAUUUUAUUACGGGAUUGCCCAGGACUCGUUCAGGCUAUGACUCGAUUUGGGUUGUAGUCGAUCGUUUGACGAAGGUAGCUAUUUCAUCCCAGUAAAGACUACUUACACCAGUGCUAAGUUGGCUAAGAUAUACAUGACCAUGAUCUUAUGUCUGCAUGGAGUUUCGAGGAGCAUUGUAUCAGAUAGAGGAACCUAGUUUACCUCAAAGUUCUGGAAUCAGUUGCACGAAACUUUGGGUACCAGGCUAGUGUUCAGUACAGCUUUUCACCCGUAGACAGAUGGACAGACCGAGAGAGUCAAUUAGAUUUUGGAGGAUAUGCUGAGAGCUUGUGCGCUAGAUUAUGGAUCUAGUUGGGACGAAAAUUUGACAUACGCAGAGUUCUCUUACAACAACAGUUAUUAAUCCAGUUUGAAGAUGGCCCCUUUCGAAGCCUUGUACGGAAGGAGGUGCAGGACCCCAUUAUCGUGGAAUGAAGUUGGAGACCGCCAGUUGUUUGGACUAGAUUUGAUUAAGGAGUCUGAACAGAAGGUGAUGUUGAUUCACGAUAGGCUCAAGGUAGCCCAGUCUAGGAAGAAGAGCUAUGCAGAUUAUAAACGCAAGGAGACAAUUUACGAAGUCGUAGACCGAGUUUAUCUUCGAGUAUCUCCACUUCGAGGAGUUAAGCGCUUUGGAGUUAAGGGAAAGUUAGCGCCAUGUUUUGUAGGACCAUACAAAGUUUUGGAGCGUAUGGGAGAAGUUGCCUAUAAGUUGGAACUGCCCGAAGGAUUGUCAGGAGUUCACAAUGUGUUCCACGUUUCCCAGUUGACGAAGUGCCACGCGGAGAUGGCUAAUAUACCGCUAAGAGAUACAGUGCAACUGGAAGCGAUUCAAUUGGACAGUGAUUUGACCUACGAGGAGAAACCAGUCAAGAUUCUUGAGUAUGCUAGCCGAGUCACCCGCAACAAGGUUAUCAAGUUUUGCAAAGUUCAGUGGAGCCACCAUACCGAGGAUGAAGCCACCUGGGAGCGAGAGGAAGAUCUGCUGAAGGACCACCCUCACCUAUUUUCUAGCCAACCCGAAUCUUGAGGGCGAGAUUCAUCUUAAGGGGGGUAGGUUUGUAACAUCCAAAUUUUCAAUUUGGAAUGUUAUACACUAGAUCAUCAUUGCAUAUCAUACUUUAUUGCUUUUGGUUUGAUCCUAGAAAUUCUAAGCUACUUAAGGACCCUCGGAGAGAGUUGGGGAUUUCGUUAUUUUCAUAUUUGAGUUUUCUCGAAUUUUGAUUGAUUUUAUUUAUUUUAUCUUCAAUUAUUUCAAUUAUAAAAAUAUGAGAGAGGGAAUAAAAUGACUUUCCAAAAAAAAAAGAAAUAUUGAGGAUUUAAUUAAAAAAAUCAAAUAAGUUUUAUUUUGGAGUUUUUGCUAUUUUAUUUGAAUUUAGGAAAAAUUGCACGUUUUUAAAACUGCAUUUUUGGGGCCAAGAAAAUGUUCAUCUUGUUCUAAAUAUUUUAUUUAGACGGUGAAAAUUUGUUUUGGCAUUUUUAGAUUUUUAUUUAUUUUUCUUGGAUUUUUCUUAGUUCGGCGAAAUUAUUUUAACAAAAAAUCUCGCGCCCAACUGGGCCGAAGGCCCAGCCAGGCCAGGCUGGCCCGCGCCGCCGCCGCCUUCCCCGCACCGCGCUGCCGCCGGACAGGAGUCCGAGCCGGACUCCUCUGCCCCGCCGCCUUGCCCCCUCCCCCAAGAAGCCCCCCCUCUUUAAAUACCCUGCCGCCGCCACCCCACCCCGCCACCCAUCGCCCCGCAGCAGCAGCAGCCGCAGCCGCCGCCGCAGCCCCGCCACCCGCGCCAUCCCGCCGUCCCACCGGAGCAUUGCCGGAGCCGAGCCGGAGGUAACCGCCGCCGCCGCCGUGGUUCGUUUUUUUUUAAAACCCGAUCCGGGUUUUUUAGAAACCCUAGACUCAUUUUUUUAUAAAUCAGUUUUUACGGUUUAUUUGUUUAGCGAGCGUUCGCCCGUUCGUUCGUUUUAACGAACGAAUUCGCUGUUUAGUUUCAGUUAGCGAACGUUCGUUCGUUAAUCUGUUCGUCAGUCUUUCUUUUUCUUGGAUUUUCCGCGGUUAUUUCUGAUCAUGAUUUCUGAUCCGAUUUUCGUUUUAGUAUAACUUUUCGCUUGUUUAUCGGAAUUAGGCGAUUCAAGCGCAUAGAGUUUCGUCUCGAAACCCUCUUUCUGUUUCAAACAAGGUUUUGCUUCUGUAAAAUUUGACCUAGGUCCAGAUUAGUAAACGAAGCUUGUUUCUUUCGCCGUUUGACUUUCGUUGCUUCGUUUGAUUUGAUUCUUUUUGCAAAUCGGAGUUCUUAAGUUGAACUUUCUGGUUAGAUCUCUUAUUUGAGUUUUACCUGUGCAUUAGAUGAGUACUUAUUGUAUGCUUGCUUGUUUGCGAUGGAGUACCCGAAGUGCACCGCUUGCUACUUUGAAUCUCUAGGUCUCGCGGAUCAUCAGCAAGGCAAGUAACAGUUUGAUCAUACCUCUUUACUACCCAGUUUUAUUGCAUUAGAUCAAUCCUCAAACAUUGCAUGAUUAGGAUCUAAUUAAAUUUUGGGUUUUGGGAAGUAGAUGAGGUAGUACCUAUUACCUGUUUUAUUAUCAAACCCUUGGGAGUUACUCCUAUGUUUGCUUAUUAUGCCAUGCUAUGCUAGUAGACGUGGAUUGGGUGGGUGUAUCCAUGACAGAUGUGAGAUUGUUAAUUAAUGGUUUAUUUAAGGUGGAAACUUAAACACCCAUCUGGGUGGAUUGAGGCACCUGGGUAUUCCAGCGAUUGCCUAUUUUUAUUUAUGGACCGCCACCCAGGCUCAAAGGGAUCAUGAGAUUAUUCAUGCUAGAAACUUCUGUGUGCAGCCACAAGCUACUAUGGGCUCUAGCAUAGUUGACUAAGUCAGGAGAACUCUUACAUUGGUAGACUAGCAGAUGUAGGGGAUGUAGGUUGGUACUAUCUACCCCAUCGUAAGGUGCUAGUGCUUCUGAAAGACUGUGUCUCGGUCAUCCGUUUCUCAAACAUCAUGAAGUGGGAGAAAUUCAACGGAGGAGAUCGAGUCUUGUGGGGAAAAGUGUGCAAACCUCUGCAGAGUGCAUAAACUAAUCAUGGUUAGCCGUUUCCCCGGUUAUGGACAUCUUGAGUAUCUAGUACUUGGAUUAUCACGUGAAUCUCAUCAUGUUACUUUAAUUAAUAUUGUUGGGUUUUAAUGAUGAUGCUUAAUUGGUAUUGAGAAUGCUUUCAACCAUUCUCAAUGUUUAACAACCACCAUGAUAGUAAAAUAAAAUUUAUUCCUUUGCAGUUGGGAAAAAUUGGCUUUAUGCAAAACUGUAACCAUAGAGCUUUCCACCAGCCAUAUAUGCAUGUAGUAUAGCUUUAUUCUUUCAUUACUCUCUAUGUGUUACAUUGCCAGCAUAUUCCAUGUGCUGACCAAAUUUCGGGCUGCAACGUUCAUGUUGCCGACUUUUCAGACGACGAGUAAGGUGCCUAUUAGGUCGUGGUUCUAUACUUAGUGAUGUCGUUGGAGUUGAUGGACUCACUUAUCUUCCAAGCCUUCCGUUAUUAUCGUUAUUAGAUGGCCUUAAGCCAUAUUUAUUGUAAUAAGUUCUCUUUUUGAGACAUUCGAUGUAAUAAGUGUGUGAUUGCUACUCUGUUAUAAAUCCUUCAAGUACUGUGCGGGUCAGCAUUACUAAUCCAGGGAUGACACUAAAGCACAGAGAUCAGACUGUUUGAGUCUGGCCACUACACCCUGCGCCUGAGGUGACACUAGUCCAGGUGGCGUGUUCGGGUUACCAAAGUCUGCCUCACCAUGUGCAAUGUGCAGUCACUGUCACCGUCGCUGUAUAGCAUUCCUCGCCUUGUCUCCCUCUCCCCUAGCACCACUCUAUCUCCGUCUUUGUCUCAUCGGAGAUCACGAGGUCAGUCUUCAUCAUCUCACUAUGCCCCCGCGUACCCUCGCCUCACUCGCCUCCCCCAAUACCACUAUUCCCUCGCUAGGCGCUCUAGCACCGAGGGCCUUCUCCCCCAUAAAUCAAGCCCCCAAAACCCCACCUUCCAAACUCCACCAUGGCUGAACGCGAACCGUGCAGCAUCCAUAUGAGCCGCGAUUGGAGCAAUCUCCCUAGUGACAUCCUCAACCUCUGUUGUUCGUGUAUGGAUAUGUUGAGCGCCCUGUGGCUGGUUGCAUGCUUGAGGGACAUGAACACAGCCAUCAUCGAAGCGAGGCCUAAGCUUUUCAAGACACCCUACUUGCUGCUAUCUGGUCUUGCAAGAUUUGCUCACCAUGAUAAGGAGGCGUACAUGAUGCCCCUCGACUUCAAUCCGACCUCCAUUAGCCAAAACUUCUUUGCAGGUAUUAGUGGGUCGCCAUACAUCAUUUCCCUCGACUUUGAUCCAAUCACCAUGGCCCAAAACUUCUUGGCCGGUAUGUACUGGUCGGCAUGAGCUCCCAUUGGAUGGCUGCCGUCAGACAAGACCAGAAAAAGUUGGUACUCGUGAAUUUCCACACCUCCCAUGAGAUUAUCCUUCCGACAUUGGAUUAUAUAGAGCUUUACCGUCGCGGUCCAAGUCAUCUAGAUUACGAAGUCAGUUGGACGCACCUUGUUUUGCAAAAGAUUGUAAGCUACCAAGUGCCCACUGCUACGUCUUGAGCUUGCGUUGGUUUUCCUUGAAGAGGAAAGGGUGAUGCAGCGAAAGUAGCGUAAGUAUUUCCCUCAGUUUUUGAGAACCAAGGUAUCAAUCCAGUAGGAGGCUCCUCAGAAGUCCCACGCACCUACACAAUAAAACAAGAACCUCGCAACCAACGCAAUAAAGGUGUUGUCAAUCCCUUCACGGCCACUUGCGAAAGUGAGAUCUUAUAAAGAUAAUAUGAUAAGAUAAAUAUUUUUGGUAUUUUUCUGAUAUAUAUUGGAAAGUAAAAGAUGCAAAUAAAAGUAGAUGGUGAAGUUAUAUGAUAAAAGAUAGACUCGGGGGCCAUAGGUUUCACUAGUUUUUUCUCUCAAGAUAGCAUAAGUAUUACGGUGGGUGAACAAAUUACUGUGAAGCAAUGGAUAGAAAAGCGCAUAGUUAUGAGAUUAUCUAGGCAUGAUCAUAUAUAUAGGCAUCACGUCCGUGACAAGUAAAUCGACUCCUGCCUACAUCUACUACUAUUAUUCUACACAUCGACAGCUAUCCAGCAUGCAUCUUGAGUAUUAAGUUCAUAAGAACAAAGUAACGCAUUAGGCAAGAUGACAUGAUGUAGAGGGAUAAACACAAGCAAUAUGAUAUAAACCCCAUCUUUUUAUCCUCGAUGGCAACAAUACAAUACGUGCCUUGCUGCCCCUGCUGUCAUUGGGAAAGGACACCGCAAGAUUGAACCCAAAGCUAAGCACUUCUCCCAUUGCAAGAAAGAUCAAUCUAGUAGGCCAAACCAAACUGAUAAUUCAAAGAGACUUGCAAAGAUAACCAAUCAUACAUAAAAGAAUUCAGAGGAGAUUCAAAUAUUUCUCAUAUAUAAACUUGAUCAUAAAUCCACUAUUCAUUGGAUCUCGACAAAAACACCGCAAAAAGAGUUACAUCAAAUAAUCUCCAAGAAGAUCGAGGAGAACUUUGUAUUGAGAUUCAAAGAGAGAGAAGAAGCCAUCUAGCUAAUAAAUAUGGACCCGAAGGUCUGUGGUAAACUACUCACAACUCAUCGGAGAGGCCUUGGAGAUGAUGUAGAGGCCCUCCAUGGUUGAUUCCCCCUCCGGCGGAGCAUUGGCGAAGGCUCCAAGAUGGGAUCUUGCGGAUAUAGAAGGUUGCAGUGGUGGAAAUAGUUUUUCGUGGUGCUCCUGGAUGUUUUCGAGGUACGUGGGUAUAUAUAGGAGGAAGAAUUAGGUCGGUGGACGCUCGGGGGGCCCACGAGGGUGGGGGGCAUGCCCACCCCUAGGGGGCGCACCGAGCACCGUCGUGGCCGCCUCCUCUGUUGCUUGACGUCCACGCCAAGUCCCCUGGAUUGUGUUUGUUCCAAAAAGAUCUCUCCCGAAGGUUUCAUUCCGUUUGGACUCCGUUUGAUAUUCCUUUCCUUCGAAACACUGAAAUAGGCAAAAAAAACAGCAACUUGGGCUGGGCCUCUGGUUAGUAGGUUAGUCCCAAAAAUGAUAUAAAAGUGUAAAGUAAAGCCCAUAAACAUCUAAAACGGGUAAUAUAAUAGCAUGGAACAAUCAAAAAUUAUAGAUACGUUGGAGACGUAUCAAGCAUCCCCAAGCUUAAUUCCUGCUCGUCCUCGAGUAGGUAAAUGAUAGAAAUAGAAUUUUUGAUGUGGAAUGCUACCUAGCAUAAUUCUCAAUGUAAUUUUCUUUAUUGUGGCAUGAAUGUUCAGAUCCAAAUGAGUCAAACUAAAAGUUCAUAUUGACAUAAGAAAUAGUAAUACUUCAAGCAUACUAAUCAAAGCAAUCAUGUCUUCUCAAAAUAACAUUGCUAAAGAAAGUUCAUCCCUACAAAAUUAUGUAGUUUGGUCAUGCUCCAUUUUUGUCACACAAGAAUGCUCUCAUCUUGCACACCCCCGAUGACAAGCCAAUCAAUUGUUUCAUACUUUAGUAAUCUCAAACUUUUUAAACUUUCAUGCAAUUCAUGAGCGUGAUCCAUGGAUAUAACACUAUGGGUGGAAUAGAAUAUGAUGAUGGAGGUUGUGUGGAGAAGACAAAAAUGGAAGAAAGUCUCAUGUUAAUGAGGCUAAUCAACGGGCUGUGGAGAUGCCCAUCAAUUGAUGUCAACAUGAGGAGUAGGGAUUGCCAUGCAACGGAUGCACUAGAGCUAUAAAUGUAUGAAAGCUCAACAAAAGAAACUAAGUGGGUGUGCAUCCAACUUGCUUGCUCACGAAGACCUAGGGCAUUUUGAGGAAGCCCAUCGUUGGAAUAUACAAGCCAAGUUCUAUAAUGAAAAAUUCCCACAAGUAUAUGAAAGUGGCAACAAAUGAGACUCUCUAUAUGAAGAACAUGGUGCUACUUUGAAGCACAAGUGUGGAAAAGGAUAGUAACAUUCCCCCCUUUUUUAUUUUCUUUUUCUUCUCUUUUUUGGGCCUUUCUUUUUUUUUUGGCCUUUCUUCUUUUUUUUCUUUGGCCUUUCUUUUUUUUGGACUUUCUUUUUUUUAUUUGGGGAUAAUGCUCUAAUAAUGAUGAUCAUCACAAUUCUAUUUAUUUACAACUCAUGAAUUACAACUCAAAACUAGAACAAGAUAUGACUCUAUAUGAAUGCCUCCAGCGCUGUAUUGGGAUGGACAAUGAAUCAAGAGUGACAUGUAUAAAAAAUUAUGCAUGGUGGCUUUUCCACAAAUACGAUGUCAACUACAUGAUCAUGGAAGGCAAUGUGACAAUGGUGAUGUGUGUCAUGAUAAACGGAACAGUGGAAAGUUGCAUGGCAAUGUAUCUUGGAAUGGCUAUGGAAAUGCCAUAAUAGGUAGGUAUGGUGGCUGUUCGAGGAAGAUAUAAGGAGGUUUAUGUGUGAUAGAGUGUAUCGUAUCACGGGGUUUGGAUGCACCGGCGAAGUUUGCACCAACUCUCAAGGUGAGAAAGGGCAAUGCACGGUACCGAAGAGGCUAGCAAUGAUGGAAAGAUAAGAGUGUGUAUAAUCCACGGACUCAACAUUAGUCAUAAAGAACUUAUAUACUUAUUGCAAAAAUCUACAAGUCAUCAAAAACGAAGCAAUACGCGCAUGCACCUAGGGGGAUAGAUUGGUAGGAAAAGACCAUCGCUCGUCCCCGACCGCCACUCAUAAGGAUGACAAUCUAAGAACACCUCAUAUUUCAAAUUUGUUACACAACGGUUACCAUACGUGCAUGCUACAGGACGUGCUAACUUCAACACAAGCAUUCUGUAAAUUCACAAUUACCCAACUAGCAUGACUCUAAUAUCACCACCUCCAUAUCUCAAAACAAUUAUCAAGUAUCAAAUUGAUCAUAGCAUCCAAUUCACUUCCUACGAUAGUUUUUAUUAUACCCAACAUGGAUGCUCAUCCUUCUAGGCCCAAUUUUAUAACCAUAGCAAAUACCAUGCUGUUCUAAAAAAAGACUCUAAAAAUAAUAUAAGUGAAGCAUGAGAGAUUAACAAUUUCUACAAAAUCAAGCCACCGCCGUGCUCUAAAAGUUAUAAGUGAAGCACUAGAGCAAAACUAUCUAGCUCAAAAGAUAUAAGUGAAGCACAUAGAGUAUUCUAAUAAAUUCCAAUCAAGUGGGUUUCUCCCAAAAGGUGUGUACAGGAAGGAUUAUUGUGGUAAACUAAAGGCAAAGACUAAUAUCAUACAAGACGCUCCAAGAAAAACACAUAUCAUGUGGCGAAUAAAAAUAUAGCUCCAAGUAAAGUUACCAAUAGACGAAGACGAAAGAGGGGAUGCCUUCCGGGGCAUCCCCAAGCUUUGGCUUUUGGUUAUCCUUGAAUAUCUUGGGGUGCCAUGGGCAUCCCCAAGACUAGGCUCUUGCCACUCAUUAUUCCAUAGUCCAUCAAAUCUUUACCAAAAACUUGAAAACUUCACAACACAAAACUCAACAGGAAAUCUCAUAAGCUCCGUUAGUGCAAGAAAGAAAAACCACCACAUAAGUUACUGUAAUAAACUCAUUAUUUAUUUAUAUUGGUGUUAAACCUACUGUAUUCCAACUUCUCUAUGGUUCAUACCUACCAAUACUAGCCAUAGAUGCAUCAAAAUAAGCAAACAACACACGAAAAACAGAAUCUGUCAAAAACAGAACAGUCUGUAGCAAUCUGUAACUCUCGAAUAGUUCUGGAACUAUAAAAAUCCUACCAAAAUAGGAAGUCCUGGGAAAUUUUUCUAUUGAUCUACAGCAAAAAAAUCAACGCAGAAGCACGUUUCUGUCAAUUACAAAAAUUAUUUUCGUGCACGCAAAAGUUUAUGUUUUUCAGCAGACUCAAAUUAACUAUCACCGUAGGUUAUCCUAUAGGUUCUACUUGCCACAAACACUAAUUAAAACAUAAAACCACAUCUAAUCAGAAGCUAGAUGAAAUAUUUAUUACUAAACAGAAGCAAAAAUCAAAAACUAAAAUAAAAUUGGGUUGCCUCCCAACUAGCGCUAUCGUUUAACGCCCCUAGCUAGGCAUAAAAGCGAGGAUAGAUCUAAGUAGUGCCAUAAUAAUAAGAUAGAUCACGAAAACUCAUCUCAUAUUCUCUAUGUUCAGCUGCAAGUUCUUCGAGGCAAGCAAAAGUAAUCAAAAGGGCUAAGUUUAAUUGGACAAAAGUCCCCAAGAUCAAUCUCAGGAGGUAUGGGUUCCUCCUUUGGCCCUUCAUAUUGCAAAAGCAAUUCAUCAUUAUAAACAUUCUUUUGACAGAACCUCUUGAGUCUACACUCAAGUGAGUAUCCUAGCUCAUUAUUUCGAAUAGCAAAAUCAUUAUUGAGUUCAGAAAUUUUAUCAACUAGAACCGUGGUAGGAACUUUUUUUCUAAGGUUUUCAUUAAAAGCAAUAUAGUCCAAAGAUUGGAAACGCAUAAUUUCCUCUUGAUCGAAGAGGAUCGCCUCUAUGGGAGGACGACCGGCGUCCACCCUAUAGUGCGCAAAAAUUUCUUUGGCUUCUUUUAUUAUAAAUCUAAACUCAUGUGCCAAAAAGAAAGUAGCUGCGUGCUUAACAGAAGAAUGCUCAAUAUUAGAAAAUUCUAGGAAAAUUCUUUGUAUUCAAGGAUGCAUGUGCAUAAACUGUCUUUCAAGUUCAACUAUAAGCAUGGCGAUAGCAUCCGCAAGACUACUAGUUCUAUGCAUGAUAGAACUACCCAUAGAAGGUAAAGCACCGACACAAGUAAAGAAAUCUUGAAUAACCCCUUUUCCAAUAAUAUUACCACUAUCGAUUCGAAACUUUUUAGUAUGCAAGAUAGGGGGUUCUUUAGCAGGAGCAUCAGAAUUUUCCAUGUUAUCAUUAUUGUCCAUAUCAACGAUAAUCUCCCCAAUUUCAAACAUAACGGUAGAAGAAGCGAGGAGAAAGAGAAGGAGGGAGGAAAACGGAAAGAGAGGGCGAAUAAAACGGCAAGCACUACAAAAAAAGGACACAUCCGUGACAUUUUGGGCCGAACAAUUUUUUUUUCUGUCAUACAUAUGACACUUCUAUGACGAUAAUUGUGACAAAACCCGGUAUCAUCAUAGAUGUGGUGGGCUCCUACUUCUAUGACAAAAAAUCAUGACAAAAAAUGGGCUUUUCUUCCUGGGCGGGCCGGAGACGUAGCUGCAUGACAUUCUUUGGGCCGUCCAUGGUGGAAAAAACCGUGGUAGAAGCGAGGGGGAGGAAAAUUUUGGGGAGGUGCCGGUUACGGUGGGAGGUCGGGGGCCGAGUGAUGCGCGUUUGUCUCAUACACGUACGCGUGUGUGUGCGAGGCAUUGGCUCUAACUGAACCCGAGCGAGGCGUUGGGCUCUAACUGAACCCGAGCGAUUACACUGCAGGCUACGCGUUACUGAACCCGAGCGAUCGAUCGAUGGCUGUUAACUGAACCCGAUCGAGCGAUUCCCGAUGAACAUGACGCAUUCCGUUGCCUCCCCAUGAACACGACGCAUUCCGUUGCCUCCCCAUGAACAUGACGACGACGCUAUUUCUCCGUUCCGACCCAGCCAUGUACACGAGCCCUAGCCGUACGUAUGCGCGAGUAGGCGUUCGAGACCCUGCCUGUAUGUACACAUACGUGGUUGUAUUUUCUUUCUUCUAGCCUGGCCGUUGUACGUACGUGUACAUGCUACGUGCGCGCCUCUACUACGACACGUGCGCGCCUCUACAUCGACCAGUAUGUACGUACACGUUCACGACCAGAAUGACAAUGCUACGUACGCUUUGAUCAGGUGGGUCCCGACUGUCAGGCACUUCCUUGUGUGCGAAGAUGUAGCUGGUGGGUCCCAGCAGUCAGGGGGGCGAAUUGUUUUUUUCCCCGGACGCACUUUCUUGCGUGCGAAGACAUAGCUGGUGGGUCCCAGCAGUCAGGGGGGAACUUUUUUCGCGAAAUACGGUUGCCCUUCCGGUGGGUCCCUGCUGUCAGGUGGAGGAAUAAUUAUUUUGCGCGUAAUAAGGAGGCACUUCCUUGCUGCGGCCAUGGACCCAGCUGUCAGCCUCUCCAUGUACAGUCCACGGCCGAUGGAAGCCGUUCCUUGACCAUGUUGACCACUCCGCUGUGAGAGCACCAGGGCGGUGGACGACGGCGAGGCCUAGGAAGAGGACGACGCGGAAGACACGGCAGUGGAUGCCCACGCGUAGAGGAGUACGAGGGUUCACUGGUUCGCUGCGGUGUGAGGUUGCCGUCGCCGCAGAAUAACAGGGGGUGUGGGUGAGUAGAGGGAUGGCCUGGCCAGCGGUGAGAGUAGUUGGGGGCGGUGAGGCCUCCGCCGCAUCACAGUCGGCCACGGGAGGCAGGAGCACGAGGCACGACCGGCGCUGGUUUGGGCGGCUGGAGCAAGAAGACCAGAGGUUGAAGAAGUACUACAACCGUUGGAUGGACAUCGUACGGUCACUGAAGCUAGAAUCGUGCAUAUUAACUAAGUUGACAAAGCCCUCCGUCCCCGUCAACUUAGUAGGCCCACAAGUCAUCCUGCCACUAUACUGGGUCCCAACUAACAGGGGGAGUAUUCAUUUUUUUGUGCGUAAUAAGGAGGCACUUCCUUGCGUGCGAAGAUAUAGCUGGUGGGUCCGAGCUGUCAGCGACGGUAACGUUUUUUUCACGAAAUACAGAGGCCCUUUCGGUGGGUCCCCGAUGUUAGGUGGAGGAAUCAUUAUUUUGCGCGUAAUAAGGAGGCAUUUCCUUGCGUGUGGCCGUGGACCCAGCUGUCAGCCUCUCCAUGUAUAGUCCACUUCAGAUGCAUGUCGGUUGUUGACCACGUUGACCAGGCCGUGCCGAGAGCACCAGGGCGGUGGACGACGGUGAGGCCUAGGAAGGGAACGAUAUGGACGCAGGGAAGACUCGGCAGUUGUUUCCCACGCGGAGGGGAGUAUGACCGUACGAGGGUUUACUGGUUCAUCUGCCCUCGCCGGAGAAUAAUACCAGGUGUGGGUGAGUAGAGGGAUGGCUAGGCCAGCGAUGGGAGUACGGUGGGGCGGUGAGGCCUACGCGGCAGCACAGCCGGCCGCGGGGAGGAGGGAGCAGGCAGUCCCGCCGGUGCUUGUUUGAGCGGCUAGAGCAGGAAGAGCAGAGAUUGAAGAAGCACAACGACCAUUGGAUGGAUAUCGUACGGUCACUGGAGAUAUAAUCGUUUAUAUUGACUAAGUUUACAAAGCACUCCGUCCCCGUCAACUUAGUAGGCCCACAAGUCAGCCUCCCACCAUGGUGGGUCUCAGCUAGCAGGGGGAGUAUUCAUUUUUCUGUGCGUAAUAAGAAGGCACUUUCGGUGGAUCCGAGCUGAUAGCGGGGGGAACGUUUUUUCAUGAAAUACGAUGGUCUGUCCGGUGGGUCCUAGCAGUCAGGGGCAAACGUUUUUUUCGCAAAAUAUGGUGGCCCGUCCGAUGGGUCCCAGCAGUCAGGGGAAACGUUUUUUCUGCGAAAUACUGGUGGCUCGUUCGGUGGGUCCUUGCUAUCAGGUGGAGGAAUAAUUAUUUUACAUGUAGUAAGGAGACACUUCCUUGCAGCUGUUGUGGACCCAGCUAUCAGCCUCUCCACGUACAGUACUCUUCCGAUGGAAGUCGGUCGUUGACCACAUUGACCACGCCGCGCCGAGAGCAUCGCGGCGGUGGACGACGGCGAGGCCUAGGAAGGGGACAACGUGGAGCCGUGGAAGACGCGGCAGUGGAUGCCCACGUGGAGAGGAUUACGAGGGUUCACUAGUUCGGUUGCGGUGUGAGGUUGCCGUCGCCGCAGAAUAACAGGGGGUGUGGGUGAGUAGAGGGAUGGCCUGGCCAGCGGUGGGAGUAGUAGGGGGCGGUGAGGCCUCCGCCGCAUCACAGUCGGCCACGGGAGGCAGGAGCACGAGGCACGACCGGCGCUGGUUUGGGCGGCUGGAGCAAGAAGACCAGAGGUAGAAGAAGUACUACGACCGUUGGAUGGACAUCGUACGGUCACUGAAGCUAGAAUCGUGCAUAUUGACUAAGUUGACAAAGCCCUCCGUCCCCGUCAACUUAGUAGGCCCACAAGUCAUCCUGCCACUAUACUGGGUCCCAACUAACAGGGGGAGUAUUCAUUUUUUUGUGCGUAAUAAGGAGGCACUUCCUUGCGUGCGAAGAUAUAGCUGGUGGGUCCGAGCUGUCAGCGACGGUAACGUUUUUUUCACGAAAUACAGAGGCCCUUUCGGUGGGUCCCCGAUGUUAGGUGGAGGAAUCAUUAUUUUGCGCGUAAUAAGGAGGCAUUUCCUUGCGUGUGGCCGUGGACCCAGCUGUCAGCCUCUCCAUGUACAGUCCACUUCAGAUGCAUGUCGGUUGUUGACCACGUUGACCAGGCCGUGCCGAGAGCACCAGGGCGGUGGACGACGGCGAGGCCUAGGAAGGGAACGAUAUGGACGCAGGGAAGACUCGGCAGUUGUUUCCCACGCGGAGGGGAGUAUGACCGUACGAGGGUUUACUGGUUCAUCUGCCCUCGCCGGAGAAUAAUACCAGGUGUGGGUGAGUAGAGGGAUGGCUAGGCCAGCGAUGGGAGUACGGUGGGGCGGUGAGGCCUACGCGGCAGCACAGCCGGCCGCGGGGAGGAGGGAGCAGGCAGUCCCGUCGGUGCUUGUUUGAGCGGCUAGAGCAGGAAGAGCAGAGAUUGAAGAAGCACAAUGACCAUUGGAUGGAUAUCGUACGGUCACUGGAGAUAGAAUCGUUUAUAUUGACUAAGUUUACAAAGCCCUCCGUCCCCGUCAACUUAGUAGGCCCACAAGUCAGCCUCCCACCAUGGUGGGUCUCAGCUAGCAGGGGGAGUAUUCAUUUUUCUGUGCGUAAUAAGAAGGCACUUCCGGUGGAUCCGAGCUGAUAGCGGGGGGAACGUUUUUUCGCGAAAUACGGUGGUCUGUCCGGUGGGUCCUAGCAGUCAGGGGCAAACGUUUUUUUCGCAAAAUACGGUGGCCCGUCCGAUGGGUCCCAGUAGUCAGGGGAAACGUUUUUUCCGCGAAAUACUGGUGGCUCGUUCGGUGGGUCCUUGCUGUCAGGUGGAGGAAUAAUUAUUUUGCAUGUAGUAAGGAGGCACUUCCUUGCAGCUGUUGUGGACCCAGCUAUCAGCCUCUCCACGUACAGUACUCUUCCGAUGGAAGUCGGUCGUUGACCACAUUGACCACGCCGCGCCGAGAGCAUCGCGGCGGUGGACGACGGCGAGGCCUAGGAAGGGGACAACGCGGAGCCGUGGAAGACGCGGUAGUGGAUGCCCACGCGGAGAGGAUUAUGAGGGUUCACUGGUUCGGUUGCGGUGUGAGGCUGCCGACACCGCAAAAUAACAGGGGGAGUGGGUGAGUGGAGGGAUGGCCUGGCCAGCGGUGGGAGUAGUAUGGGGACGGUGAGGCCUCCGCGGCAGCACAGCCGGCCAUGGGAGGCAGGAGCAUGUGGCACGACCGGCGCUGCUUUGGGAGGCUGGGGCAAGAAGACCAGAGGUUGAAGAAGCACUAUGGCCAUUGGAUGGACAUCGUUGAUCACGCCGCGCCAAGAGCACCAGGGUGGUGGACGACGGCGAGCCCUAUGAAGGGAACGACACGGAGUCGGGGAAGACACGACAAUGGCUGCCCACGCGGUGGAGAGUACGAGGGUUGACUGGUUCGGCUGCCGUCACCGGAAAAUAACAGGAGGUGUGGGUGAGUAGAGGGAUAGACAGGCCAGGGAUGCGAGUAUGAUGGGGCCGUGAGGCCUGCCCGGCGGCACUGUCGGCCACGGGAGGCGGGAGCAGGCGGUUCCGACGGUGCUGGUUUGGGCGGCUGGGGCAGGAAGAUCAGAGACUGAAGAAGCACGAUUAUCGUUAGAUUGACAUCUAACGGUCUGACGCUGGUAGAGUCGAUUGUUGACUAAGUUUCUUUUUUGAGAAACCUUGUGUACGCAUGAACUUAGUAGGCCCACAAGUCAGCCUCCAAAUCUGUGGCAGACAACAUAAAGCCCAUUUGCUAUUUUUUAUAAUUUGCAGCCCAUUUGUUAAUUCUUAAGUAAUUUAUUAUAGCCCAUCUUCUGCCCAAGACCACGGUCAAAAAGUUCAACCUUAUUUUGCAUAUUUCGGUGGAGUCCGAACUAUUGUAAUCUUGAAAUGAUAAACAUUUUUUAAGAACUUAUUGAUUUGCCAAAGAAAUUGUUUUGUUUUUGUAAGCAAAUAAGACGUGGGACAAUUGAGUUGGUUUAAGGGAAAACCAGUGGUAAAAAAAUCAGCGCUGGGUGGGAAAAAACAACAAAAAUAAGGAUGUAAAUAUGAACAGGGAAUUUUAUGUGUUUUCAAUAUAAUGAUAUGUGUAUAUGAACUAGUAAACCUAUAGGUAGAGAUUAGAAAACGGAUGUAGGACAUGCGUUUCAAGAGGAAAAUAGAACUGGGCUAUGUGUUUAAUUCAGUAAAAAAACUGCCUACGGAUGUUGUAAGACAAAAUAUAAUUAACGCUGGCGGGCCAGAGGCCAGUAGAUACCUGCUGGAUCUUUGUGUCCCGUUCUUGUCAUGGGCUGGGCCUGUUAAAAACAAAACCAACCCUGGGCAGUCUACAUCCCAGUUGAAACAUGCUCGACCUGAAAAAACAAUAUACGUGCUCAAUAAACAAGAGAAUUCUGCAAGUACAGACUGUUAACUGGGAUGCAGCACGGAUAUUGUUUUUUAUCGUGAUAAUAAGUGCAUGCACUUGUUUCGAAAAAAUUGGAGAACUAGGAAUUCGAACGGCGGGUGCUUAUGCUACCCAACAAAUAAAAAUCAGGUGCCUGAAAAUUCGUUUCAAAACAAACAAUUCAGCUUUAUAUCCACGUCGACCCUCAGCAUGAUGGUUGGAAGCAAAUGCAAGUUCAUACCAAAAGAUCAUUAACAACAAUACCAACUUGCGGAUGACAGGGUAGUACAACUACCAAUACCAAACUAACUUAUAAUCUUUUUACUCCUGGCCCUAGUGUUCAUCUGGUAGAAAAUCUUGCAGAGGACCAGCUCCCUCUCCUUCUCUUUCUCCAGGUCCCCGAGGUGGUACUGGUGCAUCACCCAGUUGUUCCUCUGCUGGUCGAAGUUCUUGUUGGUGUGCAGCAACAGAACCUUUUUUGCUGCCCGUCUGCCGGCCGUUGACCAUCACCGGCAAGGUAUUGCCAGUCUUGUGCCACAUCACGUGCAUGCCGCACUCCGACUAUAUCUUGCGACGCGUCCACGUGCCCCUUUUGAAUGCCCUAGAAUUGCGCUGGAAGAAAUGCUUCCUUAGGCCACUCAGUGUGAUACCUGCAAUAUUGUGGAAUACAGGUUUUAGUGUACCUAGUUGGCAUUUUCAUAACAUCUUUGGCAUGUUGCAGUCACUUGUUUCACUUUUUAUUAACUCUCAAAUUGUAAUUUCUUCACCAGGUCUGCGUCUAAAAAGAAAAAUAGAGCCAUAAACAAAGGAAUAUGUUUGUGCAAGUAGACGGUCGAUCGGUGUCUUACCUGGAAGUUUCUCAGGUUGGGUGUAGCUUAUGUCGUGCUCGCCGUCGAUGGUUGGUAUGAACAAAUCGAUGAGAGACUGAAAUCUUGCGCUAUCAACACUCACUUUGGCCUCAAGGUGCUCGAUCAGCUCCUGAUCUGUGGGAUCGAACUUGACGCCAGUCGGCAGCAUCGGCCAAUCCUUCUUCGAGUUGCAUCGGUAAUUCCGGUUAUAUGGUACUCAAUGUAUGAUCAAUCGACUAUUUUAAGUGAAUGAUGAAAGAUUUCGAUAGAUAAGUGAUACUCCAAAUCUGAAGUCCAGAAUACCCGAACACGCCGUCGGGAUUCUUGUGUCACCUCACGCACAACGUGUUGUCAUGUCAAUUCAAUGUGUGGACAUGAUGAAUAAUUUGACCGACGUAUACUAGUGCUGCUAUUGUACUACUUACUAGUCAUAUUUAGUGUCACAAUUUAUACAUAGGUUUAACUAACAAGUACGCACUUGAAGCCUAACUAAUGUAUAUGUAUAUAUAUGGCAUCUGCACAGCAUCUCCAUCAUCAUUAUCAGUACAUCCUACGCAGGUGAGUUAGGAUGCACUUGAUCCCAGGAAGGUAUCUAUCCUUCAAACCAGAGGAGUGCUUCAAACUAACAACAGUACAUAAUAUCCAACAAAAGAGGGUCGUGCUACAAUAGCAGAAAACAUGGCUCAGUCUAGAUAUCAACACAAAUCAAGUUGUGCAUAUUUGCUGUUGGCAUGAACCACAUCGCCGCAUGUCGGGUUUGCAAAAGCCAUCCAUCGCAUGGAAGCUUGAUGCCUUUCACACACUAAAGAUUAUCUGGCAACAAGCUAUGUCGACGAAUCUCUAGAUAUGGUGAUUCAUGAAACCCAUGUUAUGAUGUGUAAACACAGCCCCCCCCUCGCGAAUGGAAGUUGCAUAGCACAGUAAUCAUCGCUGGUGAUAUGGUCGAUGAUUGGUUGGAUGAUCGGAUAAUUGAGCCCGAGGAACAAGGAGUGGUUGCCGAGGCUGUAAACCCGCCUCCAGUUGAAUACGCCUGGCCCAACGGAGCUGGGAUCUUUCUCGAACACGAAGCCGCCGUAGCCAUCAAUGUCACGAACGCCCCACGCAUUGUACUGCAUGUGGUUUGAUGUAAUGGUUUGGUCAAUUUGGUACGUGCGAAUGAGCAUCAAAUGACCGCUGUCAGCUGAACAAGCGAUAAACCACCACCCAUCGGCUGGUAUGAUUCCAGGUCCUAGAAUCAUGAAGGCCAACGCAUUUGCGUCUGCUGCAACAAUUCAAAUUGGAGACCAAAAGGACAAAAAUAAACAAUCAUGUUCAGAGUAUGUGUGGAAUUAAGAUUAUUAUAAGAGUGACACAUAUCAUAGACAAAGAAUUGCAAUGUCGUGGUCAUAAUCAUACCCCAAGUUAAAAAAAUAAGCCAAUGGCUUUCAUAUUCUAGCAAUAUGUCAUGGUUCAAACAUCAUGUACCAAUGAGAGGAAAACAGCUAUGACAGCGCCUACUCAUAUUCUACCAUAGUACUUACUACUACUAUUCUCAUAUCAACUCUAAGGAAUAACAUGCGUUGUUAUAAAAAUCUUGUAAACGAGAGUAAGCUAUAGCAAUCAUGAUGUUAUGCUCAUAAUAUGUAUUCCAACAAUCAUUAGAUGCCAAUUGUUCUCAUAUCAACUCUAACAAUAACAUGUGUGGUCAUAAAAAUCUAGGAAAUGAGAGGAACAUAUAGCAAUGAUGUGGUUAUAGACAUGCUAUGCAUUCUAAAUUUGUAACAAAUGAACAGGCAGUCAUAUUCAUAAGGUAAAGAUGAGAUGAGAUAUACAAUUACACGACGAUAGAUUCCACCAGUAUAGGCAGCCAAUAUGUGCGUCGACCGCGUAAAUGAUGCCAUCGUGCACUAUAGCAUCAGACAGAAAUGUUGCUUCAACAGGAUUGAUGAUGAGCCAUAACCAUGUAUGGCGACGAGAUUCCAGAUAGACUAAUCCCAUGUUGAACAAGGCACUGAGCUUGUAAUCCAUGUAGUCUUCUGAUGGUGUGGGCACUUCGCAGAUUACAACUUUCUGCAAACAGAGGUUGAGCCAAAAGCUUGACAUGUCUCGUGCGUAGUAGGCAGGAGUGUCCGGCAGGCGGCGAGGCUCGAUGGAGGCGGUAUCCAACGAUGGAAGGGUGAUCUCUCGCUGGGUGUAGAUAUCCACGAGACGCCACGGACUACCAGUGUGGUGGAUGAGGGCGAUCCAGUUAGCCUUCAUGCCCGCCCAGUAGUGGUCGCGCAUGAAGGACAGGUGGACGGGUAGUGGUAGCAUGUCGAGGGGCACCACGACAACCUCCGUAGUAUCAUCAAGUCGAUGUCUGGGCCACCUGCAAGGAUCGGGCAUCAGCAAGCAGGGUGUCUUGAAAAGAGCCGGCCGGUUGCAGACGAGUAGAUGGUACAAAGACACCGAGCAUGCGGCCAGACGGACGGUGCUGAGUAGGCCCAUAUGACUACAGAUAUGCUCCAAGAGAACAUCGGGGAGGGAAUUCCAAUCGCGGCUCUGCGUGUCAGUUGGUUCUGCCAUUGGGGUUUUCGGUGCCUGCGAGCCUGCGGGGAAGUGGAUUCGGGCGGGCGAGCGAAGAAGCUUCUCCUCGUGUGGCCGAUUAGUGAGCGGGGGGAUAUGGUACGCGCGAGCUACCAAGGAAGAUGGCGCGGGCGGGCGAGCAGUGAUCAGGGGUAAAUGGUGUGCGGCCGACGAUGGGGAAGAGAGGAGGAAGAAGAAGAGAGGAGGAAGAAGAGUGGAAGACGGGGAAGAAAGUGCAUUAAAUCUCAAUUCUACUAGUACUACUACCAGGAUAUACCAUCCUUCGGAGUGUAAAUAGUUACACCGAUGACAUGUGGGUCUACCACAAGAGGGCCCAUAUGUCAGUUAAUGGAGGACAGAGGUGCGUAUGCGUAUUUGCGGAAGCGUGCUCUACUGGCAAACAUGAUGACAGUAUUGGGUAAGGCUGAUUUAGUAACAACAACACGCUGGUUCAACUUAUUAAUUACAUGUCCCAUCUGCUGCAGCGUGUAUUGUCACUUCACUGCGAAGACUAUUUGAAUAGUUCUCUCUGACCGAGAUGGGGAAUAAUGGAUCGCGAGGACUUCCUUUCUACAAUAUCCCUAUGCCUCUACGCUCACUUCACUCAUUUUGCUCGGUACCUAGUCACUUGUUGAAAUCUGUAGAAAGACAAAUACUCUGUAUUUUGGAACAGAGGUAGGCUUUUACUCCGUACUAUUUGGGAAUAGAGGGAGUAUCACUAUAUGGAGGGAACAGAGGAAGCUUGAAAUAUGAACAUGUCAAUGGGAGGAAGUAAGCCCCAUGCAUGCAUGCAUGCAUGCAUGCAACAUGCAACACUCACACGUACACAUGGACGCACGCAACACUCACGCACCCAUGCGGCACACAACACACGAUGCAACACAGACGCUCACGCUCAAGUGCUCAACCUACUCCCUACGUCCGUGAAAGACUGUACAUUUAGAGAUUUACACAUUGACCAGGGCAUAAUUAACACCCAAAAGUAGCAGACUUAUGUGUGCAUGCGACCAUUGAGAUAAGAAGAUUAAAUGAAGGCCGUUGCAUGCUGUAAUUAAGGAUAGACAUGUAGCCUAUACCUACAGCACAAGUUGGUGCAUUAGUCAAUCAAUAUCGAUUUAGAUUAAAGGCUAAAUGCAUUGGAAGUGUAGAUGUACAUCAUGUACUACACUCUUUGUUUUAUAGCCAAUGUACACUCUUUAUUGGAAGACCGAGGGAGGAAACGUGUAUGCACUCACAUACACGGCCAGGGCGGUUCGCGCGCAAGGGUUGGACUCGUGUUGAUCCUGCGUAAAGUUUUGUUUAACUGAUUUCUUUGCUCUGCCAACUGAAAGGUGGGACCCAGAAACCAGGUGACAAUUUAACCAGUCAACAAAGUGCCACGUCGACUAUGUGGCCGAUCAGUAGGGUGCAAUACGGUGCUCUAUGAUGAGCUAGUGAUCGUAUAAUUGCAAAACUAUAUAUAGUGACCGUAAAGAGCGUAUUGUUACAUACGUUGACCGCUAGUGUAUUUUUCUCAUUUCAAGUUAAGCCAUAUUAAUCAGAAAGGACGUGGUAUGGACUACUACUAGUACUAGUACUGCUUUGAUGUGUCCCAUCAACUCGCCGAACGAGGAGAAGCUUUCUUACUACGCCUCUCCCUCGCCCACGCGCGUGGUGGUUCGCAGGACGAGGAGAGGGUUUUGACUACAGUGCCCUCUCCCUCUCCCUCGCCCUCGCCCUCGCCCUCGCGGUGGACGUGUAGCAUUUCAAUUGGUGUCAGAUUGCCGGAAGCAUAUUCUACUGUAGUAUCAUCAUUGUUGGACCUUCCAAAGAGGCGAAGAGCCAAGUGCAAGGUUCACACGAGUACGAACUGUUGAACCUCCCAAAGAGGCAAAGAGCCAAGCGCAAGGUUUUAUAGGAGUUGUCAUCAUAGUAGGAGUGUACUACAACUAUAGCGAACAAUGCUACUGUAUGAUGCCGCCACAUCAUGUAUAUCCAAAGCUGUGCCACCUUUUUUUCUCAAAGAGCAUGUUGGAGCCCGUGCAACAACCACACAAGUUGCAUGUACACAUAACACAUUUACUAGUAAUAAAUUCUAAAGGACAAAUGCCAGUAUGCCACACAAGUUCAUCUCCAAUUCAUGUGAUAAAUUUGUGCACGACUAGUCUACAUAUAUUCACAGCGCUACCGUUCACAAUUAACGUACUCCACUUACACGUUAUAGAUGGGCUACAUGCAUGUCCUCCUCCAGGUUCCAGUCCCAGGUGUUCUUCAUGGAUGGCACGAUCCAUAGCGGUGGGCAACGGGAAUCAUUGCCGCAGCUUUCUAGUCCGGUUCCACACGAUGGAGACUCAUCCAAGCUGAAGCGGGAUAAAUCAGGGAUAGUGUGUCCCAGCAUGUCGUUCAUCCGGAAGUGCGCACUGAAGACACAACCAUGCUUCAUGAACGGCAGGCCUUCCAUGUCGUGCAUGGAAGGUGGCAUCCGCUUCACAAUGGGGUAGUUGUCCUCGAUGAAAAGCGAGUACUCUCCAAGAGUGUUCCUCGGCACCCACGUAGCAUCACGGGGGUCGAACUCGGCGCCGUUCAUCUAGUACACGCGGCAUCCCAGAUCUGGACACAUGGUGAUGUACAUAGUCAAGGUCCAUGCAUAAUAACGUUGUGCUCAAAUAUGGCGGUCAGUAAUACUGUGCAGCAAAUAGUACUACUAUGGUAUAGAGGAAGUAAAAUAACCGGCUUAUUAUGUAUAGCCACUCUUGGCUACAUGGAUGAGAUAGUAAGACAUGGAAAAACAAAAAUGGUGGCAGCUAGUGGGUUCAAGUCUUCAAGGGCCUAGCUAGCUAUAUGCGUCCUCCAAGGUAAAAAGUACUCCUACUAGUACUACUAAGUAUACUACUAGUACAACAAUGAAAGAGAAGGCGAGAGGGUUAAAAAAUGGAAUACCUAGGUAGAUGGUGACGGUCCGAUCGUGGUAGAUUGUGUGACCAUGUUGCACAUCCAUGGUACCAUGGGUAACGACUGGUAAGAUAGUUGAUCCCAAUAUGCCAAAGUCAGCUACAAGGUUCCGGGUUAGACCGAAUCGCGGAUGCAAAUGCACAUCCAGGAUCGGCGAUCUUAUUUUGAUCAGGGGAUGACUGGUCCCUGCAAAAUAAUGGAGUACCAUUAGGGAUGCAAAUGAUGGUUUCUGCAUUCCGUUUGUAUUCUCCCGUACCGUAGGAUGGCAACCAGAUGAAACAAGUCCCCUGGCUUGUCACCACGAAGAUGCUUCCUAGAUGGCGCACGGCCGCCAACAUGCGCCAGCCUCUGCCGUUACUGCGUCUUGCAUUGAUGGCAAUCCUUAUGUCGAACACGGCGAUGAGAUAGUAAUCAUCCUAGCCGCGUCUCUUUGUCGGCGGGUCCGCAAUUGCUAUCUUCUUCAAUCUCAUGUAGGCAUCAUCAUAUGUAUUCAAGCCAAGCCAAUCUGGAAGGCCGAUCCCAAUGGUGAAGGGGUCUAUCAGAAUGGCCGCACUGUUGUGGAUGUUGUGCAAAAUGAUGGUGGUAUCCGGCCGGAGGUAUGCAAGCCAAUCUUCGUUGGCACCGACCCAGACCUAUAUAUAAGACAGUGGGCAGCGGAGAAAUUACGGGAUGGAAAUGGAAUAACUAAGUACUACAUGAUCAAACUCCAUUACUCACCUGCUCAUCGGACAAAAUCCGACUACCUCUCAACGUCGGCAACUCUAGCAGAGUCAACGUGCAACCAUGGCCAGGGAGCAGUGGACUGUUUGAAGGUUUGUCCCAUAGAAUAACCUUCUCCUCGAGGACGCAUGGAAGACCAACAAGCAUGGCCUUUUCCCAAGCCUGUUUAAGCAGCAUCUUGAAAAAGUUGGUGCAGGAAGCAGCGAGUCUUGCGGCGGUGAGGACGUCGGAGUGGCAUGCGAUUUCUCCCAGAGGAUCGUCGUCCAAGGUCUCCCAGCCCCGACGAGGAGGAGAACCGCCUGGCGAAUCCAUGGGAGCAGCGACGAACUGCCUUCUCUUCGGGGGGAGGGGAACUGGCGAGGAGGAGAUAAGAGCAUAGUAACCGCAGGGCCUCGUCCCUUAAAACUGUAGAUUGUUCCUCAGUGAAGGGGUGAGGCUAUUAUUUACUACUAGUACUAGCAUUAUGGAACGUUAUGGGAUUGCAUUAUACCGUAAAUAAUAGCACUAGUAAGAAAAUUUUGGCACUAGGUAGUAGUUUUUGGCGUGGAUUAAGAAAUUUUGGGUAUGUUUUUGCUAUUUUUUAUACACGCCAACUAGUGUCAAAAAACGUCUUACAUUAUGUGACGGAGGAGUACAUACUCGUACUGUAGCAGUACUAGUACUACUUUCUCUACUAGUAGUGCGAUGCACUGUACUUCUAGUCUAGUCUAGUAUAGUGCACCAGUUUUGAACUCUUGAAUCUUAGGGCCAAGGAGAUACAGUUGGAAGUGGAGGGUACUACUGUUCUCUAGAACCAUCGUUGUACUAUCAAUGCAGGGGAAGUACACCUGCGUAGUGGCCUAGUGGGUACUCGGUGCUCUAUUCAGCCGCUCCUCUCACGUAGCUGGCCUACUCAGCCGCUCCUCUCACGCACACACUAGCAGCCUAUUUAUCAGCGACGGUUACUGCAGGGGCAGAACAUUUGAGUUAUUUGAUACAGCGACACUAGGCUUUUCGCUUCCAUUUGUGGAGGUGUAAUGGAUCUCGUCGAACUUUGUUAGUAGUUCCUUCUUUAUGAAUGAGAUGAAGCAAAGCUUUUGCCUCCGUUUAAAAAAACACGUCAAGAGGAAUUUCUUUUAUAGUAGAGCCGAUAAUGGAGUGAAGUCCAUGCGUGCAAUGCCACAAGCUAUAGAGUAGUAGUAGAGCACUUUAUGUACAGAGCCAUAUUGCACAGUUCCUAAUGCCCCGCCAGGCUUUUCCGGCUCCUCGGACUUAAUUGGGAGGCGCUAGUUUCAAUAUGCUACUAGCUGAUGAGCAAGCUGCAAGCGUGGUGCGGCUAGGGCGAGCACGCGAGCCAUGGGAUGCUGGGAAGGAAAACCCGUUCAUGUGGCUAGGCUGUCCAGUGCACCCAGAUUGUGGGACCGCACGUCCGUUUGACUUCAAAUCUCAAACUACCCGUAUAAAAUAUUGGCUCGCAGCAAAGUGUAGUAGUACUAUUUUUUUAAAAGGCCGUCGUGCGUUCGGCCGGGAUCGAACCCACAAAACGGGUAGUACUCGUUAGGGUACAACGCAACCUAGAAUCACCUUUUGUCGCUAGUAGUACGUACAUUGUUCCUUACAAGAAACCCCUAAUAAUGCAAGAAACCACUAAAAUGCCAAGAAACUACUACCACUUGCAUACGUGGCAGACUUAAGAUAAAACUACCUUAUCAACCAUUGUACGUGCUCUUACCAACAAAAAUCCUCGAGUGACCUCCUACCUCCGGCCUGUGCACCUAGUCAUCCUCGGCCAUGGGACACAGCUACCGCCGCCAGCAGAAGGCGAGGUCAAAACCAUCGGCGGUGCGGAGCCCAUGUUGCGGCAGCCCGGAUGCCAGCUCUGUUCGGAGCACGCGACGACUAGCUAGCCAAGAUAGCUCUGUCCAGCUGCUUGUCUGCAAGGUUUGCUAGCUAGAUUGGCACGGCAACGCGGUGUCUUGCUCGCGCGCGCCGCGCUAAGGCCAGCUAUCUGGCUCGAGCGUAGGACAGCGUGGUGGCUUGCUCGCUCGCGAGUCACGCUCGGGCCAGCCUGCCAACCCGUGCGGAGGCCAGCGCGACGUCCGACCCGUCCGGCGGAGCGGCGGCCAACUCGCUCUUCACCGGCGCCACCGACAAACACACAUCAGUACUAUUUGAAGUAAUGUUCAGGAAAAAUAAUGAUUUGAGGGGGAAUAACAGGAUAAAAGGUCAGAUGUGGGUCCCUCGUGUCAACGGUCAAACAAAAUGUGUUGGUUUAAGCUGCCUCAUCAGCACGGAUGUGUGGGCCAACCCUGUCAUAAAUGGGUUUAAACGAACCUAAUCGGUAGGAGUACUAGGUAGUAGUUUUUGGCAUGGAUUAAGAAAUUUUGGGUAUGUUUUUGCUAUUUUUUGUACAAUAGAUUCUUCCUAGGGCUGGUUGAAAGUGGUAGUUUUUUGUUAAAUACUCUACAUAUGGUAAGUAGGAGUGAAAGUUAAGCUUUGUAAGCCAAUAAGCAAGGCUAGUUACAUAGUGCAUAUGUGUACAUGAUUGAAAGUAAAUAUCAACCAUGAGUGACUAUUAUCUUGAUGGAAAACUUGAAACUAUGGAAUACUAGGAAAAAAUGCAUGGUUGGGAAUACUAGCAAUGUUCAUGUCCGUUGCAACGAAUCAUAAUUAGAAUAAUACUUAUUCAAAAACUUGGUACAAAACACUCUAAUUUUGAUAUACAUAUGUCACUAGAGAUAUAUUAUGUUUCAAUUAGAAUAUAUUCCUUGGGCUGUUUUGGUGAGGCCAGGGAGGGAUGUGGUUGGUUUUAAGAUACUAAUUACGGGUUUUUAUGCAAAUUGGUAGACAAGUGGGAUGUUGGUGAGAAAAGGGAACAACUUACCUCACAAUCGUUAGAUGUAGAUCUAAUGGUCAGAAAUGAUGGAUGACAGACACACCAGCAUCACCAACUUAGUCUUGUGUAGGAUUACUAGCAAGAUCCGUGCAUUGCAUGGAACAUCAAGAUGCAUUUUUCUAUAAAACACUUGUUGUGAUUGACCCUUGCGGGAGUAAUCCCAUGUGUAAAAACUAAUGAUAUCUCGAGAAAUAUGAGAUAAGGUGAAGAGGAGUGGGGUGUGGUGGUGGUUGGUGGUCAGACUGAGUGGAGGCAUGGGGAUUGACAACGCCGGCAGCGGCCACCAGGCCAGUUUGUUCCAGAGGCUUCCUUUCUUAAUUGCUCAACAAUGAGGUUUGUUGGAGAUAAGGAUGAAUGAGGGAAGUCCUUGUCUGCAAAUGUGGAGAGGGGUGCGGGUAUCUUUUAGUUUAAUUUCCUUCCAUCAGAUAUAGAUCGGACGGUCUAUAUUGCAAGAUGGCACACGUACCAUCAUCACCAACUCGGUUUUUUAUAAGAGAAGAAAUAUAAGUAUGGAGAUACAAAUGUAUUCGUAAUUGCUUCCGUAAACUAGCAUCUACAUUCUAUUCAAUGCCUCGGCAUGUGGGGCCUUAGCACAAUGACUUCUUGACUGUGUAAAACAAAGAUUUUCCCGUCGCCGACAAGGAGGGGGUGACGGCGGCGCGCUUUUUGGCUUGCUCUAGUCCUAGUAGUCAUACUAGGUGGUCUAAGCACAUGUAGAUUUAUUCUUUUUCAUGUCUCAUGUUCGCCGUACUGCCACAACUGUUGAUGAAUAAACGGUAAGUUAUUCAUUGGGAAACCCUUGUUGAGCGUGUUUGCGAGAGAGAGAGAGACAGUGUGCGUGUGUGAUAUGUUAGAGACUGAGGCAAUGAUAAUAGAUUCUUUGUGUCUAUGUGUGUGGAGGAUAGAGACAGACAUGUACAUGGGGCUUUUUGUUGUGUAACGUGUUGACACAUAUACAUAACUAGAGAGUGAGUGUGUGAGAUACACAGGCGGACAUGGGGAGAGACGAGGAUCCGGAUAAAUGGGUGUUUGUGCGUGUCUGUGUGUGUUUGUGCACGCGUUUGUGUGUGAGAGGGAGAGAGUGUAUGUGGAGUAGAGAGACCACCGAUGAUGUAAACCAAGUAUAAGGGAAGGGGGAAUGGUGUGACAUGUGUAGUAGCGAGAUAGCACGGGUGCGGACGGGGAGAGCAGACUAUUUGGAAGAGACAUCGAGUGUGUGUGUGGGAGAGGGGUGUGAGAGCGAGAGAAAGAGAGAGCUAGCGACGGAGAGAGAGAGGGGGGGAGAGAGAGAGAGGGCGAGAGGGGUCGAUUGUGUCCAUAAAUGGCAUAUAGAUAGGGAGACAAUGUUGAUGUUGUCCGAAAUUGGCCUAUGAACGGAGACGCAAGGGAAGCGAGUCAUCAUGUGUGUGAUAGGGACUUCAUGAGAGAUCUAGAAUAGAUGGUGUAGAGAACAAUGUGCGAAAUCGAGAACGAUUAUACAUUAGGGAGCUAUGCAAAGAGUCACGACAUAUAUGUAUACAGGGAAGGAGCUGGGGCGAGUCCGCAUGUGGGAGAGAUAGAAAGAGGAGAGUGGUGCACAAGGAGACAAAGUGUGCUUGUUUGCAGUGGGGGUGGUGUGUGAGGUGAGUGUGCGAGAACCACAUAACUAGGGAGAUAGAUGUUUGGGGGCGACGUUUUGUGUGUAUGGGAAAUAUACACUCUACAUAGUGCGUGUGCUUGGGUAAGAGAGAUAGAGGGAGACCUAGAGAGUGAGGGAAGAGAUGUGUGUAUGCCCGACAGACAAAGUGAUAGAGACCUAUGUUGGGGUCCCUACUUUACAAGAGAGAGGGGUGUUAAUGUGCUCGUGUGUUGGUGUUUGGGGGAGAGAACGACUUCUCUAUGUGUGUGUGUGUGGUGGUGGGGGGGGGAUUGACUUCAGAUAAAGAGUGAGGUGUCUAUAUUUGAGGGACUUUAGCGUAAUUGAGAUAUUGUGCACUCAUGGUUGAUCAAUUUGUCUCACAGUUUGUACUAUGAGAUAACGAUACUUUUGAACAUGCGUGAUAUACCUUGAUGUACCAGAAUUACAAACAUAAGAUUGGAAUUUUGGAAUUCGACUCCAUCAUUAGCUUUUGUAAUUAAUUUAAAUGGAGGUACAUUUUUUAAGCCGGGAUUUCGUGACUUCAAAUUCAUAUAUCAAACCUAGAGAUAUAAACAUACGGGCAUGUUCGAACAUUAUAAUCAUCCACUUUAUUCAUACACAUACACAUUUUGCUUUUGUCAUCAUAUUUAGGAUAAACACAUUUGGAAUUUCAUUUGAAUUGGACCAUAUGAUGGUAUUUGCUUGUAGUAGCUCAAUGAUUCAUAUUUGAAUUGAAUGGACAGUCUAAGUUUUGAGUUGGAGACAUUGAUUUUCAAAACUUGCACAUUUUUUUGCGUGCAAAACAGACAAAUUGUCGGCCAUGAUAUCAUAGUCGGCCAUACGAGAGCAGAAUACUUAUAAUUUUAGGCGCCAAAACCUUUCAAACUUCCCACUCACAUCGAGAUAUCACGCGCCCGAAAGUUUAGCCCUGCGAUAUUCCUGUUUUACCCCUGCCACAUGAACGGAAAAGGGCUGCUUUGGUAACUCCAUUGUUUUCCCCACUUUGCCCCCAACAUUCUUCCCCAGAGCCCCUCCGCUUCCCCUCCCCGACCCCCCAGACCACGGCAAGCCGCCGAAUCUAGUCCUCUGCCGCAGCGGUGGACCUCACACCCCACCGGAUCUACCUUCCGCACCUUGGAACCCCCAACUGCCAAUUCACCACUUCACCGGAGCCGCUUCAGCGACCGGCUUGUCCACCGCUCCAGAUGUCCUUGACCGCCAUCAUGGUCCACUGCAUCGGAUCUGCUUAACAGGCGCCCUCGUCCACCACAGCGUAGGCCCUUCACUGACAACCUCGUCCGUCCCUUCGCUGGCCCUUCAUACAAGCCCUUGUCCGCCGCAACAGAUCCGCCUCACCGAAAGCACUGUACAACGCGCCCGCCGAAGCCUUCAUCCACUGCACCGGCCCUGCUUUACCGACAUCGCAGCCUCAUCAGGUUAUUUCGAUUUGUACUCCUUCGGUAUUUCUCUUUAUCGUGCAACUGUUCACUUACCACAGAUGAGCUUUCUUGUAUGUCGACAGGCGCCGCAACCAUAGCACCGGAGCCGCUUCUGCGACGUCGACGACCGGCCCAAACUCAACCACAACACGAGCACCAUCGACGAUCCUUAGCUAUGAAGUAUGACAACGAUACCCAUACGCCGCCGAGAAUCAGGUAGUAUUAUCCAACGGCCGGCGCCUACGUUCACUUUCGUAGCAUCAUUGAAUUUCUUCAGGGCAUCAUUCAGUUUUUCAUGAGACGCAUUAUUCUGCUUGCACCUGUAGGGCCAUACUUCUGGCAGUGAACAUGUUACAUGUGCUAAAUUACAUACCAGUGCACAUAUAGUUAAUAUGCUUUAGUUUUGUUCUGAUGCCACCUAUUGGUUCCAUCAGAUUGCUUAAUGUUCUCUAUGCUUAAUUACACAUCAGCAAACUAGCAUGUGGUUCCGCAGCUUUUUGUUCGUUUUACCCAACAUUUUAUGAUGCUAGCUAUUACAUCACCGCUCCGAGCCUAUGUUCAUUACUUGUUUGUGUGUUCUUGAUCUUCCCAAGUUGCAUGACUAAUUUGAUGCUUCUAUUAAUUAUGUAGCUGCCAACCCCAUCAAGCAAAAUAUUUGUUCUGUUGGGGCUGGCACCUCGAACAAGCAUAAAAAUAGAGGAAAGCAGAUAUAUUGUCGUGUAUGCACACACCCUUCUUUCAUUAGUUUAGAUGAACCAUUGAUGAUCAAUUCGGAUCAGUGCAUGCGAUUAAAAUUAAUUUUACCUAAAUAGAUGGUGCAGAAUAAACUACAACAACUAGAUUUUCAACCACGGGAUGCUGACAAUAUCUUCAACGAACAUUGCAACAGCAGCUAGGCUUCACAGCAACAUAUGGUAAGCCAGUGUGUUUUAGUACAUGUCAAAUGUAAUGCGAGUAGGCUGCUUUCUUGGCUUGUGCCCUCAACAUGUAAUCCUACUGAAUUACAAAUAGGUCAGUUGUCUGCUUUGCUGUAUUGUUUGAUUUGAAUGCUUGUUUGUUGGUACGCUAUACCUGAGUUGGCCAAUAUGUCAGCAGUGCCUGUUGUACUAUCGUAAAGAAAUGCAUGCCUAUUUCAUUUGAGUCCUUAACUUUUCCUCUCAACUUCAUGACAAGACUGUCUUCGUAGUUUAUAUGAGGCCACACUGUUAAGUGCUUUCUUAGAUUAUUUCAACUUCUUAGAUGCCUUGGCAACUUAAAUAUAGCGGUGGUACACUCCCUUUCAACUAGGGAUGUCAACUAGGUCCCGUUUAAUCCUGAUUAAAGUCCACUAGUGGUAUGAUAGUUUAAAAGAGUUUUUGUUUUUUUGAGGAAAAUGAACUAGGGAGGUAGCAAAAACUAACUAGAUGGGACUGGCGGAUGUCGUUUAUUUGCCACUUACAUCCCUAGUUUCAUCUUACCAUUUUAAUUUCUUUUCGGCUGAUGCUGCUUCGAACCAUUUAAAUAUAGUUUGCCAUGCUCGGCAAUAAUUCGUCCGUCGUUUACCAUGUAAGCUUACUGCCUGGGUCAUACAAUAACUAUCUCUUACUUAUGUCCAGCAGAAACCUUUCAGGAUGCCGUUCACACUAGGACACAAUGUACAACCCCAGAAUCUAUUUGUGGAAGCAGUGCGCCAUCCAUGUUACCAGAUGGUAGCAGUUCAGAGGCAACACCACCGGAGAGCAGUCUGUGCACAGAUAUUAUAGUGCUUGAGGCUCUACUAGAGGCAGAAAGAGAUGGUGUGGCUACCAUGAAUGAGGUAAUCUUUAUCUUGAGGCUGGAAAUUACGGAAUUAUCGGCACGCAUUAUGCAAGCAACCCAAGAAUUGGAGGAAGUAAGAAUGUUGCAUUUGAAGACGGAGGACGUCCUGUUGUUUCUGCUAUCUGAAGCCCAAGGUAAUCCCGGUUCUUAUUUAGAUACCAGUUGAAAUUGUCAUUAGAUUAUUGUACUUGCAUGUUGUGUCAUGUCUCUGAAUGGAUUAUGUUGCAAGACCCCAUAUGUUGUCCGUGUGUUGUAAUGAUCCGAAUUUUUUAGGCAAGGUAAUCCUCAGUACUUGUAUGAUUGACAUAAGGUGAACUGUUUUUCGUGUGAGCAUAUUGUAUUGGAUAAAAUAACUGUUUGACUGAGUGUAUCCAACCUACUGAAUUCGAAGAUCACGGCUUUUCUAAAUCAUAAUCAUAUAUAAAGGUGGAAUAAAUCUUUGUUGUGGUUUUGACGAAAUAAAUAACAAAACAUAUAAUUAUGUGUGGAUAUUUGUAAUAGAAUACAAAUUGGAUUUGAAUUUAGUUUGCCAACGUGAAUGCUAAUUCUCCCAAGUUUUGAACGAAGCGGCUAAACACCCACUAUAAUUUGUGGGCUACCCGAAGCAAGUGUUUGCGAGAUGGAAAUUACGGUCUACCCCUGACACUUGACAUCCUUAUCGACCAGAUUUACUCUGCUGUCGAUAGGGGUAGACUAGUAACUUCAAUCAGACGAGACACGACGGCCUCUGAGCCCAUUCAGACACGGUGGGCGCCAAACAUGGGCGGAAAAACACACUUGAUUCAAGCUCGUCCGAAAAGACAUGUGUCUCGUCCUCCAUUUCCCCAUUCAUACACGGUGGGCGGCAAAACAAACUCUCCUCGUCCGAAAUCGAUGUAGGCUAAUAUUUUAAAUAGGGGCAGAUGUGUAACUUCCAUCGGACGUGACACAACCGCCCUACCUGUCAGGCCUGUUCAUACACCAUGGAUGCCAACCGUGGCGGCAAAACACCCUCUCCUCGCCCGAAAUAGUUACCGGCAAAUAUUUGGGAGAUGCGAGAUUACCGUCCUAUCCCCAACCGAUGGAAUGUCCAAAAUUUUAAACGGGGGAUAAGUUCGUAACUUUCCCCCAUUUUAGAGAAGCGCAUCCCAAAGUUUGAGAUCCCCCCUCCCCUCCAUUUCCCCAUUCAUACACUAUCGGCGGCACAACAACCUCCGCACUGCGGCCAGCCUCCUCCGUCCGCCACCCCAUCCUCCACCUUGCCGGAGCCGCUACCCCUACCCCGUCGUCCACUGCAAGAGAUGGACGUCUCUCAUCCACGGUGCUGGACCAAGAUGCUUUCAUCGCCUCCUCUCGCUUCAUCGGCGCCAUCGUCCACCUUGCCGUUGCCGCUCCUACGAUCGACUCGUCCACGGCAAUAGGAUAUAUCCCCUGACCCGGUCGUCUGCCAUCUAAAGUCUUCUUCCCCGCCACCGACAGUCAUCUCACCUGCAGCACCAUCAAUGUAUCAGCAUAGGCCUACACGGCGUCGCAAGAGAGGUGGUACUCUUCCAUAUGUGCUUAAGUUAUUGAUCUCACCCGGAAAAUAGAUCGUAAUUUGUUUACUAUACUUUUCUUGUCCGUACCAAAUCGUAGUGGCUAGUUGAAAGCAAACAUUGGUUGCGAAGUAGCUUUGUCCGGUUUGCACCUUCAGAUCCGCCACACGGGCACUAUACUCGUAAAGCUUAUGGUUUCCCCCCUUUAUAUUCACUACCAUCAUCGUAGGUGCUUCGUGUCGUGCUAGCACUGCUCCUCAAGACCUCAACCCAAAGCUUACGUGUUGAAAUACGAAUCUGAUAUGAUGCUCAUAUCACUAAAACAGAGAACGAUUAAUUGGUCACCUAAUGUUCCUAUAUUCAUUUCGAAAAGCAUGUGCGCCACCCACUGGUCCAGCUAGUUCCACUUUCCUGAUUUUUCUCUUGAUGCUUAGGGUUUUCCCCUUUUAUCUACUCUACUAUGAUCUGCGUAGGUGCUUUCUGUCGUACUAGCAUUACUCCACCCUUCAAGCUAAACAACACAACACUCAGAAUUCGAAAGCUUAGUUGUUCAAAUAUGAUUGUGAUAUGAUACUGAUAUUAGUUAACCGACACAUUUAAUUGGUUAGCUAAAGGUCCCACUUGAGUUUCCAAAUGCAUGUCGCGACAUAUAGAGAGACAGCAUAAUUGCAUUUCUUUGUCACUUGUUGACCGUACUUUCGUGUCCAUACCAAAUCUUAGUUGUUAUUUCAAAGCAAACAUCGGUUGCUACCUACCCAUUGCACGAUUUGCAGCUUCAGAUCUGCCAUCCCACUGCCACGGUCAACACUGUACUCAUCAUGCUUAUGUUUUCCCCAUUUUAUGAUGACCACAAUCAGCCUACGUGGUUCAUGUCGUAAUAGCACUGCUCCACCCAUCGAGCUAAACAAGCUUAGUUGUACAAAUUCAUAUAUGAUAUUAUUGCUGAUAUUAGUAAAACUGAGAGAUGUUUAAUUGGUUAGCUAAAUGUUCCUACUUUAGUUUCGAAAUGCAUGUGAGCCACAUAUGGAGAGACCGGAAAGAAUAGUAUUUCUCUGUGCGCUCUGGUUCAUCAUGGGUGGCCAACCGACAUUGUAUUGAAAGACUUGUAAUAUCUUCAAUCUUCUUUAAGAUGAUACUCUUCUCUUGCGUUUGACCGGUCAUGUCGAGUUGUUCUCCCUUAGUAUAUUUUGAAUCUGUCAGGUCAGGUCGACUUGUAUAUGUUGAAGCUAUCAUCUGCGAAGUGUCAUCACUUCUGGAGCUCUCAUAUUUUGAGUAGUAGGCCGCAUUAUAUUAAUGCACACAACAAAUUACAGCAUGCAUGUCAUCUUUUAAAAGAAUUGCAGAGAUAGCACAAAGGGGUUUACAGGGAGGCAAUAUUGGAUUAGAAUCACUUCUGCAUUACAAAAAAAAUCUCGUUUGUUUUUAUGUUUUCAUGCAUGUCAGAUAUUGAACAUUAUCAAAAUGAAUAUGAGAAUGGGCGCACGAGAGAAAUAUUGCGGAACGAUCCACUGGCUAACAAACUUGGCAUGGUGGAGGAUGGCCUAUCUUAUUCACCCAUCAAGGUGCUUGCUCUAACUUUGCAAAGUUGUAUUGGCCGCACAUAUUUUGCAUCUGACCUCUUGCAUUACUUCUAGUUUGUUACACCAUCUGCUUAGUUUAAGCAUCAUAUAUGAGUAUAUGCCAUACCUAUCCAUUUUCUGUACCUAUUCCAUGUGGCGUCACACUAUGUUUUUCCAGUCAAAUGUUGUUCUUUCGUAAUAGAUGUCCAAAAGGGAGAGGGUGAGUGCAGAUCCUCAAGGAGUACAAACUAGGUAUUUGGAAAAGGCAGUGAUACCUGUUAAAUCUGAUAGAUCAGCAGCCACAGAAAACUCAGGCCCAACUGUACCACACUUUACCCCUACUCUAGUGGCCAAACCCGUAUUAGAACUGCUGGGAGCCCAGCGUCAGGUACUGUCUGUGAUAUCAAUUCAAAAUUUGAACUCCUAAAUUUCUUCUUGUGCCUUACCUUCUCUCUUGUAUGAAAACUAACUUCAGAUGAAUCUCCUAGCUCAAACGAUCAUACGAUCUCAAAACAAUAAUGGGCUCUGCAUUGCUCUUGUCAGUACCUCUCUCCCUUUUGCCUUGUAACGCUGUACUUAAUUAAUUGCUAUUUGAUUAUGUAUCAUCAGUCUGCACCUGAGCUUCAUUAUCCUCUAUUUCUUCCAAUAUUAUUUGAUCUAUAUUUACUCUUUGCAAAAUGUAGAAUAAUGGCAACGCUUAUAAAGAAUUUUCUUUGGGGAAUUUAUUGAAUUAUCCUUCCAUCAACAUGGAGAAGGGCUUUGUCCAGCCCGUGUUAACAUGUAAUGUAAGUUCAUCCUUCUCAAGCCUUCAAACUUUGUUCUAGUAUAGAUUUGGAUAGGCAUCAUUUCCUCCACUGCUGUUUGCUUUGCUGUUUACAUCUGAUUGGAUGUUUGCAACAACUACCAGUUUUAAAUUGUAGUUGUAAAAACAUGUUCCUUAUGCAGAACAGAUCCAUUUAUUUGCUUAUAUAAUUGUGAAACCUGUUACGUGUCUCCUUGUUUCUCUUUCAGAGUCGUAUCUCUUAUGCCAGGCAGAACUUUAGGGAAGAUAGUGAGCCAAACCAUGACAGCGAGAUGACCCCGAGGUCCUGUCUUGAUGAAGACAGUGAGUUGAAGCUACUCACCAGCAGGUGUGAGACAACCUCUAUGCAGUCGUUGCCUCAAUCAGUUCGACUUCUUCAGUCUCAACUUAAAGCGGAAAGGCUGGCUUCAGCUCAGCUCCGACUUGAAGUCAAAGAUGCAAUGAAGAUGUCAGAGGACUGCCGUGCACACCAUCAUGCCUUAAAUCUAGUGUUGAUGCAUCUAUCGUUGACACAACUGAGGUCUACUCAGCUUCUUCAGUUGUUUGGGGGGCCUGACCUGGCCAGGCCUAGUGCCUUCUGAAGUGCUCUGAGUUUUGUAUAUUCUUUUGUCGGCACGUUUAUUUGCACUGGUGGCGAACUUUGAUGACCAGUGGAUGUAAUAUGUGCGAUAGCCGUGAUAGCCUAGCGUAAGUUGCUUGCUUAUUUAUUUCCUUGUUGUCUUGUUUAUUUGUUUGGUUGUAGUCAUUGCAGUUCCUUUAUGACCUGGCCGCAGUUUGCUAGUGGAAGCAAUAACCUAUUUUUUAAAACUAGGCCACAAUAACCAUGGGCUAAUAUUUACUGUAGUGACACUAGGCCUCCUACGGGCCAUAGAAACAGUGGGCCUUCUACGGGCCAUAGAAACAGUAGGUCUUCUACGGGCCGUAGAAACAAUGGGCCUUCUACGGGCCGUAGAAACAAUGGGCCUUCUACGGGCCGUAUUAUCAAUGGGCCUUAUACGGGUCGUAUGAUCGAUUGGCCAAACAUGGGACAAUAACAAGCUGCAUUAUGGCCAUAAACGGGCUAGAGUUGGAAUCAUCCGUUCAUGUGCCGACCAUAACGGGCCAUCAUUAAUAGGUCGUAUUUGAUGACGCUAUGAAAACGGCCCAACAUAUUAACAGACCACAAACGGGCCGACUGUAACCACGGGCUGAAUUUGGCCCACAAGCAGAAAAUGACAGUAACGGGUCGUAAGUAAACGAAUGCUGGAAAUGAGCCCAAGAAUAAAUGGGCUCUGAGAAGGCCGAAAGAUAACAUGGGAUGGAAAUGGCCCAACGGAAUAACGGGCCAUUAGUGGGUAUAAAGUGAUACACUGUUCAUUACGGGCCAGUUUCACCACGGGCCGUUAAUGGGUGUAAAGUGAUACACUGUUCAUUACGGGCCGGUUUCACCACGGGCCGUUAAUAGGCCAAGAGUUACAUAGGGCCUCAUAUGGGCCGAAAGACGUCAUGGACCAUACAUGGGCCAGAAGUGAAAAUGGGCUGGAAUCAUAUUGGAUGGCCCAGAUGACGCUACUGGGCCUAAUUCGAAUAGGGCGUAACGGGCUUUGGGUUAGCGGGUUGUAAAUGGGCUAUAUGCGAACGUGCCGUUAAUAGGCUUUCCAUGGGCCGGCCCGCCACCUUUUAACCAAGUCAAACGGGCCGGCCUUUUCACAGGAAUGAGCCUCUAUUGGGCCGUGCCACGCGUCGCCAUAUCAUAGGCGCCUUCGGUCCAAUGAGCGGAUGACAUCUGUCCCAACGGUGAGCCGACACGUGUUUCCUCCAGCCAAUGAUGAUUUUACACGUGGAAAAUCCCCAUUGGUCGGGGCUGUUAACGGGUUAUCGGAUCCAAAACCCGACUCGAUAGCUUAACGGCGUUCCGUUAUGGUGGAUGCCACGUGUCGGUCACCCUUGACGAAAGCACUUCUAUGACGCACGAUUUAUCGUCAUGGAAGUGGACACUUCCGUGAUCAUAAUUUUGGUAAUGUCAUGGAACACUUCUACGACAGCACAGGUAUGACUAUCCUGAUUCUGUCAUAAAAUCGUCAUGGAUGUACAUGCAUGAUAAAAAACGCGACCUACUGUGACAAACACGUAUCAUCAUGGAAGUGUAUUUUUUUGUAGUGAAGGGUGAAGUGGGGGAGAGGAAAACGAGAGGCAAAUGGCAAAUAAUGUAAUGCGAGGGAGAUGAGUUUGUGAUGGGUACUUGGUAUGUCUUGACUUGAGCGAAGACCUCCCCGGCAACGGCGCCAGAAAUCCUUAUUGCUACGUCUUGAGCUUGCGUUGGUUUUCCUUGAAGAGGAAAGGGUGAUGCAGCAAAGUAGCGUAAGUAUUUUGCUCAGUUGUUGAGAACCAAGGUAUCAAUCCAGUAGGAGUCUCCUCAGAAGUCCCACGCACCUACACAAACAAACAAGAACCUCGCAACCAACAUAAUGAAGGGGUUGUCAAUCCCUUCACGGCCACUUGCGAAAGUGAGAUCUUAUAGAGAUAAUAUGAUAAGAUAAAUAUUUUUGGUAUUUUUAUUAUAUAGAUUGGAAAGUAAAAGAUGCAAAUAAAAGUAGACGGUAAACUUAUAUGAUAAAAGAUAGACCCGGGGGCCAUAGGUUUCACUAGUGGCUUCUCUCAAGAUAGCAUAAGUAUUACAAUGGGUGAACAAAUUACUGUCAAGCAAUUGAUAGAAAAGCGCAUAUUUAUGAGAUUUUCUAGGCAUGAUCAUGUAUAUAGGAAUCACGUCUGUGACAAGUAGAUCGACUCCUGCCUGCAUCUACUACUAUUUCUCCACACAUCGACCGACUCCAGACUGCAUCUAGAGUAUUAAGUUCAUGAAGAACAGAGUAACACAUUAAGAAAGAUGACAUGAUGUAGAGGGAUAAACUCAUGCAAUAUGAUAUAAACCCCAUCUUUUUAUCCUCGAUGGCAACAAUACAAUACGUGCCUUGUUUCCCCUGCUAUUACUGGGAAAGGACACCGCAAGAUUGAACCCAAAGCUAAGCACUUCUCCCAUUGCAAGAAUGAUCAAUCUACUAGGCCAAACUAAACUGAUAAUUCGAAGAGACUUGCAUAGAUAACUUAAUCACACAUAAAAGAAGUUAGAGGAGAUUCAAAUAUUUCUCAUAGGUAAACUUUAUCAUAAACCCACAAUUCAUCGGAUCUCGACAAACACAUCGCAAAAAGAGUUACAUCGAAUAGAUCUCUGUCGGUGUCAAAAUCGGCGGAUCUCAGGUAGGGGUCCCGAUCUGUGCGUCUAAGGCUAAUGGUAACAGGAGGCAAGGGACACAAUGUUUUACCCAAGUUUGGGCCCUCUUGAUGGAGGUAAAACCCUACUUCCUGCUUGAUUGAUAUUGAUGAUAUGGGUAUUACAAGAGUUGAUCUACCACGAGAUCGUAGAGGCUAAACCCUAGAAGCUAGCCUAUGAUGAUUAUGAUUGUCCCUCUAAGGACUAAACCCUCCGGUUUAUAUAGACACUGGAGGGGGCUAGGGUUUACACGGAGUCGGUUACAAAGAAGGAAAUCUAUUAUCCGGAUCGCCAAGCUUGUCUUCCAUGCAAAGGAGAGUCCCAUCCGAACACGGGACGAAAUCUUGAGUCUUGUAUCUUCACGCUCCAAUAGUUCGGACAAAGUAUAUAGUCCGGCUGUCCGGACACCCCCCAAUCCAGGACUCUCUCAGUAGCCCCUGAACAAGGCUUCAAUGACGAUGAGUCCGGCGUGUAGAUUGUCCUCGGCAUUGCAAGGCGGGUUCCAUCUCCGAAUAUUCCAAAGUAAUUAUCGAACACUUAAAUCGUGUCCGGAUCUGCAAGACGAUCUUCACAUGCCUUUGUGGGGAGAACGAUAUUCCACGACCUGCUGACAUGUUCAGAUAGCACGACAUAACAUCAUGGUAGAGACAUUAUUGAAUCAGCUCUACACAACCAACCACCGCACACAUUGCAAGGCGGUUUUCCGGGCACGUCUCAUCGAAGCAGAGAUCGUGUUUCCCCUUAUCAUGGUGCUUUCAUUAAUACGGGCACGGGCAGCCCAAUUGCACCGCCAAUCGCGGCGAGUGGGGAACGAGCGGGUUCCAAUAGGCAAGUGGGGAGGCGCAAAAGCUUUUAUCGCCUCUAUAAAGAGAUAAGGUCUCUCCCUCUUCACCCACGCCUUUCCCUUCACUCGUCCAUUCCCUUUUGCUCAAGCCCUAGCGCCCAAACACUCGUCUUCUCCACCGAAGAGAGGUUCUCCGAAGAUGUCCGGAUCCGGAGCAGGAGGCAAAUGGAUGGCCUCUACCGUCCGGGAGAAGGAUAUCGAAAGGCUCCGAGAGGCCGGGUACCUGGACAAGAAAAUCGGCCACCAUCUUCCGCCGGUAGGACAGAUCGUCCCUACUUCAGAGCCCCACGAGAGGGUCGUGUUUCUUCCUCAUUUUGUCCGGGGGCUCGGGUUUCCCCUUCACCCAUUCGUUCGCGGUAUCAUGUAUUAUUACGGGAUAGAUUUUCAUGAUCUAUCCCCCAAUUAUUUCCUUAACAUCUCGACGUUCAUCGUCGUGUGUGAGGCUUUUCUCCGUAUUUCGCCCCACUACGGCUUAUGGCUGAAGAUUUUCAACGUGAAGCCCAAGGUGGUGAAUGGCGAGAAGGCGAAUGCGGUGGCGCCAUGGUGAGCAAGAUGCCCAAGGUCGUAUGGCCAAUGGGUGUAUUCAAUGACUCCGUCAAGGAGUGGCAGCAGCAGUGGUUCUACAUCACCGAUCCAUGCGAUAAAAAGUGGUCCGCUGCUCCUGAAUUCAAAUCUGGAGCCCCACUACGGCUCACAUCCUAGCCCGAGAAGGGCCUGAACUGGUCCUCAUUCGACGAGUUGUCCAUGCUCCAAACGCGCGUCCAGAGCGUGGUCGACCAGGAUAUCAAACUCUUCAACGUAGUCCAGUUGAUGUUAGUUCGCCUGGUUCUCCCUUGCCAGCGUUGAGCCUGCAAUUUGUGGGAAUACGACCCAACCGAGCACCAGACCCUACGGGAGCUCUAUGGCUCCUCCCACAAGCACAUAUGGAAGGUGCUCUUCAAGUCCGACAAACCAUGGCCGGGCUCCACCGAGGUCCGUGGGUAUCAACUAUCCCGCUCUGCCAGUCCGGUAACUCAUUGUUGUGCUCUGUCCAUCCAUGUUUUAGCUGGCAUAUCCCGAGGGAGACGCUUUUAUCAUGCUUUACAAUAAUCCCAGGGAUGGACGAAAAAUGUGGAGCGGAUACACUGUCCUGCCCCGCUGCCGGAGGAACUGGCCGGACCUCUUCUCACGAAGAUGCUGGUCCCAGCGCCUUACGAGGUGCCGAAGAAAGAGGCUUCCAAGAAGGUCAAGAAGACCCGGAGUGGCCUCCGUCGUCGUGAUGCUUCGGACGCAAAAUCCGAAGACUCCAGCGACCAUCCCUCCUCCGAAGACGAAGAGAAGGAGGAAGAAGACGAGUCCCCCGUAGGGGGAGGGAAGAAAAGGACGGCUUCCUCAUCCCUAGAGGCCGAAUCGUCAAACAGGGGGAAAGGUUCCCUCCCAGAGGCGUCCAACAAAGUUGCUGAUAGCAACCCGGAGUGGGAUCCCAGGGUGCAGCCCCUGGUACAGUCGUAAGUAUACAAAAUCUGAACACGCAUACGCGCCCGGGGUUAUUAGGAUGUAGUAGUUUUAACUGUCGCCAUUCUUUUGUGCAGCCCAGCGAGGUCUCGUGCCGAACAGUCCUCCUAGGAGGAUUCGCUGAGCUCAGAUGUCCUGGAGAGCGAGACGCCUCUAGAGGCCCCUUCACCGAAGCCUAGGCGCGACACCGAGGUGUCGUCCCAGCAUGGCCCGGACCAGGGAGGACACAUCUCUAGGGCCGGAUACAUGGGAGCGGCAGCCCCCGUGAAUGUCGAUGGCGGGGGCGAUCUAGGAUUCGGCCCGCAGCUGGACACAGUCCUGGAGGCCUUUAAAACUCCAGGAUUGGGCGAGCAUCCCCCCUUGACGGAGGGAGGCCAGCCCGCUCCGCCAGCAACCUCUGUCCACGCAGAGUUGCUGGGCGGACUAUCGACAGUGCUAAAAAGUGUGUCCAUCAUCGACGAACAUCGCGCCCUCAUGGGUGUGGUGAUUGAGAAGAUUUAGUCCGCUGAGAGCAAGCUGAAUGAAUCCUGCCUUGGACUUAUAAAAGGUUUUGAGGUAUGUUUUUAGGAACCUUUCGAAGAUUGUCAUAGUAUGAGUAGUAGCCCCUGAUGCACUGUCCGGUGAAAGAUAGAGAGAGCCGGACAGGGAAUCAAAUUUCUGCUUUGCAGGAGACUCGGUUAAUGAUGUAUAUCCCUUUGUUUGAAAAUAGGCAUCUGUAGCGACGACCACCUCUCAUAAUGCGGAGGUGUACGGACUAAAACAGAGUCUGGAACGGGCCGAAGAAGAACUUGGCCUCUUGAAGAAGCAGUUGGAGGACAAGCAAGGUAUGUCGAAAACUUUUGCUAAGUUGGGCACGAACGAGUAGUUAUGCCUGGAAAUAUUUGUAUUGAAUGCUCUAGGAGCGAGUGCUGAAAUUGAGGCACUAAAGAAGGUUGUGGCCGAAGCCGACAAGAAGGCCGCCACCGAGCAGGCUCUUCGUGAGAAGCACGAGGCCAGGGUCAUUCAAGCUGAGCGAGAGCUCCAGGAGGCCGUGAAGAAAAGCGAGACGUUGGAGCAGAGUCUAGCCGGAAAAGAAUCCGAACUCGCCCAAGCUCUCCAUGCCACAGAUGAUGCUCGGGAAGAAGCCCGAGGUGCUCUGAAGGACAUUCAGGAGGCACGAGAGGUUGCGGCUGGUAAGGCCUUUUAUACUCAAGGCCAUUUUUACUUAGUAAUUGGAGGAACUCUAAGAGACAAGCUGAAUUCUUGUUUCUCCAUGGGUGUUUGCGAACCUGCCACGCAGCAUAUCAGAUGCUGCCCAAUUUUACCAGACUGAGGAGAAGAAGUCUACGAAGAAGCAUUUCUGGUCGCAGUAUUUGGCGCCGAAUUAUCCGGUGCCCUUUAUCGAUCAGAUGAAGUAGCUGGUCGAACUGCACCAGGCGGCCGGACUAGCCAUGAAGGACUUGGUUGUCCAGCUAUGGCCCGUGGAGCCAAUUCCAAGCAGUUACUUCGGACUCGUGAAGUGGAUUGUUGGUGCUCGCCCUCGGCUCGAUGUCAUUAAGCGAUCGGUCUGCAUAGAGGGUGCACACAUGGCGUUUUCCCGUGCGAAGGUGCACUGGGGGAAGCUUGAUGCUGAGAAGCUAAUGACUAAGGGGCCACCAGAGGGUAAGGAGCAUCGCAAGCCCGAGUUAUACUAUGAAGGUGUCCUGAAAGGAGCCCGCCUUGUGGCGGAUCGAUGUACCAAAGACACUAUAUUUCCCUGAAGGUAGUCAUGCAGUCAUUUGUAAUGCGGGAUAAUGGCACUGUUAUUAUUUAUUUCCUGUUUACAUGAACGUUUGUUCUUCCUGUGCGGCUAUUUAGUGUAUAUAAAUCCUGAGAGUUGGCCAGUCGUCCACUUCUGCCCCGAUGUAAAAAGUACGAGGGUGUUCGGGACAUACCUGAACACUCUUUAUCCCAUUGUUGGGUCCUUUUAAGGAGGUGUUCCUCACCACGAACCAGGCAAUCAUACUAUAGGGCUUUAUCACUCUCACUUAGCUAUAGGAAUUCGAGUAUGGUGGGCGUAGCCCCUAGUAUUCGGAAGCCCGUACUAGGGGCUCUAACGGCGCCUGAUCAGAAAACCGAUCCGUCGCACUCUGCAUUGAUUAUGGCAUUGUGCGGAAUGAAUCUUUAAAGAUUUUUCAACCUCUCGAAUAGCUGACCAGCUCUCGCCGUAUCAUAACAAUCGGUUUUCAGCUUUCUCUACUGAGGUGCUCAUCCGGAAGAACCGAGACACAAUCGCAGUAGUUCUCCUAGCUCUACCUUAGCCGAUAGAGCGGAACGUAAGGUACCAAAACAUGGGAGCCGGGCAAACUCAACUAAUGACCCAAGACAUGAUUCGGAGCUGAUGCAUGUAGUGCUAUAAGUUUGGGGUGCCGAGCGACCAAAAAGGUGGUCGGACUUUAUUGCCAUAUAAUGAGUACUAUGAAGCCCCUGGCAUAGUGGGGCAUAACACGAUGUAUGGGUGCCGUUAUGACGAAAGAUCGCAAUCAGAAACGACGGCCGGUGAGUGUUAUUUAGGUCUACGUAUCAUAGUAGAAUGACAUGUCUAUGUAGUACUGCUUUUGAAAAGGGGUUUGCUGGCGCAACCUGUCGUGGCCGGACUGGAGGAGGCUGUGUGCGGAUCCGAAAUGCAUCCGGGCUUGUGUGUCCGAGCAGAUUCCAUGUCGCUAGUCCUGUUCUGCACAAAAGUUAGUCUGUAAAGACAACUUCUCAAGGGCAGCUGCAUGUCAUAUUGUGGUUGAACCGCGGGUGCCUGAUCGGAGCCUGGCCGAACCAAGUGAUCAUGCCAUAAAGUAGGUCGGACUCCUCAGUUAGUGUCCGGGUAAUUGGCUGCCGGAUCGAAAUGGGCACAACUCGCUAUUCCAGCGGCGGUAUGAUUUCCACUCUGAGGGUGGAGUUCGGCCUUGCCCAUAAUUGUGAUUAUGUUACGCGGGUUUGGCCUGAUGUUGUACCCCGUUGGGUCUAGCCAACGUGGUUCGUCCCGAUAGUAUAUGGUAGUUACCGUAUAAGGGGACGAUGCCGAAGACUUAUUCUUUGGCAUGAUGUUUGUUUGGUGAUCCAAAGACAACCACUAGGGUGGUGGGCCUGUAUAACUUGGCCUUUGCACCUGGCAUCUUUUAGAAGAUGUUAUUAAUGGGUUUAUACCCGUAGGGGCUCGUGUGAGAUGGAGCCCAUACACUAUUGGGUCGAUAGUGGGUGCUAUUAAAUUGCUAUGGUUGAUGUUGUCCGGGCGGUCGAUGUGAUCGGAGAUGAUCGGCCGUAUUUUUGUACUGUGGAGGAUUUUCACUUGACCUCAUCAUGUUUGAUCGGUCUUUCGUUGUUUGAAACCUCCUUUCAUUGUUUCCGGCGUGCGACUGGCCUUUUUGUUUUGGGGAUCCGGCAUUUUCUAUUGGUAUGCUUGGCCACCCUUCUAAGGGUACCAUGAAUUUCACAUGGUUGAUUGAGUAUGCUGCUCGGGCCGGAUGGGCUUGAGCUGUUCUUUUUCCGCUGAACGGACUGGGGGCCACUGAAUUCAGCACCAACUUCCUUGAGUUGACGCUUAUGAUGAUUUCAUCGAGGUUUGUGGAUGCUGCCUCGGGUUUCUUGCGUAUUGUCCCAGACCGUGGUAUAUUGGCGUAGGGAUGUGGGCUUUAGGUUCUCCUUCUUAGGUUGAGGUAGAAAAUUUUGCCUUGGGUAUCUUUUGGCGGGGCGGUCGAGUCCGUAUUCCUCAGUGACCAGGACCUUGGUCCAUCUGUCUGUCAGCAAAUCUUGGUCGGCUUUGAGCUGUUGUUGCUUCUUUUGCAGGCUUUUCGCCGUGGCCAUAAGCCGUCGCUUAAAGCGAACUUGUUCCACGGGAUCCUCAGGCACGCCGAAUUCAUCGUUGUCGAGGCUCACCUCGUCUUCGGAGGGGGGCAUGUAGUUGUCCCUUUCCAGGUAUCCGUCUGUCGCCUGUCCGGACUGCUCGAAGGCAGGCUGAUCGGGAUUGUAUUCGUCUUCGGCACCGUCUGGAUUGUUUUUUACUGCUGUGCCGGUAUUGUUGUGGCGGGGCUUGGGGUGGCGCUGAUGGCGUUCAUACUUUGCCUUCUUUCUUGGGGUGUUAUCUUCCAUUGCCUCAUCACCAUUGGUUUCUUUCAGAGUGUCCACCAUAUAUAUAUCAUAUGAGGAUGUGGCUGUCCACUGCCCCGUGGGUGGUGGUUCCUGUUCCUCUCCUACCUCGUCGUCCACACCGCCGAUUUCUUCAGAGUCAUAAUCAAGCACGUCGGUCAAAUCAUCGACCAUGGCAAUGAAGUGGGUGGUGGGUGGGCCACGAAUUCCCUCGUCGCCUGCUUCCCACUCAAGCCGGACAUAGUUCAGCCAAGAGUCUCCUGACAAAGAGAGAGACUUUAAUGAGUUCCACAUGUCGCCAAAAGGCGAGUGUUGGAAGAUAUCCGCAGUGGUGAACUCCAUUACCGGAGCCCAACCAGUUUCGGUGGGCUCGAGGAUGUGCAGACUGGAACCUACAGCCGGACACGAGUCCGGGGGUCCUGUGUUGCAGGCUUCCUUCGGGGUGAAGCCGGUGCUCGGCUCCACCACCGAUGAGUAUGCGUCCUCUGGGGCAGGGUCCAUCCACCCGUCCUCGUACGACGCUAUUUGCUCCGGAUUUAGGUCCGGAACUCCUGCAGGUGCGAUAUCCCGAGUAUUGUCAGACAGCAGGUUUAAGCCAUGCUCGUCGUGACUGUUCGACACUCCUGGCAUAGGCCUGAAUCCAUCGAAGAUCAAGUCUCCGCGGACAUGGGCCGUGUAGUUCAAGCUUCCAAAUCUGACCUGAUGGCCAGGGGCGUAGCUGUCGAUCCGCUCCAGAUGGCCAAGCAAGUUGGCCUGCAGUGCAAAGCUGCCGAACACGAAGAUCUAUCCGGGGAGAAAGAUCUCACCCUGGACCGCGUUGUUGUUGAUGAUUGGAGGAGCCAUCAAGCCUUGCAGCGACGACACAGAGGAACUCUCAAUGAAAGCACCAAUGUCGGUGUCAAAACUGGUGGAUCUCGGGUAGGGGGUCCUGAUCUGUGCGUCUAAGGCUAAUGGUAACAUGAGGCAAGGGACACGAUGUUUUACCCAGGUUCGGGCCCUCUUGAUGGAGGUAAAACCCUACUUCCUGAUUGAUUGAUAUUGAUGAUAUGGGUAUUACAAGAGUUGAUCUACCACGAGAUCGUAGAGGCUAAACCCUAGAAGCUAGCCUAUGAUGAUUAUAAUUGUCCCUCUAAGGACUAAACCCUCUGGUAUAUAUAGACACAGGAGGAGGCUAGGGUUUACACGGAGUCGGUUACAAAGAAGGAAAUCUAUUAUCCGGAUCGCCAAACUUGUCUUCCACGCAAAGGAGAGUCCCAUCCGAACACGGGACAAAAUCUUGAGUCUUGUAUCUUCAUGCUCCAAUAGUCCGGACAAAGUAUAUAGUCCGGCUGUCCGGAUACCCCCUAAUCCAGGACUCCCUCAAUCUCCAAGAAGAUCGAGGAGAACUUUGUAUUGAGAUUCAAAGAUAGAGAAGAAGCCAUCUAGCUAAUAACUAUGGACCUGAAGGUCUAUGGUAAACUACUCACAACUCAUUGGAGAGGCCUUAGAGAUGAUGUAGAGGCCCUCCAUGGUCGAUUCCCCCUCCGGCGGAGCACCGGCAAAGGCUCCAAGAUGGGAUCUCGCGGAUACAGAAGGUUGCGGCGGUGGAAAUAGUUUUUCGUGGUGCUCCUAGAUGUUUUUGGGGUAUGUGGGUAUAUAUAGGAGGAAGAAGUAGGUCGGUGGACGCUCGAGGGGCCCACGAGGGUGGGGGCGCGCCCAGCCCUAGGGGGCACGCUGGGAACCCUCGUGGCCGCCUCCUCUGUUGCUUGACGUCCACACCAAGUCCCCUGGAUUGCAUUUGUUUGAAAAAGAUCGCUCCCGAAGGUUUCAUUCUGUUUGGACUCCGUUUGAUAUUCCUUUCCUUCGUAACACUCAAAUAGGCAAAAAAACAGCAAUUUGGGCUGGGCUCCAUUUAGUAGUUAGUCCCAAAAAUGAUAUAGAAGUGUAAAGUAAAGCCCAUAAACAUCCAAAACGGGUAAUAUAAUAGCAUGGAACAAUAAAAAAUUAUAGAUACGUUGGAGACGUAUCACCCACACGAGAUGCGAAUUACGCAGACUUCAAGCUAAUUGCCUUGUUCGACCGCUGACUCGCCUAUCUUUCCGCCGGUGCCUUCUUUAAUGGAGACAGAUCACCUAGCAGUGGAUCGUCAAAGCUAAUACACACUUCUGUGAUGCUAUUGAAUGCAAUGGCAUCAUCUACGCGAUCGACAAAGCAGAUGGCACCAUGUAUUGCUGGGACGGCGCGUGUAAGUUGUUUCCAUCUGAUGUUAAUAAUGACGCCAUGACAUUGUUUGAACUUUUUGUGAUGAUUGGCAUAUCCCUGUUUGAGCAGAAUUUUAGUAGAACUAUGAAGUAUUAGAGACGCCAUAGAUCUACUAUAUUUGGAAUGAGUUAAUUCAUGUGAUUGUGACCAUGUCAUUACAGCCAAUUUGUACCCGUGAAUAAUCAAACAGUUAGGAAGAUAUGGAUAUUCUCCUUAUUUUAUAGUAAUCUAUAUACUACUAAAUAUGAGUAUGUAUCAAUGGCAUGUUAGUUUCCUCAUUUUCAUGAUGUAGAAACAUGCAUCAGAGUGUUGGUUUCAUCUAACCAUACAUUAGGGAAGUAAAUGUGCAUACGUAGAACUCUAUAUUUGGAAGUAGUGAAAUCCUGUAAUGCUUACCAUGUGUACAUACCUAUAUUCACCCUUCACCAAUCAAUGGCUAGAAUAAUAUCCUCACAAAAAUUUUGCCCAUAGAACAUGAGUAUAUAACAAUGCAUGGUCUGUUAGUUUCCUUGAAGAAUUUGUUUCUGAGGACAGAACAUGAUUGCAUAACAUGCAUGACAUGGUAGUUUCCUGUGAAGAAUCAAUUGCGAGAUAACAUGAGUAUAACCAUGCAUGGCACUUCUAUAUUUUCGAACCCAUUAUGCAUUUCCCUGUAUUUUCCUCCCAGUUCCAACAGGGACAUAUUAAUGCUGUUUCUUGCAUUAUCCUACUCAUACUCUGGACAAUGCUGAUCCUACAUUAACAAAUGCCUGUACUUUUUUAUAUGAUGCAGUGUCCCUACAAUUACUGCCUUUGUAAUCACACCACCUUUGCCAAAAAUAGGGAAGAACAACUGGUUGCUCGCUCGAUUAGAUGACGGCAAAAUACUGAUGAUCAUUCGAACACAUGAGCCAGGAAAGUUGCAAAAACCCCACUAUGUACAAGCACGGUGAAAUACAUGAGUAUCUGGACAGUGGCUAUUACGUCUAUGAGCAGGAUACCAGCUUGUUGGGGCCUUCAGGAUUUUUGAGUUGGAGGCGGGUAAACAACCUUGGUUCACACUCUUUGUUUCUCGGACUCAAUUAUCCGAUUAACUAGGAGAUCACCGUUGGCAAGGACCUUGAUGGCAGAGAGGCUCUGUUUGCUAUGGAAAAAUGUGUCUACACGGCGAGCCCUAGGACUUCGGGAGCAAACUCCCCUGAUUCUCAAUGAUACAGCCUGCAGCCAAAAGAAGGUGAUAAUGACAAAGGCAUCUGGAUUAACUUUGAUCCUUGGAUGUCUCAAGUCCGACAGGCAGUGAUGUGGUUCAAGCCUUCAGGUUGAUAGGUAAUUGGGCUGUUGUGUCGAAAGGGUGGAGUACUGGUGUCUCCGGAUCACUGGUCGCUGAAGCGGGGCUGCAAAUUAUGAUGGAGUUGGAUCAUCCCUCUUCAAAUGACUUGUUGUCUUUGCUGCUUGUUCUGGAUGGGUAGUUCUCUCUUUUGUUAUGCAUAUUCCUUGUCAUUUGGUCAUCCUCGUCUAUGUCACUCUUACUAUGUAAUGGUUGCCUCUAUUUAGAAUGUCAUUCUCGUCUGGAUUACGAGAGUCUGAGCGCUGCAGAUGGGUGUGUUUUGGUGGUGUAGCAAAACUUCUUAUGAACUAUAAUGUCUUGUUGUUUAUGUCAAUAGUAGUCCUUAGUCAGUGUUUGAAUGUUGUAUAUAUCGUUGUUUCGAACUGUUUGUUGUCUCGAACUGCUGGUGGGCUAAAUGAGGGCAUCACCAUUCUCCAGUGUUCAUAGUAUAUCUCCUUUUUUCAAGUUAUAAUUUGAGCUCACUGUCUUUUUGAUGAUGUACACUUGUUUGGGCCAGUGAGGUGUUGUUGAAUAUGGGCUGAGUAGUAACGCAAUGCCAAACAAGUCAAUUAUGACUCUCAGGCCAAGCUCUCAAAAGAUCCUAAAAAGUUCGGGCACUCAAAAAAAGAAAUAAUAAUGACUCUUAGGCCGGCAUGUGGGCGCCACAGGUGUUUUCAUGCGCUUGCAUGCCGAGAGCAUAUUGGCGCGUGUUCGAAAUUCAUGCUACCUUUUCAUCCUCAAUCUCCUGCCCCUGCCCCACCUCUGGAAUCUCGAUUCCUACUCCAGUUCCCCCAAAUCUCCCUCAUGUACUCCAUGUACUCAAGCGCACUAUCAUGUUGCCGGUUAACAUGGAUCUCUGAGCCGGAGAUCCUGAGGUCCGUUCUACCUUCGGGCGCUGCGUGCUGUCGCUCAACAGUGGCAUGGCGGCGCUUGAUGACCAAUUUUCUGGCAAGGUGCUGAUGGUAACCAUCAACGGCGGCCGGCCUCCCAUCACACUGGACGAGCUUGUCAAAGCUCUUGGCAUUGCACACGUCAUCCAAAUAAGUGACUUGCUCGUCGAAGUCUGUCCGCCACUGGCUGAUUUCUUCGUCAGGUUUCCGACGACUUUCAAUUGCAGUCGUGUGCUUGAAUCUUCCCGGUGUUUGUUCAAUGACGGCGCGCUGGUGAGUGAUGACCCACAAGUAUAGGGGAUCUAUCGUAGUCCUUUCGAUAAGUAAGAGUGUCGAACCCAACGAGGAGCAGAAGGAAAUGAUAAGCGGUUUUCAGCAAGGUAUUCUCUGCAAGUACUGAAAUAAGUGGUAACAGAUAGUUUUGUGAUAAGAUAAAUUGUAACGAGCAACAAGUAACAAAAGUAAAUAAAGUGCAUCAAGGUGGCCCAAUCCUUUUUGUAGCAAAGGACAAGCCUAGACAAACUCUUAUAAUAGGAAAAGCGCUCCCGAGGACACAUGGGAAUAUCGUCAAGCUAGUUUUCAUCAUGCUCAUUUGAUUCGCGUUCGGUACUUUGAUAAUUUGAUAUGUGGAUGGGCCGGUGCUUGGGUAUUGCCCUUACUUGGACAAGCAUCCCACUUAUGAUUAACCUCUCUUGCAAGCAUCUGCAACUAUAACAAAAGUAUUAAGGUAAACCUAACCAUAACAUGAAGCAUAUGGAUCCAAAUCAGCCCCUUAUGAAGCAACGCAUAAACUAGGGUUUAAGCUUCUGUCACUCUAGCAACCCAUCAUCUACUUAUUACUUCCCAAUGCCUUCAUCUAGGCCCAAAUAAUGGUGAAGUGUUAUGUAGUCGACGUUCACAUAACACCACUAGAGGUUAGACAACAUACAUCUUAUCAAAAUAUCGAACAAAUACCAAAUUCACAUGACUACUAGCUAAUAGCAAGACUUCUCCCUUGUCCUUAGGAACAAACGUAACUACUCACAAAGCAUAUUCAUGUUCACAAUCAGAGGGGUAAUUAUAUGCAAAAAGGAUCUGAACAUAUGAUCUUCGACCAAGUAAACCAACUAGCAUCAACUACAAGGAGUAAUCAACACUACUAGCAACCUACUAGCACCAAUCCCGGACUUGGAGACAAGAAUUGGAUACAAGAGAUGAACUAGGGUUUGGAGAUGAGAUGGUGCUCGUGAAGAUGUUGAUGGAGAUUGCCCUAUCCCAAUGAGAGGAGCGUUGGUGAUGAUGAUGGCGACGAUUUCCCCCUCCCAGAGGGAAGUGUCUCGGGCAGAACAGCUCUGUCGGAGCCCUAGAUUGGUUCCGCCAAGGUUUCGCCUCAUGGCGGCGGAGUCUCGUCCCGAAAGGUUUCUUAUGAUUUUUUUCUCAUUGAAAGACUUCAUAUGGGAGAAGAUGGGCAUCGGAGAGCCACCAGGGGGCCCACGAGGUAGGGGGGCGCGCCCAGGGGGGCGCGCCCCCCACCCUCGUGAGCAGGGUGUGGGGCCCCUGGCCUUCAUCUUUGGCGACGAUUUUUCUUUAUUUAUUUUGAGGUAUUCCGUGGAGUUUCAGGACUUUUGGAGUUGCGCAGAAUAGGCCUCCAAUAUUUGCUCCUUUUCCAGCCCAGAAUUCCAGCUGCCGGCAUUCUCCCUCUUCAUGUAAACCUUGUAAAAUAGGAGAGAAUAGCCAUAAGUAUUGUGACAUAACGUGAAAUAACAGCCCAUAAUGCGAUCAAUAUCGAUAUAAAAGCAAAAUGGACGUAUCAGUGAGCUUUGAUCGGUGGCACCCAGGAUGGUGCUCGGUGCCCUCUGAGCUUGAGUUUUUAACAAAGCUUACCUUCCACGGCAUGCCUCGACGUGCUUGGAACAGCGAGUCCAUGAAUGAGCUUAUCCACGACCUUGGAGAUGAGCUCGUAAGUAUGUUUGUUCCUCCAGUCAGCUAGGCUCUGAUGGUUAUGGCAUGGAUGAAGAAGCCAUCCACCAUACCGAAGGUAAUUGGUGUUGAGAAACCGGUGUGGGAACUGGGUUUGUACUAUUCAUCUCCACCAAGGCCGCCGCGGACCACGUUAGGGAUGUACCUGUAUCGAGUGUUUGUGCAUGUCGAAGAAGUAGUCAAUUCAUCAAUCAAAGUCCGGCCUCUGCCGCUGGUGCCAGGGUCAGUCGACGACGUCCAUUACAGGAGUCAACGUCAGACUUUCCCCGUGUUGCUCGGAAUGAUGGAUUGCACAAUGCCUACUCCAUCACACGGUGGAUGUCGGUGUCAAAACCGAUAGAUCUUGGGAAGGGGGGCCCAAGCCAUGCAUGUGAGGAUCAAUGGUAACAGGGGACCAGGGGACAUAGUGUUUACCUAGGUUCGGGCCCUCUUUAAGGAGGUAACACCCUACUCCUGCUUGAUUAUAUUCGAUGAGUAUGAAGAUUACAAUAGUUGAUCUACCUCGAGAUCGUAAUGGCUAAACCCUAGAUGUCUAACCUAUGAUUAUCCCAAUGACAGUAAUGAAGGUAGCCUCUACGGACUAACCCCUCCAGUUUAUAUACACACCGGAGGGGCCUAGGGUUUGUACAAGGUCGGUUCAUCAGGGAAGGAAACUUCCGGACUCUAAUCUUGUUGUCUACAUAUGGAGAAGUCCCAUCCGGACACAAAGGAUAAUCCUCAGCUUAAUCUUGUACGGCCCAUCCAACCCAGCCCAUACUCCUAGGACGGACACCUGAGGACCCCGAAUCCAGGACUCCCUCAGUAGCCCCCGAACUUGCCUUCAAUGACGAUGUAGUAUGCGGACAUAAGUCUUCGGCUUUGCAAGGUGGGUUCUCCACCAUACUCUGGAUUGAUGAUAGUCCGGCCUCGGCUUUCAAGUCCAGUCUUUAUGAUUCCUUCCUGUCGUCGCCUCAAUUUCCAUGCGUCCGAGUGAAUGCGAAUGGUUUGUUACCUCUAUAUUUUUGAUAUUUUUAGCAGGCAUAGGUAGCGCCUAUAUAACGAGGUUAGAUACCCAAAACGCCAUAUCACAUCACCUCAAGAGCAACAAGCAAACCAUGGAAAAAACUCAAACCAUUGCCAGUGUCCCCGGCUCCUCCUCGCGUCCUCAUGGCCCUCAAGAAGGGGAUUGGCAAAGUUGUUCUGUAUCCCACCUCCAUCUCAAUCAUAUCCAGACGCAAGGAUAUCUCCCUUCUGCGGAUCUAGUCUCCGUUCUGGCGGGGUUAACUUCUAUGGGUGUUGAUGCAUUGGCAGAGAAUUUCCCUAGGUUCCAUUCUGCACAUUUUUGGUUUUGUCGCCCUUUGCGAAUUAUUUUUAGGCUACAAGGCUCAUUUUGAACUAUGGAGAUAGUUUUUCUGCCUCAUCCCCUGCCACCAAGGUGAAGGGUCCAUAUUGGAAGUGGGCGGCGCUGAAGUAUGGCGCAUAGCCAGAUCCAGUUACCCAAUCGGGACACCGAAGAGAGGGCCGACGAAUGUUCUUUAAUUUGGAAUGGUUCUACAUUGAGGAUGUUCCUCUUCUGGACCCUGUUCGGCAUGGGCUUCCCAAAUUCUCCAGCGCUCCUUUAAAGAAGCUAUUCAGCUGGCGCCCCAAGCCCCCUACACAGGAGGAUAGUGCGGAAGUGAUAAGAUUGGUCGGCAAGGUCAGACUGUUGACCCAUUCCGGACUCUCCAUCAUUGAAGUCAUGGCCGUUGCGAUAAAGCGAUGUAUCCAGCCUCUUCAGUCCAGAGUGGGUCCUUUAUGGAACUACAACGGGGAGGAGACGCGUCUCGCUAUAUGCGAAAGGGUCCGGAUGACCAAGCUGCAUUGGCCGCCAUGCUUAUGAACCUUUAUAAGGGAGAGGAAGAAGACUUCACCCAUCUACAAUGCCGGGAGGGCUUCUCCAUGUACAAUACCAUUGACUGGGUAAGUUUUAGUCAUUCAGUACCCCUUCUUUUUAUCAUUCGGGUGCAUUAAGUGAAUAUUCUGGUUGUUUCAAAAACAGUCGUGGAGGAAGGCUGUCGAGAACAUCUAUUGCCCUCCUCCCCAACCAAAAUACCACGCACGUCACGAAGACCCUGGAUUCCAUGAAGAUCCGGAUAUAUUUGUGGAAUUUGAAAACAGAGUCUAUUACCAGGCGAGCCUUAACGGCUCGGAAUAGCCAUCAUGGCCGAUUACCCGAUCUCUACCCCUUCGCUAAAGCAAAUGUUUGGAAAUCAAAAAGGAAUGACAUUUCCGCUCAUAACUUACUCUCCGCAUGAGGGAGUCCUGGAUUAAGGGGUCCUCGGCUGUCCAGCCUAUGUGACGUGGGCCGGACUGAUGGGCUAUGAAGAUACUAGACAGACGACUUCUUCCCGUGUUCAGAUAGGACUCUCCUUUCCAUGGAUGGCAAGCUUGUCGUUCGGAUAUGUAGAUUCCUUUCUCUGUAACUGACUUUGUACAACCCUAGUCCCCUCCGGCAUUUAUAUAAACCGGAGGGUUUAGUCCGUAGAGGCAAUCAUAAUCAUACAUGCUAGACUUCUAGGGUUUUACCAAUUAUGAUCUCGUGGUAGAUCAACUCUUGUAAUGCUCAUAUUAAUCAAGAUCAAUCAAGCAGGAAGUAGGGUAUUACCUCCAUAGAGAGGGCCCGAACCUGGGUAAACAUCAUGUCCCCCGCCUCCUGUUACCAUCAACCUCUGACGCAUAGUUCGGGACCCCCUACCCGAGAUCCGCUGGUUCUGACACCGACAUUGGUUCUUUCAUUGAGAGUUCCAUUGCGUCAUCACCAAAAGGUUUGAUGGCUCCAUCAAUCAUCUACAACAACGCAGUCCAGUGGGAGGUCUUCAUCCCCAGACAGAUCUUUGUAUUCGGCGGCUUCGCACUACAGGCAAACUCGCUUGGCCAUCUAGAGCAGAUAGACAGCUAUGCCCCUAGCAUCAAGUCAGGUUUCGAAGCUUGAAUUAUGUUGCCGAUAUCCACUGAGACUUGAUCUUCGAUGGAUUCGAGCCCAUGAAAUCCGCUCCCUGCCACCACGAUGAACAUGACCUAAAUCUAUCAUCGGGCCGUGCUCAGGAGAUAGCGCCUGUAACUGCUCUGGCCCUGGAUCCGGAGCAGAUUGCGUCGUCCAAGGACGAGAAGCUCAAGCCCGCCGCGGAAGCCGCAGACUUAGCAGCGUUGGAGCCACACACAUAUCCAACCUCGAGCGGGGCCUAUGUCACCGGAACCUCAGAUUCGUCUUCGGUCAUAGGUUCCGAACCGCGUGCAUCCGCGCCCAUCGAACCUGAUCAGGCGUCGAUCGUUGAGUUUAGCUCCGCGGACAUCUUCCGGCACUCACCUUUAGGCGACGUGUUAAACUCAUUAAAAGCCCUCUCCUUAUCAGGGGACUCUUGGCCGAACUAUAUCCGGUUUGGAUUGAAAGCUGAUGGCGGAGAAUUCCGCUUCCCACCCACCACCCACUUCAUAACCACUGUUGAAGACCUAACCAACAUGCCCGAUUACGACUCCGAAGACAUCAAUGGUAUGGACGAUGAUGCCGGAGAGGAGCAGGCACAAAAACCACCGCUUAUAGGGCGCUGGACAGCCACCUCCUCGUAUGACGUAUACAUGGGGGAUACACCCAAACAGAGCAACGACAGGAAUGAAAAGGAUCUAGUCGAGGAUAAGCCUCCUAAGAUAUAGCCAAAGCGCCAACGUCAGUGGCGCCGCUCUAAACAAUGUUGUGGAAAAAAGGAAAUACCCGCACAUGAGAAAAUAAUACUCCUGACAACGUCGAAGACAACAAAGACCCCGUUGAGCCAACUUCCGAACAGGAUGAACGGGAGGAUGGGCGAGUCAGCCGUAAUGAAUAGGCCGUUAACGAAGACUCGGAUGACAGUAAUUAUCUUCCACUCUCUGAGGAUGAGGCGAGCCUCAGCGACAAAGAUUUUAUCGUGCCUGAAAAGCCCGUCGCUCAGGCGCGCUUUAAGCGCCGGCUAAUAGCCACUGCAAGGUGCCUGAAAAAGAAGCAGCAGCAGCUUCAAGCUGAUCAAGAUCUGCUCAACGAUAGAUGGACUAAUGUCCUAGCAGCCGAAGAAUAUGGCCUCGAGUGCCCAACCAAAAGUUACCCGAAGCGCAAAUUGCUACCCCAAUUCUAUGACGAGGCGCCGGAGCCGGUCCUACCAGCGCAUAAUGCGGCUGACCGACCACCACGUGGCCGGGACAAAGCGGCAACUCGAGCCGAACACAAGCCCGUACUACCUCGCCAUAAAAAGAGAGACACAACAGCUCGGGGAUACACAUAUGACCUACGACGUGACUUGGAAAACAGAGCAGGUCAGACCAGAUCGAUCUAUGGAUCGCGGGGGCGUGCCCCGAUGCGCGAUGAUGACCAUCCGGCCGGACGUGACAAACAUAACCACGCCCGGGACUAAAACCGCAGACGAACUCCAUCCGAGCUACGUCGUGACUUGGAUCAAUAUAGAGGCGCCGCACAUCCCCUCUGCUUCACUGAUGAAGUAAUGGAACAUGAAUUCCCGGAAGGGUUUAAACCCGUGAACAUCGAAUCAUAUGAUGGGACAAUAGACCCCGCGGUAUGGAUUGAGGAUUUUCUCCUCCAUAUUCAUAUGGCUCGCGGUGAUGAUCUUCACGCCAUCAAAUACCUCCCGCUAAAACUCAAGGGACCUGCUCGGCACUGGUUGAACAGUCUGCCCAAAAACUCAAUUGGCAGCUGGGAGGACUUGGAAGACACCUUCCUCGACAACUUCCAGGGCACAUAUGUCCGACCUCUGGAUGCCGACGACUUAAGUCACAUAGUUCAACAGCCCAGAGAGUUAGCCAGGAAAUUCUGGAAUAGGUUCUUAACUAAAAAGAACCAGAUCGUCGACUAUUCGGAUGCUGAAGCCCUAGCGGCCUUUAAACAUAGCAUCCGUGACGAAUGGCUCGCCCGACACCUCGGCCAAGAAAAGCCGAAGUCCAUGGCAGCGCUCACGACGCUUAUAACCCGCUUCUAUGCUGGCGAAGAUAGCUGGCUAGCCCGUAGCAAUAACAAUACAAGCGAACCUGGCACUUCUGAAGCCAGAAACAACAACGGCAAGCCCCGACGCAACAGACACAAGCGUCAAAACAACGGUGACAACACGGAGGACACGACGGUCAACGCCGGAUUCAGUGGCUCUAAGUCCGGUCAGUGGAAGAAGCCAUAUAAAAGAAAUAGUGUGGGCUCGUCUAGCUUGGACCGCAUACUCGAUCGUCCAUGUCAAAUCCACGGCACUCCUGACAAACCAGCCAAUCAUACCAACAGAGUCUGUUGGGUUUUUAAACAGGCUGGCAAGUUAAAUGCCGAGAACAAGGAGAAAGGGUCGCAAAGCAAGGACGAUGACGAGGAGCCCCGGCCACCGAACACAGGGGGACAGAAGAAGUUCCUCCCCCCUGCCAAGUUAAAACGGUAAACAUGAUAUACGCUACCCAUAUCCCCAAGAGGGAGCGCAAGACACGCUCAGGGACGUCUACGCGAUGGAGCCAGUUGCCCCAAAGUUCAACCCAUGGUCGUCCUGCCCGAUCACCUUCGAUCGCAGGGACCACCCGAGCAGUAUCCGUCAUGGCGGUUCAGCUGCACUGGUCCUCGACCCUAUCAUUGAUGGAUUCCAUCUUACACGAGUCCUCAUGGACGGUGGCAGCUGCCUGAACCUGCUAUCAGGAUAUAGUGCGCAAAAUGGGUAUUGAUCCCUCAAGUAUCAAGCCCACAAAAACAACCUUUAAAAGAGUCAUACCAGGUGUAGAGGCCCGCUGUACGGGCUCAAUCACACUUGUGGUGGUCUAAGGGUCCCCGGACAACUUCUGAAGCGAAGAAUUGAUCUUCGAUAUCGCCCCCUUCUGAAGUGGCUAUCACGCACUGCUUGGACGAACCGCAUUCGCUUGAUUCAGUGCGGUGUCACACUAUGCUUAUCUCAAGCUCAAGAUGCCCGAACCACGCGACAUUAUAACAGCCAAUGGAAACACGAAAUGCUCCCUCCGUACGAAGGAACACACCGCUGCCCUCGCAGCAGAAGUACAGAGCAGCCUUUUCAGGCAGAACCUUAAUUCAGCGGCCAAGCUCCCGGACACUGUCAAGCGAGUCUGAACUACUCUGCAGCAGGACAAUCCAGCUCGUCAAGAGCUUGACUAGCAAUUCGGCCUCUAUCUCAGUCCCGACCAAACGGCGGCAUUCGUACCGUGCGUAGAUAACUACGCACUCAAAAUACCGACCAGAUCGACAGCUACGCCCCUGGUCAUUAGAUCAGUUUUAGAAAUCUAAACUAUGUCGCUGAUAUCCAAGGAUACUUGAUCUUACAAGGGUUCGUGGCCCCAGCCAGCGCUCUGGCCUUAGAUGCGGAGCACAUCACCAGGUCUGAAGACGGGAGUUUAAAGCCCGCCGGACUCUCUGCAGCUGUAGAGCUUGACACCGGAGAACCAGAGGGGAUCACGCGUCACCAGCAGGCCCAGAGUCAUGCCAGACUCCCUUUAUCAUCAUGAAGCCAGACUCGCCUCCGGAGACUAGCUCUGAACUCUCGAGGUCUGUGUCAUGGGAGCUCGGCCAGGGAACUUCCAUCCCGCCCAACUCCACAGACUCUCGCUUCCCCGUCCAAACCUCGCUCCUAAACGAGGCCCUGGACUUAAUGCGAUCUCUCGCCAUUGUAGAAGAAUCACUGCCAAACUACGCCCAGCCCAUACUAAGGGCUGACGAUGGGGAAUUUUAAGUCCCACCCACCAUCCACUUUGUAGCCACUCUCAAGGAUUUAAUCGACAUGCUCGACUAUGAUUCUGAAGGCAUCGACGGUAUGGACGAUGAUGCCGGAGAUAGGAAGAGACAGAACCCGCCAAUCACCGGACUCUGGAUGGCCACUUCGACAUACAACGUGCACAUGGUGGGCACACCCAAAGUGGAUGAUGACGAUAGCAGGAAGGAUCCAGUUGAGUACAAACCUGCUAAAGCACCUCUGAAGCGUCGACGUCAGCGGCACCGCUGAAAAUCGCGUAGCGACAAAGACUGGAACACCGACACCGGAGACAAUAACACUUCGGAGAAUGCCAAAGACCCUGAAUCCCCUAUCGAUCCAACAUCCGAACAGGACGCUUGGGAGGAUGGGCAAAUUAACGCUGAUGAACUGAUCGGGAACGAGGACUCAGAGGAUAGUAAUUAUCUACCACCCUCUGAGGAUGAUGUAAGCCUUGGCGACGAAGAUUUCAUCAUGCCGGAGGAACCCCUAGAACAAGAGCUCUUUAAGCGCCGGCUAAUAGCCACUACAAGAAGCCUUAAAAAUAAGCAACAUCAGCUUAAAGCUGAUCAGGAUUUGCUCAAUGACAGAUGGACAAAUGUCCUGGCAGCCGAGGAAUACGGCCUCGAACGCCCAACUAAGAGUUUCCCGAAGCGCAAGCUGCUAACCCAAUUUGACGAUGAGGCUCUGAAGCCUAUACCGACAACGCAUAAUGCUACUGACGGACUUGAAUGACCAUGUCGUGGCCGGGACAGAGUGGAAACUCAAGCCGAACACCAGCCCGCACCACCUCGCCGAGGCAGAGAGACAGCGGCUGCAGGACACACGUAUGACCUACAACAGGACCUGGACAAUAGAGCCGGUCAUACUAGACCAGUCUAUGGAUCAAAGGGGCGUGUCCCAGCGCGAGAAGACGGCCAUCAGGCCUGGCGCGACAAGCAUAUCCUCACUCGGGCCGAAAAUCGCAUACGGACAUCAUCCGCACUACGUCGUGACGUUGCCUGAUACAGAGGCGCCGCACACCCCCUAUGCUUCAUCGAUGAGGUAAUGGAGCACCAGUUCCCAGAAGGGUUUAAACCCGUCAAUAUUGAAUCAUACAAUGGCACAACAGAUCCCGCGGUAUGGAUUGAAGAUUUUCUUCUCCACAUCCACAUGGUCCGCGGUGAUGACCUACAGGCCAUCAAAUAUCUCCCCCAAAAACUUAAGGGACCAGCAUGGCACUGGCUGAACAGCCUCCCAGAAAACUCUAUUGGUAUCUGGGAAGACUUGGAGGACGCCUUCAGAGACAACUUCCAAGGUACCUAUGUUCGGCCCCCAGACGCUGAUGACCUUAGUCACAUAAUCCAGCAACCCAGAGAAUCAGCCCGCAAGCUCUGGGCCAGGUUAUUAAUCAAAAAGAACCAUAUUGUGGACUGUCCGGACGCCGAAGCCCUUCCGUCCUUCAAACGCAUCGUCCGAGAUGAGUGGCUCGCCCGACACCUCGGCCAAGAAAAGCCGAAAUCCAUGGCAUCCCUUACCACACUUAUGACCCGCUUUUGUGAGGGAGAAGAUAGCUGGCUAUCUCAUAGAAGCAAUAGCACCAGCGACCCAGGCACCUCCGAAGCCAGGGACGACAAUGGCAAGCCACGACGCGACAAGCACAAGCAUCGAAACAAUAAAAAAGACACGGCGGUCAAAUCCGGUCAACGAAAGAAGCCAUUCAAAGGAAACAGAGAUGGUCCAUCCAGUUUGGACAGAAUACUUGAUCGGCCUUUGCCGGAUUCAUGGCACCCCCAAUAAACCUGCCAAUCACACCAACAGAAACUAUUGGGUCUUUAAACAGGUCGGCAAGCUAAAUGUCGAACACAAGGGGAAAAGGCCGCGUAGCGAGGACGACGAUGAAGAGCCUCGUCCACCGAACACAGGGGGGCAGAAGAAAUUUCCCCCGAUGUCAAAAUGGUGAAUAUGAUCUACGCCACUCACAUCCCCAAGCGGGAGAGCAAGCGCGCAUUAAGGGACGUCUACGCUGUAGAGCCGGUCGCCCCAAAAUUCAACCCAUGGUCAGCUUGUCCGAUCACCUUCCAUCGAAAGGAUCGCCCGACCAGUCUCCGACACGGAGGUUCGGUAGCUUUGGUCCUUGACCCAAUCAUCGACGGAUUCCACCUCAUGCGAGUACUCAUGGACGGCGGCAGUAGUCUUAACCUGCUUUACCAGGACACUAUCUGCAAAAUGGGUAUUGAUCCAUCAAGAAUCAAGCCCACUAAAACUACCUUCAAAGGAGUAAUACCUGGUGUAGAGGCCCGUUGCUCGGGCUCAAUAACAUUGGUAGUCGACUUCGGCUCGCCAGACAACUUCCGCAGCAAUGACUUAAUCUUUGAUAUCGUCCCCUUAAACUUCCGCAUUGGUUAUCAUGCACUACUCGGACGGACCGCUUUCGCUCGAUUCAACACGGUCCCACACUACGCUUAUUUAAAGCUCAAGAUGCCCGGUCCACGUGGCGUCAUAAUAGUCAUUGGAAACACAAAAGGCUCCCUCUGUAUGGAGGAGCACACCGUGGCCCUUGCGGCCGAAGUACAGGGCGGCCCUAUAAAGCCGCACACCUCAUCGGCCAUCAAACCGCCGGACAUUGUUAAACGAGUUCGGUCAGUUCCGCAUGCUGACAGCUCAGUCAUUCCAGAGCUCGACUAGAAAUUUUGCCUCCGUCGAACGCCACACACACCCACUGAGUUCGUACAGCACAUGCAUAUUUAUCCACUCAAAAUACCUUGGGUGUCAACGGAGGCACAAUACGGACAGGUCUAUAGUAUGGUUUGACCCUGUAUGACCCUCCACCUUUUUCAUUCGAUUAUUUUUUCUCUUCUACCACAGGUGCAUUCAAACCUACAUAUCCUAUGGACUUACAAGGACUCUUUUUGAGCCGAGUCUCGUGUGGACAGCCGAGGACCAUUCGUCUUAAGGAACCCCUCUCUCCAAGGCGAAAGCGGCGCAAACGUGCGGCAGGAUGUCCAAAGGAUUCUUUAGACCAAACUUUAUUCAAAGGACCUGUAUCAAGCUCUUCUCCUUAUUCCUAGAUCCCCAGCAUGUAAAAUGUCUUUGGUAUUUAUGGUGCCCUCUAUAAGAUCACGUUUUGACGUAUCAAUCGGAUUCUAGUGAGGACAAUUUUUUUCGGUAUCAACCUUAUUCGUAAAACUGUAUUCAGUCUCCCCAGUUGUUUGACUCACACACCAUGGCACCCAUUGCCAGGGGCUCUAUGUGGCCACAUAUGUGUCGCCAAACACAAGCCCGAAUAGCUUUAUAUCACACUUUGGCGUCCGGACUUGGCAUUAUAUGCAUCGGCUCCGAAUCAUGUCUUUGGUCAAUAGUUGGGUUGCCCGGCUCCUAUGUUUACUACCUUACGUUUUGUUUCUUCAGCUAGGGUAGUAAAGGGAGAACUACUGCGAUUGUGUUUCUGGUUCAUCCAGUCAAACACCUCAGUAGAGAAAGCCGAAAACUGACUGUCAUGAUGCGGCGAGAGCUGGUCAGCCACUCGGCGACUUACUAAAUCUUUAGCGGUUUUUUCCGUAAUAUACCAAAGACUAUUUUUCCGGUCACAUACGUAAUGCAUCCGCAUCCAGAUAGUUGUGUACAUACCAGGGGCUAUCUUAUAGCCCCAUCGUCAAACUCCUAUGACUAAGUGAGAGUGGUAAAGCCAUAUGGUCCGAUUGCCUGGUUCGCCGCACUGACACCUCCUUUACAGACCAAGACAUUCGGUCAAGUGUGCUCAUGUGCCAUUCCGAACACCCCCGUAGUAUCUACGUGGGGGCCGAAGCCGAGGACUGGACAACUCACAGGAAUACAACAACGGUCGCACAGGAGGAAAUAACUUUUAGACAAUGGCACAAAUAUAUCACAAAGCCUUAAUAUAUAUAAUAAACACGUCCGGGUCAUUCGGAUACAUUCUCUAACAUAAUGUCCGUUGAGCAUUGACCCUCUAUCAAGCGAGCACCCUCUAGGACAUCUUCUAAGUAGCUCUCCGGCAUGCGGUGGCCCUUGCCUCCGGGAGGACCCUCAACGGCAAUAACGGCAUCCUUCAUCUUCGCGCGGUGCAUCUUGACGUGGGCAAAGGCCAUCCAUGCAUGUCAGAGUAAAUGGCCACGUGUAGCCUAGCCGGCUCCCCCUGGCUCUUCAAAAAAUAACAGGUCGAUCGAGCCUUCAAGUACCCAAGACACGGGGCCGCCUUCCCCCGGCUGCCUAUCCCACAAGCCGACUACCGGAAGGCGCCCGGCCCUAAAACCCCAUGAAGAAAGCCGCGAGAGGGCCGAAUCCAAUAAGCCGGCCACGAGAUGACCGACUCCAAGAAGCCGGCCCCCGACAGGCGGCCAAGAUCGUGCCCUCAAAGUCUGCACCCACAUAACGGAGAUGGGACGGGGCGUGGCAACAGAGAGGCCUGCCACCCCCGAAUCCCGGAGCACGCAUGGCCACAAUAUGCCGUACGGGGCAGCCAUGACCCGUCCGGCGGGGCACUGUUGCCACACUGACCAUGACGCCACCCACGAUAGGCUGUCAGUACGGCCCGCAGGCGGCGGGCCCCUUCGGCCAGAGAGACAUCCGAGGGCGGCCACGCUUCCCCUAGUCGGCCUGGGACGUAGCUGGCUCUCACCAGCCGGCUCGCUCCCUCCCUCAAAGUAUGUGCACCAUUAAGGAGACAAGACGAGGUAAGGCUAUAGUGAGAACCCACUAGGUGGCGGCACUAUAGCCAUGCUUACCUCGACAAAGCCCUCGUCAUCAAGAGUGAGGCAACAGUAACCAGCCCCCGACAAGACCCCCAAGCGGUGGGACCUACCUGUCGACCAGGAGGCCGGCAGCCGGCGGGACCCACCAGUCGAUGGGCCCCAGCGGUCGGCGAAAAAGCCGGCAAGCUUAGACACUGACGGCUGGAGCCCAUGCCCAGCCGGAUUACCAUUGUACCCCUUGGGGGGUUGGCCUAUAUAAACCCCCCAGGGCACCCAUGCAAAGGGUUGGACUCUGAUAGUUUUAGACACAACAUUGAGGCGAGAAGAGAGCUAGCCUUGCCCUUCUUCUUCCUCUCGCCAAACAGCUCAAGGAGCCUCUUGUAGCCACUUGUUGAUCUAGUGAUCAGGCGGAGACCCCGCAGAGCAGGACUAGAGGUGCUAUCUCCACGGAGAGCCCCGAACCUGGGUAAGAUCCGCCGGCGUGCAUGUCUUCGCCUCAUCCCGUUUCCAGGCACCGGCGAUGUCUUAUUGGCUCCCACAAUGAUAAGCCACCCGUUGGCAUAUGUCGCACCUACCACCCGACAUUUGGCGCCCACCGUGGGGCCAAGUGCACCGUCGUCCGGAGACCUGCUCUAGACGGGAACCCUUUUCCUUCCCAGCGAGCGUAGCCAGCCCGGCAAGCCCGAUGGCGCUUGCCCCGACACGCUGCAAGGUGUCGACGACGCCUGCGCAAUGAGCUGCCUCGCCGAUCUUCUUCGCAAGGCUCGCAUCUCCGACGAGCCCACGUCCGACGCGGGCAUAGGCUGCCCCGAGAGCCGCCUCGUCAGCCUCCUUGACCAACUCUACGUCUCCAGCGAGCCUGCUGCGGAUUUGGAGUCAGUUGGCUCCAUCGACCCGAUGCUUGUCGACUCCGACACGGCAUCGCUUGACGCCUUCCCCACCAACAUGGUGGUCUUCGACGACCCUCUCCCUCGAGCCGACAGCGGCGGUAGCAUGAUGUCUACUAUGCAACCUUCUUCUUGUAGACGUUGUUGGGCCUGCAAGUGCACAGGUUUGUACGACAGUAGCAAAUUUCCCUCAAGUGGAUGACCUAAGGUUUAUCAAUCCGUGGGAGGCGUAGGAUGAAGAUGGUAUCUCUCAAGCAACCCUGCAACCAAAUAACAAAGAGUCUCUUGUGUCCCCAACACACCCAAUACAAUGGUAAAUUGUAUAGGUGCACUAGUUCGGCGAAGAGAUGGUGAUACAAGUGUAAUAUGGAUGGUAGAUAUAGGUUUUUGUAAUCUGAAAAUAUAAAAAUAGCAAGGUAACAAGUGGUAAAAGUGAGCGUCAACGGUAUUGCAAUGAUAGGAAACAAGGCCUAGGGUUCAUACUUUCACUAGUGCAAGUUCUCUCAACAAUAAUAACAUAGAUAGAUCAUAUAACAAUCCCUCAACAUGCAACAAAGAGUCACUCCAAAGCCACUAAUAGCGGAGAAAAAACAUAGAGAUUAUGGUAGGGUACGAAACCACCUCAAAGUUAUUCUUUUCAAUCAAUCCAUUGGGAUAUUCCUAUAAGUGUCACAAACACCCCUAGAGUUCAUACUAGAAUAACAACUUAAGACACAAAUCAAUCAAAACCCUAAUGUCACCUAGAUACUCCAUUGUCACCUCAUGUAUCCAUGGGCAAGAUUAUACGAUAUGCAUCACACAAUCUCAGAUUCAUCCAACCAACAUAAAAGUACUUCAAAGAGUGCCCCAAAGUUUCUACUGGAGAGUCAAGAACAUGUGCCAACCUCUAUGCAUAGGUUCAUGGGCGGAACCCACAAGUUGGUCACCAAAACAUACAUCAAGUGGCACCUGAUAUUCCAUUAUCACCACGGAUAAACACGGCAAGACAUACAUCAAGUGUUCUCAUAAAAGACUCAAUCCGAUAAGAUAACUUCAAAGGGGAAACUCAAUUCAUCGCAAGAGAGUAGAGGGGAAGAAACAUCAUAAGAUCCAACUACAAUAGCAAAGCUCGGAAUACAUCAAGAUCGUGCCAUAGAGGGAACACGAGAGAGAGAGAGAGAGAGAGCAAACACAUAGCUACUGGUACAUACCCUCAGCCCCGAGGGUGAACUACUCCCUCCUCGUCAUGGAGAGCACCGGGAUGAUGAAGAUGGUCACCGGUGACGGUUCCCCCCUCCGGCAGGGUGCUGGAACAGGGUCCCGAUUAGUUUUUCGUGGCUCUGGAGGUUUUCCGGCGGCGGAACUCCUGAUCUAUCUUCUUUUCUGGAAGUUUUACGAUACGUAGGUAUAUAUGGGUGAAAGGAGUACGUCGGUGGACCAAAGGGGGGCCACGAGGCAGGGGGGCGCGCCCCAGGGGGGUGGGCGCGCCCCCUACCCUCAUGAGCACCUCCCUUCUUUCCUGACAUGCACUCCAAGUCCAUCGGGUGGCUUUCCUUCCAAAAAUAACUUCUCUAGUUGAUUUCGUUCCGUUCUGACUCCGUCUGAUAUUCCUUUUCCUCGAAACACUGAAAUAGGCAUAAAACAGCAAAUCUGGGCUGGGCCUCCGGUUAAUAGGUUAGUCCCAAAAAUAAUAUAAAAGUGGAUAAUAAAGCCCAAUAUUGCCUAAAACAGUAGAUAAUGUAGCAUGGAGCAAUCAAAAAUUAUAGAUACGUUGGAGACAUAUCACAGCACCGUCACCGAGGUGCUAGUCAUCAGCCACGGCGUCGCCUCUGGCGAGAACGCCCACGACGCCCUGCAAGCGGCGGUGCACGACUUGUCCGCCCCCAUCCCGGCCGAUGCCGACACCGAGACGCUGGAGGCACGCCACCUCGCCCUCAUUGCGGAGGGCCAGAACAUAGCCACCGUGAGACGCCUCACUGAGGCUCACCAGCGCGAAGUCGACCGCGCCGCCUUUGGUACGCCGCCUCCCGAUGGGCUGAGCCGGGCCGGUGUUGUCAAGAAGCACGGCGUGGCCAUCGGCGACAUGCUGGGAGUAGACCGCCCAGUCUACGCCACGCCUCUCGAGAACCUACGCGCCGCCCAGUCGGUCAUAGACGAGCUGAAUGGACUGGGGGCCGACGAGCUCCCCUACAUGACCAGACGCAUCCAGCAGUUGAUCGACGCAGCCGCAGAGCGGCAUGAAGCCGACGUCCACGCUGGAAGCCCCCCCCCCCACGCCGAGAACACGGCGCGACGUCACGGAUGCCGACUACAGGCGGCACCCGCACAAGGCAAGAAAAGGAGCCGGCUGCUAGUCACAGUCGGACUCGAGUCACCAUCGAGCGCGACGCAGAAGGCCGCCCUCGAGCUGUGGAGCGGCGAGGCGAACCGCCUCCUCCUCCGCCUCGUGGGGAGAGAUACCCCACCCCGCCGCCUGUCACGCAUCCGACUCUCAGCGGCCGACUAGGCCGCCGUGAAGGAGUCGGCGAGAAUGACGUCCGCCAUCGGAUCGACCACCUAGCGCAAUCCCCGGUGCUAGAAGAAGAUGAUGAUGUCGGCCUGCCCUGCUUUGGCCCCCACAUCUGCGACGAGCCCUUCCCCAAAGGGUUCUCGCUCCUGAGAGACAUGCCCAAGUACAACGGCCCCGUGAAGCCGGAAGAUUGGUUGAUCGAUUACUCCACCGCAGUUCGCAUAGCAAACGGCAACAGGCGUGUUGCCGUGAAAUAUGUCCCCUGAUGCUCCAGGGCACGGCGCGCACCUGGCUCAACAACCUCAAGCCUUAUAGCGUCAAUAGCUGGCUAGAAUUCACAGAAGCCUUCAUCCGCAACUUCACCAGCACCUACAAACAGGCUCCCAAGCCCCGACAACUCUCCUGGUGUGUUCAAGGGCCCAAUGAAUCAACUCGUGACUACCUCACGCGUUGGGCCGAGCUCCGCAACUCCUGCGAGGGGGUGCACGAGGUUCAAGCCAUAGAGUACUUCACCGCCGGGUGCCGAGAAGGCACCCUCCUCAAGCACCGACUCCUCUGCGAUGAGCUGACUACCCUCGACGAGCUGCAGAUUAUAGAAGACAAGUACGCCACGGCCGACUCUUCAAUGAAAACCGAGCUUCGAGUAGACGCCUUCGGGAAGGUGCUCGCUCUGGCUCCCAAGACGCCGGCUGGAGACUCCAGCCGACGCCCGUACCAGAACGACAACAAGCGCAAGGCUCCUGUGCCGCCUUCCACCUGUCGGCAAGUGGCCACAGUCGAAGACGAACAGCCCAAAGGGCGGCCGGCGCCCAAGAAGCAGAAGGGCGGCAGGCCGGCUUGGCAGCCGGCUUUCUCCUACGAGCAAGCCCUUGAUGCCCCCUGCAAGUUCCAUAGCGGCGUGAAGGCGUCCAACCACACGACUCGGAAAUGCCAUUGGCUCACUCGAAUCUCCAAGGGCAAAGGGCUGGUGCCGCCUCCACCUGCUGGCCAGCCGCCUCCAGCCCCUCAGCAGUCGGCCGCUCGGCCAGCGGUCGGGCCUGUUCAAGACGAGUUCCCUGACGAACAUGCCGCCUACGUCGUCUUUACAAGCCAGCCUGAAGACCGGCGCAGCCGGCACCGACAGCACCAAGAAGUCAAUGCGGUCGCCUCCAACAACCCCGAGUUCAUGCACUGGUCGGAGAAGCCUAUCAACUGGAGCCAGGCCGAUCACCCAGAGGUGAUGCCUUCUCUCGGCUCUUAUGCAUUGGUUUUGGACGCUACCCUCGCAACAGAAAGGCGAGCAGCCCGUUUCUCCCGCGUGCUGAUAGAUUGCGGGAGCAGCAUCAACAUACUGUACUAUGGCACCAUGGAGAAGCUGAACAUGAAGAUGAAGUAGCUCAUGCCUAGUCGGACUGUGUUCCAUGGCAUCGUACCUGGCAUGUCUUGCUCACCAAUUGGCAAGAUCAAGAUAGAUGUCCUCUUUGAAGACAAGGAUCAUUUCCGCCGAGAAGCAAUAUGGUUUGAAGUAGUGGAUCUAGAGAGCCCCUACCACGCAUUGCUUGGCCGACCUGCUCUGGCCAAGUUCAUGGUUGUGCCCCACUAUGCCUACCUCAAGAUGAAGAUGCCGAGUUCCAAGGGCAUCAUCACCGUAGCCGGAGACUACAAGAAAUCCUCUGAGUGUGCGGCAGCUAGCAGCCGGCUGGCCGAGUCCCUCGUGAUUGCUGAAGAGAAAAAGAUGCUGGACCGAGUCGUGGCUAUGGCCGGCAAGCGGUCGGCCCUGUCCCCCGACCCCAAGGAAUAUGAUGAUCAAGGUUCUUUCCAGCCGUCCAAAGAAACAAAGAAGAUACCUCUGGACCCGGAGCACCUGGAGAGGCACGUUGUCGUAGGCACCGGCCUUGACGGCAAAUAGGAAAGCGAGCUCAUCGAUUUCCUCCGUGAGAAUUGGGACAUCUUCGCAUGGUCUCCCAAAGACAUGUCGGGUGUUCCGACGGAUUUCGCCGAGCACAAGCUACAUGUCCGAUCUGACGCCAAGCCGGUCAAGCAGCCCUUGCGCCGCAUGUCAAAAGAAAAGAGAAGAGUAGUCGGAGAAGAAACAGCCCAGCUUCUAGUAGCCGGCUUCAUUAUGGAGGUGUUCUUCCCAGAAUGGCUUGUCAACCCGGUCCUGGUGUUGAAGAAGAACAAGCAGUGGCGCAUGUGCAUUGACUACACCAGCCUCAACAUAGCCUGCCCUAAAGAUCCAUUUUCUCUACCAAGGAUUGAUCAAGUGAUAGACUCCACAGCCGGAUGUGAGCUGUUGAGCUUCUUGGAUGCUUACUCAGGCUACCACCAGAUAAAAUUGGACCCAGCUGACCGCCUGAAGACCGCCUUCAUCACACCAUUCGGAGCUUUCUGUUACCUGACUAUGACAUUCGGCUUGAGAAAUGCCGGUGACACUUUUCAGCGUUGCAUGCAGAAAGCAGCUCGGCAAAAAUGUCCAUGUCCAUGUAGACGAUAUUGUGGUGAAGAUGGAGAAACGCGACACCUUGCUGGAAGAUCUCAGAGAGACAUUUGAAAAGCUGCGUCGGUUUCAAAUCAAGCUCAAUCCCGAGAAAUGCGUGUUUGGAGUACCAGCCGGCCAGCUCCUAGGCUUCCUGGUCUCCGAAUGCGACAUUGAAUGCAACCCAGUGAAGAUCAAGGCCAUAGAGAGAAUGGAGAUUCCUACCAAGCUGCGAGACGUCCAAAAGUUUACUGGAUGCCUGGCCUCCAUCAACCGCUUCAUCAGCCGGCUCAGAGAGAAGGCUCUCCCCCUCUACCGACUCAUGAAGAAAUCCACUCACUUCGAGUGGAAUGACCAAGAAGACCAAGCUUUCCACGAGCUAAAGAAGAUGCUGGCCAUACCGCCUGUCUUGGCGGCACCGACUGAGAAAGAGCCCAUGCUCCUUUACAUUGCCGCCACUAGCCGGGUGGUUAGCACCGUUAUCGUGGUUCAGCGCCUAGAAGAAGGCCGAGCUCAGUUAGUCCAGACGCCGGUAUAUUAUCUGAGUGAAGUGUUGUCCACCUCGAAGCAGAACUACCCACACUAUCAGAAGAUGUGCUAUGGUGUGUACUUCGCCGCCAAGAAGCUCAAGCCCUACUUUCAAGAGCACCCAUCACGGUCGUAUGUACUGCCCCACUCGCCAAGAUCAUAGGCAGCCAGGAUGCAUCCGGUCGGGUGGCAAAAUGGGCCAUUGCGUUGGCUCCUUAUACGAUCUUCUACCAACCCCGCACAGCCAUCAAAUCCCAGGCAUUGGCCGACUUCCUUGUCGACUGGGCCGAGACCCAGUACCUGCCGCCGGCCCCCGACUCCACUCAUUGGCGGAUGCACUUUGAUGGAUCCAAGAUGCGCACUGGCUUGGGAGCCGGCAUCGUCCUCACCUCUCCCAAGGGCGACAAGCUCAGAUACACAUUGCAAAUUCAUUUUACCUCCUCCAGCAAUGUGGCCAAGUACGAGGCGCUCAUACACGGGCUCAGGCUAGCCAAAGAACUCGGCAUCCGCUGGAUCCUGUGCUAUGGCGACUCGGAUUUGGUAGUCCAGCAAUCAUCUGGCGACUGGGACGCCAAGGACGCAAACAUGGCGAGCUACCGCUUCCUCGUUCAGAAACUCAGCGGAUAUUUUGAAGGAUGCGAGUUCCUCCACGUGCCACGGGCCGACAACGAGAAAGCAGAUGCCCUGGCACGAAUAGGUUCCACCCGACAAGCUAUACCAACCGGCGUCUAUCUCCAAUGCCUCCUCAAGCCGUCUGUCAAGCCAUCUCCAGAAUCUGAUUCCAUCUUCGUGCCUCCUAACCCCGACGCAGUCGGAUCCAGCUUGGGGAACCAAGCAGGCGGCUCGGGGACUUCGACAGGCGGCUCGGGGACUGUUACAGUCGCACCUGUCCCGGGGACUGCAUCGACACGACAGGCGGUGGCCGACUCCAACUCUUCACCACCCAGCCCACCCGCCCGGGUCGCAGUAGCCGUAUUGGCAAUAGAAGAAGUCAUAGCUCCAUCAUGGGCCCAGCCCAUCCUCAACUUCCUAGUAAACAGAGAGCUGCCGACUGACGAGAUCUCGGCAAGGCAAGUCCAACACCGAGCCGGAGCUUACACAAUAAUGAACUGAGAGCUUGUUAGGCGCAGCGUCACUGGAGUCUUCCAGCGCUGCGUCGAACCAGAGAAGGGCAUAGCAAUCCUCAAGGACAUCCACCAAGGUGAAUGCGGCCACCACGCAGCCUCAAGAUCACUCGUCGCCAAAGCUUUUCGCCAUGGGUUCUUCUGGCCGACUGCUUUGGAAGACGCCAAGGAGUUAGUCAAACACUACAAAGGGUGCCAAGUCUUCAGCUCCAAGCAACACCUACCGGCUUCCGCACUCAAGACCAUCCCCCUCACCUGGCCCUUUGCCGUCUGGGGACUGGACAUGGUGGGCCCAUUCAAGAUGGCGCGCGGCGACAUAACACAUCUGCUCGUCGCUGUGGACAAAUUUACCAAGUGGACUGAAGCAAAGCCGAUCAAAAAGCUGAAUGGGCCAACUGUCGUGACAUUCAUUGCAGAUAUUACAACCCAGUAUGGCAUACCACACAGCAUCAUCACCGACAACGGCACGAAUUUUGCCAAGGGAGCACUGGCACGUUUCUGUGCAACACAGGGCAUCCGACUAGACUUAGCGUCUGUUGCCCACCCGCAGUCAAACGGCCAAGUCGAGCGAGUAAACGGCCUCAUCCUCUCUGGCAUCAAGCCCUGAUUGGUCGUGCCACUGGAGCGUUCGGCCGGCUGUUGGCUCGACGAGCUACCGGCCGUCCUCUGCAGCUUGCGCACUACCCCAAACAAGUCAACCGGCUUCACCCCUUUCUUCCUUGUAUAUGGUGCCGAGGCUGUCAUCCCAACUAACAUUGAGUUCGACUCACCUUGGCUCACCAUGUACAUGGAGGCAGAGGCCAAGGAAGCGCGAGAAGACGGCGUCGACCUGCUGGAAGAGGGUCGGCUGUUAGCCCUCAGCCGGUCCGCCAUCUACCAGCAGGGUCUACACCGUUACCAUAGCCAGAAGGUCAAGCCAAGAUCCUUCCAAGAGGAUGAUCUUGUGCUCCGGCUGAUCCAGCGAACAGCCGGCCAGCACAAGCUCUCGGUCCCUUGGGAAGGCCCAUUCGUCAUCAGACGGGCUUUAGGCAACGACUCCUACUACCCUAUCGACGCGCAGAAGCCGAAGGCACACAAGAGGGAUGAUUCCGGCAAGCAGUCGGGACGACCAUGGAAAGUCAAUCUCCUCCGAAGAUUUUAUAGUUGUGACACUCCAAAAUUUUUAUUUGGUUUUUAUCAAAAACUUUGUGGUUUUUGAAGAGAGGCCUUUUAAAAUUUUCUUUCAGAAAACCUUCCUCUUAAAAAACUUCCUUUGCUUUGGCUAGGAUUUUAUUUUUUCAAACUUUGGUGUUUGAACCUUUUGAAACUUCUUCUCUGUUGGUUUCCUCUCAAAUUUAUUUUGGGAGUUUAAUCUUUUUUCUUUUAAAAAGAACUCUAUGAAAAACUUGGGAUUUUCAUAUCUUGAAAACCACCCAUGACUUUGCAUUUUUGCCCAUGUGAUAAAACCCUUCCAAAACCUCCCCUACUCCUUGUGAUCAACCUAAGUUCUCUGUCCCAACUAAUCCAAGCAAGUUUUGGAUUUUAUUCUAAUUAUUUUUCCUCUCAAAUCAAUUCUGAAAAUUAUUUGGAGCCUGAGUAAUUUUCAAAGCAAGUACCACUUUGCCUUUGAAUUUUGAUCCCAAACCAACUCUCCUGGAUAGUCCUUUGUACCCACAACCCAGAACCAUCUUGAACCACUCCUCCUCUUUUCAAAUUUUUCAAAAUUCAGUCUCUGCAAGUUUGGACCAGAUUUGCCAAAUUUGAUGAAAUUCAUAUCUACACUCCUCCAAAAAUUCCACCAAAAUUCAGGCAGCCUACUUGAGCAAUGAGAAGCCACUCCACCAAAAAUCAGCUCAAGGAAAAAUCACCAGAGGCCAAAUUCAUUCUGUCGAACACCUUGCAGGCACUGUUAUUGUUCAAAAUUCAGAAAAUUCAGUUUGCAGUGUCGUUUUCGUCCGUCAGUUUCUAUCACGCGUAGACAGUGCGCUUGGCUCGAUGCUCGCAGCCCCUCCCUCUUGUCCGGAGCUUCACACGCGUGCGUGGAGCCUUCCUGGCGUCGGUGACACGCUGGCCCGCCCUCGCCGGCGUCUUCUGCGGCGUCAGGACCUCCCGUGGCGGCCUACAGGGGACAAGAACGGCGGCUCAACGCCGUUCCGUGCCGCCCAUCGCCCCUAUGCUCUCCGCGUGGCCUCAUGCGUGCCAGCGCACGCCCGUGGCACCGCCACCGUGGCCGGCAAGCACGGGACGCUCUCCCUGCCGCCGACGGGCCCGCGCCGCCCCGUUCUGUCGAACUCACCCCCAACGCACCAAACUCCAGCUCGAUUAGCGCCUAAACGGAACCGUGGACCUCCUCGAUGACGCCCAACGUUCUAAUUACCCCGACCAAGCCCUGCGCCGCCGUAAUCACUCGCCGGAGACCCCCGUUCAUGGCAACCGCCUCGGGCCGCCUAUAAAAAGGGCCCCCAAGCUCACCCUCGUGCACGCAUCAUCACCACUCCUCACCAACACCCCGCCAGGCUACUAGGAGGACCUGAAGGAGGUCUCCUCCCCCAACUCCGGCCGCCCCGAUCCGCCUCGGCCUCCACCAUGAUUCGCUCAGGUGAGGCCAUCUCCGGCGCCAAAACCCCGUCCGUUACCCUCUCUAGCUACCAGGAGCCUAACCCCCUCCUCAAUUUGAUCUCUGCAGCCCUCUCCGACGAGUUCCUCGACCACCCGAGCCGCCGUCCGCCGGAGCAAAGCUCGCCGUCGACAUGGUACUCGCCGGCGACCACCACCACCACCAACCGACGCGGAAUGGCGCCCUGAGCACGGAGGUACCCUCCGAUCCCCCUGCCUCGCCGUGGAUCGCCGCCGGCGACCACCGCGGCUCUCGGGCACCGACGAGCUUCGCCCCCCCUUUUUUGAAAGUUUAAACCUGACGAGUGGGACCCCACCGUCAGCCUCUCUGCUCUCUCUUUUGAAACGUUUUCUGGAAGCGCCUUCGGGCAAAAUGCGCUUUCCCCUCUGGGCUGGCGUAUUCAACACUGGAACGUUUGCUGUUUUUAUAAACUAGCCCCUGGAAAUCUUCUGUUUCAUUACAGAUGAGUCCCUGGACAAAAACCCUUAUAACUUUUAAACAGAAAAGUAUUUUUGAUUGAUUCUUUUUCUGUUCUCUUUAAAAUUUUGUCUAGUUUUUUAUCAGAUUUAUUUGAAAAAUAUUUGGAAUAUUUUUGUGCAUUCCUUGGUAUUUACGAUAGCGCAUAUAUUUUCUUUAUACCGUAGAUACCGAAGGAGGUGACGGAGCCGCGAACCUCGCCGAGCUAGGCUCCGACUACUCUAAACCAGGCAAGCAUGUUUCAACGUUUGAUAUGAUGAGUGUCUUGGCAUGUUUUGCAUUUAGUUAGUUUCAUGGCAUGUUGAGGAGCAUAUCGAUGAACGUUAUGUUAUGCACUAAUGAGGUAAGUGAGUUCGAUGAUCCAUAAGUGGAUGGAUGUGAGUAUGAAUGGCCAUGUGUUGGCAUGAGGAUGGGUAAGAUGGCAGUGUCGUAGCAUGCCAGUCUUAUGCCAGACUAUGUGACUUCAGUGUCAAACCGUAUCGGUCCAAUUCCUCUCAUUUCCUUCCCUGUACUACCACAUGUUUUCCGCAAGGAAUAUGGUUUAGUAAGUUGCAACCGCUUUUCUGGUACACACCAAAAGGAGAGGCCGUGAUGAUGGUUCCAUGGCCCUGGAUUAAAUCCAGUCAUCCGGUCAGGGGGCAUGGGUGUUUCCGGUUGGGACCGAGAGGGGGGCACCCCUUAGAGCGCGCGUAUAUAAAUUUGAUCCCAUGCUAUUCGAGAUUGUGAUCUCCCCGUCUCAAAAGUUUUUCUUGGACGAUGUCUAGGGUGAUUCCUAGCAUCGAGAGGUAGGAUGGGUGUGUACUGGUUAGCUGUGUUUUCUUCCGAAAUACCGUAAACGGAACUAGUCCUUCGUGACUACGGAAAUCCGUUGGCUGUGGGAAAAAUUUUGUACAAACUCUGCAGAGUCAUAUAUUCCUCCAAAUCAUCUAUUCCCUGUCCUAGAUCGAUAAUAUCUUAUCCUAAUCAAAUGUCAGUUUUGAUGACAGAGACUCCGGUGAUUCGCAUGAGUGCUAAUUCCGGUUAAAUGAUUAUUCCUGUGGAUGUACUAACCCAUUUAUUCUCAUGAAUUAAAUGUUUAUUAUGAGUAUUAUUUACUUGUGAAUCAAAGCCCUUUCUGCGAUGUCGCUCAGACGUCCGACUGUGGCAUUGUUGUAUUUUACUUUCUUUUCAAGCCCUUUAUGUGAUGUCGCCCCGAUGUCCGACUGUGGCAUUUCUUUUUAAAANNNNNNNNNNNNNNNNNNNNNNNNNNNNNNNNNNNNNNNNNNNNNNNNNNNNNNNNNNNNNNNNNNNNNNNNNNNNNNNNNNNNNNNNNNNNNNNNNNNNNNNNNNNNNNNNNNNNNNNNNNNNNNNNNNNNNNNNNNNNNNNNNNNNNNNNNNNNNNNNNNNNNNNNNNNNNNNNNNNNNNNNNNNNNNNNNNNNNNNNNNNNNAAGCCAUUUCUGUGAUGUCGCCCCGACGUCCGACUGUGGCAUUUCUUUUUAAAGCCCUUUCUGUGAUGUCGCCCCGACAUCCGACUGUGGCAUUUUUUUAAAGCCCUUUCUGUGAUGUCGCCCCGACAUCCGACUGUGGCAUUUCUUUUAAAGCCCUUUCUAUGAUGUCGCCCCGACAUCCGACUGUGGUAUUUCUUUUAAAGCCCUUUAUGUGGUGUCGCUAAGACGCCCGACUGUGGCAUCAUUUCCUUAUAUUUAUUUGUUCACCUUUCGAGGCGUCGCUUCAGACACCCGAUCGGUAGUUAUUUAUGUUUUGUUGGGAUUUCAGGCGGACUACCGCCGUUUCCCUUUUACUUACCUUGUUAUGCUAAUUUUUGAAUGUACAUUGGUGAAUUAUUCAUGACGCAUCCAUGCAUGCAUUUGUUAUAUCUUACGUCCGAACUGUCUUGCGAGUACUUUCAAAGUACUCACUGGCUUGUUGAUUUGGCCAGAUGCUGACGAAGGCGAUCUCAUGGAUGAAGAGUUUGAUAGCGAGUCCGACACCUAGAGGAGUCCCAGUCAGUCUCGUGCGGCCCUGGAUUUGGUCACUGUUUUAUAUCCGCUUCCGCCACCAAAUAAAUUCAUCGAGCCUCACCUCGACGCUCGAUGAGAUGAUAGACUUAGAGUCUUGUAUUCCUCUCCCCGUUGUGUUUCUCCACCACCGCCCUAUCCUCGAGUCAGUAGUAUGCCUCCACACCACUGUGUCAUGUCCGCCAUUAUGUAUAAUUAUUGGCGUGCUUGUAAUAAUUUGGUUGAGCAACCGUAGUUCGACCCUGUAAUAUAUUUUAUGCUACUGGCUUAUUGUAUCAAGAAGUUGUCUACCAGUGAGGAGGAUUUCUCUCAUACUGGACUCAAAAGAUUGGUUUCUCAAUAAAUAUUUUUAUUGGAAAACCGGUCGUGACAAGCUUGGUACCAGAGCCAGGCUGACUGUAGGAAGCCACUAGGUGCGAUCGCUAAUUGGUUAUUAGCAUGAUAGAGCUAAGUUAUAUUUUUGCAAUUGUAGUCAUUUUCUGUCAGUCGGCAUAAAUUUAUGAUCUGACCAUGCAGAAUUUUUGCCUACUUUUGUAGAUGGCCGACAACAGCUGCGAGUCUCAGACCUUCGCCAACAUGCCCGAUGGGUUCGUCAAGCUUCUUUCCUUCAUCGUUCAGGUCGCGAUGGGGCCAUCUGUGCGCCCAGUCUUCACGCUCUGCCAGCACCGAGUUAACGACAGUCUGACUAUGCACCAGGCCGCGGUGCAGUUCAAGGGAGGGCGUGAUGAGUUACGCUGCUUCCGGUUCGUGGGAAGAGCCAUGCCUACGGAGAGGCAUGCUAUGCAGAUGGCAGCCCGCGAGGCGAUAGCUCGUCUCAGGGAUGUCCUUCCCGUGAUGAAGACUCGUCGUUACCGUUAUCUUCCGUGCCAUGUGCCUUACACCUGUCACUACGCAUACUCCUGCCCCAGAGGAGAACGAGACGAGGCUUUUGAGAUGCUCAUUGAGUAUCUCCGGGCCCUGGAGGCAGCCUUCGACAACCUGGUGGACGACUUCGUAGCUACCCGCAUGGACUCAGUUCAUGGCUGUGCUGCCAACAGGAGGGAGCUCCUACUCAUCGCACCGCCACUGACUUUGGUCUCGUCCUCAGCAUCUUUUACGCCUACUCGUCGCCUGCCUUCUACCGAAGAAUUCAACCAAGUCAUUGCACCCACUUCAGCGCGCACUGCACCACCCUUCGCGCCCACUCCUGUACGUGUUGCUCCGCCCCUGGCAACCGCUCCGUCCACUCUGCGCAACACUACACGUAUGGAGCCCAUUAGCGAGGAGGAGGUCGAGUCCCCAACCUCGCUACGCCUCGCCCUCGGCAGGGCAAAGGAGGUCGUCAACAUCUCUGCCUAAGUACGCCUAGCUGCCAUGUAUUGUACCGCUUUGUAAGAUAUGUACAUAGGUUGUGAGAAGUAGCCUGUUUGCGCAUCAUGUAGGAUCUGGAGAAGUGCACUAGCCUAAAUAACAUGUCAGGAUUAUGUACGCAUAUCCUGAGUGAUGUAUUGUAUAAUUACCGCCCGCGUGUAAGAUAUGUAAUGAGCAGUCCUUCUCCGUGCGCAAGACGAUUUGUUUUUCUUAAGUAAGCUGGGUUAUUUAGUUUUAUUUGCCAGCUUUAUGCAUUUUUUUGCAAUUGUUUUUGCGACUCUUUCCGCUUUUCUUAUGAGUUUUACAAAAAUAUUUCCCCAGAGUGAAAAAUGUCUCGUCCUUGGACUCGCUCCAUGCCAACUCCACCAGAGGAAAAUUUUGAUGCACAACCCAGCAACGAGUUCACUCAGGGACAGUCAAGCCAACAGGGCAGUGAAUCGGCACUUUCACAAAUGUGCCGCCUUUAUGAGCAGAGUCAACAACAACAUCGGAAAAUGAUGAACCAAGUCAUCAACAUGGGAAAUCAUCAUGGACAGUAUCAGCAGCAUUCCAAGUUAUCUGAGCUACAGAAGACACGUCCUCAAACAUUUUCUCACACUGACAAACCUCUUGAAGCCAAGGACUGGCUUCGAGAUAUGGAGAGAAAAUUAAUUAUUGCAAAAUGUUCAGACCCCGAGAAGGUAUUGUAUGCUCCGCACUAUCUCACAGGAGCAGCCGCAUCGUGAUGGGAGAAUUUUCUGCACAUGCAUCCCCACGAAAAUGACAUAACCUGGGAUGAUUUCAAGGAAGGUUUCCGUGGUGCACACAUUCCUAAGAGUAUUAUGAAAAUCAAGAAGAGAGAGUUCGAUGACCUCAAACAAAGGAACAUGACAGUGUCAGAUUACAACAGUCAAUUUACUCUAUUGUCCCGCUACGCCAAUGAAGAGCGUAUGACUGAAAUCAAGAAGAUGGAGAAAUUCCUUGACGGUCUGGCGCCCGCGCUUAAAUGCCAACUGGUCGUGCACACUUUUCCUGAUUUUAAAACACUGGUAGACAAAGCCAUUACUCUGGAAAAUGAGAGACGCAGUCUGGAAGAUAUCCGCAAGCGAAAAAGGGACCAGAAUAAUCAUGCUCGCAAUCACCGAAGCAAGACAGAUUUUCAAAAGGGUGGGACACACAAAUCCUCAUCCAAUGUCUCAUGCCCAAUCAAGAAUUUUCAUGCAAGGGACAAGGAAUUCACCUAUCGCCCUGGCGUUACUUGUUACACUUGUGGAGAAGAAGGGCACUAUGCCAAACAGUGCCCCAAGCCAAGGAAUUCAACCCCAAAGCCGAACAACGGCGGAAACAAUUCCGCGCCCAAGCGAAACAAUUUCAAUCCCAACAAUAACCACAGGAAGGGUCAUCUGAACCACGUAACCAAAGAGGAGGCACAAAAUGCUCCGGAUAUCGUACUCGGUACGUUUCCUGUCAACACAAUACCUGCAAUGGUUUUGUUUGAUUCUGGAGCUUCUCACUCUUUCAUUUCGAAAAAUUUUGCUUUGCAAAAUAAUUUUUCGAUGCUUCCUUUGGAGAAAUCCAUGACCAUCAAGUCCCCUGGAAUUCAGCAAGUUUCUCAGAAUUACUAUCAGAAUGUAGUCAUUGAGUUCGAAGGAUUGGAGUUUCACGCAAAUCUUAUUGUGUUGGAAAAUAAAGGACUAGAUGUCAUCCUAGGGAUGGAUUGGCUAACCACCAAUAAGGGUUUUAUCGACUGUUUCAACAGGACCGUAAUUCUCACACACCACCAAGGGAAGACAAUAAGAGUAUCAGCCAAGGAAGGAAAAAUACCCCGGCAACCGAGAUUGAAUAAGGUGGAUGUUUCUGAGCUAAACGAGGUUCCAGUAGUGUGUGAAUUUCCAGGUGUAUUCCCUGAAGAGCUACCAGGCAUGCCACCAGACCGAGAAAUAGAAUUCCGCAUUGAGCUAGCACCAGGAACCACCCCCAUAUACAAGAAACCAUACAGAAUGGCACCAUCCGAGUUGAUCGAGUUGAAGAAGCAAAUAAAGGAAUUACUGGGAAAAUGAUACAUUCGAGCCAGCUCCUCACCUUGGGGAUCACCAAUUUUAUUUGCCAAAAAGAAGGAUGGAACGCUGAGAUUGUGUAUUGACUAUCGAGCACUUAACAUGGUCACAGUCAAAAACAAAUACCCGAUGCCAAGGAUAAACGAUUUGUUUGAUCAACUCGCUCAGGCCAAGGUAUUCUCAAAAAUUGACUUAAGGUCAGGAUACCAUCAAUUGAAGGUACGAACGGAAGAUAUCCCCAAAACAGCCUUCACCUCCAGAUAUGGACUGUACGAGUUCACAGUGAUGCCAUUUGGAUUAACUAACACCCCAGCAUAUUUUGUUCACCUCAUGAACAAAGUAUUUAUGAAGUUUAUGGACAAGUUCGUCGUGGUAUUCAUCGACGAUAUUCUGGUAUACUCCAAGACACCAGAAGAGCACGCAGAACAUCUCAGGAUUGUGCUAGGAGAGCUAAGAAAACACCAAUUGUAUGCCAAGUUCAGCAAGUGCGAAUUUUGGCUAAGACAAGUAGGCUUUCUAGGACACGUACUGACCCAAGACGGUAUCGCAGUGGACCCAGAGAAAGUCAAUGCCGUACUUGGCUGGAAGUCACCAGCCAGCGUAACGGACAUACGGAGUUUCUUGGGAAUGGCAGGAUAUUACCGCAGAUUUAUUGAAGGAUUUUCCACCAUAGCCAAGCCUAUGACACAGUUGCUCAAGAAAGAUAAGAAGUUUGAAUGGACAGAAGCCUACGAGAAAAGUUUCCAAGAGCUAAAGCGGAAGUUAACAACGGCACCGGUAUUAAUUGUACCCGACAUACACAAGAAUUUUGAAGUAUAUUGUGACGCGUCCAGAAAGGGUCUCGGAUGCGUGUUGAUGGAGGAAGGCAAGGUUGUCGCCUACGCUUCAAGGCAACUUCGCAAGCAUGAGGAAAAUUAUCCCACUCAUGACUUAGAAAUGGCAGCAGUUAUUCAUGCACUCAAGGAAUGGAGGCAUUUCUUACUUGGGAAUCGAUGUGAAAUAUAUACGGAUCACAAAAGUCUCAAAUAUAUUUUCACACAGCCAGAACUAAACUUACGGCAAUGACGUUGGUUGGAGUUAGUAAAGGAUUAUGAUGUUGGUAUCCAUUACCAUCCAGGGAAAGCAAAUGUAGUGGCCGAUGCCCUUAGUCAGAACCCCAGCUCCGACGAAAACUAUCUGCACAGCUUGAGGCCCGAAUUCCAUCAAGAAUUUGCCAAGCUCAACUUGAUAAUGGUAGCAAAAGGCACCAUAUCAAACUUGGAAAUACAACCCAACCUUGUGGAGAAAAUCAAAGAAGCUCAGCCCGGUCACACCAGCAUCGAAGGCAUCAAAAGAAAGUUGAGUAUGGGCAAGGCCUCGGAAUUCGUCAUAGACAAGGAAGGAAUAUUAUGGUACGGAGAAAGGCUCUGCGUGCCAAACAUAGCAGACCUUAAACAGAAUAUUUUAGCUGAAGCACACACCACUCCAUAUUCAAUUCACCCUGGAGGAACCAAAAUGUAUAAGGAUAUUCAGGAAAGAUUUUGGUGGCACGGUAUGAAAAGGGACAUAUCCACCUUCAUUGCAUGUUGCGACUCAUGUCAACGCAUAAAAGCUGAGCAUCAGAGACCAGCCGGACUACUGCAACCGAACAAAAUACCUGAGUGGAAAUGGGAUGAAAUAGGGAUGGAUUUUAUUGUCGGACUACCUCGGUCACGGCACGGGAAUGAUGCCAUAUGGGUCAUCACUGACAGGUUGACCAAAGUGGCACACUUUAUUCCAGUGAAGACAACCUACAACACUCAGAGGCUUGCCAGGAUUUAUCUUUCCCGCAUAGUUUGUCUGCAUGGUGUCCCGAAAACUAUAAUAUCCGACAGAGGUACUCAGUUCGUCUCAAGAUUUUGGGAGCAUUUACAACAGGCUCUGGGAACCCAACUAGCCUUCAGUACCGCAUACCACCCACAGACUGAUGGACAAACAGAACGCGUAAACCAGGUUUUAGAAGACAUGCUGAGAGCAUGUGUCCUCACAUAUGGAACCAGUUGGGAAGAAAGCCUGCCAUACGCCGAAUUCGCGUAUAACAAUAGCUACCAGGCCAGCCUACAAAUGGCACCAUUUGAGGCUUUAUACGGACGAAGAUGUCGUACCCUGUUAAAUUGGUCGGAGACCGGAGACAGCCGCAUCUUCGGACCAGACAUACUCAGAGAAGCCGAGGAAAAGGUCAAGCUAAUCAGAGACCGACUUAAGACCGCUCAAAGUCGACAGAAGAGUUAUUAUGAUCAGAAACAUCGUAGGGUCAGCUUCGAACCCGGUGAGUUCGUAUACCUGAGAGUAUCCCCUAUGAGAGGACUGCAACGGUUUAAGAUUAAAGGAAAGUUAGCACCAAGAUUCAUUGGACCAUUCUGCAUAGUGGCACGAAGAGGCACUGUAGCCUACCAGCUAGACUUACCCGAAGACUUGUCCGACAUUCACGACGUGUUCCACGUCUCUCAAUUAAGGAAGUGCGUAAGCAACCCAGAGAAACAAGUAUCCCAUGAAAUCAUUGACGUGCAGCCAGACCUCACUUAUCAGGAACGUCCCGUAAGAAUAUUAGAGGAGUCUGAAAGGAGGACCCGACAGAAGACCAUCAAGUUUUUCAAAGUCCAGUGGAGCAAUCACACCGACAGUGAAGCAACUUGGGAAAGCGAGGAUUUUCUUCGGACAGAGCAUCCACACUUAUUUAAGGAUCAGCUGAAAUCUCGGGGACGAGAUUUUUCCUAAGGGGGUAGGUGUUGUGACACUCCAAAAAUUUUAUUUGGUUUUUAUCAAAAACUUUGUGGUUUUUGAAGAGAGGCCUUUUAAAAUUUUCUUUCAGAAAACCUUCCUCCUAAAAAACUUCCUUUGCUUUGGCUAGGAUUUUAUUUUUUCAAACUUUGGUGUUUGAACCUUUUGAAACUUCUUCUCUGUUGGUUUCCUCUCAAAUUUAUUUUGGGAGUUUAAUCUUUUUUCUUUUAAAAAGAACUCUAUGAAAAACUUGGGAUUUUCAUAUCUUGAAAACCACCCAUGACUUUGCAUUUUUGCCCAUGUGAUAAAACCCUUCCAAAACCUCCCCUACUCCUUGUGAUCAACCUAAGUUCUCUGUCCCAACUAAUCCAAGCAAGUUUUGGAUUUUAUUCUAAUUAUUUUUCCUCUCAAAUCAAUUCUGAAAAUUAUUUGGAGCCUGAGUAAUUUUCAAAGCAAGUACCACUUUGCCUUUGAAUUUUGAUCCCAAACCAACUCUCCUGGAUAGUCCUUUGUACCCACAACCCAGAACCAUCUUGAACCACUCCUCCUCUUUUCAAAUUUUUCAAAAUUCAGUCUCUGCAAGUUUGGACCAGAUUUGCCAAAUUUGAUGAAAUUCAUAUCUACACUCCUCCAAAAAUUCCACCAAAAUUCAGGCAGCCUACUUGAGCAAUGAGAAGCCACUCCACCAAAAAUCAGCUCAAGGAAAAAUCACCAGAGGCCAAAUUCAUUCUGUCGAACACCUUGCAGGCACUGUUGCUGUUCAAAAUUCAGAAAAUUCAGUUUGCAGUGUCGUUUUCAUCCGUCAGUUUCUAUCACGCGUAGACAGUGCGCUUGGCUCGAUGCUCGCAGCCCCUCCCUCUUGUCCAGAGCUUCACACGCGUGCGUGGAGCCUUCCUGGCGUCGGUGGCACGCUGGCCCGCCCUCGCCGGCGUCUUCUGCGGCGUCGGGACCUCCCGUGGUGGCCGACAGGGGACAAGAACGGCGGCUCAACGCCGUUCCACGCCGCCCAUCGCCCCUAUGCUCUUCGCGUGGCCUCAUGCGUGCCAGCGCACGCCCGUGGCACCGCCACCGUGGCUGGCAAGCACGGGACGCGCUCCUUGCCGCCGACGGGCCCGCGCCGCCCCGUUCUAUCAAACUCACCCCCAACGCACCAAACUCCAGCUCGAUUAGCGCCUAAACGGAACCGUGGACCUCCUCGAUGACGCCCAACGUUCUAAUUACCCCGACCAAGCCCUGCGCCGCCGUAAUCACUCGCCGGAGACCCUCGUUCACGGCAACCGCCUCGGGCCACCUAUAAAAAGGGCCCCCGAGCUCACCCUCGUGCACGCAUCAUCACCACUCCUCACCAACACCCCGCCAGGCUACUAGGAGGACCUCAAGGAGGUCUCCUCCCCCAACUCCGGCCGCCCCGAUCCGCCUCGGCCUCCACCACGAAUCGCUCCAGUGAGGCCAUCUCCGGCGCCCAAACCCCGUCCGUUACCCUCUCUAGCUACCAGGAGCCUAACCCCCUCCUCAAUUUGAUCUCUGCAGCCCUCUCCGACGAGUUCCUCGACCACCCGAGCCGCCGUCCGCCGGAGCAAAGCUCGCCGUUGACGUGGUACUCGCCGGCGACCACCACCACCACCAACCGACGCGGAAUGGCGCCCUGAGCACGGAGGUACCCUCCGAUCCCCCUGCCUCGCCGUGGAUCGCCGCCGGCGACCACCGCGGCUCUCGGGCGCCGACGAGCUUCGCCCCCCCUUUUUUGAAAGUUUAAACCUGACGAGUGGGACCCCACCGUCAGCCUCUCUGCUCUCUCUUUUGAAACGUUUUCUGGAAGCGCCUUCGAGCAAAAUGCGCUUUCCCCUCUGGGCUGGCAUAUUCAACACUGGAAAGUUUUCUGUUUUUAUAAACUAGCCCCUGGAAAUCUUCUGUUUCAUUACAGAUGAGUCCUUGGACAAAAACCCUUAUAACUUUUAAACAGAAAAGUAUUUUUGAUUGAUUCUUUUUCUGUUCUCUUUAGAAUUUUGUCUAGUUUUUUAUCAGAUUUAUUUGAAAAAUAUUUGGAAUAUUUUUGUGCACUCCUUGGUAUUUAUGAUAGCGCAUAUAUUUUCUUUAUACCGUAGAUACCGAAGGAGGUGACGGAGCCGCGAACCUCACCUAGCUAGGCUCCGACUACUCUAAACCAGGCAAGCAUGUUUCAACUUUUGAUAUGAUGAGUGUCUUGGCAUGUUUUGCAUUUAGUUAGUUUCAUGGCAUGUUGAGGAGCAUAUCGAUGAACGUUAUGUUAUGCAAUAAUGAGGUAAGUGAGUUCGAUGAUCCAUAAGUGGAUGGAUGUGAGUAUGAAUGGCCAUGUGUUGGCAUGAGGAUGGGUAAGAUGCCAGUGUCGUAGCAUGCCAGUCUUAUGCCAGACUAUGUGACUUCAGUGUCAAACUGUAUCGGUCCAAUUCCUCUCAUUUCCUUCCCUGUACUACCACAUGUUUUCCGCAAGGAAUAUGGUUUAGUAAGUUGCAAACCGCUUUUCUGGUACACACCAAAAGGAGAGGCCGUGAUGAUGGUUCCAUGGCCCUGGAUUAAAGCCAGUCAUCCGGUCAGGGGGCAUGGGUGUUUCCGGUUGGGACCGAGAGGGGGGCACCCCUUAGAGCGCGCGUAUAUAAAUUUGAUCCCAUGCUAUUCGAGAUGGUGAUCUCCCCGUCUCAAAAGUUUUUCUUGGACGAUGUCUAGGGUGAUUCCUAGCAUCGAGAGGUAGGAUGGGUGUGUACUGGUUAGUUUUGUUUUCUUCCAAAAUACCGUAAACGGAACUAGUCCUUCGUGACUACGGAAAUCCGUUGGCUGUGGGAAAAAUUUUGUACAAACUCUGCAGAGUCAUAUAUUCCUCCAAAUCAUCUAUUCCCUGUCCUAGAUCAAUAAUAUCUUAUCCUAAUCAAAUGUCAGUUUUGAUGACAGAGACUCCGGUGAUUCGCAUGAGUGCUAAUUCCGGUUAAAUGAUUAUUCCUGUGGAUGUACUAACCCAUUUAUUCUCAUGAAUUAAAUGUUUAUUAUGAGUAUUAUUUACUUGUGAAUCAAAGCCCUUUCUGCGAUGUCGCUCAGACGUCCGACUGUGGCAUUGUUGUAUUUUACUUUCUUUUCAAGCCCUUUAUGUGAUGUCGCCCCGACGUCCGACUGUGGCAUUUCUUUUUAAAAGCCCUUUCUGUGAUGUCGCCCCGAUGUCUGACUGUGGCAUUUCUUUUUAAAUCCCUUUCUGUGAUGUNNNNNNNNNNUCCGACUGUGGCAUUUUUUUAAAGCCCUUUCUGUGAUGUCGCCCCGACAUCCGACUGUGGCAUUUCUUUUAAAGCCCUUUCUAUGAUGUCGCCCCGACAUCCGACUGUGGUAUUUCUUUUAAAGCCCUUUAUGUGGUGUCGCUAAGACGCCCGACUGUGGCAUCAUUUCCUUAUAUUUAUUUGUUCACCUUUCGAGGCGUCGCUUCAGACACCCGAUCGGUAGUUAUUUAUGUUUUGUUGGGAUUUCAGGCGGACUACCGCCGUUUCCCUUUUACUUACCUUGUUAUGCUAAUUUUUGAAUGUACAUUGGUGAAUUAUUCAUGACGCAUCCAUGCAUGCAUUUGUUAUAUCUUACGUCCGAACUGUCUUGCGAGUACUUUCAAAGUACUCACUGGCUUGUUGAUUUGGCCAGAUGCUGACGAAGGCGAUCUCAUGGAUGAAGAGUUUGAUAGCGAGUCCGACACCUAGAGGAGUCCCAGUCAGUCUCGUGCGACCCUAGAUUUGGUCACUGUUUUAUAUCCGCUUCCGCCACCAAAUAAAUUCAUCGAGCCUCACCUCGACGCUCGAUGAGAUGAUAGACUUAGAGUCUUGUAUUCCUCUCCCCGCUGUGUUUCUCCACCACCGCCCUAUCCUCGAGUCAGUAGUAUGCCUCCACACCACUGUGUCAUGUCCGCCAUUAUGUAUAAUUAUUGGCGUGCUUGUAAUAAUUUGGUUGAGCAACCGUAGUUCGACCCUGUAAUAUAUUUUAUGCUACUGGCUUAUUGUAUCAAGAAGUUGUCUACCAGUGAGGAGGAUUUCUCUCAUACUGGACUCAAAAGAUUGGUUUCUCAAUAAAUAUUUUUAUUGGAAAACCGGUCGUGACAAUAGUUAAAAUGUAGUAUGUACCAUGUUGCCUUUUGUAUUAAGUACGAGACAAUGGGCCCCCCGAGGAGCACUCGGGGACUACCCUCUUUUAUCUAUGAAUGAUGAGUAUCAUGCCUAUGAUUAUGUUACUACAUUUGUUUUCUCGUCCGGCACCGGGUUCUAUCAGUCGGCCCAGGGACUUGCCGCCUUGAGUUAUAUUCAAGUUCCACCUGCAGUCAGACAAGUAGUGUGCCGGCACCAAAGCCCUCUCUUGUUGAAAGUCGCAGCUCAAAGAAUCGACUAUCCGACUGGCAAGAGCCAAAGGCAGGAAAGGAUGCCCACACGAAAAACGGCUAAGGACUAACGAACUUAUAUAACACAAGCCGGCCUCCCCCCCCCCCCGCCAACCAGCUGUCAGAGCAGCCAGCUGGCCGGCUUCCCUUCUUACCUUGCUACAAUCCAAGAAAGCUCGAGUACUUGUCCUCCCAAGCGGCCAAACCCUUUCCCAGUCACAGACUGUAGAGCAGCUGUCCGGCUGGGUGGGCGGCGGCCACAGGAGGGUGGCAAAGGAAAACAGCAAAAGGAUGAAAAGCAAGUAUGAACGGAAGCCAAGCACAUGCAUGAUUAUAUUUACACAAAAGGCCUUCGAAAGGCCAGCAUUCAACAUAGUUUGAAUACACCCCCAGUGGGUGGAACUGCGCAAAUUUAAUAAAAGUUGUUCAAAGAGUAACGAGCAGGAAAGCAAAGACAUCGAGUCAAGCCAAGGGAGCAAUAGGUGAGUCGGGAAGGUUGGUGGAGACGGCAAUGUUGGCUGGAGGAGUGGCCGGCGGCUGACGAGUCUUGGCAUGAUCAUCGCCUGCUGCAGGCGGCACGCUUGCAUGCGUCUUGUUGCUGGAGGCACGAUCAGGUUGGGGCUGGCUGGUCGCUCCACCGUCUGGCACGAUGUCUUCACCAUCCUCCCCCUCUUCCUCUUCGCCCUCGUCGCUAGAAUCGAUCUCCUCCGCUGAGUCUUCACCUUCUAUCGGGUUCAGCCCGAACCACUCCUCCAGCUGAGCAACGCCAUCUUCAUUUACCCCAGGGGCUAAGGCGCUGGUGUCGGUGUAGUCGGCGAUCGCUGAGGGGCGCUGGAUGAUAGCCGGCCGCACCGCCUCCAGCUCCUCGUUAGCCUCCUGCCGCCAGGUGCUCAGCUAGGCCAAAUUCAGCCCAAGAUACCAAGCCCGGACGAACUCUAGCGGCCGCUGAGCCCCGGACCGGGCUGCAGAAGCCUUCCAGGCCUCGAAGCGGCCGACUGCUACCUCCAGCCAGUUGGCAGUCCGACUGGGGGUGCGGGGAACCACCUCGCUGGGCCAGAGGGCGGCCAGCACCUGCGCCCCGGCACGCUGAAGACGGCGGAACAUAUGGUAAGCCGGCUGGAGGCGGGCUUGAAUCACUAGAAGCUGCUCUUCAAGCAACCGGCUGGCGUCCGGUGUGAUCUCAACCCCAGCCUGCCGUCGUGCAUCACGGUGAGCUUCGAUGGUUUGGUUGGCAGCAACGAAGUAACCGGGGAAGUAUUCUGCACAAAGAAGAAAGAAGUAGAACAAAUCAGAAGACAAACCAGAUGACAGGGGCGAGCAAAGGGACGAACAAGAAGGCGGCCUACCGUCAAUCAAAUCUUCAAUCCGGCUAUAGCCUUCGCUCAGCGCCUGCCUUGCCUUGGCCCAGCUCGCCGCUUCGGUCUCAUAUUCGGCUUUGAGGGCGGCCUCGCUGUCCUGUGCCGUCUUCAGGGCCGCCUUGUGGUUCUCCUCCUGGUCAUCCAGUUUCUUGGCCCGGCGAUCAGGUUCCUGAGCCAAGGCAUUGUACUCGACCUCCUUGGCGCGAAGGGCGGUCUGGGCCCCACCUAGCUGCUCCCUCAAGUUGGCAUUGGCCUCUGCAGAUAUGAAGAAGAAGAAAAAAGCAAUAAGGAAGAAGUCGUCAGGAAAGAUCUGACCCGACUACUCAGUAGUCAUCCCGAAUCUCGAGCAAUACACCGAGUUGGUGAGCUGACGCGCCCCCACAUGAGAUAAAAAAUUGAAGCACUUACUCUGGCUCUCAGUGAGAUCAGCGGUCUUCUAAUUCAUCUCCUGGGCCUGGGAGUUAGAGGUAUCCGCGUGGAGGUUGUGAUAGUCCUGCAAAUAGGACAAACGUGCGAAUAAGAACAAGACAUCAAUCAGAGUCUACUAAGAAGUUCCAAGCCACCUGCUCAGCAGCCGACUCUGAACUCGGGGACUACACCCAGUGGGUGCACUGACGCGCCCCCACAGAAGAAAUCAAGAGCAAUCGACGAAAAGCGAGAAGGCUCACCCGAAUGGCCGACCGCGUUGCAAGAAAUUCUUGAGUAUACUGCUUCAGCGUGGCGGCCUGGGAUUGAAGCCGACUCUGGACGUCCUGCGCCGCCACAUUCAGCAUGGCCGUCCCACCACCCAGCGUCCACCCUGGCAAGCUGACGCUGGCCGUCUCCAGAUCCUGGGCCAACGAGCUGGAGCCCGCGGCCUUCUACGGCUCUGGCUCUGAGGUCGCCUUCCCUGCGCGCCGACGAGACGGCGACAGGACCACAAGAUCCGCCCUCACAGUCAGCUCGCCUCCAGCCGGCUGCUCAGGAGGCGCCUCGGGCCGGCCGCCUUGGCCCAUCCCGGCCAAUGAUGGCGGUAUCUCCCUCUGGGACGACUGUGUCGCCCUCCUCCCUCUCCAUCACCGACUAGUCGCGGCCGGCUUCCUCUGGCGAGGGGACUGGGAUAUCGGGGGCCACGGUGCGGAGGGGGAUGAUGAGCUGUGGAGGCUGGCUACGCAGGGCCUCCGCCGCCCUCUCCGCGGCCGCGGCCUCCGCUUGAGCCUUGGCCGCCGCGUCAGCCUGCGCCUCUGCCGACUCCUCCGUCGUCUCCUGAGCCGCCCUGGCGGCGGCCGCCCUCUUCUCCUUCGCCUCCCAGUCCUCCCGCGCCUCCCGCGUGUUCCGCUCCGUCGCCUCUAGGAGAUCGGCACGGGGGUCCACGCGGCGGGAGCCCGCAGAUCCUCUCGCCCCUCCAACUACGGAGGCGGCAGUAGUCCGCUCGAGAGAAAGCAGAGCCAUGUUUGAUAAGUAAAGGAAAGGCUUAGAAGAACACCAACCAAAGAGCAAAAAAGAAAGGCGUGAGAGAAUUUACACUUACGCCGAAACUGCCUGCGGCUCAUUCACCACCUGGCGGAAGCAGGCUGCCUUCGCGGCCACCUCGUCCCGUUUGGUCGCUGCUGCAGAACCCUUGGGCUUCUUCGGCUGACUGCCGAAGAGGGCCGGCACCGCCCGGUGUUUCCGUGCGCCGCCCCGAGCAGCCGGCGCGGCAGAUGAGCCCGCGCCUUGAUGAUCGGAUGCCGGCUGGCGGCGCAGAAUAGCUUCGGCCUCGUCAUCAUCCGGCCAGUCCUCGAAGCCGGCGGAGAGACCGGACCCGCCUGCCUUGCCGCCUCCCCCUACGGCAUCGUCGUCUAGGGCGGCCGCCCCAAGUCAGGGUCAACCAAGUCGUCCGUCGCACGGUCGGGAGCGAACUGGCAUUCCGCCCCCACGGUUCCGGCUGCCGGAUGAAGGAGGGGGUUCUGAUUAAAAACAAGCCGACUGGUCAGGAGCCGGCUAGUGAGAACUCGGCAACAAGAGAAGAAGAAAAGAAGGAAGGCUUACCAUAGGUGGGGGAUUGGCGCGAGAAUACGGCUCCUUGCCGAACCUGGCGAUAUAAUUCACCAUGUAAGAUACCUUGUCAUGAGGCAUCUCCUUGGUGCUUAGCCGACUAGGGUCAAAACAACGGCUCAUCUGGCAAAUCAUGUGAGGGCGGCCUUGGAGCGGGAGCACCCGGCGCUCCACGAAGGCGGCUAUCAGGUCGGACCUGGUCAGGCCCUCCGACUAGACCAACACCCAGAGCAGGGCGACGGAGCCAGCCCCAGCCGACGUCAGCGACCUGGCCCGGUAGGACCACGAAGGCUGCCUCCCAGCCGGCGGGCCGGCUAUGUAAGUCGGCAGAUUGAUGAAGUCGCCUUGCGGAGCGACGUUCUUCACGUAGAAGUGAGAUUUUUGCCAGAGCUUCACCGACUGGAUCAGCGCGAUGGGCGGAAAUGGGUUGUCGACCGUCGAUCUUCGCAUGGCGAUGAAGGCGCCGCAUGGGGCAGGCACGCCCGCAACGACGGUGCCAAGCUUGGACUGGAAGAACUCCCCCCAAAGUUCGAGGGUGGGGAGGACACCGAGGAAGCCUUCACACAGAGUGACGAAGACCGACAGCAGCACCACCGUGUUUGGAGUGAGGUGGUGCGGCUGGAGAUGAUAGAACUCGAUGAAGGAGCGGAAGAAACUGCUCGCCGGCAGGCCGACGCCACGCAGACAGUGCGAGCGGAAGAUUACCCGCUCGCCCUCUUCCGGCGCCGGCGAGAUCUCCCUCUCCGGCGCGAGACGAACCCGCACAUAGUCUUUGUCCGGCAACCACCGCGUCUUGUGGAGGAAGUCGACGUGGUCCUCAUGGACGUUGGAGCCAUGAGGACGGAGAAGCGACGGGGAAAGCGCAGCGGCGGAGGGCACGCGAUUCGGCUGCGGCAAGGCUACGGUGCGCCAAGAAGGUUGGUGGAAUGCUGGCGCGGUGAAGAGCAGCUGCGGCAACAGAGAGAACGAAGAGAAAGAAAAUGGCGGAGCGAGGGCGAGCGUGCGAGCGUCUGCCGCUCCCCUCCUCCCCCUACUUAUAGCCUCGUGCGGCGAAGCCGAGGAGGCGAGGCGUGGGGGUACGUGGGAUUAACUGCGCCCACUCCCCCAUGCCCCGCGAUUAUCGCGCCUUAACGACGUGUGGAAACUGCCGCCGGAAGGCGAGCAGCCCCCUCGGGCCAUAGAAGAUCCACACUUGGGCUGAGGCAUGGAAGUGGCGGGCCCCGGUCUGCGGCGAUGUCCCGUCGCGCGCGUGGGCUGGCAGGCCCUUCCAGCGGAAGGGCGCCAUGUGGCGCGCAGGCGGCGGGCGGCCAGCCCACAGCCUGGCUUGCGCGCCAGUUGGUUCCCGCCUUCAGACUUCAAAUAAUAUUGCCGAGGCGGCACACCUGCGCAAAGCCAGCUCCUAGCUGCCGGAUCUUCAGGAUAGGAAGCUGAUUGAGCUUCUCGUUCCCCUUUCAGCCAUGAAGCCCAACUAGCUUCGGGGACUACUGUCGAAGUAAAUGACCACGGGUAGCCUAGCCGGCUCCCACUGACUCUUCAAAAAAUAACAGGCUGAUCGAGCCUUCAAGCACCCAAGACACGGGGCCGCCUUCCCCCGGCCGGCUAUCCCACAAGCCAACUACCAGAAGGUGGCCCGGCCCUAAAACCCUCAUGAAGAAAGCCGCGAGAGGGCCGACUCCAAGAAGCCGGCCACGAGAUGACCGACUCCAAGAAGCCAGCCCCCGACAGGCGGCCAAGAUCGCGCCCUCAAAGUCUGCAACCACAUAACGGAGAUGGGACGCGGCGUGGCAACAGAGAGGCCUGCCACCCCCGAAUCCCGGAGCACGCAUGGUAAGCCGUACGGGGAAACCACGACCCGUCCGGCGGGGCACUGUUUCCAUGCUGACCGUGACGCCACCCACGAUAGGCUGUCAGUACGGCCCGCAGGCGGCGGGCCCCUUCAGUCAAAGAGACAUCCGAAGGCGUCCAUGCUUCCCCUAGUCGGCCUGGGACGUAGCCGGCUCUCACCAGCCGGCUCGCUCCCUCCCUCGAAGUAUGCGCACCAUUAAGGAGGCAAGACGAGGUAAGGCUACAGUGAGAACCCGCCAGGUGGCGGCACUGUAGCCAUGCUUACCUCGACAAAGCCCUCAUCAUCAAGAGUGAGGCAAUAGUAACCAGCCCCCGACAAGACCCCCAAGCGGUGGGACCUACCUGUCGACCAGGAGGCCGGCAGCCGGCGGGACCCACCAGUCGGCGGGCCCCAGCGGUCAGCGGAGAAGCCGAUGAACGUAGACAUUGACGGCUGGGGCCCACACCUAGCCGGAUUACCAUUGUACCCCUGGGGGGUAGGCCUAUAUAAACCCCCCAGGGCACCCAUGCAAAGGGUUGGACACUGAUAGUUUUAGACACAACAUUGAUGGGAGAAGAAAGCUAGCCUUGCCCUUCUUCUUCCUCUCGCCAAAUAGCUCAAGGAGCCUCUUGUAGCCACUUGUUGAUCUAGUGAUCAUGCGGAGACCCCGCAGAGCAGGACUAGGGGUGUUAUCUCCACGGAGAGUCCUGAACCUGGGUAAGAUCUGCUGGCAUGCAUGUCUUCGCCUCAUCCUGUUUACAGGCACCGGCGAUGUCUUAUUGGCUCCCACAAUGAUAAGUCACUCGUUGGCAUAUGUCGCACGUACCACCCAACAAAGGGCAAGGGCAUAAAGGUCAUUUUCACAGUGUCAAACCAUAGUGAAAAUGAAACCAACAGAACGGGCUCGACGAAAUGAAGAAGUGAGUGUUGGCUUCACCUUAAACGAAGUUACGGAUAAAAAGAUAUAAGUGUUUUACUACUAGGGACCUAUCUGUAAAAAUUUAUUUUACAGUCUGGGCCAAAACAGAAAAAUGGAAAGCAUAUUCGGGGGAAUACGCUUCCACUUAUCCAGCAUGGCAGUGGCGGGGCCGGGGCUGGUCAACGCCUAAGGGACUGACGGGUGGGCCCCACCUUAUCCUUCUCCCUCCUCCUGGCCUCCUUGUUCUUCCUCCCGUGCCUGGCCACGACAGAGAACAGAGGAGAAGGCAGGGGCGCUACUGGUGCUGGCCCCGCCGACUCCGGCCGCUCUAGGCCAAGCGAGGGCACCGGCGGCUUCAGGUUGGCGUGCCGCCUCCAUCCCAGGGCAGAGGGAGCACCGGGUAGGGGUGUGGACGCGGCACCGCGCAGUGGCAGGAGUUGCAGACGGCGGUGGCUAAGAUUGGGGACGGCGACCACAGAGGCUCCGGCAAUGAGCGAAUGGGUUGGGGAGGCCCUAUGGGAGGUGGAGAAGCCAGUGGUGGUGGACGAACAGAGGGGGAGACUCGGCGUUGGGCCAAUUUAACCCGGAGGGGGCGGCGGCCAUGGCGGCUUUGGGGGUCGAGGAGAGCUCUAGAAGCUCAGGCGAGGGCAUGGGCGGGCUCCUGGGGAAGUGUUGAUGCAAGAGGUGAGCUCGGGAGGGCUCGGGGAUGGCAGCUGCCAGCUGCUUGGUCACCACGUCAACAUGGGCAUUAAAUUAUCUACAACACCCAGAACGUUGUCUAGCUGAUAGUCCUUCCAAGGUAGGUUUGAUCUGUGGUGGUAAAUUGGUGAAAACAACUAGGGUUAGAUAGUUAGUGAGCUCUGAAGUUUACUGCAGUAAACUUUACCAGCUCAAUGUGAUCAACAGGGAGUUACUUGAAGCCAAAGAAGUUGUCUGGGGUGUUUAGGCUAGGAAGGACUACAGUCCUGGGGAGGUUUAGGAGAAAUGGACCAGGCCUUAAUAUAGUUGCUUUGCAACUGUCACAAUGGUCCAGAAAUGAAGAUUAUGAUGGUGCACUCACAUGGAGUGUCCACUUGAGCUCAAAUUGGGCAAGGCUUAGUCAUUUGGUCAUAUCAAGAUGCUUUAAAAAGCUCAUGCCAAAUGGACAAACCGAAAUAGCACUUGCUUCACAAACAUCUCUGCUGACCAGAAACUUGGAAUAAUUAUGGUGGUCAAAUGGAUCAAUGAAAUGAUGCCAAAUUGGGUGGAGAGAUGUUUUAUGGGUAUAAGAAUGAUCUGGUAAUUUAUCAGGAUUUUUGAAGCAAUGUAAAAUACGCUUGCUUCACAACCUGAAAAUAUUGCCAGAAACAAAGAGUUGCUCCUGUGCUCACAUAGAUGAUUGGAUGGUGCUGAAAAUGGGUUAAGGGGAUUAAUAUGAGCACAUUAAGGAGUGUGCAAAAGUUCAACUCAUUUGGGUGCUCCUAGCUAGUACUUACUUCACAAAGCCUUUUGUUUGACAGAAACUUUGAAAAUUCACUGAGGAAGAUUGGCUAGGCAAAUAAAUUUGAACUUUUGCAUGAGGCAAUUAUUUGGACAUAUAAACAUGCCCAAAAAUGUUGGGACUCAAUAGGAGAAAUAUAAAUGACACUUCCUUCACAAAGUGCCAUUCAGGGCAGAACAGGAAAAGGAAUAUUGGGGAAUUAUUUUUGAACAUGGAAAUGAAACGUUUAACCAUAUUUGAUCAAGAUAUGACCCAAACAAUUUAUGAGAAUUAUUUGGGAAUUUUUGGAGUGAUGGAAAUAUAGGUUGCUUCACAACCUAGGGCAAUUUGGGUUAUUCCUUUAAUAGAAAAGGAAUAUUCCCAAUAAAAAGAAUAUUGGGAUGUGAGCUAGGAUGGAAAUGACAGGGUCUAGGGAAAGAUUUGGAAAUGACAAGCCACUCUGGAAGCAAAGAAGAGGGCAUCUUCUUCAGUUUCCAGACCACAAAGCCACGGAAAAAGAAAACUCAGGCAAUAACCUCGGAAAAACAAAAGAAAAAGAAAGGGCCAAAAAUCAGGCUGUCACAAACCUUACCCCCUUAAAGAAAUCUCGUCCUCGAUAUUUGGUUGCUCAGGGAACUAGUAUGAAUAUUUUGACUUAAAGAAACCGUUUCCAACUCGGGUAUCCUUUUUCCUUCAUUGUUGUUCCCAACUAAAUUUUUAUCUGACUAGCCCUGGGUGGUUUGCUUUGCUGUAUCCACCUUCUGACAGAUCUUACCUUGCUUGUUCAUGCUUAUAUAGGCUCCAAUUUCUUUUUAGAUCUGCUGACUAGCUGAGUGUGAUUUGAUCAUCACGACUGAAAUAUAUGUCCGUCUCACAAAUCCAAAAGUGAUUUCCGCUGGGUGUGCCACCCGGCACUGACAACCUUUCAUGUAAUGAUGAUCAGAUUUUUCUGAUGAAAACUCAAGCUCUGACUCAUUGCAUUGGGUUUCUCCACUAAAUGCAAGUCCUUUGGGUUCCAAAUAGUGAGUUAAAACAUAACAGUUUCCUGACAGAUUCUGACUCAUUGCAAAAGUUUUAAAAUCAUCUUAACUGGGUCCACUGUCGUGAGUAUCAGGUCUGUACCAAAUAUUUGAUUGUCUCCUGUCGUGGCCAGCAUAAAGGGUUUGGCAUGUAGGAUUAUAUCUGCAGACUUGACUGACGGUGGUUCUGACGGAAAAUUUUUGUUCACGACAGGCUACCCAUGAUGAUUUAUAUAAGUAAGGACUCAGGCUUCCAGACUGUUAUUCCUCAUGUCGAUUACUCAUGCUGUAGGCAUAUCCAUGUGGAUCAAUACUAACUUGGACUGUCCGGGGGAUAUGCACCAUGGGGCUCGUAUACAAUUUUCAUACCUGCCUCACUGGCCUUGCUGCUUCAUUAUUGUUUUCUUGGUCUGGAUCUUUGGCUGAAAGAGCUGGGCCAUAUUGUUUCUUUGUAUGACCAUAGGUACUGUCGGUGCAAUUUUUCAGCAAUUGUAGUUUAUCCUCAUUUUUCUGAUAAGGUAACCCAUUAAAUGGCAGGUUCAACACCUCUCAAGUUCUGAUUGUUGGGAAAUGAUCAUCCGAAACCCUUGCAAGAAAUCGGCAAAUAUAUCAGUAGCCACCAGAACGGUCUUUACAACUCAGAUCUGGCACAUUAUUGAAAUAACCACGGCUCAGGACGGCCGAAAAGCAGCUCAGAGCAUGAGACCGGGUCGAUAAGAAGAAGCUGGCAGCUCCCUAAAAUAGCCAAAAAGCAGCUAUAGGGCUACUGUCACAAAAAGAAACUCAACAGUUGUACGAGACGGCCCAAAAGCAGCUCAGACUCAUGACAGACGUUGAAGAGAGAAACAAAAAUCGGCAUCCACCCUGGAUAGCUAGAAACAGCUCAAAUCACAGGCGUGGUGCCAUCAUUGGCGAAAAAAGGGGACAAGGGCUCAUCAAGAUCAUUUUCCAGGUUGACGGGUACUUGUAUUGAGCUCAUUGAUGUCGUCAAUCCACAUACUCCUUUGUCACACUAUGGUGUAUACUGGCUUCAUUCUCGUAACCAUCCUCACGUGGUUGUCAGAUCCUCAUCCGAGUGACUUGUAAGAUCUUGAUGGUAUGCUCAUUGCAUAUAUAUGAGGUCCUGAUUCCGAGACAGACGUGUAUUCUGACUGAUUCUUGAUUCUGACCAAAAUGUUGCGGAUCUGAUUCUUGGGAUUCACUGCUAUAUGCUGUCAAUUUACAACAUACUACCUUGUACCAAUGUCUUACUGAUGAAUAUUUGCUGGCUUGUGCUCGAAACUUUCAUCGGACAGCUUACUGAAGAAGACUGAAUAUUGUGCUUCAGAAGCUUACCCCCUUAAAGACUUUGUUGUGGAAAGACUCAGUACCUAAUGCUGGAAGCUUUUGCGGUUGCUUACUGAAGAAGGCGGAGUACCUUGUGCGAAAAAUCAUCCAUAUAUCAUACUGAGGAAGAUAGCUGAAUCUUGCCUUGGAAGCUUCUCUUGUAUCUUGUGAGGGAAGACUGCGUUGCUUACACCAUAAACUUCUUAUUGUGACAUGCGGACCGAUUCCGACAUAUAUAACCAUCUGAAUAUUUUUGCUAUCGAUUUCUUGUAUGAAACGGGGUUUUACUGGACUAUCCUCCUUUCUGAGUAUAUGCCAUAUUUUUUCUUGCUUCCAGGUACAUCGAGUUCCAAAAUCAUCCCUAACGAAAAAUUAAACUUGUAUCUGAUCCAUACCUCUGAUAAUAUUCUGUCAAUCUUGCACACAAUUUAUCUUCUUGCUGAUUUAAUCAUUUUGUUGUGAUGAGUGCACGUUAGUGCAAACUUGAUACUGACGUUCCAUCCAGGAUUUCUUUUGCAUUCAGACGAGAUAUUCCAAUUUGCAUUGCAGUCUGCUGAUAAUUCCAUUCUGUUUAGCUGAAUUUCCAAAUAUAUGCAUUUCUUGCUGACUCUUCGGGUCCGGUGUCGGCUGACGAGCUACUUUAAUAGGGGAAAACUUUGUAAAACCGAAGGCCCAAAGAAAGGAACAACAGAAACGACUAAAAAAAAAGCACACAAGCAUUCUACUAAUAUAAUUAAUCAAUCAAUCAUCACAUAUUAUUGCUACUCACACAAUAAUAUGCAUGCACACCUAAGCACACAAAUCUCACGGAAUCUCCGGUACUACGAUCUAAUAUGCUGUAACGAUGUGCACGAGGACGAAUAGAUGUGUGGAAGAAUUGGUGUAAACAAUGCUACACCAAGUGCCAGCUUAGCCAGAUAGAAACCUGGACUAGCUCGGAGGCGAGGACGUACUCGGUAAUCAUGCAGUGGGAUACGAUGGUCGCAACCACAUUAUUAUCAAGCGGACGGAAAAAGAUCUGUACUCGUCCAAGAAAUAGGAUUGCGGGGAAAAACUGAGGCUGCUGACAUUGCCCUUUCGUGAUAACUAAGAUCAUUAAGGGUUGCCAACACGACAAAAUAAAAGAACGAUCCGGGAUAGAAGCAUGUCCAUCACCAAAAUGAUAGAUGGGACUGGAAGAAAGACAUCGGCGCGAUACCUGAGCACCAUUUUUUUUUGCAAGCAGUGUCGGGAUCACUUGGCAUCAAUCUGUUGGGACAGAAUUGACACCAAACACCGAAAGAAAAAGGGACUGGGGAAAUGCAAAGGUUGAGUUGUAGUGGAUCCGAACCGAUGCCAGCUACACUCACCAGAUGAACCGUUGUCACAAAUACUAAGGUUAUAUUCAUGCUAUGCAACAAACAAAUGCAUCAAUCAAGUGCAAUCAAACCAACUGGAGUCUAUACUACCGCUUUCUAACAUUCGCGUGGUCUAGGGCAUCCUACAGCCAGACCUACUCUGAUACCAAGCGUUGUGGCACCCCGGCUCAGAGGAAACCGGAACGCCCCGUAUUCCAGCCCAGAGAUCAAGGAGAAGUCUUCUGGAAUACGGCACUUCUUAGCAUAGAACAAACCAGCUUUCUAUUAUUACACGAAUAUGAAUACAAGGUCUCCGAUAUUAGAAUGAAUAACAUCAAUACAUUGACAUUACGCCAUCCUCAGUUGCUCUAUGCAAGCAGCAGAACAACUCAAAGCAGCGGAAAUAUUUCUAGCAGCGGAACAACGAUGACGGUGGUGAAACUCCACUCCGCAUGGACUCUGGCUGAAACGCUUAUCCUAGCUCGCACGAACGGAAACCACGACAAGCAAGCAAUCAAAUCUGGCAUAACCUGCAAACUGGCAUGACACGCCAGGUCAGUACAUUGAAUGUAUUUGCAAGCUCGCAAUAAUCCAGAAACAUUCAAGACAAACAACAGCAUGGCAAUUACAGGUUAAACAGGAAUUAUCAUGAUAUCAUCAUGGCAUCAACAUGAACAUGAUACAGCUAACACAACAUGAACAUAUUAAUCCGGCAAUACUAUCAUGCAACAUUAUGACACUAUAUGCACCACUUAUUCUACUCAGUUUACAUCGUAACCAUCACAUGCAUCACUUACCAACCUCGGACAUCACACGAUCAUCUCAGGAUCAAAUCAAGCUUGGUAUGAACAAUACCGUAGUAAUCAUUAGAUGACCACAAGGAGCUUGAUCUUUACCCACGACUCUUGUAAAACAUCACGAAUAUCCAACAACUCGGUAUCCUCGAUACCACGGUGAUCCUUAUGGUGAUCACCACCCGACCAACACUUGGCCUGUGAUCCUUACGGCGAUCACAACCCGACCAAUACAUGGCCCCAAACCGUGAUCCUUACGGAGAUCACAACCCGACCAACACUUGGCCCGUCUUGUUGUUGUUAAACACAUUAUUCUUAUUACUGUUGACUCAUGGUGUGACCUACUUUCGACUGGGCCCUUAUCCGUGGGCGCGGCUAUCGAUAGAUUUAAUAUACACUCUAUAGAGGUUAGUACACUGUACCCACACUACGGAACCCAUGGCCUCACACUCCCAUUCGGGUGGACCAAUGGCAUUCCGACAAAACCGUCCUACUGCCAUGACACUCUCCCGGCCACUCCGACUCACUCCUCACUGAGCUAACUCAUGGGUGGCCCCGUGCCUACCUCCAGACACAACGACAACCGUCGUGGCACGUCCCACUCUGGGAGAAGGAUCCAAAAACUAACUCAACAACGGGCACACAAGGCUUAUGUCUGCCUACCUGAUCAAGGUAGCGCGCGCCCAUAACCUUCCCUCGUUGGAGGCACCGGCAAGAGGCACAACAAUAGACCCAGUUAGGACCGUCCCAUACCGGUAAGCGUGGUUGCACUGGUCAGCAUGGAUUCAGCGGGACCAUAACUCAGCCAACAAUUGUGAUAGUUCAAUUUAAUCCGGUUAACUUGAAUGCAAAUAUGAUGAGCCAUGAUAAAAUAACAUGAUGCCAACUAUUAACAUGAUAUCAACAUCGUCAUGAGGGUAUCACAUAACUGCCCACCAUAUCAACAAUAACUCAUAUCCACUGAACAUGGCAUACUGACUAGCAUGACCAUCAUCAACAUCAACAUGUACUACUAGCAAUCAUAAACAUAUGACAGGUAAUACUAGCAGGUAUAAAAUGAUCACAAAGUAUAAGACAACAUAGCACAAAAGUGAACAUGCAAAUCAAAACAUCACCGGAACAACGAUAACCAUCUUUUCAACAAGCAAACAUUUAUUAAAUAUUCAAGUUGAAAACCAUGGCUACUGCAUGACUGUCACGCAAGUGGGUAUUGUGGCUUGCCUGGGGAUGAAGAAGGCACCGGGGAGAAGUGCGGUGAACUCGUGGAACGAAUCGCCAGAAAACGUUCUCUCUCGGAGGGGGCUGAUUAAGGUCAAGGGCAUAAAGGUCAUUUUCAUAGUGUCAACCCAUAGUUAAAAUGAAUCCAACAGAACGGGCUCAAUGAAACGAAGAAGUGAGCGUUGGUUUCACCUUAAACGGAGUUAUAGAUAAAAAGAUAUAAGGGUUUUACUGCCAGGGACCUAUCUGUAAAACUUUAUUUUACAGUCUGGGCCAAAACAGAAAAAUGGAGAACGUAUUCGGGGGAAUACACGCUUCCACUUAUCCAGCAUGGCAGUGGCGGGGCCGGGGCUAGUCAACGCCUGAGGGACUGACGGGUGGGCCCCACCUUAUCCUUCUCUCUCCCCCUGGCCUCCUUCUUCUUCCUCCCGUGCCUGGCCAUGACAGAGAACAGAGGAGAAGGCAGGGGCGCUGCCGGCGCUGGCCCCGCCGACUCCGGCCGCUCUAGGCCAAGGCGAGGGCACCGGCGGCUUUAGGGUGGCGCGCUGCCUCCAUCCCAGGGCAAAGGGAGCCCGGGGGAGGGGUGUGGACGCGGCACCGCGCUGUGGCAGGAGUUGCAGACGGCGGCGGCUAAGAUUGGGGACGGCGACCACAGAGGCUCCAGCGACGAGUGAAUGGGUUGGGGAGGCCCUAUGGGAGGUGGGGAAGCCAGUGGUGGUGGACGAACGGAGGGGGAGACUCGGUGUUGGGCGAAUUUAAGCCACAGGGGGCGGCGGCCACGGCGGCUAUGGGGGUCGAGGAGAGCUCCUGAAGCUCAGGCGAGGGCAUGGGCGGGCUCCUGGGGAAGUGUUGAUGCGAGAGGUGAGCUCGGGAGAUCUCGAGGAUGGCUUAAAUAGCCGCGGGGAGGAGCUGCCGCGCUGUCACCGCCGCGGACGUGUGCUCGCGGGCAUGGACUCGGGGGAAACGACGGGGAGGGCACAAGGGAGAUCUCUCACGGGGCAGAGGAGGCCAAGGGGCACAGGGAGGAAGACGACGGUGAUGGGAAGAUCCAAAACGCCAGUGUACGCUCAUGUUCACGCGGCGGAGAGUGUCGGUGAGCAAGCGGACGGAGGGGGAGAGGGGUCCAGGGGAACGGCGAAGAUGAGAGGAAGCCAAGGGACAAGCUCACGAGCGCUAAAACAGCGAGAGGAGGAGGGGGUCCAGCACAAAUAGUGCUCUGGACGCAGCCACUACACACAGAGCGCACCAACAGGCAUGCCAGCUGCGUGGUCACCACAUCAACAUGGGCGUUAAAUGAUCUACAGCACCCAAAACGCUGUAUAGCUGAUAGUCCUUCCAAGGUAGGUUUGAUCUGUGGUGGUAACUUGGUGAAAACAGCUAGGGUUAAAUAGUUAGUGAGCUCUGAAGUUUACUGCAGUAAACUUUACCAGCUCAAUGUGAUGAACAGGGAGUUACUUGAAGCCAAAGAAGUUGUCUGGGUGUUUAGGAUAGGAAGGACUACAGUCCUGGGGAGUUUUAGGAGAAAUGGACCAGGCUUUAAUAUAGUUGCUUUGCAACUGUCACAAUGGUCCAGAAAUGAAGAUUAUGAUGGUGCACUCACAUGGAGUGUCCACUUAACCUCAAAUUGGGCAAGGCUUAGUUAUUUGGUCAUAUCAAGAUGCUGUAAAAGUCUCAUGCCAAAUGGAUAAACCAAAAUAGCACUUGCUUCACAAACAUCUCUGCUGACCAAAAACUUGGAAUAAUUAUGGUGGUCAAAUGGAUACAUUAAAUGAUGCCAAAUUGAGUGGAGAGAUGUUUUAUGGGUAUAAGAAUGAUCUGGUAAUUUAUCAGGAUUUUUGAAGCAAUGUAAAAUACACUUGCUUCGCAACCUGAAAAUAUUGCCAGAAACAAAGAUUUGCUCCUGUGCUCACAUAGAUGAUUGGAUGGGGCUUAAAAUGGGUGAAGGGGAUUAAUAUGAGCACAUUAAGGAGUGUGCAAAAUUUCAACUCAUUUGGGUACUCCUAGCUAGUACUUCCUUCACAAAGCCUUCUGUCUGACAGAAACUUUGAAACUUCACUGAGGAAGAUUGGCUUGGCAAAUAAAUUUGAACUUGUGCAUGAGGCAAUUAUUUGGACAUAUAAACAUGCCCAAAAAGGUUGGGAGUCAAUAGGAGAAAUAUAAAUGACACUUCCUUCACAAAGUGCCAUUCAGGGCAGAAUAGGAAAAGGAAUAUUGGGGAAUUAUUUUUGAACAUGGCAAUGAAACAUUUUGCCAUAUUUGAUCAAGAUAUGACCCAAACAAUUUAUGAUAAUUAUUUGGGAAUUUUUGGAGUGAUGGAAAUAUAGGUUGCUUCACAACCUAGGGCAAUUUGAGUUAUUCCUUUAAUAGAAAAGGAAUAUUCCCAAUAAAAAGAAUAUUGGAAUUUGAGCUAGGAUGGAAAUGACAGGGUCUAGGGAAAGAUUUGGGAAUGACAAGUGAGGGAGUCCUGGAUUAGGGGGUGUCCAGAUAGCCGAACUAUCACCGUUGGUCGGACUCCUGGACUGUGAAGAUACAAGAUUGAAGACUUCGUCCCGUGUCCGGAUGGGACUUUCCUUGGCAUGGAAGGCAAGCUUGGUGAUACGGAUAUGUAGAUCUCCUACCAUUAUAACCGACUCUGUGUAACCCUAACCCUAUCUGCUGUCUAUAUAAACCGGAGGGUUUUAGUCCGUGGGACGAACAACAAUCAUACCAUAGGCUAGCUUCUAGGGUUUAGCCUCUCUGAUCUCGUGGUAGAUCCACUCUUGUACUACCCAUAUCAUCAAUAUUAAUCAAGCAGGAGUAGGGUUUUACCUCCAUCGAGAGGGCCCAAACCUUGGUAAAAACAUCGUGUCCCUUGUCUCCUAUUACCAUCCGCCUAGACGCACAGUUUGGGACCCCCUACCCGAGAUCCGCCGGUUUUGACACCGACAUUGGUGCUUUCAUUGAGAGUUCCUCUGUGCCAUCAUCUUUAGGCCCGAUGGCUCCUUCGAUCAUUUACAAUGACGUGGUCCAGGGUGAGACUUUUCUCCCCGGACAGAUCUUCGUAUUUGGCGGCUUUGCACUGCGGGCCAAUUCACUUGGUCAUCUGGAGCAGAUGGAAAGCUACACCCCUGGCCAUCAGGUCAGAUUUGGGAGUUUGAACUACACGGCCGACAUCCGCAAAGACUUGAUCUUCGACGGAUUCGAGCCACAGCCAAGCGUGCCGCACUGUCUCGAUGGGCAUGAUCUAGCUCUACCGCCGAACAGUGCCCUGGAGGCCGCACCAGCGUCCGCUCUGACCCUUAGCUCGGAGCCGACUCCGCCGAUCGAGGACGAGUGGUUGGACACCGCCUCAGGGGCUACGAUCUCUAUGGUGAUUGAGCCGAACUCCAUCCCUGUCCUUUGCGAAGACCAUGACUCCAAGGUGCCGGACUCCUCUCUGGACUCCGAACCCUCCGCGCCCCUGCCAAUCGAAUCCAAUUGGGUGCCGGUUAUGGAGUUCACUGCCGCAGACAUCCUUCAGCACUCGGCAUUUGGCGACAUCCUCAAUUCACUAAAGUCUCUCUCUUUAUCAGGAGAGCCCCGGCCUGACUACGGUCAGGAAGGUUGGGAUGUGGACAACGAAGAAAUUCAAUGCCCACCCACCACCCACUUUGUAGCCACUGUCGAAAGCUUAAAUGACGUGCUCGAUUUCGACUCCGAAGACAUCGACAGUAUGGACGAUGAUGUAGGAGACAACCAUGAACCAGCACCUAUAGGAUACUUGACAGCCACCUCAUCCCACGAUGUAUACAUGGUGGAUACACCUAAAGGAAGUGACUAUAAGGAACAACGGGACACUACGAAGGAUAAAUCCCUCGAAAAGCAGUCAAAACGGCAACGUAAACGCCGCACCAAGUCCCGCCUCAACAAAGACGGCAGCCACACAGACCCAGCCAUAGAGCAGGGCGAACCGGUGGACAACGAACAUGCUAUCGAGCAACCGUCCGAACAGGACAACUUGGAUAAACAACCCAUCCCCGGCGAAGAUAACAGUCCGGACGAUCUCACGCCGGACAAGUUGUUGGAGCAGAAGAACCUCCACAAAAGGCUCAUCACCACUAUGCGUAGCCUGAAAAAACAGAAGCGGAAGCUCAAAACAGCGGAAGAUGCACUCAGAAUCAGAUGGAGCAAAGUACUCAACACCGCAGAGAAAUACGGCGACAGUCGCCAAACAAAGAGCUACCCGAAGCGCAAACUACUGCCCGAAUUCGAUGAGGAGGCCGUAGAGCCCCCGCAAUCAAAGAACAAAGAGGCCGCCCGGUCGGAUAAACGACCACAUGGCAAACAUGGAGCGGCAAGUGGCGCCACACACAAGCCGGCACGCGAUCCGCAUAAGGAUUCACAUCAAAAGGAUGGCCCAGUUAGGUCCAUCUAUGGGCCGAGAAAGCAAGCUCUUCCAAGCAAUGCAACACGCCAAAUAUCCGAACAUCACGGCACACCCAAAUAUAGGGGUGCCGCACACCCCCUGUGUUUCACCGAUGAGGUGCUGGAUCACGAAUUCCCAGCGGGAUUCAAACCCUUAAACAUAGAGGCAUACGACGGAACAACAGACCCUGGAGUCUGGAUUGAGGAUUACAUCCUCCACAUACACAUGGCUAGAGGAGAUUAUCUCCACGCCAUAAAAUAUUUACCCCUCAAGCUCAAAGGGCCAGCCCGGCAUUGGCUCAAAAGCCUCCCUGAAAAUACCAUUGGAAGUUGGGAAGAGCUCGAGGAUGCUUUUCGGGCAAAUUUUCAAGGGACUUAUGUCCGCCCUCCGGAUGCAGAUGAUUUAAGUCACAUAACUCAACAACCGGAGAGUCAUCCCGCAAAUUCUGGAACAGGUUCCUCACCAAAAAGAACCAAAUAGUCGACUGUCCGGACGCCAAAGCCUUAGCAGCUUUCAAACAAAAUGUCCGAGACGAAUGGCUCGCCAGACACCUCGGCCAGGAGAAGCCGAGAACAAUGGGUGCAUUAACAAGCCUCAUGACCCGCUUUUGCGCGGGAGAGGAUAGUUGGCUGGCAAGAUGCAGUACCAGCGACCCAAGUACAUCCGAAGUCAGGGAUGGAAAUGGAAAACCACAACGCAGCAAGGACCAGCGCCGGACAAAGGGAAACAACCCGAAGAGCACAGCAGUCAACGCCGGAUUCAGAAGCUCCCGACAAAAUCAUAAAAAAGUGCCCCUCAAGGAUAACAACGACGAGCUAUCCAACCUAAACAAAAUCUUGGACAAAAUAUGCCAAAUCCACAUUACUCCCGGGAAGCCUGCAAACCAUACCCACAGAUAUUGUUGGGUCUUCAAGCAGUCCGGCAAACUCAAUGCCGAACACAAGGGGCUCGACACACCAAGCGAGGAUGAUGACGAACCCCACAAGCAGAGCACCGGAAAACAAAAGAAUUUCCCACAAGCAGUCAAAACAGUGAACUCACUUCAAGUGACAAAAGGGAAAAACAGAGCGGCGCCCACAGAAACACACGCCGCAUGGUCUAUCCCAGCAGAGUCCCAACGUUGGUUGUCAAAACCAAUCUCCUUCGAUCAUCAGGACUAUUCCGGAAUUAUCCGAACGCAGGAUGGACUGCCUUGAUAUUAGAUCCUAUAAUCGACGAACUCCAAUUUACACAAGUCCUAAUGGACGGAGGUAGCGAUCUAAACCUGCUAUAUCAGGACACAAUCCGCAAAAUGGGGAUAGACCCAACCAAAAUUCGCCAUAGCAACACCUCCUUCAAAGGGGUAAUACCAGGCCUAUAUGCCCAUUGUACGGGCUCCCUACUGCUAGAAGUUGUCUUCGGCUCAUCCAACAACUUCCGCCGCGAAAAGUUAACCUUCCAUAUUGCCCCAUUCGAAAGUAGCUAUCAAGCACUACUGGGACGUGAAGCUUUCGCCUGCUUUAACGCAAUACCGCAUUAUGCAUCUCUUACACUUAAAAUGCCCGGUCCACGCGGCAUCAUCUCAUUAAAAGGGAGUACCAAGUGUUACUCGAGCACGGAAGAACGUGAGACUGCCUUGACAGCCCCACACUAAUCCGGCUCUGCUAAUCAAAGCACCCGAAUAGGUCAUUCGGACCCCGGACAUGGCUAGACGAGUCCGGCGUAAUAAUUAAACACCUACUAGCGGCAUACCCCUAUACAAGGGGAUGCACGCAUGUACAACAAGAGACAAUAAAGCUCAAUUUUAUUCACUUUUCGAACCGUACUCUGUUUAUUUAAAAUAAAGUACAUUUUCUGCAUGAUCUUUUUUUCUUUUCAACUAAGUUCUUCUCUUUUACAGAUGAACACCGUGCUACACCCGUCCAGGAUACGGCACAAUGGAGACACAGGCGCACACAUGCAGUAGGGACCCGUUGCAAGGAUUCUUUUCAGAUUAAGACCCUGCGUAAACCUUUUUUAUUGUCUCUUGUUGAUACACACCCCCGGUUUCUUGCUAUAACCGAGGAGGAGGCUGGCGUUUUGGCAUCGGCCGCACCAGAAUUUUUGCGCGUACCUGAACACCAGGGGCUUAGGGCAUUAUUCUGCCCGUUUUCAUAAAGACCGAAUACCUUAGGGAGUGUUCGGCGUCUCGAGUUAGGCCUUAUAUGCAUCAGCUCCGAAUCAUGUCUUUGGUCAAAUGUUGGGUUUGCCCGGCUCCUAUGUUUUGCUGCCUUACAUUCCGUUCUAUCGGCUAACGCGGCACCAGGAGAACUACUGCGAUUGUGCCCUGGUUCGGCCAGGUGAGCACCUCAGUAGAGAAAGCCGAAAACUGACUGUCAUGAUAUAGCGUGAGACUGGUCAACCACUCGAUGACCCACCGGAAUGUUUAGAAUUCCCCCACAUUAAAGAAGGACCGUUUCCCGGUCAGGCACAUACGUGCCCCGAAUUUGGGAGAGCGUGGUGCCCCUAGGGGCUAUAUAGUAGCCCCAUCAUCGAACUCCUAUGGCUAAGUGAAAGUGAUAAAGCAUUAUAGUCCGGUUGCCUAGUUUGCUACGCUAUCACCUCCUUACAGGACCAAGAUGUUGGAUUAAGUGUGAAAAUGCGCCUUUUUGCAAACACCCCCUCAUUAUGUGCGUGGGGGUUGAAGACGAAGACUGCCAUCUUUCAGGUUAUAUACACACAUACAUCAACGGCCGCACAGGAGGUGUUUUAAUACUUGAACGCACAAGUAUAAAAAGCUCUUAUAUUAUAUUGAAACAUUGUUUUCACAAAUCAUACAUGUCAUUAAAACAUAAUAUCCUUCGAGCACUGCGUCUCUAUUAAACGAGCGCCCUGCAGGACUUCCUCAAAAUAGUGCUCGGCAGGUACUCGGCUUCUAUCCGAAUCUUGGGAUGCAACGUCGGUGGCCUUCAUCUCUGUCCAGUAUGUCUUGACACAGGCAAGAGCCAUCCGCGCACCCUCUAUGCAUGCUGACCGCUUCAUUGCAUCGAUAUGCGGCACCGCACCAAGGAACUGUUGCACCAAGCCAAAAUAACUCUUCGGCUCGGGCCUGUUCGGCCACAAAUGAGUCAUGACAUCCUUCAUGGCAAGUCCGGACAACCUAUUUAGCUCAGCCCAUUCGGCUAAACGAUCGGUUAAUGAAAGUGGACGCUCCGUACUAUGGAACUGCGACCAAAAAAGCUCUUCCAUUCCGUGAUCCUUUUGACCUCGGGAGUGUUCGGCCGCGUCUGCGGCACUUGCCGCCAAGUCCUGAUAAGCAUCCUCCGCACCCCACUGCCAGUCCAAUUAAGCGUACUUAGGAUCCGUGAAUUUCCUCCACGGCAGAAAGGGCUUUCCAGCCGCAAUAUCUCCGGCCUGACGUAGCUCCUCCUUCAUAGCUCUCAUCGCAGAGCGAGUGUCCUUGGCCUCGGUGGUGGCCUUUUUCAGGUCCUCUUCUUCCGCUCGAUCUUCUUUUUCAAGAAGCUCGCAACGGUCAGUAGCAUUCUUCAAUUUCACGGCCAUCUCGGCCAUUUCUUUCUUGCUUCGGGAGUGAGCAGCCUGUUCGGCUUUUAGCUCCGCGGUCGCCUUUAAGGCAGUCGCAUCACUUUUUCUGUCUUGCUCCUUGGCUCGGGCGUGCUUCGCCCGAAGGUUCUCCAUAGCAGCGGCACCAUCUGCAUUAAGCAUACAUGUUGUAAGGCAUGGGCGUCAAGCUCCCUUACCAGGUGUCCGCGGAGAAGUUGCAUACCUUGUGACUCGUCAAGCCGCUUAUUAACAAGCGUGAUGUCUGCAUCCGCCACAUCAAGUUGCCGCUUCAGUUCGGCAUAUUCAUCAGCCCGGCUAGCCACCGGACGCUUUGCCACCUGCAUAGGAAGAGCGCAUAUUAUACCUGGGGUUAUGAUCCUCGGCGCGCCGUCAUUUUUGACACCGCACCAAGUCUCAGGGGCUACUAUCUAUACAAGGCGCAUUUUAUAUGCAAAACUGUGAGAAGGUACAUCAUUUUGCGUACCUCAAAACCCAUCAGUAAACUUACGACGGCUUCAUGCAAUCCGCUCUCAGCGGAUGAAAUCCUUUCAAUCACCGUACUCAUUAACGUACGGUGAUCUUCCGAGAUAGACGCUCGCCCGAGUAGAUCCUUCAGCUCCUCCGACCGUACACCCGUUGGUGCCGGACUCGUCCAGUGGCCUUUCUCGAAGGCCGGACACGGAGGGCUUUGAGGGGACAUACGACUGCCUUCUGGCCCCGCCGGAUUCGGAGAAGCCCUCCGCGAUGACACCUCAGGGUCGUCCGCCUCGCAUAAUGGUACGGCAGGCAGAGGCGUUUCGCUCUCCAUCAUCUCCGGGCCGAGAUCCCUCGAAGACGAGCUCUGCUGUGAAGGGCUGAGAUCCGAACUACAAGGUAAACUUUCGGUUACCUUCAGAAUAAAAACGGGGAUGUCUCUCUUUUAAAAAAACGCCCCCCUUUACUUACGGCUUGCUGGAGGGCUGAUCUCCUCGGGGAAAUAGUGCGGCCGGGGCAUCUCCCGCCGCAGGACCCUCUGGCGAAGAUUUCUUCCCCCGCUUCGAGGCUUUGGUCUCCGGAUCUUCAGAAGCGGUCCUCUUCUCCCCUUGGAGGGAGGGAUUCUCGAUCCCCCCUUUCUUGAUAGCCUCCUUCACGGAGGUAGUAGUUCCCUUAUUCCCCCCUUCGCCUUCUUCAAAAGGCACAGCCUCUAGCAUCUUGGUUAAUACAGGAUCCGGCGUGGUCUCAAGGAGGGGGGCCGGACACCUGAUCAGUUUUGCUUUUGCUAUCCACUCCUGUUUAAAGGAUAGCUCUUUUAAGGGCAAGUUUAUGAUAAAUACGCGGAUAGCAUGUCCGGGUAUAGGACUACUUACUUGAGUAUCCAGGCGAUUGCAGCUCAGACCUGCGUCCUCGGUUAAGUCCGGACACAUUGCUUGUGAUCCGAAGAACAGUUGGUACAUCUCCACGGGCGUUGCGCCCAUAAAAUGUUGGAGAGCUCGUGGUCCCUCCGGAUUAAACUCCCACAGGCGGAGGGGGCGACGUUUGUAGGGCAAGGUGCAACGAAUCAGCAUGACCUGCGCUACUACGACCAGAUUGAUCUCUCUCUCUAGGAGGUCUCGAAUACGGCCCUGCAACAGAGGUACGUCCUUGGACGGUCCCAAGUCGAGCCCUUUAUUGACCCAUGACGCCCGCCGCAGUGGAGGACCCGAGCGGAAGGCAGGUGGCGCCGCCCAUUUGGUGCCCCUGGGAGCGGUGAUAUAAAACCACUCAUGUUGCCAUAAAUUGACCUCCUCUUGAAAAGAGCCCUCGGGCCAUGGAGCGUCAGCAUUCUUGCUUAUAACAGCCCCUCUGCACGCUGCCUGAUGCCCCUUGAUCAUCUUCGGCUCCACUUUGAAGGUCUUGAGCCACAAUCUGAAGUGAGGGGUAAUGCGGAGGAAGGCUUCACAUACGACAAUGAACGACGAGAUGUGGAGGAUGGACUCCGGAUCCAAGUCAUGGAAUUCUAGCCCAUAAUAAAACAUGAGCCCCCUCACGAAGGGGUCCGUCGGGAAGCCUAAACCCCGAAGGAAGUGAGACACGAACACCACGCUCUCACCAGGCUCGGGAGUGGGAAUAACCUUCCCUUGGGCAGGCAUCCUAUGCGAAAUUUCGUCAGUUAGAUACCUUGCGUCUUUCAGCUUUAGCACAUCUUCUUCCGUGAUGGAGGAAGACAUCCACCGGCCAUGCAGGUCGGAGCCGGACAUCGUUGAAGGUCCGAAGCGCCUAACUCUGGAGCUUUGGGUGUUUGAACUCGAGGCGAGGGGCGGAUUCGAUUGAGAUUGAAAGAAAGGAGCGGGCCUUGGUCUCGUUAUAAAGAGGUUGAAUACCAAGAGCCCUCCCCGUGACCGUUCGGGACUCGCCUUUGAUGGAGGAGGCGUGCCAACGGGCACGACUGGGUUACCCACGCCCGUAUUGAUGAGGAUACCGGAAUAAGGGGGGCACGAUCUCCGCUCCGAUAAGACUUGCCGAAGAAACCGCCUCGCUAAACGCGCUGAGGUGGGACAGUAAAAACGAUUCGUAUAAAGACCUGGCCGUGGUGUGAUGUCACACCGCGGAAUACGUCAGCAGAUCUGUGCAAAGGUUAUUCUCUCUACGGUGGUAUGUAGAACUUGUUUUGCAGAGCCGGACACAAUCCUUGUGUUCAAAAUCUUCUAUGAAGUAUUCGGAGGAGGAACCCGCCUUGCAAUGCCGAAGACAAUAUGCACGCAGGACUCAUCGUUAUUGAAGCCUGGUUCAGGGGCUACUGAGGGAGUCCUGGAUUAGGGGGUGUCCGGAUAGCCGAACUAUCACCGUUGGCCGGACUCCUGGAUUGUGAAGAUACAAGAUUGAAGACUUCGUCCCGUGUCCAGAUGGGACUUUCCUUGGCGUGGAAGGCAAGCUUGGCGAUACGGAUAUGUAGAUCUCCUACCAUUAUAACCGACUCUGUGUAACCCUAACCCUAUCCGGUGUCUAUAUAAACCGGAGGGUUUUAGUCUGUAGGACAAACAACAAUCAUACCAUAGGCUAGCUUCUAGGGUUUAGCCUCUUUGAUCUCGUGGUAGAUCCACUCUUGUACUACCCAUAUCAUCAAUAUUAAUCAAGCAGGAGUAGGGUUUUACCUCCAUCGAGAGGGUCCAAACCUGGGUAAAAACAUCGUGUCCCUUGUCUGCUGUUACCCUCCGCCUAGACGCACAGUUCGGAACCCCCUACCCGAGAUCCACCUGUUUUGACACCGACAACAAGCCACUCCGGAAGCAAAGAAGAGGGCAUCUUCUUCAGUUUCCAAACCACAAAGCUACGGAAAAAGAAAACUCAGGCAAAAACCUCGAAAAACAAAAUAAAAAGAAAGGGACAAAAAUUAGGCUGUCACAAACCUUACCCCCUUAAAGAAAUCUUGUCCUCGAGAUUUGGUUGCUCAGGGAACUAGUAUGAAUAUUCUGACUUAAGGAAACCGUUUCCAACUCGGGUAUCCUUUUUCCUUUAUUGUUGUUCCCAACUAAAUUUUUAUCUGACUGGCCCUGGGUGGUUUGCUUUGUUGUAUCCACCUUCUGACAGAUCUUACCUUGCUUGUUCAUGCUUAUAUAGGCUCCAAUUUCUUUUUAGAUCUGCUGACUAGCUGAGUGUUAUUUGAUCAUCACGACUGAAAUAUAUGUCCGUCUCACAAAUCCAAAAGUGAUUUCCGCUGGGUGUGCCACCCGGCACUGACAACCUUUCAUGUAAUGAUGAUCAGAUUUUUCUGAUGAAAACUCAAGCUCUGACUCAUUGCAUUGGGUUUCUCCACUAAAUGCAAGUCCUUUGGGUUCCAAACAGUGAGUUAAAACAUAACCGUUUCCUGACAGAUUCUGACUCAUUGCAGAAGUUUUAGAAUCAUCUUAACUGGUUCCACUGUCGUGAGUAUCAUGUCCAUACCAAAUAUUUGAUUGUCUCCUGUCGUGGCCAGCUUUAAUGGUUUGGCCUGUAGGAUAAUAUCUGCAGACUUGACUGAUGGUGGUUCUGACGGAAAACUUUUGUUCACGACAGGCUACCCAUGAUGAUUUAUAUAAGUGAGGACUUAGGCUUCCAGACUGUUAUUCCUCAUGCUGAUUACUCAUGUUGUAGGCAUAUCCAUGUGGAUCAAUACUGACUUAGACUGUCCGGGGGAUAUGCACCAUGGGGGUUGUAUACAAUUUUCAUACAUGCCUCACUAGUCUUGCUCCUUCAUUAUUGUUUUCUUGGUCUGGAUCUUUGGCUGAAAGAGCUGGGCCAUAUUGUUUCUUUGUAUGACCAUAGGUAUUGUCGGUGCAAUUUUUCGGCAAUUUUAGUUUAUCCUCAUUUUUCUGAUAAGGUAACCCAUUAAAUGGCAGGUUCAACACCUCUCAAGUUCUGAUUGUUGGGAAAUGAUCAUCCAAAACCCUUGCAAGAAAUCAGCAAAUAAAUCAGUAGCCACCAGAACGGUCUUUACAAUUCAGAUCUGGGACAUUACUGAAAUAACUCAACCACGGCUCAGGACGGCCGAAAAGCAGCUCAGAGCAUGAGACCGGGUCGAUAAGAAGAAGCUAGCAGCUCCCUAAAAUAGCCAAAAAGCAGCUACAGGGAUACUAUCACAAAAAGAAACUCAACAGUUGUACGAGACGGCCGAAAAGCAGCUCGGACUCGUGACAGUCGUUGAAGAAAGAAACAAAAAUCGUCAUCCACCCCGGAUAGCUAGAAACAGCUCAAAUCACAGGUGUGGUGCCAUCAUUGGCGAAAAAAAGGGACAAGGGCUCAUCAGGAUCAUUUUCCAGUUUCACGGGUACUUGUAUUGAGCUCAUUGAUGUCGUCAAUCCUCAUACUCCUUUGUCACACAGUGGUGUAUAUUGGCUUCAUUCUUGUAACCAUCCUCACGUGGUUGUCAGAUCCUCAUCCGAGUGACUUGUAAGAUCUUUAUGGUAUGCUCAUUACAUAUAUAUAUGAGGACCUGAUUCUGAGACAGACGUGUAUUCUGACUGAUUCUUGAUUCUGACCAAAAUGUUGCGGAUCUGAUUCUUGGGAUUCACUGCUAUAUGCUGUCAAUUUACAGCAUACUACCUUGUACCAAUGUCUUACUGAUGAAUAUUUGCUGGCUUGUGCUCAAAACUUUCAUCGGACAGCUUACUGAAGAAGACUGAAUAUCGUGCUUCAGAAGCUUACCCCCUUAAAGACUUUGUUAUGGAAAGACUCGGUACCUUAUGUUGGAAGCUUUUGCGGUUGCUUACUGAAGAAGGCGGAGUACCUUGCGCGAGAAAUCAUCCAUAUAUCAUACUGAGGAAGAUAGCUGAAUCUUGCCUUGGAAGCUUCUCUGGUAUCUUGCGAGGGAAGACUGGGUUGCUUACACCAUAAACUUCUUAUUGUGACAUGCGGACCGAUUCCCACAUAUAUAAACAUCUGAAUAUUUUUGCUAUUGAUUUCUUGUAUGAAACGGGGUUUUACUGGACUAUCCUCCUUUCUGAGUAUAUGCCAUACUUUUGCUUGCUUCUAGGUACAUCGAGUUCCAAAAUCAUCCUCAACGAAAAAUUAAACUUGUAUAUGAGCCAUACCUUUGAUAUUAUUCUAUCAACCUUGCACACAAUUUAUCUUCUUGCUGAUUUAAUCAUUUUGUUGUGAUGAGUGCACGUUAAUGCAAACUUGAUACUGACGUUCCAUCCAGGAUUUCUUUUGCACUCAAACGAGAUAUUCCAAUUUUCAUUGCAGUCUGCUGAUAACUCCAUUCUGUUUAGCUGAAUUUCCAAAUAUAUGCAUUUCUUGCUGACUCUUCGGGUCCGGUGUCGGCUGAUGAGCAACUUUAAUAGGGGAAAACUUUGUAACACCGAAGGCCCAAAGAAAGGAACAACAGAAACGACUAAAACAAAAGCACACAAGCAUUCUACUAAUAUAAUUAAUCAAUCAAUCAUCACAUAUUACUGCUACUCACACAAUAAUAUGCAUGCACAUCUAAGCACACAAAUCUCGCGGAAACUCUGGUACUACGAUCUAAUAUGCUGUGAUGAUGUGCACGAGGACGAAUAGAUGUGUGGAAGAAUUGGUGUAAACAGCGCUACACCAAGUGCCUGCUUAGCCAGAUAGCAACCUGGACUAGCUCGGAGGCGAGGACGUACUCGGUAAUCAUGCAGUGGGACACGAAGGUCGCAACCACAUUAUUAUCAAGCGGACGGAAAAAGAUAUGUACUCGUCCAAGAAAUAGGAUUGCGGGGAAAAACUGAGGCUGCUGACAUUGCCCUUUCUUGAUAACUAAGAUCAUUAAGGGUUGCCAACACGACAAAAUAAAAGAACGAUCCGGGAUAGAAGCAUGUCCAUCACCGAAAUGAUAGACGGGACUGGAAGAAAGACAUCGGUGCGAUACCUGAGCACCAUUUUUUUGCAAACAGUGUCGGGAUCACUUGGCAUCACUCUGCUGGAACAGAAUUGACACCAAACACCGAAAGAAAAAAGGACUGGGGAAAUGCAAAGGUUGAGCUUCAGUGGAUCCGAACCGAUGCCAGCUACACUCACCAGAUAAACCGUUAUCACAAAUACUAAGGCUAUAUGCAUGCUAUGCAACAAACAAAUGCAUCAAUCAAGUGCAAUCAAACCAACUGGGGUCUAUACUACCGCUUUCUAACAUUCACGUGGUCUAGGGCGUCCUACAGCCAGACCUGCUCUGAUACCAAGCGUUGUGGCACCCCGUCUCAGAGGAAACCGGAACGCCCCGUAUUCCAGCCCAGAGAUCAAGGAGAAGUCUUCUGGAAUACGGCACUACUUAGCAUAGAACAAACCAGCUUUCUAUAUUACACGAAUAUGAAUACAAGGUCUCCGAUAUUACAAUGAAUAGCAUCGGUACGGCGACACUACGCCAUCCUCAGUUGCUCCAUGCAAGCAGCAGAACAACUCGAAGCAGCGGAAAUAUUUCUAGCAGCGGAACAACAACGACGGUGGUGAAACUCCACUCCGCAUGGACUCUGGCUGGAACGCUUAUCCUAGCUCGCACGAAUGGAAACCACGACAAGCAAGCAAUAAAAUCCGGCAUGACCUGCAAACUAGCAUGGCACGCCUGGUCAGUACAUUGAAUGUACUUGCAAGCUCACAAUAAUUCAGAAGCAUUCAAGACAAACAACAGCAUGGCAAUUACAGGUUAAACAGGAAUUAUCAUGAUAUCAUCAUGGCAUCAACAUGAACAUGAUACAGCUAACACAACAUGAACAUAUUAAUCCAAUAAUACUAUCAUGCAACAUGAUGACACUAUAGGCACCACUUAUUCUCCUCGGUUUACAUCGUAACCAUCACAUGCAUCACUUACCAACCUCGGACAUCACAUGAUCAUCUCAGGAUCAAAUCAAGCUUGGUAUGAACAAUACCGUAGUAAUCGUUAGUACAUUGUACCCACACUACGGAACCCAUGGCCUCGCACUCCCAUUCGGGUGGACCAAUGGCAUUUCGACAAAACCGUCCUACUUCCAUGACACUCUCCCGGCCACUCCAACUCACUCCUCACUAAGCUAAGUCAUGGGUGGCCCCGUGCCUACCUCCAGACACAACGACCACCAUCGUGGCCCGUCCCACUCUGGGACAAGGAUCCAAAAACUAACUCAACAAUGGGCACACAAGGCUUAUGUCCGCCUACCUGAUCGGGGUAGCGCGCGCCCAUAACAUUCCCUCGUUGGAGGCACCGGCGAGAGGCACAACAAUAGACCCAAUUAGGACCGUCCCAUACCGGUAAGCGUGGUUGCACUGGUCAGCAUUGAUUCAGCUGCACCAUGACUCAGCCAACAGUUGUUCAAGUUCAAUUUAAUCCGGUUAACUUGAAUGCAAAUAUGUUGAGCCAUGAUAAAAUAACAUGAUGCCAACUAUGAACAUGAUAUCAACAUCAUCAUGAGGGUAUCACAUAACUAUCCACCAUAUCAACAAUAACUCAUAUCCACUGAACAUGGCAUACUGACUAGCAUGACCAUCAUCAACAUCAACAUGUACUACUAGCAAUCAUAAACAUAUGACAGGUAAUACUAGCAGGUAUAACAUGAUCACAUAGUACAAGACAACAUAGCACAAAAGUGAACAUUCAAAUCUAAACAUCACCGGAACAAUGAUAACCAUAUCUUUUCAACAAGCAAACAUUUAUUAAAUAUUCAAGUUGAAAACCAUGGCUACUGCAUGACUAUCAUGCAAGUGGGUAUUGUGGCUUGCCUGGGGAUGAAGAAGGCACCGGCGAGAAGUGCGGUGAACUCGCGGAACGAAUCGCCGGAAAACAUUCUCUCUCGGAGGGGGCUGAUUAAGGGCAAGGGCAUAAAUGUCCUUUUCACAGUGUCAAACCAUAGUGAAAAUGAAACCAACAGAACGGGCUCGACGAAACGAAGAAGUGAGCGUUGGUUUCACCUUAAACGGAGUUACGGAUAAAAAGAUAUAAGGGUUUUACUGUCAGGGACCUAUCUAUAAAAAUUUAUUUUACAGUCUGGGCCAAAACAGAAAAAUGGAAAGCGUAUUCGGGGGGAUACGCUUCCACUUAUCCAGCGUGGCAGUGGCGGGGCCGGGGCUGGUCAACGCCUGAGGGACUGAUGGGUGGCCCCCACCUUAUCCUUCUCUCUCCUCCUGUCCUCCUUCUUCUUCCUCCCGUGCCUGGCCACGACAGAGAACAGAGGAAAAGGCAGGGGCGCUGCCGGCGCUGGCCCCGCCGACUCCGGCCGCUCCAGGCCAAGGCGAAGGCACCGGCGACUUCAGGGUGGCGCGCCGCCUCCAUCCCAGGGUAGAGGGAUCGCUGGGGAGGGGUAUGGACGCGGCACUGCGUGGUGGCAGGAGUUGCAGACGGCGGCGGCUAAGAUUGGGGAUGGCGACCAUAGAGGCUCCAGCGACGAGCGAAUGGGUUGGGGAGGCCCUAUGGGAGGUGGGGAAGCCACUGGUGGUGGACGAACGGAGGGGGAGACUCGGCGUUGGGCGAAUUUAAGCCGGAGUGGGGCGGCGGCCAUCACUAGUAGAAAACGAAGCUUUAAUACCGGUUCAUAAGGGCCUUUAGUGCCGGUUCUGCAACCGGCACUAAAGUGUGGAGACUAAAGCCCCCCCCCCUUUAGUACCGGUUCGGCAUGAACAGCCACUAAAGGCCCACCACGUGGCGUGAGCUCGCGUCGUGGUAUGGAGGACCUUUAGUACCGGUUGGUGUUACCAACCGGUACUAAAGGUAUAUUAUUUUUUGAAUUUUNNNNNNNNNNNNNNNNNNNNNNNNNNNNNNNNNNNNNNNNNNNNNNNNNNNNNNNNNNNNNNNNNNNNNNNNNNNNNNNNNNNNNNNNNNNNNNNNNNNNNNNNNNNNNNNNNNNNNNNNNNNNNNNNNNNNNNNNNNNNNNNNNNNNNNNNNNNNNNNNNNNNNNNNNNNNNNNNNNNNNNNNNNNNNNNNNNNNNNNNNNNNNNNNNNNNNNNNNNNNNNNNNNNNNNNNNNNNNNNNNNNNNNNNNNNNNNNNNNNNNNNNNNNNNNNNNNNNNNNNNNNNNNNNNNNNNNNNNNNNNNNNNNNNNNNNNNNNNNNNNNNNNNNNNNNNNNNNNNNNNNNNNNNNNNNNNNNNNNNNNNNNNNNNNNNNNNNNNNNNNNNNNNNNNNNNNNNNNNNNNNNNNNNNNNNNNNNNNNNNNNNNNNNGAAUUUUUUUUUUUUUGAAAUUUUCGAAAAAAUAUUUGGUUUUUUUUCGAUUUUCAAUUUUUUGAAUUAUUUGAUUAUUUAGUCUCUAAUUGCCCCUCUUAACUACUCAAGUGUGGAUCACUCAUUCCAAAUCGUCUAACUUCCCGACCGGUCACCCAUCCUCUCACUCCCCCAGCCUGAGCACGCUUAACUUCGGAGUUCUAUUCCCCCUACUUUCCAAGUCUGCACUUGUUGUCUUCCUGACAAUUCUAAGCUGUAAAUCCUAUUAACCCUUAGCAGUUUAGCUUGAGCAUUAGGUCACACAUUUCACCGUUUGAGUUUGAAACUAUUAUUCUAAAAAACAGUAAUUAGUUAGUAACACUAAUAUUUCUUGAAUAAGUUUGACCAUAGUUUGACCACAAUUUGACCAUAGUUUGACCAGAUUUGACCAAAAUUCAAAAAAUUGAAAUAAUUACUUAUUAACACUAAUAUUCCUGAAUAAGUAUGUAGUAACAUUAAUACUUCUUGAAUAAGUAGUUUGACCAUAGUUUGACCAGAUUUAACCAAAAUUAAAAACACUUAAAUUUGAGCAUAUCUUUUUCUCCUUUUGGAAUUUGAGGAUUCUAAAAAAUUGCAAACAUGACGUAUGCUGUCAAAAUCGGAUGCGGUUUCUCGUGCUGAACUCUUUGAUAUAUUAUACAUUUUUUCCGACAUCGUAUGCAAAAGUUAUAGCCGUUUUACAUUUUCCCUACACUUUUUGCAAAACAUAUCCAAAUUUAAGUUUUUUAAUUUUUGUAACUAGUAGAUGUAGUAAUAUAACUACAUCUCAAAGAAUUUUAUUUUUUGAAUUUUUUAUCAUUUUCUUUUGUAUUUUCCAAAACUGAAAUGGCGAUACACACGGGGGUAGAGUUUGAAAAUUGCCCUUUAGUACCGGUUUGUGCCACGAACCGGUAUUAUAGGUCAAACCCCUUUAGUACCGGUUUGUGCCACGAACCGGUACUAAAGGUGAUCGCCGGGCCCCGGCCUGACGCCAGCCUGCCACCACCCCUUUAGUACCGGUUCGUGGCACGAACCGGUACUAAAGGUUCAAAACGAACCGGCAUUAAUGCAUAGCCGUUCGAACCGGCACUAAUGGUACCAUUAGUACCGGGCCAAAAUAGAACCGGUACUAAUGUGUCUCACAUUAAGUCCUUUUUCUACUAGUGCAUGGCAGCUAUGGGGGUCGAGGAGAGCUCCAGAAGCUCAGGCGAGGGCAUGGGAUGGCUCCUGGGGAAGUGUUGAUGCGAGAGGUGAGCUCGGGAGGGCUCGGGGAUGGCUUAAAUAGCCGCGGGGAGGAGCUGCCGCGCUGUCACCACCGUGGACGCGUGUCCAGCGCUGCCGACGCGUGCUCACGUGCAUGAACUCGGGGGAAAACGAUGGGGAGGGCACAGGGGAGAGCUCUCACGAGGCAGAGGAGGCCAAGGGGCGCAGGGAGGAAUACGACGGCGAUGGGAAGAUCCAAAAUGCCACUGUACGCUUGUGUUCACGCGGCGGCGAGCGUCAGUGAGCAAGCGGGCGGAGGGGGAGAGGGGUCCAGGGGAACGGCGAUGAUGAGAGGAAGCCAAGGGACAAUCUCACGAGCACGAAAACAGCGAGAGGAGGAGCGGGUCCAGCACAAAAAGUGCUCUGGACGCGGCCACUACACACAGAGCGCACCAACAGGCAUGCCAGCUGCAUGGUCACCACGUCAACAUGGGCAUUAAAUGAUCUACAGCACCCAAAACGUUGUCUAGCUGAUAGUCCUUCCAAGGUAGGUUUGAUCUGUGGUGGUAACUUGGUGAAAACAGCUAGGGUUAAAUAGUUAGUGAGCUCUGAAGUUUACUGCAGUAAACUUUACCAACUCAAUGUGAUCAACAGGGAGUUACUUGAAGCCAAAGAAGUUUUCUGGGGUGUUUAGGCUAGGAAGGACCACAGUCCUGGGGAGUUUUAGGAGAAAUGGACUAGGCUUUAAUAUAGUUGCUUUGCAACUGUCACAAUGGUCCAGAAAUGAAGAUUAUGAUGGUGCACUCACAUGAAGUGUCCACUUGAGCUCAAAUUGAGCAAGGCUUAGUCAUUUGGUCAUAUCAAGAUGCUGUAGAAAGCUCAUGCCAAAUAUACAAACCAAAAUAGCACUUGCUUCACAAACAUCUCUGCUGACCAGAAACUUGGAAUAAUUAUAGUGGUCAAAUGGACCAAUUAAAUGAAGCCAAACUGGAUGGAGAGAUGUUUCAUGGGUAGAAGAAUGAUCUGGUAAUUUAUCAGGAUUUUUGAAGCAAUGUAAAAUACACUUGCUUCACAACCUGAAAAUAUUGCCAGAAACAAAGAUUUGCUCCUGUGCUCACGUAGAUGAUUGGAUGGGGCUGAAAAUGGGUGAAGGAAAUUAAUAUGAGCACAUUAAGAAGUGUGCAAAAGUUCAACUCAUUUGGGUACUCCUAGCUAGUACUUCCUUCACAAAGCCUUCUGUCUGACAAAAACUUUGAAAAAUCACUAAGGAAGAUUGGCUAGUCAAAUAAAUUUGAACUUGUGCAUGAGGAAAUUAUUUGGACAUAUAAACAUGCCCAAAAAGGUUGGGAGUCAAUAGGAGAAAUAUAAAUGACACUUCCUUCACAAAGUGCCAUUCAGGGCAGGAUAGGAAAAGGAAUAUUGGGGAAUUAUUUUUGAACAUGGCAAUGAAAAGCUUUGCCAUAUUUGAUCAAGAUAUGACCCAAACAAUUUAUGAGAAUUAUUUGGGAAUUUUUGGAGUGAUGGAAAUAUAGGUUGCUUCACAACCUAGGGCAAUUUGAGUUAUUCCUUUUAUAGAAAAGGAAUAUUCCCAAUAAAAAGAAUAUUGGGAUUUGAGCUAUGAUGGAAAUGACAGGAUCUAGGGAAAGAUUUGGGAAUGACAAGCCACUCUGGAAGCAAAGAAGAGGGCAUCUUCUUCAGUUUCCGGACCACAAAGCCACGGAAAAAGAAAACUCAAGCAAAAACCUCGGAAAAACAAAAGAAAAAGAAAGGGCCAAAAAUCAGGCUGUCACAUAAAUCAGAGAACAUAUAUGGAUAAAAAGUUUCUAAAAAUCUAACUUUUGCAUAUAUGUAUACUUUAAAACAUCAUUGCAAUUGAAAAAAUACAUACAUACAUACAAAAACAUGUAAAAAAAUACGUACAUACAUAUAUGAACAUACAUAAAAAAUACAUAUAUCUAAAAAAUACAUACAUACAUAUAUGAAAAUCUAAAAACAUGUAAAAAAUAGCAUGUAUAACUAAAAAAAUAGCACGGCGGCGGCGGGGCCGGUAGAGGCACGGUGCUCACAGAGGGAGGAGCGCGCGGCGGGCGGCGUCGGGGCGAGCAGGGGCAAGGGGAGUGGCGCGGCGAUGGCGUCGGGGCAGGAGCGNNNNNNNNNNNNNNNNNNNNNNNNNNNNNNNNNNNNNNNNNNNNNNNNNNNNNNNNNNNNNNNNNNNNNNNNNNNNNNNNNNNNNNNNNNNNNNNNNNNNNNNNNNNNNNNNNNNNNNNNNNNNNNNNNNNNNNNNNNNNNNNNNNNNNNNNNNNNNNNNNNNNNNNNNNNNNNNNNNNNNNNNNNNNNNNNNNNNNNNNNNNNNNNNNNNNNNNNNNNNNNNNNNNNNNNNNNNNNNNNNNNNNNNNNNNNNNNNNNNNNNNNNNNNNNNNNNNNNNNNNNNNNNNNNNNNNNNNNNNNNNNNNNNNNNNNNNNNNNNNNNNNNNNNNNNNNNNNNNNNNNNNNNNNNNNNNNNNNNNNNNNNNNNNNNNNNNNNNNNNNNNNNNNNNNNNNNNNNNNNNNNNNNNNNNNNNNNNNNNNNNNNNNNNNNNNNNNNNNNNNNNNNNNNNNNNNNNNNNNNNNNNNNNNNNNNNNNNNNNNNNNNNNNNNNNNNNNNNNNNNNNNNNNNNNNNNNNNNNNNNNNNNNNNNNNNNNNNNNNNNNNNNNNNNNNNNNNNNNNNNNNNNNNNNNNNNNNNNNNNNNNNNNNNNNNNNNNNNNNNNNNNNNNNNNNNNNNNNNNNNNNNNNNNNNNNNNNNNNNNNNNNNNNNNNNNNNNNNNNNNNNNNNNNNNNNNNNNNNNNNCGCGGGCGACGGCGACGGCGGGGGCGGCGGGCGGCGUCGGGGCAGCCUAGCGGCGACGAUGUGCUCGGCAUCGUCGGGGGCAACUGUGGUAAUGAACUCUGCAAAAUUGCUAAGUGCUACUUAUAUACCAGAAGCAUUGGUCCCGGUUUGUGGCACCAACCGGGACCAAUGCCCCCUUUAGUCCCGGUUGGUGCCACCAACCGGGACCAAAGGUCACUUUUCAGCAGCCCAAAGGGCGGGAAGCAGAGGCCAUUGGUCCCGGUUGGUGCCACCAACCGGGACCAGUGGCCUUGCACAGCGGGGUGGUGGUGGGAGUUUAGUCCCACCUCGCUAGUUAGAAGCGCCCGGCACCUGUUUAUAAGCCCCAUUGCCUCUUCCCUCUCGAACUCCUCUGAACUGCAGGCCUAUGGGCCUAAACUGACACUAAUAUGCCUGUGGGCCUGUUGGGCCUUCUGCAGGCCUGAAUCCUGGCCCAUGGAUGGGUUUCUAGUCGUAUUCAGGCCGUGGUGGCCCAGUAGGUGGCAAAUUAUUUAUUUGUUCCCAGUUUUUUUGUUUUCUUUUUUGCUUUAUUUAUUUUGUUUUGUUUCUACUUACAACAAAAUACUUAUUUAUUUUAUUUUAUUUUGUUUAAAAUUACUUAUUUAUUUUAUUUUAUGAUAAUUCUUNNNNNNNNNNNNNNNNNNNNNNNNNNNNNNNNNNNNNNNNNNNNNNNNNNNNNNNNNNNNNNNNNNNNNNNNNNNNNNNNNNNNNNNNNNNNNNNNNNNNNNNNNNNNNNNNNNNNNNNNNNNNNNNNNNNNNNNNNNNNNNNNNNNNNNNNNNNNNNNNNNNNNNNNNNNNNNNNNNNNNNNNNNNNNNNNNNNNNNNNNNNNNNNNNNNNNNNNNNNNNNNNNNNNNNNNNNNNNNNNNNNNNNNNNNNNNNNNNNNNNNNNNNNNNNNNNNNNNNNNNNNNNNNNNNNNNNNNNNNNNNNNNNNNNNNNNNNNNNNNNNNNNNNNNNNNNNNNNNNNNNNNNNNNNNNNNNNNNNNNNNNNNNNNNNNNNNNNNNNNNNNNNNNNUAUUAAAGCUUCUAACAAAAAAAGUUCUUUAUGAAAAUUCUUUUUGCUUUUAAUGAUUUUGAACGGAAAAUACUUUGAUAAUUUUAGUUUCUUAAAUUUUAUUUAUGUUAUUAAAGUUUAUUUUAUUUUAUUUUGUUUCUACUUAUAUAUUUUAUUAAAGUUUAUUUUAUUUUGUUUCAAAUUACUUAUUUAUUUUAUUUUAUGAUAAUUCUUUUUGCUAUUAAAGUUUGUAACAAAAAAGUUAUUUAUGAACUCUGAAACAAAGGGAUUUCAGACGGAAACUCGUCUCUUACAAAGGGAUUUCAUUUGUGUUAUCAGGGUUUCAUACGGAAACUCGUCUGUUACAAAGGGAUUUCAUUUUUUUGAACUUAUUUGAACUCCAUAGUUUUUCUGUGUUCAAAAUGCACCAUUCAAAGCCACAUCAUCAAUUUUCAACCCUUUCUGACUUCAUUUGUUAUUUUUCAUGCAUUUACUGAUUAUUUUGAGCUAUAAGACCAUGAAAUUGAAAAGCAUUUGAAAUGAACUCUGAAAAGGUUGAAAGUUGGCAUGGUAUCAUCAUUUCACCCACAUAGCAUGUGCAAGAAAGUAGAGAGGGUUACGACAAAAACUGGAUGCACUUUGUGUACAAAACGGACAAUCUCUUUCGAAGUAUCAGGGUUUCAUACGGAAACUCGUCUGUUACAAAGGGAUUCCAUUUUUUUGAACUUAUUUGAACUCCAUAGUUUUUCUGUGUUCAAAAUGCACCAUAUAAAGCCACNNNNNNNNNNNNNNNNNNNNNNNNNNNNNNNNNNNNNNNNNNNNNNNNNNNNNNNNNNNNNNNNNNNNNNNNNNNNNNNNNNNNNNNNNNNNNNNNNNNNNNNNNNNNNNNNNNNNNNNNNNNNNNNNNNNNNNNNNNNNNNNNNNNNNNNNNNNNNNNNNNNNNNNNNNNNNNNNNNNNNNNNGAUUUCAUUUUUUUUGAACUUAUUUGAACUCCAUAGUUUUUAUGUGUUCAAAAUGCAACAUUCAAAGCCACAUCAUCAAUUUUCAACCCUUUCUGACUUCAUUUGUUAUUUUUCAUGCAUUUACUGAUUAUUUUGAUCUAUAAGACCAUGAAAUUGAAAAGCAUUUGAAAUGAACUCUAAAAAGGUUGAAAGUUGGCAUGGUAUCAUCAUUUCACCCACAUAGCAUGUGCAAGAAAGUAGAGAGGGUUACGGAAAAAAGCUGAAUGCACUUCGUGUACAAAACGGACAAUCUCUUUCGAAGUAUCAGGGUUUCAUCAUGAAACUCGUCUGUUACAAAGGGAUUUCAUUUUUUUAACUUAUUUGAACUUCAUAGUUUUUCUGUGUUCAAAAUGCACCAUUCAAAGCCACAUCAUCAAUUUUCAACCCUUUUUUGACGUCAUUUGUUAUUUUUCAUGCAUUUACUAAUUAUUUUGAGUUAUAAGACCAUGAAAUUGAAAAGCAUUUGAAAUGAACUCUGAAAAGGUUGAAAGUUGGCAUGGUAUCAUCAUUUCACCCACAUAGCAUGUGCAAGAAAGUAGAGAGGGUUACGGCAAAAACUGGAUGCAUUUCGUGUACAAAACGGACAAUCUCUUUCGAAGUAUCACGGUUUCAUCAUGAAACUCGUCUGUUACAAAGGGAUUUCAUUUUUUGAACUUAUUUGAACUCCAUAGUGUUUCUGUGUUCAAAAUGCACCAUUCAAAGCCACAUCAUCAAUUUACAACCCUCUCAUGAAUAGAUAAGUGACCAAAUUAAUAAAAGUUCAUCAUCACAUUAAAACCAAAGUACAUACAUAGUUCUCAUUGAACAACAUAUAGCUCUCCAGAGCAUCUAAUUAAACCAUACAUUGAAAUUAUGUAAAACAUUUCAAUGCAACAACAAAUGCGAUCAUAAUCACAACCAAGGUAACAACUGAUCCAACUGCAUAAUGAUACCAAGUCUCAGUAUGAAUGGCAUAUUUUCUAAUCUUUCUAAUCUUCAACCGCAUUGCAUCCAUCUUGAUCUUGUGAUCAUCGACGACAUCCGCAACAUGCAACUCCAAUAUCAUCUUCUCCACCUCAAUUUUUCUUAUUUUUUCCUUCAAGUAAUUGUUUUCUUCUUCAACUAAAUUUAACCUCUCGACAAUAGUGUCGGUUGGUAUUUCCGGUUCAACCACCUCCUAGAUAAAUAAAAUCUAUGUCACGUUUGUCGGCAUAAUUGUCAUAAACAAUAAAUGAACCAAAUAGUUAUCAAAAGAAAAUAUAUACCACAUCCGAAUCAUAGACAGGACGAGGGCCGACGCGGGCGGAUACCAAAACCAUCGCACUAUAUAAUAACAAGUAAUAAUAAAAGUAAGAAAAUUAGACAAGUAUCUAUCUGAAGUAAGAAAUUUUUUUCCAGAAAGAAGAUAAGAACAAGAGUCUCACCACGGUGGUGCCGGCGACGAGAUCAGUGUGGGCGGUCGACGGCGGUGAAGACGGGGACGGGAUGUGACGGACCGCUAAACCUAGACAAAUCUCGGGGAAAAUGGAGCUCGGAGGUCGAGUUUCGAGAGGAGAAAGAUUAACUAGUGUAGCUUGGACAUUUCAUCGAACACCUCAUGUGCAUAGGAGGUGAGCUAGAGCACCCAAAUGCCCUCCCUUCGUCGGCCAGAAAAAACAGAGCACUGUGGAGUGCUCUGCUAUGGCGAUGGGGUAUAUAUAGGCAACUCAUUUGUCCUGGUUCAUGGUAGAAACCGGGACUAAAGCCCAGCAUUCUGUCAUGGUUCAAGCCACGAACCGGGACCAAUGGUUGUGGGCCAGGAGCGAGGACCAUUGGUCCCGGUUCGUGCCUGGAACCGGGACAAAUGGGUCCAUACGAACCGGGACCAAUGCCCACGAGGCCCCGGCCGGCCCCCAGGGCUCACGAACCGGGAUGAAUUCCCCCAUGGGUCCCGGUUCGUGAUUGAACCGGAACUAAUGAGUUGGCCAGGCCCGAACGAAAGCCAUAUUUUCUACUAGUGCAUGGACUCAUGUGACGAUGCAGGUGCAUAGAUCAUUGAUGGCGAAGAAGUGCUACGCCAGGAGUAUACGAUGAGUGGCCGGGGUGUCAGGCCCAGGUGUACCGGUUUCCGGUUUCCGGUUUCCGAGCGACAGCCAGUAGUUAGUUUAGGUUCACGCUAGUGCGAGAGAGGGAUACAAACUCAUGUACUGCAUAGUUCCGCUCUCACUCAUAGUGAUAGCUCUUCUCGUGUAUAUCAUUGUUUAGAUGGAUGACGAUGUAGUUGCAAGAACUUGUGUCGCUAUUUUUGAGAUGAUGACGAGAGACCACUUUGUGUUGGAUGAUGAUUAUGAUGAUAACAUGAUUUGAUGUUAUGAUUACAUUUGUAUGUGUAUGAUAUGUUAAAGAUUAUUGUAUAAAGCUUGUUCAAAUACAAAACAAAUAUGUAGAAAAAAACAAAAACUAAUAAAACUAACAGUAGCGAGGGGAGUAGAGUUAGCAACAGUGCGCCCUUACCAGUAGCACGCCCUAGAUUAAAGCGCUGCAGAUAUUAUCAGUAACGUGUUGUGCUAAAGCUCGUUGCUGCUAGCCAUGUAUAGCAGUAGAGUGGGUCAGCACGCGCUACUGAUACAUGUUAGCUGUAGCGCCGUAUCAGUAGCGCGGUGCCCCACGCUACUGAUACACCUAAUACGCGCACUACUGCUAGGCUUUUCCCUAAUAGUGAAGUACUUCCAGUGAUGCAAGAUUAGCAGAACGAAGAAGUGGGAAAACAAUUGCCUAGCUCGACGAACAGGCGAAGUAAUCAUGCCCCCUGCUCAAGGUGUCUAGCGAUAUCGUCGCUAAUCAUCCGGGGCUACUGCCCGGUACCAAUCUUGGUGAUUACUGAGCGAUGAUGUAUAGAUUGAAAUGUUAGAGGUAGUAGAGAUCUUCAAAUACGAGCGCGGGAAGCCUCUCCUCAAACCUAAUAAUCCUCCUCUAACAACGAUGAUGCGAAGAUUGCAUGAAUGGUACAUGGAUACCUGCAGGGAGCCCGGGGUCGACAGUAUGAUGGUGAGAAUUCAAGAUGAGCACGGCCUCAUUGGAGUUGAGUUGAUGCCUUUUGAAUUUGUGGAGUUAUUUCAAUUAUUCAAUCAGGACGCCCUCGUCAAACAACUCAUGACUUGCUACUGUCUGUAAGUAUUAAUUCUUUAGUUAAGUCUCUAUAGCUCAGCUUGUUCAUUGCAUGUAUAUAUAAUUAUCCUCACUAUAUUAUGCAGGCUGAAGAUCAUCGAAUGCAAAAAAGAGCAAAUAUAUGACAUUGGGUUCAUUAACCCAAAUACCGUAAAUGAAUGGUCGGUUAAAUUUGAAGACACAGAUACUGAGAAGAACUUGCUACAAUCGUUCCUUCGACAUCAAAACAAAGCUAAAAUGCUCUUUCCUUACAACUUCAGGUGAGUCUUAUUGUCUUGUGCAUAUUCGGUUUCGCGUACUCGAGGUUAAGUAAUGUAAUUGAUGAGUUAUGUGUGCGCAGCUUCCACUUUAUUCUGCUACAGAUUAAACUUGAUGAGGGAGUAGUAACUGUCUUAGACUCGAAACAUAAAGAUCCCCAGGAUUAUGCGGACAUGACUGCAAUGCUCCAAAAGUAAGUUCAAUCAUUAUCGCAUCAUAUCGGCAACUUUCGUUCAUUUCCUGAUAUCAAGUAAUCAUUUUCUUUGCCUGGCAGGGUUUGGAAAAAGUUCACCGGAAUAGUUUCGGGUCUGCAGAAGGAGCUGCGAUUUGCACACCCCAGUAGUACUAGCUAGUUCCGCGCAUCUCCCAUUGAUUCUACUUUCAUCAAUACCAUUUAUCAUGCUUGAUUAUCAGUUUGAUUGAACUCUAUUUCUCAUAAAGUGCUUGUGGCAGGAAGGCAGGAAUAAUUUAUGUGGAUACUACGUUUGCGAGUUCAUCCGCCACUCGACCUCUGAGCGGGGCUACUCUAACAAACAAUAUGAAGUACGUAAACAAUAUUCACAAUAUUAUUUUAUUACCAUCAAUAGAUGAAUGAAACUCAACACAAUUGAUCAUAUUAUUUUAUUACCAUCAAUAUUAUUUUAUUCACAAUAUGUAUUGACCCCCUUCUUUAAAUUAGAUGCGGGAGAUGUGGGAUGAACUCCCACCACAUGAUCGCACAUGAGCAAUUCAAGAGGAAUUGGCGGGAUUCUUUCUUGACCACGCCAUACAUAAAGACGGAGAAUGCCAUGUGGAAAUUGAAAAUGAUUUUGGAUGUUAGGGAUUGUAAAAGAUGUUAUAUUGUAUAUAUCUAGUAGCGUCGGAUAGAUAUACGAAAACUUGUUGUUCGACCAAUCUCGGAGAAAGAGAGGUCACUUCUCUCUGUAUAUGUUCAUGUCGGUCCUGUGUAAUUAAUGGUUCCUUCAUUUGCUUACUAGCUAGCGUGUCGAGUUCUCUCUAUAUGUAUAGUAGCUAGCGUCGACCAAGCACGGAGAAAGAGAUGUCACUUCUCUCUAUUAGCUAGCUAACACAAUAUGAAACCCNNNNNNNNNNNNNNNNNNNNNNNNNNNNNNNNNNNNNNNNNNNNNNNNNNNNNNNNNNNNNNNNNNNNNNNNNNNNNNNNNNNNNNNNNNNNNNNNNNNNNNNNNNNNNNNNNNNNNNNNNNNNNNNNNNNNNNNNNNNNNNNNNNNNNNNNNNNNNNNNNNNNNNNNNNNNNNNNNNNNNNNNNNNNNNNNNNNNNNNNNNNNNNNNNNNNNNNNNNNNNNNNNNNNAAAAAAACAAAAACCCCAACGCCUGCGAGCUGCUGACGCGUGGCUGCCUAUUGGUCCCGGUUGGUGUUACCAACCGGGACUAAAGGUCCUCCUGCCUGGGCGCCCCGCAGCGGCCACGUGGAGCCCCUUCGGUCCCGGUUCAUAAGCAAACCGGGACUAAAGGUUUUGGGCUUUAGUCCCGACCCUUUUGUCCCGGUUCCAGAACCGGGACUAAAGGCUCUCUCGAACCGGGACUAGUUUCCUGUUUUCUAUUAGUGUUACAUGAGAAAUGAUAAGUAACAAGACUGAGAACUUCAAGACAGAUAAAUGAAGAAUUAUAAGAAUAUUGAGGAAAUAAGCUGAGGACUCAAUAUUGACUAAAAAGUAAAUGACUGAUGAAAACAACUGACACUAACUACAAAAUAAGAAACUAUGACUGAAACUGACAAUGAAUGUAACUGGAAAAAAACUGAAAUCGACAGCUCCCCCGAAAAACUGAACCAACAAUGUUGUCACAAGGCCUAGAUCCCUCAGGUACAUAGUUUCUCCCGUGCAACUUUGGUGAUGAGCACAAGAACUAAAAUUGACGCUCUGAGCCAUCGUUAACUGAACCCAAAAAAUCGCACAGUGAGCAGCUCCGGCACUGACUGAUUUUUAGUGAAACUGUAUUAUUUUUAGUUCUUUUAUUAUCAGUCUUCAGCUGUUAAUACGUUGCCAAACUUGCAGCUUCCAUACUAGAAUUUGUAAAAACUUUCAAGGAAUCCAAAAACAUAGCAAAAGGGGAAGACCCUCACAAAUCAGCAUUUCUUUUUAAAAAAGAGAGUUAUCUUUUCUCAUUUGUUUUUAUCAAAUCUGGCAGGACCAUAGAUGAAGAGCUAGCUAUUCUUAAACAAACAAUACAAUGAAAUUCACUCCACAUAAAUAACGCGUGGAUAACACCAUAUAAUGAGAACGGAUUCGGAUUACAACAUCCAGGUAACAUGUCACUUCUUUAUGGCAAUGAGAACGACGAAUCACUCGGCUAAUAAGGCGAGCAGCAGUCCACACUUCUACUAGUAGUUUUAUACUCUACAUUGGAGUGAAUUUCUUUAAAGAUAACACUUUUUAUUGGCCGGCUUCAAACACUGUGCUAGAUAAGAUUAGCUACUAACUCCAAGGAUAUCAGCAAACAUCUCUUUCCAUCCAUCCCAAUCCAGAUACAUCCAAGUGGCAAGCAUUGUAGGCAGUCCAUAUACCAGGCAUUUAUUCAAUCUUUCUCUUGCACGAUAGAAGCAUUGUAGGCAGUCCAUAUACAUAAAUUUAGAUAAAUUAGGAUUAAAAAUAUAUUGUCUACAUUCUCAUCAAAGAGAUCGUCAUCUCCAUCUGCCACAUCAUAAUCACUUCCGUAAAAUUCAGAGUCGGCCUCUUCAUCUUCUUGCCCCUCUACUUGACUAUCUCCUUCCGCUGCUUCAUGUGCUUGUUCUCCUUCCUCUUGCUCUUCUUGAUGUGCUUGUUGUUCACUAUCUGCUGCAGCAUUUCUAGUUGAAGUUCCUUCUCCCCAUGUAGCUCCUCAUGGCAAUUUAAUUACCACAUCGCACCAUAUGUGAUCCUUCUCAUCUAGUACAAGCAAAUAAAGUGUCUUUUGUUCUCUACUUGCACUGUUCAUUGCCGCAAUUACUUGAAAAUUAUCCACACAGACCAGACCAUCCAAAAUACUUGUAAUCUCAGGCAUGCACCAGUACACAUGUAUGUUAGGAUCUGCUGUGUCAUAUCCAAUCUUCUCCAAGCAAUCGUUCAUAACUUGUAUUGACCAAUUGUCAGUAUGAUAAUAAUCAAACACAUCGUGUGUGCAACCUUCAUAUUUCCUUCUAUCACCUAGUCCAGUGAAAAGUCCAUCGUGCUCAAAUUCUACUGAGAACAUAUGUGUAAAUUCCUCUGAAGUAACUGCAAAAAAUGGAAAUUCACAUUAAAUUUGUACACCAAAAGACACUGUUUGUUGCAGUACACAGUAAAAAUUGAUCUCAAGUACUUAUUUAAGUGUUCAAUUCAUUUGCAACAUGCAGUCUGCUUGUCAUGCAGACCAUCCAAAGUAUUAUUUUUAGUGUUCGCUUCUACGAAAAAAUGUGAACAAAAUGAUCUCAAGUACUUCUUUUCCAAUAUCUGAAGUUUACAACAGGUAUAAAUCAGUUUAUACCUGAACCUUAUACUUCUGAACACCUUUCGCAUUUGUCUGGGCAUUAGUGCAACCAGUCUACUUAUCAUAAUCAUGUUCGUUCCCUUGAAUCAUAUCACAUCUGAACAACAAAAUCAGUAUCACUAUGCUUCCCUGAAUAAGUUUUCUGAACUAAUUUCCUCUAGCUCUGUUUUCUGAACUAAUCUCUCCUAAAUCCAACCACCACAUCUGACGGACCUAGCCAAAAUCACUGUCAAGGAGAUGUAAUGCGGCUGCAAGACACCAUAGCCAACAAAAGAUAACCGAUCUUUGCACAUGAAUCAUGAAGAACAUGAACUGAUCGUGCACGAAGAGAAAACUUAAUGAAAACGAGGCGCUAGGCUCUCGAGGGAGGCCGCUAGGUAUAGGACAUACCAUACUCCGGAGGGUAGGCGCCAGGUUCCCGAAGGAUCGGCUCCAUGCCGCCGUGAUCGCCGUCGGCGAACUCCGCCGCGAUCGCCCUUGGUCUUGCUCCAGAUGGAAGGCAAAACGAACAACCAAGGGGUUUGGGAAGGGUUAUCAGACUUAUGUGCUACUUCGUGGUAACAUGGGGUCGUUUUUAGAAGAUUUCAUUAUGCCCUGUAGCGAAGGACUUCCUGGAAAUAUAUUCAACUAAUUAAGGGGAUUUCUGUAAGAUAUUCACGCAGGCAGCGUGAAGCUUGAUGAUGUGGCGUGCCAAGUAGACAGUUUAGUACCAAAAUGUUGACGCAUUAGAAGUUAAGUGACUAUUUAUCUGAUUUUUUUCAAGUUUAUGUAUGUAUUUGUUAACGACGUGCAAGUUCCUGUACUUAUGGUGAUAUUAACUCUACAAAAUAAGAAACUAUGACUGAAACUGACAAUGAAUAUAACUGGAAAAAACUGAAUUCGACAGCUCCCCCAAAAAAACGGAAACAACAAUGUUGUCACAAGGCCUAGAUCACUCAGGUACAUCCGUACAUAGUUUCUCCCGCGCAACUUUGCUGAUGAGGAGACGAAUUAAAAUUGACACUCUGAACCAUCAUUUAACUGAAACCAAAAGAUCGCACAGCGAGCAGGACGUUUGGGAAUCAAUUUUUGUAGAUUUAAACCGAUCACUUGUAGCAGCUCCGACACUGGCAGAUAGCUACAUCGGAAAAAAAAUCGUCAGCGGACGACUUGACGAAAGGGCGAAGACGACAAGAUGCGAAUUUCUUUGAAAUUAUGACAGGUUGGUAACAAAGCGAGAACGACAGAGACAAUGAAAGGCACUGAGCUUAGAGGGGGGACACAGAGAGAGAAGUGGCUUGCUGUACAUAUCUCGUGAGCGGUGGUUCCGGCCCGCCGGAGCACUAAUCGCUCGUGGAGGGCGCCACGCGAGAUCCCCAUUGGCCACCUCUCAAUCUCCUCCAUAUGUCAUUCCACUCGCCAUUCGCCGGCAGCUUUGCCUCCCUUCUUCUAUCCGCUGCCGGCCACUCUCCUUCCACCACCUCAACCCGGAAACCCACCUAAUUGUCACAUACCCGACUAAGCCCCCCUCUCUGGGUUUUGCUCCCCCGUCCCCUCUCCCCUCCCUCUCCCUUGACAGGUAUGUGUGAAUGUUGUAUCAUCUGNNNNNNNNNNNNNNNNNNNNNNNNNNNNNNNNNNNNNNNNNNNNNNNNNNNNNNNNNNNNNNNNNNNNNNNNNNNNNNNNNNNNNNNNNNNNNNNNNNNNNNNNNNNNNNNNNNNNNNNNNNNNNNNNNNNNNNNNNNNNNNNNNNNNNNNNNNNNNNNNNNNNNNNNNNNNNNNNNNNNNNNNNNNNNNNNNNNNNNNNNNNNNNNNNNNNNNNNNNNNNNNNNNNNNNNNNNNNNNNNNNNNNNNNNNNNNNNNNNNNNNNNNNNNNNNNNNNNNNNNNNNNNNNNNNNNNNNNNNNNNNNNNNNNNNNNNNNNNNNNNNNNNNNNNNNNNNNNNNNNNNNNNNNNNNNNNNNNNGUAUUAUUUGUAGUUCUUUUAUUAUUAUUCGUCAGCUGUUAAUUUAAAAAAAAAACUUCGAGGAAUCCAAAAACAUAGCAAAAGGGGAAGACCCUCACAAAGCAGCAAUUUUAUUUUAAAAAGAAAGAGUUAUCUUUCCUCAUUUGUUUUUAUCACAUCUGGCAGGACCAUAGGUAAAGACUUAGCUAGUUCUAAACAACAAUACAAUGAAGUUCACUCCACAUAAACAACACCUGGAUAACACCAUAUAAUGAGAAAUAGAUUCGGAUUACAACAUCCAGUUAACAUGUCACUUCUUUAUGGCAACGAGAACAACGAAAUCACGCGGCUCAUAAGGCUAGCAGCAGUCCACAAUUCUACUAGUAGUUUUAUACUCUACAUUGGAGUGAAUUUCUUUAAACAUAACACUUUCUAUUGGCCGGCUUCAAACACUGUGCUACAUAAGAUUAGCUACUAACUCCAAGGAUAUCAGCAAACAUCUCUUUCCAUCCAUCUGAAUCCAGAUACAUCCAAGUGGCAAGCAUUGUAGGCAGUCCAUAUACCAGGCAUUUAUUCAAUCUUUCUCUUGCACGACAGAAGCGCCUACAGAGGAGAUUAAUUACCAAACAAGAUACGCAUCAGUAUAAUCAAAUUAGGGAGAGCGGAUCAAUCUGCAUGUAUAAUUUUGUGGAUCAUACCAUAGGGUGUCACUGGGAUUGGGCUCAAUGUGUCCGAAGAGAUGGUGGAUAAGCUCCCUGUUCUCUCGGAAGUACUUGUUACUCGAGGGGAAUCUGCUGUCAAGCUCAGCGAGCUGGUAGAAGAGGUCGUGCUUCUUGGUCUCGAUUUCAACUAUCUGACUAUGGCCCCAUGCUCUCUUGGCGUCGAGGUCUAGCGCAGGCUUUGCACAGGGUUCCUGGCACACAGAUCGAAGAUCACUUUAGCAGGGAUUACCAAGUAGCAGCAGUACUUAAUUGCUCACAUAUGCUACCUCCGUCCCAAAAUUUUUGUCUUAGAUUUGUCUAGAAUUAGUGUUAGAUACAUCCGUAUCUAGAUAAAUUUAAGACAAGAAUUUUGGGACGGACGGAGUAAGUAGUUACGAAAAAGAAGCUGUAAAUCUCGGAAAAAGAUUUAUAAUACUAGAACCGAAUAUAUGAUAUAUUCUACAACCUCCAUCGAUAUCCCGAAUUACAGUAUCUACAUACAUCUAAUCCGAGUCAACUAAUUCAGGACGGAGGGAUGUGCAGCGGUGAUGAUGAACAUAUACAUAUACAGAAGUUGUGGAUCUUGGGUGGUAUACCUUCAAAGCGGUGUUGCCGCCGUCGCCGCCCGAGGACAUAGAUCUUUGAGGAAAAUACGCAGGUCGGUCGCCGUUGAUAAGCCUUGGCAUCAGCCGGCGACGCUCACCCUCAACCAGCGGCGAGACGACGGCUUUGUAAACGGACUUGGCUCGCUGGCCUCCGGUGAGCCUCCUGGCCGCAAAUCGCAUCGCCGCCGCCAUAGCCUUGAACCUGCGAUUUGCCUUUUGUUUUUUAUAGGGUGGGAAAUCGAGCGAUGUUUGCUGCUUCGAUUUUCUUUGCCGGUCUCUAGGGUCGGGUCCCUCUUAUAUCACGUUUGGGCCGAGCCUUUCCGUCUCCAACUCCUCCAGCGCCAGAUUUUUCUUUUGCUUUAUGUGUUUUUUUUCUUUUUUAACACACGCAAGCGCUCAUACUUACACGAAUACACUCACCCCUAUGAAAACACACAUCCCACCUCUAUGAGCACCUUCAAAAGACUGAGAACCAUCCAAGCACAGGUAUAAUGUGAGCACCAGGAUUUGAACCCUGAUGGACUGAAGAUACCACUGUUCCUCUAACCAUCCAACCACAGGUUGGUUCGCGCUUUUUUUGUGUUUUGGGAGAGAGUAACCUCCAACGCCAGUAACGUCAAUCCGGAGCGCACAUAGCACGUUCUUGUUUUUGACUUAUUUAUUUUUUUGCGAGAAAUAGCAUGUUCUUAUUAAUUGGGAUUAGGGUUUCCACCGGCCGGCGCGCUUCAUGGAUCAGCCAUCGUACACAGUUCAUUUUCUUGGAGAUGAAUUUUUACCAUACCGUUUGUUAUUCAUGCAUCGCACACAGUUCGGUCAAAUGGUGUAUGGAAAAAGUUUCUAAGAUAGUAAGAUUGGUGAUCAGGUGUUCCUCAAACUUCACCCAUAUGCUCGGUCCAGUGUGUCCCAUCGUGCAAAUCAGAAGCUUUCUUUCAAAUAUUAUGGACCCUAUCAGAUUCUUUCCAAAAUUGAUUGUGUCAUUUAUCGUCUGGCUCUUCCCAGUGACAGAUGCAUACACCCGGUCUUCCACGUUUCUCAACUUAAGUAGGCCAGAACUCCUAAUUACCGAAAUAGGCUUUCACCCCGCUUUAUAAAUAAAGCAAACGCCAAGAGCAACACAUACAAGAACUAGUUCAGCACACUCACACACACAAGUCCCACAGGAAGAAGUACAUAGGUGCAUUCUUCAUUGCGAGAUGUUGAUGCUAAUUCACAGUGCCUCUGCGUGUGUUGUACCAUCGGGUUCACCAGCUUGGCAAUCGUGCAAAUACCACACAUGUUGAUUGAAUGGAACAAAAGAGGACCUAUCUUAUCUUAUAUCUUAUCUUAUAGUAUAUAUAUAUUUACUAAUUAGAGGCACCUUUAAAGCCUUCUCAUUAAUCCACAUCAUCAAAAUUAAUUAAACUGUUGGAUUAGUUAAUUAAUGGCAGAGAUAAAAAGAAUUUACGUAACACAAAUUGUCCCAUAAAAAAAGACUUCUGACACAUUUAAUAUUGGUGAAUGAAACAAAACAAAGAGAGCAUCCACCGUUGCCUUAGAAUAAAUCGCCUCCUUUUGUCAAAAAAAAAUCGCCUCCUUCCAUAAAAAAAUCUAGCAUUGAAAAGGAAAAAAAAUUGUAGAUUCGUUUUUUCUCUACUACUAUUAAACAAGCAAACAUAUUCAUCGCUAAAUGUACCCAGCCUGAUCUACACAUAACACUCCCAAUCAAUUAUAGCCUCACGAUGCGAAUCAUAGUAUUAUAUCUAGCCGUCCAUAUACACUAAUCGUCAGCCAAGAGUGCGUUUAGCGAUUUGAGAGAGCGGACGAAAACUCUGCCGUCUCGAUCCGCAGCCGCGGCCCCAACAAUCACGCACGAGAAAAGGAAGCAGAUCCAAUCGAAUCGCCUCACCCUCAACCGACCGCUGCACCUCCGGCUUAUGGCGUGAGCCUUUUCUCCCUCCUCACCAGAUUUCGUCUUCGCCAUCGAGAGGUGUUAAGGGAGGCGCCCGCGACGCAACGGCGGCGGGGAGAAGCGGCGCAUUGGCGGCCAGCAGCGCAUGUGCAGCACAUAGCAGCGGCGGCUGUAAGGCCACAGCGGACGAGCAGGUGGUGCGGCUGAGGGCGUGAGAAGGGAGGCCGGGCGGCGCCCGAGGCGGAGCUCGGCCGCGAGCCUGGCACGCAGAGGGCAGCCCCGCGCGAGCGCCCUGCAGCCGCAUCGCCGAGCGGCAACCCCGCCGCCACACUACUGCACGAGGGCAGCGCCACCGCAUCGCCGAGCCACAGCCCGGCCGUUCCCGGCCGGAGGUCGCCGACGCCUUUCCCAGCUUUGCGUCGGCACCCUGAAUCCCUGAUCGGACGCCUCCCUUUUGGUUAACAUGUUUCUAUGAAAUUGAACAUUUCAGUAACAUUCUGAUGUGUAUUCACAACUUCACAUUAAUUCAGAAACUGUAUGUAUGAAUCGACUGCAUCCGAUGUUGUGCUUCUCAUGUUCCCUUGAAAGAUCGCUGGAUGGAAAGAUGUUUUUGCUUUCAGGAUUUCUGGUGUGUGUACGACCCUCUAAGUAACUCUUUUUCAUCUCAUGCAGCAACAGAGGCUUAGAGGAAGGCGCUGCAGCGUGGAUGCACAUGGGAUGCUGCAGGUUAAAGUCCUUUUAGUUUGUUGAUAAUUUGUCAGACGUAGAUGGUAAGUUAUAUGGUAGAAAUAGAUUUUAAUUUGUGUAUCGUGUGGAUUCCAAAACUAAUCUGCUUGUACUCCCUUGUAUAUAAAUUUGCAUGAUGAAUCUUUUUGCAAUAUACAUGUGCCAAAGAGGAGGAGAGUAUCAAAGGAUAAAGGAGUCAGGAAGGACCGAAGGAGAAAAUAUAUGUGAGCUUAAUUAAUGCUUCCUAAUCAGUAUGCUUUUCAUAUUGCCGUUUAUAUUGAACUAAUAUAGUUUGCUUUUGAUUAAGGAUCUUGACAAGGCACCUAGCAGUUUUUGAUUUUCUGUAGCUUUUGUUGAUCUUCUCCUUGUUUGGAUUAAAUUUCUCAUUGAUUUCCUAUCCUUUGCCGGAACAUGAACCUGAUGAUGACCCAUAGUUGGAUGUAUGUGAGAGGUAGAGGUGUUAGCUCAUAAGCAUAUCAGAAUACAACAUGACGUGUAUAAUUAUUCAGUUAUGCCUCAACAGUCAGACCAAAUUAAACGACAGACUGCAAUUAUACGAAGACCCAUUACAUACUCGACCAGCCCACCUGUCAUCGCGAGACAAGUUAAAAGUGAAGCAACUAAAUGUUUGCGUCGAAUGUUGUUACUAUUGGUUUCUUCAAGGGUAGUAACUUUUACCCAACAUAUGUCAUUUUUUUAGGUUAAUUGACUAGCCCCUCUUUUUAUAAUGGUCCAAUCAAUUAAGAGAAAAGGGGAAAGGAAAAUGUAUGACACAAGGGCUAUCAAUUACAGAAUGAAUCACAUAGCCUGCAACAUUUGCAUCCCUGGCCCUAUCUAUGAUCCAACAAGGGCUAUCUCUAUGGGCUGAACAAUUACCGCAGAGGACACACUCAAAUUCAAAGUUUAGAGCCUGAUGAGCAAUGUUGUGAGAACUUGUUGAUGAUCUGCCUAUUUUCCGCGAAAUUUGGACGUGUUGGAUGGUCCAUGUGAGGUUCUCCAAGAAAUUUUUUCCUCAUUUUUCUGUUCUGGUAGUAUGAUGGAUUUUGAUUAGAUAAGAACCUGCAGUUUCUUUGGUAAGUUGGGAUUAAGAGUUCCAUAUAUAUGCGCCAAGAGAGUAUGUAGGGAAAUCAUGAUAUGACCUUGCUUGAGUUAGUAUUUUCUUGUGCAUUUCAAUACCUACUAUUAACUAUAUUGUUUUUCCUUCCUCAGGAUCCACAAAUUGUCAAGCACACAUGCUACAACCAUCAACUUCUGGGAUAUUAACUAUCUAACUUGGCAAUGUUCACAGAAUGGUUUCCAUCAUCUAUGCGAUUCUGUUUCCAUUAUAGUUGUUUGUUUCUCCAAUGAGUAUGUCUACUGCACACGAUAAGAUAUCUAUUCAGGCUAUGUCACUGCAUCCAAAGGAGUUGGUACGCACGAGUUUGUUUUCCUAUUAUGUACAUUGCUGGAAGCCUGGAACCUUUAAAAAAAAUAUUACCUUAUAAUUCAGUAUUUCAUAUGCCAUCUGAUGAUACAAGGUCUGCACAGGAAAAAUAAAUGGCACAUGCCCUUUCAGAAAACAAACAGAGGAUUUCUGGGCGAACCCUCACUUUUAAUGCAAGUUCACUGGAUGACUACCAUAUCUUUAUGUAGCAUUUGAUUGCUUGGAUGAAGUUGAACGGGAGAUCCCCAUCAGCUUUUGGAAGGCAUGAUUUUGUUUGGUUGGUUUGGUGGACAAUACAGGUAUAUAUCCUAUUAAAACUAAUAUAGCUCCAACCAGGGCAGAACCAAGCGGUAAAAAAACUGAGUGAGCCGAGACAUUUCUUGAUGCGACUGGUUAAGCUUAAAUUUCCAUGUGAUAUUCAUUUCUUAUGUAAUAAGGAGUUCCAUGCAAAGUUCUGCACCGAGCAUGAGCCAGGAAAGUUAAGUAGAACAUGGUCUGAUGAUCCAUUGACAAGGAAAUUUAAGCGAACACAACUGUUGAUGGGUGGCUCUGCUGUCCCCAAUGCUCCUGCUCUUGGAUCAUUACCCAAGCAUAUCUUUGUAUACACUAACAAACCGUGGGCUAGGCAAUAUUCGGUUCAAGAUGACCUGGAUUAAUGAUAUUUCCGUUAUCAUUUAUUUCAUUAAUGAAGAAGCUGUAGUCGAUUCCAAUACAUUUUAAAGGUAGUUAUUUUUUUAUUGGAACUAGCAGUUGUACCAAACAUUUUGUGCCUUAGUAAGAAUUUUUGGUGUUGAGAUUUUGCUUUAGAAUAUUGGCUCACUGACAUUGAGGCUGCGUUUGGCAGCAAAGUUUUUUCAAGAUUUUUUGAGAAUACUGCGGUUUCUAAAAAAAUCAUGGUUUUGAAUACUUUGCUGCGUUUGGCAUCAGAAAAAACCGAAGUUUUGUAAACCACAGUAUGCAAAAAAAAAAAAACAGAGUAUGCCUGAAACCAUGGUAUUUUUGCGGUUUCUAAAAAAGAGGUCCCGACCUCUUUUAUUAAAACAGAACGGAGAGAAAUCGUCGGGAGAUCGCAGUUGACAUUGCCGUCUACGUCGAGACAAGAAUACCAACCGCGACCCGAUCCUAUUUUCCCUCUUUCUGUUAUAUGGUAAACUCCUGGUUCUAGCCAAUCCCAUCCUAUUUACGAGUAGUAGGUCUCUCAGGUUCUUCUUCCAGCCGGCGUCCCGUGCAAGUCCGGUCUCUUCUCUGCAGCGCCAUAAGCGAAUCAAGCGGGAUAUAUAUAGGUGGAUUAUUUGAAACCUUCAAUGCCAACAGCCCAUGCAUGCAGGUCAGUAGGUGCAUCAGGGGUAGUCUACAGAUCCUAGCAUCUAGGUCGGGCAGAUGUGUGCAUGGCAGCUGCAUGCAGCCGGCCGCCGUUUGCAGCCGCUAAUUACUCUCGGUCAAUCAAUCAUCCACCCUAAAAUACUUGGUCAAGACUUUGUGAAAACAACACCAACCAAACACAUGGGAAACUGAGAAAAACAUUAUUUUUAAAAAACUAUAGUAUUCAAUGCCCAUCCAGGAGAAUACUCUGGUUUUCAAUUACCACAGUUUUAAAAAUACUUUGCUGCCAAACUAAGUAUGUUUAUGUGACGCUUUUUUCAGUCAUAAAAAAAUCAUCUUCCUUAUUAACAACCAAUGAGAAGACCUAAUGGAUGGAGUAAUAUAUAUUGUGGUCUGUAUGCAACAACAUGGUCAUAAUUGUGUUUCGCCUUUGAAAAUGCAACUUGAGCGACAUCAAAGAAUUGUGUUUCUAUUGAACACUUUUGUGAAACAUUUAUUUUGUAUUUGUGGAAAUCUCAUUGGCUCACCGUAUAAGACGUGCAUUGCACGUGCAAGUUUACUAGUUGACAGAAAAAUUAUAGAUCUGUUUGAUUAGCAUUGAGAAUCCAUUAAUAAAAUAUUCUCCCGUGAAGAAAAACAGAAAAAGCAUCCAUCGGUUCCUUGAAAAAAGGACAUCCACGUUGGUAACCGAAGAUAUUUUUCCCUCGGCAGAUAUGCUGGACUAAUAUGUGGUCCAACGUGAUAAGUCAAAAAAAAAACAAAUCCAUAAUGAGAGCUAAGAAAAAAGAGUCCAUGCAUGCUACGAUCUUCCCCUGCAAAAAAAAAAUGUACGCUACAAGUCAUACGUGAUUUAUGUCCAACAUAUAUUUUAAUUUAAAAAAUAUAUACCAUAACGAUUUCUUUAGCAGGUAUCUGCUUGCAUGCUCGAGAGUCCAUCUACUCCCUAUGUACGUGAUUUAAUUUAAAUCCCUAAAAAAACGUGAUAUAAGUCCAACGUGGUAAGUUCUUUUAAAAAAAAGUCCAACAUCAUAGAGCAAAUUGCACUACUUCUGCACGUUUGUUUAGAGAAAAAAUGAGUCCACUACACAAAGGCAUGUACAAAAGAAUUUAAGGGCCGACUCAAACAAAAGGGCAACGUCUUCUGCCAUUGAAACGUGGUUCAAACAAAAAAGAUGUAAGUUUUUUUUGACAAACAAAAAAAACUUAUUGGUAAACGGAAUUAAUUCUAUAAGGGCCCAACAUGAGCCAAAACAACUGGAUUGGUUAGUCUUCUCUAUACUCACGAUGCAGGUUUCACUUUUCGUGGUUCAAGGACGAGUUUAAUCCAUUGUUUGCAAUGCAAGUCGAAAAGAAAUAUUUGUUUGAUGACCCUUAAUAUGUCAUCUAUAAAAUAUUCUCGGAUUAAAAUAGGAAAAUUAUUCAUGCAAAAAGCAGAAGGAAACACAUCUCUCCCUCAAAGAAAAAGGAAAAAUAUCUCCCUCGACUCCUAUACAUGGCCGCUGACUCCUCUCCUUCACUUAUCCUCUCAUAUCUACAUCCCUAGCGCUAGAUUUUUCAUGACGAAGGAUAUCCCCAUCACCAUCAAGUGCACUCUCCCACCCGCAUGGCCAUCGGCGAACCACAAAGGAGUCUAGAGCCAGGUGUCGCAAGGGAUGAUGAGCGACCCCAAGCGAUGAUUGAUCUUCCUCUUUGUCAGGAUCGUCGUGUCUCCCUUCCUAAAUGAACUGCCUGCUUCAAGAUUUAUCCAUUGCCGAACCUACAACAAACGGGAAGCACAAGAUUUAUCUGUUCGAUGUCGUUGAGUUCGUCGUUGGUUCUCCAAGUCCAGAUGCAAGUAAAACCUAUCAUAAAAUUCGUUGAAUGUGCUGUUUGAGUUUUAGCCCAUCGGACUCAUGACGAAUCCCAAUAAAUUAUCUUGAUAUGAUGCGCCCCAUCAUGUGAAAAAUUGCUAAUUACAUGCCUUUUUAUGAGCACACUUCGCCCAAUUAUGUUAUAGAGGAGCGAACCAGAUUCAACUGCAUCCAAUGCCACCAUGUGCAAGGUAGUGGUGUGGUGACGCAUAUUUAUACAAUCAUCUGAAGCAUCGAUUAGUAUUAUGUAUUUUUUAACAGAUAUACUGCUUUGCCUGAUAUUGAUGGUAUUCCUGAAUUACAUGGUUUCACAUGAUUCUUUGCAGGGGUGCAGAUUGCUAAUACGUAUUUGCAUAUAUAGUAUGUUUAUGGAUAUCUUUUUUGUUAUUAUAAAAAUAGAGAAAGUUAGUCAUAAAAACAUAUACAAAUACCUAGAGAUAUUACUAUAGUAAAAUAAAAUGUAUGAAUUAUGCGCCCCAAAGAUUGUCUAUGCGAAAUAUGGAUAGUGAAUAUAAAAAACCCCAUUCAUGCUAAUAAUAAAAGAAUUUGUUGGCAGAGACAAGAACUUCUAAUUUGAGUAACCUAAGGUAUAAUUAGAAUAUACAAAAAUAUAUUAUUUAAUAUGUAUAUUAUUAGAUAUGAUAUCACGUAUGUUGAUAGAAAGACAUGCAAGCGUGUGUCUAUUAUUGUGUAUAGACACGGACUCUAUAUAAUUCUAUGACCCUAAGUCCAACCAAGGUAUAUACUAUCAAGUGUUAUUAUAAUAAUCUAAAUCAUAAUUCAUAUUAUUGGAUGCAAAAAUCUAAUCAUAAAAUAAUGAAUGAAAUGUAGCUUUGUUGGACCCUAUGUUGAACCAAGGUACACAUGCAUGUGUUAUAAUAAUAAUCUACAUCAAUAUAUUUAUAUUAUUGUAUGACAUUUUGAAUUUUCACAACUUUAUUAUAUUUAAUAUUAAAAUGGCUAGCCCGUGCAGGUGCACAGGUUUACGACUAGUGCAGCUAACUGGGAAGAUUUUGACCCCCUGAAAAAUCAAUAUUUCCCUUGAGCUCCUGCUUGGGGGCAAGCCGUUUCUGAAGAUCACGCAAGAGACGGGCUAGAAUCCUACAAGGCCGGGCCAGGCCAGACGCCUACCAGCAUGGCUCACUGAUCUGAAUUGGGUCCAUUAAGACUUCCGAUAUAUAUACUCACACCUUAUCUUGUACUCCCUUCGCCUGAAAAAGCUUAUCCCAAGCUUAUUCUUCGAGUGGUUGUAUCUAGCAUCAAGUUAGUGUUAGAUACAUCCAUUUGAGGGACAAGCUUUUUGGGACGGAGGGAGUAGCCGGUAGGAAUGGACGGAUGGCUGAAGGGCUAGCGUCUAUAAUCGUUGUAUUAGCUACAAGCUGUAAGGGUGGUUCGGAGGAAACAGCUUAAUUCAAAUUCGCCAUGAAAUCCAAAUCGAUAGCUCGAGCUUGCUGAGAGGAGAGUACCACACAGUAGCAUAAAGUAGAGCGAUGGAUAUGCCUCUAAUAUCUACAGGUGCCUAUAUAGAGCUGCCUGUCUGCCAUUGUUUGCUCUAAUCAAACAACCAGAAGUAACGACAACAUAUCACAAGUAAUGUAAGGUAACCGGUGCUUGUUUUGUCUUUGUCACAGAAAAAUUAACCCUCUAUGUUAUUCAUACUACCAGUGCUCUCAUCGCUGCAGAAUAUAAGAGAAAAACUGUUUAACCUGAGGGAAGAAAAAUAACCCAAUCUUGACUUGCAUCGUGAAGCAGCUCACAGGAGAAGCCAAAGUCUAGUCUACUGCAGAGAAGAAGCAUGAAAACUUGUCCAACAGCAUACAUACAUACAUACAUAUAGCAGCGCACAAUACAAGCAAAGAUAGAAAGGAAUGCUUCAGCUUGUUGCUCCAAACCAAACAAGCAUUUGUAAUGCAAAGCAAUACAAGAAGAAUAACCAUGCCAAGAAAACAAACAUCAAAUCAAUGGAGGAAAAAGACCCCCUCGCAAUUGUAUUACCGAGCCAAAAUCAUCGCCCCCAUAAUCCUGGUGUAGUGUUCAAACCAAUAUUUUAAAUAGCACGCUAUUUCGCCGUUAUAACGCGGUUAUAGCAUAUUUGGAAGGAAGACGUUACGUUUUGGCAAAAUCGGACGCUAUAACAUUGUAACAUUGUAACGUUAUAACGUGCAGACCAUGCAAAACUGAAAUAAGCACAGCCCAGCAGGCCCAGCAGGCCAAAAUCAACCCACGACCACUAGCUUUCUCACUCCUUUUACCAGAUUCUCCCACUAGCUUUCUCACUCCUUUUAUCAGAUGCAUAUAUUGCUUGCUCCUAUGAAAAAUUUAGUUGCUUAAAUACUUUAUUUCUAGCUAUAUUUGAUUUUUCUUUUGCAAACGUUAUUUUGAAAUAUAGCACGCUAUUAGCGCGCUAUAACUUGUGUAGCAUUUAGAGAAGGGCCUCGCUAUAUUUUGUAGCGCGUUAUUUAAAAUAUUGGUUCAAACACACACCACCACCAAUUCAUCAUUCAUGCAAGUGGUAAAAGGACAGAACGCACCUCCCAGCGAUUCAAACUAUCCUGAUUUGUACAUCUUCAGGCAAAUAAAAAAUUCAACCAAUGAAGCCAUGGACGGAUUUUGAAAAAAUAAUACUCCCUCCGUUCACAGAUUCAAAGGAUGUUCUAUGACAAAAUAUUAUGACCAAAAAUGGAAAAUUAUUUCUAGGUGGGCCGGCCGCGCACCUGGAUGACGUUCUUUUAGCCUUCCUUUGCAAAAGCAAAAUUGUGGUACAAGUGAGGCUGAGAAUUCUUUGGGUGAGACUUCGGCCGCGCUCAGUAUACGAUGGUUAGUUGGCCCAGGCGAGAUGCUGGGAAGUUUGAGCGACCGUGCACGACCACUGGAGACUUUGCAUGUACAGAACGAUCGAUCUGGGUACUUUAUGGACCUAAAAGUAAACUACCAAGAAUAUUUUCUUAUAUGACCAUGGGUUUUCAAAAUUGUUCAUGGAUUCAAAGAAUGUUCGUUCAAUUCAAAAAAAAAAUCAUAAAAUAAAAUAAUAAUUAGUGGAUUUGAGAAUAUUCAUGAAUUGGAAAAAUAUUUGCAAAUUCAAAAAAACUUGAUGAAAUUAUUAAAGAAAUUCAUGAAUUUUUAAAUGUUCACGAUGCAAAAAAUGUUAGAACAGACCUAAGUCAUUUUCACGAAAACAAUAAUAAUUUUUUUUCAAAGCAGAAAACAAUGAUAAUAAUAAUAAUAAACUAUUAGAAAUAACGGGCAUAGGCCAUGUAGAGUUUUUGAAAUCUAAAACUAGGCUCAUGAAUAAAUUUUCUGAAAUCUCAAAGUAGGCUCAGGAAUAAAUGGCAAGUGGUACCACCCCGAAAGUUGAGGAGGUGUGAGACCUCUUUAUAUAGUGGGUUCUCUACACCACGCUUCGUGAGGUGUGAAGGAGAGAAGAUUUUUAUAUCAAAAUCGACCGAUUCGACGAGGCGAAGACAAUUCAUGUAAAAACGUUUUUCAUAUGAGGCCGCCUUAACUGUGUUUCGUACCAUGCCAAAAUCUGAUGUCAACACCAUCCAUGAUGGCGAGUUUCAGAGUCCUCUAACCACUAUGAGCUUCAUCAAUCGAUGUCCUGAAGAACUAGACAUUGUCGCGUUUCAUGCUCCUCGUGUUCUAGCUCCACAAGCGAACGCCAACAGAACAAAAAGAUGGAUCCAAAAAGAUUAACGUCGAUGGUGCUCUAUCAGGAUAUGGCAAGCUAGGUGCAUCCGCUGCCGUCUGCAGGGAUUCAUUGGGGCGGUUCUUGGGAGCUUCAGCUGUAACUUUUGAAGGACUCAUGGAUCCGGCCAGCUUGGAGGCUCAAGCAUGCAAUGAGGCCAUAUCUCUUGCCCUGGACCUGUAACGUACGCAAAGUUGUAGUGGCUUCUGAUUGCCUCGAAGUGGUGAACAACAUCAACAAAGGAGGUUCUCCUGUUUAUGGGCUAAUUCUUAAAGAGAUCGCUCACCUUAAGAGAGAGUUGGAUGAAGUUAGUACUCCCUCCAUUCCUUUUUACUCCGCGUAUAAGUUUUGAUCAAAGUCAAACUACACAAAGUUUGACCAAAUUUAUAUUAAAAAAUAUGAACAUCUACAAUACUUAAACUAUAUAAUAUGAAAAUACAUUUCAUGGUGCAUCUGAAAAUGUUGAUUUCAUAUUGUGAAUGUUUAUAUCUUUUUAAUAUAAAGUUAGUCAAACUAUGCAAAGCUUGACUUUGACCAAACCUUAUAUGCAGACUAAAAAGAAACGAGCAUCGGGAGUCGAAAAGCUCAUAUACCCUUGCUAAAGCAGUAUCUUCUUUACAAGCUGGGGGCCAUGUGUGGCUAGGGUUAGUCCCUUUGAAUUCACCAUGAAAUCCAAAGCGGUAGCAUAAAGCAGAGCAAAAUAACCCUCUAUAUUAUUCAUACUACCAGUGCUCUCAUCACUACAGAAUAUACAACGAAAACUGUUCGUCUGAGUUAACCUGAGGGAAGAAAAACAACAGCGUCGAAAACUUGACUUCCAUCGUGAAAGUUAAGAUAGCAUGAAAACUUGUCCGACAGCAUACAUACAUACAUACAUAUAGCAGUGCACAAUACAAGCAAAGAUAGAAAGGAAUGCUUCAGCUUGUUGCUCCAAACCAAACAAGCAUUUGUAAUGCAAAGCAAUACAAGAAGAAUAACCAUGCCAAGAAAACAAACAUCAAAUCAAUGGAGGAAAAGACCCCCUCGCAAUUGUAUAACCGAGCCAAAAUCAUCACCCCCAUAAUCCUGGUGUAGUGUUCAAACACACACCACCACCAAUUCAUCAUUCAUGCAAGUGGUAAAAGGACAGAACGCACCUCCCAGCGAUCCAAACUACUCCUGAUUUGUACACCUUCAGGCAAAGAAAAGACCCCCGAACCCACCUCCUAUAUGUUCCGCACGGUGAAAAAAGAGUCUCCUGUUACUUCACCCACCUACUUGGGCGCAGCGCCACGGUAAAAAGACAGAACCCACUCAGGUUGAACCUACACUACAUGUAUUCGUUUCCACACUCUCAUCUAAGCUCUUCAGUUGUGCUCUGCCAAAACCAGGUAACUCUCAUGUUUUCUACAGCAACUAUUACCAUGUCCAACGCCCCUCCUACUUCUUCGGCGCCGCUUCAGGGCCCUGCCCAGCAGCACUGCCCUUGCUCUGACUCUUCUCCUUGUCCUUGUCCUUGUCCUUGUCACCUUUCCUCUUGGAAUGUUCGAGACGGUCCAACUGCUGCCUCUUUAACUCAGAGAGCCUCUUGGCCUUUGCUGCUGCUGCCGUCUUUGCUGCUGCUGCCGUCUCCUCUAUAUCCCUGGCGCUCUUCCCCUCCACAGGCUUCUUGGCCGUGCUCUUCCCCUCCACAGGCUUCUUGGCAGGGCUCUUGGUGGGUUCCUCGUCGGCGGGCUUCUUGUAGCUGUAGAAUGGGUUGCAGAGGUCCUUGACGCUCUGGAUAAACGUGGCGCUGGGGUCUUGGCACGGCUGCCCCUGGAUGUAGGAAAGGACACUUGCUCUUGCAUGCUCAUACCCAUCCCUGAAAGGUUCAGAGCCAUCCUGCUCCCUGAGCCGCUUGAGCUCAAAGUAGCCGAUGCGGCAGACACCAACUGCUGUAACUCCAGUGCCCACAAUCUUACCGCCCUUGAUAAGCACCUUGCGGGCCAGGUCUGGUAGCUCAAGCCAUUGGUCAAUAGCCUGUUGAACCAAGAAAACAAUCGACAUUGUCAAACAUAACAUCUUAUAUUAUGGGACGGAGGGAGUAUCAUUUUAAUUCAUACAACAAUAUGAAACAUCUAGCAACCGAUGUGGAACAAUAGCAACACAAAGCAACUUCUGGACAUGAUAACCUGUCAGAGUAUAUAUAUAACAAAACAUGUAGCUACCGUAGCAAGCAUGGCUGGCAGCCAGAGUGAAAAGACCUACUAAAGACACCCCUGGUGACGAUUCUGAAAGAGCAAUAACAUGCACAUCCCAGACCUCCGCCUCUAGCAACAAUGGCGAGUUGGAACCAACAUAGGCAUCAUGCAUGAAACACCACAUCAGGUUUAUACAACAUAGGCGUCCCCAGUCAUUUAUAUACUUGUACCUCCGUCUCAGAAUGUAAGUCGUUUCUGUAGGCUAGUUUAGCAUAGCCUACAAAAACGUCUUACGUUUUGAGAUGGAGGUACUAGUUCCCAAACAAGGCACGCCUUGACAGAAUUAAAGAGCUGCAAGUUUAACGAUGGGUCGACAAGUAUCCGGGAAAGUAGCGCUCGGCAUGGUAACUAGAGUAGAGGACCUAUCUGUGGCCCCCACUGGUAAUGAUGAACUAACAGUAAAAGUAAAGCCAGCCAGGUAAAAAAAAAGUUGCGAGCAGAAUUUGCACUCGAGGUCUGACCAAGAGGCCGGGUUUAGAGAGAACAUACCUGGAGACCCUUCUUGAUGCGCCCUGUGAUUGAAGGCCUGUUUCGAUAGCAGGGUCCUGCGGGUUCUUUUUGCACAGAUAUUGUGGUGCAGACCUGAUGAGACAAUAAAUAAAGUGAAAAAAGGAUCCUUGUCGUCAAACAAUUUAGAAUAAGUAAAGGUGCACAAUAUUAAGAGUCCCAGGUGAAUUAUCCUGGUCCUCAUCAACAUUUGUCAUCAAACUUCAUGAAUCAUCUUCGCAUUGUAUACCAAUAACAUGCGGGCACACAGCAUGGGCACCCUAACCUACCAACAUGAAAGACCCCGCAUUAGAGCACGAAGCCCUCCCGACUUUGUCAUGAGAUGUCAAAAAGGCAACAGAACUGAGGAUCUAUUUCCUCUGGUGAUUGUCAUGCAUCAAUAGACUGCCAAGCAAUGAUGAAAUGCAGGUAGAAGAAGAAGGCCUGAACCCGAUGAACCUACCCUGCCCAAACGAGGUCCCCUGCUCUGCUUGGUGACUCCUUCACCAGUUCAAAAGUGUUAUUCAAGAAUUGGGGACGAAAUGUAUUUCGCAGCAAAACAAAUAAAUCCCGUUCCUCGCCUAAGAGACCCAAUUCCGUUCCUGACGGAGACCGAGAUUUACUUCCAACCGUCCCCAGCGACCUACCCAAACCCGAUCAACCUACCAUGAAUGAUGAAAUGAGAUGAAAACCCGAUCAACCUACCAUGAAUGAUGAAAUGAGAUGAAAACCCGAUCAACCUACCAUGAAUGAAGAAAUGAGAUGAAAACCCGAUCAACCUACCAUGAACGAUGAAAUGAGAUGAAAUGCAGGUAAGAGAAGAAGGCCUGAACCCGAUGAACCUACCCUGCCCAAACGAGGUCCCCUGCUCUGCUUGGUGACUCCUUCACCAGUUCAAAAGUUUUAUUCAAGAAUGGGGACGAAAUGUAUUUCGCAGCAAAACAAAUAAAUCCCGUUCGUUGCCUAAGAGAUCCAAUUCGGUACGGCGUUCCUAAGGGAGGCAGCAGGGAAGCCCAACAAAGUUACGAUCCAGCCUAAUUUAUGGGGGAUUCGGUACUCCGUCACCACAGAUCCAGCACAAGAACAUCGCUACCUGUAGGAAACAAAAUCGAUUCGUCGUCAUCAACACGAACCAACGACAUGUGUGCACACAAUUUCUUCCCGCCGUUGCAUCAAUCAACCAAGAAAGGAAAAAAAAAACAAUCGUCCCGUCCCCAGCUUCGUCGUUCCUCACGGCACGGGAUUCAACUAGAGAAGGCGUAGCCCGGGUGUUUGAUUCCACCCGGAACAGUGGCGGUUUUCCCCACGGGAGAGAGAGAGAGAGAGCUAGCCGCGAGAGGCGGAGGAAUUUGCAUUUCGCAGCAAGAAUAAAUAAAUAAAUCCCGUCCCGUUGCUCGCCUAAAAGACCCAAUUCCGUUCCUCGCGGAGGAAGCACAAGGCUGCGAUCCAGCCCCUAACUAUCGCGGAUUUGGUCAUCCAACAUCACAGAUUGGUUGAGAUGGAGCUACAGAAAGAAGAUGUACCCCUGUAAUUGGUGAGUAGAACACCCGGUACGGCAUCGGCUUCUCCCAGGGGAGCCGAAGCCUGCCGUCGGCCCGCGCGGCCCGGAACCUGUGAGCGAGCUCCCGGAGCUUGUCCGCCAUCGGGCCUCUCCUCGCCGGUCGCGCCUCCGCUCCGCUAGCUAGGGUUUGGUAGGGUGGAGAAUGCGGAGGGGAAGGGAAGGGAAGGAAGCGGGUGGGGGUUGGGGUUUGGGUUUGGGUGAGUGUGGCGGGGUGGGGUGGGCGUUUUCUCUCUUCCUUCCCUCCGCCCGCCGCGACCGCGAGGCCACCAGAGAGAGAGAGACACACACACAGCCGGAGGGGGCCGGGCUGGGCUGCACGGGCCACGUUCGACGGGCCUGGCAACUUUCGUGCUUCAGUUUUUUCUUUUCUUGGCUCGCCUUGGGAGUGGCCGCGCCACCACAUCUUGUGGCUGUGCCGCCACCUCUUCUGGCUGCCUGGUAUUCAAAUCAUGUUAAAUUUUCAUGGCAUUCAAAUAACUUUUAUUUUUUGCACUUUUUAUUUCGCCACAUGAACAGUACUCGUGCCACCGCCUGUAAAUUUCGUGCCCCGCCAAGGGCAUUUUAGUAAUUUCACAUGCAGGCAUAUAAAUGAGAACCGCUGCCGUGGAGAAACCCUAGUCGUCGCCCGCCCGACCUAACCCGCGUCCCCCCGCCUACCCAACCUCCCUCCCUGCUCGUCCACGCGCGCGCUCGCCUCCGGCCACCUCCGCCGCCAGCCCUCCUCUCCAUGUCCCUCCUCCACGCGCCCAGCGCCCGCGCGCUUGCCUCCCGCACCAACCGCAGCCGCUCCGUCGGGGCUCCCUGCUGCCAUGGCCUAGCGCACCCUCGCCAUCGACCUCCCCGACACUUGAGGUGCGGCAGCGGGGGAGCCAGUUCUCGACCUCCAUGGAGGAGAAGGGCCCAGCGGGCUCUUGCAGACAAGAGAGGCUGGCGGUGCUCAUCGAUUAGGCAAAUGGAGGGCAUCCGAGUUUCUUCAAUUGAUCCGGCCAAGGCCACGGUAGCGUACGCGAAGGCUAGAGGUAAACGGCCCUCUGGAGCUACAGAUGUCGACAGGUAGCAGCCGUGCCCCUCCUCCUCGCCUUCUCUGCUCCCCUCCUCCUCUCCAAUCUAGGUUGCGCAUUUGCGUCCUGGGCAUCUUCCUCUCCCAGUUUUUACUCCUUUGAUUUCUCGAUUAUCGGAUCAUCUAAUUCAAUUCCUCAAUUUCUGGUUACUUGUGAUGAGUAGAAGAAGAAUUUUGACGAAGGAUUUGAUAAAGAAGAACAGGUGAAUUCUCUCUCUCUCUCUCUUGAAUAUAGUCAGGUUUGUUCCUGCAUUUUGAUGUUUAUUUAUUUUUGUGUAAUAGAGAACAUGUCAUGAUUUUGUACUCCUAUUACCUACUGACAAAAGCUACAUUUGUAAAUGAAGGCCUCAGAAGUGUUUGUUUUUACCUUGUGGUCUGAUAGAUCAGUACAUGGUGUUAGUCAUAUGAACAGAAGAUGUUGGUCAUGCCUCUGUAUGAGCUAGCUGUAAUGAUAUUUUUCAUCGAAUAUGAGGAUUCGUGUUCAUCUUUGAUAUGGUUGUUAUCACCACGAUAAAGUAUACUAGACCAUGAAGGCGCGCGUUGUUGCGCCCGUCCAUAUUUGAUGUAAUAAAAGAGAUUGUUCUGAAAAGAUAUGUUUGUUUCGAAAAAAUUCCAUAGUAUGUUAUAAAAAUGAUAAGUGUGAUGGUAGUUGAUUUUAGUUUGUAUAUCAUGGUUUUUAAUUUUGUCAAAAUUCCCUUCAAUUUGGUUCCUAAAUAGCCUUUUUCUGAAAUAUUUGUGUCUGCGAAUAAAUAUUUUGGUAAAUUUGUUUUUUUUGUACACAGGUGAGUAUUAUUUGUAGAUUGAAAGAACCGAUAGAUAUAUUUUAUGGGCUUUGAUAACGGACCUUAAAAAAGUCAUUUGGAUGGGUUUACAACGAAUGAUGAUGCUUUAUACUAUAAAUAAGUGCCAACUCGGUGGUUGGUGUGAUUUGUCAGUCUUUAAUACAUAGAUAUAAAAUCCUAUUAUGUAGUUUUAUUAAAGAUGAAUGCAAAAGGUUGUCCUAACCGUAACUAAUAAUUUUGGAUGAAAUUCUUAAGAAGAUUGAUGGAAGAAGAGCAGAGUAUAGUUGCUGGUUGCAUGAAGGUCAUUAUCAGUGCAUCGUACAUACUGUUAUUAGCACAAAAGAAGAAAACAUGUCUGGUAGACUUGUGCAGGCCGUUGGGCAGAUGGCAAACACUGAAGUGGAUGCUAAGGAAGACAACCACAGGUUUUCUUAUUCAGGCAAACAUUAAUCUUUUGAUCUGCGAAGGCACGAAGAUGCUUGUUCUCUUCCUUUUUUUUGAAUCUUAUGUCUUCAAGUGGCAUUCUGUUCCGGGGCACCCAUGUUCAGUUUCUUCUGGGUAGCAGACUUCUUCCCAUCUGUUGAUGUCCUGCAGUUGGCACGUGAAGUGUGAGUUCAAGUCAUUUUGCAGAUGUUACAUCAAUCAGUAAUGUGAUGAAUUGGCAGCUGGGGAACAAACCUCUUGGUAGAAUUUCUCUUUCCCUUGGUUCCACUAUCUUUAGUAGUUUCUGGGGAUUAAUGAGGGGCAUUUGUGCCUCAGGAGUCUAACAGUUAAGAGGAGAAUAUUGUAAGGUACAACAUGGAAAGCCGAGGACGAUACUAUAUAGGAUAAAAUUUAGAUACCAUGGUUAGAGGUGGAGAUAUGUCUGUUGUGGCAGCUCGGGAGUGGACUGAGAUUUCGUCAGUUUGAAUGGGGUUGGAGUUUUCGCCAGUUUCCGGUUUAUUCUAUUUUACAAGUAGACAUAUGAGGCAAAUACCAAUGGUAAGAUAACAGCGUGAGAAGAAAACUGAAGGAAUACUGACCAGCUUGUUGUUUUCUUUGCGACUCAUGCAGAAUGUUCUUCUGUAAUAUCCUGCUUAAUUAGAUCAAGAAAUUAUGAUAGUGAAUGACAUGUAUGAUAAUCUAAAUACUUGCAGUACAAAGGAAUAUUUACCUUGAGGGUUGGUACUGAUGAUUGGCUAUAUGCUUUUGUUUGAACCAGGAGACAGUUGGUUGAACUCAAAGACAUUUGAUUUUUGGGGGACUGCUAUCAUGCUAUUGACCUAGAAGGGUAGCUCCCCAAAAUGAAGGCUUUUCUCAUUAACGCGAAACCUAUGCUGGAUAUCAUCAGUCAUGUAAGAGUAGUAUUUGUUAUGAAAUGCACGCUCAUCCUCUACACUGCAAUGCAAAAUGAUUGUAAUGAAAAGAUACCUAAGCUGAUGCCUUAUCAAAUGCAGUGUACCAUUCUGUAUCAUCACCUAAUAACCCCCGAGCCGCAAGCUUCUUUAGACAUACUGUAUGUGAUAUUAUUGAGGUAAGCAAAUCCGCAAAGCUACAUGACAAUCAAAAGCAUCCUAAGAUAGUAACGCUCACCAGCAGAUGGAUGGACAUAGUAUACACGGCCUAUUUUUUCACCAGUUUCGCACCUUUUUUUUCCAGAAUUUGUCAGUCCGUUCCAAUAUCCAUUCACUUGGGAAAUUGCGAUAUGUCAAUUGUUGAGCUUCUGGAAACUUUUGGUUUGCAAUAAACCAUUCACUAAGCAUAGUUUUCUUAAACUUUUCAGCAUUAGAUACAAUAGUUUCAAGAUUUUCUUUUGAUUUGUAAGUAAUAGUAAUCAUGUCAAGUAAAUGGAUGUCUAAUCUUUCAACUGUUGGCAUUUUACAGUGUAGGGGAAAUUCAUACAAGCACCACAAGGAAUCAUGAGGGACCAAAUGCCUGCAGUCUAAAUAUUCUUGUAUGGCAGUAUAGAAGAUGAUUAUCAAGGUAAGGAAAAUGCCGUAAAGCAGCACACGUGGAGGUGAAUUAACAUACCCUUUUUGGCCGUCUAAUUGAAUUGUGCAUAUUAAGUGGGUCGUUAAUCCUUUCCCGCUUACAUUGGGGCAGGACUCUACUUGAUCCGCUAGCGCAACGUGGCUGGCGCACAUCGCUUCCAUGGUCUUGUAAUCGAGAACGUUUCGGCAUUUUUAUUCUACUUAGGUUCAGCACGUGUCACUAACAGAUUAUACAAAAUCUGAAACCAAGAGAAGGAAAGUAAAGAGAGAAAAUGGAUGUGGCUGGUUGGAAUGAAAAUCAAACAAAUCACAUAGAAUUAACAACUAACAAAGAAAAACAUAGUAGAUGAUGAUAAGGCAACAGUAUGUAAGAACAGAGUCAGCUGUGGAGCCUGUCCAGAAGCCAUGCUUGCAAUUGGGUGUAACCAACACAGCCACGAGCUAUUCCAACACGGAAAUCCCAAUGAAUGAGCACUGCGAACCUGCAACGAAGGAGGGAAAUUCCAAAUUAGAACCUGCAAAAAAAAUGUAGGAGAAUUAGAAGGAGUAAGAUGAAUAGACAGCAAGAACAGACCUAGGCAACAGGCAUGGUGAAGAGACGACACAGAUGGCAGGAAAAAAGGGAUCCUGCAAGGCAUAAUAUAGAAGGAAGAACGGGAGAUUGGGGUAACGCACGAACACCAAAUUAAUCACCAUCAUCACCCCUGAGGUUAACUACCAUCAUCACCAUUAUGUCAGGAGGCGGACAGUGGACCUUUGAGGCAGCAGUUCCAGCUUCAGUUACGGAAGGGUAAGGGGCGUGAGGUAGAGCUGCAAGGCAUGGAGGACGAUGUAGUACGAGGACAGCCGGCGGUGGAAGCCGAUGGGGCGGGCGGAUGCCGCAGCCGCCAUAGACGGACGCUGCAAGACAGGAAGUUUUAAAACAGCAAGAAAGGGUCUAAGGAAGAAGUUUAGAACGGGUGGACCGUACCGUCGCGGGGGCGGUCACGCACGCCCACAGCAGAUCACCGGCGCACAUCGAGAGGAGGAAGGAAGGGCGGCAGGGAGGAACAGAGGAGCUGUCGUUCCGGGUGGGAUACAACCAAAACCUGGGCUACUUGGGCUGUUACCGUACAAGAGGGAAUAACUGGGCCUUCAUGGCCCAAUUACUGACAGCAAACAGGAGGUCGCUCCGCGGAGCAGCGGCCCGCGAGACGGUACGUGACAUGCGCGGGCGACCAGGAACGCCCGACUUCGAUCUGUAUCGCACGUUUAGGGAUCCGACGGCUGCGACAGUCAAAUCGCUGUGGUGGCUCGUAGCUAGCUGUGUUAUACUGUUUUUUAUUAAUGGAAAUCCAGGCUUGCAGAUUAAUAUAACUUCAGAUGCUUGGUUUUGGGAAGGUGAUAGAAACCUGUGGUUGUGCUUAAGAUUUUGUUCUUUAUUGUUUCCCUAAAUUUUGGUGUUUCUUGGUGAACCCUGGGCAGGCGGCAUUUUGGUCUCCUACUAAAGCUCCUCGCCGGCUUGGCCACUCUCCCCUCCAAUUGCAGGUACUCCCCGGCUCCUCUCCGUGGCCUCUCUCUACCCCUGACCUAUCUCUCUUCCCGCCCUUCUCUGUACCAGUAUGUGAUGCAUAAACUCCUGACUUUAAUUCCUACUUUGGAAUGAUGAUCAGAAAAUGCAACUAGGGUCUGAGUUCUGAAAUGACAUGUUGUCCAUGUUCUUGGCAUCUUGCAUGCUGAGACAAAAUAUUGGCAAGCAUUACCAUUAUGAUCCUCCAUCGAUCAUCAUGGUAGAAGGAAAACGUAUUAGACAUGGUAUUUUCAAGCUAAGUAUACCAGCAACCGAUGCUGGACCUCGUGAUGCAUAUAGUUUGCAUAUUUCUAUUCAUCCAAUUCCUUCAUCCAUUUUUCCUUAUUUUUCUGUUCGCUCAUUAUUUCUAGCAUAUUCCUAUCAGUAUUUUUCAGCUGAAGGAUAUAUGCUCUGAUUACCAAACGAAUGUGCAGGCAACGCCCAUUUGAUUUCCCUGGACAAAUAUCCUUUUUUGAGCUUAUUAUUCACAAUUUAUAGUAAUAUGCUAUUAUGGGCUUUGCUCCAGCAUGAUAAGGAGGAAAGAACUGCAGGGUAUAUUGUUCGUUGACAUUCAUGAUCAGUUACACACCAAGCCUAUAUUUUUGCUGCUUCUACAUGUUGCUAUGAUGGUCAUUCAGCCCAUUUUCUUAUCGCAUGACCUUGAAAAAGAGCUUAUUUAGUUAAUGAUUUUCACUUACUAAAAUUCAGAGAGCUCUUGCUGGGUACGGAGCUGUUGAUUACUCAAAACCUGUUGAUGUAUUAGUUUGUUUUUAGAGAUCUCUUGGUUUGGCAUACUGGCGCUUUCGCUGAACUUGACAAAGUAGCUUCACAACACAAUGUGUAGUUCAGUGUAGAGUUUUGUAUGAAAUCGUGAAAGCAUUUUGUAUUCCUUAUUUUUUUCUUUUCAUACGAUGUUAUGAAAUUGGUUACUAAUUUGCAAGACAUAUGCAUUUUUCAUUAAAAAAACUUGGGAAGUGUCAUGGNNNNNNNNNNNNNNNNNNNNNNNNNNNNNNNNNNNNNNNNNNNNNNNNNNNNNNNNNNNNNNNNNNNNNNNNNNNNNNNNNNNNNNNNNNNNNNNNNNNNNNNNNNNNNNNNNNNNNNNNNNNNNNNNNNNNNNNNNNNNNNNNNNNNNNNNNNNNNNNNNNNNNNNNNNNNNNNNNNNNNNNNNNNNNNNNNNNNNNNNNNNNNNNNNNNNNNNNUUAUUUUGGUGUGCAAGAGAGUAGUUAGUUAGAAGCUUACGUUCUUUAUGUUUCUGGAUUUGGUGCAGGUUCGAGGAUGUAAACCUACCUGAUAUAUUCUUCAUGGGGAUUGAGUAUUUCAGUGAUAUAUCUGAGAAUUUUAAAGAUCUAUCUGCUAGCAGGUACUGUACUCACCAUAAUUGUGUGUGUGUGUGUGUGCUCCAGCUCAUUCAGUUGCAUGUCAAUUUGCUAACAAACCUCCUACGGCUAUAGAUUUCUUUGUAUAGUACAUACAUAUUAUUGACUUUUUUUUUCCGAAAUCUUAUUCCUUUUUGUUAAGCUGCAGGCGGAGUUCAGACUCUGCUUUUGCUACAAAAGAAUCAGGUAUUGCUAUGUCCUAAACAGCGUGUGUCAUAUAUUUUAUAAAGAAGGUCGUGUAAUAUUUUGCUUAGGUUCUUUCAAAUAUUUGGAGUUCACAUGCAUAUGUUGCUUGUGUGUGCACACAUUGUUAGCAGAACAAUUUUUCAUGGUGUUUAGUAUGAGCGGCAUUUACUAUCUAGAAUGUCCUGAUGCUGGCUGGGCUUCCUUAUUUUUAUUUUAGAGAGGAGCUUGGCUUCUUUUUUAUGAUGCAGUUAUGAUACCAUAUGAUUGUUAAGUUCCAUUCACACUUCUUUGAUGCUUUUGUGCUUUUGAUUUGGUGUGGAUUAUUUAGAACAUGAUCACUGGUGUUGUUUGUAUUCAACCAGUCUUUUCUUUUCGUAGUUGCAGUAGUUUUUCUAUAUCAACUGCGUCCUCUUAUUAGUGACUUGAAGUUAGAGGAGAAGGUUUGAUUUUAUUUUCUUAGGUUUUGAAUUCCUUAAUUUACCAAGGCCAGCAAAACUGCUGCACCAGAAGAGCAUGUGCUCCAGUCUGACAAAGCAGCCAAGGGCCUAUCUCCUUUUACCCUUCAAUUUAAUUGUCUGUAUAUAUACAUCUUUGCUUCCUGAUCCAUUUUAUUUUGCGACUUAGGCCACCCCUGAUGCCCAGGCUGAUGCUUCUUCGCUUGAUGCUGAAGAAAGGGAUGACCAGAUUCAGAUGCCCAAGAAAAAGCAGGUUCCGCAUCUUCUCUUAUAUCUUUAUCUAUGUACUUAACUUCGCUUGAUGCAGGCGCGUGUCUGGUGUCCCUGCUAAAAACCGACAAUUACCUAAGAAUUUGCAACAGUUAAACCCUGAAUUUGCAGCGGUUAAAACCUGAAGCUACUUCUACUUUUCCUAUGAAGGAUCACAACUACACUGAAUACAGCAAACCUGUUCCCAUAUCGUGUGGAAAACUACUUCAUUCUUCUCUAUGUGUUUUCUGAUGCAUUUUUGGUAGUGGGAGUGGGAUAUGGAGAGGGAGAGAGAGCAUAUCCAAAUGGAAUGGAUGGGAACAUGAUAUUUGCAGAUCUGAGAAAGAAGAGAUAGGACCAAGAAAAAUAGGUUUCUCCAUCCUGUUAAGUUUCCUUGCUUGUUUAGCAUUUGGUGAAAAAUUUAUGGGCCAGUGCAUUGGCGCGGCCAGCCUACCUGUGUACAGAAUCUAUGCUUAAAUUUUGUAAAAAAUAGUGCUUUCUUGCUUACGGUUCUUGUGAUGGUUUGUGCUGAAAAAUCUAUGAGCUGAUGCAUUUGUGCAAUCAGCCUGCCUGUGUGCAGAAUCUUUGUUUAGAUUUUGUCAAAAAGUUGCUUUUCUGACUAUUUUUCUCAUGGUGGUUUAAUCCCAUAGAUAAAUUGUGUGUGUGUGUGUGUGUGUCUAUGAUUGUUGUGUCCGGUUUCUAUCUAUGCAAUUAUCCGAUGCAUGUCUAUGUAGUUAUUUGGAGUAUACUUACUUACAUAUGGGUUAGAGCAGCAGAAUCAAAACCGAAAAUUGUGAUGCUAGAAUUGGUUCAAUGUUGUUUCCCUCCUGUGGUAGUGACAUAUUUUGUAACAUUCUAUUCAAAACUAGGCGGGGACGUCUCUUGGUAUGGAAACUUUAUUUUGUACCACUUGCAUUAUGAACUGUAUAACUCCUUUUCUUUUGUAUAUAUUACCAGUAUAUUUUCAGCUUGCACAUAACUGUUGAUUGUCAAAGUAAGAAAUAAAUUAGCAAUAACUGCCAUGAGUUUGAAUUUCCCAUUACAUGUCCAGAGUUUUGGAAUUUUACCUAACCUUGGAUAGUUUCCUUAUAUCUCCUUUUCUUUCAUGUGUGUGUAUAUAUAAAAUGCUUAGUUCUUAUUAUUUCACAUGUUUAAGAGAUAAAGGCACAUCCAGGGAAAGGUUUUGAUGUAAUUAUAUGUACAUUUAUUUAUGAUGGUUCUUCCAACAUGAUCAUGUCAGAAGAAUUUUUCCUUGUUUUGUUAUGUUUCACACUAUUGUCCAAAUGGAUGUGCCUUAUUUUCCUAAUUAUCUUAUACCCUUAUGCCCAACGCUUCUCACCAAGAUCCGUAAGUGUGACCGAUGAACCAUGUUACAAAGGAAGUAGUCUGACAUCCGUUGAGUAAUUUAACCAUGCAAUUUAUGUUAUGAACAAGUUUUAAAAAUAGUCUUGGUGAAAAGUGUUGUUCUAUAAAUAGCUUUCUUCCAAUUUUUAGUUUUGCUGAUUUUUAAUGUGUCAGUUUUGAUCGAAAUUUUAGUUUGGUUGACGCCACCUUCUGUUCAUUCCUUUUGUAUACUUAACUGAAAGCAGAACUUGUUAAGCGAGGAUUGGCUACCGUGGUCUUAUUUGGGCUCUCAGUAGUGAGUACCUAAACUGAUGCAAUAACAACUUAUUGCAUUUCUAUAAUCCGAUCUGAGCUUAGUGUUUUGCCAGUUUGCAUGUAAAUGCGGUAAAAGAUCUCACUUUAUGAUAUUUGGUAUAUACAAUAUGCUUCAAGUGCAAUAAUAUACAAGUGGAUUUGAGGACCAAAUGGAGUGAAAGGAAGGCAUGAUUAAAUUUGCAUGCACUUUCUAUUGUUACAGAUCCAACCUAGGUUUGAUAUUGAUCUUGCCUCACGUCAUGCUAAUCUCUCUUGUAUAACAAGACAUACUUAUUCGAUGAUUUGGCUCCUCUUUACUAAUUUAUUAUUGUUUUUUGCUCAUCUAUAUAGGUUAUGAUAUGUCAUUGCUCAGCUUAUGAAAGGAACUGAUGACUAGGGUACCAUAGCAACAAACUGGACAGAGUUCUUCCAUUUGAAAAACAGAGGAAAGAUACAUGCUUUCCGUCUUCAGACGCAAGGCAAAGAGCGUCCGUCUAAUCAUUCACUCCUGAGGACACCAUCGUAAACCUUUAGUGUCGCCUUGCAUUCCAAAAUUCAUGUUUACAGUGCUUUUGUGCCAUGUGUGGUAUGCUCCACAUUGGUUUGUCUUUCCUUGUGUUACCUCUUAGUAUAGGUAUUAUGGAUCGUCAGUCUGACUGUAAGUAUCAAUGAAGAUAAGCUUAUCUUUCAUUCUCUUUCAGUCGAAUUAAGGUGCUUACAUAUGCCCUACAAUACCUACAUAAUACAUGCUCCUAAUUGGCUUCUUGCGCCAUUGGUGUUACAAGAGUAAAGGUUUAUCUAAUGAGGCCUUGUCGCGGCGCUGCAAGUGUUGCCCCCUCCUCCCCAAGGACAAGGUGAAGGAAGGUGCCUGUGUGGUUCUUCUGCAGCUCGCAGUGAGGAUUGCUGUGUCCAACCUGCACAAGAAUGCCAAGAAGUCCUUCUCGGAGACGUAAGCCACGGUGCAUGUUUCUGUCAUGAUUUCCUUCGGUUGGAUUUCGUGGAUUUAGGUGUUAAAAAUUAUGGGUUGUGGAUGCAGAAUUAAGGACAUGUACCUGCACUACAACGAGAGAUCUGGACUGCUUCUUUGUGGCUUCCAAACUUGAAAUAUUUGUUUGGAAGUUAGUUUAGUUUUCUGUUGUGGAUUCGCAGCUUCUCACAUGUACCGUCCUCUUAGACCUUUAGAUUUCCAAAGAAACUAAAGGAAGAUAUGGUGGUAUGUUCUUAAUAGUACAGCUUAAAGCCUUCCAUGCUUUUUAUUUUCUCUGAAAUUUUCUCUUGAAGAAUCAUGUAUCUAUGUUAGAUCCGGUGAGAAAAGACGGCUUCCAAGCAGAGGAUGCGUGAGUGUUGGCCACAUUUGGUUUUCGACUUGGGUGUCUAAAUAUUCUCACAAUACUUGGCUCCAUCUCGACCUUUGCACAAUUGGCGCAACGAGCCAUCUAGUACCCGUAAACACUAGGUGGGGCGUCCUCUUCAAUGAAUGCAUGCCGCUUCAUGGAAGAAAAUCUAGGCAACUCCCACGCAACUUAUGAUCUUCAUUAAAUAUAAUGGGUACAUUAAGAUGUGCAGCAUAAACACCACCAUAAAUAUCACCGCUAGUUACAUUCUUGCUCAAACGGCAUGUAACAAUGGCUCAAAUAUUAUAAGGCUGGUCAUAGUGGGGAGUAACUUAGACUAGUGUCAUGCAUAUGACACUAGUCUAAGUUACUACCUUCAUAAUGCAAAAUAACAUAAUAGUAGUAUCAUAGAUGGCUUCAUUUAUUAUCUCGUAGACUCAUCUUGUCUUGGAAAGUGCUAUGUUACAGUAACAUAUUAUGUUACUAUAUUUAAUUAAUUAUUUGCCACAUAAGUAGAAUUUUCUUGAAGUGCGCUAUGUUACUAGCUAAGUUACUCCCACUAUGACCAGCCUAAGUAUUAGUGUGGGGAUUAUACUGUGGGCACUUAUCUGCAAGAAAGCGAACAGACCUUCUCUUUCCACGAAUUGAUCAAACCCCAAUUUAAUACCUGCUAUUUCUAUAAAGGUCUCACAUGGCCAUUGACAGUGUCGAGUAUCAGCUCUUCGAGUAAAAUGUUGUAUCCUAGUUCAUGAUAGACGGUUCUUGUGGUAAUGUGACUUGAGGAACCUCUAGAAAAUAAUAUCUUCAUUCUCUCCAUUUUCUGAAAAACAAAUUAGCAACUCAUAAAAAGUGAACAAAACUUAAUAUAUUUGAUAGCAACUACUCCCACAAGGUUCUGGUGCCUAAACCAUGCAUCGAAACUACAUAGAACCAAAUAAAUUUGACAUGCAAGCUCAUUUUCAUGGUCACCUACAAUAGCAAAAUAAGCAUGGUAUAAAACACUAGAGGGAAACCUAAUUGGAUCAAUGGAGGAGUUACAUACCAAGGAGCAAUCCCUCCAAAAAGUUUCAAGAACGGAGCUAUGAGCAAAGGGAUCAAAAACUGUUCAUAGACCAACAAAAACACGAGUUGGGGAGUAAGAAGAAAACAUUCUGGAGGAAGAAGACAGGGGCCACAGGCACUAAAUGAGUGGGUGCCCGUGGACCCUACAAGUUCGCAUGGCGCGUCAUGGGAGUUGCCAGGCCACCACCUCUUUGUGGCCCUUGUGAUGCAUAGAGCUUUCCCCCUCUAGUUCUGCCAUUCUACAGUAUAGUCCACUGAUAUACCCCAUUUCUUUGAUACCGAUGCAUAUGUAGUAUAGAUAUGACGUAAGUCUUGCGAGUACUUUGGACGAGUACUCACCAUUGCUUUGCACCCCUUCUCUUCUACCCAGUUGCUGCGAUCAAGUGAUGGAGUCCAGGAGCCUAAGGAUCCCGAGGAUGAUUCUACGUGGAGUUCGACUUCGACGAUUAAUUCGGAGGUCCCAGGCAGGAGGCCUUGUGUCGGUGUCAAAACCGGCGGAUCUCGGGUAGGGGGUCCCGAACUGUGCGUCUAGGCGGAUGGUAACAGGAGACAAGGGACACGAUGUUUUUACCUAGGUUCGGGCCCUCUCGAUGGAGGUAAAACCCUACUCCUGCUUGAUUAAUAUUGAUGAUAUGGGUAGUACAAGAGUUGAUCUACCACGAGAUCAGAUAGGCUAAACCCUAGAAGCUAGCCUAUGGUAUGAUUGUUGUUCGUCCUAUGGACUAAAACUCUCCGGUUUAUAUACACACCGGAGAGGGCUAGGAUUACACAGAGUCGGUUACAAUGGGAGGAGAUCUUCAUAUCGAAUCGCCAAGCUUGCCUUCCACGCCAAGGAAAGUCCUAUCCGGACACGGGACGAAGUCUUCAAUCUUGUAUCUUCAUAGUCUCGGAGUCCGGCCAAAGGUCAUAGUCCGGCCAUCCGGACACCCCCUAAUCCAGGACUCCCUCAGUAGCCCCUGAACCAGGCUUCAAUGACGACGAGUCCGGCGCGCAAAUUGUCUUCGGCAUUGCAAGGCGGGUUCCUCCUCCGAAUAUUUCAUAGAAGAUGUUGAGCACAAGGAUAGUGUCCGGCUCUGCAAAAUAAGUUCCACAUACCACCGUAGAGAGAAUAAUAUCUGAACAAAUCUAAUCUGCUGACGUAUUCCGCAGCGUGACAUCAUGCCACGACCAAGCCUUUAUUCGAAUCAUUUUACUGUUCCACCUCAGCGCGUUUAGCGAGGCGGUUUCCUUGGCACGUCUUGUCAAAGCAGAGAUCGUGUCCCCUUAUUCCGAGAUUCUCAUCAAUACGGGCGUGGGUAACCCAACCGCGCCAUUAACCGCGGCGCUUGGGAGAUAAGCGAGUUUUAUUAGGCUAGUGGGGGCUUAUAGUUUCGACUGCCCAUAUAAGGGGAUAAGGAUCCACCAUUUCCAUUUACGCCUUCUUCCUCCUUUGCUUAUCCAUCCCUUCGCACUCGAGCUCCAGCGCCCAAGUCCGCACUUCCCACCUCAACCUUUCUCCAAUCAUGUCUGGUGCGGGAGGUAGAUGGAUGGCCUCCUCCGUCACGGAGGGGCAAAUCAAAAAGUUGAGGAAGGCCGGAUACUUGUCUGACGACAUCGUGCACCGGCUUCCAGAUGAGGGGCAACUCAUCCCCACCCCUGGGCCCCAUGAGAGGGUCGUGUUUCUCCCCCAUUUCCUCCGCGGACUGGGCUUUCGUCUUCACCCGUUCGUCCGGGGGCUCAUGUUCUACUACGGCCUGGACUUCCACGAUCUGGCCCCGAACUUCAUCCUCAACAUCUCAGCGUUCAUCGUCGUGUGUGAGGCCUUCCUUCGCAUCCAGCCUCACUUUGGCCUAUGGCUGAAGAUCUUCAGUGUCAAGCCGAAGGUCGUGGGCGACCGUCAAGCGGAGUGCGGAGGCUCCAUGGUGGGCAAGAUAGCCAACGUUACAUGGCUUGAGGGCGCCUUCGUAGAGACCAUGAAAGGGUGGCAGUCGGGGUGGUUCUAUAUCACCGACCGCGUGACCCUGAAUGGGCAGCGGCCCCCGAAUUUCGAUCUGGCAUCCCCACUCGGCUCACAUCUUGGAAGGAGAUGGGCCUGUUGUGGGGUAGUCCAUAAGAGGUGACCGGACUCCAAACCUGCGUCCGAGACCUAGUGAACAAGGAGGUUAAGCUUGUCAACAUAGUCCAGGUCAUGCUCUUCCGCCGGAUCCUUCUGUGUCAAUGACGGGCCUUCAACUUGUGGGAGUUCGACCCGGCCCAGCACCAGACUCUGUCCCGGCUCUUCGACACAAAGCACGAGGAUGCUUGGAAGGUGCUAUUCAAGAGCUCCGAGGUCUCCCCACCCGUCACCGAGGAUCGCGGAUUCUGCGCCAAGCGCCAAGCCACCGAAGUAAGCUCGCUUUUAGUCCUUCACGGGACACUUGAUUUUCAUAGUUUGAUUCCAUGUAGGAUCUAAACUCCUGCUCCUUUGACAGGACUGGAAGAGGACAUCCGGACAGUUUGACUGUCCGGCCCCUUUGCCCGAAGGCCCAGCAGACGCACACUUGACGAAGCUACUGGUCCCGACACCUCACGUGGUACCGGAGAAUAAGGCCAAGAAGAAGGCCACAGGGACUCGAAAGAGUUCCCGGCGCCUGGUGGUGUCGGAUUCAUCGCCUGGCAACCCCGAAGCACCCUCCGCCUCUGAGGACGAGGAGGAGAAAGAAGAAGAAGCCUCUCCCCUUCAGCGGGGGGAGGAAAAAAAAGGAAGGCCGCCCAACUGGGGAGGCCGGAGGGUCCAAGAAGGGAAGGACCCUUCUGCCGGACUACGCCUCCGAUGCCGAAGACGGCGGGGAGGAAUGGCCAUCCAGGGUCAAGCCCCUGGCUAAAUCGUAAGUAUCCGGAUACCAGAAUAACUUAUGGCGCUCCUCUAAUGUAUGGUACCUUUUGACGCCGAAUUCAAUCAUGAAGUCCGCCCAAGGCUCAGCUCGGUGAUUCGUCGAGCGGCUCCCUGGAUUCGUCGGAUGUGAAUAGCGCUUCGCUUCCGACGGCCUCCUCCCCUCUCCCUACGGACGACGUCGAGGUGGAGUCCCAAAAGGGACUAAACCAGGAGGAGGUGGUCCUGGAGGCGCCGCAAGGCGACCUCCCGGACUCCAGGCCCAAAGGGAGUAAAGCCCCAGAGGGAUCUAAGUCUGGCCCUGGGCCGGACACCGCUCCGGGACCAUCAACAGUUCCAGAGUCCGGUAGGCGGCGCCUUCGCAAGAAAGGCACGCCUGCGACGCCGGCGGCCUCUGUCCAACCGGAGACGCCGGACAAUUUGCUGGAGGUGCUUAACGGCGCCUCCAUCAACGAGGAGCACCGCACUGUUAUGAGUGCGGUGAUUCAGAAGGUUCAGUCCGCCAAGAGCGGGCUGACAGAAGCCUGUACCAGCCUACUAAUAGGCUUCGAGGUAUGUAUUCAAAACAUAUAAAAAUGUUACCGCAUAGACAAUAGCCCCUGAUGCUCAGUUCGGUGUUCGAAAGAAAAGCCGGACUAAGGAUCUAAAAAGAUAUACGCAGGAGCCUAACAUAAAUAUGUCAAUAUGGGAAUGCAGGCUGCGCUGCUAACCUCUGUCGCACUGACUGCGGAGGUCGACGCAUUGAAGCAGAACCUCGAGCGGUCCGAGAACGAGCUCGGCCGUGCCAAGAAGCAGCUCGAGGACAAGGAGGGUAUGUAAUACCGUAUGUAAAUGUAUAUAGAAAUACCUGGUUGCAAAUAAUGACAGGACCAACGUGAAUGUUGCAGGGGCCACAACUCAGGUGGCAACCCUGAAGGAAGCGCUUUCCAAGGCCGCAGAUAAUGCGGCCAUGGAGCGCUCAGAGCGAGAGAAGCAAGUGGCGCAGGCGGCGGAGGUGCGGCAAGAGCUCGAUGCUCUUGUGAAAAAACAUGAGAGGUUAGAGCUUGACUCGAAGACUCGAGAGUCCGAUCUUGCCUCGGCACUUGAAAGCGCCAAAUCUGCCAAGGCCGAAGCACAAAAGGCCCUCCAGGAGAUUGAGGCGAUGAAAAAGAUUGCAGCGGGUAAGGCAUUCUUUAUGCAAAGCAAGCAUGUGAAAGUAAAUUACCUGUUACUUACCCGAAUCCGGAGCUCUCCAGGAGCAUUCGCAGAUCUGCCCCGUAGUGUAUCCGAUGCCGCCGCAUUCUACCGGGCCGAGGAAGGAAGCUCGGCGGAGAAAGUGUUCUGGUCCCAGUAUGCUGAGGCCGGACACCCUGUGCCCUUGAGCGACCAGCUAAAGCAGCUGGUCGAGCUUCAUAAGGUAGCCGAACAGGCCAUGAAGGGCCUGAUAGGCCGGCUGUGGCCUGGUGAGGUCUUGCCUUUGAGCUACUUUGGGCUAGUGCGGCGGCUGGUGGAUGCCUAUCCACGACUUGAAGUCAUCAAGCAUUCCGUGUGUAUCGAGGGCGCCCGUAGGGCUUUUGCCCGUGCUAAAGUGCACUGGAGCAAGCUAGAUGCUGAGAAGCUGGUGAAGGAUGGGCCACCGGAGGGGAAGGAGCAUCGCAAGCCUGAGAUGUAUUAUGAGGUCGUCCUGAAGGGUGCCCGUCUUGUGGCGGAGGAAUGUACCAUGGAUGUAAUUUUUGAGUAAACUCGCUCGUGUUUAUCCUGUGCGCUGAAAACUUGUUCAGAUGCGCUAAGCAACGCUUUUUGAAUUUAAAAUAUUACCUUCUGUGCGGCCGUUUAUGAAAUCUGAGAGAUGCAGUCGUCGGCUUCUACCCCCAUGCCAAGAGUGCUGGGGUGUUCGGGAUAAACCUGAGCGCUCUUGUUCCCAUUCUUGGGUCCAUCUAGGGAGGCGCUCAGCACAAUGAACAAGGCCAUCGGACUUAUAAUGCUUUAUCACUCUCACUUAACCGUAGAAUUCUACAAUUUUAAAUUUUGGCGAAGCCCCUAGUAUUCGGAAGACCGAGUUCGGGGCGCUAUCCACGCCUAGGCCAGAUAAAUCCGGCUCCUCGCUCUAAGCGGCAUAAGUCUUUAGGGACUCGAAAAACCUCUCGAACAGCGACCGGUCUUCCGCACUAUCAUGGCGGUCAAUUUUAGCUUUCUCUACUGAGGUGUUAACCCAGCUCAACUGGGGCACAAUCGCAGUAGUUCUCCCAGUGCUACCUUAGCCGACUUUGCGGAACGUAAGGUACCAAAACAUGGGAGCCGGGCAAACCCAACUAUUGACCCAAGACAUGAUUCGGAGCCGAUGCAUAUAGUGCUAUAAGUUCGGGGUGCCGCACUCAUGAGAGUGUUCGGUCUUCUCACACCGUAUUAUGGGGUACUUAAGCCCCUGGUGUAUUGGCCGUACCAAAGUGUACAGUUGCAUAAUGUCAUGACUGAACAUUUUUGUAUAAAAAUAAAUGAAUACAAUAAUAGAUAAGAGCUAUGUAUUGUUUAUUAAAAAGGGCUGCUAUGAAAGCAGAACGAUACAAAUAGUGCAAUAAGCAAGAGAUGGGAUCAUUUGGCAUGUCCCCCUCCAGGGGCAAGCUGCGAGACUUUAAGUAAAACAGGUAUUUAGCUCGUUAUAGAGACCACCUGGACAUUUGACGUGGCUUGUUGUCUCCCUGGCUGUUGCAUCAUGUGUUCGGCGAGUGUAUUGCCGGACAGGCCUUCCGAAUAGUUGGGUCCUGAAAGUAUAUAUAUAAAAAAGGAAACGGUAGAAUAGGGAGCCCCUAGUGCGGUUGAGCCGCAUUCUGGGCGUGCCGUGGUUGUGCCCCUCCCCUUAUGCCCAUGGUAUUUCCAGAGCGUAAUUAUGUACGCGUGGUACCACUAUCGCCAUCUGGCGAGGGCUGGGGUUGGGGCCGCACUGCUAUGCUUGCUCAGAACGUGCCAGCCGGUUUUGUUGUAGGUUACUUCGGGCGCGCUUGACGUUGUUCGGACGUUUAACAGCCGGAUUGGAGAAUUGCCUUGAGAGGCUACUUUGUACUUCCGCCGCCAGGGAUGCCGUGUGCUCCUCCGUUCGGAGAGAGCGUUCGGUGUUCCCAUUGACCGUAAUGACUCCGCGAGGGCCUGACAUCUUGAGCUUGAGAUAUGCGUAGUGCGGCACCGCAUUGAAUUUUGCGAAUGCGGUUCGUCCGAGCAGGGCGUGAUAGUUACUGCGGAAUGGGACUAUGUCGAAGAUUAACUCUUCGCUUCGGAAAUUAUCCGGGGAUCCAAAGACCACUUAGAGUGUAACUGAGCCUGUACAGCUGGCUUCUACACCUGGUAUGACGCCUUUAAAGGUCGUCUUUGUGGGUUUAAUCCUUGAGGGAUCUAUACCCAUUUUUCGCACUGUAUCCUGGUAAAGCAGGUUCAGGUUGCUGCCGCCGUCCAUGAGGACUCUGGUGAGGUGAAAUCCGUCAAUGAUUGGGUCUAGGACCAAUGCGGCGAAUCCGCCGUGACGAAUGCUAGUGGGGUGGUCCCUUCGAUCAAAGGUGAUCAGGCAGGAGGACCAUGGGUUGAACUUUGGAGCGACUGGCUCCAAUGCAUAGACGUCCUUGAGAGCAUGCUUCCGCUCCCUUUUGGGGAUAUGGGUUGCGUAUAUCAUGUUCACCGUCCACACUUGCGGGGGGAAGCCCUUCUGUCCUCUGUUGUUCGGCGGCCGGGGCUCCUCCUCGUCAUCGCUAUGCAGCCCCUUGUCUCUGUUUUCGACACUUAACUUGCCUGCCUGUUUGAACACCCAACAAUCCCUGUUGGUGUGAUUGGCUGGUUGUUCAGGGGUGCCGUGUAUCUGGCACGAGCGAUCGAGUAUCCGGUCUAAACUGGAUGGGCCCCGAGGGUUUCUUUUGAAUGGCUUCUUCCGUUGACCGGGUUUAGAGCCUCGAAAUCCAGCGUUAACUGCCGUAUCCUCGGUAUUAUCGCCGUUAAUGCGGCGCUUGUGCUUGUUACGGCGUGACCUGCCAUUGUUGUCCUUGGCAUCUGAGUUGCCAGGGCUCUUGGUUAUGUUAUUGCUGCGAACUAGCCAGCUGUCUUCUCCCGCGCAAAAGCGGGUCGUUAGCGUCGUGAGGGCUUCCAUAGAUUUCGGCUUUUCUUGUCCUAGGUGCCGGGCAAGCCAUUCGUCUCGGAUGUUAUGCCUGAAGGCUGCAAGAGCCUCUGCAUCCGGACAGUCGACUAUUUGAUUUUUCUUGGUUAGGAACCAUGUCCAGAAUUGUCUGGCCGAUUCUCUGGCUACUGGAUUAUGUGGCUUAGGUCAUCGGCGUCUGGUGGUCGCACAUAAAUGCCCUGGAAGUUGUCAAGGAAUGCGGAUUCCAGGUCCUCCCAGCAACUAAUUGACUCUGCUGGCAGGCUGUUAAGCCAAUGCCGAGCUGGUCCUUUAAGCUUGAGCGGUAGGUAUUUGAUGGCGUGUAGAUCAUCACCACGGGCCAUGUGGAUAUGAAGGAGAUAAUCCUCGAUCCAUACCGCGGGAUCUGUUGUGCCAUCGUAUGAUUCGAUGUUUACGGGUUUAAAACCCUCGUGGAUUUGAUGAUCCAUUACUUUGUCUAUGAAGCAUAGUGGGUGUGCGGCGCCCCUGUACUGGGCUAUAUCGCGAUGUAGCUCGGAUGAGCUUUGUCUGUUGUGUUCGGCCUGGCCGUAUUUAUCAUAUCCGGCGUGCCGGUUAUCGUCACGUGACGUGGGGCGCCCACGCGAUCCGUAGAUCGAUCUUGUUUGCCUUGCCUUAUCCUCCAAUAUGUCUCGCAGGUCUGUUGUGUUUCCCCGUGCUCUGGUAUUUUUGGAGCGGCGCCGGGGUGCGGCUUGAGUUGAGGGCCAAAAGGCCUCUCUGUCGCGGCCACGGGGUGGCCGAUCGGGCGCAUCAUACGCUGGUGAUGUAGGUUUAGUUGCUUCCUAUUCUAGUUGGGGUAGAAGCCUGCGUGUUGGGUAGCUCUUGGAGGGGCGUUCAAGUUUAUACUCUUCGGCCGCCAGGACUUCAGUCCAUCUAUCAGCUAGCAAGUCUUGGUCAGCUCUAAGAUGUUGCUGUUUUUCUUGAGGCUGCUUGCCGUGGCCAUAAGCCUGCGUUUGAAACGCUCUUGUUCGACGGGAUCCUCUGGCACGACAAAUUCGUCGUCGUCGAGGCUUGCCUCGUCUUCGGAGGGAGGCAUAUAAUUGUCGUCCUCGACCUCCUUGUCUGCCGCUCUCUCAUGAGGGCUGGCUUCUCCGUCCUCCUGCGCUGAAUCUUGCUAGAGGGGGUUGUCUUCGGCACUGUCCGGGGUGUUGUUGUCUCCAGUGCCAGACUCGCCGUUUUUGCUUUGGCGGGAUUUAGAGCGGCGCCGCUGACGUCGGCGCUUGGGUUGCUUCUUGGAGGGGUCAUCCUCCGUUUUUUCAUCGCCAUCCCCUGCUUUAGGGGUGUCCACCAUGUACAUGUCAUAUGACGAGGUGGCUUUCCAGUGCCCUAUAGGUGCCGGUUUUUGGUCGUCUCCUUCAUCGGCGUCCAUAUCAUCGAUGUCUUCAGAGUCGAAGUCGAGCAUGUCGGUUAGAUCGUCGACAGUGGCUACGAAGUGGGCGGUGGGUGGGUUUCAAAUUUCUUCGUUGUCCGCAUCCCAACCUUGCUGACCAUAGUCCGGCCAGGGCUCUCCUGACAAAGAGAGAGACUUUAGUGAACUCAGGAUGUCGCCAGAGGGCGAGUGCUGAAAGACGUCCGCGGCGGUGAACUCCAUGAUCGGAGCCCAAUUGGGUUCGAUCGGAAGGGGUGCGGAAGAUUCGGAGUCCGGAAAGGAGUCCGGCACCUUGGAGUCACAGGCCUCACAAAGGACUAGGCCGGUAUCCAUCUCGAUCGCCAUAGAAAUUGCGGCUCCUAGGGUGGCGUCCAACCGUCUGUCCCCGACUGGCGUGGUCGGCUCCGAGCUAGGGGUCGGAGCGGACACCUGAGCGGCGCUCUGGGCGCUGUCCGACGGCAGAGCUAGAUCAUGCCCAUCGUGACAGUGCGGCGCGCUCGCCCGUGGCUCGAAUCCGUCGAAGAUCAAGUCCCCGCGGAUGUCGGCCGUGUAGUUUAAGCUUCCAAAUCUGACCUGAUGGCCAGGGGCGUAGCUUUCGAUCUGCUCCAGAUGGCCAAGUGAGUUGGCCCGCAGUGCGAAGCCGCCGAAUACGAAGAUCUGUCCGGGGAGAAAAGUCUCACCCUGGACCGCGUCGUGGUUGAUGAUCGAAGAAGCCAUCGGGCCUAAAGGUGACGACAUAGAGGAACUCUCAAUGAAAGCACCAAUGUCGGUGUCAAAACCGGUGGAUCUCGGGUAGGGGGUCCCGAACUGUGCGUCUAGGCGGAUGGUAAUAGGAGACAAGGGACACGAUGUUUUUACCCAGGUUCGGGCCCUCUCGAUGGAGGUAAAACCCUACUCUUGCUUGAUUAAUAUUGAUGAUAUGGGUAGUACAAGAGUUGAUCUACCACGAGAUCAGAGAGGCUAAACCCCAGAAGCUAGCCUAUGGUAUGAUUGUUGUUUGUCCUACGGACUAAAACUCUCCGGUUUAUAUAGACACCGGAGAGGGCUAGGGUUACACAGAGUCGGUUACAACGGGAGGAGAUCUUCAUAUCGAAUCGCCAAGCUUGCCUUCCACGCCAAGGAAAGUCCUAUCCGGACACGGGACAAAGUCUUCAAUCUUGUAUCUUCAUAGUCUGGGAGUUUGGCCAAAGGUCAUAGUCCGGCCAUCCGGACACCCCCUAAUCCAGGACUCCCUCACCUUGCCUUUUUGAUCUAGAAUCGUUGUUUGUUUUCGCCUUCUUAAGGCACCUUUGUAUUUCUCUGUGGACAGACCUAAAUCUUGAUGUAAUAACGUGUCUUGCGCCCCUGGCUUGUUAUUUAUUGUUUCUUUGUUUAAAUUUGGGUCGUCGAGUUGUGUUGUGACAUUAUACCGUGAGUCACCGAUCUUGAUCGUGCUGAUGGGGAACAUUGUAUGAACAUAAAAAAAAUUCCUAUGAAACACCCAAGAUCCAAUCUAGGAGAUGCAUAGCUAUGAGUGAGGAGUGCGUAUACAUACCCUUGUAGACCGAAAGUGUUAGCGUCGUAACACAGUUGAUGUAGUCGUACUCUUCAUGAUCCAAUCACGAUCCAAUCUGAUCUAGUGCCGAAUGGAUGACACCUCCGAGUUUAGCACAUGUAUGACUCAGUGGCGUCCUCUCCUUGAUCUAGCAAGCGAGGGAGAGGAGGCAGAUGAGAUCGGAACCAACACAACGGCGUGGUGGUGGUGGCGGCAGUGGAAUUCCGGUAGGGCUUCGCCAAGCGCGUACCGGUGAAACGUGGGAGGAGUUGGGAGAGGUAACGGGCAAGGGUCGAAGGGGGGCUUCCCCCAAUGCCUCCCCACCUUUAUAUAGGUGUGGUGGGGGCUGGUGGCUUUCCCUCCAAGGCCCUAGGGUCGUUGUCCAAAGGGGGGGGGGAGGAAAUUCCUCCUUUCCUUCCCCACCGAUCGCUAUCCCCUUUUUAGGGAUCAUGAUCUUAUCCCUUCGGGAUAUGAUACUAUUCCUUUUAAGGGAGGAUCUUGGUGUAUCUAGAAUAGGGGUGUGGGGACUUUCCCCACUACCCACUUUCAUGUGGGCCCCCCAUGUAGGUGGGCCCCACUCUGGAACCUUCUAAAACCAUCCUGGUACAAUACAAAAAAAACUCAAACUUUUUCCGGAACCCCGAUAACAACUUUCCAUAUAUGAAUCUUUUCCUCCGUACUAUACCGGAGCUCCUCGUGAUGCCCGGAUCCCAUCCGAGAUUCCGAACAACCUUUGGACUUUCCACUAUUAAUAUCUCAACACUACCCUAGCACUACCAAAUGUUAAGCGUGCGACCCUACGGGUUCGGAACAUGCAGACAUGACCGAGACUCCUCCCCGGUUAAUAAUGAAUAGCGGAACCUGGAUGCCCAUAUUGGUUCCUAUAUAUCAACAAAGAUCUUUAUCGGUUGAACCAUGAUGUCAAGGAUUCAGUCAAUCCCAUAUGCAAUUCCCUUUGUCCGGCGAUAUGUUACUUGUCCGAGAUAUCAUCGGUAUCUCCAUACCUAGUUCAAUCUCGUUACUGACAAGUCUCUUUAAUCGUUUCGUAAUACAAGAUCACGUGACUAAACUCAUUAUUCACAUGAAGCUUCUUAUGAUGUUGUUGAAGGAACUAUGACCUAGAGGCAAUAAUAAAGUUGUUAUUUAUAUUUUCUUAUAUCAUGAUAAAUGUUUAUGGAAGCGCAACCUAGGGCCUGAUACGUCUCCAAUGUAUCUAUAAUUUUUGAUUGUUCCAUGCUAUUAUAUUACCCCUUUUGGAUGUUUAUGGGCUUUAUUUACACAUUUAUAUCAUUUUUGGGACUAACCUACUAACCGGAGGCCCAGCCCAUAUUGCAGUUUUUUUUGCCUAUUUCAGUAUUUCGAAGAAAAGGAAUAUCAAACGGAGUCCAAACGGAAUGAAACCUUCGGGAGCGUGAUUUUUGGAACGAACGUGAUCCGGAGAGCUUGGAGUGCAAGUCAAGAAGCUUCCGAGGCCCCCACGAGAUAGCCGCCCCCCCUAUAGGGCACGCCUCCUAUCUUGUGGGCCCCUCGGGCGGCCAUCGGCGUACUUCUUCCUCCUAUAUAUACCUACGUACCCCGAAAACAUCCAGGAGCACCACGAAACACAAUUUCCACCGCCGUAACUUUCUGUAUCCACGAGAUCCCAUCUUGGAGCCUUCGCCGGCACUCUGCCGGAGGGGGAAUCAACCACGGAGGGCCUCUACAUCAACAUCCUUGCCCCUCCGAUGAGUUGUGAGUAGUUUACCACAGACCUACGGGUCCAUAGUUAUUAGCUAGAUGGCUUCUUCUUUCUUUUUGGAUCUCAAUACAAUGUUCUCCCCCUCUCUUGUGGAGAUCUAUUCGAUGUAAACUCUUUUUGCGAUGUGUUUUGUCGAGAUCCGAUGAAUUGUGGGUUUAUGAUCAAGUUUAUCUAUGAAUAAUAUUUGAAUCUUCUCUGAAUACUGUUAUGUAUGAUUGAGUUAUCUUUGCAAGUCUCUUUGAAUUAUCAGUUUGGUUUGGCCUACUAGAUUGGUCUUUCUUGCCAUGGGAAAAGUGAUUAGCUUUGGGUUCAAUCUUGCGGUGUCCUUACCCUGUGAAAGAAAGGGUUGCAAGGCACUUAUUUUAUUGUUUCCAUCGAGGAUAACAAGAUGGGGUUUAUAUCUUAUUGCAUGAGUUUAUCCCUCUACAUCAUGUCAUCUUGCUUAAUGCGUUGCUCUGUUCUUAUGAACUUAAUACUCUAGAUGCAGACAGGAGUCGGUCGAUGUGUGGAGUAAUAGUAGUAGAUGCAGGCAGGAGUCGGUCUACUUGUUACGGACGUGAUGCCUAUAUACAUGAUCAUGCCUAGAUAAUCGCAUAACUAUGCGCUUUUCUAUCAAUUGCUCGACAGUAAUUUGUUCACCCACCGUAAUACUUAUGCUAUCUUGAGAGAAGCCACUAGUGAAACCUAUGGCCCCCGGGUCUAUCUCUUAUCAUAUUUGCUUUCAAUCUACUUUUAUUUGCACCUUUAGUUUUUGCAUCUAUAUUAUAAAAUACCAAAAAUAUAUUUAUCUUUUUUUUGGAGAAUUGACAGUGGGAGAGCACUCCCACUGUUGUUUUAUAUAUCUAUAUAAAUGGGGUGUUUACAUAGACAUAUACAAUGCCAAACACAAUCAACCAACUACCACCCCCUCCCCAUGGCUUAGGGAGGAGGCAAACUACCAGUCUUCCACAGAAGGGGGCAAGAGCAAAGAUUCAGCAAGGAUCAACCUAGAGUAUUACAAAGGUUUACAAAUGAGCCUCGAUGGGCCUCCUUGAUUCCAUAUUGGAGCUGACUCAGGUCGUUUUUGAAGCAUGAGAACCAGGACCAAAUAUCAGGGUCAACUCCUCGGAAGUGCUUGUUAUUCCUCUCCUUCCAUAAGCUCCACGCAGCAGCGAGAAAAACUUCCAUGAAAAAAGGGCCAGGCCAUGAGUCUCUAUUUAAUCUGAUGGCAGCGAGACGGCUAUCAAAAGGGGGCCAAUGAAUGCCAAGCUUGGUCCAGCAGGUCCUGCUAAAAUCACAAGUGAAGAUCAUGUGGUCCACCAUUUCUUCAAUUGGCAGCCCGCAAAGGAGGCAAUCAAAAUCAUCACCAAUGUUGUAGUGCCUCCGUUUCAACAUAUUACAUGUGUUGAGCCUAUCCAGGAAAAGCAGCCACCCAAACACCUUCAGUUUCAUCGUACAUUUUGAUUCCGAUAGGUGCUUGAACAUGGGAUUGGUUUGAGCAUCUCGAAAGAAGAAAGAAUAGUAGUCCUUAGGUCGAAACUCGGCCGCACCCCACAUGUAGUGCCAAACAUCCAUAGUUGACGUGGAAGGGCAGAUUUUGGUUAGCGUUAGCUGCAUGUCUCGGAUUUCGUCCAACGCGGUUGGAGACACAGGGAGGUGAAAGGUUUCAUGCAGAUCAUUGGAGGCCCAGAAGUCAGCAACCGAGAUAUCUUCAUGCAGCGCAAAAGAGAAGGCACGUGGGUGGGAGUCUUGCAGCACAUCACGCGCCCAAAGAUCCUUCCAAAGUAGGGUUGUCCUUCCAUCCACCAACUGGACACGAGACACUCCCCUGAAGGUUGGUGUCAAUUUUAGAACAUCGCGCCACCAGAAGGAGCCGCCCUGGUCCACUGCAUGGGGUAUUUUGUCGACGUAGAGAUUGUCCCAUAAUAGGUGAACCCAGGGCACAUCCAUUUUAUUGUAGAAUUUAUGGAGGAAUUUUAGGAGCAGGGCUUCAUUAUGGAUUUUGAGAUUGAUCACUCCUAGCCCACCUUUGUCUUUGGGACGACAGACCAUGUCCCAAGCCGCAAGAGAGUUGCAUUUGUCACCUUGCUCGGUUCUCUUAGUCCAGAGACAGCGUCUUCUGAUUUUGUCUAGGAUUUCAAGAAGCUUGGGCGGGAAUUUGAGUGUACACAUGGCAAAGGUGAGAAGAGACGUGACUGAGGCAUUCAGCCAGGUUAAUCUGCCACCAUAGUUCAUCAUAGCAAUGGUUGACGUUAGGCGCCUUUCCAAUCUGCAAACAAGAGGCAUGAGGUCUUGGACUGUAGGCCGACUGGUACCCAGUGGCAGGCCAAGAUAGGUGAAAGGCAACGUGCCCACAUUACAGCCAAAAAUCCUAGCAAGAACAUCCGCAGAGGAGGUGUCGAGGUUGAUCGGUACCAAUGUGGACUUGUGAAAAUUGAUUUUCAAGCCAAUAGAGGUGGCGUAAUCCGAUAAGAUCUCCUUGAUCAAAGAAGCUUGACGGAUGCACGCAGGCAAGACUAUCAAAGUGUCGUCGGCGUAUUGAAUAACGGGGUAGUUAGAUUGUCCAACACAAAGAAAGGGGAGCUCGAUUUUGCCUUGUCUGAAUGCAUCAUUUAUGGCAAACUGCAAUAAAUCCGCAGCGAGCGCAAAAAUGAGGGGGGACAGGGGAUCGCCCUGUCGGACACCACAGCGGCAUUGAAAUUGUCUGCCUGGCACCCCGUUGAGAAGGACAGAAGAGCGCCCAGAGGAGAAUAAACAUUGGAUCCAACAGAUCCAUUUGUCGUUGAAGCCCAUAUGAUGCAUAAUCUGGAUCAUCGGGUCAUGAGCAAUUGUGUCAAAGGCCUUUGCAAAGUCAAGUUUGAGCAAAACUAUCUGUCUGCCCGAGUUGUGACAUUGGUGUAAAUACUAGUAAGCCCAGGCAAGGCAAUCCUGUAUAGUCCUCCCCUUAAUGAAGCCAUAUUGGUUGCGAUGAACUAAGUCCAAGAUAGAAGAUUGUAGCCGAUCUGCUAGAAGUUUUGCAAUCAGCUUGAGGCAGCAGUUCAACAGCGUGAUCGGUCUGUAGUCAUUAACUAUUUCCGGGGAGUUGAUUUUAGGGAUCAACGUGAUGAGCCCAUCAUUGAUGCUGUUAAUGUCCAGGGUGCUAGCAUAAAAUUGAGCGCAGAGAUCAUAAAAAUCGUGCUUGAUGAUAGGCCAACAUGCUUUGAGAAAAGCACCACUGAAACCAUCAGGGCCAGGUGCACGAUCUGGAGGCAUGUCAUUAACAACUUGGUCAAUUUCUUUUUGUGUAAACGGCUCGGUCAGAGCAUCAAGAUUAUCAGAUCUUCUGAUGAGGUCGGGCAGAGAGAAUUUCAUCUCAGAGGCUGAAGUGGAGCCCAGAUGAUUUUUAUAAGUGAGGAUUGACAACCCCUUUAUUGUGUUGGUUGCGAGCUCUCAGUUUGCUUGUGUAGGUGCGUGGGACUUUUGAGGAGUCUCCUACUGGAUUGAUACCUUGGUUCUCAAAACUGAGUGAAAUACUUACGCUACACUUGCUGCAUCACCCUCUCCUCUUCGAGGAAAACCAACGCAAGCUCAAGACGUAGCAAGAAGAAUUUCUGGCGCCGUUGCCGGGGAGGUCUUCGCUCAAGUCAAGACAUACCAAGUACCCAUCACAAACCCAUCUCCCUCCCAUUUACAUUAUUUGCCAUUUGCCUCUCGUUUUCCUCUCCCCCAUUUCACCCUUGCUGUUUUAUUCGCCCUCUCUUUUCGCUUGCCUUCUUUUGUGUGCUUGUUUGCUUGUUUGACCUUAUGGCUGCGCCUAAGGGUCCUGACCACCUUCUUAGAAGGAUGGAUGAGAUUGAAUCAAAUAUUAGAAGCUUUAUGAAUUUGCAAUUUGAGCAUAAUAAUUUCUUUAGAAAAGAGCUUAAGGAACAAAAGAGUUUUUUUGGGGUUUAUGAAUAAAGAGCUUGACGAUAUGAAUAAAGAAUUCUAUGGUGUUAACUCUCAAAUUACCCGGCUUGAAAAUGCUAUAGCCAAAAUUUCUGACAAGCAAGCCACCUUAGUCAAUAAGAUGGCCGCUAAACCAGAAAAAUUCCGUGAAAAUAAUGAUGAGGAUCUUAAAGUUAUUGAUGCGUCUCUGAUUAGAUCUAUGUUUUGCAAUAUGAAUUUUUAUGAUUAUGGGACUGAUGAUGAAUCAACUUUGCCUAGAAGGCGUCCCAAAAAUUCAGAGUCUUUAGAUCUUAAUGUUAAAUUUGGUAAAAGUGAGAUUGGAGAAUCCUCAACUUCUAAUAAUAUUGAACCUUCUAUCUCAGAUUUCAAGGAAUUUGAUUAUGAUAAUUGCUCUUUAAAAGGUUGUAUUUCCUUGUUGCAAUCCGUUGUUAAUUCUCCUCAUGCUUAUAGUCAAAACAAAGAUUUUACCAAACAUAUUGUUGAUGCCUUGAUGCAAUCUUAUGAUGAAAAACUUAAUAUGGAAGUUUCUAUACCUAGAAAACUUAAUGAUGAGUGGGAACCUAUUAUAAAUAUUAGAAUUAAAGAUUAUGAGUGUUUUGCUUUGUGUGAUUUGGGUGCUAGUGUUUCCACAAUUCCGAAAACUUUAUGUGAUAUUCUAGGUUUCCAUGAUCUUGAUGAUUGCUCUUUAAAUUUGCACCUUGCGGAUUCCACCAUUAAAAAGCCUAUGGGAAGAAUCAAUGAUGUUCUUAUUAUUGCAAAUAGAAAUUUGGUGCCUGUAGAUUUUAUCGUUCUUGAUAUUGAUUGCAAUCUUUCUUGCCCUAUUAUUCUUGGUAGACCUUUCCUUAGAACGAUUGGUGCAAUUAUUGAUAUGAAGGAAGGGAACAUUAGAUUCCAAUUUCCCUUAAAGAAAGGCAUGGAUCACUUUCAAGAAAGAAAGUCAAAUUACCUAAUGAAUCUAUCAUGCGUGCUACUUAUGAAUUUAGUGCCAAAGAUGGUACUCGUUAGAUCUAUCUUUGUUUUUAUGCCUAGCUAGGGGCGUUAAACGAUAGCGCUAGUUGGGAGGCAACCCAAUUUUCUUUAUGAUUUUUUGUUUUUGCUCCUGUUUAGUAAUAAAUCUUGCAUCUACCUUCUGUUUAGAUGUGUUUUUAUCUUUUAAUUAGUGUUUGUGCCAAGUAGAACCUAUAGGAUAACCUACGAUGAUAGUUGAUUUGAUUCUGCUGAAAAACAGUAACUUUGCACGCACGAAUAUAAUUUUGUUAAAUCACAGCAACGUGCUUUUACGUUUAUUCUUUUUGCUUCUGUUCAAUAAACAAAUUUUCCAGGACUUCCUAUUUUAGUAGGAUUUUUAGAGUUCGAGAAUUUUGCGUUAGUUACAGAUUGCUACAGACUAUUCUGUUUUUGACAGAUUCUCUUUUUCGUGUGUUGUUUGCUUAUUUCAAUGCAUCUAUGGCUAGUAAUUCAGUCUAUGAACCAUAAAGAAGUUGGAAUACAGUAGGUUUAACACCAAAAUAAAUAAAUAAUGAGUUCAUUGCAGUACCUUAUGUGGUGGUUUUGUUUUCUUUCACUAACGGAGCUUAUAAGAUUUCCUGUUGAGUUUUGUGUUGUGAAGUUUUCAAGUUUUGGGUAAAGCUUUUAUGGACUAUGGAAUAAGGAGUGGCAAGAUCCUAAGCUUGUGGAUGCCCAUGGAAACCCAAGAUAUUCAAGGAUAGCCAAAAACCUAAGCUUGGGGAUGCCCUGGGAAGGCAUCCCCUCUUUCGUCUUCGUUCAUUUGUAACUUUACUUGGAGCUAUAUUUUUAUUCGCCACAUGAUAUGUGUUUUGCUUGGAGCGUCGUGUAUUAUAUUAGUCUUUGCUUUUUAGUUUACCACAAUCAUCCUUGCUGUACACACCUUUUCGUAGAAGCCUAUUUGAUUAGAAUUUGCUAGAAUACUCUAUGUGAUUCACUUAUAUCUUUUGAGCUUGAUAGUUUUUGCUCUAGUGCUUCACUUAUAUAUUUUAGAGCACGGUGGUGUAUUAAUUUUGAAGAAAUUGCUAGUAUCUCAUGCUCCACUUAUAUUAUUUUGAGAGUCUUUUGAAGGAAAUAUGCCCUAGAGGCAAUAAUAAAGUUAUUAUUUAUUUCCUCAUAUCAUGAUAAAUGUUUAUUAUUCAUGCUAGAAUUGUAUUUAAUCGGAAACAUGAUACAUGUGUGAAUACAAAGACAAACUUAAUGUCACUAGUAUGCCUCUACUUGACUAGCUCAUUAAUCAAAGAUGGUUAUGUUUCCUAACCAUAGACAUGUGUUGUCAUUUGAUUAAUGGGAUCACAUCAUUAGGAGAAUGAUGUGAUUGACUUGACCCAUUCCGUUAGCUUAGCAUUUGAUCGUGUAGUAUGUUGCUAUUGCUUUCUUCAUGACUUAUACAAAGUUCCUACAACUAUGAGAUUAUGCAACUCCCGUUUACCGGAGGAACACUUUGUGUGCUACCAAACGUCACAAUGUAACUGGGUGAUUAUAAAGGAGCUCUACAGGUGUCUCCAAUGGUACAUGUUGAGUUGGCGUAUUUCGAGAUUAGGUUUUGUCACUCCAAUUGUCGGAGAGGUAUCUCUGGGCCCUCUCGGUAAUGAACAUCACUAUAAGCCUUGCAAGCAAUGUAGCCAAUGAGUUGGUUACAGAAUGAUGCAUUAUGUAACGAGUAAAGAGACUUGCCGGUAACGAGAUUGAACUAGGUAUUGGAUACCGACGAUCGAAUCUCGGGCAAGUAACAUACGGAUGACAAAGGGAACAACAUAUGUUGUUAUGCGGUUUGACCGAUAAAGAUCUUUGUAGAAUAUGUAGGAGCUAAUAUGAACAUCCAGGUUCCGCUAUUGGUUAUUGACCAGAAUCAGUUCUAGGUCAUGACGAGGAGUCUCUAAAUGGUCGAGACAUAAAGAUUGAUAUAUUGGACGACUAUAUUCGGACACCAGAAGUGUUCCGGGUGUUUUCGGAGAAAACCGGACUGCCGGAGGGGUUACCGGAACCCCCCGGGGAAGUAUUGGGCCUUAGUGGGCCUGAGGGGAGAGAGAGGGCAGCAUCCCAGGAGGUGGCACGCCCCCUCCCAUGAGGAGUCGGAAUUGGACUAGGGGAGGGGGGCGUGGCCCCUCUUUCCCUCUCCCUCUCCCUCUGUUUCCUUCCCCCUUCUCUCUUCCUAGUUGGACUAGGAAAGGGGAGUCCUACUCCUACUAGGAGGAGGACUCCCCCCUCCUUGGCGCGCCCCAAGAGCCGGCCGGCCUCACCCCAUUGCUCCUUUAUAUACGGGGGCAGGGGGGAACCUCUAGACACACAAGUUGAUCUUCGUGAUCGUUCCUUAGCCAUGUGCGGUGCCCCCCUCCACCAUAUUCCACCUUGGUCAUAUCGUUGCGGUGCUUAGGCGAAGCCCUGCGUCGGUAGAACAUCAUCAUCGUCACCACGCCGUCGUGCUAACGGAACUCAUCCCCGACACCCUGCUGGAUCGGAGUCCGGGGAUCAUCAUCGAGCUGAACGUGUGCUGAACUUGGAGGUGCCAUACGUUCGGUACUUGGAUCGGUCGGACCGUGAAGACGUACGACUACAUCAACCGCGUUGUCAUAACGCUUCCGCUUACGGUCUACGAGGGUACGUGGACAACACUCUCCCCUCUCGUUGCUAUGCAUCACCAUGAUCGUUGCGUGUGCGUAGGAAUUUUUUUGAAAUUACUACGUUCCCCAACAGUGGCAUCCGAGCUAGGUUUUAUGCGUAGAUGUCAUAUGCACGAGUAGAACACAAGUGAGUUGUCGGCGAUACAAGUCAUACUGCUUACCGGCAUGUCAUACUUUGGUUCAGCGGUAUUGUGAGAUAAAGCGGCCCGGACCGACAUUACGCGUACACUUACGCGAGACUGGUUUCACCGUUACGAGCACUCGUGCUUAAAGGUGACUGGCGGGUGUUUGUCUCUCUCACUUUAGUUGAACCGAGUGUGGCUACGCCCGGUCCUUGUGAAGGUUAAAACAGCACUAACUUGACGAACUAUCAUUGUGGUUUUGAUGCGUAGGUAAGAACGGUUCUUGCUCAGCCCGUAGCAGCCACGUAAAAUUUGCAACAACAAAGUAGAGGACGUCUAACUUGUUUUUUGCAGGGCAUGUUGUGAUGUAAUAUGGUCAAAACGUGAUGCUAUGUUUUAUUGUAUGAGAUGAUCAUGUUUUGUAACCGAAGUUAUCGGCAACUGGCAGGAGCCAUAUGGUUGUCGCUUUAUUGUAUGAAAUGCAAACGCCCUGUAAUUGAUUUACUUUAUCACUAAGAGGUAGCGAUAUUCGUAGAACCAAUAGAUCGCGUAAUGACAAUGAUGCUAUGAUGGAUUUCAAGGUGUCGCGCCGGUGACGAUGGUGAUCACGACAGGUGAUUCGGAGAUGGAGAUCACAAGCACAAGAUGAUGAUGGCCAUAUCAUAUCACUUAUAUUGAUUGCAUGUGAUGUUUAUACUUUAUGCAUCUUAUCUUGCUUUGAUUGACGGUAGCAUUUUAAGAUGAUCUCUCACUAAUUAUCAAGAAAUGUUCUCCCUGAGUAUGCACCAUUGCGAAACUUCUUCGUGCUGAGACACCACGUGAUGAUCGGGUGUGAUAGGCUCUACGUUCAAAUACAACGGGUGCAAAACAGUUGCACACGCAGAAUACUCAGGUUAAACUUGACGAGCCUAGCAUAUACAGAUAUGGCCUUGGAACAUGGAGACCGAAAGGUCGAACGUGAAUCAUAUAGUAGAUAUGAUCAACAUAGUGAUGUUCACCAUUGAAACUACUCCAUCUCACAUGAUGAUCGGACAUGGUUUAGUUAAUUUGGAUCACGUGAUCACUUAGAUGACUAGAGAGAUGUCUUUCUAAGUGGGAGUUCUUAAGUAAUAUGAUUAAUUGAACUUAAAUUUAUCAUGAACUUAGUACCUGAUAGUAUUUUGCUUGUCUAUGUUUGUUGUAGAUAGAUGGUUCGUGUUGUUGUUCCGUUGAAUUUUAAUGCGUUCCUUGAGAAAGCUAAGUUGAAAGAUGAUAAUAGCAAUUACACGGACUGGGUCCGUAACCUGAGGAUUAUCCUCAUUGCUGCAUAGAAGAAUUACAUCCUGGAAGCACCACUGGGUGCCAGGCCUGCUGCAGAUGCAGCUGACGAUGUUAAGAACGUCUGGCAGAGCAAAGCUGAUGACUACUCAAUAGUUCAGUGUGCCAUGCUUUAUGGCUUGGAACCGGGUCUUCAACGACGUUUUGAACGUCAUGGAGCAUAUGAGAUGUUCUAGGAGUUGAAGUUAAUAUUUCAAGCAAAUGCCCGGAUUGAGAGAUAUGAAGUCUCCAAUAAGUUCUAUAGCUAUAAGAUGGAGGAGAAUAGUUCUGUCAAUGAACAUAUACUCAAAAUGUCUGGGUAUAAUAAUCACUUGAUUCAACUGGGAGUUAAUCUUCCUGAUGAUAGUGUCAUUGAUAGAAUUCUUCAAUCACUGCCACCAAGCUACAAGAGCUUCGUGAUGAACUAUAAUAUGCAAGGGAUGGACAAGACUAUUCCCGAGCUCUUCGCAAUGCUAAAGGCUGCGGAGGUAGAAAUCAAGAAGGAGCAUCAAGUGUUGAUGGUCAAUAAGACCACCAGUUUUAAGAAAAAGGGCAAAGGGAAGAAGAAGGGGAACUUCAAGAAGAAUAGCAAACAAGUUGCUGCUCAAGAGAAGAAACCCAAGUCUGGACCUAAGCCUGAGACUGAGUGCUUCUACUACAAACAGACUGGACACUGGAAGUGGAACUGCCCCAAGUAUUUGGCGGAUAAGAAGGAUGGCAAAGUGAACAAAGGUAUAUGUGAUAUACAUGUCAUUGAUGUACUAAUGCUCGCAGUAGCACCUGGGUAUUUGAUACUGGUUCUGUUGCUAAUAUUUGCAACUCAAAACAGGGACUACGGAUUAAGCGAAGAUUAGCUAAGGACGAGGUGAUGAUGCGCGUGGGAAAUGGUUCCAAAGUCGAUGUGAUCGCGGUCGGCACGCUACCUCUACAUCUACCAUCGGGAUUAGUUUUAGACCUAAAUAAUUGAUAUUUGGUGCCAGCAUUGAGCAUGAACAUUAUAUCUGGAUCUUGUUUGAUGCGAGACGGUUAUUCAUUUAAAUCAGAGAAUAAUGGUUGUUCUAUUUAUAUGAGUAAUAUCUUUUAUGGUCAUGCACCCUUGAGGAGUGGUCUAUUUUUAUUGAAUCUCGAUAGUAGUGAUACACAUAUUCAUAAUGUUGAGGCCAAAAGAUGCAGAGUUGAUAAUGAUAGUGCAACUUAUUUGUGGCACUGCCGUUUAGGUCAUAUCAGUGUAAAGCGCAUGAAGAAACUCCAUACUGAUGGACUUUUGGAAUCACUUGAUUAUGAAUCACUUGGUACUUGCGAACCGUGCCUCAUGGGCAAGAUGACUAAAACGCCGUUCUCCGGAACUAUGGAGCGAGCAACUGAUUUAUUGGAAAUCAUACAUACUGAUGUAUGUGGUCCAAUGAAUAUUGAAGCUCGCGGCGGGUAUCGUUAUUUUCUCAGCUUCACAGAUGAUUUGAGCAGAUAUGGGUAUAUCUACUUAAUGAAACACAAGUCUGAAACAUUUGAAAAGUUCAAAGAAUUUCAGAGUGAAGUGGAAAAUCAUCGUAACAAGAAAAUAAAAUUUCAAUGAUCUGAUCGUGGAGGAGAAUAUUUGAGUUACGAGUUUGGUCUACAUUUGAAACAAUGUGGAAUAGUUUCGCAACUCACGCCACCCGGAACACCACAACGAAAUGGUGUGUCCGAAUGUCGUAAUCGUACUUUACUAGAUAUGGUGCGAUCUAUGAUGUCUCUUACUGAUUUACGCAAUCAUUUUGGGGUUAUGCUUUAGAGACGGCCGCAUUCACGUUAAAUAGGGCACCAUCAAAAUCCGUUGAGACGAUGCCUUAUGAACUAUGGUUUGGCAAGAAACCAAAGUUGUCGUUUCUUAAAGUUUGGGGCUGCGAUGCUUAUGUGAAGAAACUUCAACUAGAUAAGCUCGAACCCAAAUCGGAGAAAUGUGUCUUCAUAGGAUACCCAAAAGAGACUAUUGGGUACACCUUCUAUCACAAAUCUGAAGGCAAGAUUUUCGUUGCUAAAUUCAGAUCCUUUCUAGAGAAGGAGUUUCUCUCGAAACAAGUGAGUGGGAGGAAAGUAGAACUUGAUGAGGUAAAUGUACUUGCUCCCUUAUUGGAAAGUAGUUCAUCACAAGAACCAGUUCCUGUGACAACUACACCAAUCAGUGAGGAAGCUAAUGAUAUUGAUCAUGAAACUUCAGAUCAAGUUACUACUGAACCUCGUAGGUCUACCAGAGUAAGAUCCGCACCAGAGUGGUACGUUAAUCCUAUUUUGGAAGUCAUGUUACUUGACCAUGGUGAACCUACGAACUAUGAGGAAGCGAUGAUGAGCCUAGAUUCCGCAAGAUGGCUUGAAGCCAUGAAAUCUGAGAUGGGAUCCAUGUAUGAAAACAAAGUAUGGACUUUGAUUGACUUGCCCGAUGAUCGGCAAGCCAUCGAGAAUAAAUGGAUCUUCUGGAAGAAGACUGACGCUGAUGGUAAUGUAAUUGUCUACAAAGCUUGACUUGUUGCGAAAGGUUUUUGACAAGUUCAAGGGGUUGACUACAAUGAGACUUUCUCACCCAUAGCGAUGCUUAAGUAUGUCCGAAUCAUGUUAGCAAUUGCCACAUUUUAUGAUUAUGAAAUUUGGCAAAUGGAUGUUAAAACUGCAUUCCUGAAUGGAUUUCUGGAAGAAGAGUUGUAUAUGAUGCAACCAGAAGGUUUUGUCGAUUCAAAAGGUGCUAACAAAGUGUGCAAACUCCAGUGAUCCAUUUAUGGACUGGUGCAAGCAUCUCGGAGUUGGAAUAAACACUUUGAUAGUGUGAUAAAAGCAUAUGGUUUUAUACAGACUUUUGGAGAAGCCUGUAUUUACAAGAAAGUGAGUGGGAGCUCUGUAGCGUUUCUGAUAUUAUAUGUAGAUGACAUAUUGUUAAUUGGAAAUGAUAUAGAAUUUCUGGAUAGCAUGAAGGGAUACUUGGAUAAAAGUUUUUCAAUGAAAGACCUCGGUGAAGCUGCUUACAUAUUGGGCAUCAAGAUCUAUAGAGAUAGAUCAAGACGCUUAAUUGGACUUUCAUAAAGCACAUACCUUGAAAAAGUCUUGAAAAAGUUCAAAAUGGAUCAGGCAAAGAAAGGGUUCUUGCCUGUAUUACAAGGUGUGAAGUUGAGUCAGACUCAAUGCCCGACCACAGCAGAAGAUAGAGAGAAAAUGAAAGAUGUUCCCUAUGCUUCAGCCAUUGGCUCUAUCAUGUAUGCAAUGUUGUGUACCAGACCUGAUGUAUGCUUAGCAAUAAGUUUAGCAGGGAGGUACCAAAGUAAUCCAGGAGUGGAUCACUAGACAGCGGUCAAGAACAUCUUGAAAUACCUGAAAGGACUAAGGAUAUGUUUCUCGUUUAUGGAGGUGACAAAGAGCUAGUCAUAAAUGGUUACGUCGAUGCAAGCUUUGACACUGAUCUGGACGAUUCUAAAUCGCAAACCGGAUACGUGUUUUUAUUAAACGGUGGAGCUGUAAGUUGGUGCAGUUCUAAACAAAGCGUCGUGGCGGGAUCUACAUGCGAAGCGGAGUACAUAGCUGCUUCGGGAGCAGCAAAUGAAGGAGUCUGGAUGAACGAGUUCAUUUCCGAUCUAGGUGUCAUACCUAGUGCAUCGGGACCAAUGAAGAUCUUCUGUGACAAUACUGGUGCAAUUGCCUUGGCAAAGGAAUCCAGAUUUCACAAGAGGACCAAGCACAUCAAGAGACGCUUCAAUUCCAUCCGGGACCAAGUCUAGGUGGGAGACAUAGAGAUUUGCAAGAUACAUACGGAUCUGAAUGUUGCAGACCCUUGACUAAGCCUCUUCCACGAGCAAAACAUGAUCAACACCAAGACUCCAUGGGUGUUAGAAUCAUUACUGUGUAAUCUAGAUUAUUGACUCUAGUGCAAGUGGGAGACUGAAGGAAAUAUGCCCUAGAGGCAAUAAUAAAGUUAUUAUUUAUUUCCUCAUAUCAUGAUAAAUGUUUAUUAUUCAUGCUAGAAUUGUAUUUAACCGGAAACAUGAUACAUGUGUGAAUACAUAGACAAACUUAAUGUCACUAGUAUGCCUCUACUUGACUAGCUCAUUAAUCAAAGAUGGUUAUGUUUCCUAACCAUAGACAUGUGUUGUCAUUUGAUUAACGGGAUCACAUCAUUAGGAGAAUGAUGUGAUUGACUAGACCCAUUCCGUUAGCUUAGCAUUUGAUCGUGUAGUAUGUUGCUAUUGCUUUCUUCAUGACUUAUACAAAGUUCCUACAACUAUGAGAUUGUGCAACUCCCGUUUACCGGAGGAACACUUUGUGUGCUACCAAACGUCACAACGUAACUGUGUGAUUAUAAAGGAGCUCUACAGGUGUCUGCAAUGGUACAUGUUGAGUUGGCGUAUUUCGAGAUUAGGUUUUGUCACUCCGAUUAUCGGAGAGGUAUCUCUGGGCCCUCUCGUUAAUGCACAUCACUAUAAGCCUUGCAAGCAAUGUAGCCAAUGAGUUGGUUACGGAAUGAUGCAUUAUGUAACGAGUAAAGAGACUUGCCGGUAACGAGAUUGAACUAGGUAUUGGAUACCGACGAUCGAAUCUCGGGCAAGUAACAUACCGAUGACAAAGGGAACAACAUAUGUUGUUAUGCGGUUUGACCGAUAAAGAUCUUCAUAGAAUACGUAGGAGCCAAUAUGAACAACCAGGUUCCACUAUUGGUUAUUGACCAGAAUCAGUUCUAGGUCAUGUCUACAUAGUUCUCGAACCCGUAGGGUCCGCACGCUUAACGUUACGAUGAUAGUUUUAUUAUGAGUUUAUAAGUUUUGAUGUAUCGAAGGUUGUUCGGAGUCCGUGAUGUGAUCACGGACAUGACGAGGAGUCUCGAAAUGGUCGAGACAUAAAGAUUGAUAUAUUGGACGACUAUAUUCGGACACGGAAGUGUUCCGGGUGUUUUCGGAGAAAACCGGAGUGUCGGAGGGGUUAUCGGAACCCCCCGGGGAAGUAUUGGGCUUUAGUGGGCCUGAGGAGAGAGAGAGGGCAGCAGCCCAGGAGGUGGCACGCCCCCUCCCAUGAGUAGUCCGAAUUGGACUAUGGGAGGGGGGCGUGGCCCCUCUUUCCCUCUCCCUCUCCCUCUCUUUCCUUCCCCCUUCGCUCUUCCUAGUUGGACUAAGAAAGGGGAGUCCUACUCCUACUAGGAGGAGGACUCCCCCCUCCUUGGCGCGCCCCAAGGGCCGGCCGGCCUCCCCCUUGCUCCUUUAUAUAUGGGGGCAGGGGGGCACCUCUAGACACACAAGUUGAUCUUCGUGAUCGUUCCUUAGCCGUGUGCGGUGCCCCCCUCCACCAUAUUCCACCUCGGUCAUAUCGUUGCAGUGCUUAGGCGAAGCCCUGCGUCGGUAGAACAUCAUCAUUGUCACCGCGCCGUCGUGCUGACAGAACUCAUCCCCGACACCCUGCUGGAUCGGAGUCCGGGGAUCGUCAUCAAGCUGAACGUGUGCUGAACUCGGAGGUACCGUACGUUCGGUACUUGGAUCGGUCGGAUCAUGAAGACGUACAACUACAUCAACCACGUUGUCAUAACGCUUCCGCUUACUGUCUACGAGGGUACGUGGACAACACUCUCCCCUCUCGUUGCUAUGCAUCAACAUGAUCCUUGCGUGUGCGUAGGAAUUCUUUUGAAAUUACUACGUUCCCCAACAUCUUUUAGAACAGCAUGGUAUUUUCUAUGAUCAUAAAGUUGGUCCUAGAAUGAUGAGCAUCCAAGUUGGGUAUAAUAAAAACUAUCAUAGAAAGUGAAUUGGAUGCUAUGAUCAAUUUGAUGCUUGAUAAUUGUUUUGAGAUAUGGAGGUAGUGAUAUUAAAGUCAUGCUAGUUGGGUGAUUAUGAAUUUAAAGAAUGCUUGUGUUGAAGUUUGUGAUUCCCGUAGCAUGCACCUAUGGUGAACCGCUUUGUGAUGAAGUUGGAGCACAAUUUUAUUUAUUGACUGUCUUCCUUAUGAGUGGCGGUCGGGGACGAGCGAUGGUUUUUUCCUACCAAUCUAUCCCCCUAGGAGCAUGCGCGUAGUACUUUGGUUUUUGAUGACUUCUAAAUUUUUGCAACAAGUAUUUGAGUUCUUUUGAUUAAUGUUGAGUCCAUGGAUUAUACGCACUCUUUCACCCUUCCACCAUUGCUAGCCUCUCUCGUACCGUGCAACUUUCACCGGUACCAUACACCCACCAUUUACCUUCCUCAAAACAGCCACCAUACCUACAUAUUAUGGCAUUUCCAUAGCCAUUCCGAGAUAUAUUGCCAUGCAACUUUCCACCAUUCCGUUCAUAUGACACGCAUUACUUUUGUCAUAUUGCUUUUUGCAUGAUCAUGUAGUUGACAUUGUAUUUGUGGCUAGGCCACCUUCAUAAUUUUCAUACAUGUCGCUCUUGAUUCAUUGCAUAUCCCGGUACACCGCCGGAGGCAUUCAUAUAGAGUCAUAUCUUGUUCUAGCUUUGAGUUGUAAAUCCAUAAAAGUGUGAUGAUCUUCAUUAUUAGAGCAUUGUCCUAGUGAGCAAAGGAUGAUGAAGACUAUGAUUCCCCCACAAGUCGGGAUGAGACUUCGGACUUUACAAAAAGAAAGAAAAAAGAAAAGGCCAAAGAGAAAAAAAGAGAGAAGGCCAAAGAAAAGAAAAAAGAAAAAAAGGAAAAGAAAAAAAAUAAAAAAUGAGAGAAAAAGAGAGAAGGGACAAUGCUACUAUCUCUUUUUCCACACUUGUGCUUCAAAAUAGCACCAUGAUCUUCAUGUUAGAGAGUCUCAUAUGUUGUCACUUUCAUAUACUAGUGGGAAUUUUUCAUUAUAGAACUUGGCUUGUAUAUUCCAAUGAUGGGCUUCCUCAAAAUGCCCUAGGUCUUCGUGAGAAAGCAAGUUGGAUGCACCCCACUUAGUUUCUUUUGUUGAGCUUUCAUAUAUUUAUAGCUCUAGUGCAUCCGUUGCAUGGCAAUCCCUACUCACUCACAUUGAUAUCUAUUAAUGGGCAUCUCCAUAGCCCGUUGAUAUGCCUAGUUGAUGUGAGACUAUCUUCUCCUUUUUUGUCUUCUCCACAACCACCAUUAUAUUCCACAUAUAAUGCUAUGUCCAUGGCUCACGCUCGUGUAUAGCGUGAAAGUUGAAAAAGUUUGAGAUUAUUAAAGUAUGAAACAAUUGCUUGGCUUGUCAUUGGGUUGUGCAUGAUUAAAUACUUUGUGUGAUGAAGAUAGAGCAACAGCCAGACUAUAUGAUUUUGUAGGGAUAACUUUCUUUAGCCAUGUUAUUUUGAGAAGACAUGAUUGCUUUGAUUAGUAUGCUUAAAGUAUUACUAUUUCUUAUGUCAAUAUGAACUUUUAUUUUGUAUUCAUUUGGAUCUGAACAUUCAUGCCACAAUAAAGAAAAUUACAUUAUGAAUUAUGCUAGGUAGCAUUCCACAUCAAAAAUUCUCUUUUUAUCAUUUACCUACUCGAGGACGAGCAGGAAUUAAGCUUGGGGAUGCUUGAUAUGUCUCCAACGUAUCUAUAAUUUUUUAUUGUUCCAUGCUAUCAUAUUACCCCUUUUGGAUGUUUAUGGGCUUUAUUUUACACAUUUAUAUCAUUUUUGGGACUAACCUACUAACCGGAGGCCCAGCCCAUAUUGUUGUUUUUUGCCUAUUUCAGUAUUUUGAAGAAAAGGAAUAUCAAACGGAGUCCAAAUGGAAUGAAACCUUUGGGAGCGUGAUUUUUGGAACGAAUGUGAUCCGGAGAGCUUGGAGUGCAAGUCAAGAAGCUUCCGAGGGCCCCACGAGAUAGGGCCCCCCUGUAGGGCGCGCCCCUUGUCUCGUGGGACCCUCAGGCGGCCACCGACGUACUUCUUCCUCCUAUAUAUACCUACGUAACCCGAAAACAUCCAGGAGCAGCACGAAACACAAUUUCCACCGCUGUAACCUUAUGUAUCCGCGAGAUCCCAUCUUGGAGCCUUCGCCGGCACUCUGCCGGAGGGGGAAUCAACCAUGGAGGGCCUCUACAUCAACAUCCUUUCCCCUCCGAUGAGUUGUGAGUAGUUUACCAUAGACCUACGGGUCCAUAGUUAUUAGCUAGAUGGCUUCUUCUCUCUUUUUGGAUCUCAAUACAAUGUUCUCCCCCUCUCUUGUGGAGAUCUAUUCGAUCUAAACUCUUUUUGCGGUGUGUUUGUCGAGAUCCGAUGAAUUGUGGAUUUAUGAUCAAGUUUAUCUAUGAAUAAUAUUUGAAUCUUCUCUGAAUUCUUUUAUGUAUGAUUGAGUUAUCUUUGCAAGUCUCUUCGAAUUAUCAGUUUGGUUUAACCUACUAGAUUGGUCUUUCUUGCCAUGGGAGAAGUGAUUAGCUUUGGGUUCAAUCUUGCGGUGUCCUUACCCUGUGACAGAAAGGGUUGCAAUGCACGUAUUGUAUUGUUGCCAUCGAGGAUAAAAAGAUGGGGUUUAUAUCAUAUUGCAUGAGUUUAUCCCUCUACAUCAUGUCAUCUUGCGUAAUGCGUUCCUCUGUUCUUAUGAAUUUAAUACUCUAGAUGCUGACAGGAGUCGGUCGAUGCGUGGAGUAAUAGUAGUAGAUGCAGGAAGGAGUCGGUCUACUUGUUAUGGACGUGAUGCCUAUAUACAUGAUCAUGCCUAGAUAAUCUCAUAACUAUGCACUUUUCUAUCAAUUGCUUGACGGUAAUUUGUUCACCCACCGUAAUACUUAUGCUAUCUUGAGAGAAGCCACUAGUGAAACCUAUGCCCCCCGGGUCUAUCUCUUAUCAUAUUUGCUUUCAAUCUAAUUUUAUUUGCAUCUUUACUUUUUGCAUCUAUAUUAUAAAAUACCAAAAAUAUAUUUAUCUUAUCAUACUAUCUUUAUCAGAUCUCACUUUCGCAAGUUGCCGUGAAGGGAUUGACACCACCUUUAUUGCGUUGGUUGCGAGUUCUCAGUUUGUUUGUGUAGGUGCGUGGGACUUUUGAGGAGCCUCCUACUGGAUUGAUACCUUGGUUCUCAAAACUGAGGGAAAUACUUACGCUACACUUGCUGCAUCACCCUCUCCUCUUCGAGGAAAACCAACGCAAGCUCAAAAUGUAGUAGGGCCUCUCUAGCGCGUUGCCAUGGCAGCUGAGGGUGGCUCUUCGCCACAUCUGGGAAGGAAGACCGAGAUUGAUAUGGAAAAGAUGCUCAAGAACAUGGAUUUGCUUGAGGAGGAAUACUCCUUGACGAAGAAUUAGGCGACUUUGUCAUCAGGAAGGUUGAUGCACAGAAGUUCGUAGAAGAGCUCGUGAGCUACAUGAUACGUCUCCAACGUAUCUAUAAUAUUUGAUUGUUCCAUGCUAUUAUAUUACCCGUUUUGGAUGUUUAUGGGAUUUACUUUACACUUUUAUAUCAUUUUUGGGACUAACCUACUAACCGGAGGCCCAGCCCGAAUUGCUGUUUUUUUGCCUAUUUCAGUGUUUCGAAGAAAAGGAAUAUCAAACAUAGUCCAAAUGGAAUGAAACCUUCGGGAGCGAUCUUUUUGGAACAAACAUGAUCCAAAGGACUUGGAGUGGAAGUCAAGAAACAAAGGAGGCGGCCACGAGGGUGCCCGACACUCCCCCUACAGGUGGGCACGCCCCCCACCCUCGUGAGCCCCUCGAGCGUCCACCGACCUACUUCUUCCUCCUAUAUAUACCCAUGUCCCCGAAAACAUCAUAAGCGACCAUGAAAACCUAUUUCCACCGUCAUAACCUUAUGUAUCCGCGAGAUCCCAUCUUGGAGCCUUCACCGGCGCUCCGCCGGAGGGGGAAUCAACCACGGAGGGCCUCUACAUCAUCUCCAAGGCCUCUCUGAUGAGUUGUGAGUAGUUUACCAUAGACCUUCAGGUCCAUAGUUAUUAGCUAGAUGGCUUCUUCUCUCUCUUUGAAUCUCAAUACAAAGUUCUCCUUGAUCUUCUUGGAGAUCUAUACGAUGUAAUUCUUUUUGCAGUGUGUUUGUCGAGAUCCGACGAAUUGUGGGUUUAUGAUAAGUUUAUCUAUGAGAAAUAUUUGAAUCUCCUCUGAAUUCUUUUAUGUGUGAUUAAGUUAUCUUUGCAAGUCUCUUCGAAUUAUUAGUUUGGUUUGGCCUACUAGAUUGAUCUCUCUUGCAAUGGGAGAAGUGCUUAGCUUUGGGUUCAAACUUGCGGUGUCCUUUCCCAGUGACAACAAGGGCAGCAAGGCACGUAUUGUAUUGUUGCCAUCGAGGAUAAAUAGAUGGGGUUUAUAUCGUAUUGCAUGAAUUUAUCCCUCUACAUCAUGUCAUCUUUCUUAAUGCGUUACUCUGUUCUUUAUGAACUUAAUACUCUAGAUGCAUGCUGGAUAGCGGUCGAUGUGUGGAGCAAUAGUAGUAGAUGCAGGGAGGAGUCGGUCUACUUGUCACGGACGUGAUGCCUAUAUACAUGAUCAUGCCUAGAUAAUCUCAUAAUUAUUUUCUUUUCUAUCAAUUGCUCGACAGUAAUUUGUUCACCCACCGUAAUACUUAUGCUAUCUUGAGAAAAGCCACUAGUGAAACCUAUGGCCCCCGGAUCUAUAUCUUAUCAUAUAAGCUUUCAAUCUACUUUUAUUGACAACCCCUUUAUUGCGUUGGUUGCGAGUUCUUGUUUGUUUGUGUAGGUGCGUGGGACUUCUUAGGAGCCUCCUACUGGAUUGAUACCUUGGUUCUCAAAAACUGAGGGAAAUACUUACACUACUAUUGCUGCAUCACCCUUUCCUCUUCAAGGAAAACCAAUGCAAGCUCAAGACGUAGCAAGAAUGAUUUCUGGCGCCGUUGCCGGGGAGGUCUUCGCUCAAGUCAAGACAUACCAAGUACCCAUCAUAAACUCAUCUCCCUCGCACUUACAGUAUUUUCCAUUUGCCUCUCGUUUUCCUCUCCCCCACUUCACCUUUGCCGUUUUAUUCACCCUCUCUUUCCCAAUCUCCUCUUUCUUUCGCUUGCCUUUUGUGUACUCGUCGUUAUGGCUAGUCCCUUAUCUGCUCCUAUGUCUCCCAAGUUUGAAGUUCUUCACUUUAAGCAAAGGCAAGGAGAAAACUUAAAAUAUGCUUGGUAUAGGAUGAUGGAAUCUUAUCAUAACUGCACCCUAGAGGUGAGUUUUAGAAUUCUACUUUGCAAUUUUUAUGUUGGGUUAAAUAUGUCUCAUAGACAACUCUUGGAUUGCAUUGCCAAGGGAAAUUUUAUUGAAAUUCAUCCCAGUAUUGCAGAUGAAUUAUAGAGGGAAUAGUGGGAACACUACCCCAAAAGGGGGGGCCACAUCCUACCCAAGAAGAAACACAAGUGUUUGAAAAGAUUUGCGAAGUAACAAAAAUCUUAAAAAAGUCUCUUGAACCUCUUAAGAGUGUUAGCGGAAAUCUUCACCGCAUGAAUAUGUUGAUUACUCUUUGCAAUAAGCGGUUGGAUUCUUUAGAUCUAAAAAUUUCCGAGCAUGAAGGGAAACGUAAAGAACCUCCCGGAUUCGAGCAUGACUCCGCUAAAAAACUGAAAAUUAAAGAUGGCACUACUUAGAUCUAUUCUCGCUUUUAUGCCUAGCUAGGGGCAUUAAACGAUAGCGCUAGUUGGGAGGCAACCCAAUUUUUUUUUUGUUUUUGCUUCUGUUUAGCAAUAAAUUUUGCAUCUACCUUCUGUUUAGAUGUGUUUUCAUGUUUUACUUAGUGUUUGUGCCAAGUAGAACCUAUAGGAUAACCUAUUGUGAUAGUUAAUUUGAUUCUGCUGAAAAAUAGAAACUUUGCACGCACAAAAAUAAUUUUAUUAAUUCACAGAAACGUGCUUUAGCGUUGAUUAUUUUUGCUGUAGAUCAACAUACAAAUUGCCCAGGACUUCCUAUUUUGGUAGGAAUUUUAGAGUUACAUAAGUAUUCGAGAGUUACAGAUUCCUACAGACUGUUCUGUGUUUGACAGAUUCUGUUUUUCGUGUGUUGUUUGCUUAUUUUGAUGCAUCUAUGGCUAGUAUGUAUGGGUGUGAACCAUAGAGAAGUUGGAAUACAGUAGGUUUAACACCAAUAUAAAUAAAGAAUGAGUUCACUACAGUACCUUAUGUGGUGAUUUUUCUUUCUUGCACUAACGGAGCUUAUGAGAUUUCCUGUUGAGUUUUGUGUUGUGAAGUUUUCAAGUUUUGGGUAAAGAUUUGAUGGAUUCUGGAAUAAGGAGUGGCAAGAGCCUAAGCUUGGGUAUGCCCAUGGCACCCCAAUAUAUUCAAGGAUAACCAAAAGCCUAAGCUUGGGGAUGCCCCAGAAGGAAACCCCUCUUUCGUCUUCAUCUAUCGGUAACUUUACUUGGAGCUAUAUUUUUAUUCGCCACAUGAUAUGUGUUUUGCUUGGAGCGUCUUGUAUGAUAUUAGUCCUUGAAUUUUAGUUUACCACAAUAAUCCUUGCUGUACACACCUUUUGGGAGAAACCCACUUGAUUGGAAUUUAUUAGAAUACUCUAUGUGCUUCACUUAUAUCUUUUGAGCUAGAUAGUUUUUGCUCUAGUGCUUCACUUAUAUCUUUUAGAGCACGGCGGUGGCUUUAUUUUGUAGAAAUUGUUAUUCUCUCAUUCUUAACUUAUAUUAUUUUGAUAGUAUCUUAGAACAGCAUGGUAUUGCUAUGGUUAUAAAAUUGGUCCUAGAAUGAUGGGCAUCGAAGUUGGGUAUAAUAAAAACUAUCAUGGGAAGUGAAUUGGAUGCUAUGAUCAAUUUGAUACUUGAUAAUUGUUUUGAGAUAUGGAGGUAGUGAUAUUAGAGUCAUGCUAGUUGGGUGAUUAUGAAUUUAAAGAAUGCUUGUGUUGAAGUUGGCAAUUCCCGUAGCAUGCACGUAUGGUAAAAGUUGUGUAACAAAUUUGAAACAUGAGGUGUUCUUAGAUUUUGCAUCCUUAUGAGUGGCGGUCGGGGAUGAGCGAUGGUCUUUUCCUACCAAUCUAUCCCCCUAGGUGCAUGCGCGUAGUGCUUGGUUUUUGAUGACUUGUAGAUUUUUGCAAUAAGUAUAUGAGUUCUUUUUGACUAAUGUUGAGUCAUUGCUAGCCUCUUCGUUACCGUGCAUUGCCCUUUCUCACCUUGAGAGUUGGUGCAAACUGCGCUGGUGCAUCCAAACCCCGUGAUACAAUACAAUCUAUCACACAUAAACCUGCUUAUAUCUUCCUCAAAACAGCCACCAUACCUACCUAUUAUGGCAUUUCCAUAGCCAUUCCGAGAUAUAUUGCCAUGCAACUUUCCACCGUUCCAUUCAUCAUCAUGACACACAUCAUCAUUGUCAUAUUGCCUUGCAUGAUCAUGUAGUUGACAUCGUAUUUGUGGCAAAGCCACCAUGCAUAAUUUUUCAUACAUGUCACUCUUGAUUCAUUGCCCAUCCCGGAACACCGCCGGAGGCAUUCACAUAGAGUCAUAUCUUGUUCUAGUAUUGAGUUGUAAUUCAUGAGUUGUAAAUAAAUAGAAGUGUGAUGAUCAUCAUUAUUAGAGCAUUGUCCCCAAAUAAAAAAAAGAAAGGCAAAAAAAGAAAGGCCAAAUAAAAAAAGGCCAAAUAAAAAAUACCCAAAAAAUAUAUAAAAUAAAAAAGGGGCAAUGUUACUAUCUUUUUUCCACACUUGUGCUUCAAAGUAGCACCAUGUUCUUCAUAUAGAGAGUCUCAUAUGUUGUCACUUUCAUAUACUAGUGGGAAUUUUUCAUUAUAGAACUUGGCUUGUAUAUUCCUACAAUGGGCUUCCUCAAAUGCCCUAGGUCUACGUGAGCAAGCAAGUUGGAUGCACACCCACUAGUUUCUUUUGUUGAGCUUUCAUACAUUUAUAGCUCUAGUGCAUCCGUUGCAUGGCAAUCCCUACUCCUCAUGUUGACAUCAAUUGAUGGGCAUCUCCAUAGCCUGCUGAUUAUCCUCGUCAAUGUGAGACUUUCUCCUUUUUUGUCUUCUCCACACAACCCCCAUCAUCAUAUUCUAUUCCACCCAUAGUGCUAUAUCCAUGGCUCACGCUCAUGUAUUGCGUGAAAGUUGAAAAAGUUUGAGAUUAUUUAAGUACGAAACAAUUGCUUGGCUUGUCAUCGGGGGUGUGCAAGAUGGGAGCAUUUUUGUGUGACGAAAAUGAAGCAUGACCUAACUAUAUGAUUUUGUAGGGAUGAACUUUCUUUAGCCGUGUUGUUUUGAGAAGACAUGAUUGCUUUGAUUAGUAUGCUUGAAGUAUUACUAUUUCUUAUGUCAAUAUGAACUUUUAUUUUGAAUCAUUUGGAUCUGAACAUUCAUGCCACAAUAAAGAAAAUUACAUUGAGAAUUAUGCUAGGUAGUAUUCCACAUCAAAACUUCUGUUUUUAUCAUUUACCUACUCGAGGACGAGCAGGAAUUAAGCUUGGGGAUGCUUGAUACGUCUCCAACGUAUCUAUAAUUUUUGAUUGUUCCAUGCUAUUAUAUUACCCAUUUUGGAUGUUUAUGGGCUUUACUUUACACUUCUAUAUCAUUUUUGGGACUAACCUACUAACCGGAGGCCCAGCCCGAAUUGAUGUUUUUUGCCUAUUUUAGUGUUUCGAAGAAAAGGAAUAUCAAACGGAGUCCAAACGGAAUGAAACCUUCGGGAGCAAUCUUUUUGGAACAAACGUGAUCCAGAGGACUUGGAGUGGAAGUCAAGAAACAAAGGAGGCGGCCACGAGGGUGCCUGGCGCGCCCCCUACGGGUGGGCGCGGCCCCCACCCUCGUGGGCCCCUCAAGCAUCCACCGACCUACUUCUUCCUCCUAUAUAUACCCAUGUAUCCCAAAAACAUCAGAAGCGACCACGAAAACCUAUUUCCACCGUCAUAACCUUAUGUAUCCGCGAGAUCCCAUCUUGGAGCCUUCGGCGGCGCUCUAUCGGAGGGGGAAUCGACCAUGGAGGGCCUCUACAUCAUCUCCAAGGCCUCUCCGAUGAGUUGUGAGUAUUUUACCACAGACCUUCGGGUCCAUAGUUAUUAGCUAGAUGGCUUCUUCUCUCUCUUUGAAUCUCAAUACAAAGUUCUCCUUGAUCUUCUUGGAGAUCUAUUCGAUGUAACUCUUUUUGCGGUGUGUUUGUCGAGAUCCGAUGAAUUGUGGGUUUAUGAUAAGUUUAUCUAUGAGAAAUAUUUGAAUCUCCUCUGAAUUCUUUUAUGUGUGAUUAAGUUAUCUUUGCAAGUCUCUUCGAAUUAUCAAUUUGGUUUGGCCUACUAGAUUGAUCUUUCUUGCAAUGGGAGAAGUGCUUAGCUUUGGGUUCAAUCUUGCGGUGUCCUUUCGUAGUGAUAGCAAGGGCAGCAAGGCACGUACUGUAUUGUUGCCAUCGAGGAUAAAAGAUGGGGUUUAUAUCUUAUUGCAUGAGUUUAUCCCUCUACAUCAUGUCAUCUUUCUUAAUGUGUUACUCUGUUCUUUAUGAACUUAAUACUCUAGAUGCAUGCUGGAUAGCGGUCGAUGUGUGGAGUAAUAGUAGUAGAUGCAGGCAGGAGUCGGUCUACUUGUCACGGACGUGAUGCCUAUAUACAUGAUCAUGCCUAGAUAAUCUCAUAAUUAUUCGCUUUUCUAUCAAUUGCUCGACAGUAAUUUGUUCACCCACCAUAAUACUUAUGCUAUCUUGAGAGAAGCCACUAGUGAAACCUAUGGCCCCCGGGUCUAUAUCUUAUCAUAUAAGCUUUCAAUCUACUUUUAUUUGCAUCUUUAGUUUUCCAGUCUAUAUCAUAAAAUGCCAAAAAUAUAUUUAUCUUAUCAUAUUAUCUCUAUUAGAUCUCACUUUCGCAAGUGGCCGUGAAGGGAUUGACAACCCCUUUAUUGCGUUGGUUGUGAGUUCUUGUUUGUUUGUGUAGGUGCGUGGGACUUCUGAGGAGCCUCCUACUGGAUUGAUACCUUGGUUCUCAAAAACUGAGGGAAAUACUUAUGCUACUAUUGCUGUAUCACCCUUUCCUCUUCAAGGAAAAUCAAUGCAAGCUCAAGACGUAGCACUACAUAAGACUACAUGGGCGCAUGGGCUGGCACUCGAAUGGGUAGAAUCGAGGGGCACACUUGCAGGUCACUGGGGGAGUGCCUAGCCCAUGAAAAGCAAAAAUGUCAGGAACAACAUAAGUGUCAGGAAAAAGGGGGGCUAUCUCCCCGCCGCCAAGGGGUGUUGUCGGUGUCAAAACCGGCGGAUCUCGGGUAGGGGAUCCCGAACUGUGCGUCUAAGGUCGAUGGUAACAGGAGAUAGGGGACAUGAUGUUUACCCAGGUUCGGUCCCUCUCUAUGGAGGUAAUACCCUACUUCCUGCUUGAUUGAUCUUGAUGAAUAUGAGUAUUACAAGAGUUGAUCUACCUCGAGAUCGUAUGUUGUGGUCUAAACCCUAUAGGUAUGAUGAGUAAUGUCAUGAUGAUCUAUCGACUAGCCUGGCCUCUGCUUAUAUAAUGUACCAGAGGCCUAGGAUAACAAGAGUCCUAGUCGAAUACGUCGGUGGAGAGGAGUCCUUGUCUUGAUCACCAAGUCUUGUGGAAUCUUCCUCGUGUAUACAUCGGCUGUCCGAACUGGCCCAUGAGCAAACGGCCAUGGGGGUCCUCGGCCCAGUCCAACUGAUCAGGAGAUGAUGUGGUGAGUACCCCCUAGUCCAGGACACCGUCAGUAGCCCCCUGAACCGGUCUUCAAGUUGGGGACGCUCCUCGAUCCUUCCGAACUGUUCUUCAUCUUUGGUCGCUGGUCUUGAAAAUUGGUUCAACAAAUCUUCUCAUCUUCGAUCUUGAGUGUCGCCGAAGUAAAUCCGAAGAGUUUACACAUCGGGUAUCCGAGGAGCCCCUUUAAGUUUCCGGCCUUUAUCAAUGGCUUGUUAUUUUUAUGCCACACCUCGGGUUUGAAGUUGCUCCCGGGCGGUAGUGUCCCCUUGCGUCCGAGCUCCAACGCCGAACUGUAUUCGAGGUAUCUUAUGCAGCCGAGCACCAACGCCGGACCGCUUUCGAGCUCCAACGUCGGAGUGUAUCCGAGCUCCAAUGCCAGACUAUGUCCAAGCUCCAACAUCGGACUAUAUCCGAGGUGUCAUAGAUCACCUUGGUUCAAAAAAGUUGAAGGAGUUUAGCCGAGCUUAAUGCCGGAAAUGCCCUCUAUGGAGCCAGCCACUGGCGUCCAAGCUUUAUGCCGGACUACUUCUCUGCCGAGAUAUAUAGCCAGUAGCCCUCAAGGUGUGUAUCGGUCUAAAACCCGAGAUGCACCUGAAGGAUGACAUAAGACCGCUGAUCCCAGUAGCCCCUGAGACUCAGGUUGAUUCGCAAAAUCGACCUGAGAUCAACUCGUAGCUUGGCAGAAUACUUCGGGACACAAAAGGCGAUGUGCAAAGUCCUCGAGACUCAGGUUGGGUGCGGCCGACCAACGUGAGGAUCAUAAUCUCCUCGAAAACUAUAAUGCACUUAAAUUUUCUGCACUGGAUUGCCAAUGCAGUAGCCCCCAAGACACUGGUCGGGUGGCAACACCAGAUCAGGGGAUCGAUGUGCCCCUUUAAUAUUAGUUAAUAAUGAGCACAAAGCCCAGUAGCCCCCGAGCCUUAAUGUGGGCACGGGUGGCCAAAUUAGGGAUCGAUAUUCGUUUGAUAGAAAAAAUAGGUUGUGUUUAACACAUACUUCUCAAAAAGAGAAUAAAGAUCUCUUAAAGGAGCUAGAGCCAGCGAAAGCUGGGCUUGUCAAGGUUGGCCCCAAGGGGCUUAAUAGAUAGGAAAUUGAUGCCACUUGGGAUUUAGGAGAGCUUUAUGUAAGUUGCUCGGUUGUCUCAGCGAGAUUGUGCCCCUUGGUCUUUAAAAUAUGGGCUGCAAUAAAUCGACUUUACUCGCAUUUUAUGAUCCUAUGUAUCCAAGUAUUUUACAUCAUUAAUGCUCGGAUUCGCAUUGUACAAAACUUUGUUGACCAACCAUCGGCUUCAACCUCCUCGACCGGCAGUCGGGGAGUGUUUUUCCUUCUUUAUAAAACCUUUAUAAGAGCAAAGAUUUACGACAAACAAGGCAAUCCGGUCAUACGGUUUUAUAAACAAAGGUACGCGGAGAGAUAUGUUAUAUUACUUUUUAAUGUAAGAAACAUCUUCCAAGGAGAAUAGUCCCGCUAUCGGUUCCUUUCUUUGGAUUUUCAUGCUGAUCAUGACCAUGAAACCUCAGCUCCGAUCAAUGUGGGAGCAAAAUAUUGAGGAUUUAGUUUGGGGAAAGUUCCCGAACUAUGUGGUCUUUAGUGAACCUAAUUUUUCACUUCCGUCGUUGCCGACCAAUUAUAUCCUUUAAGAUGGCUAGCUUUCGGCUUCACCCAGUCUGAGGUACUAACCCGGAUGACCCGGUAGUAACAAUCACAGAGGUGCUCCCUUUAUUGCCUAGCCGAACAAUCGGGAACGUAGGGGUAAGCACAGGUUCCAGGCAACCCAGGUUGGCCAAAAUCUCAAGUCAAAUUGAUGCAUAUUUACGGCUUUAUAACAAUGAUUACGGAAGGCAGCCCUCGGAAUACAAAUGCCGAUGAUAUAUUUAUUUUGACUCCGUUGCGACCGUUUAUCAGUUGAAAGUGGCCCAUCGUCGGCUUCCACCCCCUUGUAGAUGCUACAGGGUGUUUCUGUAAUAACAAAACAACCCUUAACCGACGUCUCGGUGCCCGAAGGAGGUUGUGUUAGCGGAAAUGAGGCAAUCAGAUAUGCGGGCUUUAUAACUUUCACUUAGUCAUAGGAGCUUUAAACUGGGGAAGCUAGCUAUGAGCCCCCGGUUAGUGUUCGGCGACAGCCGAGGUCAAGCUGUAAACACUUAGGCCAAUGUUAUGAACAACCCAUCAUUUAACAUGGGGUGGCCUCUAUCGAUCUUAUAGUAUAACAUGGUCAUCGGAUUGUUGACCAGUUUGUGCUUAUUGUGACAGUCAGUUUUCGGCUUUCUCCACUGAGGUGCUUUAACCAUGCUAGCUGGAAGCACAAUCCCAAUGGUUUUCCCUUUGCACACCUAGCCGAAUAAAGCGGAACGUAGGAGGCAAGCACGGGAGCCGGGCAACCCAACUAUUGACCGAAGUCAUAAUUCGAAACCGAUGCAUAUAUAGUAAUAUCCGAGAAUUUUUUGCCGAAUCUCUAAAGGUGUCCGGAGUUGCACUGCGAGACUUAUGCUGGAAACACACAAAUAGUAUAAAAGUGCCAUAGGCUUGGAAAACCAAAAAACUGCAGUAAAAACCUGACGUCUGAACUAGAUAAAGUGUUUAGUGUCAAUCCGAAAAUUGGAAAAGAAAAUUGUGCUUCUUUCGUGCUUUAACAUGACACAUCUGAUCUCAAGACUUCAAGCGGGUCAGCCUACGGCUUCAAGCUCCUUAUCCCAAAGGCGGAGUACUUCUCUGAGGCCAGUUUAGUGAACUAAACUCGAGUGGCUUUUAUAGAGAAGACAGGCUAUCCGGCUAUUGACCAUACACUCGAGUCAAAAAAAGAGUGAUAGAAAAAGACUUUGCAACGACUAAGAAGAACACUUAUUAUAAAACAGCUCAUACUAAUUUAAGAGCCCCCAAGUGACUUGGGUAAAAGAAUUUUAUGUAUAAUGAUUAUUGUAUAUACCGAAGUACUUAUAUCAUAUUUGUGUUCACCCGAACUUUAAACGCGUCUUAACCGACCGUCGUCUUCUCCCUCUUCGGUCAAGGGCCGAAAAGUAUUAUGUACUCCACCUGUCGAGAAUAUCGACGGUGUUUCCGAUAACCAGGCAAUCAGGCCAUAAGUCUGUAACAGACAAAGCGCGCUCAGAGAACUUAUGCUAUAUUACUGUCGAAGUGUAAGAAGCAUCUUCGAAGAAAAUAGUACCCCCACCGAUACCUUUCUUCGGUUUCUCAUUGUUACUAUGAUACUUGUGCAAUAGAUGUUUUGUACUCAUGAGUUCCAUUGUGUGCCGACCAUGAUUGAAAACAAUAAGAGCACUAGCUUUCGACUUCACCUAGUCUGAGGUUCGAGCUCGGAUGACCCGAUCGUGACAAUCGCAGAGGUGCUCCCUUUACUCCCUAGCCGAACAAUCGGGAACGUAGGGGUAAACACAGGAGCAAGGCAACCCAGCUUGCGGAACACUUAAGUCAACAUGGUGCAUAUUGUGGCGUAAUACACGAACAAGGAGCGAAGCCAUACAAGUAUAAUCAUAUGCAAGAGGAAAGGCUUCAUAAAGGAAGCCCCCAAAUAAAUGGGGUAUUUGAAUUCGUGCGACACCAAACAAAGUUUCGACAAGGAAGUUUUUCACAAACAACUUUUUGCCACAAAAAAUAUAAUGCUUGGUCGAACCGAACACAAGUUAAAAAUUUAAAACUUUGAGCAUGAAAGCGACUUAGCUGGUUAAUGUGUUCGGCAUUGAUGACAUGGUCCGAGCUUGAUGCGGGACAAGGUUCCAUCCCUCAAGCUGGUCUCGAGGUGAAGGAGCAAAGAGCUCGGCACUUGAUACGUCUCCAAUGUAUCUAUAAUUUUUGAUUGUUCCAUGCUAUUAUAUUACCCCAUUUUGGAUGUUUAUGGGCUUUAUUUUACACUUUUAUAUCAUUUUUGGGACUAACCUACUAACCGGAGGCCCAGCCCAUAUUGAUGUUUUAUUGCCUGUUUCAGUUUUUCGAAGAAAAGGAAUAUCAAACGGAGUCCAAACGGAAUGGAACCUUUGGCAUCGUGAUUUUUUGGAAGAAUAUCAUCCUGGAGGCUUGGAGAUCAAGUCAGAAGAUACUCGAGGAGCCCAGGAGAUAGGGGCGCCCCCCCCCCUACAAGGCGCGGCCCCCUGUCUCGUGGACCCCUCGAGCACCCCCCGACCGACUUCUUUCGCCUAUAUAACCUUACGUACCCUAAAACCAUCAGAAAUCAAGAUAGAUCGGGAGUUCCGCCGCUGCAAGCCUCUGUAGCCACCAAAAACCUCUCGGGAGUCUGUUCCGGCACCCUGCCGGAGGGGGAACCCAUCACCGGUGGCCAUCUUCAUCAUCCCAGCGCUAUCCAUGAUGAGGAGGGAGUAGUUCACCCUCGGGGCUGAGGGUAUGUACUAGUAGCUAUGUGUUUGAUCUCUCUCUCUCUCUCUCGUGUUCUCUCUAUGGCACGAUCUUGAUGUAUCGCGAGCUUUGCUAUUAUAGUUGGAUCUUAUGAUGUUUCUCCCCCUCUACUCUCUUGUGAUGAAUUGAGUUUCCCUCUUGAAGUUAUCUUAUCGGAUUGAGUCUUUACUUUGAGAACACUUGAUGUAUGUCUUGCCUUGUUUAUCUGUGGUGACAAUGGGAUAUCACGUGCCACUUGAUGUAUGUUUUGGUGACCAACUUGCGGGUUCCGCCCAUGAACCUAUGCAUAGGGGUUGGCACACGUUCUUGACUCUCCGGUAGAAACUUUGGGGCACUCUUUGAAGUACUUUGUGUUGGUUGGAUGAAUCUGAGAUUGUGUGAUGCAUAUCUUUUAAUCAUGCCCACGGAUACUUGAGGUGACAAUGGAGUAUCUAGGUGACAUUAGGGUUUUGGUUGAUUUGUGUCUUAAGGUGUUAUUCUAGUACGAACUCUUCUAUAGAUCGAACCGAAAGAAUAACUUUGAGGUGGUUUCGUACCCUACCAUAAUCUCUACGUUUGUUCUCCGCUAUUAGUGGCUUUGGAGUGACUCUUUGUUGCAUGUUGAGGGAUUGUUAUAUGAUCUAUCUAUGUUAUUAUUGUUGAGAGAACUUGCACUAGUGAAAGUAUGAACCCUAGGCCUUGUUUCCUAUCAUUGCAAUACCGUUUACACUCACUUAUAUCAUUAGUUACCAUACUGUUUUUAUAAUUUCAGAUUACAAAUACCUUUAUCUACCAUCCAUAUUGCACUUGUAUCACCAUCUCUUCGCCGAACUAGUGCACCUAUACAAUUUGCCAUUGUAUUGGGUGUGUUGGGGACACAAGAGACUCUUUGUUAUUUGGUUGCAGGGUUGUUUGAGAGAGACCAUCUUCAUCCUAUGCCUCCCACGGAUUGAUAAACCUUAGGACAUCCACUUGAGGGAAAUUUUCUACUGUCCUACAAACCUAUGCACUUGCAGGCCCAACAAUGUCUACAAGAAGAAGGUUGUGUAGUAGACAUCAAGCUCUUUUCUGGCACCGUUGCCGGGGAGGCUAGGUAAGCGGCACUCACUCACACCCCGUCAACUAAGCUCUUUUCUGGCACCGUUGCCGGGGAGGUGAGUGCUUGAAGGUAUAUCUUUAGAUCUUGCAAUCAAAUCUUUUUGUUUCUUGUUUUAUCACUAGUUUAGUUUAUAAAAGAAAACUACAAAAAAAUGGAAUUGAGUUUGUCUCAUACGCUUCAUCUUUUUAAUAUCUUUCGUGAGUUUGAUGGGAAGGAAAAUUGUGCUCAAGUGCUAGAAGAAGAAUGCUUUAAAAUGCUUGGUACUAAAUCUUUGAAUGAUGAGCAUGAUUGCAAUGUUGUUAGUAUAAACUCCUAGAAUAUCCUUAGUACUAAUGAUGAUUGCUCUAGUCAUGAUGAAAAUAUAUCUUAUGAGCAUGUCAACUUUUGUGGAGUGCAUGUUUGCAUGAACACACCAAAUAAAGAAGAUAUAUGUUGCAAGAGGCGUAAGUAUUUAGAAACUAAGAAGUUGCAAGAAAGGCUAGAUAAGAGUGCGGAGAAUUUAAGAUAUCUUUCCCGUUGUGAAUUUUGCAAUAAACAAGAUCAUUUACAUCUCCAAUGCAAAUUGUUUCAUGAUCGGAUCGUGUACAAAAAUUGUGAUGAUUUGAUCUCCCUUUAUCAUUACAAUGAACUUAGAUUGCUUUUGGGUUGUGAAAAGUUGAAACGUUUAACUAAGCCUAUUCCAGAAUUUAAUCUUAAGCAUUUUCUUGAUAUUGAUUUGGAAAAGAUUUAUAUGUUUUGUGCAGAGAAUUGCAUUGAAAAUCCUUAUAUUGCCAAUUACCUAAAGAAAAGAAAGAAAAUAUAAGAUGAUGAGAAUACUAAUGAAAGGGAAGAGACUUCUCAAUAUCCUCCUAUUAUUUGUCAUGAUGAAUCAGGUAAUGAGGAGGAGCUUUCUAUUCAACCAAUCUCAUCAAUAAGGAGCUCAAAGAGGAAGGUUGAACCCACACAUAAUAUGAAGAAGAAAAAGUAAAUAAGAAGCAACAAAGGUAGAAAGGUAUCCCUCCCAAAUGAUGUUUCUCCUACUACUCAUUGUGAUGAUGAUAAUUGCUAUACUAUUGGUGCUAUCAAUAUUUUUAAUGAUGAGAAUGAUUAUGCUUAUGAUAUGAAAGGGGCCAAGCUUGGGGAAGCUAUGUUUGAUGAGAAUGAAAUAUUUGAAAAUAUAUUUGCUGGAAUUAAUGUUUGUCCCAAGCUUGGGGAUGCUAUGUUUAAUCAAGAUGAUAUUUUUAGCAUCCCAAGUUUUGAUAUGCAAAGUUGUUAUGAUGAUAUCAUGCCUCCUACCUAUGAUAAUUAUAUUGAUGAAAGUGGGUUUGGAAGAGUGUCAACUCUAGGAAUUAGUGAUCCCACUAUUUUGGAGGAUGUUGAAUCUUAUUUUGAUGAAUACUAAAGUGGAUUUGGAAGAGUGUCAACUUUAUUUAGUGAUUCCACUAUCUUGGGAGAGGUUUCAAUCGAUUAUGAUGAGAACGAAGUUGCUACUUAUGAUGGUUAUUGUGAUAAAACUUAUACUAUAAAAAGUAGUGAUGAUUAUAUUUAUAAAAAUUGUCAUGAUUAUGAUUACCCUUUUUCCGAACAUUACUCUUUUAAUGUGGAAACAAUUUUUAGUGUUCAAGUCUCUUAUGAUACUCCCACUAUUCCGAAUAAGAAGAAUUUUGCUUAUGUGGAGAGUAGUAAAUUUUCUAUGAUCGUAGAUCAUGAAAAGAAUGCUUUAGGUGCUGGUUAUAUUGUUGAAUUCAUUCAUGAUGCUACUGAAAAUUAUUAUGAGGGAGGAACAUAUGCUUGUAGGAAUUGCAAAAAUGUCAAGUUUCCUCCCUAUGUGCUUAAAUUCUUGAAGCUAUGCUUGUAUUACCUUCCUAUGCUAGUUGAUUAUUGUUCCCAUAAGUUGUUUGCUCACAAAAUCCCUAUGCAUAGGAAGUGGGUUAGACUUAAAUGUGCUAGUCAUAUGCUUCAUGAUGCUCCCGUUGUGUUUCAAUUCUUAUCUUUUACGUGAGCAUCAUUGUCAUCAUCAUGCCUAGCUAGAAAGGCAUUAAAGAAAAGCGCUUGUUGGCAGACAACUCAAUAUUUAUCCUUACUGUUUUUGUGUGUUUACAUGAUUAUGCUACUGUAUUAAUAAUGUUUUAUAUCUUUUGUUUCAAUAAAGUGCCAAGUAAGGCCUUUAGGAUGGCUUACGGUAAUAGUUGUGUUGAUCCUGCUGAAAAUAAGAAACUUUUGCACCCAGUAAAUUAGUUUUGUUAAUUCACAGAAACCUGCUCUUGAUCUGAUUCUUUUUUAUAUGGAUUGGUACACGAAUUUCUUAAGACGUCCUAAUUUGGUAGGAGUUUUGGAGUUCCAGAAGUAUACGUUUGAUGCAGAUUACUACAGACUGUUCUGUUUUUGACAGAUUCUGUUUUCUAUGUGUUGUUUGCUUAUUUUGAUGCAUCUAUGGCUAGUAGUAAGUGGUAUGAACCAUAGAGAAGUUGGAAUACAGUAGAUAUUACACCAAUAUGAAUUUCGAAUGAAAUCUUCACAGUACCUAAGUGGUGGUUUUAAUUUCUUAUACUAACGGAGCUUACGAGUUUUCUGUUGAGUUUUGUGUUGUGAAGUUUUCAAGUUUUGGGUAAAGAUUCGAUGGACUAUGGAAUAAGGAGCGGCAAGAGCCUAAGAUUGGGGAUGCCCAAGGCACCCAAGGUAAUAUUCAAGGACAACCAAGAGCCUAAGCUUGGGGAUGCCCCGGAUGGCAUCCCCUCUUUCGUCUUCGUUCAUCGGUAACUUUACUUGGAGCUAUACUUUUAUUCACCACAUGAUAUGUGUUUUGCUUGGAGCGUCAUUUUCUUUUGUUAGUAUUUGCUUGAUGUUAUUUAUAAUAAUGUUUUGCAUCUUUAGUUUCAAUAAAAAAAAGUCAAGGAUAGCCUUUGCCAUGCUUAUUCUGCUAGCAUACAUGUUGCUGUUUGAAAACAGAAAGUUUACCGCUGUUGCAAAAAUUCCCUAGAAAAGUCAGAGAAUGAUAUAAUGAUGAAACCUUUUGAAUAUUGAGCUAUGAUAAAUUUAAUACAGUGGGAAUUUUAUUUCAUAAUUUUUGGAGUUAGGGAAGUAUGAUGACUCUUGCAUUCCUUACAGACUGUACUGUUUUGGCAGAUUGCUGUUAUGUUUGCAUUGUUUGCAUAUGUUUGCUUGUUUAAUAAUUCUAUUUGAGGAUAGGAUUAUUAAAUAUGCAGAGGAAUUUAGUAUGCAAUGUUGAAUAAUAAUUUUAGUGAUUUUUUACAGUAGAAAAUGAUAAGGUUUUUUUGCAUUGGUUUAUACUAACCUAUCUCACGAGUUCUUGUUGAGUUUGUUGUGAAUGAAGCUUUUGAGAAAUAGAGAAAACAUGAUAUGAGAGGAAUUAAGGAGACACAAAAGUUCAAGCUUGGGGAUGCCCAAGGCACCCCAAGAUAAUAUUCCAAGAAGUCUCAAGCAUCUAAGCUUGGGGAUGCCCCGAUAGGCAUCCCACCUUUCUUCUUCAACAACUAUCGGUUAGUAUUGGUUGAGCCUAAGUUUUUGCUUCUUCACAUGAGUUGUGCUAUCCUUGCAAUGUCAUUUUAUUUUGUUUUGCUUGCUGUUUGAAUAAGAUACCAAGAUCUGAAAUUCUUAAAUGAGAGAGAGUCUUCAUAUAGUUACAUAAUUAUUUAUCUACUCAUUGUUCUUCACUUAUAUCUUUCGGAGUAGUUUGCUCUAGUGCAUCACUUUUAUCUUCUAGAGCACGGUGGUGGUUAUAUUUUGUAGAAAUUGCUAGUCUCUCAUGCUUCACUUAUAUCUUUUUGAGAGUCUUUUAGAACAGCAUGGUAUUUUCUAUGGUCAUAAAGUUGGUCCUAGAAUGAUGAGCAUCCACGUUGGGUAUAAUAAAAACUAUCAUAGAAAGUGAAUUGGAUGCUAUGAUCAAUUUGAUGCUUGAUAAUUGUUUUGAGAUAUGGAGGUAGUGAUAUUAAAGUCAUGCUAGUUGGGUGAUUAUGAAUUUAAAGAAUGCUUGUGUUAAAGUUUGUGAUUUCCGUAGCAUGCACGUAUGGUGAACCGCUUUGUGAUGAAGUUGGAGCAUAAUUUUAUUUAUUGAUUGUCUUCCUUAUGAGUGGCGGUCGGGGACGAGCGAUGGUCUUUUCCUACCAAUCUAUCCCCCUAGGGGCAUGCGCGUAGUACUUUGGUUUUGAUGACUUCUAAGUUUUUGCAACAAGUAUAUGAGUUCUUUUGAUUAAUGUUGAGUCCAUGGAUUAUACGCACCCUUUCACCCUUCCACCAUUGCUAGCCUCUCUUGUAUCGCGCAACUCGCCGGUACCAUAUACCCACCAUUUACCUUCCUCAAAACAGCCACCAUACCUACCUAUUAUGGCAUUUCCAUAGCCAUUCCGGGAUAUAUUGCCAUGCAACUUUCCACCGUUCCGUUCAUAUGACACACAUUACUUUUGUCAUAUUGCUCUUUGCAUGAUCAUAUAGUUGACAUUGUAUUUGUGGCAAGGCCACCCUCAUAAUUUUCAUACAUGUCGCUCUUGAUCCAUUGCAUAUCCCGGUACACCGCCGGAGGCAUUCAUAUAGAGUCAUAUCUUGUUCUAGCUUUGAGUUGUAAAUCCAUAAAAGUGUGAUGAUCUUAAUUAUUAGAGCAUUGUCCUAGUGAGGAAAGGAUGAUGAAGACUAUGAUUCCCCCACAAGUCGGGAUGAGACUUCGGACUUCACGAAAAGAAAAAAAAGGGGAGAAAGGCCAGAAAAGAAAAAAGAAAGGCCAAAGAAAAAAAGAGAAAAAAAAAGAAAAUAAAUAAAAUAAAAUGAGAGAAAAAGAGAGAAGGGACAAUGCUACUAUCUCUUUUUCCACACUUGUGUUUCAAAAUAGCACCAUGAUCUUCAUGAUAGAGAGUCUCAUAUGUUGUCACUUUCAUAUACUAGUGCGAAUUUUUCAUUAUAGAACUUGGCUUGUAUAUUCCAAUGAUGGGCUUCCUCAAAGUGCCCUAGGUCUUCUUGAGCAAGCGAGUUGGAUGCACACCCACUUAGUUUCUUUUGUUGAGCUUUCAUAUAUUUAUAGCUCUAGUGCAUCCGUUGCAUGGCAAUCCCUACUCACUCACAUUUAUAUCUAUUAAUGGGCAUCUCCAUAGCCCGUUGAUACGCCUAGUUGAUGUGAGACUAUCUUCUCCUUUUUGUCUUCUCCACAACCACCAUUCUAUUCACCAUAUAGUGCUAUGUCCAUGGCUCACGCUCAUGUAUUGCGUGAAAGUUGAAAUUGUUUGAGAUUAUUAAAGUAUGAAACAAUUGCUUGGCUUAUCAUCGGGGUUGUGCAUGAUUAAAUACUUUGUGUGAUGAAGAUAGAGCAACAGCCAGACUAUAUGAUUUUGUAGGGAUAACUUUCUUUAGCCAUGUUAUUUUGAGAAGACAUGAUUACUUUGAUUAGUAUGCUUGAAGUAUUACUAUUUCAUAUGUCAAUAUGAACUUUUAUUUUGUAUCAUUUGGAUAUGUACAUUCAUGCCACAAUAAAGAAAAUUACAUUGAGAAUUAUGCUAGGUAGCAUUCCACAACAAAAAUUCUGUUUUUACCAUUUACCUACUCGAGGACGAGCAGGAAUUAAGCUUGGGGAUGCUUGAUACGUCUCCAACGUAUCUAUAAUUUUUUAUUGUUCCAUGCUAUUAUAUUACCCCCUUUUGGAUGUUUAUGGGCUUUAUUUUACACUUUUAUAUCAUUUUUUGGACUAACCUACUAACCGGAGACCCAGCCCAUAUUGUUGUUUUAUUGCAUGUUUCAGUAUUUUGAAGAAAAGGAAUAUAUCAAAUGGAGUCCAAACGGAAUGAAACCUUCGACAUCAUGAUUUUUUGGAAGAAUAUCAUCCUGGAGGCUUGGAGAUCAAGUCGGAAGAUACUCGAGGAGCCCAUAAGAUAGGGGGCGCCCCCCUAUAGGGCGCGGCCCCCUGUCUCGUGGACCCCAGCACCCCCCGACCGACUUCUUUCGCCUAUAUAACCUUACGUACCCUAAAACCAUCAGAAAUCAAGAUAGAUCGGGAGUUCCGCCACUGCAAGCCUCUGUAGCCACCAAAAACCUCUCGGGAGUCUGUUCCGGCACCCUGUCGGAGGGGGAACCCAUCAUCGGUGGCCAUCUUCAUCAUCCCGGUGCUAUCCAUGACGAGGAGGGAGUAGCUCACCCUCGGGGCUGAGGGUAUGUACCAGUAGCUAUGUGUUUGAUCUCUCUCUCUCUCUCUCGUGUUCUCUCUAUGGCACGAUCUUGAUGUAUCGCGAGCUUUGCUAUUAUAGUUGGAUCUUAUGAUGUUUCUCCCCCUCUACUCUCUUGUAAUGAAUUGAGUUUCCCUCUUGAAGUUAUCUUAUCGGAUUGAGUCUUUACUUUGAGAACACUUGAUGUAUGUCUUGCCGUGUUUAUCUGUGGUGACAAUGGGAUAUCACGUGCCACUUGAUGUAUGUUUUGGUGACCAACUUGCGGGUUCCGCCCAUGAACCUAUGCAUAGGGGUUGGCACACGUUCUUGACUCUCCGAUAGAAACUUUGGGGCACUCUUUGAAGUACUUUGUGUUGGUUGGAUGAAUCUGAGAUUGUGUGAUGCAUAUCAUUUAAUCAUGCCCACACAUACUUGAGGUGACAAUGGAGUAUCUAGGUGACAUUAGGGUUUUGGUUGAUUUGUGUCUUAAGGUGUUAUUCUAGUACGAACUCUUUUAUAGAUCGAUCCGAAAGAAUAACUUUGAGGUGGUUUCGUACCCUACCAUAAUCUCUAUGUUUGUUCUCCGCUAUUAGUGGCUUUGGAGUGACUCUGUGUUGCAUGUUGAGGAAUUGUUAUAUGAUCUAUCUAUGUUAUUAUUGUUGAGAGAACUUGCACUAGUGAAAGUAUGAACCCUAGGCCUUGUUUCCUAUCAUUGCAAUACCAUUUACGCUCACUUUUAUCAUUAGUUACCUUGCUGUUUUUAUAAUUUCAGAUUACAAAUACCUUUAUCUACCAUCCAUAUUGCACUUGUAUCACCAUCUCUUCGCCGAACUAGUGCACCUAUACAAUUUGCCAUUGUAUUGGGUGUGUUGGGGACACAAGAGACUCUUUGUUAUUUGGUUGCAGGGUUGUUUGAGAGAGACCAUCUUCAUCCUACGCCUCCCACGGAUUGAUAAACCUUAGGUCAUCCACGUGAGGGAAAUUUGCUACUGUCCUACAAACCUGUGCACUUGCAGGCCCAACAACGUCUACAAGAAGAAGGUUGUGUAGUAAACAUCAGCACUCCGAGGUGGCGACAUAGCACGGCCAAUGUAGGCCGACAGUGUGACGCCGAAGUCCCCGGCGUGGGUUAAUGAAGUGAUGACGAAGCCCCGGUCCAGCCGAGGUGACUUGAUACAUCGGUACGACGAGGUGACAGCACUGUCCGACCCGGAUCAUUUACCUAUGCACAGAAAAUAGUGCAAGCCGGAGAUAAUAGGAAUAAUAAUAAAUCAAAAAAAUGUUGCAUGAUUAAUAAUUUCUGUGAAGUGAGUAAUAAAAGAAAUAUGGCCCGUGUACCGAACACUCGAUGAGGUAGAGUUCUCUCAAUGAUGCCGAAGUCCCCGAGGCAACCAAACAUGCCGGUAUGGCAAUUCGACCAACAAGGUGAUCACACGAGCCGAUUUAUGCCGAUUGGGACGAUGAUGUCUGCAUGCGGAAGUGAUCGCGUGAUGCAGUCGAAGCCGAUCACCUACACACAUAAAUAGCACGGUCCAAAAGGAACAAUAUAAAUAUAUAUAAAAUCCUUGCAUAAUUUCUUUUCACAAAAAUAAUUUAUUUAAAGAGAUGUGGCCUGACACCGAAGUCAAUGUCGAUGCAAGGCAUCGGCGUGACACGGUGAAGGCGUGGCAAAGCCUAAAUUCACAAGCCGGUCCGAGUUUCUAAUGCAGCGUUCGCCGAACGGUAUACAGAAACUGACCGAACCACCACGCGACCGUUGUUAAUGCGGCCACCCUUUGACAGACCUGUGUACAGAUGAUGGAACAAACCAGAGUAAUAAUUCCUCAGGUAAAAUAAACCCAAGCAAGAAAAAAUUAUUAGGAUUAAUAGCAUCUGGUUUAUCUUUUGCAGCAAUAUGAAGAAAGGUUAAUCCCAAAAUUGGGACUUGAUCUGCACACCCAUUGCAUGAUGGGCGAUGAUGCUGAUAAAGGUUGGCUCGCCGAGGCAAAGCCCCCGGUCUAGCAAACGUGACGAAGCUGGUCGGCUGGUAACGCCGAAGUCUCCGGAGUAGGUUGAUGAAGAGAUGGCGAAAGCCCCCGGUCUAGCCGAGAUGACGGAGCAGGUCAGUAAGGAGACGUUCUAGCUGCCAUGUAAACCGAGGUGUGAAUCAUUUGGUGUGAUGGACAUCAACUUGAAGAAGCAACAGUGCGGCCAUGCCGACGCUGGUCAUAACUUGUGACACGGUCAAUGCCGGAUAGAUGAAGUGACCGAGCGGCGAUGUCGGCGCGCCUGACCAGUGGGGCGAUGGUGUUGGUGAUGAUUUAGCCUUCGCGAUGCCGAACUCUUGUUCGGCUUGCCGAGCUGAUGAUCCGAUAAGGUUAGGCUCGGCUCGAUGAAGCGACGAUCUGUCUAGCGCAGGUCGGCUGACGUGGAGCAAUGUUACCGGACUGGUUUGACACCAGCGUGACGAUGAAGAGUAUCUCCGAAAAGGAGCAAAAUUUGUGAGCAUGUGUUCGGAAACAAAACACAAUACCCUAUAAAGAGAUUCUUCCAAAAAUAUAUAUUCCAAUAUCCCGUUCAUGAAGAAAGAUGAACUCAGGUCGGAUUCGUAUUCGCGCAGAAAACAGAUUCAAAAAGUGAUGCACUAAUCGAAAUGUUCCCGAAGUUUGAACGGUCGGAUCGAGCUGAAAGUUUGUGAGGUGGUAGAUAUAGGAAUUCCACAGCCGAUCAACAGUUGGAUCUUCCAAAGGACGUCCGAGCUAGACGCUGGACACCAUGCUCCAAACUCGUCCAGGUUCCCGUCCAGAUUUGACGGGGCUCCAGUAUAUCGGAGAUCGAUGGAGAUUACUCAAUCGGAACGCGACGAAAUUUUACAGUGUUGUUGUAGACUCAAUUCCGCAUAAUUCCACCGAAGGAAUCAUCAAAGCGAUGCUCGAGGAGGUGGUGGUAGCGGAUACAAGUUUGCUGUUCGGAAAAACAGCACGGUCGCCCGAGGGCAAUGUUGACGUUGAGCCCCCGAGCUCCAUGGAUGAUUCCUCCAUGAUCAUGAUAGAGAUCGGAGUUGAUGUUGAUGAAGGCCCUCGUUUGAACAUGACGAUUGGAGGCAGGGCACAGUCCUUGGUUAAGCCAAGGUGACUAGUCAAGGCGGUGAUGAAGAUGCCGACUUCACAGUUGAUCUGCAGGAGAGCCAUUGAUCCUUCCGCCGACCACACAGCGGAACUCUCAAUGAAAGCACCAUUAUCGGUGUCAAAACUGGCGGAUCUCGGGUAGGGGGUCCCGAACUGUGCGUCCAAGAUCGAUGCUAACAGGAGACAGGGGACAUGAUGUUUACCUAGGUUCGGGCCCUCUCUAUGGAGGUAAUACCCUAUUUCCUGCUUGAUUGAUCUUGAUGAAUAUGAGUAUUACAAGAGUUUAUCUACCUCGAGAUCGUAUGUUGUGGUCUAAACCCUAAAGGUAUGAUGAGUAAUGUCAUGAUGAUCUAUCGACUAGCCUGGCCUCGGCUUAUAUAAUGUACCAGAGGCCUAGGAUAACAAGAGUCCUAGUCGAAUACGUCGGUGGAGAGGAGUCCUUGUCUUGAUCAUCAAGUCUUGUGGAAUCUUCCUCGUGUAUACAUCGGCUGUCCGAACUGGCCCAUGAGCAAACGGCCAUGGGGUCCUCGGCCCAAUUCAACUGAUCGGGAGAUGACAUGGUGAGUAUCCCCUAGUCCAGGACACUGUCAAGUGUCACUCUCAAGGGUGGGAGCGUUGCCCCUCCAUUCCAUCUCCUCUGGGUUUGGGGAUGGAGAAACACUCAUGUCUGGGUUGGUUUUCCUAGGGGAACCCAGAAUCAAGUGCUAAGAUUCGGCCAUAAAACUUGACCGAGCGCGAAAAUCAAAAUUGAUUGAAAAUUAGGAGAAUAAUUUAUUUUAAUAAAAGAUGUGCUACAAAAGAAAAAAGGAAAAGAAAAGCAGUUCCUUGACAUUGGCCACCAGAAAGUGUAAGUGUAUAUCUCCACUGUUUCCACCAUUCUAAUUUCCUCUAAUAUAUCAAUCUUCAUCAUAACAUACACGGGAGACUGGACAAUGCAUUAAAAGCUCAAUUCCAAACAAUAACAUGAUCACUCCAUUUCAUCAUGAUAUUAAUGGAGAGCUAGGCUUACAAUAUCCACUCACACAUCUUACAUUCUUAAGAAGUUGAUCCCCACUACAACCAAUUCUCUCAACAUGCAGCCCCUCCACAUCAUCAUCUAGCCACCUCAGCAAUUUCCACCCAUGUCAUUUUAUCUCUUCGUUUUUUUCUUCAGGUUCACAUAGCAUCGGUUGGUUGCAUAUUCCACCGAAGGGUUUUUACUAGCACGUGGCUUCAGUUACUGUUGUGACAACCAACAAGAGAUCUCGACAUCCUACGAGAUGACCCCUCGGUGCUCCACAAUCCACGCCCUCCCGUUUGGAUCUAUAUUCUUCAACCAGCAGAAGCCAAAGCAAACGUCCCCAAAAUCCAGAAAAUUCCAGAAAAUGCCCAAAACUUCUAAAAUUCAUAUAAAUUCAACCGUAACUCCAAAUGAGAUAAAUUAUAUAUGAAAAAUGAUCAGAAAAAUCCAAUCUAUCCAUCUGUACCAUUUUCAUGCAUGUUAGAACAACUUAUGAAUACUGUUUAGGACAAUUCAAUUAAAUGGCAUUUAAAUAACCACAUGUGGAGUUUGAACUUGAAUCUUGGAUUCAAACCAACUUCAUUUAAUCUGGUUUUAGUUGCAUUAGCAUAAACCACAGCAUAUUGCCAUGUCACAUUCAUGCAUCAUAUUGUUGCAUUGCAUUGAUUGUGUUUCUUCUUUGUUUGUCGGUGCUUGUCCCCUCUCAGUAGACGUGUACCGACGAUGUGAUCGAUGACACCGAUGAAGAACUAUACUAUCUUCAGAAGUGCCAGGCAAGCAAAACCCCCUUGUUCAUUCCGAUACAAUCCCACACUCUCGCUCCCGCUCUCUUUUACUGCAUUAGGACAACAACGAUUCAACUGUUACAUGUUGCGGUAGUUGAACCCCUUUCCUCUGCAUGACCUGUCAUUGCCACAGUAAAUAGAUGAAACCCACUAGCAUGAGUAGGAGUUGUCUGAGCCCUGAUGUGCCUACUCAUUCAUGCUUGUUUGUCAUGCCUGCUACUGCUUAGAGUUGAGUCAGGUCUAAUUCAUCGGCGAUGAAUCGGAGGCGUGUGAACAUGUCCUACUGUGUGUGAGCUAAGUGUGUGAACACGAUUUGGUAAAGGUAGCGGUGAGAGGCCAUGUAGGAGUACAUGGUGGGUUGUCUCAUUGAAGCCGUCCUUAGGAACUGAGUUAUGUAUUUGUGAUCCAUGAACAGUUACUACCACACAUUGGGUUCCGGUAACUCGACCCCUCUCGACUUAUUAAUCAACAUGAUCUCUGUCCAGGAGUUGCAACUAGUUUCUGGUAUUUGUAGGUAGUGUUAGUAGUCUACCAAGUGGCACCCGGUACAGGUGGGCUUGGGACAGACUAGGCACAGUGGCCCCAUGUACCAAGUGGCACCCGGAUGGUGGACUUGGGAACCCUGCACACAUCAUUUGGGGCCGUGAGUGACACCCCGGACGGAUCUCCUUGCGGAUGGAACCCGAAUAGGCGAUAAACCUGGACGAGAGACUUGUGUGGUUAGUCAGGUCGUGGCCGACUCCCUCGCCAGGCUUCCGCUUGAAGGUUGCCGAGAUACACGAGGUGUACAUGGCGGUAAGUGGCGAGAGCGUGUGUGAAGAAGUACACCCCUGCAGGGUUAAUAUGAUCUAUUCAAAUAGCCGUGUCCGCGGUAAAGGACUUCUGGGUUGCCUGUACAGUUCAUAGACAAGUGAAAGUGGAUACUCUAAAAUACGCAAGACAAGCGUGAGUGCUAUGGAUGGCGUUCUCGUAGGGAGACGGGAGCGGAUCCAUAGUGGUGUAUUGAUAUGGUGAAUAUGUGGACUCGUGUGCGCCACCUCAAAAGAGUUACUUGCAGUCGUAGUUCAGGAUAGCCACCGAGUCGAAGUUGGCUUGCUGCAGUUAAACUCCACCACCCCCUUUGUUGAUAAUGAUGCCUAUGUAGUUAGUUCUGAUGUAAGUCUUGCUGGGUACAUUUGUACUCACGUUUGCCUAUUUUACGUUUUUGCAGAGAGAUUUCAGUCUCGCUAGUAGUUACGCGUGGACUUCGACGUUUAGCUUGUUACCUCAACUACGAUCUUGUGCCCUCUGCAGGAUCUAGUAGAUAGUCAGGCUUCUCAGCCUUUUUCAUUUGUAGAUGUCUGUACUCAGAUGUGUUAAGCUUCCGCUUGUGCUUGACUUGUGUGCUCUGAAUGCUGGGUCAUGAGACUCAUGUUUGUAAUAUCUCGCUCCUUGGAGUCUAUUGAAUAAUACUUGAGUUGUAGAGUCAUGUUGUGAUGCCAUGUUGUAUUUGCACAUAUCGAGCAUAUUGUGUGUAUGUUAUUGAAAUGCUUGGUAUGUGUGGGAUCUGACUAUCUAGUUGUUUAUCCUUAGUAGCCUCUCUUACCGGGAAAUGUCUCCUAGUGCUUCCACUAAGCCUUGGUAGCUUGCUACUGCUCCGGAACAGUCAGGCUGGUUGGCAUGUGUCCUUCUUCGUUCCUUUCUCUGUCCCUUCGGGGAAAUGUCACACGAUGUCUACCGGAGUCCUAUUAGCCUGCUACAGCCCGGUUUACCGGAGUCCUGCUAGCCUAGUUGCUACAGCCCGGAUUCACUCGCUGAUGACCGACACGUUCGUUGCUGGGUCAUGUAUGCCUGUCCCUGUAAGUUAGUGCCACUUUGGGUUCACGACUAGCCAUGUCAGCCCGGGUUCUUUGUCAUAUGGAUGCUAGCGGCACUAUCAUAUACGUGAGCCAAAAGGCGCAAACGGUCCCGGACCAGGUAAGGUGGCACCUGUGGGAAUAUCGUGCGUGAGGCCGCAAAGUGAUAUGAUGUGUUACAUGCUAGAUCGGUGUGACUUAGGAUCGGGGUCCUGACAGCUUUGGUAUCUCAUGAUGAUAAAUUGUUGAGUUAAGGUAGUCUGUUGCCUCGACAUAUAUGUUGGAGCUAGUAUUAUGACCCUAGGUGUCUAGAGUAUCAUCUAGUAACUUAGCCAUGUUUUCUGUUCCCAGUGUGAUGAUUCUGGCCAUCAUUCUCGAAAGCAUCCUGUGAUGCCAUUUAGUUAGUAGGCAUUCUACUUCUGGGUUUUGAACCCGAGAUUCACCCUACUUACUUCAUGUUGAUAGUAAUUUCUAGCUCCCUUAGGUUAUUAGUAACCUUUGCGUUAGUCCUUGAGGUCCGUGGUAUUUCCUUCUUCCAAAUACUAUGAACCGUUUUGGAUGUAUCGAUGUUGCUUUGUAAUACAAAGCAGGGGGAAACCCUUUUUCGCUAUGAACUGUUUAUGGCAGAAGUUGUUUGAACCAAAAGAUCACAACCAGAGUGCUCUUGACGAGUUCUCGAUUCUAUAUUGUGACUCUGCCAGUUCAACCUUUCUGUAUGGGUUAUCCGGAAGAAAUAUGUUGAACUCGUUCGACAUGCAAAUCCAUGCAUCCACAACUUAGUAAAUCGUAUGUUCUUUCGAGUUCUCCCUCCUUAGUUGUCUUCUGACCUUCGUCUAUCAAUUGAUAGUCAAGAGUAUGUGUGCACCCGUUCAUCGAUGCCUAUUACCCUUGUGGUCCGUCAAGCCAUUCUAUUCCGGAAUGACUAGGAGAAGCAAACUCCAGAACCUCAUCCAUAUCCAGGAUUGGGUCAAAGUAUUUGUGCUCCGCAGAUCAAAUUGCUAAUCCAGCCUUUGUUCUGCUCUACCUUGCAGUAUUACCAUCUUUAUGUUAAGAUUAUCAUGGGAAUUGCACACCAUCCUAUUAACUCUUGAUACAGUGAUACUUCCCGCCCUCAAUAGUCGUUUCUCGGCUCCCGUGUUGUUCCAACCAGAAUGCCGACAGAUGAACUAUGAUGUGUGAAAUCUAUACUCCUAGCAACUCUGUUGCUUGGUAAUUAAAUGGACAAUAACCUCAUUCUAGCGUGUUUGUUAUUGAAUCAUCACCGUAAGGUUUAUUGUGCUACCUAGUCCCUAUUUCCGGUGCACUCUUCGGUCGGUGAGUUAGGAUUUUGUCAAUUCCUCGCUCAUUUGAUCAUAUCGUCUUGCUUGAGAAGCAAGAUUGUUCUCGAGUUUAGUAACAUAUUGGUGGUUCGUGAUUUUCUGAAUAUCUUCUCAGAAGUAUCACCAGGUUGUCACCUGACCGCUAUGUUGAGCUCGUGAGCAAGUUGGUUUUUCUGCAAACCACCCCUUCUCCAAGGAUCUGUGUUGGAUACCCCUGAGCUAGUUGGUUAAGCUAAACAACAACUUGGAGAGUUGGAAGAUAAAAACCUGUCCAACUUAGUUCAUUCCAAGGGAUAUCUUUGUGUGUGCGUAUUGAAGGAAGAUGGUAUUUUCAUCGAUUGACCCUCGUGAUCGGUUAAUGGAUCUAUCAUCUUAUCCAAUCCUUGAUUUGGGUAUGGGUUAUCGUCAACUCAAAUCAGAACCAACGAUGUUCGUAAUGUUGUCUUACUCGUGGAUUUUUCUCGAGCAUACACCGUUAUAUUUUUUGGUUCUGACCAAUGCUAUCACUUGAUCUCAUAAUUAUGGAAUUCCAUUUAUAUGGAAAUCUCGAUGAUUUGUUGUUGAGCCCAUCAGCAUCAUUUUUUCUUCUCCAUGAUUCAUGUUGAACAUCUAAGUUAGCAUUGGAAACUUGUGUAAGCAUUUUCUUCAUGCCCCGUUCGUGAAACAUAUGUUCGGAUGUAAGAAGUGACUUCCUCCAGUUCAUGUGCAUUUGAUGUAAGUUGCCGCCGUGGAUUCGAGAAAGUCAAUGUUGUUUCCUUUGGAAUCAUCCCAAGUCGGUCAUGCAUACGUGUGAAGUAUUCUGUGGUUUGAAGACUUGCAACCUUCAUUCUAUAUGUAUCCUUAGCACACCAAGCCACUGACUGAUUUGUUCCAGGAGAAGGAGUUCCUUUUAAGAGCUAACCUGGGCUUAAUCAAGGACUCCGUUAUCCGCAAUGAUGGUUUCCCACCUAAACUCGGUAGUGUUUCAUUGUAAGACUGCCAGGUGAUCAUGCUUGUCUGGGACAACGUGUUCACGUGUUUCUAGCAGAACCAGCUCAUGUUUUGGAGCUUACUAUCGUAGUUCAUUUCCCGAGAAUCUCGCAACGUCAUCUCGUCGAUUUGUGUUGCAAACUUUCAUUUUUCUUUCUAGACUCGAUGAGUCUGGAAUAUCCUGACACCAACCAGAUCUGAAUCUCAGGCAGAUAUGAUGGUUGGAACGUUUUCUCAAGAACUAUAAUAUUGGUCUCUGUGUAACCCGGUAAAGUGGAUGUCGUGGCUGACACACCCAGCCGGAAGACCUAUUAUUGUAGUAUCUUGAUUGAAGAAGUUGGCCACAUCCCCAUAAGGAUUUCGCAGGAUUUACCUCUGUAGUUGUUCCUUAUGGAUUUUUGUGUUCCCGAAGUCCGACCUUUUACUUGAUGUUCUAGAUACCAAACCAUUUCAAUGAAUGGGAUACGCUCCACAUCAAGGAGAACAUUAGAAGCGGAGUGCUAAAUGUCUCUCGGUCGAUCCUCCAGAUUUUGUUUCCUUGGCGUCGUCAAGGUAAAAUCUGAGAAAGUGUUGUCCUUCCCUGCACCUGCAUCCUCCAUCGUUAUUCAUCAUGGUAGUACGUUGUGGCCAGGAUCCUUGGCACGGAUGAUGGUAAGACCUUGAUGAAUAUGGAAAUGCUCAAAUUCUUGAGAGCACGCUCAGUCACUGGGUUAUAUUCUCGGUAUCAACUGGAAUGUGCCUUCUAUUGUCGAGUUGUUCUAUAACCAUAGUUUCCUUUCCGAUCUGAGUAUGCAAUUUCUUCGAACUCCGUCAAACAAUCAUUUGUAAAUUGCCUUACCCUGGUAAGAAGAGUUUCAAUGAUCUCUAAAUCAAAGGUAAUUCUUUUUGCCACUUAAGGGGAUAUCUCUACGAGUCACCUUCCCUAAGGUGCCCCGUUAUGGUAUCAUGGCAACUCAACUGCUCGCUACGUUGACAACCGUUCACCACCUUCUUAAGUGUGGAAUUGUUGUCUACCUAGUGAACCCUCAUCAUCCGUUCCACUCCAUCCCUCUAGAUGUGUGCUUAGUGUCUCAGCUUGAGAGAUGUUGCUAUGUCUCAUUCCGUGAGUUAAUCUUGAGUUGUUCGAUCUUCGAGAAGAUCGGUCCUUCUAGAGUCUCCUUCUCCUCUCAUUGUCAUGUUGGCUGGAGUUCUCAGAGCAUGACGACGAGACAAAGAUGGUGUUUGAAUCAACGUUCAUUUGAAGUGCAACCUGGAUCGUGAAGAUUGUGUUAGUUGUGUCCCUUCUGUCAUCUUACCCUACGCUUGAAUCUCGGGACGAGAUUCUUAUUUAGUGGGGGUGAGCUGUCACAUCCCUAGUUCUGGUAUGCACUAGGCUAGCCCUUCAUGUGAGCAUCAUAUUUAAAUUUCUGAAACUUGAAUUGAGGAUUGUUGAAGCCUCAAAACUUUAAUUAAAAGCAGGGCAAAGAACCCUGUAAAUUGCAUUCAGUGUUCCCAAAAUGGCCUUAAAUAAUGUUGGUUAUAUUUGGCAAAGGUUUUUGCACCAAACCAAAAAUAAUGAGCAUUUUUGAGGAAUAUUUUGGGCACUGAAUUUAAAUCAUUAUUUUAUUUGCAUUUGGAAUUAUAUCCAUAACUUGUAUAGAAUAUAUUUCCAAAUACCCUGGAACAUUUUAUGUGCUUUUGAAAAGUCCAUUAAGCAACAUAAAAAUAUUCAUGGGAAUUUUGUCACUGUUUUUGAUUUUUUUAUUAGAAACAGUGGCAAAAGGAAGUAAAUUAAACAAAACAGAAGAAAAAUUAAAAAAGACUAGAGGCCUACCUAACUUACCUGUGCAGCCCAACCCUGUAGAAGGCCCAGCCCACCUGGCAGCCCACUGGCCGGCCCAGCACUGUGCUGGCCCGUGCCAGCCACCUGCUUCCUCUCGCCAGGCAGGUAGAGAGGAGCGCGCCUGCGCACGCCGAGCUUGCCACGCAGCUCCCUGGCCGCCUGCCCCGCUUGGACAGUGUGGCGACGCCUCGAAGCCACUCCUCGGCGCUACCCCGACCACGCCGACCCCCCAUUCUGCCCCUGGCUCUCUCCCUCGUCCUCUCCCACUAUGGCCCACGCCCCCGUAAGCCACCGUCGCCGCUCGUCGCUACCACCGACCUCCCCGCGCCCAUCCGGAUAUGCCACGAGCUCCACCUCGACCCACGCGUCCUCUACACCAAGCCAGGCGCCGCCAGGAGCUCCGUGACGACAUCCCCGACCCCUUCUUCCUCCUCGGGUCGCCGGAGAUCCCCUUCGCCGCCCGCUCGCUCCGACGCUUCCCCGAGCCAAACGAGUCGCCCAUCCAACUCCCUGUGAGCCCCUCCGUCAUCUCCCCCUCUCCCCUUGGUCGAUUUCUCGCUGCAACACCGAUGACCGCGAGUCCCGUAUGCCGCCGACGAGGCUCCGGUGACCAAAUGGUCCCGUGCGUGCCUCCGUUGGGUUCGGGAGCUCUCGUAGAUCACGUAGGUGCAAACCGCUGGUCUUCCCGCGCGCCAUGUCGUCGAUUUCGUUGACACCCGAGCUCCGGCCGCCGCCCAACUCGCCGCUGCCGCCGCUGCAGACCACCUAGCGCCCUAUCUCUGCCACCGCUAGAUGUGCACGAGCCCCAGCUCGCCGUAGAACCAAACCGCGUCGCAAGCCGUGCCCUGUGGGCGAUUCCCGAGCCACCCCGCCACCGCGGCACCUCGCCGGCGAGUCAACCCCGGUUAAACGCCGGCCCAACUGCAGAUUAGGCGCUAAUCUAAUAGUCUUAGGUCACUGACAAAUGGGCCCCACGCCCUUAAUUAAUCACAGGAUAUCUCCCUGCUUAGUUUAAGCUAAUGUCGUGGCCCACCGGUCAGUUUGCCUGGCCACGUCAGCAUUGACCGGGUCCCAUGCGUCAGGUUUGACUCUGGUCAACCCUGUUGACUUGCUGACCUCAUGCAGGCGUCAUGCUGACGCAGUAAAGUAUUUCUGGAAUUAAAAUAAAUCAGAAAAUGAUUUAUAAAUUUCAGAAAAUACCCCAAACUUCUAAAAAUCAUAGAAAAAUAACCGUAGCUCAGAAUGAAAUAAUUUAUAUAUGAAAAAUGAUCAGAAAAAUCCAAUCUAUCCAUCUGUACCAUUUUCAUGCAUGUCAGAACAACUUGUAGCUGCUGUUUAGCACAAACCAUAUAAAUGGCAUUUUAAUAUCCACAUAUGGAGUUUGAAUUUGAACCUUGGAUUCAAACCAACUUCAUUUAAUCUGUUUGCUAGUUGCAUUAGCCCAAAUCACAGCAUAUUGCCAUGUCAUGAUCAUGCAUCAUAUUGUCGCAUUGCAUUGAUUGUGUUUAUUCUUUGUUUAUCGGUGUUUAUCCCCUCUCAGUAGACGUGUUCUGACGAUGUGAUCGAUGACACCGAUGAAGAGCUAUACUAUCUUCAGAAGUGCCAGGCAAGCAAAACCCCCUUGUUCAUUCCGAUACAAUCCCACUCUCUCGCUCCUGCUCUAUUUUACUGCAUUAGGACAACAACGAUACAACUGUUACUUGCUGCGGUAGUUGAACCCCUUUAUCCUCUGCAUGACCCGUCAUUGCCACAGUAAAUAGAUGAAACCCACUAGCAUGAGUAGGAGUUGUUUGAGCCCUGAUGUGCCUACUCAUUCAUGCUUGUUUGUCAUGCCUGCUAUUGCUUAGAGUUGUGUCAGGUCUGAUUCAUCGGGGAUGAAUUGGAGGUGUGUAAACAUGUCCUACUGUGUGUGAGCUAAGUGUGUGAACACGAUUUGGUAAAGGUAGCGGUGAGAGGCCAUGUAGGAGUACAUGGUGGGUUGUCUCAUUGAAGCCGUCCUUAGGAACUGAGUUCUGUGUUUGUGAUCCAUGAACAGUUACUACCACACAUUGGGCUCCGGGCACUCCAAGCUCUCUCGACUUAUUAAUCAACUUGAUCUCUGUCCAGGAGCUGCAACUAGUUUCUGGUGUUUGUAGGUAGUGUUAGUAGUCUACCAAGUGGCACCCGGUACAGGUGGGCUUGGGACAGACUAGGCACAGUGGCACGGUGUACCAAGUGGCACCCGGAUGGUGGGCUUGGGAACCCUGCUCACAUCGUUUGGGGCCGUGAGCGACACCCCGGCUGGAUCUCCUUGCGGAUGGAACCCGAAUAGGCGAUAAACCUGGACGAGAGACUUGUGUGGUUAGUCAGGUCAUGGCCGACACCCUCGCUGGGCUUCCGCUUGAAGGUUGCCGAGUACAUGUCGUGUAAACGGCGGUAAGUGGUGAGAGCGUGUGUGAAGACGUACACCCCUUCAGGGUUAAUAUGAUCUAUUCGAAUAGUCGUGUCCGCGGUAAAGGACUUCUGGGUUGCCUGUACAGUUCAUAGACAAGUGAAAGUGGAUACUCUAAAAUACGCAAGAUAAGUGUGAGUGCUAUGGAUGGCGUUCUCGUAGGGAGACGGGAGUGGAUCCAUAGUGGUGUAUUGAUAUGGUGAAUAUGUGGACUCGUGUGCGCCACCUCAAAGAGUUACAUUGCAGUCGUAGUUCAGGAUAGCCACUGAGUCAAAGCUGGCUUGCUGCAGUUAAACCCCACCAUCCCUUUGUUGAUAAUGAUGCAUAUGUAGAUAGUUCUGAUGUAAGUUUUGUCGGGUACAUUUGUACUCACGUUUGCCUAUUUUAUGUUUUUGCAGAGAGAGACCUCAGUCUCAUUAGUAGUUCCUCGUGGACUUUGACGUUUAGCUUGUUACCUCAGCUACAAUCUUGUGCCCUCGGCAGGAUCUGGUAGAUAGUCAGGCUUUUCAGCCUGUUUGUAAUAUCUCGCUCCCCGGAGCCUAUUGAAUAAAAUACUUGAGUUGUAGAGUCAUGUUGUGAUGCCAUGUUGUAUUUGCACAUAUCGAGCAUAUUGUGUGUAUGUUGUUGAAAUGCUUGGUAUGUGUGGGAUCUGACUAUCUAGUUGUUUAUCCUUAGUAGUCUCUCUUACUGGGAAAUGUCUCCUAGUGCUUCCAUUGAGCCAUGGUAGCUUGCUACUGCUCCGGAACACUUAGGCUGGCCGGCAUGUGUCCUUCUUCGAUCCUGUGUCUGUCCCUUCGGGGAAAUGUCACGCGAUGAAUACCGGAGUCCUGUUAGCCCGCUAUAGCCCGGUUAACCGGAGUCCUGCUAGCCCAGUGCUACAGCCUGAAUUCACUCGCUGAUGACCGACACGUUCGAUGCUGGGUCAUGGAUGUCUGUCCCUGUAAGUUUGUGCCACUUUGGGUUUACGACUAGCCAUGUCAGCCUGGGCUCCUUAUCAUAUGGAUGUUAGCGACACUAUCAUAUACGUGUGCCAAAAGGCGCAAACGGUCCCGGGCAAAGGUAAGGCGACACCCGUGGGGAUACCGUGCGUGAGGCCGCAAAGUGAUAUGAUGUGUUACAUGCUAGAUCGAUGUGGCAUUGAGUCGGGGUCCUGACAGCUUUGGUAUGAACGAAACGUCAUGAAUCCCUCAUAAACUGGCCUCCCCGUCUCCCAUCCCCACCAUCUCAACCCCCGAGGCCCCGACGAAGCGACGAAUGCAAGUGAAGCCAGCCUCCUAUAGGGUUUAUGGUGGUCGUCCUGGGGCAGAACCGGCGGGUAUGAUGGCGAUGGCGGAGCAGCGACCAGAUCUCAAGAAGAUCGAUCUAGAGGCUGGGUGGGGCAUCAAUAAUCUCAUCAACAUCCUCGAGGGCAAGCCAGCGCCGCAGCUCAGCUUCGAGGACUAAAUGAGGAAUACACGUAAGUCGACUCCUCCCUCUGGAGAUGCCUUGGCUAGGCCCAAUUAAUUCGUACUAGGCCCGAUUUGUUCCCCUGUUUUUCUCUAUUUGUCACACAUCCUGAUAUACAACAUCUGCACUACUUGCAGCAGAUCUACGACAUGUUCCUUAGUCUUUACAUACUGGCAGGGGUAUCAUCUCGGUUGUGUUGGGCAUUUGUCUGAUUCGAGUAUGUCCGGUGGAAUUUAUGCAAGAGCACAUAUUCAUUGUUCAAGUAUUACAUUACCAAGUAAUUUGUUCCCGUUGAAUAGCUCUAUGUGCACCCAUUUGUAAGUAGCCUCUCUCAAUCUUUUUUUUUUGCCGCAUCAUAAAUUAUCUUGCUUCUUUCAGAAAAUCGUACUGAAGACUGUCUUCUUUCGUGCUUCUGGUCACUGUCUUCUUUCAUGCUUGAGGUGGACUGAGUUACAUAUCUUGAUGUAUGCACAAGGCAUCAUAAAUUAUCUUACUAUACUUUCUAAACAGCGUACUGAAGACUGUCUUCUUUCAUGCUUCUGGUCACUGUCAUCUUUCAUGCUUAAGGUGGACUGAUUAUAAGCAUUACGUCCUAGGUGGUAAAUAAAAUAACUCAACCAAUUUCAAAGUGAUGUGUUACUUGGUGCAGUCCAACUCUGAAUGUUUUCUGCUUUUUAUUUUCUUACUGAAGGUUAAUUCCCACACACGUUACAGUCUGAAGGUACAUGCAAAAAUUAUGUUUCUGAGUAGAUAUACAUGUUUUACUACAUAUCAUAAUGGCUCGCUUCCUUUUUAAUUGAAAUUCCACAAUAGUUCCUCUAUACUAACGUCUACAUAUCAUGAUGGCCGGCUUCCUUUUUAACUGAAAUUCCACAAACGUCUGUGUAAGUGUUCCAUGUAGUAGGUUUUAGGAUAAGAGCAUAUAUUAUGGAUGCAUAAAUAGAAUAUUCUCCAGUUUCUUUUGUUUGGUCGAUGGCAGAUCAGCAAAACUGAAUAGUGUUGUAGAAAUUCUGAACUUUUUUGCAGGGACAGAAAUUAUGAACACUAUAGUCUCAUAAGACAAGGAGCUGGAGCUGCAGUUUACCUUUGAGUUCUAAAUGAGGAAGAUACAACAUGGUCGACCUUCUAGCAUGGCAAUGAUAGUGUUUUUUUGGGGAGCUGACUCUGCAGCUGCUGAGGAAGCCAUCUAGGUUGCUCCUUUCUAUCGGUGGUAAGCUUAUGAGUGGAGACAUUGAUGACGAUUCUGGAAUUGGAGGUGUUGUUGUCCUCUUGACCUGUUCUUGCAAUAUACUUGACCAUGUCAAGUAAUUUUGCGCUCAGUUCCUCCUGGACCGGUUUCUCUCUGCUUCUCCAGUAACAUGUGAGGUGACUGGUGCAGCUUGAAAUAGCCAUUUCAAACUCAUAAAUUAAUGGACAUCUGAGGAGACACACGAUGGGCUUUAUAAUACCAUUCUCGAUAUGAAUCUCGCCAUCAACUCCUUACCUAGCACGUCGAUGUAGUAUUUCUGAUGCUGACUUAAUGAUCAUUGUCUUCUUCAGGUCGAAGGUCUUGAUCAUCGUAUAUUCAAAGUUACAUUGGACACAUUCAUAGUUCCUGAUGGAAUGAAUUUUCUUUCAUCUGACUUUUCAUUUAUUCUAUUGCUAUACUAUUAUCCAUUAGUUGACAUCCCAAAAAUGUCGUUUUGUUUGAUUUUGAGAGUUGCAGGUUAGUGAUUGUUGACUUUGACGCAUUGGUAGUAGAUUUGAAGUUCAAUUAAACUAGGUGACAUUUCUGUACAAGUUUUCGCGUAUGUGGCAACAUUUUUUUGUCUCCUAUAGUUAUUUUCUUCUGGAAGAUAGUUAUGUGUUACUUGCAUUUUGACGUUACUCCAAGAAUAAGAAUAGUUGUUCAGCUCAGAUAACAUGAUAACCACACGUACAUGGAUCCAACAUCCAAAUUUGUUACUUUUAGCUAUAUGCUGAUCAUGAUGCACUCUUUUCAUGUAUGUAAUAGGCAAGUUUCGUCACUUAAAGACUUCUUUGUUUCGAAUUUUUUGUAUUAGCUCAUCAUUCCAAUUCUUUGUAUUAACACAACUGUUACAAUUUGAUGCAAGCAAUUCUUUUGUAUGCACUCAUUUAAAAGAUAUGCCUUCCCCACAAAAAGAGAAAUGCUUUGACGCACAUGCAAGUCACUAUUUUUCUUUACAUGACGUAUCUCUCCAAAUUAGAAAUUUUAGCACAAAAUAUCCCGCAGCAACGCGCGGGGAUUCAUCUAGUUUAGAUGAAUAAUGGUGAACCAUUCACUUCACAAACUUACAAAGGAUCCAGACCGAACAAUACUAUAGUGCUAGAGUAAAUAUGUUAACGUCAUUUUCUGUUGGCCAAAUGUCGGGAAAUUGCAUUUUUUUUUAACAACGCUGAGAUAAAUUAAAAUUUUCCGAACAGUGUAAAAAGCUGCACCUCUGAAAUCUACGGAGGGGUCUGCAUCUAGGCUCCAUGCAAGUUGUCUGGGGCGAGGUCAACAUAAAUUCUACUGGGGUUAGAGCAUCUCCAACAGCCGCGCUAAACUAGCGCCGCGCCGCAAAUUUGUCGAUUUUAGCGCGCGCAACGCGGCGGGUCGCUCCAGCGGGCGCGCAAUAACGGCGCGCGCGCUAUACCGAGUUGGGCGCGCUGUCGGAAAUGUCAUCCCGCGCGGCGUAUUUCGGGCGCCUGCUACAGCACGCGGCACACUCGACCGCUCGCACCGCACUCUCUCCUUUCCUCCUCCUACGCCCCGCGCGCGCCGGCGCCGGCGCCACCCAUGGACGCGCACACCGGCACCCCGCUCUCCCCGCUGUACANNNNNNNNNNNNNNNNNNNNNNNNNNNNNNNNNNNNNNNNNNNNNNNNNNNNNNNNNNNNNNNNNNNNNNNNNNNNNNNNNNNNNNNNNNNNNNNNNNNNNNNNNNNNNNNNNNNNNNNNNNNNNNNNNNNNNNNNNNNNNNNNNNNNNNNNNNNNNNNNNNNNNNNNNNNNNNNNNNNNNNNNNNNNNNNNNNNNNNNNNNNNNNNNNNNNNNNNNNNNNNNNNNNNNNNNNNNNNNNNNNNNNNNNNNNNNNNNNNNNNNNNNNNNNGCGUUGGCGUCGCCACCGCCGGAGCUCCGCCGAGGACCGGCCUCGCGCGCAGCCUCUUCUUGCCGCCGCGGAUGACCACGGCGACGGGUGGCGUCGCGCCGGCGCCGUCCCGUGCCGCCGCCGCACCUUCGAAGCUCCCCAAUGCGGCGCGGCCAAAGAAGGGCAAAACUUCGGCGAAGAAAAACAAGGCGGCAGACGGCUCCGGCGGCACGAAGGCGAGGGGAAAGAAGCUUGCAGGGCGUUCGACGGCCGCGGCGGCUACCGAAGCGCCGGCGAGCUCACUCGUUGAGCCGGCCGCCGACGCGCAUCAUGUGUUCGACGAAAUGCCCCCAAGGUGAAAAAAAUUCGAACUUUUAUUUUCUUCUUGUUUUUCAAUGCAUCAUCACAUAUAGAAAGCUUAUUUGCAUUGUUCAAAAAAAAUUGUAGUCUCAAUGAUGAUGCAUACAUGUCAACUAUGGGUGUUGGGUCCAACAAUUCGCAUUGGUCUCAAACCAAUGACAUCCAUUUGGAAGACCAUGAGUUUGAGGUGGACGAGGAGGGUGAGGGCAUUGUCGAUGCGCCGAAAGGAAGAGCGGGCAAUUACAGCACCAACGAUGACAAGUUACUAUGCAAUACUUAUUUGCAAGUGUCAAGGGAUCCAUCCAUUGGAGGUGAUCAAAGUAGAGAUGCGUAUUGGGGGCGAAUGAAAGAAUACUUUGAUGCUCACAACAUGAGUGGAAUUGACCGCUCAGAGAGAUCACUUCGGUCCCGAUGGUCCACAAUCAACUCGGAUUGUCAAAAGUGGGCGGCCGCACAAAAGUCAGUUGACAAGAUUAACCCAAGUGGCACAAAUGAGGAUGAUAGAGUAAGUGGCAUCUCAUAUAUGUUCAUCUCAUACUUGUUUUUGGUGUCCGAAGUGCUAACUUGUUUUGUUUUUCUUGUAGUUCAACAUUGCACAAAACUUGUUCAAAGAAGAGACGAGGAAAACCAAGAAGGGGAAGAUCAAGAAAGGAAGGUUCUUUACCUUGUCUCAUUGCUAUGAAGUGUUAAAGAAUGAUGAGAAAUGGAAGAAUCGUGAUGGUUUGGAUGAUUUGCAUUUGAGCAACAAACGCAAGGUGGAUGAUGAUGAGGAGGAGGAUGAUGCAUCAAGUGAUGACGGCAAGAGAAGCCCCACACCCAACUCGGUUUCAUACUCAAAGCCAAAACGACCGGAUGGGUGCAAGAAAGACAAAACCGAAAAGAAGAAGAGGAAAGGAGAUGAUGAGCUCAAAAAUGCUAUGGAAGCUAUUGUGAAGGCAAGAAAAGAAGCCAAUGAGGUGAGGAAAAUGGCAAGGAACCAAGAUGCCGCGGCCAAGGAGAGGAGGUUGGCGGCCGAGGAGAGGAGGGUGGCCGCCGAGGAGAGGAAAGUGGCAUUGGAGGAGAGGAAGGUGGGCAUGAAGGAGCGAUCUAGGUUGUUGGAAUGGGAGAAGCACUUGUUCUUCUUGGACACAUCUUCGUUCAAUGGUGCGCAAAAGGAAUAUGUCAACCUUGCUCGUGAAGAAGUCUUGAUCCAAAAAAGAGCCAUGAUCCGCACAAUGGGUGGCGGUGGCCUUGGCGGCAUGGGUGGCGGCGCCAUGGGAGGCAUGGGUGGCUUCGGCGCCAUGGGAGGCAUGGGUGCACCUCCGGCCGUCAUGGGAGGCAUGGGUGGCUUCGGCGCCAUGGGAGGCAUGGGUGCACCUCCGGCCGCCAUGGGAGGCAUGGGUGGCUUCGGCGCCAUGGGAGGCAUGGGUGGCUUGGGCGCCAUGGGAGGCAUGGGCGCACCUCCGGCCGCCAUGGGAGGCAUGGGCGCACCUCCGGCCGCCAUGGGAGGCAUGGGUGGCUUUGGAGCACCCUCUGACACUAUGGCCGCCAUGGGAGGCAUGAGUUUCGCUACUCUUAUGGGAGGCAUGGGUGCACCUCCGGCCAUGGGUGGAAUGUCUUUUGAUGUGCCUCCUCACACACAUUCCCGUGAAGAUGUCGUUGAAGAUCUUGCCAACACCGUCGGAGCUUCACGUGAUGCGAUGCGUGAUGAGGAUAGGGAGGAAGAUUCAUCUUUGGAGGCGGAAGAAUCGUCUUCGGAAGAUGAGGACGAAGACGAGGAAGAUGUUUGAUGUGUCUUUCAUUUAUAUGUCUUGAACUUUACUUUGCAUUUUGAACUUGGUUGGAUGAACUUGUGGGUAUGAACUUGUGGGCAUGACUUGGUUGGAAGAUGUUUGUGACAAAUUUCACAUGUUCAUUGCAUUUUGAUAAUUGUUUCAAACCCAUUUUGUAGCUAAGUCGCGCGCGCUGUAUUUUUGCGCGCUGCUGGAGCGGCGCGCGCGCUGCAUUAUAGCGCGGCUGCCGGAGCCAGCGCUCGCGGCCGCGCUAAACCAAGCGAAGCGCGCGCGGCAAACAGGUUUUUUGCGCGCGGCGCAUAGCGCGACUGUUGGAGAUGCUCUUAGUUUCGCUAUGGAUUUAGGCCCAAAUUUGUUUACGGCUUGAAAAAUAAGCAACCCCCUUCAAAAGCUUCUCCCAUAAGCCGCCUUCACUAUGCGUUGGGGCUAGGGCUGCAAACUAGUCGAGUUCGAGCGAGUUGGUCUAGGCUCAACUCAACUCAUACUAAAAUUCGAGCAAGCUCAAAAUGUGCGAAGUUCAAGGUUGAGCUGUAGAAAGUGGCCUGUGCUCAGCUUGUCACGAUCUCAGAUCGAUCUCGAGCUAGUUUUGAGCUCAAUGAUAUGAUUUUUAAAAUUAUUUCAAGGCAAAUUUCAAAGCAAGAUAGACCACAACUAAAAAAUUAUAUAAAAUAUGACUUAUUCUUUCUCAUCUUACGACUAAUAUUUAAUAACAAGAGAUCCUGGAUAGAAGUAAACGAAGGUGUGUCUGCUCUCAAAUUUUGGCCAAAAUAAUAGGAUAUUGAACACACAGUUGGCCACGUGUCAUAUUGGCCAUGCUUAAUUUCCAUGUUUGCUAGUACGGAAAAUGAAGAAAAAAAUCAUACUUAUAUGUCAAUGAAUGAUCCUAAUUCUUCGUAAUAGACAUGAAGAUUAUUCAUAAUAUACUUAUAUGACAUCGAGUUAUCGAGCUAAAAUCGAGCGAGCCAAUACUGGUUCAAGAUCAGCUCGUUUGUCCAUCAAGCUACAUAAAGUGCUUGUACUCAGCUCAUUUCUUUUCGAGUCGAUCUCGAGUCAAGCUAAAAUACGAAUCGGUCUCGAGCAGCUCACGAGCCUCGAGCUUUUCUUGCAGCCCUAAUUGGCGGUAUGGACUAAUUAUCGCAUAACUAGCCUAUAAGCCCCCAACGAAUAGAGGAGGCAGCUUAUAGAGAAGUUGUAAAGGGGGCGGUUUAUUUUUUAAGUUGCUAAAGGAACUGCAGUUUAGGAAGUGCAGCCUCCUGAAAUAAGAUACCAAAAAAAUAGAAGUGCAAUUCCUUGACAUUUCGCCAACAAAAAGUGUACUUUAACAAAAUUUACUCGAGUUACAAUAUCCGGACUCAUGACAUAGUGAAAUCUAGUCUAGUGACCAAUUCCAAGUGCAAAGGCAAACAUACUUCUCCAACUCUCCCAAUUCAUGUACAUCCAAGUGGCCAUCGCUGUAGGCAUUCCAUAUAGCAGACAAUUGUUGAGUCUUUCUCUUGAACGAGCGCGGCACCUACAAGGACCCAGAGAUUGUAGAAAUUAUAUAUUUUUUUUAGGGGAGAUUAUAGAAAAUUAGAUAUCAAUUCUGAGAUAAUAAAGUCGCCCUUUAUCAAAAAAUAGAAAAUUAGAUAUCAGUGUAGAUGCCAACUAAGAGAGCAAAUCAUUACUCUUUGUGCACUAAAAUUCUUUCGGAUUAUGAUCAUACCAGAGGGGAUCGCUGGGAUUAGGAUCAACGUGUCCGAAGAGAUGGAAGAGGAGCUCCAUGUUUUUUCCCGUGUACCUACGAUAUGGGUGCCUCUUCUCCAACUCAGCGAUCAGGUAGAAGAGGUCCUGCUUCUUGGUCUCGAUCUCGCAGUACUGCCGAUACGCCCAUGCUCUCUCUGGGUCGAGCUCUGGCGCAGGUUCUUCACAGGGUUGCUGGCGGACAGAUCGGAGAUGAGUUCUAAUUAACCGGUGGAAAAAAAAAGUUGCAGAUCUUAUACCAUCAGGGCGGCGUUGCCGUUUGCUGGGUGGGCAGCGGUGGCGGCGCCGGAAAAGUCUUUGCAGCCUGCGCCGCCGGAGGACAUGGAUCUGAGAGGAAAACAGGCAGGUCGGCCGCCGUUGAUAAGCCUUGGCAUCAGCCGGCCAUGCUCCUGCUUGACCAGCGGCGAGACGACGGCUUUGUAAACUGCCUGGGGUCGCUGGCCGCCGAGGAGCCUCCUCACCGCGCAUCGCAUCGCCGCCGCCAUCAUCUUGAAUCAAAAGGCGAAUCGAUUUAUGUAUUGUUUCUGCUUCGCUUCUCUUGCCAGUCGGGGUCGAUCCCUCUUAUCACGGCUGGGGUGCUCGGCUUCCGUCUCCGACACCUCAGAGCUAAAAACGGAGGUGUAUGUCCGACUAGUACUCUAACUAGUAACAGAGUAGGAUAUGUAAUAGGCUGAUUAUCUUGGGUGUGUCCAGGGCACAUUUAGAUAUGCUUUACUUAUUACAGAUCUAAAUAAGUGAAUCAAACAUAAAGAGGGGGAAAAGAGAAAAAAUAUUAUCCACACGAAUCUUGACAUAAAAUUAAUGAUAUCGAAUUUAGAGGUGCAAUACUUAUGGCACAACUAAAUGUGCUUUAGCAAAACUGUUCUUUAUAUACUUAGAGCCGCUCCCCUCCCGAGCGGCUCUGGAGGCCCCCUCCCCCCGAACCCUAGUCUACACACAAGCCGUGAUCCCUGGCCGCCGCUGCUGCCGUUGACUGCGGCGGCGGCGGCGGCGCCAGUCGGUGCUCUCUACGGCGCUUCAUGGGAGGAGGUGGGUCGCAGUCGGAGGGCAAGGGUGGCGCGGCCGGCCGGCCGGGGCUAGAUGUCCUUCAGCGGGAGGGCGGUGAGGAAACGGCGGCGCACCGCCGGCGGCCGUUCCGGUCACGUUGGUGGGCGUUUGGGUUUGCAAUAUGGGCAUCGAUCUAGGCCUCUCGUGAACUUCGAUAUGGACCAAUUGACCCAACGUGGGCAGGUGCUGUGGGAUCUGGUUGUUCGCCGUCUCUAUGAAGCCGUGCACGGUGCUGCCCUCUUCUCUGAUGUUGUCCCGCUGGAAGGCGACUGGAGGCGUGGAGGCCUGCUAGUCUUGCGUAUAAAGGAGGUGGUCCUGGGGUUUCUCCCACACCAAGACAAAGAUCUGCUUACUGUCUGCUUCUGGCCUGGAGUGGCGUGUUCCGGAAGGCUCUGCUGACGAACUCCCUUGGGCGCCUCAUGCCUGGAGAUUGCUGGAUCGGAUGAAAUUCGGUCGCGCGCACUCGUGUUUUUUCUGACCGUUUGGUUUCAGGGGGAGCGUUGUCAAGCUCUGUUGUCUGUUACCAUCAUGGGACACGUCUUUGUUGUUCUAUGUGAAGUCAGAUGCGGAGAAUGUUAGGACAGCCAGGAUAUGAGGACUAGCAAUGGUGGUUUGAGUCUUUGUGGCGAUGAGGAACUAGCUUGGUGUUAUAUGACUUGAAGCAGCAGCAUGGUACGUGGGGGUGAUAGCACAGAAGAAGUUCAAAUUCUUAUCUUGCAGGGUGAAAAUCUAAGGUCUAGUCUUAAUUGAUUAUGCCUGGCAAUGGCCUUGUUGAAGGCAUUGUUUUGCGAGUAAGGAUUUUCUUCAGGGUAAAAAUCUAUGAUCUAUGAUCGGGCGACGACGGCUUAUGCAUUUUUCCGUUCUUGGAGGCGUCGCUUUUGGACAAGCUAGACUUCUGGUGCUGUUCUGGUGGUGUUAGGUCUGCUGCUGCUAUAAGGAAUUGAUCACUUUAACAGGACUUUUCAUUUUUGCAAUUGUCUGGGUUUUUUUGGGUUGUGUGCAUCCGUGACCUGUUAGGGCUUUGCGUUGUUGUAGAGUUUGUGUAUAAUUGGUAUCUUCGCGAUACUAAUAUAUGUUCCUUUUCAAAAAAAAAUUAUAACCCUCGAUGUAAGCAACUGGAGUACGGAAAAGCAAUACAGAUAACAUCAGGCUCGAGACGGGCCCGUUGCAAUACAUCUGCUUGUUACGCGUGUGUUCCAUCGAGAGAAGUCGCUACGUUCCGUAAAAUCGAAUCGAUCCUUUGUAGUAAAAAGUCGCCGGCCAGUACGUGCUAGCUACCUACUACUCCCUGCGUAAACUAACAUAAAAAUGUUUAGAACACCUAUCCUUUUCGUAAACUAAUCAAAAAUGCUAGACAUACAAAGACUUACACGCUUUUACACGCUCCUUUUAUCUAACAACCAAUCACAAACCUCUUCCCCCUGAUUUUCAGGAGGGUGGGCCGUCCCGCUCACCUAUUGACCAAUCAAGAUUAACCAUCCUGUAAAAACUUGUAAAUUGUUUGUACGUGUAGCAUCCUAUAAGAGCGUUUAAAGAUAUUAGUUUACGGAGGAAAGUAUCAAUUAAGCUGCCUGCUUGGCUGCUUGUGAGGCUAGCUUGCCUGUACGUUGCUUCGGUUUCUGUGCAUACGGUUCCAAAACCAACACUCCAACGCCACACCGCCUAUAUUCGUUCCCGUUCGAACCAACUCCUCUCUCGUAGCAGAGAGUGCCCCGACCCCUCGUGGCACGCUCCGCCGCCGGAGCUUGCAGCGACCCGGCAUCAUAUUGUAGCGUGUGCAUCUUACUUGCAAAUUUUUUUCCUUAUCUGCGUACCUUAGUGCAAUUAAUCUGUUGUUGUAUCAUUAUGGCAUAAAAUAAAUUGUACCACCAUCUUGUGCGUCGAGGUGGUGUACAAAUAGAGCAAGAAAUGAUCAAUUCAUGUACAUGAAAACUCAAAGACUUGCAUUACAGUUUUAGGAACCUAAGAAUAGAAGCAAAUAAAACUAAAAUAAAUGGUCGGGAACAGAGAAAACCACUUUUUCUUCAGUCAUUCUGUGAUUGAGUGGCUCUACCUGUGCUUGCCUGAAGAUUAGAGAAAGUGGCUCCACGACAAACAGAUAAUGCCACAUUGAACAGUCUUGUAUGCUGAUAUGUGUCGCCCAUGAAGACAUUCUUGUCGAAGGCACUAUUGGGUUCCAUUAUGGUCCUCGGGAGUUGUCACAGCAAAUAAGUAUGAGCUAGCACAUAUGCCCGUGCGUUGCAACGGAAGAAAAAAAAAUUAAUAUGCAUAUAAAGUUAGUGAGAAUUAUAUGUGCAAGCAAAAUCUUUUUUGCACGUGAAAAAAGGAACAUUUAGUUUUUCGGUUUCGCCGGGUGUGAAGUAAUCAAUCCGCUAUUUUCUUUAUUCAUUGGUCAAGGGCAUUUAAGAGUUUUGUUACGUCAUCUUACGCCAGAGAAGGACCAUGAAUUAUUCAAUCUACUUUUCCUUACAAUCGAGGAGAUUUUAAGUUAUGAAGUUUCUGAAUAUUGCAGUAAACAUGACCCAUUUUCUAAAUCCAGGACAUGUUUUUGAAAAUUCUGUACACUUUCAGAAAAACACGAAUAAAAUUUGAAACAGGAAGAUCUUUUAAAAUACACAAACAUUUUCUGAAAACACCAACUUCUUUAUGAAAACAUGGACAUUAUUUGAUUUGUGAACAUUUUAUUAAAACUGAAACAUGUGUUGAAAAUUCAUAAUAUUUUUCAAAAAUGUGUAUCUUUUAUACACGAACUUUAUUUUAAAUUGUGAAAAUUUCACUAAACCAAGAAUAUUUUUCGAAUUUGGAGCAUUUUUUAAAAUGUCAUUUUACUUUUAGAAAUCACGAACAAUUUUGCAAAAUGAUAAAUGUUUUUGAAAAAAUGAGAAACCUUUUUCAAGUUUCGAAUAUUUUUCAGAACAACAACAAAAUUUUAGAAUUCUGAACAUUUUCAAAAAAAAUAUUCUGAAUUUUUUUCAGUAUUUUGAAUUAAUGAGAUAAAUUCUAUAAGAAAAAUAAAUUUGGAAGGAAAAAAUAGAUAGGGAAAGCAGAAUAAAAAUAUAAGUAACACACAGAAACAAAGAAAAAAUGGGCCAGCCCAUUAUCGGUUGUCCUGUGUGAAGCUCUGACUAUUGGUUGCCCUGUGCGCAAAAUAGAAUUUUCCUAGCUGCAUGGGCAGAAAAAUUAGUUGGCUGGUUUCACUGGGCCACAGCGUGUGGCCCAUGUACGAAAUCCUGGAAAAGCCUUUUUUCUAGCAGACGAAAAAAAUAAGAAUUUAGUACCACCUCAGAUAGAAAAAAUAUUUUUCGGUGGUGAACGGAUGAAAAAAAUGGCGAAAUGCACCUUUCAUUAAAGCAGAUGAUUUUUUUAAAGGAUACAGUUGUAUGGAUCAUGGAAUAAUAUUGACGCAGAGAACAAAAAAUUAUUUAGGAGAACAUUAAUUCGAAAUUAAAGUAGAAUAUGUAAAUGAUUGCCAAUAUACUUGAGAAAAAGGAUUUUUUUUAUUAUUGUUGCCUCACUGUUAUCUUAUUUACUGUUGCUAUUUAAUUUAAAGAGUCUAUAUGAUUGGUGACAAUUUUCAAAUUAUAUAAGCAAAAGAAGAGAAUGACCAGCGUGUUACUUAGGCAAACUGCAAAAUAUGUGAUUAGUGUACUUAGUGAUCUAAACACUCUUAUAUUUCUUUAUGGACGGAGUAUAUCAGAGCAGGAUAAUCGUUAGAGAUGAAAAGUAUAGCAUAGACAAUAACGUGAGUAAGGGAUCAUGCUUUUUGUUGUCUCACGCUUGUUUUAGUUCAUGCUGCUACUUGAUCCAAAUAGUUUACAUGAUUGCUGACAGUUUUCAAAUUAUAUAAGCAAAAGAAGAAAAGGGCUAGCAUGUAACUAAGGGGAACUGCAUAAUAUGUAUGGAAACAGUAUAGAAGCAUAAAGAAAAAUUACUCAAGAGAAUAUAAAUUGGUAUCUCUAGUCAACAACAGAAAUAUUUGACAGGACUCUAAAAUGUGCUGAAAGUACGUAGAGAAUAUGUGUGAGAAAAUUUGUCAUAGUAUAUCGAUAGCGCUUUUAGGCCUAUAUGUUCAUUAGUACUGUAUAGUUUGAUCAAGUUAGGAUCAUAACAUGGAUGAUUUUCUUUUGAACAUUCAAAGACAGUAGGAGAGGCUCCUACUGACAUGGAUGAUAUUGUCACAAAGAAGAAAGGACACAGAGAACAAAAAGGCCAAGAAUUUUUUAUUACCUUGUAUUUACGUGUGUCGCCUUUAUAUUUGAUCCAAAGAUUGUAUAUGAUUUCUCACAAUUUCAGAACUGCGUGAAUAAAAAGAUGUUCAACAUUGGUAAUUUCGUAUCAGUCAACUAUUUGUAGCAGAUGGCUUGAAAAAGAAGAUGUAUAAAGAAAGAUGGAAGAAAAUGCAAAAUAAGAGAAGAUCCAUGGCUAUCAGUUUGUAAGCUCAGAACGAAAUAAAGUAAACAGAUAAAUUGGAUCCAUGGUUAGCAAAUAUAUGUAGCCAAAGAUCUAAAAAAAACAGUAACUUUGAUCUAUUGUACCAUCAGUGGCACUUGCUCAGACCGCAGAAUAGUGUGCCCAUUCCUUGGUUGUUCAUGUCUUGACCCACAAUUUGAUGUUUAACAACUCCUUUGAGAUCAACUUGAUCAAGACAACAAUAUUUUUCAGGCAUUCUGAAGAAGAGAUUUCACUAUGGAUAUAUAACUACUACAAAAAUAUGACAAAGAGAAAAUAUGAUUCAUCCUGGAGAAUUGAAUUGCCCCUUCAGACCUGCACAAUAAAAAAAACUUGCAACAUCAUGUGUCAUCAAAAUGUUUAGCAGAAACAUAUCCAAUGUAAAAUCCAUCAAAACCAUAGUUGUGAAAUAAGAUGCUUUUCUCGUUAAACUUUGCAAUCAAGGAACCUUCCAAAAUUUUUGGAAAACUUAGCGGCAUUACAAUAUAAAAAAUAACAGUAAAUGAGCAAGCAAGUAAAUAAAUCGACAUAAGAGGGUAUCAAACAAAUUAUAAUAAGAGUAGUGCUACAUUUUCGCAAAUACACAUUGUUGGGAUUGCCCAAGAGGAGGAAGAAGACUCAUGUACACAAGCUCAAGGAAAAAAGAAGAUACACACACUUUGGCACACGCACAUAGUGAGCUUUUUUUGGUUCGUUUGUUUGAGACUUCAAGACCUUAUGUUGAACUUAUGUGCUUUUUAAUAAAGGUGGCCGUAUGCAUCGCUCUAAUGCAGAGGCCCGGGUUCUCCCCCUUUUUAAAAAAACAUAGUGCCUAUUCUCUUGUAUUUCUUCUCCAUCCAAAUGAACCCAAUUACAAGGGCUUAAAUAGCCACCCAACACAGCUAGCUACUACACACCCACUCACCCACUUCCUAGCAUGUACAGAUAGCGCAGAUAGCUAGUCGUGGUCAAGCCACUAACGGCUUGAUCCACACACACGUAGCUAGCUGCCCACACAACUCGGCUAAUGCAUGAUGCAUCCAUUCUUAUCUUAACUAAGGGCAUGUACAGUGGUUGACAAGAUAGUUUUAUCUUAAGACUUGCAUGUAAUUUAGAGAUAACAAAGAAAAACGUCUACAAUGAGUCAUCUCUUAGCCUUAUCUUCAAUAAUUAGCUAUUCCUAAAAACAUGGUGAGACAUAUUAUGCUAAGAGAUCAUCUCUUAUCUUCUCUUAAAUAAGAGAGGACAAACCUUUUCUUAUGAGUUCUCUCUCCUUCACCUCAUCAUUUAUUCUACAUGGCACUCCUAAGAUAGCACCAUUGUAUAUGCCCUAACUACUCCUGUUACACGCAAGGUUCACGCAACGGCCACACGACUUGGCCAUUUUACCAUGCAUGUAGCCUCAUACGACACAUCUGACCGGUGAAUGUAUCUGGUGCAUCAACAUUUGUGGCGCUACUGGUACACCGGAUGCCAUAUCAUAUUUUAAAAAAUCUGAAAAAAAAAUUAGUAUGUUAACACAAUAUCAAUGUAUAAUGUCACAAAAAAUCGUAUAAAAAUGUGAAUGUGCUUAAUUGAUGUAGUGUGAGUGUAAAUUCGUAUAAAAUCUGAAAAAAUUCUAGCAUGUUAACACAACAUCUGAAAUUUUGUGGCAACCUAAAUUAAUGUAGUGUGAGUGUGCUUAAUUUUUUUCAGAAUUUUUUGACCAAGCACAAUGUGAGUUCGGUGUACCAGUAGCACCACAAGUUCCGGUGCACCUGAUAUUUUCCCCAUCUGACCACUAAUACAUGUGCACGCAGGCCACAUCUCUCUAUGAUUACUUGGUCACCUAACAGACAGUAGGUGACUACGGCCGCUCAUCUCCUGGCUUGCCGAUCUGUUCGCGUGCACCCGCUCUAUCUCUGUACUGCUGAUCCGGCCGCUACACCAUCCGGCCGCUCUAUUUUCUUUGUACUUGGCUGACUAAUGCAAAUCUACAUGGUUGUUACACGAUGCAACAAACUAAGCAUGAUCUAAUCCUAAAUACUUAAUACUAAUAACAAGAUUAGUUCCAACAAUGACUAAAUAGAUGGACAGAGUAAUGUCCAGAAAGGAAAUAUGUACAUGCCAAAAAUCUGCUAGCUUCUGAUAGUUAAAGUGUAAUCUAGAAAAUAGAGUAACUAAAUAUAAGUGUAUAGCAUAUGAAUUAUAUUUUUGACUACAAUAAGAUCAAUACAUAAGUACUCGCGGCUCUCCGUUGUUAGAGACUGAAGCUGAGAGUAGAUCAAACAAAAAGGUAGUACAAUUUUACAUUGGUGAAAUAAACACAUCCACAAGUGCAUAAGCUGAUGGAUCAGCGAGAGGGUCAGUACUUUCAACAGAGAUCAAGCUGUUUAUAGAAGAGGCAGAAGGUUUAUGAGAAAUUCCCUUAAGACAGAUCCAAGUGUGAGUAUCUCGCAAGCCUCUUUUGUGAAACUCUUCCACAAAUUAAUCUACAGAACAACCAAAUGUUGGAAGUUACACUACAUUUGUUAAUUCGAGACAGGAAAAGAAAGGAACACAAAGGUCAGUUUAUCAAUAGCUUACAUGCUACAAUCAGACCAAACAACUCUCCACUGUUGACAUCUUCUAAAAAGUCACUAAAGUUCAUAUUAAAACAUGUGUAACGACAUAUAGCCUAUCACUGUAAACUUAUCAAGCUUCAUAUGAUAUCAUAUCAGCUAUUUCAUGUCACUUAGGAUUACAUGUAAGCGUAACAGCAGAAUGAAUAUGUUUACAACGUACUCCCUCCGUCCGAAAAUACUUGUCAUCAAAAUGAAUAAAAGGAGAUGUAUCUAGAACUAAAAUACAUCUGGAUACAUCUCCUUCUAUCCAUUUUGAUGACAAGUAUUUCCGGACGGAGGGAGUAGUCUGUAUAUCACUCUACUUAAAAUAUGUAUAUAUAGAAACACAUUAAUAGACCAUACUAUAUCAUAAAGAAAAUGCAUUUGGGCUCAAUCAGAUUUGACUGAAAAUAAUCAGAUAAGAAUCACUAAAUUAAUAUGUUAGUUCAGAAAAAUAAUAUAAAUUUGUUCCAAAACUAUGCCAAAAUGAUAUAAAUAUCAAUACCUCUUCCUAAGAAAGGACAUGAUGAUCAUAGUUUAUAAACUCUCUGCCCACCGUAUUCGAUGUACAUGGGGUAGUGUCACACAAACCUGCGCACACACUAUUUGUCCUGGGUCUGGCUCAUUUAUUUUUCUUCUUUUUUUAACUGUGAAAAAAUGGGUGCACGAAGUAGGAUUCGCACUCCAAACCUCUUGGAUUACUUUCACCCACUAUAACCGUUGGGGACGUAGCAUGCAACUUUUAAAAAUUUCCUACAAUCACGCAAGAUCUAUCUAGGAGAUGCAUAGCAACGAGAGGGGUAGUGUAUAUUCAUACCCUUGAAGAUCGCAAAGCGAAAGCGUUUAUCAACGCGAUUGAUGUAGUCGUACACCGUCCCGAUCAAGUAUCAAACGUACGGCACCUCCACGUUUAGCACACGUUCAGCUCGAUGACGUCCUCGCCUUCUUGAUCUAGCAAGACGGGUAAAGUAGUAGAUGAGUUCCGGCAGCACGACGGCGUGGUGACGGUGUUGGUUAAGAACAAUCUCCGCAGGGCUUCGCCUAAGAACUACGGAAACUAUGACGGAGGAUAAACUAGAGGGGAUGGGGUUGCCGGCAUACGACUUGGUGUUUCUUGAUGUGUCUUAGGUGCUAGCCCCGCCCCUCUAUUUAUAUGUUGAGCCUUGGGGUCGAAACUUGGAGUAAAAGCCUCCACAAAGUCGGUUUCACCCGAAAGACAAGAGUCCUUCUCGGACUCCAGGGCCAGACGCCAGGGUUCCCGGCGUCUGGCCCCUGGACUCCGCAAAACUUCCUUUUGCGCUUUUCAAAAACCUUGUGGGCUUUCCCUUUUGGCCCAUAUAAAGUGUUCUCGUACCCAAACAUUUCGGGAAACAUCCGGAACCCCUUCCGGUGAAUUCCGGAACCCUUCCGGAGAUCAAACAUUAUUAUUCCAUAUAUCAAUCUUUAUCUUCAGACCAUUCCGGAGUUCCUCGUCAUGUCGAUGAUCACAUCUGGGACUCCGAACAACAUUCGGUUACCAACAUACAUAACUCAUAUAAUACUAUAUCGUCAAUGAACGUUAAGCGUGCGGACCCUACGGGUUCGAGAACUAUGUAGACAUGACCGAGACACCUCUCGAGUCAAUAAUCAAUAGCGGAACCUGGAUGCCCAUAUUGGCUCCUACAUAUUCUACGAAGAUCUUUUAUCGGCCGAACCGUUAUGACGACAUACAUUAUUCCCUUUGUCAUCGAUAUGUUACUUGCCCGAGAUUCGAUCAUCGGUAUCUUCAUACCUAGUUCAAUCUCAUUACCGGCAAGUCACUUUACUCGUUUUGUAAUACAUCAUCCUGUAACUAACUCAUUAGUCACAUUGCUUGCAAGGCUUAUUAUGAUGUGCAUUACCGAGAGGGCCCAGAGAUACCUCUCCGAUACUCGGAGUGACAAAUCCUAAUCUCGAUCUAUGCCAACCCAACAAACACCUUCGGAGACACCUAUAGAGCAUCUUUAUAAUCACCCAUUUACGUUGUGACGUUUGAUAGGACACAAGGUGUUCCUCCGGUAUUCGGGAGUUGCAUAAUGAUGUCAUACCUAAACGGAAGUAGCAAAUGAAGUAGUCUGGAUGAAGGAGUUCAUAUCCGAUCUAGGUGUCAUUGAAGGAAAUAUGCCCUAGAGGCAAUAAUAAAGUUAUUAUUUAUUUCCUCAUAUCAUGAUAAAUGUUUAUUAUUCAUGCUAGAAUUGUAUUAACCGGAAACAUGAUACAUGUGUGAAUACAUAGACAAACAUAGUGUCACUAGUAUGCCUCUACUUGAACUAGCUCAUUGAUCAAAGAUGGUUAUGUUUCCUAACCAUAGGCAUGUGUUGUCAUUUGAUUAAUGGGAUCACAUCAUUAGGAGAAUGAUGUGAUUGACUUGACCCAUUCUGUUAGCUUAGCACUUGAUCGCUUAGUAUGUUGUUAUUGCUUUCUUCAUGACUUAUACAAAGUUCCUGCAACUAUGAGAUUGUGCAACUCCCGUUUACCGGAGGAACACUUUGUGUGCUACCAAACGUCACAACGUAAUUGGGUGAUUAUAAAGGUGCUCUACAGGUGUCUCCAAAGGUACAUGUUGAGUUGGCAUAAUUCGAGAUUAGGUUUUGUCACUCCGAUUGUCGGAGAGGUAUCUCUGGGCCCUCUCGGUAAUACUCAUCACCUAAGCCUUGCAAGCAUUGUAACUAAUGAGUUAGUUAUAAGAUGAUGUAUUACGGAACGAGUAAAGAGACUUACCGGUAACGAGAUUGAACUAGGUAUUGGAUACCGACGAUGGAAUCUCGGGCAAGUAACAUACCGAUGACAAAGGGAACAACGUAUGUUGUUAUGCGGUUUGACCGAUAAAGAUCUUUGUAGAAUAUGUGGGAACCAAUAUGAACAUCCAGGUUCCGCUAUUGGUUAUUGACCGAGAAUAGUUAUAGGUCAUGUCUACAUAGUUCUCGAACCCGUAGGGUCCGCACGCUUAACGUUACGAUGACAGUUUUAUUAUGAGUUUAUAAGUUUUGAUGUACUGAAGGUUGUUAGGAGUCCCGGAUGUGAUCACGGACAUGACGAGGAGUCUCGAAAUGGUCGAGACAUAAAGAUUGAUAUAUUGGAUGACUAUAUUCGGACACCGGAAGUGUUCCGGGUGUUUUCGGAGAAAAACCGGAGUACCGGAUGGUUACCGGAACCCCCCCCCCCGGGAAGUAAUGGGCUUUGAUGGGCCCUAGUGGAGAGAGAGAGGGGCCGGCCAGGGCAAGAGGCGCGCCCCCUCCCCUUGAGUCCGAAUAGGACAAGGAAGGGGGCGGCGCCCCCCUUGCCUUCCCCCUCUCCCACUCCUUCCUUCCCCUCCUUCUUGGAAUAGGAAAGGGAGGGGGCAAACCUACUUGGAGUAGGUUUCCCCCUCCUAGGGCGCGCCUCCCCUUAGGCCGGCCCCCUCCUCCUCUCCCCCUUUAUAUACGAGGGAGGGGGGCACCCCAUAGACACACAAGUUGAUCUACGGAUCGUUCCUUAGCCGUGUGCGGUGCCCCCCUCCACCAUAUUCCACCUCGGUCAUAUCGUCGUGGAGUUUAGGCGAAGCCCUGCGCCGGUAGAACAUCAUCAUCGUCACCACGCCGUCGUGCUGACGGAACUCAUCCCCGACGCUUAGCUGGAUUGGAGCCCGGGGAACGUCAUCGAGCUGAACGUGUGCUGAACAUGGAGGUGCCGUACGUUCGGUACUUGGAUCGGUCGGAUCGUGAAGACGUACGACUACAUCAACCGCGUUGUCACAACGCUUCCGCUUACGGUCUACGAGGGUACAUGGACAACACUCUCCCCUCUCGUUGCUAUGCCAUCACCAUGAUCUUGCGUGUGCGUAGGAAUUUUUUUGAAAUUACUACGUUCCCCAACAGUGGCAUCCGAGCCUAGGUUUUGUGCGUUGAUGUUAUAUGCACGAGUAGAACACAAGUGAGUUGUGGGCAAUACAAGUCAUACUGCUUACCAGCAUGUCAUACUUUGGUUCGGCGGUAUUGUUCGAUGAAGCGGCCCGGACCGACAUUACGCGUACGCUUACGCGAGACUGGUUUUACCGCCGUGCUUUGCACACAGGUGACUAGCGGGUGUCAGUUUCUCCAACUUUAGUUGAACCAAGUGUGGCUAUGCCCGGUCCUUGCGAAGGUUAAAACAGCACCAACUUGACAAACUAUCGUUGUGGUUUUGAUGCGUAGGUAAGAACGGUUCUUGCUCAGCCCGUAGCAGCCACGUAAAACUUGCAACAACAAAGUAGAGGACGUCUAACUUGUUUUUGCAGGGCAUGUUGUGCUAUGAUAUGGCCAAGACGUGAUGCUAUAUUUUAUUGUAUGAGACGAUCAUGUUUUGUAACCGAAGUUAUCGGCAACUGGCAGGAGCCAUAUGGUUGUCUCUUUAUUGUAUAAAAUGCAAACGCCCUGUAAUUGCUUUACUUUAUCACUAAGCGGUAGCGAUAGUCGUAGAAGCAAUAGAUGGCGUAAACGACAACGAUACUACGAUGGAGAUCAAGGUGUCGCGCCGGUGACGAUGGUGAUCACGAUGGUGCUUCGGAGAUGGAGAUCACAAGCACAAGAUGAUGAUGGCCAUAUCAUAUCACUUAUAUUGAUUGCAUGUGAUGUUUAUCCUUUAUGCAUCUUAUCUUGCUUUGAUUGACGGUAGCAUUUUAAGAUGAUCUCUCACUUAAUAAUCAAGAAGUGUUCUCCCUGAGUAUGCACCGUUGUGAAAGUUCUUCGUGCUGAGACACCACGUGAUGAUCGGGUGUGAUAGGCUCUACGUUCAAAUACAACGGGUGCAAAACAGUUGCACACGCGGAAUACUCAGGUCAUACUUGACGAUCCUAGCAUAUACAGAUAUGGCCUCGGAACACGAAGACCGAAAGGUCAAACGUGAAUCAUAUUGUAGAUAUGAUCAACAUAGUGAUGUUCACCAUUGAAACUACUCCAUCUCACGUGAUGAUCGGACAUGGUUUAGUUGAUUUGGAUCACGUGAUCACUUAGAUGACUAGAGAGAUGUCUGUCUAAGUGGGAGUUCUUAAGUAAUAUGAUUAAUUGAACUUAAAUUUAUCAUGAACUUAGUACCUGAUAGUAUUUUGCUUGUCUAUGUUUGUUUGUAGAUAGAUGGCUCGUGCUGUUGUUCCGUUGAAUUUUAAUGCGUUCCUUGAGAAAGCAAAGUUGAAAGAUGAUGGUAGCAAUUACACGGACUGGGUCCGUAACUUGAGGAUUAUCCUCAUUGCUGCACAGAAGAAUUACGUCCUGGAAGCACCGCUGGGUGCCAGGCCUGUUGCAGGAGCAACACCAGAUGUUGUGAACGUCUGGCAGAGCAAAGCUGAUGACUACUCUAUAGUUCACUGUGCCAUGCUUUACGGCUUAGAACCGGGCCUUCAACGAUGUUUUGAACGUCAUGGAGCAUAUGAGAUGUUCCAGGAGUUGAAGUUAAUAUUUCAAGCAAAUGCCCGGAUUGAGAGAUAUGAAGUCUCUAAUAAGUUCUACAGCUGCAAGAUGGAGGAGAAUAGUUCUGUCAGUGAGCAUAUACUCAAAAUGUCUGGGUAUAAUAAUCACUUGAUUCAACUGGGAGUUAAUCUUCCGGAUGAUAGCGUCAUUGACAGAAUUCUCCAAUCACUACCACCAAGCUACAAGAGCUUUGUGAUGAACUAUAAUAUGCAAGGGAUGAACAAGACAAUUCCCGAGCUCUUCACAAUGCUAAAGGCUGCGGAGGUAGAAAUCAAAAAGGAGCAUCAAGUGUUGAUGGUCAACAAGACCACUAGUUUCAAGAAAAAGGGCAAAGGGAAGAAGAAGGGGAACUUCAAGAAGAACAGCAAGCAAGUUGAUGCUCAAGAGAAGAAACGCAAGUCUGGACCUAAGCCUGAAACUGAGUGCUUCUACUGCAAGCAGACUGGUCACUGGAAGCGGAACUGCCCCAAGUAUUUGGCGGAUAAGAAGGAUGGCAAAGUGAACAAAGGUAUAUGUGAUAUACAUGUUAUUGAUGUGUACCUUACUAAUGCUCGCAGUAGCACCUGGGUAUUUGAUACUGGUUCUGUUGCUAAUAUUUGCAACUCGAAACAGGGACUACGGAUUAAGCGAAGAUUGGCUAAGGACGAGGUGACGAUGCGCGUGGGAAAUGGUUCCAAAGUCGAUGUGAUCGCGGUCGGCACGCUACCUCUACAUCUACCAUCGGGAUUAGUUUUAGACCUAAAUAAUUGUUAUUUGGUGCCAGCGUUGAGCAUGAACAUUAUAUCUGGAUCUUGUUUGAUGCGAGACGGUUAUUCAUUUAAAUCAGAGAAUAAUGGUUGUUCUAUUUAUAUGAGUAAUAUCUUUUAUGGUCAUGCACCCUUGAAGAGUGGUCUAUUUUUAUUGAAUCUUGAUAGUAGUGAUACACAUAUUCAUAGUGCUGAAACCAAAAGAUGCAGAGUUGAUAACGAUGGUGCAACUUAUUUGUGGCACUGCCGUUUAGGUCAUAUCGGUGUAAAGCGCAUGAAGAAACUCCAUACUGAUGGGCUUUUGGAAUCACUUGAUUAUGAAUCACUUGGUACUUGCGAACCGUGCCUCAUGGGCAAGAUGACUAAAACGCCGUUCUCCGGAACUAUGGAGCGAGCAACUGAUUUGUUGGAGAUCAUACAUGCUGAUGUUUGUGGUCCAAUGAAUGUUGAGGCUCGUGGCGGGUAUCAUUAUUUUCUCACCUUCACAGAUGAUUUGAGCAGAUAUGGGUAUAUCUACUUAAUGAAACACAAGUCUGAAACAUUUGAAAAGUUCAAAGAAUUUCAGAGUGAAGUGGAAAAUCAUCGUAACAAGAAAAUAAAGUUUCUACGAUCUGAUCGUGGAGGAGAAUAUUUGAGUUACGAGUUUGGUCUACACUUGAAACAAUGCGGAAUAGUUUCACAACUCACGCCACCCGGAACACCACAACGAAAUGGUGUGUCCGAACGUCGUAAUCGUACUUUACUAGAUAUGGUGCGAUCUAUGAUGUCUCUUACUGAUUUACCGCUAUCGUUUUGGGGUUAUGCUUUAGAGACAGCCGCAUUCACGUUAAAUAGGGCACCAUCAAAAUCCGUUGAGACGACGCCUUAUGAACCCGUAGGGUCCGCAAGCUUAACGUUACGAUGAUAGUUUUAUUAUGAGUUUAUAAGUUUUGAUGUACCGAAGGUUGUUCGGAGUCCCGGAUGUGAUCACGGACAUGACGAGGAGUCUCGAAAUGGUCGAGACAUAAAGAUUGAUAUAUUGGAUGACUAUAUUCAGACACCGGAAGUGUUCUGGGUGUUUUCGGAGAAAAACCGGAGUACCGGAGGGUUACCGGAACCCCCCCGGGAAGUAAUGGGCUUCGAUGGGCCCUAGUGGAGAGAGAGAGGGGCCGGCCAGGGCAAGAGGCGCGCCCCCUCCCCUUGAGUCCGAAUAGGACAAGGAGGGGGGCGACGCCCCCCUUGCCUUCCCCCUCUCCCACUCCUUCCUUCUCCUCCUUCUUGGAAUAGGAAAGGGAGGGGGCAAACCUACUUGGAGUAGGUUUCCCCCUCCUAGGGCGCGCCUCCCCUUAGGCCGGCCCCCUCCUCCUCUCCCCCUUUAUAUACGGGGGAGGGGGGCACCCCAUAGACACACAAGUUGAUCUAUGGAUCGUUUCCUUAGCCGUGUGCGGUGCCCCCCUCCACCAUAUUCCACCUCGGUCAUAUCGUCGCGGAGUUUAGGCGAAGCCCUACGUCGGUAGAACAUCAUCAUCGUCACCACGCCGUCGUGCUGACGGAACUCAUCCCCGACGCUUAGCUGGAUUGGAGCCCGGGGAACGUCAUCGAGCUGAACGUGUGCUGAACACGGAGGUGCCGUACGUUCGGUACUUGGAUCGGUCGGAUCGUGAAGACGUACGACUACAUCAACCGCGUUGUCAUAACGCUUCCGCUUACGGUCUACGAGGGUACGUGGACAACACUCUCCCCUCUCGUUGCUAUGUCAUCACCAUGAUCUUGCGUGUGCGUAGGAAAUUUUUGGAAUUACUACGUUCCCCAACAGUCAUACCUAGUGCACCGGGUCCAAUGAAAUUUUUUUGUGACAAUAUUGGUGCAUUGCCUUGGCAAAGGAAUCCAGAUUCCACAAGAGAACCAAGCACAUCAAGAGACCUUCAAUUCCAUCAGUCAUCAAGUGUCGGAAGGGGACAUAGAGAUUUGCAAGAUACAUACGGAUCUGAAUGUUGCAGACCCGUUGACUAAGCCUCUUCCACGAGCAAAACAUGAUCAGCACCAAAACUCCAUGGGUGUUAGAAUCAUUACUUUGUAAUCUAGAUUAUUGACUCUAGUGCAAGUGGGAGACUGAAGGAAAUAUGUCCUAGAGGCAAUAAUAAAGUUAUUAUUUAUUUCCUUAUUUCAUGAUAAAUGUUUAUUAUUCAUGUUAGAAUUGAAUUAACCAGAAACUUAAUACAUGUGUGAAUACAUAGACAAAACAUAGUGUCCCUAGUAUGCCUCUACUUGACUAGCUCGUUAAUCAAAGAUGGUUAAAUUUCCUAACCAUAUAUAUAUAUAUGUGUGUGUGUGUGUGUGUGUUGUCAUUUGAUGAAUGGGAUCACAUCAUUAGGACAUGUAUAAGUCAUGAAGAAAGCAGUAGCAAUGAAACUGUAACGAUCAUAAUGCUAAGCUAACGGAUCGGUCAUGUCAUCACAUCAUUCUUCUAAUCAUGUGAUCUCGCUCAUCAAAUGACAACACAUGUCUAUGGUUAGGAAACUUAACCAUCUUUGAUUAAUGAGCUAGUCAAGUAGAAGCAUACUAGGGACAUUAUGUUUUGUCUAUGUAUUCACACAUGUAUUAAGUUUUCGGUUAAUAGAAUUCUAGCAUGAAUAAUAAACAUUUAUCAUGAAAUAAGAAAAUAAAGAAUAACUUUAUUAUUGCCUAUAGGGCAUAUUUCCUUCAAUAACUAACUAGGACAGCUCACUUGUUGUGCCUAAUUACUUAUUUCAUUCUUUUUGUUCAGCAUCUUCUCGGUCUAGUUUUUCUUCCUUUUAUUUGGCCUUUUUUCUUCGAUUUUAUUCAUUUUUAUUUUUUAUUUAUUUGUUUUUAUUUGUAUAUUUUUCCUUUCAUUUAAAUUUGUGAACUUUUUCUUUAAUUCGUAAAAUUUUGCAAAAACUGUGACCUUACUUUUUAAUCCAUGAUUUUUUUUAAAAAUAAAGAAUUUUCUUUAUUUUUGCAAACUUUUUCCAAAUUCAUGAACUAUGUUCAUUAAAUUCAUAAACUUUUUUCAAAUCAAUAAACAUCUUUCCAUUUCACAAACUUUUUCCAAAUUUUCGUGAAUUUUUUGUUCAACUGGAGAAUUUUUUUUUCAAAUCAAUGACAAUUUUCAUUUUCAUGAAGUUUUUGUCAUACUUUAUUCAAAUCAUGAAGUUUUUUACAAUUGUGAACAUUUCUUUAUCUCAGGGUGGGCGGUAGAAACCGAAAACUCGGUUUUACCAUUCAGUUUAUUUUAAUUUUUAGUUAGCAAAAUAUAAAUAAACCAAAAUAAACAGGCAAAAGCAGGUAACCGAUAAUUUGGUCAACCGGCUUAUUCUGCUGGGUGUUCAGUUUACACUGAGCAAACUCGUCAAAUGAGUUGUUUUGUAUUAUGACACUCGUCAAAAUAUAGGAAAGGUUUGUGCCCCCAUAUUCGUAGCUCGGCGGGGUGGGACAGUAUUGGGCGCUAUGGGCGGCUGGGCGCACGCAUGACCGAAAGGUUCACGCAGGUUUGGGUCUUCGUGGCCGGAUCCCAUGUGACGCUACUUUGUGUGGGCUUGGCCGCUUGGGCCCUUAGCUCUACUCGCUACAGUAAUAGUUUCUGUUUUUUCGUUCAUUCAUUUUUCUCGUCUUGAACUUUAUUAUUCUUUUUGAAACCUGUUUAAAAGUGUGAAAUAUUGUUUGGAAUACUAAGAAUGAUUUUUUUAUGUUGUUUACAGUUUUAUGAAUUUUUUUGUAAUUUAAAAAAUGUUUCAAUUUCGAUUUUUACAAAAAUCUAAGAAAGUUUUGCAUUUAAAUUUUUUAUAAAAUUUUAAAAGUAUGUUCACCACCAAUUAUUGAGAAUUUGUUACAAUUUUUAAAAAAGUGUUCAGGUCUAUAAAAUUUUCAUACAGAAUUUAAAAUUCCAAAAUUGUUGACAAAUUUCAAGAAAUGGUUAGGAUAUAAAAAUAUACUCAUGUUGAUUGAUAAGGACAGAAAAUGCAAAUAACCGAAGCAUUCAAAUUAUGAAAAAUAACAUGCUCAUGGACUGUCUAGCCUAGUCUAGCACACUCCUCUCAGCUGGUGAUUUUUUCAACAAUGGAUAAAUGAUCCCAACUUCUUGCAGCUGCUUGGCACGGACAAAUGAGGUACCCAUGCCAGGUGUGAACCACUUUCGACACCAUUUGCAUAUUUCGAAACGUCCAGCCAUUUAUCCGCAAUCCCAACUUCUUGCAGCUGCUUUGCACGGACAAAUGAGGUACCCAUGCCAGAUUUGAACGGCUUUCGACACCAUUUGCAUAUUAUGAAACGUCCAGCCAUUUAUCUACUCCUCUUCAUCAAGAGAACUGCAUAAAAUGCAAAGCUUUUGUCAUGGAAGCUGUUGGGAAAAAACUUUCAAAUGGACCCUUCUCACCCUAUCUGAACACCAUCCUUGCAAAUGGUUUAUUUUUCGAUAUCCAUGAAAUGCUCCCAACUUUUUGCAAGAAGGUGGGCAUGCUCAUGGUAGGAACCCAUGACAGGUUUUGAACAAUUUCUGACAGAGUAUGCAAGUUGCGACAUAUCCGGGCAUUUAUCGGCCUUUUUUCACCGGAAAAACUCAGAAAAAUGCAAAACUUAUUAAAAACCCAAAAAAUGACAUGACGCCUUGAAUUAGUCACACAAGACCAUGGAAAAAAUUAGGGUCAUUUUAAGGAUGUUGAGAAACAACAUGCUCUCAGAUCGAACCUUCUAACCUAGCCGAACACCCUUCGUUCAACAUGGUCUAUUUUUAAAAAUCCUUGAAAUAACUCCAACUUUUGCAAGCAGGUGGGCAUGCCCAUUGUAGGUAUCCAUGUAUGGUUUGAACAAUUUUUCUGUCAGUGUAUGCAAGGUGCGACACGUCCAACCAUCUAUAGGCCUUUUUUACAAGGAAAACUCUAGAAAAUGCAAAAAAAAAUGAAAACCCAAACAACUUGGCAUGGUGCCUUUAUAUGGUCAUACAAGGCCAUGAAAAAGAAUUGGAGCCAUUCCAAAGAUGUCGAGAAACAACGUGCUCUCAGACAGAACAUUCUAGCCUACUCGAACACCCUCCGUCCAACAUGGUCUAUUUUUUGGACAUCCUUGAAGUGAAUCCAAUUUGCAAGCACGUGGGCAUGCCCAUUGUAUCCAUCCAUGUCAGGUUUGAACGAUUUCCUACACCAUAUGCAAGUUACGACAUGUCCGGCCAUUUGUCGGCCUUUUUCACCGGGAAAACUCCAGAAAAUCCAAAAUUUGCCGAAAACAAAAACGAAUUGGGAUGGUGCCAUCGAUUGGUCAUAAAGGGCCAUGGAAUUUUUUUGAAGCUAUUUGACGGAUAUUGAAAAGUAAUGAGCUCUCAAACUGUUGAACCUAUUGUUUUUUAAACAUUCUUGAAAUGAUCCAACAUUUUGCAAAUAGCUGGGCAUCCCGUGGUAGAUAUGAAUGUCAGGUUUGAAGGAGAAAUAUAUUUAAAAUCAUAAUUUUAAUAGUAAAUGCUUUCUAAAAUCAUUUAAUAAAUACUUGAAGGAAAAAUGAAUUUAAAACACUUACCUAAAUAAAUAUUUUAUUAUUCCAGAAAAUAUUUCAAAUGUUUGGACAGCUUUCAAAAGAAUAAUAAACUUGGAAAAGGGGAAAAUGAGUUAACGAAAAAAAAGAAAAACGAAAAAUAAAAAAAAUGUUUAGGCCUUCGCCCAACUAGGCGACACCAUCGCUCCUAUCGGGCGCCUGUUGGGCCGGCCAAGCGCUCGUGGAUUUGAAAAAAGUUCGCUGAUUAAAAAAUGUCCAUGUUUUCAAAAUCUGUUCUCAAAAGGAAAACUGCCAAAAAACACAAACAGAAAAAAGAUAAUUUUACGAUUGAAAAAGUUUCAAAUUUUCGGACAAACUUUAUGAAAUUUGAAAAAAAAUCGUAAAGUUUUAAAAAAUCACAAAUUUGAUAAAAGUUCAGGAAUUUGGGCAAAGUUUCAAAAUUUCAGAAAAUUCAUGCAUUUGAAAAAUCUGGAAAAAAUAAAAAAAAGGAAAAAGAAAUGGAAAGAGAAAACAAAGUAAAAGAAUAUUAAAACCAAAGAUAAAACGGCCAAAAUAGCUCGAUAGAAAAAGGAAACCAGAGUAUUUUGUUUUAGUGUUAUAUUUGACGCACUAUAAAAGAUGGAAAAAUGAGAACUUAGACAUAGGAGGUGAGUUAUCCCAGGUGGUUAACGUGUGUGAUAAUGAAUCCUGAUGUUGUGAGUUUGAGUCUGACAUAAGGCGCUUGUUUUUUGAAGGUUGCAAAAAAUAAAAUAAAAAAUAAAAUUGGGCUGAGCCCAGGUCAGAGAGGGUGUGUACAGUGAGGAAAUAAAGAAAAACAAAAACAAAAUAAAACCAAUGAAAAAGGCCAAACAAAACCAAAAAAAGAAAAAAACUAGACUGAGAAGAUGCACAACAAGAAUAAUAAAAGAAGUAACUAGGCACAACAAGUUUAUAGCCGUUGGUACAGUUCAGUCACUAGGUUGGCACAGAUCCGUCACCAUGCAUCUGUAUCCUAGCGGCAUCUGCCCCCUGUCCCUGCGUCGUACAACUGUCAGGUGGGCCAGUGGACGUCCUUUUAAUUGGAAAUACGAGACUAAAUACUGGGCUGUGUGGGAAUCGCGAGGCAAGCUUGUGGUCCAGAUAGCAGGAGCAUCUAGACCCGGGAGCCGAAUUGCAUUUCCGAAGUUUGUUGCCCUAGUUUGUUACAGUAGGUGGAAGUAAACUAGGAGGUUGGGAGUUCAAAUCCUACAUCUUGCACCUAUUAAUUUUUUCAAGGGAUCCCAAACUUUAUUAAAAUUAAACAAUAUUCAACAUGAUACAAAGAGGGUCAUCGGGGGAUAGAAGCCACACAUUGCGACCCUGAGGAAUCAAUAUAGCAAAUUCUACAAUAUUAUGUGCCUCUUGAUUCUAAGCUUGGCCUUCGAACAUUAAAUCACAGCUGGCAAAUCAUACUCUUCUCAUGUUUAUCUCUUUCACAAUAGUGAUAUGGGGUAUCCCAACCCCUUUUUGAUGCCAUAACAAUUGGUUUGCAGCCGUAGGCAAUUACCAAACUUCAGCGCACAAUGACGAUGUUUCAGAGCUUUAUUUUGUUUCAUAAAAUGCAAGCACUCAUAAGCAAUAAUGAUGUUGCCAGUAAUAAGCAUCCCUAGAACGAAGGCAGACUUCUACGUAGAAAUAAUAUAUGGGUUAAAAAAGAGGGGUUUUUAGAUGCAAUCUUUUAUAGAACAUUACAUAGGCUGAUUGGUCGGAACUGGGUUAAAGAAGAGGUUUUUUUUAACCUUUGCGAUAAAAACUAGGUAGGUAUUAUUGAUGCACUCUACACUCUCUACGCCUUCCAUAAUGCACAAUAUUGCUUUAGUUACUUCAUCUCCACAUAUGUCCCAAUGCUUCUGAAAGAAGUGUGGCGGGUAGCCGUCCAACACCUGAGCUUUCAUAGGAAACAUUUGAAAUAGGCUGCUUUUACCUCACUGGUGGUGUAUGCGACAUUUAAAGAUGUGUUCAUAGAUGUUGUCACCUUAGGUGACACCGCGUCCAACACGUUAUGCAUGCUGGUAACACCUUCUGACGUGUAGAGACUUUUGUAGAACAUUAUUGCCAUGCCCUCAAGCUCAGUUCUAUUACUGAUCAUGUUACGUUUGGCAUUCUGCAUGGAUUUUAUGGGGUUUUCCCUUCUCCUCAUAGUAGCUCUAAGGUGAAAAUAGCGGGAAGUGUUUUUGUCACAUAUUUUGUAUGGUUAAAAGUGAAGGAAAAGGGCUAGGCCCGGGACGGAGGGGUGUGACAGGCUGGCGGAUCGGCUGUGCACGUCCACGUAUAGCUCAUACAUGCCACACAUGAAGGUGGGUAUACCUUAUGGUCAAAUGACAUAGUUCUCUUAUACGGUUUGUGAGGGAGGUGUACCGAAGCAAGGCUCUAUGAAUAUAGCAUGAAACAAAAACAAAUUAUAGAUACGUUUAAGACGUAUCAGAAUUUUGAUGCUAGGAUCAAAUUCCAAAGUUACAAGAUAGCACCUACUUGGCUAAUUUUUAAAGAGUACAUAAAGCAUAAUAUGUAGUGAUGUACUUUGAACCAGACAAUCAUGUGAGGAAUUGUCUAGUGAUUGAUAAGAGAAAGUAAUUAGAGGAUCAACCUUGAGCGUAGAGUUACCCCCUCCCCGCGUAUCGUGUACCAAAUCUGAAUAUGAUAUACAUAUCUUUACCAUAUAUUUAUGUAUUAACUGUAGAUCUAAGUGCAUAUCUCCAUGGCCUGCCAAGAUCCAAGAGUUAUAUCGUGAUAUAUAUCUAUUACGAAACGUAUAUCUACAAGAUAUGUUGACUAUUGGUGAAUUUAUCAUGUAUAUAGUAUGCAUAUCCAGGAAGCAUGUAUUACUAGUAUGUAGCUUUAUCUGGUCUUAAUUUCAUUUUUAUACAUUUAUUAUUUUCUCUCCUAAAAUAAUCCCUAAAAAAGAGAUUUUGCUUGGUUAAUUCAUCCCAUUAUUAUCAUAUCUUGUAGAAUCAUUUUUAUAGCAUAAUUAGUGGUAAAAAAAUGCAGUCAACGUGUCUAGGUUCAUUGUCCCAUUAACUUUCAUAUAUUUUUAGGAGGCAUUUACUAUUCGCCAAAUAUAUUAAAUUUCCUAUUUUAAUAUAAUUUAUUAGGAUAAAUACAAGCUUCAUGUCAUGGUAUCUAUAUAAAGUGAGUAUUUGCUUGGACCUAACACAAACAUACAACUGAACGUAGUAUUGCAUAGUGCAUUCUACUGCUCUAUGUGAAUUUAGGUGAUGGCAAAUAAUAGCACUCUCCAAGUCUUUGUUGUUUUUCUCAUUGUGCAAGUCUUAUUGCUCAUGAUGAUUGCAGCACCGAUAGCACAGGCAGCUGGCAGGCUUAUGGGAUACAACCCAGUUUGCUGCCCUAGGGACAUCUAUUGUUGUGGGCUCGGUGGCGUGAUGGCCAAUGGGACCGCAUCCUCCAUGAAGCCUUGAUAUGUGGUUCUUUUCUCCUCCGAUAAAUAAGCUAGGACAUAUAAAAUAUGCUCUCGCGUGUGGUUUGUUGUUCCACAUAUAUAUUUUUUGUUGCUAUUUUCAAAAAAUGUUAUUAUAUAAGCUAUUUUUAUAAUAAAGUGGGAGGAGAUUAUUACCUAUGUUGUUUGCAAUGUGCCGCAAAGAGAUUAAAAUUGUGUCAAAUUCAAUGUUUUUAGAGGAUUAUAUCAUCCUAUAUUUUCAUGGUUAACUACAUGUUAUAGUCAUAAAUGGACUAUUUGUUGUUGAUUCCAAUGUAUUGCUAAACAUAUUAGUUAACCCAUCAAAUAAAGUAUCAGUUUGUUGCAGAAAUGGAUCAAAUACCAUAUAAUUCAUUACUGUCAUUCCAUUGUAGCAUAAUUGAUGCAAAACCAUUGAGAUAAUGUUAUUCACCCAAGGGGGUUCUUUUG
rnacentral:lncRNA from 1 species